rnacentral:lncRNA from 1 species
UUUGAUUUUGCAUGCAAUAUUGGCAAAAUCCCCUCUUACAUUAGAAAAACAACAUAAUCCAUGAAACAUUGAUAGCCCAAUACAAAUUUCAUCAAGAAAAAAGUUUCUUUGUUUUGUAGAACAUGAUGGUAAAGAUGUGGAGUUUCCUUUAGUUUUCCUUGAUCAACAACCACUUGCCAAAAACACAAUUAGAUUAGAUUAUGAAUGAUACUUUCAACUAUGACAAUAUUAAAUACUAAACACUCCAAAUAGCUCUAAAUAACUGGAAAGCAACAAAUUACCUGACGAGGCAAGCUAGCUCAAUUAAGACCAUUGUGUUAUACUUGUCUCUGAAUUGAAAAAUCUAGAAGACAAUAAAGAGAAAGAGUUAGCAAAUACUUGAAAACCGAUAAAACUUAUAUGUCAUUGAUUGGAUAAACUACGAUCACCCAUAAUAGCCUUUAUCUUGCAACCAUCUACAUGAACCUAUAGGGCUCUUAGCAGAAUCAAGAGACAAAACCUUAACAUGAGAAAAAUACCAUUUGUUGAGGGCUUUGUUAAUAGGGUCGUACCUAGGAGAGUUGGUAGGGGUCCCAACCCCCCUUAAAAUUAAAAAGUUUCCAUUUAGGCCCUUUAAAAUUUUUAAAAUUUUUAAUUAAUAAACGUAAAAUUGUACUUUGGCCCCCCCAAAAUGAUAAAACUUUGAUUUAAUCCUUUAAAAAAUAUAAAAAUAUAGGCUAUUAAAACGGUGAAAUUACGUUUUUACCAUCGUAAAAAUUACAAUUUAAUUUCAACUCCUAAAAAGAUUUUCUGGCUUCGCCCCUAAUAAAACCUUUGGCAAAAGAUGAAAAUAAAUUUAUAUCGUAAAUAAAAAAAGAAACUAUGAAAAUCCAAUCCAACAAAGAAAAUAACUUGAUGUCGAAAUUUAAUGCAUUUUAUUGGUUUCCAUUUUGAUUUUGAAGAGAGCCUAGUACGUGAGAGCAAAAGAAAAAAAAUGGUUUAUUAAUUUUUACGAAUACCGACAUAUUAUAUAUAUGAUUAAAAUUCCAGAAUAACCACAAGUGUGAAUUAAAGAUAAAAUUAAGUGUGAAUUAAUAAUUAGAAGUGUACUCAUUACUCACCAUCUCUGUUAAAAAUGUUGGAUGUUGUUGAGCAACCUUUGUUUGAUUUUCUUCAGCUCAACCACAACAUCUUUCAUAUCUUUUCUUUCUUCUGGUAACUCAGCUGAACAAUUCAAAGCCAACUCCAUGAUAGAUGAAAUACAAUUUGCUUUAACAACAAUGUACUCAUCCUCUCUUCUUAAUAAAUCAACAUCUGCAAUUUCUAUCGCUCCUUUAGGCAAUGAUCUUUCCAUCCAAUGCCUUAUAGUCUCUUCUUCAACAAAAACAUUAUCAGUUGGCUUUUUCUUUGUGAAAGUUUCUAUAAGUACGAUCCCAUAACUAUAGACGUCAGAUUUUAUAGAAACAAUUCCUACUGUUCCAAAUUCUGUAUUUCAAGUAUAAUUAGAACAUCAUUCAUCCUCAAUUAUUUCUAAAAUGCUUAUUCAAAUAUAAAUCCACAUACACAUGAAACAAAAAUAUAAAAUGCAAAUUAGGAAAAUAAUCAUACAAAAAUAAAAAAAGAAUUCACCUGGUGCCAUAUACCCGGUUGUUGCAAGAGUCAUGGUUUGUUUCAUUACUUCACCCUCUCCCAACAAUUUGGCAAUGCCAAAAUCUCCAACAUGUGCAACCAUGUCUUCAUCUAGUAAAAUAUUGCUUGGUUUUAUGUCACAAUGAAUUAUAGGUGUUGGAUGUCCAUUGUGGAGGUGUUCUAUAGCUACCGCAACAUCUAUCAUUAUGUCGACCCUUUGUAUGAUAUCAAGGAAACAAUUUUCAGAAUGUAACCAUUUCUCAAGGUUUCCAUUAGACAUGUAAUCAAGCACCAAGGCUUUGAAGUCAACACUUGAACAGCAAGUAAUGACCUUCACAAUAUUACGAUGAACUAUAUUACGCAUAGCAUCACAUUCAAUGUCAAAACUCCUAAAUGCUCCCUCUGUUUGCAAAUUGAAAACUUUUAUUGCAACUUCCAUUCCAUCUGAAAGCCUCCCUUUAUAUACACAUCCAAAACUCCCUGAACCAAGCAUAUUGCUUUCCUCAAAUCCAUUAGUUGCUCUUGAAAGUACAGCAUAUGAAAUUCUUCUCGGUGUUUUCAAAGACAGCAAAUCAUCUUUAAUUGGUAGAGUUGUACUCCUUCGCCGGCAUCUUCUAUACAUAAUAGUUAAGACUAAUAGUACUAUGACAAUACCAAUUGUUGGUAAACCAUACCUAAAAGCAUGCAAUAUAAUCAUUUGGGAGUUUUUGUGGAUGUCGUUUUUGCAAGGUGGGACUAGCAAUCUAGGUGGACCACAAAGUGCAUAAUUCCUCAUGAAUGAUGUGCUAGAAAAGUUUGAAAAACAUCCUUUGCUGGGAAUUUCCCCUUCAAGUCUAUUGAAUGACACAUUAAAAUACUUUAGAUAUAAAAGCUUUUCCAAAGAUUUGGGAAUGACUCCAGAGAGAUUGUUAUUGGAUAAAUCCAAGAAUUCCAAACUAAUCAACCCAUCAAAUGAUUCAGGGAUAUGACCAUGUAGUAUAUUAUUUGAUAAAUCUAAUGAAACCAAAGUUUGAAGACCCCCAAAUGUGGAUAAGACAUCGCCCGUGAGAAGAUUCCUUGAUAAAUUUAGUUUCAGUAGACUCCUCAAAUUUCCAACAUCAAUAGCAUGUGAAUUGUGAAGAUGGUUUGAUGAUAAAUCUAUUUCUAAGAUAUCUUUAAGAUUCCACAAAUUUGAGGGUAUUGCGGAACUCAAUCUGUUGGAAUUUAAGUAAAGAUAUCCCAAAGAAGUAAUAUUACCCAAACAAGAGGGUAUGGGUCCAUGCAGCUUAUUCAACCCUAAAUACAUCUUGUAUAGUCUCUCCAAACCACAGAGGCUUUCGGAGAUAGGCCCUCCUAAUUUAUUAGAGGAAAGAAAUAGACCUUGGAGAUUUCUCAUUCCUCCUAUUGAUGCUCGAAUCAAUCCACUUAAUUUAUUAUAGCCAAGUUGUAAAAGCAAUAGGUUGGUUAAGUUACCUAUUUCCAUAGGAAUAAUGCCUUGAAGCUCACAAUUAUGGGCAUAAAAGUAUUGAAAGGAUUUUGAAAGGUUCCCGAUAUAAGUAGGAAGAACGCCACUCAAUGGAUUUCCUGAAACCGCUAUUUUUCUCAAAUGCCUGCAAUUCGAUAAAGAAGAAAGAAAGCUCCACUCAUGAUCAGUAGCAGAUCCUGUGAUGAAAUUAUUGUUUACGAUUCGGAACCGUUCAAGGUGUCUUAAGUUGCCAAGUGUUUUAGGGAUUGGACCAGAGAAUAAGUUAUGUGACAACUCUAGUUUCUUAAGCAUGGAAGCAUUGGAGAUAGAGUUGGGAAUGUUUCCGCUAAGUUUAUUUCCCCACAAAAAAAGAAACUCAAGCUUUGGAGCAUUGGUGAUGGGUGGUAAAUUACCUGUAAAAUAGAAUCUUUUAGUAUACAAAUUCACAAAAUAUAUAAUACAUUAAAGUAAAAACUGUAAAACUUUAAAUCAAUUAAGAAUAAAAUUUUGGCAUGGAAAAAUGUGAUGAAAUCAAUUAGAAAGUUGAGACAUAAUAAGAAGUUUUGAGUAGUAAUUAGUCCUUGUGAUUUGUAUAGACAAAACAUAUAAUACACUAAUAAUUUUUUAAAAUAUUGUAAAACUUGAAAUAAAAUAAAAAUAAAAGUUUGGCAUGAGAACGUGGCAUCUAAUCAAUCUUAAAAAUGAGACUGAUACUGAAUAAUAAUUAGUUAUGAUUUGGGAAACAAAAAUGUUAAAGUCAUUGUUUUUAAUGUAAACUGGUAUGAUUUUGACCUAUUAGGUUAAUUAUUUAUUUUUAUUAAAUUAUAGUGUAAAAUUUAAAGAUUAUUAUUUGCUCAAAAUUUUUGUGUUUUUCGUAUAUUUGAAAUUUAAUCUUUAUAUUUUUUAUUUUCUGUGAUUUAGUCUCUCUACUUUUUGAAUUAAAAAUUUUAGGUUCAUUUAUUAACACUGUUAAAAAAGUUUUUCUGUUAGUAUGGCAUUUUGAAAAAUAAAAUAAACUUGAUAUCUAUGUUUUUAAUUAUUCCAAAUAUUGUUUCACUAUUUCAAGAUAAAUUAUUUGUGUUUAGACCAAUAUCUUAAGAACUAUUGUUGCAUGUUUAAUUAUUCUAAAGAAUUGUUGAUUGAGUCUUAGCUGAAGUGCACUAUUCUCCUAUUUAUGAAUUGGGGAGUUGGUAAAGUAUUAAAUUUUGAUAUAUUUUAAAAUAUUAAAAAUUUAUUAAAAUAUUUUUUAUAAAAAUUGAUUAUACCACAAUAUACAAUUUUAAUAUCAAAUUUUUAUUUUUUUUUAAAAUAUUAGCGAAUAUAUACUUUAUUUCAAGUUACACAAUUUUUACUAGUUUUUAAAUUUUUUUAAAAAUUUUUAUCGUCUUUUAUAAUUUCUAAUAAUUUUUUAUAAUUUUUUACAAUAUUUACAAUUUCUAACAAUUUUUAAUAAUUUUAUUAUUUAUUACAAAUUUAAAAAUUAACAAAUUUUUAUUUUUUAAAACAAUUAUAUAUUUAUAAUGUAGUUGUUUUUUUUAUAAUUUUAUUUGAAAUUUUAAAGAUUUUUUUUGGUUUUUUUUAGAUGAUGAUGCCAUCAUGAUGUCAUCAUAUGUCACAUGGCAAUUUAUAAUUAGUUGAAUAUCUCAAUCUAUUUUAUUAACGUCCAAUAGACUAAAACAAGAACACCUGAUAAUGUUAGAGACUACACUAGGAAUGUUUGAUAAUAUUAGGUACUAAAGUGGGCAAAAAAAAUUAAGGACUAUAUUAAAAAUAUAUCUAUAAUAUAUAUAAAUGCAUGGAUUUUGAGAAACUUUUGAAAUGAUAAUUAUAUAGUCUUUGUUUUUUUUUUCUAUAUUAUUGAAUUUUUUAUUUUAAAUAUUUUUUUAUUACUUUUAAGAUUUAUCAUAUGCAUGGAUAAGAAUUUUGGUUUUACUAAAAUAUUUGGUUAAAUAAAUUCACUUCAUAAGAAAAUUUAGGAUCCUUAUAAAUAACAAUUUUGAUUCUAUUAAAAAUAUUAUUUUAAAAAAUAUAUAAUAAAAAUUUAAAAUUUAUAUUGAAUUACUUUAUACUUAAAUUAUUAUUAGAAACUUUAUCAUACACAUACAUAUAUGAGAAGCACGUAUUUAGAACAUAAAUUUGUGUUUUAAAAUAACUUAUGAUAAAUAAUGAAAUGUAUAAUUUGAAACUAUUUAAUAAUAACACAUGGCAUAUCUACCAUAUUAAAAUAAAAAUAGAUUAAAUUGUAGGUAAAACAUAAUUUAAACAUAUGAAUACAUCAAAUUAAGAAUACUAAAUGAAUACAGUUAUUUAUGAUGAUGUUGUUGCCAAUUCUUAACUUGGUGUCGAGUUAAUUUGUGACAUCAUAAAUUUAAGUGGUAAAUUUAAGGUUUUAUGUAUUGAUGUGGAUUCAAAUAUCACCAUAAUUUUUUUUAAAAAUAAAAAACUAAAGUACCCUCAAACAAUAUAACUUAUAUUAAAUAUGAAAGGGUAUUUUUAUAAUUUCUUUAACCGAGUUGAUGCCCGGUUGACUCAUGACACCAACUCAAUCAAAAGCUUCAAUAAUAAUAUAGAUAUUCACGUUAAAAAAACCAAAAAAAGUACUUUAGUUCCAAAUAAUUAUAUAAUAAGUAAAUUUAUAAUUGAUGAAUAAAUUUAUAAAUAAUAUAUUUAUAUGAUCUAAUAUAUUAUAUAUAUUAAUUAUAUAUCAUCUACAAACUUUGAAGAUCAAUUUAUUAAGUAUCAAGAAAAGAAAAAAUGAAAUUGAAUUAACACUAAAUCGAUUUUUAGAUUUUGUCCAGAUGAUUUAAUGAUGAUAAAAAAAUUAUUAGCACUAUUUUUGAAUUAACAAAAAAUUAGUGAUAUAUUUUAAUUAUAUUUAUUAUUUAUUAGUUUUAAUAAUGUUUUUUUAAUUAUAUGAAGUAAAAUUAUAUCGUAUACUAAAUAUGGUACAUAUACUUUAAUUAUAACUUGAAAAAUUAUUAUAUAAAUUAAUAUAUUUUAAUUAUAUUCAACCAUUUGAAUAACAAAAUUAAAAAAAAACUAAUUAGAAUUAUUUACUUUUUAAAGUUUAAUGGAAAUUAAAAAAUUAAAAAUAAAUCAAUUCAUAUAAAUCUUAUUGUUUAUUAUCAGAUUAAUAUGAUAAAAGUAUAUGACAUAAAUAGAAGAAACAAAUUCAACACAAUGUUUUUGGAGUUUGGAAAAAAUUAAAGUGAAAAACAUACCUUCUAAUUUGUUGUUAAAUAGCUCUAUACCUUCGAGCGUAGUUGAAUUAAAAAUACUUGAUGGAAUCUGGCCUGCACACAUAGUCGAAAAUUGAAGUGAAAAAUAUACCUUCUAAACUGUUCAACUAAAAAUACUUUAAGCAUCUUUUUUUCCAUCAAAUUAGUUAUCUAUUACAAAUCAAACUCUUUUAUGAAAUGUUGAAGAUGGAAGAUGGAACCUGACCAGAUAAUUGAUUGAAUCCCAAGUUCAAGAUCUCUAGAUUAGACAUGUUAACAAGUGUUUCAGGGAUUGUGCCUGUAAAGUUAUUAUUCUUCAUUUCCAGCCUUCGAACUCUUUGUAAGUUCCCAAGCCAUGAUGGAAUUUCCCCAUUCAGACGGUUGUAGCUUAAUUGAAGGAUCCUCAAACGAUGCAAGUGGCCCAAUUCUUUAGGGAGAUGGCCAUAGAAAUGGUUGCUACUCAAGUCUAGAGAGAGUAGAAAUGAAAGAUUUCCAAGGUGUGGAGGGAUAGUACCCCUAAGAUUCAUGCUUGUAAGAUUCAAAGCUAUAACUCUUUUAUGGAGGAUGCCACAAGAAACACCAAUCCAAUUGCAAACAGAGGUUGAGGCCGUCCAAUUGUUUGCCAUGACAUUUUGAGGACCGGCAAUGCGAUCCUUGAACUCGAGAAGUGCAAAUUGAUCAGAGUUGAGAUUCCUGACUGUUAUAGCCAAGCAAAGUACGGAACAUGGUAUGAAUAAAGCUAAAAGAAGAUGAAAGCAAGUGUUGUAGUCCAUGAUUGCAAGACGGAAUAAGGCAAGAAAAUAAAAAAAAAAGUAGGAAAAGGGAAGUUGAGUUGAUAAAAUAGUUUGGAUGAUGAAGAAAAGCCCAGAGAGCAUGCUUUAAUAUGUUUCAACCCUCGCACACUUGAUAAACUUGAUAAAUUUAAGACUACUCUAAAAAUUAAAAAGGAAAACAAAGUUUUGAUGAAAUUUCAAAAUAAAUGUCAAGUAUUCUUCUUUUAGAAAUACGUAUAAAGAAGUGAAUUUUCAAAAUUUCUCCUAAAUUUUCUUCACAUUACUCCACAUAAUCCAUUAAAAAAAACUUAAAAAAUAUAUUUUAUUAAUUACUAUAUAUUCUUUUAUUUUCAGAAUAAUAAAUUGUUUAAAAUAUGCUACUAGUCCCUGUAAUUUAAAAGUUAAAAAAAAUCCAAUCCUCCUAUUUUUUUAAUUUAAAAAUUCUAGUCCAAUCAUUUUUAAUUCCAUUAAAAAAUUUCAACUUAAUAGAUUUUUUAUUAUCAAUCAUAUGCAACAUUAUAUGAAGGCAGUCUACUCAGUAUAUAUCCAAGUUUACAUAUUUUAAUAGAAAAUACUUACAAUCCUAAUGAUAGGACUAAGUUUUUUAAACUAGAAAAGUACAAAAACUUAAAUUUUAACUUUUUUAAGUACAAGGAUUAAAUUUUAAAUGUUGUCAAAGUACAAGCACUAACAAAAUAUUGUGAUCUAAUAAAUGUAAAAAGCAUUUUAAACAAAAGAUGGUUGAAAUAAUCUAUUUGUCCUUAUACUUUGAUAAAAUUUGAGAUACCAUAAAAUUUGUAUCUUUUUUCGAAUUAUUUAAUGCCAUUUCAACAUUUUCAUUAAAAAAAAAACAUAUCAUUUUGAAUUUGAUCUUUUUCAAGAUGAAAAUAUUGAAAUGAUGUUAAAUUAUCGGAAAGAGAUACAAGUUUCAUGGUAUCUCUCUAAGAAAGCUGAUGUAAGAUAUUAAUGACAUCAUUUGAACAAAGUUUUAGGUCAAAUUAUUCAUCUAGUCCUUGUAAUUAUUCUUUAAGGUGAAUUUCAUUAUUAUUCUUUUAUUUUCUUUGGCUUAAAUAAACAUUUACCCCUAAUUUUAUCACAUUCUCCUUAAUUGGUAUUUAUAGUUUAGAAAAUUUUACAAAUAUAUUAUUUUUUAAGAAAUUAUAAGAAGAUUACAAAAAUUCCAAAAUAAUAUAAAAAAGCUAAGAAAAACCUAGAAAUUCAAAAAACAAAAAAAUAAUGUUUUUACAAAUUGGGGUAUGCAAUCAAUUUUAAGAUGGUUUUUGGAGUUCAUCUCACUUUAGCAUUGACUUACUUUUCUACAGUUAGUCUUCUCCAACAAGUUAAAUAUUUCAAUUUUAACAACAUUGACAGGUCUUAGGGGUAGGGUCGAGCAAAACUCAAUAGAAAUAGAUGAUAUAGGUUGAGUUGGCUCGGCCAAGUCGAGUCGACUUGUUCAAAUUUGUUAAAUUAGUAAAUUUUGGGGUGCAGUUAGAAUUUUUUUGUUUUGAGAUGCUAAGAUUAAAAAAAUUUGAGUUUUGAAAACUUUGACUCCUUUUUGCUUUGAGAGUUGAUUUGAAGAGAAAAGAGCUUGAAGGUGCUUUUGUAGAAAUAGGACAAAUUUUAAAAUAAGGAGUAAAUUGGAAAAAAAAAUUUGGGUUGGGCUAAUUUGAAAAUUUGACACUUUUGUGGGAUAAAAAUAGAAAAAUAUUUUGGUUGAAUACACAUAAGGAGUUACGAACUUGAGACUUAUAGGUAGGCUAAGGCCUUACCACUUAACCAACAAGCUCAUUAUUAUUAUCUUUUAACACAAAUAAAUUUUAAGGCAUACUAAGGGCUUGUUUAGCAUUGCAGUGAAGAAGCAUUUUGGCUUAAAAAACACUUUUGAGAGAAAAGUGGUUCUAAGCUAGUAACUUUUGGCUAAGAUUUUGGCUUUUCAAAAGCAAUUUUGGCCAAAUGGAGAAGUUAAAAUUAUUAGCUUUUCUUACCCAAAAGCAGUUUUGAGUGCUUAAUUACUAAUUCAUCCCCCCAAAAACACAAUUUAAAAUAAAAUAAUACAAAUAUGUUAAUAUUUAAUUACAAAUAUUUAAUGGGUAUAUUUAAAUAUUUAAAAUAUAAUUUAUAUAUUCUAAUUAAAUUUUAUAAAUAAUUAAUAUUUGUUGCUUAAAAAUAUUUAAAAUUUAUAUUUUAUAUAUUAAAAUAUUAACAACAAAUUAUAAUAAAUUAUUUUUUAUAUUCUUACUAAAAUAUCAUAAUAUAAAUUAAUUUUAAUAUUAUUUAAAUACAUAUUUGUUACUUUAUAAUAUCAUGUCUAAGAUUGACGUUUUAUUUCUCAAAAGCACUUUUUGAAAUUAAUACUAAACACUUAAAUUUUAAACUAAACUUCUCAAAGAUACUUUUCUACAACACUUUUAAAAGCACUUUCCAAAAUCAAUGCUCAACUACCUCAAACUCUCUUACCUUAUACUUUAAAAGAGAAAAAAAAAAGAUUUUAAAUUUUAUCCCUAUUUCUUUUAACCCAAUUUUUAGGAUGUCAAACAUUUAUAAAUAAAAUAAGUAAAAGGAAAAAAAAGCAUAUACUUUAUUUUUAUCGCAGGUAAAAGUUUUAAUGGAGAGGAUCAUGUAAAAUUAUGAUCUGAAUAAUUUUAAACAUUUCAUCAUUGCAAAAAUGAAAUAAUAGAAAAGAAUGACUAUUCGAAUUUGCAUUUGUGUUCUUUCUUUCAAUAUUUGCUUUCAAAACUGUGGGAAAAUUUUAAAUUUGAUGAAAUUUUAAAAUUGCAGUUCAGUAAAAUAUAAAUUUUAUGAAUUUGGAGUAGCCAUUUUAUUUAUAAUUUUCUGUGUUUUCUUCUUUGCUGACUUUUUUAAUGUCAUUUUCUAUCAUGAAAGAAACUUAAAGAUUCACUAUGUAUUUCUCAACCACUAUGAAAUUACUUGACUACGGGGGUAGAAUUUUCUCACCAAUUUUCUAACAUUAGAUUUUUUGAAUGAGACAAAUAUUCAAUUUUAACACAUUUCCCAUAAUUAGUCACCCCUAUUUGUGAGUGAUUUGGGGAUAAAAGCUUAAACAUUUAUGGAUCACAUUGCAUUUAAGACGGGUGUUUGGAGUUAUAUGAAAUUUUAACAUAGACUGGCUUUUCUAUAAAGAGUACUCCUUGCUUUACUAUUGUCAUGAUACGAGGAGAUACUGAAAAUUAUUGUACUAUGAAAUUUUAAUUCACUCGAAAAAUAAGUGUUUUAUUUCAAGGGAUUAAUAUUAGCUUUCUCUUUUUUAAAUUUUGAAUUUUUUUUGACAACUGCGUAAUUAAGAAUAUAUCAAUUUUAGGUGUUAUAGGGGUGUUUUAACCUUCCCUAUGUGUAAUCGACUACUGAAACUUUUUUAUUCUUUAGAAUUCAACACAUACCUCAAAAUUUUCUUUUUAAAAGAUUUUUAAAAUCUCUUUAUAAAAGAUUAUCACACUUAACAAAGAUGAUCAGUGACUACUUUUCUUUAAUAAAAUAUUAUGUUUUUGCAGAGACCAAAAUUUUCAUAUUUUUCAAGAAUUCCUCAAUCUAAUUUUCUUUUUGAAUUUUUAUUUUCAAGAGGAAAAUGAUCCCUACAAUUAAUAUUUAUUUUCCUUAUUUUUAAUUUCUUUUUAAGGGAGAUGAAUAGUGGAAUGAUAAUUUUUAGUUAUGGUAAAGUAAAUUUAAUUAUCCACAACCUUCAACUAUUAAUUUUUUCGAUUUAAUUACACAAUUUUUUGAAAUUAACACUCUUUUAUUAGUUGUCGCUAGGUGAUGGACGAAAAGUUGAUUUGGACUUUUUGUUGACCUAAUAACAAAUUUAGAUAUUCAAAGUUUACUUAUUCUAUCAAUUUAAUGCUAAAUUUAAAAAAUUCAACAAAUCCUAUCAAAAAACAAUUGGACCUUGAGUACACAGGCUGUGAGAUUUUCACAUGGCUGUGUCUACACUGCACUCUAUUUUAUCAAAUUCGGACAAAGAGUUACACAGGCUGUUCACACGGGCAUGUGCCUCCUUCACAUGGGGCGUGUAGACCUCCACACAACUUAGGAACUUCCACAUGGCUGGGGCACACGGUCAUGUGGCCUUGUUUUGUAGAUUUUUGUUCUGUGUUAGAUUUUGACUCGUUUUGUGCCUGUGUGUAUUCUGACCUCAGUUAAGACUUAGUAAGAAUGUUUAGGACUCUGAUUAGUUCGAAUUUGUGCAUUUGUUUGUAACUAAUGUGUUAAUUUAUUAGUUUGAUUAAAUGUUAUGUGAUGUUAUUAGUAAAUAGUUACAAACCUAAUUGAUUCUAAAUCUGAUUGAUUGAACUUGUGUGUUUCGUUUUCUGUAUGGAUGUUUGUAUGUUGUGUGCAUUUUGCAAUAGCAUAAAAAUUUUACUAUUGAUUGACUGAAUAUGAACUUCUAUAUCUGUGACACUAUUAGUGUUUGAUGUGCAUUCAUACAUAUGCAUAAAAUUAGGGUUUUGGUUAUGAAGAGAAGGGAGCCUGUUUCGGUAGUUCAACUGUAAUAUUUCUGAACAGCAGUUUACCGCAUGAUUCUAUAUAUAUGUCAGCUUAGCUGCAUAUUAUGAUUUCGAGUGGCUUAUUUUCCUUAUUGUAGUGUGUAGGGUGGAUGAACCUUUUAUAGUUCUUGUAAUAGGCCCAAUUUGUAUGGGCCCAAAAAAAUAAGUUACAAACCCAAAAUAAACAUUACAAGCCCAAAAAUUAAAAAAAAAACUAACGGCCCAAGUGGCCCAAAACCUAACCCUCUUUAGUCGCCACUUCUCUCACGCGAGCCAACCUCCUCACGCGUGCCACCACGUCAGCACCUCCGUACCCUCCACGCUCUCUCUCUCUGCCACCAUAGCAUGCGUCCUUGCCCGGUACUUGCAGACCAAGCAAAAGAGAGCACAACAGUAAAGAGAAAAACAUUGUAUUUUUCGGCUAUAAAAGCCAUGAACAAAUCAAUGUAAAUUUUUUACGACAAAAAUAAAUACAAAAAAGGCAAUUGGAAACAAAAAAAAGGUGGUUCUUUUUUUGUUUUUAUUUCUUUUCUACUUAUAUUUCUACUAGUUUUUAAGAAAAAUAAAAAAGAAUGGAGUCGAAUCUUACCCUUUUCUCGCAUGUGCGCCGUCGUGGGGGGUCGAGGUUCGUCUUUUCCAAUGAAAAAUGACAUUUUUUGAGUUGAGGAAGUCGAAAAGUCAAAAAAUGGCCUUUUUUCGAUUUUUUGGCCACCGUGGAUGGCGGCGCCGUCACCGACGACCGACGGCCGCCACGACGGUCCGUCGGUUGGAGCCAUGGCCGGAGAGGGGAGUUGGGAGAAAGGGGGAGAGUGAUUUGAGUGUUUUUUUUUCAGAGAAUGGGGAGAAAUGAAAAAUUAAAAAAAAAGGUUUUUAUAGAGGAUUGAAAUGGCAUCGUUUUGGGCCUUAACCCCAGUGGCCAAAACGACGUCGUUUCACCCCUUUAAUCUGCGCGUGGACCCGACCCGCAAGAGGAUCCGUGUGUUUUUGUGGAAGGGUCUAUUUGCGUGUUAGACCCUUCCACAUUUUUCAAUUGUCUUAAUCCAGUCCUUUUUUAUUUUCUAAUUUGUACUUCAAAUUUUAUUUUAUUUUUGAUUUGGUCCUAGCAAAACGGCGCGUUUCAGAGGGCGGGGAUAUUUCCCCAAUUGGUCCCUCUUAGUUAUUCGCGCCUUUCAAAUGGGUCCUCUACCUUAUUUUCAUUCUCGAUUUUUACCCAGUUUUCUGAUUAAACUUCAAUUUAGUCCUUCUGCAUCUAUUUUAUUAUAAUUUUAGCCCCUCUUAUAUUCAUAAACUUAUUUUAUUAGGAUUUGGACUCUUAAUUUUAUUUCAAUGUCAAUUUAAUCCCCUUUUAUCUCAGUCUAGGUUUUAUUUUCUUUUUUUUUGUUGUGCUUUAUUUAUUUUAUUUAUUUGCUUACCAUUUCUUUUUUUAUUUUGAUUUUCGUAUUUAAUGAUGCUUUUACUUUAUUUAUUUUAUUCUUGACUUUCAUUGUUAUUGUUGUUGUUGUUGUUGUUAUUUUUAUGGUUUUUUAUUAUUUCAUUUAUUUACAUAUUUUAUUCCAAAUUGUUGCUUUAAAUUUUGUUUACAUUUUAAUUCGGUUCUUUACUUUCAAUAUUUUUUUAUAAACUAUUUUCCCUUACAUUAUUUAUGUAUUUAUUUUAUUUGUUUUUUUUAAAGUUGGUAUUGUCCUUUUAUGUGCAUACUUUGACAUUAUUACCAUUGUUAUUAUUUAUUUUAUUUAUCUUUUGAUUAUUCAUAUUAAUGUUAAAGUAGUGUAUAUUAUAUGAUUCUCGUAAAUUGUCUUUAUUAUAUUCAUUAUUGUUAUUUAUUAAUGCAACAUUUCAUUCAUGUAUUAUUUUAAAUAUUACACAUUUUUACCCAAAUUUGUAAAAAAAUAUAAAAAUUAGAAAAUAAGCAAUAUUUCGUAUUUUGGAAUUUGAAAAGUCGUUCCCUAACUUACGGGGUUUCAAUUUUUUUGAUAAAUCCAAAUAUACGAGCUAUUUUUCAAAAACACAUUUUUAAAAUUAUCUCGAGAAUUAAAAAGAUCGUUUUUCAACUUUUGGAAUAUGAUUUCUUUUCUAAAACUGAGAUAAUAAAAAUUUUCUAAAAAUAAAUAAAAUUUUUGGUGUUUAUUCUCGUUUUGAGAUUUAAGGUUAUGUCCUAACUCACAGGGUAUAAUUCUUUUUCUCGGUUGACAUAAAAUAUGCCCUUUUUAAAAUUCUUUUAGGUAAUUUUAAUAAAAGGAUCGUAUUUUAAGUCUCUUCAAAAUUUUCAACUUUCGACAUUAAGACAUUAAUUAAUCAAUUAGGUAUCAAUUUUGGGCGUGACGAGGGUGCUAAUCCUUCAUCGCACGUAACCGACUCCCGAUCCAUUUUUCUCGAAUUUCGUAGAUCAAAAUCAUUGUUUUAGUAAAAUCGAAACGUUUUGUUAAAAAGAUUGAAUUGCAAGGUGAUCCGAUCACACCAAAAAAAAAUAUCGGUGGCAACUACAGUUUUUUUCGUUUUUAUUUUUAUAAUAAAAGUCGACCCCUUUUUUAUUAAAAAAUGGCUUCGAUAGUUCUAUGUGGUGUGAGGGUAGACGGGCCUUCUAUAGCCCUAAUGUGGUGUGCAGGGUGGUCGAAGUGGUGUUCAAAUGGUUGGGUGGGUUUUUAACUUAUUGCAUACGGUUUGCAUUAGGCAUAUGUGUCUGAUUAUGAUUCUUUUUAAAAUUAUUUGCAAAUGUUUGUACUAAUUUGAUUAUUACAUGUGUUAGAGACAUUGCUUAUGCAGUUUGAUACUAUAUAUUGACUUAUUGAUGUAAGAUUUUCGUAAGUGACCAUCAUAUAGUGCUUGUCUGAAAUAUUUAUGGAGUUAUCCCCUCUUUUACCGACUGUUGUGUUUUGGACUCACACUGAGCUCGCGUAGCUUACCACCUUAGUUUUCUCCCUUUUAGAUACUCUCGUGUUCUGUAGCUAGACUCGACAUAUUAGAAGGCUCAGACGGAAGAGGUGAGAUUUGAUUUAAUAAAGUGUUUCAAUUCAAUUUUAGUUUUUCUAACUUCUUGGGACUAUAAGUGUUAAUAGGGACUGUAGUAUAAGUUUUACUUCUGGAUUUUCGUAAAUUUUUAUUUUGGGACUGAACUUUUGAAAUUGUGGAAUUAUACUUUCUAUUGUUUUUAACGUAAUUUAAAAUCUUUGUUUGAAUCCUGAAUGGUUAAACGACUUAGUUUGAUUUUAGCAAAAAUGAGUUAUAAAUGAGAUGUUAACAAUUCAUUUUGUAAAAUUAUUUUUAGAUCACUUCGGUGUUCAAAGUAACCUCUGAGAUUCGAUCCAUACUUCUAGGCCGAGUUUUGGGGUGUUACAUUAGUUUUCAAGAGGAGAUUGGUGAUCUACUUGAAGAUAGAUUGAUUUUGAAAACUUUGACUCCUUUUUGCUUUGAGAGUUGAUUUGAAGAGAAAAGAGCUUGAAGGUGCUUUUGUAGAAUCAGGACAAAUUUUAAAAUAAGGAGUAAAUUGGAAAAAAAGGGUUUUGGGUUGGGCUAAUUUUAAAAUUUGACACUUUCGUGGGAUAAAAAUAGAAAAAUAUUUUGGUUGAAUACACACAAGGAGUUACGAACUUGAGACCUAUCGAUAGACUAAGGCCUUAGUACUGAACCAACAAGCUCAUUCUUAUUAUCAUUUAACACAAAUAAAUUUUAAGGCAUACUAAGGGCUUGUUUAGCAUUGCUGUGAAGAAGCACUUUUGGCCUAAAAAACACUUUUGAGAGAAAAGUUGUUCUAAGCUAGUAACCUUUGGCUAAGAUUUUGGCUUUUCAAAAGCACUUUUCGCCUAAUGGAGAAGCUAAAAUUUUUAGCUUUUCUUACCCAAAAGCACUUUUGAGUGCUUAAUUACUAAUACAUCCCUCCAAGAACACAUUUUAAAAUAAAAUAAUACAAAUAUUUUAAUAUUUAAUUACAAAUAUUUAAUGGUUAUAUUUAAAUAUUUAAAAUAUAAUUUAUAUAUUCUAAUUAAAUUUUAUAAAUUAUUAAUAUUUGUUGCUUAAAAAUAUUUAAAAUUUAUAUUUUAUAUAUUAAAAUAUUAACAACAAAUUAUAAUAAAUUAUUUUUAUAUUCUUACUAAAAUAUCAUAAUAUUAAUUAAUUUUAAUAUUAUUUAAAUGCAUAUUUGUUACUUUAUAAUAUCAUGUCUAAAAUUGACGUUUUAUUUCUUAAAAGCACUUUUUGACAUUAAUACUAAACACUUAAAUCUUAAACUAAACUUCUCAAAGAUACUUUUCUACAACACUUUUUAAAAACACUUUCCAAAAUCAAUGCUCAACUAUCUCAAACUCUCUUACCUUAUACUUUAAAAGAGAAAAAAAAGAUUUUAAAUUUUAUCCCUAUUUCUUUUAAUCCAAUUUUUAUCCCAGGUAAAAGUUUUUAUGGAGAGGAUCAUGUAAAAUUAUGAUUUGAAUAAUUUUAAACAUUUCAUCAUUGCAAAAAUGAAAUAAUAGAAAAGAAUGACUAUUCGAAUUUGCAUUUGUGUUCUUUCUUUCAAUAUUUGCUUUCAAAACUGUGGGAAAAUAUUAAAUUUGAUGAAAUUUUAAAAUUGCACUUCAGUAAAAUAUAAAUUUUAUGAAUUUGGACUAGCCAUUUUAUUUAUAAUUUUCUGUGUUUUUCUUCUUUGCUGACUUUUUUAAUGUCAUUUUCUAUCAUGAAAGAAAGUUAAAGAUUCACUAUUUAUUUCUCAACCACUAUGAAAUUACUUGACUAUGGGGGUAGAAUUUUCUCACCAAUUUUCUAACAUGAGAUUUUUUGAAUGAGACAAAUAUUCAAUUUUAACACAAACAUAUCUUUAGUUAUUGAGUCACCCCUAUUUGUGAGUGAUUUGGGGAUAAAAGCUUAAACAUUUCUGGAUCACAUUGCAUUUAAGAUGGGUGUUAGGAGUCAUAUGAUAUUUUUUCAUAGACCGACAUUUCUAUAAAGAAUCCUUGCUUUACUUUGGGUAGAUUCUUCCAAUUAGCGUGGUCGUUGGUAUUACUCUCCAACAAUUAUUGUACUGUCAUCCUUAUUCCUACUCCUCCUAGCAGAGAAGUUUCAUAAGUGUUUUAUUUCAAGGGAGUCAGCACUUAGCAACCCCUUGGGGGAUUCAGCACUUAGCAACCCCUUUUAUAUUCAAUGUACUCCGGCUUAUUCCGAGUGUUCAACCGGAAAUCUUGUUUGCAAUAUUUUACCAUUUUUUCCAACUUAACCACAUUUUUAGGAUCUAUGGCAAGUAUUUAUUCUACGUUCAAUUAAAUCUCCUCAUAUAAUGAAUAAUAUCAAAAUAAUGCAUUAAUUCACAUGUUUACUUACCUUGGUGCAAAAUAUUGUAAUUUUGCAAUUUACUCCACAAUUUUCUCUUUUCCCCGAUUGAGGUUGUCUCCUCGUCUUUCUUGAUCUAUAAUAGCAAUUUUAGCUUAUUUAAUAUUCACAUUUAUUAAAACAAUCCUCGACUCACAUUUAUUAAACUUGCUAUUUAAUAUUCACAUUUAUUAAAACAAUCCUCGACUCAACUUUUUACAAAAUUAUGAUUUUGCCCCCAAACUUUUGCAUAUUUACACUUUUGUCCCCAAGCUCGAAAAUUAAAUUCCACUCCUUAUUCUUAUGUUUUACAACAUGCUGAAUACUUUUCCCUUCUAUGGCAACAUCAAAUUCUCACUCUAACAUACACUCAUGAACAUUAAAUAUUUUUACCGAUUAUGUCAAUUUACCCGUUUCUACUUAAAAUUGCUUAGUAAAAGUUGUUUAACAUAAUUCUAGCUCCAUAUUCUACCAUAAAACAGUAAAAUAAACACAUUUCACCUAUGACUAUUUUUCCAAAUAUGAACCCUAGGUUAAAUUAUGUGUUUUGUUCUUCCAAAUGUGUUUUGUUACGAAAUUGAAAACCAAAAUUUAUGUAAAUUUGUCAUGAUUCCUCAAUAGAAAAAUCUGUAAAUUAUCAAAACGUAAAUGUGAACAUAUUAAUUAUUAACUUAAAAAAAACCUAGUCUUGUACAAUCAAAAUUCAAAAAUCAUUUGCCUUGUAAAACUUGUAAUUUUCAUUAAAAUUUUUGCAGCGAAAACUUUUUAUUUAGCCUAUUGAGCAUAUUUUUAAAUUUACGUUUUUAACUUUCGUAAAAUCCCAAUUUGUAUUUUUGUGGUGGAAAAUUUUAUAAUUUUGAAAACCUAGCCUUGAUUGUUGGUUAACACAAAUCAUGCAGAAAAAAAAAACCUUUAACUAAGCCAAAGAAAUCCAAAGCCAAAUUAAAUCGGAGAAAUUCAACCAAAAGCCAAAAGUCCAGUAAAUCAAUUUAUUAACCAGAGCAAACAUUUAAUGAAAGAAUCAAUCCGAGACCCCGCAAAUUCUAACUUUCCGAUUACCUGAAACAUCAUAAAUAAAAUAAAGGGGAGAGCUAUAAAGCUCAGUGCAUAACUAAAACAGAAGCUGAGAUCACAUACAAUACAAUAUACAAAUCAUAAAAUCAUAGAAAAUUUCAUAACAAACAGUCAAACAGAAUUGAGUAUACAUGAUUAUGCCAAUGCGGUAUUUUUCAGAAAAUCUUAAUGCAAAUUUUUCAGAAAACGUCCUACCCAAAUCCUCUACACACUUGAAUAGAGUUCUCCAGAACUUAUCCAUAAAAAAAACACACCAAUUAAGUCAUCCCAGGUUGCCCAAAAACGAUGACUCACCACCAUGGGAUGCCCGACAACGAUGGCUUAUCAAUAUGUAAUUAAACUGUUAGAUCAGAUAUUUGUGGUCAAGCCAUUGAAUUGCAUCUCAGCUACUUAAACAAAAAUAUGUAGUGAAGCCACUAUAUUGUAUCCAAGUUGCCAAAUAAAAAUAUGUGGAUAAACCACCAGAUAGUGCAGACCAUUAAACUACCAAAACUUCCUCCCUGCCAUAUUAUCCCAACCCCAUGCAAUGUGACAUGACAUGCAUUUACAUAAUCAAAACGACAAGCAUGUAAGACAUGUAGUCGUACCAUAACACAAUUUAGCAAGCAUGGCAUUCCACUCUUUUACAGAACAGAUGUAUCAGAAAUUCAACAUAAGCAAGUUGGUAUGCUAUAAAGUCACAUGCAUGAUCACAUAGCAGAAUCAGAAACAUAAAAAUAACGUAACCAAACCUCAUAUACACAAAUACAAACAUAACAAUACAAAUCAUGCUACCAGAUUCAUUAGAAAACAGUUCAUGCACACUAAUUUCACAUACCUUAUUCAUAUCACCUACAAUAUCAAAUUAUCAGAUAUUACAUUUUCAAAGUCAAUUUUACACAGUACGAACCCUACAAAGUGGCUAAACAUGAUUCACGAAUCAAAAGGGGCCUAAACGAAAAUUUUUAAAAGAUGGGCCAAUAUGGCCCAAUUAGCCUAGGCCGUAUGGCGUCGACAGUCCAAUUUUUGACUUUCAGCUGUUCAUUAUUUUUUGACUUUUUUGAUAUACACCUUACUAUUUUCCGAAGCAAAAUCAUGGCAAGAAUUCCAAAACUUAAAAUCCAUAUUCAACCCACUCAAAUUAGUAAUGAAACCCAAAACUAAAUCAUUAAACAACCAAAACUGCUACCAAUAAACCUUAUCAAACCAGGAAUCAACCUUUUGGCAUCUGACUACUAACCCAAAAUAGUAGCAGUAGUACUAAAAAUCUCUCAAUUCAUCGGAAGACUAUUUGUUACAGAAACGUCACCUAAACCAAAGAUUUCAGAGUAAUCAAAAUCGCGUCACACAAAGAAGGAAACAAAUUAACCCUAAAAUCGUGAAACUCAACAAAAUACGAAUCUUUUCACAUAUUCCUUACCACCAACCGUCAAGAUUGGUCAAAAACCACUAAUGACACCGACCAUCGCAAGGUUAAAUUGAAACCAAAAGGCAACUAAAGAUGGAACAAAGGUUGUUAUAAAAAAAAUUAACAAAGACUUAUUGCAGCAAAAAUGGCAAAAAAUCAAGAAUAGGGAGAUUGGAAAAAAAUAAUGAAACGGCAAAGAGAAGGAGUGGGAAAGUGACGGCAGUUUGUGGAGAGAUUUUGGGUAAAUAAAAAGUAACUCACCACUCAACCCAUUAAAUCUGAUUACCCUCUAGACAGAUUCCCUUAGAGUUUAAAUUCAACCCAAAUACCGCUACAUGGGCGGCAUAGUGUAAGGAAAUAAAAAUAUUUCUACUUUGCACACACGCGGUCUUGAACACGAAGCCUUAGGGUAAUUUGAAGCCUUACCACUAAAUUAGUAGGCUCAUCCUUGAAAUUAAUUGAACGAAAAUAUUAUUUAUGUCAGAUGAUCAGGGAUAGAGGUUAAGACCAAAGAUGACAAAAAUUCAAAGGAAAGAUUUAAACCUAGAACCUCACACACACAAGCAUAACACCUAUCCACUGAACCAUAUUUACUCCACUGACAUAAUUUUCACAAUAUUAACUAAAAAUUCAGAAUAUGGUCACUCUUGGUUUCACUUACCUAAUUUCUUCUAACCUGAUUUUUGUGAUGUGACAACUCUCCCAUCCUUAAAAGAAUUUCAUCCUCGAAAUUCCUAUUAUGACACCAUACACUUAACUACAAAAUCUAAAAUUCCCUAGUCCAAACCAACCACCAGGCUAUCAUUGUACAACUCUAAUCUCCAUUCAAGUCUGAUCCAGACAAUAUUUCAGAGGAAUUUCCUAUUCACUACCUCGAAUUACCUCAAUAAGCUUUCCACAGAAACAUCACUAAUGAUCCUUUACCCCAGACUCUAAAAAAAUCACUUACCACAAAAUACAGGUACAAACAAUUCUUAUCAAUGCAUAGUACAUUUGGAACAUAUCAUAAAAGUACCUGUAUCAUUGUCAAAUGCAUCACGGCUCGCUUGAUACCUAGUUGCAUAUCCCCAUCUCAAAUUUUGUUUUUAUGUCGAAGCUUGUACCCGUAAAAUAGUGUCAUGAGCAAUCCCAAACUCGAUGCUCAACUGACCUACAUCUAAAACACGCUCUCAUUUUCCUCCAACAAUCGUCCGAAUGGUGCCUAUCACAGUAAGUAUAAAUCAGAAGCUCAACCGCAUUCACAAUUGCCUCACCCCGCUGAAGCCUGUCUAUUUUAGCCCGUUUCCUUGGUCAUGGAUUCAAGUCAAUAGAACCAUCACUCAUCUUAUUUUGCACUUUAUUCAUUACUUAUUCUCUCCCUUGGAGCAAUUACUCUCUACCGCUAACUUGACUUGAUACGCUUGAGGUCACUCAAUCACAGACUCUUGUCUCAUACAUCCAAAUUGGGUUCCAUCGAUCCUUUGCAAAUCUCUAAACACCUCUUGGAACACUGAAACGUCCCCUACUUCUAAACUGCCCUCAGAUUUGGGCGUCAUAGCAAACUUAUUUAUUUUCAAAUUGGGCUUACUGCCCCGAGAAGAGAACUCAACUCGAGUCACCCAGCUACGUCCACCACGCCCUCGCACAUCAUGACCUCGAGUACUCAUUAUACUAAUCUACAGUUUGCGAAAUUUUAUGAAUUAGCUUAGGUUUAUUAAAAAUUAUAAGUCUAGAGUUUUAUCAAAGUUUCUUACAUAAUUACCAUAGUCUUUAGCUAGAGUAGAGUAAUCCUAGCACUUAAGUUUUGUUAGUUUGUCUAGUAUAGCUAAAGUAAAGAUACUUACAGGAUCGACGAUGUAGUUUUGGAUUCUUUUUGAUAGAAUCAAAUAUAAAAAUAAUCAAAAUCUAAAUACCCAUUUUAGAAACCCAAAGUAUAAUAAUUAAUCAAAAAUUCAAUUUAUUUAAAGCAUAUUUAAUGGAGAUUUUCAAACCCAGAAAUCAUAGCCUGAGUUUUGUUACCUUGCUCUGAUACCACUAAAUGUAACACCCAAAACUUGGCUUAGACAUUAUGGCCAAAUCUGGAAGGUUACAUUAGUACGAAAAAAAUGAUUUUUCCAAAGUGUGGUUUGUUACGAAAUUGAAAACCAAAGUUUAUGUAAGUUUGUCAUGAUUCCCCGAUAGGAAAAUUUGUAAAUUAUCAAAACGUAAAUGUGAACAUAUUAAUUAUUAACUUAAAAAAAACCUAGCCUUAUACAAUCAAAAUGCUAAAAUCAUUUGCUUUAUAAAACUUGUAAUUUUGACUAAAAUUUUUGCAACGAAAAUUCCAAACUAAUAUUCGUAAAUUGUAAUUUUGUCAAGUAAAAACGUUUUAUUUAGCCGAUUAGGCAUAUUUUAAAUUUACGUUAUUAAAUUUUGUAAAAUCUCAAUUCGUAUUUUUGUGGCAAAAAAAUCUUGGCUCGUAUAAUUUUGAAAACCCAACAUUGAUUGUUCAGUAACACAAAACAUACAGAACAAAAGACUUUAACUAAGCCAAAGAAACCCAAAGAAAAAUUAAAUUUGAGAAAUUAAACCAAAAUCCAAAAGUCCAAUAAAUCCAUUUAUUAACCAGAGUAAACCAUUUAAUUAGAGAAUCAAUUCGAGCUUCCACACACUGCCCGAUUCUAAGUUAUCGAUUAUUUGAAACAUCAAAAAUAAAACAAAUGGGUGAGCUAUAAAGCUUGGUGCAUAACUAAAACUCAAGCCGAGAUCACACACAAUACAAUAUACAAAUCAUAAAAUCAUAGGAAAUUUCAUAACAAUCAGUCAAACAAAAUUGAGCAUACAUGAUUAUGCCAAUGCGGUAGUUUUCAGAAAAUCAUAAUGCAAAUUUUUUCAGAAAACAUCCUACCCAACACCACCACACACCCAAAUAUAGUUUCCCAAAACUCGUCCAUCUAAAAACACACCAAUUAAGUCAUCUCAGGUCGCCCGAAAGCGAUAACCUACAACCUCGAGUUAGUCGGCAAUGAUGACUUAUCAAUUUGCAGUUAAACUACUAGAUCAGAUAUUUGUGGUCAAGCGAUUGUACUGCAACUCAGCUGCCAGAUUAAAUGUUCCUAGUGUAGUCCCUAACAUUAUCAGGUGUUCUCGGCUCAGUCCUUUGGACAUUAAAAAAAAUAGAUUUGGAUAUGCAAUUAAUCAUAAAUUGCCAGGUGGUAUAUGUUAAAGUUACGAUAACAUCAUCAUCAAGAAAAAAACCAAAAAAAUCUUUAAAAAAUUUCAUAAAAUUCAAAUAAACUUAUAUAAAAUUAACUACAUUAUAAAUAUAUAAUUGUUAAAAAAUAAAAAUUCUUAAUUAUUUUAAAAUUUGUAAAAAAUAAUAAAAUUAUUAGAAAUUGUUAAAUAUUGUAGAAACAUUAUAAAAAUUAUUAGAAUCAUAAAAGACGGUAAAAAAUAAAAAGUUAAAAUACUAGUAAAAAUUGUCUAACUUGAAAUAAAGUAUACAUUUGGUAAUCAAAUUUAAAAUAUUGAAAAUUUAAUAUUAAAGUUGUAUAAUUUUUAUAAAAAAUAUUUUAAAAUAUUUUAAUAAAAAUUGAAUAAAUUUUAUAUCUAUUUUUUAAUAUUUUAAAAUACAUCAAUUUUCAGUACUUUACCAACGUUACUGGCAACAAGUUUUUUCGACUUGACUCCCUAUUUAUUGUCUUAAGUAGCUUCCUGCAUCCACCAUUUUGCACAUGGUUUUUCUAUUUUAUACCAAAGCUCUUUAGAAUAGUUAAACAUUCGACAAUAGUUCUUAAGAUAUUAGUUUAGAGACAAAUAAUUAUCUUGAGAUAGUAAAAAAAAAAGAAAUAAUUAAAUAUAUUAUUUACUUGAAAUAAUAUUAUUUUUCAUUAUUUAAAUUAUUUGAGAAAAAAACUUAUUCAAGUUUAUCACGUAAAAAGAUCUACCAAUUAUAAAUUUUGAUUAGUUGAACCAUAAGACAAUUGUUAUAGGUAGUAUCAUUCCAAGAGACAAUUAUCACAUGUUCAAACUCUAGUUAAUGUGAUUUAUAAAAUUUUAAAAAUAUUAAAAUAUCUAAUAUAUUUUUGAAAUUUAUGUAAAUUUUUAUAUUUUACACAGUUUUUUUUUCUAUUUUUAAAUAAUUUUGAUAAUUUUUCUUUUAUAAUUUUUGUCAUUUUUGAAGAUUCUUUAAGGGUUUUUGUUGAUGAUUUCAUUAUGAUAUCAUCAUACGACAUGUGGUAGUAUAUGAUUUGUUGAAUAUUCCAAAGAAUUUUUUAUUGACCAAUGAACUAAACUAAAAAUUUUUAAUAACAUUAGGGACUGAAGUGGAUAAAAAUAUUUUAAAAACUAAAGUUAAAAAAGUGAUAUACUUGCAUUAACAUUUUCUAAAAGAUGGAAGUGUUUUUCUGUUUUAAGGGAAUAGAAUUUUUUUGAGUGAAUAUAGUUUUGUGAGGGAGUAGUGAUAUUAUUAUUAGAGACAAGGCAUUUGAUUUUUAUAUAACUUUUUAAUUAAGUCAAUAUCACUCAUCGAGUAAAACCCAACAUAUUAAGCACAUUAUUAUACUAAUUUAGAUUAAUAGGAAUCAUCAAAUUUACAAUUAAGGAUUAUAAAUUUAUUUAAUUCCAAUCUUCUACCUUUUCUAAAUUAUAAGAAUGGUUUUGCCUUAUAUUUUCUUCAAAUUGAGAUUUAAUUUAUAAUUUUAAUUUUGAUAUAAUUUAGUUUAUCAAUUUUUAUAAUGCAAUUAAUUAGUUAAUACUUUAUUUUAAUCAAAAUAAUUAUAUUAAUUUUAAAGAAUUAUUAUCACCGUUAAAAUUCUUUACUAACAAUGAUUUAAAAUUAAGUUCUAUUGCUUUUGUUUUAGAUUACACAUAAAUGUUUACAAUAUGAAAUUCUUUAUAAUUUUCAAUACAUAUUACUUAAAUAAAUAGAAAAUAGAGUUUUAAUAAUGCACAACCAAAUAAAUUUUAGGGUAAACGACCAAAAUAGUCACUUUUGUUUGCCUUAGGUUACAUUUUAGUCACUUAUGUUUGAAAUGUUACGUUUUAGUCACUUACGUUAUCGUGUUGUAACAUUUUAGUCACUGAGUCAUUAAUUGUCGACAAUGGUGUAAUGGUAAGUUGAUGUGGCACGUUAAAUCAUCAUUUCAAACGAAAUUUUUAGGUUAAAUUCUACAAUUGGUCCCUAUAUUUUUCAUUUUCAACAAUUUAAAAAAUUUCUUUUAUGUUCUUCUAACUUUUUUUUUUCCAUUCUCUUAUGCUUCUCCCUCUAUUUUCCUCCCUUCUUCAUUUCUUUUAACAUAGUUUUUCUAUGAUUUCCAUUUGUAACUAGUCCACAAGCUCGCCUCACUCGAAAAAAUUAAAUUGUUCAAAAAAUAAAACAUAGAAUAACUACGUUGAAAGAAAUGGAGAAGGGAGGAAAACAAAGGGAGAAACAUAAGAGAAUGGAAAAGAAAGAAAGUUAAAAAAACAUAAAAGAAAAAAUUAAAUUGCUCCAAACGAAAAAAUAUGGGGACCGAUUGUAUAAAUUAACCUAGAAUUUUUGUUUGAAAUGAUGAUUUAACGUGCCACAUCAGUUUACUGUUACACCGUUAAUAGAAACUAACGGCUCAGUGACUAAAAUGUUACAACGUGAUAACAUAAGUGACUAAAACGUAACAUUUCAAACAUAAGUGACUAAAAUGUAACCUGUGCCAAACAAAAGUGACUAUUUUGGUAGUUUACCCUAAAUUUUAUUGAUGUUCUAUUAUUUUGAUUUCUUAGACUUGUAUAUAGGGAAAAUAAAGGACUAUUGCCAUUUAAUUGCUUUAAAACAAUUUUAAUGAGCUCUAGUCAUGCAAGAUUACCAUUAAAUAGAAUACUCAUAUAGAAGGAUUUACUAUUUUUGUUUCUCAAAUCACAACUAAUAAUUGUUCAUAAUUUCUUAUUUAGUGUCAUUUUUAAGAUUUAUUAGAUGACAAUUUUUCAUGCCAAAGUUUUAUUUUUAUUUCAUUUAAAGUUUUACAAUAUUUAAAAAAUUAUAUAUUUUGUAAAUUUGACAUUUAAUCAAUUUUAGAUCUAAAAAGUAAUAAUGAUUUCAACCCAAGGCCUGAGCUAGGAAUAGUUUUAGUUUGGAGUACUAUAUAUAUAUAUAUAUACUAAAAGAUGCAAUUUUUAUAAAUAACUUACAAAUCUAUCAUUAAAUCAAAUACUGGUAUGAAAUGGUUUAAUUAUUUGAUCACAUUUUUCCAUGACAAAAUUUUAUUUUUAUAUGAUUUAAAAUUUUACAAUUUUUAUAUUGUGAAUUUGGUGUACUAAAAGAUGUAAUUUUACAGGUAAUUUUAAUACCCAUCACCAGUGCUGCAAAGCUUGAGAUUCUUUUAUUGUGGGGAAAUAAACUUAGUGGAAACAUUCCCAACUCUAUCUCCAAUGCUUCCAUGCUUAAGAAACUAGACUUGGCAGAUAACUUAUUCUCUGGCCCAAUCCCUAAAACUUUUGACAACUUAAGACACGUUGAAUGGUUCCAAAUUUCAAACAAUAAUUUGAUCAAAAGACCUGCUACUGAUCAUGAGUGGACCUUUCUUUCUUCUUUGGCAAAUUGCAAGCAUUUGAGAAUAAUAGAUGUUUCAAGAAAUCCAUUGAGUGACGUUCUUCCAACUUAUAUUGGGAACCUUUCAAAAUCCCUUCAAUACUUUUAUGCAUCUAAUUGUGAGAUUACAGACAAUAUUCCUAUGUAAAUAGGUAGCUUAAGCAACCUAUUACUUUUACAACUUGGCUAUAAUAAAUUAAGCUUUAUUCCAACACCGAUAGGAGGACUGCAAAAUUUGCAAGGUUUACAACUUUCCUCUAAUAAAUUAGAGGGGCCUAUAUCAGAAAGCCUUUGUGGUUUGGAGAGAUUAUACUACUUGUAUUUAAGGCUGAUUAGGUUGCAUGGAUCCAUACCCUCUUGUUUGGGUAAUAUUUCUUCUUUGAGAUAUCUUUACUUAGAUUCCAACACAUUGAGUUCUACAAUACCCUCAACUUUGUGGAAUCUUAAAGAUAUCUUAGAAAUAGAUUUAUCAUCAAACCAUCUUUACAAUUCACAUGCUAUAUUGAUGUUGGAGAUUUGAGGAGUCUACUAAAACUAAAUUUAUCAAGGAAUCUUCUCAUGGGCAAUAUCUUCUCCACAUUUAGGGGUCUUCAAAUUUUGAUUUCAUUAGAUUUAUUAAAUAAUAUACAACAUGGCCAUAUCCCUGGAUCAUUAGGUGGUUUGAUUAGUUUGGAAUUCUUGAAUUUAUGAAAUAACAAUCUCUCUCGAGCCAUUCCCAAAUCUUUGGAAAAGCUUUUAGAUCCAAAGUAUUUUAUUGCGUCUUUCAAUAGACUUGAAGGGGAAAUUCCCGCCAAAGGAUGUUUUUCAAACUUCUCUAGCACAUCAUUCAUGAAGAAUUUUGCACUUUGUGGUCCACCUAGAUUGCUAGUCCCACCUUGCAAAAACAAUAUCCAAGAAAACUCCCAAAUGAAUAUAUUGCAUGCUUUAAGGUAUGGUUUACCAACAGUUGGUAUUGUUGUAGUACUAAUAGUCUUAACUAUUGUAAUCACUGAAUUUUGUCCGGCUCGAUUUGGUUUUUUUUAAAAUUUUUUUUUAAAUACAAAAAAUAAAAAAUUGUAUUUUGACCCCUAAACUUUUUUUAAAAUUACAUUUUACCCCUAAACUUUCUCAAAAUUACAUUUUGACCUCUAAACUUUCUCAAAAUUAUGUUUCGACCCUAAUACUUUUCCUGCAUUUGCAGUUUAGUCCUUCUGGCAGCAACUUGCACACCUACCCCCGUGAUUUCCGGCCACUGGCCUAGGGCAUGGCCUCCCUCUCCCCUAGCCACCUAAUCCCUGCAAAAAGGAAGAAAAAACAGCUAUAAAAUGGGUUAAAAAACCCCAAAAAUCGGACCCCCCACGAAAAAAUAAAAAAAAAACUUGCAAAAAAGAGAAAAAGAAGAGGAAAAAGGAGAGAAAGAGAGGAGAAAGGAGAAGAAGAGGCCGGCCAUCGGCGAACCACUGGCAGCAGCACGAGCAGCGACGUCGACGGCGGCGAAGGAGACCGAACGGAGAAGAAGAAGGAGAAAAGAGAAGAAAAAGAGAAAGAAGAAAGGAAAAAGAAGAAGGAAGAAAAAGAAAAAAAGAAAAAAUAUUUUUUUUAACAGUCGGGUCAAACCGACCCGACCCAACUCUGACCCGAACACCGCGACCCGACCCGGCACCUGCAUACCCAGGCCAAGCCCAGCAGCCUAAAGAAAAAACAAAAAAAGAGGCAAAAGCAAAAAAAGAAAGAAAGAAAAGGAAACAGGCCAAAAACAGCCCAAGCGCAGGCCCAAACCAACGCCAGGCCCAACAGCAGGCCUAGCAGGCCAACCAACCCAACGCUAGGCCCAACAGCAGGCCUAGCAGGCCAGCCAGCCCAACGCCAGCAGCAGGCCCAAUAGCACAGGCCCAAAAGGCAGCAGGCCAAAAAAAAAGAAGAGAAAGAGAAAAAAAAAGAAAAAAGAAAAAAAGAGAAAUAAAAGAAAAAAAGAAAAAAAAAAGAAGAAAAAAGGGGUUUCAAUUUGAACAACCCGUUCGGCGAAGCUCGUGUUUUAGAUUUUUCGGUAAUUUUAUUUAUUUCUCUUUUAAUUUAAUGCUCGUAUUUUUAUGUUAUUUCAUUUUAAUAUUAUUAGCAUUUUAUGCAUUUUUUAUAUUUUUAUAUUUUUGUAUUUAUAUUUUCAAUUUAAUUCAAUUUUAAUUUUAUUUUAUUUUAAAUAAUUUUAAUAAAUAAGGCAACGGAUCGAUUUAUCAUAAAAUUGUUGAUUUCAUCGCUAUGUUGGGUGAAUAUCACCGGUUUGUGUUAAACUCGAUACGCUCUUUUAAAAAUAAAAAAUAUUCAAAAAAAUUGUAUUUUCAAAAAAAAAUCCUCGGGUUUCGAAAUUUGCGUGUCUUCAAAAUAAUUUCUCGUGUUUUCAAAAAUAAGGUAACGAAUCUAUUUGACACUAAUUCGUUGAUUUCAUUGCUAUGUUGAGUGAAUAUCACUGACUAGUGUUAAAUAUGAUACGUGCUUAAUAAAAAAAUCAGAAAAUUUUUCGUGUUUUCAAAAAUUUCCGUGUUUCAAAAAUUUUCAUGUUUUCAAAAAUUCUCGUGUUUUCAAAAAAAUUCCAAUUUUCAAAAUUUUUCGUGUUUUCUAAAAACUUCUGUGUUUCAAAAAUUUUCGUAUUUUAAAAAUUUUUGUGUUUCUAAAAUUUUCGUAUUUCAAAAAUUUUCUUGUUUUCAAAUUUUUCGUAUUUCAAAUAUCCUCGUGUUUUCAAAAAAUUUCGGUGUUUUGAAAAUUUUCUUGUUUUUCAAAAAAAUCUCGUGUUUCAUAAAUUUUUGUUUUUUUUUAAAUUGUGUUUCCAAAAUUCUCGUGUCUAAAAAAAAUUCUCGUGUUUUAAUCGGAUCAGGAUUAAAUAUUAAAUUGAACUCGUAUUUUUGAAAGUGAAGACAACUCGCAUUUAACGAGAUACCAAUUUCGGGCGUCGCGAGGGUGCUAAUACCUUCCUCGCGCGUAACCGACUCCCGAACUCUAAUUUUCUCUGGAUUUUCACGUAGACCAAAAAUUACCUCUUUUUUAGAAAAAUUUAAAAAAUAAAUUUUCCUUCUAAAAAGAGAAUUUAUUAGGUGUCCAAUCACACCUAGGAAAAAAAAGAUCGGUGGCGACUCCUUUUUCAAAUAAAAUCGAAACACCGUUUUCAAAUUUUCAACAAUCAUUUCGAUUAGCGCCCGUGCACGAAAUUUUUAGGUCGCUACAACUAUUAUGUAUAGAAGAUGCCAAAGUAGGAGUACAACUCUACCAAUUCAGGAUGAUUUGUUUUCUUUGAAAACGCUGAGUGGAAUUUCACAUGCUGAACUUUCACAAGCAACUAAUGGAUUUGAGGAAAACAAUAUGCUUGGUUCAAGGAGUUUUGGAUAUGUAUAUAAAGAAAGGCUUUCAGAUGGAAUGGAAGUUGCAAUAAAAGUUUUCAAUUUGCAAACAGAAGAAGCAUUUGGGAGCUUUGACAUUGAAUGUGAUGCUAUGCGAAAUAUAGAUCAUCAUAAUAUUGUGAAGGUCACUACUUACUGCUCAAGUGUUGACUUCAAAGCCUUGGUGCUUGAUACAUGUCUAAUGGAACUACAGAGAAAUGGUUAUAUUAUUAAAACUAUUUCCUUGAUAUCAUACAAAGGGUUGACAUAAUGAUAGAUGUUGCAUCAGCUAUAGAACAUCUCCACAACGGGCAUCCAACACCUAUAAUUCAUUGUGACUUAAAACCAAGCAAUAUUUUACUAGAUGAAGACAUAGUUGCACAUGUGGGAGAUUUUGGCGUUGCCAAAUUGUUGGGAGAAUGUGAUGUAAUGAAGCAGACCAUGACUCUUGCAACAAUCGGGUAUAUGGCACCAGGUGAAUUUUUUAUUUUUGUAUUAUUAUUUGUCUAAUAUGCAUUUUAUAUUUUGUUUCAUCUGUAUGUGGAUAUAUAUUUGAAUAAUCAUUUUAGAAAUAAUUAAAGAUUAAUGAUGCUCUAAUUUUACUUGAAAUGCAAAAUUUGGAUCAACGGGAAUUGUUUCUAUAAAAUGUGACAUCUAUAGUUAUGAGAUUGUCCUUAUACAAACUUUCACAAAGAAAAAGUCAACUGAUAAUUUUUUUGCUGAAUAAGUGACUAUAAAGCAUUGGAUGGGAAGUUCAUUGCCAAAGGAGCAUGAAAAUCCCCAAAACCUAAAUUCUUUCCUUCUAGCAAUGAAGAGAUGGUGAGGGGAAGGGGAAAAAAUCACGUUAAAUGAAAAGAAAAAGAAAAAGAACAAAAUUAAAUUUGACGUGAAAAUUAUUUUAAUACUUUUAAUUUGAGUUGGAAAGGUUGAUGAUGUAGCAUAAAAUAAUUGGAUAGGACCAUAUUUGAGGUAGUGGGUGUAACACCCCUUACCUGAGACCGUCGCCGGAAUCGAGUACGAGAUGUUAUCCAAUUUAACUUACCAAUUUGGAGCAUAAAAAUUUGCUUUGUAAAUUACUUUCACAAUUUACAGCAAAGCUGUCCACCUGCGCGACUGUCACUAAUUUAAUUAUAACUCGAGUUACGAAACUCGAAAUUUAAAUCCGUAAAUUUUCCAUGAAACUAGACUCAUAUUUCUACGUACCAUAAAAUUUUUAGAAUUUUUGACUUAUCCAAUUAGUACAGUUUAUUCAUUAAAGUAUCCCCUGUUUCACAACUUGACAGAUCUGACCUCUUGGCACUAAAAAUCAAUUAUCUCACUGUACAAAAUUCAUAUAAGGUUAUCAUUUAUUUCUCUUGAAAAUAGACUCACUAAGGAAUCUAGAAAUAUAAAUUAUGACCCAUAAUUCUUUCUGUACAAUUUAUAAUGAUUUUCUAAAGUCAGAACAGGGGACUUUAAAAACCAUUCUGACCCUGUCUCACUAAAAUUCAAAUAUCUCAAAAUAUACAAUUCCUUUGCCUACACCGUUUCUUUCAUAUAAAAAUAGACUUGAUAAGCUUUAAUUCCAUCUAUAAUUCACUCUCUAAUUCCAUUUAUACUAUUUAUGGUGAUUUUUCACAUUCACGUCACUGCUGCUGUCAAAAAAACUGCUUCUUUAUAUUAGUUCCAUUUACACAUACAUACCACCAAAACAUAAUCUCUACUAACCACUUCAAUAGCUAAUCUUAGCCAUAUCAUAUGAACAUACUCAAAAUGAUUAAGACUCUAUACAUGCCAUAGUUUAAACAUUUUGGAAAGCACACAAUACCGAGAUGAUUAUGAUAGUGUGAUACGAGCUCCGACGAUCCCCAAUUCGAUCAAGUUCAAAUCACUAUAAAACAAAGGAAAUAAGAAAAUGUGUAAGCUACAAUUAGCUUAGUAAGUUACAUGUAAAUAAUAGAUACUCAUUUAAUAAUUAACACUUUUAACUUAUAACUAAUCAAAACAUUUCUUGGCAAUUUCAAUCACUUACACAUGCACAAUCUUACCAUUUCACUUACAUAUACAUUUUCACACUUAACCUUUACCACUUUUGAUCAUUAUUUCAAUUGUACCUGCAUACACACUUCAUUUCAUAUUCACUUUAACACAUUAUUAAUCCCGUUGAACACUUGGAAUAUACACGGAUACAUAGAGAUUUAGCACAUAAGUGCCACACUGAUAUGUAGCCGAAGCUACCACUGAUAUGUAACCGAAGUUACCACUGAAUGUAGCCGAAGCUACCACUGGGAUGUAACCGAAGCUACCACUGAUCAAUAACACUGGAAAUGUCCACGGGCCUGCUCACACAAGCUGUCAGGUGUCUGCAACACAUGCUAGAUCACCCAGCACCCGGGACUCACUGUAACACUGUAACACUGGUCUCUAGUGACAUGUCACUUGUAUCCAUUUCUAUUCCUAAGUUCAACUGGGAAUUUACACUUAACACUUUAUUUUCAACACUUUAUCACUUGAAUAAUUCAUGAAUAUUUUUCCUUCCACAUUCAAUAUUGAUUCACAUAUCAAUAAAAUUCACAAUUUAUAAAAAUGUAUUACUAUUAUUUACACAUAACUUACCUCGGAUGCAAAACGACUAUUUCUGUAAUUUAGUCGAUAACUUUCUCUUUUCCCCGAUCACUUGCACUAUUUCUUCUUUCUUGAUCUAUAUUAACACAAUUUAAUACAUUUUAUCAACAUUUCAUUCAAAUACAAUUCAUACACAACAUUUUGGCAAAUUUACAUUUUUCCCCAAAACUUUUCAAAAAUUUCACUUUUGUCCCUAAGCUCGUAAAAAUAAAAUUCACUAAAUUCUUAAAUUUCAAACUUCACUAAAUCAUAUUUCAUGCUCAUAACAGCCCUCAAUUUCACAAAAUCACAACUUUAUGCACACUUUACCAUCUUUCACAAUUUAGCCCUUUUUCAACAUUUUCAUUGAAAUUCAUCUAGUAAAACUUGAAAUUAACACUUCAAACAUUCAUUAUCUAACAUCACUAAUCACUUUACAAUUAUAUCAUGAAUGGGUCAAUUUUUAAACUUUAAUUUCACUUAAAUUAAAUGGUAGAAACAUGAAAUUCAAGCAUCAAUAAGCAUAAAAAUACGAAAAUAAUUAAAAACGGGGCAAGAAAUCACUUACAAUUGAGCUUAGAAAAAUCAAAACCCUUAGCUAUGGUAACAUGAAACUUUCGGCAGCAAGCUUCUGAUUUUUGAAGAAGAUGACACUUAUUUUCUCUUAUUUUGUCUUUUUGGACAAAAAUGCCCUUGACCCAUUACUUAGAUAUUUUUCUAGAAUUACCCUUUUGUGUCCAUAUCACUAAUUUAUGGUCUAAUUGCCACAUAAACACUUCCAAUUUCAUGCAAUAAUUCAAUUAAGUCAUUUAAUCACUAAUUAGACACACUUUGCAAUUUUCUCGAUUUAGUCCUAAAAAUUCAAUUAGGCACUAAAUCAUUAAAAUUUCCUAUCCAUAUUUUCACACAAUAUUUCAAUCAAUCAAUAACUAAUAAAAAUUUAUAAAAUUAAAAUAUUUCACUUCGGAUUUGUGGUUACGAAACCACUAUUCCAAUUAGGCCCUAUUUCGGGCUAUCACAGUGGGAAAGGUCCAUGAAAUAAUUUUUCUAUGUUAUCAAAUAGAUGAAUGAUGGUUAUUGGGAUCAAACUAAUGAUUUUGAGGAUGUUAAUGGUUAAUUUGGUGGAGAGGGUGGAAAAGAAACAAAUAAUUCAUUAUAUGUCAUAUAAUUAUGCAAUUCAAGUUGUAAUACCCAAAUUUUACCCGGCCUACAAAAACAGUCCAAAUUACAAUGGGCUUAUGUGGCCCAAAACCUGAAAUGAACAGAGGCCCAAAACAAUGGCCCAAAACAAUGUCAGAAACUCCUAGGGUUUCUAAGGAAACUUUCCCGCCGCAGCCACCAAGCACCACGAGCCGAAAUCUUCACCUGCGCAGAAACAACGGAAAUGGCAAGAAAAUCAAAGAUUGCGAAUCAAAUAUGAGCAAGAUUUGAUUCUUUAUAUUAUUAUUUUCAUUAUGGCUAUAAAAUAGCCAUUGAUAUGCUGUAAAAAAGGAGGGGAAGACCAAAAGAAAUACAAAGACCAAUAGGAAAUUUUCUUUUUUUUGAAAUACAAAGGUUUUCUUUUCUGUUUUACCUCAUUGUCGAUUAUUGUUCUUUUAUUUUUUCAUUUAUACAUAUACAUAUUUGAUUUUUUAUAGUUUCUCUAUUUUUUUUAUUUAUUUUUGCUUAAAAUAUAAAGAAAAGAGGAGGGAUUUUACCUUUUUUUCGUCGAAGUUGUCGAACGGUGGCCAUCUCCGUCGCGAUCGGAGUGUUGGCACAGGCGAACAGCGGCGCAAAAGGGGUUAAGAAAAAACCCUAGCAGAGCAUUUGUGUUUUUUUUGUUUUUUUUUAUGUGGGUUAUUGAUUUUUAUUUUUUUAAAGAAUUUUCGUUUAAAUAACAUUAGCAAAACGACGCCGUUUUAGGGGAGCAGGAUCCGCGCGUUGACCCGACCUGCAGGCAGGGUGCACGUUCUGGCCUUGAAUGGGGUAUUUGUGCAUUUAGUCCCUCCUCUUUGCGACGCACUUCAAUAAAACCCAUUUUUCUUUUUCUUUUUUUAAAUUUAGCGGCAUAUUUCAUUUUUGUUUCAAUCGAGUCCGUCACUGCGCAGCGUUUUGGAAGUCGGAAUUAAUUUCCCUUUUGGUCCUCUAUUGUUGCUUGCGCAUUCAAGUUGGUCCCUUCUUUAUAUUUAUUGCUAAUUUGCCCCAUUUUUUCGCUUUUAGUUCAGUUUAGUCCAUUUUUUUAGCUAUUUCAUUAUUUAGUUAUUUUUUUAUUUAUUAUUAUUAUUAUUAUUAUUAUUAUUAUUAUUUCUAAAUUUAUACACGCAUUUUUUUAUGGUAUAUAUAUAUAUGCAUUUUUUUUGUAUAAUAUAUAUUUUUUAACUUUUAUAAAUACAUGCAUAUACUUCAUACAUAUUUGUUUAUUAUUAUUUUGAUUUCAAAACUUUUAUAUACUUUAAAUUUUAUAUACAUACAUAUACAUUUUAUAACACAUAUACAUUUUCCACGUUUUAUAAUUUAAAAUACACAUACAUUUUCUAUAAUAUAUUUAUGUAUACGUUUUUAUUCUUUAUAUUUUUUUUGGUUUAUUUCCUUCGUCUAUUCAUUGAUUUAGGUUUUCAUUUACAUUUUAAAAGAAUGUCCUUUUUUUAUAUUGCUUAUUCAUUUUAUAUUUUUGCAUUGUCAUUGUUUAUUUUUUUAUUUUAUAUUAAUUUCGUUUAUUUACUAUUUAUAUUAUUUCUAUACAAUUGUCGUAUUUAUUAUUGCAACAUUUAUACAUACAUUCCAUAUAACAUUACAUCAUCUUUUACUCGAAUUUAAAAAUAGAAAAUUUUCAAAAUAGAGAUAAUACUCGUAUUUAGGAUUUUCAAGAAAAUUGAGCCCUAACGUAUUGGGUUCCGAUUUUCUUCGUUAAAUCUAACAAUCGAGAAUUGCUCUUUGAUAAAAAAUAAAAUAAAAACUUGUCAUCGGGAAUUCAAUAUGUUGUGUCCUAACAUAUUGGAUGUGAUGCGUUGAUUUCUCGAGAUAAAGAUUUUCUAAACAAUAAAAGAAAUAUUCAAUGUUUGGGAUUUUAAGAAAUUGUGCCUUAACGUAUUGGGCUGUGAUUUCUUCAUAAAUUUUAAACAAUUAAAUAUUUUCUUAAAUUUUAUUACACGAGUUUUUUGGACCAGCUCAUCUUAAAAAGAAUAAAAUAUUGUGCCCUAACGCAUUGGGUGUGAUAUUUUCUUUUUUCAAAAUGAGAAAGUCUUAACAAAAAAUUUAAUUUAACUAAGGAUCGUAUUUAUUAACUCUCGACAUUAAGACACUGAUUAAUCAACUCGGUACCAAUUUUUGGGUGUUACGAGGGUGCUAAUCCUUCCUUGCACGUAAUUUACUCCUAAACCCGUUUUUUAAAACUCGUAGGCCAAAGUCGUUUUUUGGUGAUCCAAUCACACCUUAAUAAAAGAUUGGUGACGACUCCAAUUUUCAUCGACAACUAAUUUUUGUUUUUUUUCAAAAUAAAAAUGGUUUCGACAGCUUGGCGACUCCGCUGGGGACACAUACGAGAGUCGAGCCACAAAGUUGAUUAAUUUCUGUCUUAUUGGCGAGAAAAUAAAUUUUUUUAAAAAAAUCAUGAAAUCAUUGUGCAUUCAUUCAUUUUCUUGCUUAAUUGAUCUUUGCAUUAUACAUUACAUGAGUUGAAUGAUUUUACCCUUCUAAGUGGGAGUGAGAAACUAUUCCUUCGUGAGGUUUUCACCUCCGUAUAGGAUAGUGGAUCGCUUUCGGGAUACAUCUGUACCUAUGCCUUCUUGAGAUUUUCAUCUUCGUAUAGUCAUAGGGAAAAUGUAUUCCCCUGAACCGAACUUGAUCUAUAUGAGCCUAUAAUGGGUGAAGAUUGAGGAAUCUGCUGGUUUGGGUACCUUUGCCCUAGAAGUCAAACCACAUAUAGUGAACCUUAGGAACUUGCCCUAGGUAGGGAUAUGCCAAACCCCUAGUGGUCACCCGAAUAGGUUUUCUAUUUAUUCUUGCUUUAGCUUUGUACCAACCUGUUUUCUUUUUGGUUGUGAUUGCAUUGCAUUUUCAUCAUAAAAAAAGAGAGAGGUGUUGAUUCACAUUCAGUUGCUAAAUAGAUAGCUUGUCAUAAGAAAAUGAGUUUCUUGAUAAAAUGGAUGAUAAUAUGGUUGUCCGAAUAUGGUCCAAGAAAUGUGAUAAGAGAAGGAUGAUAGUUUAAUGGAGGACUACACGACUAUGGCUCCAUUGCCCAAGGAUUCAAGAUAACAAAGAUUAUUCGAGAGCCGCUAAACUUUCUUAAAGAGAAACCAACAAGCAUCACAAGGAUGAGUGAGCAACAAAUUGCGGCCUGGAUCAAGCAAAAAGGAGAUAGAAGAGACUUCCUUUUUGAAAAGUUCGUGAGAUUUAUCUUAACGCUUGAAUGAAGAAGAGGAUCGAAUGUCUUCGCCUAUGAGGGCAAGGCUGUAUAAAUAUUCAUUUUAUGUAAAGAGAUUUGUUUUCUAGUAAAGUUCUCUAAAUGGAAUUGAAUCAGAAUCAACGUCCCUUUAUGCAUUCAUUUCCUGCAUUCGCAUUACAUGAUAUCAUAGCAUUAAAAUCCACUAAAAGAUUCUAAUUAAUAUAAAUCAUUCCUCAGUUAAUCUGGAAACCAACCAACCCAUCACACACCACUACGGUACUCGAUCAAAAACUAAAGACAUGGACCAAAGGAUGGAAAGGUUAGAACAGUUCCAAAAAGAAAUGCAGUAUCAACUUCAAUAACAAAUGAAUGAACAACUUGAGAAAAUUCAGCAAAAAAUGAUGGACAAAAUGAUGGAAUCUCAAGAGAGUAUGAUGGCUCAAUUAACUCAGUUGUUGACCAGAGGAACUAAUAAAGGAAAAGGCUCUGUGCUCAAUAUGGAAGAAGGAGACAGUGAGGGACUUCUUUAUCCUCCAGGCUUGACCCCUCAGCAUGGGCAGACCCAAGUAGAGGUAUAUCCGCACAAAUCCUCUAUCACCAUCAAGCCUCAGCAGUUUCAGGCCGGUGCUGUAACACCAAUGAAUUUUCCAGCUAGAUCAGGCCCUAACCCCAGAGACGACCUUGUUAAUCCUGAUAUCCCUGACUUCGAUGAAACAGCUGAAAAAGAGAAAAUGAAUGGUGAAUUGCCAAAACAGCUCGAAGAAAAGUAUAAAUGGCUGGAGGAAAAACUUAGAGUGAUGGAAAGUACUAAGAGCUACCAUGGAAUUGACACUAAAGAAUUGAGCUUGGUUCCGGAUUUAGUACUCCCUUAUAAAUUCAAAAUUCCUGAGUUUGAGAAGUACAAUGGAACUAAUAGCCCCGAAGCUCAUAUUACCAUGUUUUGUAGGCGGAUGACUGGGUAUGUUAAUAAUGACCAACUGCAUAUACAUUGUUUCCAGGAUAGCCUUGCAGGGGCAGCAUCCAAGUGGUACAACCAACUGAGCCGUACCAAGAUUAAUUUAUGGAGAGAUUUAGCAUAGGCAUUCAUAAAGCAGUACAAUCAUGUAACUGACAUGGUACCUGAUAGAAUCACUCUACAGAACAUGAAAAAGAAGCCUGGUGAAAGUUUUAGGCAGUACACACAGAGGUGGAGGAGGUCGCAGUCCAAGUUCAGCCACCGCUUCUGGAAAAGGAAAUGACAAUGCUAUUCAUAAAUACAUUGAAAGCUCCGUUCAUCACACAUAUGUUAGGGAGUGCUACAAAAAGCUUUUAUGGCAUAAUCAUGAAUGGUGAAAUGAUUGAAAGCGCCAUAAGGAGCAGAAAAAUUGAUGCUGGAGGGAAUAACAGAAGGCAAGCCUCAAAAGAAAAAGAAAAUGAGGUGAACAGCGUGAAUACGUACAGAAAAUCGAUUGCUAAUCAGUAGGGUUCAUCAAGACAAGAAUCAUGUGUGAAGCAAGGUACUGAAAAACUCUAGUUCACUCCAAUUCCAAUGUCGUACAAGGAGCUGUAUCAAAGCUUAUUCGAUGCGCAUAUUGUUUCUCCUUUACAUGUGAAGCCUCCACAGCCUCCGUAUCCCAAAUGGUACGACGCAAGUGCACAAUGCGAUUAUCAUGUGGGAAUUACGGGACACUUAAUAGAGAGUUGCAUUACCUUCAAAAAGCUAGUUGAAAAAUUCAUCAACAUGGGUAUCGUCAAGUUGAAUGGCUCAUUUAAUGCAGAAAAUUUACUACCCAAUCAUGAUUGACAAUGGGGUGAAUGCAAUAUAUGAAGAGAUGUUAGGAAGUGUUCACAUCAAUGACAUAUAGGAAUACACAAAUGAAAGGGGGACCUUGUUAGAUAUCCGCCCUUAUAAAUCUGGGAGUGUUUAAAAUAAUUGGAUUGCGGAAGAAAUAUCUAUAGUCUUUAGAGCGUAUUUAGAGUAAUGUUCAGAACAUUCUUGUUGUUUUUAGCCUAAAAAUGAUAGGAAUUCCUUUGUGAAAUAGACUCAUGUCUGAUGAUCAUUAUUAUAAUAAAAUACAUCUUUGUAUUUAUUUUUGAGCCAACAUUCUUUCAUUCUUUGCGAGUAAUUAUUUUGUCAUUCUUUUGGAUUUUCUUCCACAUCAUUCUUUCAUUCAUAAUUAUAUUAAAAAAAUAAUUAUUCGUAAAUUCACACAUUCUUUUGCGCUUACUAUGGGACCCCAAAUAUCAAUGACAUGAGUGACGCUGUACUGACUCAAAAUCUCCUUCUGAGCGAGACAUGUGUUUAAAGGGAUCUCAUGACUUUGAAGAUGACAUAGAUCGUAGCCUAUUUCUGGACCUAUUAAGGAUGGUAGAACAAGUCGAGAAACGAAUCUUACCCUACAAAGAAUCAUUGGGAUAUAUGACUUCUCCUUAUGUGGGGCAUGAAGGUCAUUUGGUCGAUCUCGCCAAAAGAGUCUGACGGUCAUUGAUUCAUCUUUGUGAUCGUCAAUUACUUUACUAAAUGAGGGGAAGCUGCUUUAUAUGUCAAUGUCACAAAGUUGACAGUUAGCAAAUUCUUGAAGAAUCAUAUGGAACGUCAAAAGGAUCAUAUCUGACAAUGUACUAAAUUUGAGCAACAGCACAAUAUCAAAAGUUUGCAGUCUAUUCACGAUUAAUGCCAUAUCACCAAAAAAGAUGGCGCAAAAAAAAGAGAGAAAAGAAGAAAGAAAAUGGAGAGGCCAAAGUGAAAACCCGCAAAGGGCACCUUGAGACCAAAGGGGAUUUGAGUUGAAAACCCGAAACAGGCGGCUCAAAUAUUGAUCAGAAUAGGGCAUGAGGUGAUUAGAGCAACUCGAAUUUUAACCAGAUUGGGGCAUGUGGUGAUCUUGUUAUACCUGAAUUAUCAGGAAAGGGUAGGCAACAUCUUGGGGCAUUGGCAGAGUACUGUGGAUCUCCUAAACACAUGUCAAACUCAGAAGGAUCUUCAAAAAGUUUGUACGGAGAAAUUCAAGCUGCGAUAUCUGGGGCACCCAAUUUUCAUACUAUUGAAUUUGUUAUUCUUAGAAUACUUCAUUCUUUUCAAAGAUACACAUUCCCAAUCAAUUUCUUUGUUAUCCUUUUUACUAUUUUUGAUAAUUUAUUCCUUUCGAGCUAUGCUCAGAACUAAUUUUAUUCUUAUCCAUUGUUAUGACCUUUUUGCAUGCAUAUUGCAUUGGAAUAAUGAUCAAUGGACUAAUAAAACUUUCACAAGGGAAGUUUUGCAUAUUACUCUAGAAGUUUCUAAAUAAUAUAGGAGCCUGAAACAGGACUAUUAUUUAGAACGCACUAGGUUUAAAGGUUGGAAAUCUAAAAAGGAAGAGUCUAAACUAGGACUUUCUCUUUGGAUUUUGUUGUCAAAAAUCAUUAGUUGAACAAAAUAAUAAGAUGUCGUGUUGAUGACAAAGCUUAAAUCAACAAGCAAGUAAUGAUCACCAGGCAAUAGAAAGAGGUUACCUCGGGGAAGAGAGCCCUCAUUUGCUCAUGAGCCUUUGGUACGACACCCUAGGAAUGGUGUAAGAGACAAGAAAGAUUUAGAUCCUGUAUCCUUGAAUUGUGAUAGGAGAGGAUUGAAGAAAAGCCAUAUACCCUUGGGUUACAGUGGGAGAACGAUGGUAUGAAUUUUUGCGCCCCAAUGGAUUAAACUUUGAGGUUUACAGUGGGGGCAACCUGACUAAAUGUUUCUUCAGAAAAGCCAGCCAAGCAAGAAGGCAUUGUAGCACGUUAGUGUUAAAGCCUUAAUAAUCUUCGAACAAUGACAACCUAGGUGGGAUCAUUCUCGAAAAAAAAACUAUGCAUUCAUGCAAACACCAUUCACAGAUGUCUAGUUAGGAGCAUUUGAUUCAUUUUAUGCCAUCCUAAUCAUUAGGCAUAAAUAGGUUCAUUAUACAGGUCAUGUUCCCCAGAGAGCAGAUCAGUAAAAAUAGCAGAUCUUGCCUUCCUACACCGACAGUGAAACAGAUCAAAGACACCAGCCAUGCCUCCCUGGGUUGCAGUGGAGUAGGUUAAAAAUAGCAGAUCUUGCCUUCAUGCACCGACAGCGAAGCAGAUCGAAGAGACCAGCCUUGCCUCCCUGGGUUGCAGCGGAGCAGGUUAAAAUAGCAGAUCUUCCCUUCCUGCACUGACAGCGAAGUAGAUUGAAAACACCAGCCUUGCCUCCUUGGGUUGCAGUGGAGCAGGUUAAAAAUAGUAGAUCUUGCCUUCCUGCACCGACAGCGAAGCAGAUCGAAGACACCAACCUUGCCCCCUAGGUUGCAGUGGAGCAGGUUAAAAAUAGCAGAUCUUGCCUUCCUGCACCGACAGCGAAAUCGAAGACACCAGCCUUGCCUCCCUGGGUUGCAGCGUAGCAGGUUAAAAAUAGCAUAUCUUACCUUCUUGCACCGACAGCGAAGCAGAUCGAUGACCCCAGCCCUAUUUCCCUGGUCAGCAGGGGAAUAAGUUGAAGAUUGAGAAUCUUAUCUCCCUGAAGUUGCAGUGGAGUAGAUUAAAGCCAAUAAUCCUAUCUCCUUAAAUUUGUAGUGGAGCGGAUUAAAACCACAGAUCUUAUCUCUCUAAAGUUGCAGAGAGCAGAUCGCAUCUGGUCUUAUCUCCCAAAAGUUGCAGUAGAGCAGACUGAGUAAGAAAGUCUUAUCCCCCUGAAAUUGCAGUGGGGCAGACUAAAUGAACAAAUCUUAUCUCCCUAAAGUUGUAGUGGAGUGGAUUAGAAUGAUGGGUCUUAUCUCUCUGAAGUUGCAACAGAGCAGAUCACAUCAAAUUCAUCUUUAAGUGACAGCAGAUCAAGUUGAAGCUAUAAGUCUUAUCUCCCUGAAGUUGCAGUGGAGUAGAUUGAAGCACUAGUUCCUAUACCUUUGAAGAUGCAGUAUGAAGGAAUGAGGCUACUUGAAGAAGAAGACUACCUAGGUCCAGCACGAUCGGGUAAAAUUGGGCAUUUUUAAAGUCUUUACUCCAUUCCUGUUACACGAUAACGAGUAAAGAGGGGCAGCUGUAAUACCCAAAUUUUACCGAGCCUACAAAAACAGUCCAAAUUACAAUGGGCUUAUGUGGCCCAAAACCCGAAUGAACAGAGGCCCAAAACAAUGGCCCAAAAUAAUGUCAGAAACUCCUAGGGUUUCUGAGGAAACUUUUGCGCCCAGCCACCAAGCACCACGAGCUGAAAUCUUCACCUGCACAAAAACAACAGAAAUGGCAAGAAAAUCAAAGAUUGCGAAUCAAAUAUGAGCAAGAUUUGAUUCUUUUUAUUAUUAUUUUCAUUAUGGCUAUAAAAUAGCCAUUGAUAUGCUGUAAAAAAGAGGGGGAAGACCGAAAGAAAUACAAAGACCAAUAGGAAAUUUUCUUUUUUUGAAAUACAAAGGUUUUCUUUUCUGUUUUACCUCAUUGUCGAUUAUUGUUCUUUUAUUUUUUCAUUUAUACAUAUACAUAUUUGAUUUUUUUAUAGUUUCUUUAUUUUUUAUUUAUUUUUGCUUAAAAUAUAAAGAAAAGAGGAGAGAUUUUACCUUUUUUUCGUCGAAGUCGUCGAAUGGUGGCCAUCUCCGUCGCGAUCGGAGUGUUGGCACAGGCGAACGAUGGCGCAAAAGGGGUUAAGAAAAAACCCUAGCAGAGCAUUUGUGUUUUUUUGUUUUUUUUAAUCUGGCUUAUUGAUUUUUAUUUUUUAAAAAAAGAAUUUUCGUUUAAAUAACAUUAACAAAACGGCGCCGUUUUAGGGGAGCAGGAUCUGCGCGUUGACCCAACCCGCAGGCAGGGUCCACACGUUCUGGCCUUGAAUUGGGUAUUUGUGCAUUUAGUCCCUCCUCUUUGCGACGUGCUUCAAUCAAACCCAUUUUUCUUUUUUUUUUUUAAAUUUAGCCGCAUAUUUCAUUUUUGUUUCAAUCUGGUCCGUCACUGCGCAGCGUUUUAGAAGGCGGGAUUAAUUUCCCUUUUGGUCCUCUAUUGUUGCUUGCGCAUUCAAGUUGGUCCCUUCUUUAUAUUUAUUGCUAAUCUGCCCCAUUUUUUCGCUUUUAGUUCAGUUUAGUCCAUUUUUUUAGCUAUUUCAUUAUUUAGUUAUUUUUUUAUUUUUUUGUUAUUGUUAUUAUUAUUAUUUCUAUACUUAUUAUUUCUAUAUUUAUACACGCAUUUUUUUAUAGUAUAUAUAUAUAUAUGCAUUUUUUAUAUAUAAUAUAUAUUUUUUAACUUUUAUAAAUACAUGCAUAUACUUCAUACAUAUUUGUUUAUUAUUAUUUUGAUUUCAAAACUUUUAUAUACUUUAUAUUUUAUAUAUAUACAUAUACAUUUUAUAACACAUAUACAUUUUCCACGUUUUAUAAUUUAAAAUACACAUACAUUUUCUAUAAUAUAUUUAUGUAUACGUUUUUAUUCUUUAUAUUUUUUUUUUGGUUUAUUUCCUUCGUCUAUUCAUUGAUUUAGGUUUUCAUUUACAUUUUAAAAGAAUGUCCUUUUUUUUAUUUUGCUUAUUCAUUUUAUAUUUUUGCAUUGUCAUUGUUUAUUUUUUUACUUUAUAUUAAUUUCGUUUAUUUACUAUUAUAUUAUUUCUAUACAAUUGUCGUAUUUAUUAUUGCGACAUUUAUACAUACAUUCCAUAUAACAUUACAUCAUCUUUUACUCGAAUUUAAAAAUAGAAAAUUUUCAAAAUAGAGAUAAUACUCGUAUUUAGGAUUUUUAAGAAAAUUGAGCCCUAACGUAUUGGGUUCCGAUUUUCUUCGUUAAAUCUAACAAUCGAGAAUUGCUCUUUGAUCAAAAAUAAAAUAAAAACUUGUCAUCGGGAAUUCAAUAUGUUGUGUCCUAACGUAUUGGAUAUGACGCGUUGAUUUCUCGAGAUAAAGAUUUUCUAAAAAAUAAAGGAAAUAUUCAAUGUUUGGGAUUUUAAGAAAUCGUGCCCUAACGUAUUGGGCUGCGAUUUCUUCAUAAAUUUUAAACAAUUAAAUAUUUUCUUAAAUUUUAUUACACGAGUUUUUUGGACCAACUCAUCUUAAAAAGAACAAAAUAUUGUGCCCUAACUCAUUGGGUGUGAUAUUUUCUUUUUUCAAAAUGAGAAAGUCUUAAUAAAUAAUUUAAUUUAACUAAGGAUCGUAUUUAUUAACUCUCGACAUUAAGACACUGAUUAAUCAACUCAGUACCAAUUUUUGGGUGUUACGAGGGUGCUAAUCCUUCCUCGCACGUAACUGACUCCCGAACCUGUUUUUUAAAACUCGUAGGCCAAAGUCAUUUUUAGGUGAUCCAAUCACACCUUAAUAAAAGAUUGGUGGCGACUCCAAUUUUCAUCGACAACUAAUUUUUGUUUUUUUCAAAAUAAAAAUGGUUUCGACACAAGUAAUAGUAAGUUUCAUACAAGGUUCAAAGGCAAUUAAAUGACUUGUAAGUUUGUUGAACUUCUUUGAAAGGCCCAAAGGCAAUUGAACAUUUACAAAAUAGUCUCUAUAUACUGUAGAGACAAAUCAAAUCCAUGGGAGCAUUACAGUUAGUUAAAUUGAGCAUUGGCAGAAAUUCCAUCAUAGGAAAUAUUGGCAAAAUCGUCUAUUUAAUUAGAAAAACAACAUAAUUCAUGAAACAUAGAUAGCCCAAUAUAAAUGUCAUCGAGAAAAAAAGUCUGUUUGUUUUAUAGCACAUGAUAGUAAAGCAUGCGAAGUUUCAUUCUUCUUAUUGGCCUCCUUUAGUUUUCCUUGAUCAUCAACCACUAGCCAAAAACACAAUUAGAUUAGAUUAUAAAUGAAACAUUCAAUUAUGAUAAAAUUAAAUAGAAAACACCCUAAAUAACUCUAGAUAAAUGAAUAGUAGCAAAUUACCUGGUGAGGCAAGCUAGCUCAAUUAAGAUCAUUGUGUUAGACUUGUGUAUGCAUUAAACAAUCUAAAAGAAAAUGAAGGAAAAGACUUAGAAAACACUUGAAAAUUGACAAAAUUUAUAUGCCAUUGACUGGUUAAACUAUGAUCACCCAUAACAGACCUUGUAUUGGAGUUUUUGUUGAGGGAGAUCAAGUCCUUCAAGAAAAGUCUUUUAAGUGUUGUUUGUUACGUAAUCGCUGCUACCCUCAACAAAAGGUAUUGUCCUCAUGUCAAGAUUUUAUCCUCAGCCUUUAUGGAAUAAUCAUGGAGAUUACAUGUGCAAGGAUUCAAACCACCAACCAAUGCAUAUGUAGUAUUUACUUUGGAACCAUCUCCGUGAACCCACGAGGUUCUUUGCAGAAUCAAGAGACAAAACCCCAACACAAGAAUAAUACCAUCUAUUGAGGGUCCUUUAACACAACAAAUGAAAUUCAUACAUUUAUUUAAUAAAAGUAAAUAUCAUAUUUAAUUGGGGAAAAGCAACAAAAAAUCCAACAAUAAAAUCCUUAGCAAAAGAUUAAAACACAGUUAUAUCGUAAAUGACAUAAGAAACUAAGAAAAUCCAAUCUGACAAAGAAAAUAACUUGAUGCUCCAAAGCUACCAUAUACCGUAAUUCAUGGGAAGGUCUGAUGCUCAUUUUAUUGGUUUCCAUCUUGAUUUUGCAAAAGAAGUUUGAAUUUUGAAGAGAGCAAAAGAUUGAGCGAAAGAAAAAAAAUUAGUUUAUUAAUUUUCACAAUUUAUAAGACAAACCUUAUGGAGACAAAUAAUGACAUAUUAGAUAUUUGUGAUUAAAAUUCUAGAAUAGAUUUAAAAUGUUGAAUUAAUGAUGAAAUUAAUAGUGAAUUAAUAACAACAAGCGUACUGAUUACUUAGCUUCUUUGUUAAACAUGUUCGAUGUUGUUUAACAGCCUUUGUUUGAUUUUCUUUAGCUCAACCACAACAUCUUUCAUAUCUUUUCUUUCUUCUGGUAACUCAGCUGAACAAUUCAAAGCCAACUCCAUGAUGGAUGAAAUACAAUUUGCUUUAACAACAAAGUACUCAUCCUUUCUUCUUAGUAAAUCAACAUCUGCAAUUUCUAUCGCUCCUUUAGGCAACGAACUUUCCAUCCAAUGCGUUAUAGUCAUUUCUUCAGCAAAAAAUUUAUCAGUUGGCUUUUUCUUUGUAAAAGUUUCUAUAAGGAUGAUCCCAUAACUAUAGACGUCACAUUUUAUACAAACAAUUCCUGUUGAUCCAAAUUCUGCAUUUCAAGUAUAAUUAGAACAUCAUCAAUCCUUAAUUAGUUCUAAAAUGCUUAUUCAAAUAUAUAUCCAUAUAUGCAUGAAACAAAAGUAUAAAAUGCAAAUUAGGAAAAUAAUGAUACAAAAAAAAAAUUCACCUGGUGCCAUAUACCCGAUAGAUGCAAGAGUCAUGGUUUGCUUUAUUACAUCACCUUCUCCCAACAAUUUGGCACAACAAAAUCUCCCACAUGUGCAACCAUGUCUUUAUCUAGUUGUAAUAGCCCAUUUUGCCCGGGGCCCAAUAAAACCCAAAACAAACCAAAAUAAUAAAACAUUCACAGUCCAUUUACAAUAAAUAAACACACUACCCAUAUCAAGCCCAAUUAAACCCAAAUCUCAAAGCCCAAAACAAAACAACACAACCCGAGCCCAUAAACUAAAAAUUUUCAGCACAAAAAACCCUAGCCCUAAGCCUCCAGUGCCGCAUGUGCUCCACCGCCGCCGCUCGCCUAUCACCGGCCAUCCACGCGUCUGGCACCACCUGCAAGAGCAAACAACACGCAAAAGAAGAGGCCAACCAGUAACAGACAAGAACAAAGAAAUGAAACAAAUUUUGUAAUUUUGGCUAUAAAAGCCCGAAUAUAUCUUUGUAAUUUCUUCUUCCGUUUUACGAACAUCUAGUAAAAAAAAGAAGAAAAGCAGAGAACAGAUUUUCGAGAGGUGAAACCUUUUUUUCGGUUCUUUUUUUUCAUUAUAUUUUAUUUUUUUAUUUUCAUUUUUUAUAUCAAACAAUGAAAUAAAAAAAAGGAGAAAGAAAUGUAGCAGAAUCGACCCUUAGCCCCGCCGUCGGUGGUCUUUUCCCCGGCAUCGAAAUUGGCGAGAAAUGAGGCAAAGGUCGAAUCUUUUUCAUUUUUCUUUACUUUUCAGUCAUUUUCCUUGUAGAUCUAAAAUCUACGCUUAAAACGGGCUAAAAAUAAAAAGUUUUGGGUUCUCCGGUCACCGUGGGCUGCGACACCGUCGCCGACGAUCGGCGGCCGCCACGGGGGUCAACGGCCGGCCCUUUGCCCGGAAUCGAAGAGAAAUUUUAAGAGAAAAGGGAGCUUUGGAAAUUUUUUAAAGCAAAUGGCUGAAAUGGGGUUUCAAAAAAAUGUUGGCUUUUAUAAUACUAUUAAACGGCGUUGUUUUGCAACUGAAGGUCAGGUGCCAAAACGACGUCGUUUUGGCCCUUACCCGCUCGCGCUCCCGACCCGCUCCUGGGGGAUCCGCGUGUUUUUGGCGUUUGGGCUAUUUGCACUGCGGAUCCUUCUGCAUUUCGCCCAGUUUAUGAUUUAGUCCCUUUCGUUAGAUUUCUUUUAUUUUUAAUUUCGCCUUGAAAUUUUGUUCUGAUUUUAUCGGAGUCCCGCAAAGUGCUGCGUUUUGGAGGGCAGGGAUAUUUUCCCCUUUGGUCCCUCCUUGUUAUUCACGCACUCGAUUUGGUCCCUUUCUUUUAUUCAUUUGCGAAUUUGCCCCCAUAUUUCUGUGUUAAGUUCAAAUUAGUCUCUUUUUUAUUUAUUUUUGCUAUUAAAUUAAUUAAUUUUGAUAAUAUUAUCAUUAUUAUUAUUAUUAUUAUUAUUAUUAUUAUUGCUAUUAUUAUCUUCGUAUUAUUAUUAUUGUUUGCUUUAUUAUUAGUAUUAUUAUUAUUUUCAUUAUUACUAAUAUUAUUAUUUUUAUUUUACUACUCUUAUUAUUAUAUAUUGUUAUUAUUUUUAAAUUGUUUUACCUAAUAUUCCCUCGUUUAUUAUUUAUAUUCACUCGUUCAAAUUUUCAAUCAUUUUCAAUUAGUUACUUCUUUUUUUAAAUCAGUUUGUUUUAUUUUUUAUUUUCAUUUUAUUAUUUCAUUAUUUUAUUGUUUUUAUUAUUUAUAUUAUUUUUGUUUUUACUCUUAUUAUUCCUUUUUAUUUUGGUUUAUUUCAUUUCAACUUUUGCGCUCAAAUUUUUUUUGUUAUUUCGUCAUCUAUUUAUUUUCGUAUUUAUAUUUUGUUAUACAUACAUUCAAAUCUCAACUAUUCAUUAUCAUUAUUAAUUUUAUUAUUAUUGUUAUUUAUAUUUAUUAUUGACAUCCUCAUCAUGUUGUUGCACACAUUAGCAUUGUAAUCCAUUUUACAUUUUACUAUAAAAUCGCGUUAUGUUAACCUUCAUCCAAUACAUUUUAUAUUAAGCAAUUUUGUAACUCAAAAUUCCAGAAAUCGUACCCUAACUUACUGGGUUUCGAUUUUCCUCGACGAGUCUAAAGAACCAAUCCUUUUUUUAAAAAAUCAAAGCAUAAGUUAAAUAAAAACUUAUCCUCAGGAGUUCAAAAUGUUGUGUCCUAACUCACUGGAUGUGACAUUUUGUUAUCUCAAGGUAAAGAUUUCUAGAAACACAAAGGCAAUAUUUUGAAUUUGGAAAUUCGAGAAAGUGUGCCCUAACGUGCUGGGUUUCAAUUUCUCGUUUGACCAAAUAGCCAAAUAUCCUCUUAAAACUUCAAAGUAUGGGUUUUUCAAACCAUAAGGUGAUCUUUGUUUCGAUGGUUUAAAGUAUCGUGUCCUAACGUGCUGGAUGUGAUAUUCCUUCGGAAUAAGAGAAUCUUAAAUUUCAAUCCAUGUUAUUCAAAUUUUUUUUAAGGAUUGUAUAUUUUUUUAAACUCUUCAAAGUUUUCAAUCUUCGACAUUAAGACACUAAUUAAUCAACUAGGUACCAAUUUUUGGGCAUUACGAGGGUGCUAAUCCUUUCUCGUACGUAACCGACUCCCGAACCUGUUUCUUUGAAUUUCGCAGACCAAAAGAAUUGUUUUAAUAAAUCUAAAUUGUUUAUUAAAAACAAUCGUUUUACGAGGUGACCCGAUCACACCUCAUCAAAAAAGAUUGGUGGCGACUCCCGUGUUUAUUAUCAUUUUCAAAACCCAAGUCGACCCCGUUUUCACAAAAAAAAUGGUGCCAACACUAGUAAAAUAUUGCUUGGUUUUAAGUCACAAUGAAUUACAGAUGUUGGAUGUCCAUUGUGGAGAUGUUCUAUAGCUACCGCAACAUCUAUCAUUAUGUCGACCCUUUGUAUGAUAUCAAGGAAGCAAAUUUCGGAAUGUAACCAUUUCUCAAGGUUUCCAUUAGACAUGUUAUCAAGCACCAAGGCUUUAAAGUCAACACUUGAGCAGCAAGUAAUGACCUUCACAAUAUUACGAUGAACUAUAUUACGCAUAGCAUCACAUUCAAUGUCAACACUCCUAAAUGCUCCCUCUGUUUGCAAAUUAAAAACUUUUAUUGCAACUUCCAUUCCAUCUGAAAGCCUCUCUUUAUAUACAUAUCCAAAACUCCUUGAACCAAGCAUAUUGUUUUCCUCAAAUCCAUUAGUUACUUGUGAAAGUUCAGCAUGUGAAAUUCUUCUCAGCGUUUUCAAAGACAACAAAUCAUCCUUACUUGGUAGAGUUGUACUCCUACUUUGGCAUCUUCUAUACAUAAUAGUUAAGACUAUUAGUAAUACGACAAUACCAAUUGUUGGUAAACCAUACCUUAAAACAUGCAAUAUAUUCAUUUGGGAGUUUUCUUGGAUGUCGUUUUUGCAAGGGGGGACUAGCAAUCUAGGUGGACCACAAAGUGCAAAAUUCUUCAUGAAUGAUCUACUAGAAAAGUUUGGAAAACAUCCUUCGGUGGGAAUUUCCCCUUCAAGUCUAUUGAAAGACACAAUAAAAUACUUUAGAUCUAAAAGAUUUUUCGAAGAUUUGGGAAUGGCUCCAGAGAGAUUGUUAUUGCAUAAAUUCAAGAAUUCCAAACUAAUCAAACCAUCUAAUGAUCCAGGGAUAUGACCAUGUAGUAUAUUAUUUAAUAAAUCUAAUGAAAUCAAAGUUUGAAGACCCCCAAAUGUGAAUAAGAUAUCGCCUGUGAGAAUAUUCCUUGAUAUAUUUAGUUUCAAUAAACUCCUCAAAUUUCCAACAUCAAUAGCAUGUGAAUUGUGAAGAUGGUUUGAUGAUAAAUCUCUUUCUAAGAUAUCUUUAAGAUUCCACAAAGUUGAGGGUAUUGCAGAACUCAAUUUGUUGGAAUUUAAGUAAAGAUAUCUUAAAGAAGUACUAUAACCCAAACAAGAGGGUAUGGAUCCAUGCAAGUUAUUCAACCCUAAAUACAUCUCGUAUAGUCUCUCCAAACCACAAAGGCUUUUUGAGAUUGGUCCUAAUUUAUUCGAGUGAAAAGUUAGACUUUGGAGAUUUCUCAUUCCUCCUAUUGAUGCUGGAAUAGAUCCACUUAAUUUAUUAUACCCAAGUUGUAAAAGCAAUAGGUUGUUUAAGUUACCUAUUUCCAUAGGACUAUUGCCUUUAAGCUCACAAUUAUUGGCAAAAAAGUAUUGAAGGGAUUUUGAAAGGUUCCCGAUAUAAGUAGGAAGAACAUCACUCAAUGGAUUUCCUGAAACAACUAUUCUUCUCAAAUGCCUGCAAUUUGCCAAAGAAGAAAGAAAGGUCCACUCAUGAUCAAUAGCAGAUCCUGUGAUCAAAUUAUUAUUUAUGAUUCGGAGCACUUCAAGGUGUCUUAAGUUGCCAAGCGUUUUAGGAAUUGGGCCAGAGAAUAAGUUAUCUUCCAAGGCUAGAUUCUUAAGCAUGGAAGCAUUGGAGAUAGAGCCGGUAAUGUUUCCGCUAAAUUUAUUUCCCCACAAUACAAGAUUCUCAAGUUUUGGAGCAUUGGUAAGGGUGGUAGAGUACCUGUAAGAUAGCAUCUUUUAAUAUACAUAGCCAUUGGAUACCAAAUUCACAAAACAUAUAAUACAUUAAAAUACAUUUUUAAAAUAAAAAUUGUAAACCUUUAAAUCAAAUAAAAAUAUAAUUUUGGCCUGGAAAAAUGUGAUCAAAUCAAUUAGUCCCUUGUGAUUUGUAUAAACAAAAAAAUAAAAUAAAACCAUUCCAUACCAGUAUUGUAUUUGAUUUAAUGAUAGAGUUGUAAGUUACUUGUAAAAGUUACAUGCUCUAGCAUAUAAAUUUUGUCCAAGCCUUGGGUUGAAAUCAUCGUUACUUUUUUAGAUCUAAAAUUGAUUGAAUAUCAAAUUUGUAAAAUACUGUAAAAUUUUGAAUCAAAUAAAAACAAAACUUUGACAUGAAAAUGUGGCAUCUAAUCAAUUUUAAAAAUGACAUUGACACUGAAUACGAAAUUAUGAAUAAAAAUUAGUUAUGGUUUGGGAAACAAAAAUAUUAAAUUAUUCUGUAUGAUUUGGUAUUAGUUAUUAUUUUGAAUAAUAUUGUUAAUUUUUAAUUACAUAAAACUAUUGUAUGUUAAAUAUGGUUUUAAUUAUGCCUUGAAAUUUUAUUAUUAUAUUUCAACUACCAUAUAAUAUUUUAAUUAUGUUUAGCCAUUUGAAUAACAAACCAAAAAACUAAUUAAAAACUAAUUACUUCUUUAAGUAUAAUGGAAAUUAAAAGUUUUCAAUUCAUAUAAAUUUUAUUGUUUAUUAUCAAAUUAAUACAUUUUAAUAGAUGAUAAAAUAUAUGAGCAAAAAAGAAGAAACAAUUAAAGAGAAUGUUUUUGGAGUUUGGAAAAAAUUAAAGUGAAAAACAUACCUUCUAAUUUGUUGUCACAUAGAUCUAUUUCUUCGAGCGUAGUUGAAUAAAAAACACUUUCCGGAAUCAGCUCACUGAAUUGAUUUGCUGCUACGAAUUCUAAAGCUUGUAACAUUCACUUAUACUAGAUGGAAUGUUACAGAUAAUUCAUUUGUAUCCAAGUAAAGCCCCUCAAACUUGGGAAGAUGUUGACACAUAUCAUUAAGUAAACUACCUGAUAGGCUAUUGCAGGAGAGAUUAAUAGUCUUCAGAGAAGAAAUAUUGAAGAUAGAAGACGGAAUCUGACCUGUAAGGUAUUUAAUUACUGUAAUACUAAGCAUUUUCAAACAUUACUAAUAUAAAUAGUUCAUGGAAGUAAGAAAGUGUGCAUAAUAAAACCAAAUUGUAUAAAAAAUUUAAAAAAUUUUGAUUAAUCAAUAAAUUUAAGAUUUUAUAUAUUGAAGUGGGUUCAAAUCUCACUAUUAUUUUUUGUUUUGUUUUUUUUUUAAAAACCAAAGUACCUCAAAUAAUGUAACUAAUUUUAAAUACGAAAAGUUAUUUUUGAAAUUUCUCUAAUCGAGUUGGUGCUCAUUGACUCGUAACACAAUCCUAAUCAGAUACUUAAAUAACAAUAUAGAUAUUCACAUUCACCAAAAAAGUUCAAAAAAAUUGUUACUUUAGUUUCAAAUAACAAAUUUUAAUUAUUUAUAUAACAAGUAACUUUAUAAUUCAUGUAUAAAUUUGACUAUUAAGAAAAGAAAAAAUGAAAUUAAAUAAUGAAUAAUUUAAUUGAAAAUAUAUCAAUUUUUAUAUUUUCUACAUAUGCUUUAAUGAUGAUGGAUUUUUUUUAUUAUCACUAUUUUUGAAUUAAAAGAAUUUAUUAAUAUAAUUUAAUUAUAUUUUGAAUAAUGUUACUCUUUUUUAAUGACAUGAAGUAAAAUCAUAUUAUAUAUUAAAGAGGGUACAUAUGCUUUAAUUAUAGCUUGAAAUUUUAUUAUUACAUUUGAGUUAUUAAAUAAAUUAAUAUAUUUUAAUUAUAUUCAGCCAUUUGAAUAACUAAUUAGAAUAAUUUUAAAAAACAUUAUUUAAAAGCUAUGUAUAUAAAUGUAUAUGUAUAUAUAUGGUUGUUUCAUAUUUUUAAAAUAAAUAUAUUUUCAAUGUUGGUUUCUUUUCUUCCACACACAAAGUAUUUCUAAUGUUUUUUUUUUAUAACUUUUACUUAUAUAAAAUAGAUUAGUUAAUGCAAUAACAAAUUAAUUACUUUUUUUAAACUUAAUGGAAAUUAAAAUAAAUAAAUUCAUAUAAAUCUUAUUGUUUAUUAUCAAAUUAAUAGAUGAUAAAGUAUAUGACAAAAAGAAAAGGACAAAUUAAAUUCAAUAGAAUGUUUUUGGACUUGUGGAAAAUUUUAAAGUGAAAAACAUACCUUCUAAUUUGUUGUCAAAUAGAUAUAUUUCUUCGAGAAUAGUUGAAUUAAAAAUACUUUUUGGAAUCAGCCCACUGAAUUGAGUUGUUGCUAAAUUCAAAACCUGAAGCUUGUUACAUUCACCUAUACUUGAUGGAAUCUGACCUGCACACAUACUUGACAUAAGUCAAAGAGGUUUUCUUUUCUAUAAUUUGGAGAUGUUAUAUUUUAAUAUAUUUAAUCAUAUUUUUUCUUCAAAUUAACUAUUUUGAUUUUAAUGAAAUAAAAAGCUCUUACUUUUUCUUUUAUAAAAAAAAAAUACUUUAAACUAAAGAAACCAAAGAAAUUUAGUACCUUCUAGAUUAUUAAACACCAAAUAUAAAUGUCUAAGUCGUGUCAAGUUUCCAAUACUUCUUGGAAUGAUACCUGUGAAUUGAUUAAUGGACAGUGACAAAAUUUGAAGGUUGCAUUUGUCUAUACUUAAUGGAAUGUUACCAGAUAAUUCAUUCAAACUCAAGUGAAGCCCUUCAAGCUUAGGAAGAUGUUGACACAUAUUAUCAGGUAAUCUACCUGAUAGGAUCAAUAGCCUUCAGAGAAGAAAUGUUGAAGAUAGAAGAUGGAACCUAGACAGAUAAUUGAUUGAAUUCCAAGUUCAAGAUCUCUAGAUUGGACAUGUUAACAAGUGUUUGAUGGAUUGUGCCUGUAAAGUUAUUAUUUUUCAUUUCCAGCCUUUGGACUCUGUGUAAGUUCCCAAGCCAUGAUGGAAUUUCCCCAUUAAGACCAUUGUAGCUUAAUUGGAUGAUCCUCAAACGGUGCAACUGGCCCAAUUCUUUAGGCAGAUGGCCAUAGAAAUUGUUGCUACUCAAGUCGAGAGAGAGUAGGAAUGAAAGUUUUCCAAGUUGUGAAGGGAUAGUACCUCGAAGAUUCAUGUUUGUAAGAUUCAAAGCUACAACUCUUUCAUGGAUGAUGCCACAAGAAACACCAAUCCACCUGCAAACAGAGCUAGAGGCUAUCCAAUUGUUUUCCAAGACAUUGUGAGGAUCGACUCGAUCCUUAUACUCGAGGAGUGCAAACUAAUCGGUGGUGAGAUUCCUGGCUGUCAUAGCCAAACAAAGUACGGAACAUGGUACGAAUAGAGCUAAAAGAAGAUGAAAGCAAGUGGUGUAGUUUAUGAUUGCAAGACGGAAUAAGGCAAGAAAAUAAAAGAGUAGGAAAAGGGAAAUUGAAAUGAUAAAAUAGUUGGAUGAUGAAGAAAAGCCCAGAGAGCCUGCUUUAAUAUGUUUCAACCCUCCCACACUUCUCCUAAUUAAAUUCACUCGGCUGGGGUUACAACAUUAAUUUUCAAAAUAAAUGUCAAGUCUUCUUUUAAAACACAUCCAAAGAAGCGAAUUUUCUCCAAAAUUUCUUCACAUUACUCCACAUAAUCCAUAACAAAAUUAAUAAAAUAUAAUUUUUUAAUUACUAUAUAUUCUUUUAUUUUCUUCACAAUAAUAAGUUGGUUAAAUAUGCUAUUAAUCCCUGUACUUUUUAGAAUUUGAGAUUUAGUCCUUAUACUUUAAAAGUUAAAAAUUAAUUCAAAGAUAUUCUUUUUUCUAAACUGAGUGAAUUCACAAGCUUUGUUUUCCUUUAACAAAUAUUUUUGGUAUUUUCGUGGAUAUGAGGAGAUACUGAAAAUUAUUUUACUAUGAACUUUUAAUUCACUCAAAAAAAUAAGUGUUUUAUUUCAAGGGAACACAAUUAAACAUUAGAUUUCCCAUUUUUAUGUUUUGAAUAUUUUUGACAACUGCAUAAUCAACAAAGUAUCAAUUUUGGGCGUUGUGAGAGUUUUAUAACCUUCCAUAUGUGUAAUCGAUUUUUGAACCCACUUUUUAUUUUAGAAUUCAGGACAUACCUUAAAUUUUUCUUUUUAUAAGUUAUUUAAAAUCUAUUUGUAAAAAGCGAAUUUUUAAGUGACCGAUCACGCUUAACAAAAAUGAUUGGUGGCGACAAGUCCUUUUUGAUAAAAUCUUGUUCUUGGAAAGACCAAAGUUUUCAUUUUUUUAAGAAGUUUUCAAUUUAAUUUUCUUUUUGAAUUUUUAUUUUUAACCAGAAAAUGGUCCUUACAGUUAUUAUUUAUUUCCCAAUUUUUAAUGGUUUUUUUCAAGGAGAUGAAUAGUGGGAUGAAAAUUUUUGGUUAAGGUAAACUCAUUAUGUAUAGUUGAUUCUUUUUUGAUCCUUCAAUUAUUAAUUUUUUUGAUUUAAUUACAUAUUUUUUUAAAAAAAAAUUAACACUCUCUUAGUUGCCUCUUAAUUGAGGGACAAAAAACUUAGACAUUUUUUAAUCACAAUUAAUUUAAUUGCGUUUAGGAUCACAUAAUUUUCUUUUAUUCUUUUUAAAUUAUAAACUGUUUCAAAAAUUCCGUCAAUAGCUUAAGUGAAAUUAUCCUUUUUUGAAAUAUCAAUUUCACUUAAGCUAUUGACUUAAUUUUCAGCUAUUAGUCUUUUUUCCAAUCAAAUUGACUCUUAGCAGAAAUGCAAACUGCGCAAAAGAGUGUAAACAAAGAAGUUGAAUUUAAUUAUUUUCUGAGUCUAGUUUCAAAAGACAUAAUUAAUAAUAAACUUAUAACUAGCCUUAUUUAUUUAACAUGUUAAGAAACCUUUGCUUCAUUUUCUUGAACUCAACCACAACAUUCUUCCUAGCUUUUCUUUUUUGACGUAAUUCAGUUCAACAUUUCAAAAGAAAUUCCAUAAUCGAUGAAAUACAAUUUGCUUUAACAAUAAAUCUGCAUCCUCAAAGUCUAGUAGUCCUUCCAACAAUGAGCUUUGUAGGGCCCAACUUCUGCCCCGGGCCCAAAUAAUAAAAACCAAAAAUAAUCCAAAGUUAAACAGUCCAGUUACAUUAAACCCAAAUACAAGCCCAACUACCCAAACCCUAAGCCCAAACCUAAUAGCCCACAACAAACUUUCAAUAGCAGCAAAACGUGCAACACGCAACAAAAAGAAGCAACCAAAUCGCAAAACAACAAAAAACAGGCAUCAAAGAGUUGUUUAGAUCGGCUAUAAAGCCAAAAAUCAGAGACUUGUAGUUUUUCGGCUUCCUUUUUUAACACACAUCAGAAAUAAAAGAUCAUAUAAACUUCUAAAAGGUUGCUGUUCUUUCUUUGUUUUUCUUUUUAUUUCACUUAUUUUAUUUAUUUUUUUUACUGAUCCUUUUUUACAAAUAAAAAACGAUUAAUAAAAGAAAAACAAGAAAGGAAGAGAAGGGGAAUAGCUAGAAUCACCCGCAAGUCCCAUUGCCGGAGCCCUUUUGCGGCCACCGGAGUCGUGCUGGGAGGGUGCGGGGUCUCCUUUUCCUCUGGUCUUUGGGCCAAGAAAGGCACCGUCACCAAAAGGCCUUUUAAAUCGGUUUAAAAUAGACCUUCGGGUCGCAGGCCACCGCCCGCGGCGGAUCUAUGGCGGCGCGAGUGACGGCCAUGUUGGCCGAAUUUGGGGGGACCGAGAGAGAAACCUUACUCUCUCUGUUUUUUCUAGAAAAUUGAAGGAAAUGAUUUCUUUUUUAUUUUUUUUGUAUUUAUAUAUGCUAUAAUACGGCGUCGUUUUGGCCUUAGCAUCAGUGGCCAAAAACGGCGCCAUUUUGAUGUUUGACCCGCGACCCGACCCAGUAACGCUAAAGAUCCGCGCGUUUUCGUUUAAGGGUCUAUUUGUGCAAUAGGUCCCUCCACCUUUGUUGCGUGUUUCAAUGUGCUUUUUUUAUUUUUUUGAUUUUGGCCACCAGAUUUUUAUUCUGUUUUAAUUUGGUUCUGGGAUGCGCAGGCCCCAGUAUUGCGAACGGCCCCGUUCAGGUGGCAUGGGAUUAUUUCCCUUUCGACCCUACGUCUAUGUGCGCAUUUCGCUCAGGUCCUGAAUGUUCUUUUGUUUUUCAAAUUUUACCCUUUAAUUUUAUUUUAACUUCAAUUCGGUCCUUUAUCCUAUAUUUUAUUAUUUUGAAUGCUUACCUUGAAAUAUCAUUUAGUUUCCAAUUUAAUACAUAUAUCCCACAUGUUUUAUGAUCCAUAUAUAUUCAUACGUCUUUUAUAUUUUAUAAUUUUAAAAUUUGUACAUGCAUACGUAUAUUUUAUAAUUUCUAUAUGCGUAUAUAUAUAUCUACAUAUGUAUUUUUUAAAUUUUUUUUUACAAAUAUACACAUACUUAUACAUACUCUUUAUAUUUUAAAAUCUAUAUUUUUCUUAUGUAUUUUCCAUAGUUUAUAAUUCAUGUAUACAUAUUUUUAGAAAUUUUACAAUGCAUACAUGCACAUAAUAUAUAUAUAUGCGUUUUAUUUUUAUAAAUACAUAUACAUUACCUACCUUUAUAUUUUAUAUCUUCCAUGACUUUAUAUAUAUAUAUACAUGAAUGUACACAUACAUACUUACAUAUUUUUUACGUACAUAGAUUUUUCAUAUUUUCAUAAUUUUAUGCACACACAUAUAUAUCUUUUUACUUUUUCAUAAUUUUAUUUAUUAUUUAUUUAUUUCAUUUUUAUUAUUGAUUUGAGGAAAUGUUUUAAUUUUAUUUGCUUGUAUACAUUGUUAUUUCGGACGUUAUUGAUUUGUACUUUUUAUUUAUCUUAUAUUCGUUGCUAUUACUCGUAUUAUUUUUACAUCAUCGUAUUCAAUAUUGUUUUGUUACGAACAUUAACAUCGUGUUUUAUUUUUACUAUUUGGUGUUAGAUUAUUUUUAUUCAACACAUAAAUUAUGAUUUUUUGAAUAAGCAAAAUCUCGUGUUUAGAUUGGAGAAGGUUGUACCCUAACUUACUGGGUUUCGAUUUUCGCAAUGACUUUAAAUACGUGAAUCUUUUCAAACUCAAGUUUUAAAUGAUCUUGGGAUUUAAAAAAGAUCGUGUCCUAACUUACUGGGCAUGAAUCCUUUUUAAAAAAAAAUCUGAGAUAGCUAAAUAUCUUUUAAACAAGCAAAUUUUUAGCAUCCAUUCGCGUAUCGGGAAUUCGAGAUAUUGUGUCCUAACUUACUGGAUAUGAUUCUCUUUCUCGAUUAACGUGAAAUAUGCCCAUUUUCCCAAAAAUUUUCAACAUUUUAAUACAAGGAUCGUAUUUUUUAAAAUUCUUUAAAGUUUUCAAAUUUCGACCUCAAGACAUUAGCUAAUCAACUAGGUACCAAUUUUUGGGCGUUACGAGGGUGCUAAUCCUUCCUCGUACGUAACCGACUCCCGAACCCGUUUUUUGAAUUUUGUGGACCAAAAUUAUUGUUUUAAUAAAAUCUAAAUCGUUUAUUAAAAACAAUCAUUUUAUGAGGUGACCCGAUCACACCUCAUCAAAAAAAGGAUUGGUGGCGACUCCCAUUUUUGUUUUAUUUUUGAAAUUUAAGUCGACCCCGUUUUACCAAAAAAUGGUGUCAACAGCUUGGCGACUCCGCUGGGGAAGAGAUAUGUGAGUCAAGCCACGUGUUGAUUACUUUUUGUCUUUUUGUCGAAAAUCGAGAAUUUAAUUUAAAUUUACGAUCCGUUCAUUGCAUUUCAUUCGUCUUUAUUACGAUCUUCAUCAUUGUGGUUUUAUAGUUGUGUUGGUUUAAGUCUUGAUAUAUUUUUGCACAUUGCAUUGCAUGACCGUUGGUCACACCUUUUAAGUGGGAGUGAGAAGCUAUUUCCUUCGUGAGGUAUUCACCUCCGUGCAGGAUAGCUGAUCACUUUCGGGAUACAUCCGUACCUAUGUCUUUGUAAGAUUUUCAUCUCCGUGCAGCCAUAGGGAAAUGUAUUCCCCUGAACCGAACUCGGUCCGUAUGAGCCUAUAAUGGGUGAGGAUCGAGGAACCUACUGGUUUGGGUACCUUCGCUUUAGAGCCGAACCACAUGUAGUGAACCUAAGAGCCUACCUUAGGAAGAACCACUUCAAACCCCUAGUGGUCACCCGAGUAGGUGUUCUAUUUAUUCUUGCUUGCUUUUGCUUUGUACUAACCUGUUUUCUUUUGUUUUGAUUAUGAUUGCAUUGCAUUAUCAUCAUUAAAAAGAGGUGUUGAUUCACGUUCAGUUGCUAAAUAGAGAGCUUGUGAUAAAGUGGAUGACGAUACGAUUGUCCGAAUAUGGUCCAAGAAAACGUGAUAAGAAAAGGAUGAUAGUUUAAUGGAGGACUACAAGACUAUUGCUCCGUUGCCCAAGGAUUCAAGAUGACAAAGAUUAUUCGAGAGUCGCUGAACCUUCUUAAAAAGAAGCCAAUGAGCAUUACGAGGAUGAGUGAGCAACGAGUCGCGGCCUAGAUCAAGCAAAAAGGAGAUAGAAGAGACAUCUUUUUGAAGAGUUCGUGAAAUUUAUCUUAACGCUCAAAUGAAGAAAAGGAUCAAUUGUCUCCGCAUAUGAGGGCAAAGCCGUAUAUAUCCGUUACAGAGAUUUAUUUUCUAGUAAAGCUGUUCUAAUAGAGUUGAAUCAGAAUCAACAUCUCUUUUUGCAUUCAUUCCAUGCAUCUGUUUUACAUUUCAUUGCAUCAUUUGCAUUAAAUUUCACAAAAGAGCCCUACUUAAACGAGAUUAUUUCAGUUAAUCUGGAAACCAACAAGAAUCUACCAACCAAAUAUCACUAUGGUACCCGUCGCAAAACAAAAGUAAUGGAUUAGAGGUUAGAAAGAUUGGAACAAUUGCAAAAAAAGAUGCAAGAUCAGAUGCAGGAACGACUAGAUAAAAUCCAGCAAGACAUGCAAGAAUCCUAGAACACUAUGAUGAACAAAUUGGAGCAGUUAUUGGCUGGAAGGAAUGAUAAAGGAAAAAGCCCUUUAGUUGAUUCUGGAGUUGAUCAUGAGGACCCUAUUUAUCCUCCAGGUUUUACCCCAAUAGGCAUCCAGGCACAACCGGAUAUAUGCCCGCAAAGAGUACCUGUCAUUAUCAGACCUCAAUAUACGGUUGGUGCCUCAGUGCCAAUGCAUUUUCAAACGGGCUUGGGUUCUAAUCCCGGAGACAACCCUACCAAUCCUGUGGUCCCUAAUCUCGAUGACGUGGAAGAAAUAGAAAAAGCAAGAAUGGACCUGCCAAAACAACUUGACGACCGAUGUAGAUGGCUAGAGGAAAAAUUUAGAGCCAUGGAAAACACCGACUACCAUUGUGGAGUUGACGCCAAGGAUCUGAGUUUGGUCCCUGAUUUAGUGCUCCCGCCUAAGUUUAAGAUGCUGGAGUUCAAAAAAUACAACGGGACUAGUUGUCCUGAAGCUCAUAUCACUAUGUUCUGUUGAAGGAUAAUAGGAUACGUCAAUAAUGAUCAACUAUUAAUCCACUGUUUCCAGGAUAGUUUGAUCGUGUCUGCAGCCAAGUGGUACAACCAAUUGAGUCGUGCUAAAGUUAGUUCAUGAAGAGACUUGGCACAAGCUUUUAUGAAGCAAUACAGUCAUGUAACAGAUAUGACACCUGAUAGAAUUACGUUACAGAAUGUGGAAAAGAAGCAAAAUGAGAGCUUUAGGCAAUAUGCCCAAAGAUGGAGAGAGGUAGCGACACAAGUCCAGCCACCUCUUCUGGAGAAAGAAACCACAGUGCUUUUCAUUAACACUCUGAAAGCCCCAUUCAUUAACCACAUGUUGGGAAGCACUACUAUGAGCUUCUCAGAUAUGGUAAUGUCUGGCGAGAUGAUUGAAAACGCCAUAAGAAGUGGGAAGAUAGAUGCAAGGGAAGGUGCCAAAAGAUCAACCCCAAAGCACAAAGAAAAUGAAGUGAGCAACCUGAGCUUGUAUAAUAAAGGGUAUUCAAAAUUAGUCACUGUAGGCCAGCCAAGGACGGUAGCAGCUAGCUAUCAAGGCCCCUCAAAGUAAGAAUCCAACUCGAGGCCAAACACAGAAAGACUCGAGUUCACACCUAUCCCGGUGAUGUAUAAGGAGUUAUAUCAAAAUCUGUUUGAUGCGCAUGUAGUAGCUCCGUUCUACUCAAAACCCAUGCAACCUCCAUACCCCAAAUGGUACGACGUAAAUGCUCAAUACGAGUAUCACGUAUGAACUACGGGGCACUCGAUUAAAAACUACACUACAUUUAAAAAGUUAGUCGAAUGGUUCAUUAAUAUGGGCAUCGUGAAGUUUGACGAUCCAUCUGGACCUAAUGUGGCAGGAAGUCCGUUACCCAGUCAUCCAGACCCAGGAGUAAAUGCGAUAGCUGAGAAUGGAGGAAAAAAAACCAAAACAAAUGUUGCAGAAGUAAAACCCCCACUAAAAUGGGUUUUGAAACAAAUGAUGGACAUGGGAUUAAUCAUUCAGAAUUUGGAGAAGAGACCAAAAUGGAUGAGGAGCUACUGUGAGUUUCACGCUAAAGAAGGCCAUGAAAUCCAGGAGUGCACUGAAUUCAAAGCUUUGGUGCAAAGUAUAAUGGAUAAUAAAGAGUUGGAAUUCUUUGAAAAAGUCAAAGGCCUAGAAGAAAUGUUGGGAAAUUUAAAUGUUAACGAUGUAUCCGAAGAGGGAACUGAGGAAGAUAAUUUAUGAGGCAUCGGCCCUUAACGCAUUUGGGAGUGUUUUGAACAAUGAGAUUGUGGAAGAGAUCCCUAUAUUUUUUUAGAUCUAUUUCAAAGUAAUGUCCAAAACACGCUUAUUGCUCUAAGCCUAGGAGCAAUAAGAAUCCUUUUGUGAGAUAGACUUAUGUUCAAUAUCUUUAUUUUAAUAAAAUGCAUCUUUGUUUCUCACUUCGAGCAAAUAUUCCUUUAUUAUUUCCAUUUCAUUCAUAAUCAUACUGUACAGAUAAAUAUUCUUAGAUUCUUUUUAUUCUUUGGAUUUGCUUUCGUCCCUACAAUAGGUCUCCAGAUAUCAAAGAUAUGAGUGACACUACUACUGACUCAGAAUCUCCUUUGAGCAAGAUAUGUGUCCAGAUGAGCCUCAGGACUUUGAAGAUAACUGAGACUGUAACUUAUCCCCUGAUUUGUUAAUGAUGGUAGAACAAGAUCCUACCUUACAAAUAAUCAAUGGAAGUCUUGACCUUUCUCUAUGUGGGGUACGGAUGUCAUUGAACCAAUCUCGUCUAAGGUUUUGGCGAUCAUCAAUUCAUCUUUAUGGUCGUUAAUUACCUCACUAAGUGGGUAGAAGCUGCUUCAUAUGCCAAUGUCACAAAAAUGACGGUCAGUAAAUUCGUAAAAAAAGAAAUCAUAUGUUGGUAUGGGAUGCCGAAAAGGAUCAUAUCUGAUGAUGCACCAAAUUUGAAUGAUAGCACGAUAUCAGAAGUUUGCAGUCUGUUCAAGAUUAACACCAUGUCGCCCAAAAUGAAUGAUUCAGUGGAGGAAAAAAAAAGGAAACCAAACAAAAAACAAAACAAAAAAAACAAAAAACAAAAAUAAAAAAACAAAAAAUAAAAAACCUCUACCGGGGUAACUUAUUUCUCAUUGGUAUAUAGAAUAGAGGCAAUUUUACCCAUCGAAGUUGAUAUUCCUUCCCUUCAAGUCUUGUUAGAGCUGAAGUUGGAUGAAGCAGAAUAGAUCUAGGCCUGAUAUCAUCAGUUAGAUUUGAUUGAUAAGAAAAGGUUAAAAGUUAUCUGUCAUGGUCAAUUGUACCAAAAGCGAAUGAUGCGAGUUCACUAAAAGGUUCGCCCAGAGAAUUCCAUGAGGAGGACUUGAUAUCGAAGAAGAUCCUUCUCAAACAAAAGGACUUAAGAAGAAAGUGAAUGCCAAAAUGGAAAGGACCUUAUGUGGAAGGCCUUAUUUGAAAAAGCGUUGAUAUUGACCAAGAUAGAUGGUAAGAACCUGCCCAAUCUUGAGAAUUCUGAUUCCAGCAAUAAAUACUUCACUUGAAAAAAGAAACGAAAAGAAAAAAGAAAAGAAGAAGAAUGAAAAAAGAAAAAGGAAAGGCCAAGGUGAAAACCCGCAAAGGGCGCCUUGAGACCAAAGAGGUUUUGAAUUGAAAACCCAGGAAUGGGCAGUUCAAAUUUUGAUCAAAGGUGGGGCAUGCAGUAGUCUUGUCGUCUCUGAAUUAAUAAGAAGGAGAGAUGCUACAUCUUGGGGGCAUCAAUGAAGUCUUCUAGGACUUCUAAACACAUAUCAAGUUCAAAAGGGUCCUCAAGAAGUUUGGGGCAGAGAAGCUCAUGCCACGAUAUCUGGGGCACCUCUUUUCAUUUAUUCUUUUUGUAUUUGUGACAAAAUACGCCAUCUUGAUUAAUUUAUUCUCAUUUUGUAUUCUAGCAAAAUUUGCUAUCUUGAUUAAUUUAUUCAUUCAGAGCUUUGCUCUCAAUAAUUUUUCAUCUUAUCCAUUGUGAUAAUCCUUUCAUCUUAUUCAUCUCAUAUCUUAGCAAAAUUUGCUAUCUUGAUUGAUUCAUUCAUUUCAAGCUUUGCUCUCGACAAAAUUUUAUCUGGUCCAUUUUGAUAAUCUUUUUCAAGCAUUUUUCUUUGAAAUAACGAUUAUUGGACUGAUAAUGUUCAAGCAAAAGAAGUUUUGCAUAUUACUCUGAAAGCUUCUAAAUAGUACGAGGACCUAAAGCAGGGCUAUUGUUUAGAACUAACCAACUUAAGGGUUAGAAGCAUUGGAGAAAGAAUAAUCUAAAUUGCGACUAUUUCUUUGGUUUUUCUAUCAAAGAUACCACUGAAUAAGAAAGCAUCGGUGAUAAAACCUUGAUGAACAAUAAAGAAUGACAAUCUAAGCAUUAAAAAUGGAUCAUUCUCAUGACAUUCUACAAAUAUCAUACAUACACAUCUAGUUAGGAGCAUUUUAUUCAUUCUAAUCAUGACAUCCUAAAUGCUAGGCAUAAAUAGGUAUAUAAAAUGGAUUUUACAGGUCAUGUUCCCCAAGGAACAGAUCAAUGAAGUUACCCAUACCCCUGAAGUUGCAGUGGGAUGGAUUGAAGUCAUCAUAUCCAACAUUAUCUCCCUGAGCAACAGUGGAGAAGGUUGAAGAAAGCAAGUCUUGUCUUCCUGUAUUGGCAGCGAAGUAGACUGAAGAUAGCAGAUCUUGUCUUAUUGUAUUGGCAGCGAAGUAGACUGAAGAUAGCAGAUCUUAUCUUCCUGUAUUAGCAGCAAAAUGGAUCAAAGAUAGCAGAUCUUGUCUUUCUGUAUUGGCAGUAAAGUGGAUCAAAGAUAGUAGAUCUUGUCUUCCUGUAUUGGCAGCGAAGUAGAUCGAAGAUAGCAGAUAUUAUCUCCUUGAGCAGCAGUGGAGUAGAUCGAAGAUAGCAAGUCUUGUCUUCCUAUAUUGGCAGCGAAGUAGACUGAAGAUAGCAGAUCUUGUCUUCCUGUAUUGGCAGCGAAGUAGACUGAAGAUAGUAGAUCUUGUCUUCCUGUAUUGGUAGCGAAGUAGAUCGAAAAAAGUAGAUCUUGUCUCCCUGAGUAGCAGUGGAGUAGAUCGAGGAUAGCAAGUCUUGUCUUCCUGUAUUGGCAGCAAAGUAGAUUGAGGAUAGCAGAUCUUGUCUUCCUGUAUUGGCAGCAAAGUAGACUGAAGAUAGUAGAUCUUGUCUUCCUGUAUUGGCAGCGAAGUAGAUCAAAGAUAGCAGAUCUUGUCUCCCUAAGCAGCAGUGAAGUAGAUCGAAGAUAGCAAGUCUUGUCUUCCUAUAUUGACAACGAAGUAGACUGAAGAUAGCAAGUCUUGUCUUCCUGUAGUGGCAGUAAAGUAGACUGAAGAUAGGAAGUCUUGUCUUCCUGUAUUGGCAGCGAAGUAGACUAAGGAUAGCAGAUCUUAUCUUCCUGUAUUUGGCAGCAAAGUAGAUCGAAGAUAGCAAGUCUUAUCUUCCUGUAUUGACAGUGAAAUAGACUGAGGAUAGUAGAUCUUAUCUUCCUGUAUUGGCAGCGAAGUAGAUCGGAGAUAGCAAGUCUUAUCUCCCUAAGCAGUAGCAGAGCAGACAGAUGAAACCAAUCCUAUCUCUCUGAAGUUGCAGUGGAGCAGAUUAAAAUGAUGAAUCAUAUGCCUCUGAAAUUACAGUAGGUCGAAUUAGAUCAUAUCACAUCAAACCUUAUCUCCCUGAAGUUACAGUGGAGCAGACUAAAACCACGAAUCUCAUCCCCACGGAUUUACAACAGAGUAGAUUGAAGUCAUAUCUCUCUGAGGAUGCCGUGAAGAGGAUCAAAGUCAUAAGGCGCAGUGGGCUAGAAAGAGACUACUUGAAGAAGAGGAGUAUCAAGAGAUCAAGAUUCGUGCGACCAUUGAACGUAAAAUCAAAAUGCUUAAAGUGUAUGGAGAUUCCGCGUUGGUGAUAUACCAACUCAAAGGAGAGUGGGAAACCAAAGACCCUAAAUUGAUCAAUUAUAAAGAACUGGUUCUUGAAUUGAUUUACGAGUUUGAUGACAUCACCUUCAGUUAUCUCCCAUGAAAGGAAAACCAAAUGACUGAUGCAUUGGCUACUCUAGCUUCGAUGAUUCAGGUGAACAGGCUUGAAGUAAUGAAGCCUAUUCAGAUGAGUAUCUACAAAACCCCAGCUCAUUGCUACAAUAUUAAGGGGAAGGGAAAAGACAAUCACCCUUGGUAUCGGAGUAUCCUACAGUAUGUGAAGAAUCGGGAGUACCCUAGCCAGGCAACAGAGAACGACAAGAGAACUCUGAAAAGAAUAGCCAUCGAAUAUAUCUUAGAUGGGGAAGUGUUAUACAAAAGAAGGAAAGAUCAGGUAUUGUUAAGAUGUGUAGAUGCCGUAGAAGCUAAGAAAAUUUUGGAGGAAGUCCAUGAGGGUAUCUGUGAGACGCACGUCAAUGGCUUCACCAUGGCCAGAUAGAUCAUGAGAUUUGGGUACUAUUGGUCCACUAUGGAAGGGGAUUGCAUUAAUUACGCCAAGAAAUGCCAUAAAUGUCAAAUUUAUGGAGACAAGAUGCAUCCCCCCUUCGCUACUUCAUGUUAUGACCUCUCCAUGGCCAUUUUCCAUAUGGGGUAUGGAUGUCAUUGGGCCGAUAUCGCCAAAGGCUUCUAACGGGCAUCGUUUCAUCUUCAUAGUCAUUGAUUACUUCACUAAGUGGGUAGAAGUUGCUUCUUAUGCAAAUGUCACGAAGUCAGCAGUUAGUAAAUUCUUGAAAAAUGAGAUUAUUUGUCGAUAUGGAAUGCCUGAGAGAAUCAUAUCCAACAAUGCGCUGAAUUUGAACAAUAGCACAAUAGCAGAGGUUUGCAGCCAAUUUAAGAUCAAGCAUCAUAACUCAUCGCCGUAUCGUCCAAAAAUGAAUGGUGCAGUAGAGGCGACCAAUAAGAAUAUUAAAAGAAUUGUGGGGAAAAUGACUGAGACUUACAAAGAUUGGCAUGAGAAGUUAUCAUUUGCUCUCCUUGCCUAUCGAACAUCUGUUAGAACUUCUACUAGGGCAACACCUUUUUCUCUAGUUUACGGAAUGGAGGCAAUAUUACCCAUCGAAGUUGAAAUCCUCUCUCUACGGGUAUUAUCCGAACUCUAGUUGGACGAGGCUGAAUGGGUCCAAUCUCGUUAUGAUCAGUUGAACCUAAUAGAGGAGAAGAGAUUAAAAGCUAUUUAUCAUAGGCAAAUGUACCAGAAACGAAUGAUGUGAGCCUAUGAUAAAAAGGUUCACCCCAGAGAAUUUAGUGAAGGAGAUUUGGUGCUAAAAAAGAUUCUUCCUAUGCAAAAGGACUUUAGAGGAAAAUGGAUGCCAAAUUGGGAGGGUCUUUAUGUCGUAAAGAAGGCCUUUGAUGGUGGAGCUUUGAUUCUAAGUGAGAUAACUGGAAAAGACUUGCCCAAUCCCGUAAAUUCAGACUCAGUCAAGAAAUACUUCACUUGAAGAAAAGGGACCAAAGUGAAAACCCGCAAAGGGCGCUUUGAUCCCUAAAAAAAAAGAAAUGAUGAUGAUAAAAAUGGAGAGGCUAAGGGGAAAACCCGCAAAGGGCACCUUAGGCCAAAGGGGAUUUGAGUUGAAAACCCGAAAAGGGCGGCUCAAAUGUUUGAUCAGAAUGGGACAUGAAAUGCUUAGAGCAGCUGGUAUCUUGAUCAGAUCGGGAUGUGUGGCAAUCUUGCUAUGCCUGAAUUAACAAGAAGGGAUAGGCGAUAUCUUGGGGCAUUGACAAAGCAUUGAAGAUCUCCUAAACACAUGUCAAACUCAGGAUGGCCUUUAGAAAGUUUGUACAGAGAAAUUCAAGCUGCGAUAUCUGGGGGAUUUAAUUCCCCUAUUAUUUUGUAUAUAUUGAAUUUUGUUGAUUCUUGGAAUAUUUUCUUUCUCUUUUCCAAGAUAUAUAUUCCCAAUCAAUUUCUCUACUAUUUGUGAUGACUUAUUUAUUUUUAGCUAUGUUCAGAACCAAAUUUAUUCUUAUAUAUUGUUAUGACCUUUUCUGCAAACAUGUUACAUUAGAAUAAUGAUUAAUGGACUAAUAAAACUUUCACAAAAGAAGUUUUGCAUAUUACUCUGAAAAGUUCCUAAAUAAUACAGGAGCCUAAAACAAGACUAUUGUUUAGAACACACCCAAUUUUAAAGAUUGGAAAUUUGAGAAGGAGUUUAAAUUUGGACUUUCUCUUUGGAUUUUGUUGUCAAAUGCAUUGAUUGGCAAGAUGCCAUGUUGAUGACGAAGCUUAAGUAAACAAGCAAACAAUGAUCACCAGGCAAGAGGAAGAGGUUACUUUGAAAAAGCCUUCAUCUACACAUAAGUUUCUAGUAUGACACCUUCAAAAUUGUGUGAGAAACCAGAACGAUUCAGAUCCUAUAUCCUUGAAUUGUGGGGAUUGAGGAAAAGCCACAUAUUUCUACCCUUGGAUUACAAUGGGAAAGUGGUGGUACAAUUUUUUUGCGCCCCAAUGGUUUAAACUUUAAGGUUCACAGUGGGGGCAAUCUGACUAAGUGAUUCUUUGAAGAAGCCGGUCAAGCGAGGAGGCGUUACAGCACAUCAGUGUUAAAGCCUUAAUAAAUUUCGAGUAAUAAUAACCUAAGCGGGAUCAUUCUCAAAAAAUAAAAUUCUGCAUUCAUGCAAACACUAUCCACACAUGUCUAUUUAGGAGCAUUCGAUUCAUUUUGAUCAUGCCAUCCUAAUCAUUAGGCAUAAUUAGGUUCAUUAUACAGGUCAUGUUCCCCAGAGAAUAGAUCAAUAAAGAUCGAAAACAAAGCCUUGCCUCCAUCGGUUGCAGUGGAGCGGAUUAAAAUAAAGGAUCUUAUCUCUCUGAAGUUACAGUAGAGUAGAUCGCAUCAGAUUGAAGCCAAAAAUCUUAUCUCCCUAAGAUUACAGCGGAGCAGAUUGAAGCUAGAAAUUCUAUCUCCCUGAGAUUACAGUGGAGCGGAUUAAAAUAAAGGAUCUUAUCUCUCUGAAGUUAUAGUAGAGUAGAUCGCAUCAGAUUGAAGCCAGAAAUCUUAUCUCCCUGAGAUUACAGUGGAGCAGAUUGAAGCUAGAAAUCCUAUCUCCCUGAGAUUACAGUGGAGCAGAUUAAAAUAAAGGAUCUUAUCUCUCUGAAGUUAUAGUAGAGUAGAUCGCAUUAGAUUGAAGCCAGAAAUCUUAUCUCCCUGAGAUUACAGUGGAGCAGAUUGAAGCUAGUAAUCCUAUCUCCAUGAGAUUACAGUGGAGCGGAUUAAAACAAAGGAUCUUAUCUCUUUGAAGUUACAGCGGAGUAGAUCGCAUCAGAAUGAAGCUACAACAGCAAAUCUCACUACCCCGACCUCACAAUUAAGCAGAUUAAGGUUACGAGUUACAAAUCCUAUCUCCCUGAUGUUACAGUGGAGUGGAUCGAAGCACCAAUUCCUAUACCUCUGAAGAUGUAGUAGGUUGAAAUGAGUCAACUCGAAGAAGAAGAGCACCAAGGUCCAAACACGACUGGGCAAAAAGGGGCUUUAGUCUUUGCACCGUUCCCGUUACACGACAACAAGCAAAGAGGGGUAGCUGUAAUAGCCCAUUUUUGCCCGGGCCCGUAAUAAGUAAACCAAAAUUAAAAAUUAAAAAUUAAAGUCCAAAAAAUAAUAAUAGAGUCCAUUUUUUACAAUAGGCCUAAUAGCCCAAAUCCACUACCCAAACCUAAUUAGCCCAAAUCCACUACUUAAACCCAACUAGCCCAAAUGCCCAUGACCGAACACUAAAUCUGAUUAGCCCAAUUACAGUGGCCCGACACCUAACCCAAAACCCGAUUCAGCCCAAUUAGCCCAUUUUGAAAAAGCAUUCCAGAAAUCACUAGGGUUUCUAGAACCCUUCAGCCGCCAUUGCCACGCACGGGCUCCCCUUCGAGCCACUCCUCACGCGCGUGAUGCCUUCGUACGCCACGCAUGCCUCCGUACGGCCACCUCUGUACCUCUAGGCUGGCCGAGUACCUGCAAAUACAAGCGAACACACGGAAGCAGCAACAAAUAGAAAAACAACAGCAUUUUUAUUUUAUUUUUUUAUUUUCUGUAAAUGGGGCUAUAAAGAAGCCAUUCGAACACUGUAAACGAUUUACACGCAUUUUCAGAAUACAGAAAUCAAAAAAAGUUCCAAAAGGUGAUUUUCGGUUCUCUUUUCUUUUUCGCAGAUCGUUUUCCUUCUUUCCUUUUGUUUUUACAUACAUUAGUCAUCUGUUAAAGGAGAAAAGGGGAACCAAAAGGGAAGAGGGGCAUACCUGAGGGCCGGAUUUUUGCUCACUCCGCAGCCAUCGGAGUUGGGGCGAAUAUUGGGAGUCUUUGGAGGCAAUGAAUCCCCAGAGCGGCGACGAGCCUUUCUUUUUGUUUAGGUUUUGCUAAUGUAAACCCUAGGUUUUAGGAUUUAUUUAGUUUUUAAGUGCAUGAAUUAAAACGACGCCGUUCAGAGUCAAUGCAAUGGCACUGAAAUGACAUUGUUUUGGAGACUCAACCCAAACGAUGACCCGAUCCGGGAAGGAUCCGCACAAUAUGGGUCGAAUGGUUUAUUUGCUAAAUAGGUCCCUGUGUGUUUAUUGAGAUUACGUUUUGUUUUUUUAUUUAAUUGUAAUUUGUACGGCACAUUUAAUUUUGUUUCCAUUCAGAUCCGACUUGAUACGGUACCGUUCUGCGGUUGAUUGUUAUUGUUUAUAAUGCUUGCGUUUAAUUGUUGGUUUAGUCCUCCAAGGUUAAAAAGGAUUUCGAUUUGAUACAAAUUUAGAUUUUUUUACUCAAAAUGCCUUUAAUUAUAAUUAAUCCUACUUUUAUAAACGGAUUUCAUUAUUGUUUUAAUUUUAUCUAAGCUUCGAUUUUUAAAAGAAUUUGUUGAUUAUUAUUUUCAAUGUCAAAAAAUGCCUUUUAUGUUAAUUUUGAUUUAAAAAGUUUUUUUUAAAUAAAUCAAUUUUUAAUAUUACUUUAAUAGAUAUUUUUUUCAAAUUUAUUAUUAGCACAAAUUCUAUUUUUUAAAAAAAAUAUAAUAAUAAUAAUAUAUUUUUUAAUUGUUAUCAAUAUGUUUUAAAUGUAUCAAUAUUAUUUAAAAAUACAUAUAAUUUAAAUUAGACUAUUUUAGUAUAUAUGUACAUAGGGUAUAUCGUUAACUUCAAAUUAACCUUUUAUUCACAUAAUUUUUUAUACAUAAUUGUUUUAUUUCUUAAACCUUAUUUAUUUUAUUCGUUUUGGUGGGUUGUCAAAUUAUUAAUAUGGAUGUUUGUAUAAUAUGAUUAAGGUCAAUGUUAGUAUUUGCCUAUUAUUUGUUUAAUUGUUUCUAGUUUAAGUUUAAAUUGUUAUUUAUAUUUUGCAUUACAAGUUGUUAUUCAAUUAUGUUGGUUGUAAAAAUUUCAUUUCGUUAAAAUAUUAUAAUCGUUUCAUUUCAAAAGUUCAAAAAAGAGGCUUGGUGUUAAAUAAUUCUCGAGAGAAUUGUGCCCUAACUUACUGGGCCUCAAUUCUUCUCGAUGAAUUUAUAUCAUCAAGUAUCCCUUUCUUUAAGACAUUUAAAAAAAAAUUCUUUAGAUUUCAAAAUGUUGGAUCCUAACUUACUGGAUGUGACAUUUUGUUAUCUCGUUUUUAAAUAAAGGAAAUAUUUGGUGUUUAAGGAUUUUAAGAAAAUUGAACUCUAACUUACUGGGUUUUGAUUUUCUCGAUCGAUUUAAAUAACCAAAUAUCCUUCUCAAAAUGUAUGAAUUUGUUUUAAAUUUUAAAAAGGGACGAAUCUAACUUCGAAGAUUGAAUCGUUGCACUCUAACUUACUGAAUAUAACGAUUUAUUUCUUUAAAGUAGGUAAGUCUUAUUUCCCAAUCCGAUUACUCAAAUUUUCUUUUCAAAGGAUUGUAUUUUAAAAUCCUUUCAAAGUUUCGACAUUAAGACAUUAAAUAAUCGAUUCGGUACCAAUUUUGGGCAUUACGAGGGUGCUAACCCUUCCUCGUGCGUAACCGACUCUCGAACCUUAUUUUUUUCAAAAUUCGCAGACCUAAAAUUAUUUUCAAGGUGAUCUGAUUACACCACAAUAAAAUAUCAGUGGCGACUCCCAUUUCCGUUUUCAUUUUAAAAGUCGAUCCCCGUUUUUUUAAAUUUCAAAAAAAAUGGUUUCGACAAGAAACAAAUGAUUCAUUAUAUAUAUAAUAUAAUUAUGAAAUUCAAGCCAUAUAUUUUAUGUUUCAUACAUAAAAAUUUCAUGGGAGGCCCAAAGGUAAUUAAAUGACUUGUAGGCUUGCUGAAUUUCUUUGAAAGGCCCAAAGGCAAUUUAACAUUCACAAAAUAAUCUCUAAAUACUGUAAAGACAAAUCAAAUCCACAGUAGCAUAAGAGUUGAUUAAGCUAAGCAUUGGCAAAUAUUACUAUGAUUUUGCAUGCAAUAUUGGCAAAACCUCCUCUUACAUUAGAAAAACAACAUAAUCCAUGAAACAUUGAUAGCCCAAUACAAAUUUCAUCGACAUGAAAGUCUCUUUGUUUUGUAGAACAUGAUAGUAAAGAUGUGGAGUUUCAUUCUUCUUAUUGGCCUCCUUUAGUUUUCCUUGAUCAACAACCACUAGCCAAAAACACAAUUAGAUUACAUUAUCAAUGAUACUCUCAACUAUGACAAUAUUAAAUACAAAACACUCUAAAUAACUCUAAAUAAAUGGAAAGCAGCAAAAUUACCUGACGAGACAAGCUAGCUCAAUUAAGACCAUUGUGUUAUACUUGUCUCUGAAUUGAAAAUUUUAGAAGGAAAUAAAGAGAAAGACUUAGAAAAUACUUGAAAACAGGUAAAACUUAUAUGUCAUUUAAAAUAAAAAAUUUCUAUAUAAGCCAUUUAAAAUUUUUAAGAUUUUUAAAAUUUUAAAAUGAUAAAGGUAAAAUUGUACUUUGGCAUCCCAAAAAUGACAAAACUUUGAUUUAAUUCUUUAGAAAUUAUAAAAAUAUAGGCUAUUAAAAUGGUGAAAUUAUAUUUUUACUAUAGUAAAAAAUUACAAUUUAAUUUCACCCCUAAAAGGACUUUCUCACUUCGCCCCUAAUAAAAUCUUUUGCAAAAGAUUAAAAUAAAAUUAUACAUAAGAAAAUCCAAUCUAACAAAGAAAAUAACUUCUUGUCCAAAAGCUACCAUAAACCGUAAUUCAUGGGAAGGCUUGUUGCUUAUUUUAUUGGUUUCCAUUUCGAUUUUGCAAAAGAAGUUUGAAUUUUGAAGAGAGCCUACUACGUGAGAGCAAAAGAAAAAAAAAGUUUAUAUGAUUAAAUUCCAGAAUAGAUUAAAAAUGUUGAAUUAAAGAUAAAAUUAAGUGUGAAUUAAAAAAAUUUCUAUUUAGGCCCUUUAAAAUUUUAAAAUGAUAAAGAUAAAACUGUACUUUGGCACCCAAAAAAAAUAAAAUUUUAAUUUAAUCCUUUAAAAUUUAUAAAAAUAUAGGUUAUUAAGUGUGAAUUAAUAACCACAAGUGUAUUCAUUACUCACCAUCUCUGUUAAAAAUGUUGGAUGUUGUUUAGCAACCUUUGUUUGAUUUUCUUCAGCUCAACCACAACAUCUUUCAUAUCUUUUCUUUCUUCUGGUAACUCAGCUGAACAAUUCAAAGCCAACUCCAUGAUAGAUGAAAUACAAUUUGCUUUAACAACAAUGUACUCAUCCUCUCUUCUUAAUAAAUCAACAUCUGCAAUUUCUAUCGCUCCUUUAGGCAAUGAUCUUUCCAUCCAAUGCCUUAUACUCUCUUCUUCAACAAAAACAUUAUCAGUUGGCUUUUUCUUUGUGAAAGUUUCUAUAAGGACGAUCCCAUAACUAUAGAUGUCAGAUUUUAUAGAAACAAUUCCUACUGAUCCAAAUUCUGCAUUUCAAGUAUAAUUAGAACAUCAUCAAUCCUCAAUUAUUUCUAAAAUGCUUAUUCAAAUAUAUAUCCACAUCCACAUGAAACAAAAAUAUAAAAUGCAUAUUAGGAAAAUAAUCAUACAAAAAUAAAAAAGAAUUCACCUGGUGCUAUAUACCCGAUAGUUGCAAGAGUCAUGGUUUGCUUCAUUACUUCACCUUCCCCCAACAAUUUGGCAACGCCACAAUCUCCAACAUGUGCAACCAUGUCUUCAUCUAGUAAAAUAUUGCUUGGUUUUAUGUCACAGUGAAUUAUAGGUGUUGGAUGUCCAUUGUGGAGGUGUUCUAUGGCUACCGCAACAUCUAUCAUUAUGUCGACCCUUUGUAUGAUAUCAAGGAAACAAUUUUCAGAAUGUAACCAUUUCUCAAGGUUUCCAUUAGACAUGUAAGCAAGCACCAAGGCUUUGAAGUCAACACUUGAGCAGCAAGUAAUGACCUUCACAAUAUUACGAUGAACUAUAUUACGCAUAGCAUCACAUUCAAUGUCAAAACUGCUAAAUGCUCCCUCUGUUUGCAAAUUAAAAACUUUUAUUGCAACUUCCAUUCCAUCUGAAAGCCUCCCUUUAUAUACAUAUCCAAAACUCCCUGAACCAAGCAUAUUGCUUUCCUCAAAUCCAUUAGUUGCUCGUGAAAGCUCAGCAUGUGAAAUUCUUCUCGGUGUUAUCAAAGACAACAAAUCAUCUUUAAUUGGUAGACUUGUACUCCUUCUUCGGCAUCUUCUAUACAUAAUAGUUAAGACUAUUAGUACUACGACAAUACCAAUUGUUGGUAAACCAUACCUAAAAGCAUGCAAUAUAAUCAUUUGGGAGUUUUUGUGGAUGUCAUUUUUGCAAGGGGGGACUAGCAAUCUAGGUGGACCACAAAGUGCAUAAUUCUUCAUGAAUGAUGUGCUAGAAAAGUUUGAAAAACAUCCUUUGCUUGGAAUUUCCCCUUCAAGUCUAUUGAAAGACACAUUAAAAUACUUUAGAUAUAAAAGCUUUUCCAAAGAUUUGGGAAUGACUCCAGAGAGAUUGUUAUUGCAUAAAUCCAAGAAUUCCAAACUAAUCAACCCAUCAAAUGAUUUAGGGAUAUAACCAUGUAGUAUAUUAUUUGAUAAAUCUAAUGAAACCAAAGUUUGAAGACCCCCAAAUGAGGAUAGGAUAUCGCCCGAGAGAAGAUUCCUUGAUAAAUUUAGUUUCAGUAGACUCCUCAAAUUUCCAACAUCAAUAGCAUGUGAAUUCUGAAGAUGGUUUGAUGAUAAAUCUAUUUCUAAGAUAUCUUUAAGAUUCCACAAAGUUGAGGGUAUUGUAGAACUCAAUUUGUUGGAAUUUAAGUAAAGAUAUCCCAAAGAAGUAAUAUUACCCAAACAAGAGGGUAUGGAUCCAUGCAGCUUAUUCAACCCUAAAUACAUCUCGUAUAGUCUCUCCAAAUCACAAAGGCUUUCUAAGAUGUGCCCUCCUAAUUUAUUAGAGGAAAGAUCUAGAGCUUGGAGAUUUCGCAGUCCUCCUAUUGAUGCUGGAAUGAAUCCACUUAAUUUAUUAUGGCGAAGUUGUAAAAGCAAUAGGUUGGUUAUGUUACCUAUUUCCAUAGGAAUAAUGCCUUGAAGCUCACAAUUAGAGGCAUAAAAGUAUUGAAGGGAUUUUGAAAGGUUCCCGAUAUAAGUAGGAAGAACGCCACUCAAUGGAUUUCCUGAAACUCCUAUGGUUUUCAAAUUCUUACAAUUCGUCAAAGAAGAAAGAAAGCUCCACUCAUGAUCAGUAGCAGACCCUGUGAUCAAAUUAUUGUUCAUGAUUUGGAACCAUUCAAGGUGUCUUAAGUUGCCAAGCGUUUUAGGGAUUGGGCCAGAGAAUAAGUUAUCUUCCAAGUCUAGUAUCUUAAGCAUGGAAGCAUUGGAGAUAGAGUUGGGAAUGUUUCCUCUAAGUUUAUUUCCCCACAAUGCAAGAAUCUCAAGCUUUGGAGCAUUGGUGAUGGGUGGUAAAUUACCUGUAAAAUAGCAUCUUUUAGUAUACAUAUUCAUUGAAUACCAAAUUCACAAAAUAUAUAAUACAUUAAUAAUAUGAAGUUUCGAGUACUAAUUAGUCCUUGUGAUUUGUAUAGAAAAACAUAUAAUACGCUAAUAAAUUUUUAAAAUAUUGUAAAACUUGAAAUAAAAUAAAAAUAAAAUGUUGGUAUGAGAAUGUGGCAUCUAAUCAAUUUUAAAAAUGAGACUGACACUGAAUAAUAAAUAGUUAUGAUUUGGGAAACAAAAAUAUUAAAGCCAUUGUUUAUCUUUAUUAAAUUAUAGUGUAAAAUUUAAAGAUUACUAUUUGCUCAAAAUUUUUGUAUUUUUCGUAUAUUUGAAAUUUAAUCUUUAUAUUUUUAUUUUCUGUGAUUUAGUCUCUCUACUUUUUGAAUUGAAAAUUUUAAGUUUAUUUAUUAAAACUGUUAAGAAGUUUUUGGGUUAGUAUGGCAUUUUGAAAAAUAAAAUAAACUUGAUAUCUAUGUUUUUAAUUAUUUCAAAUAAUGUUUUACUAUUCCAAGAUAAAUUAUUUGUGUCUAGACCAAUAUCUUAAGAACUAUUGUUGCAUGUUUAAUUAUUCAAAAGAAUUGUUGAUUGAGUCUUAGCUUGAUUGACAUGUGUAUUGUUACCAAUGUAAGAGAAUGUGGGUUCAAGUAUGCUAAAGUGCAUUAUCUUCUUAUUUAUAAAUUGGGGAGUUGGUAAGGUAUUAAAUUUUGAUAUAUUUUAAAAUAUUAAAAUUUUAUUAAAAUAUUUUUUAUAAAAAUUGAUUGCACCACAAUAUACAAUUUUAAUAUCAAAUUUUUAAUUUUUUUAAAAAAUAUUAGCGACUAUAUACUUUAUUUCAAGUUACACAAAUUUUACUAGUUUUUAACUUUUUUUUAAAUAUUUACCGUCUUUUAUAAUUUUUUACAAUAUUUAAAAAUUUCUGCCAAUUUUUAAUAAUUUUAUUAUUUAUUACAAAUUUAAAAAUUAACAAAUUUAAAAAUUAACAAAUUUUUAUUUUUUAAACAAUUAUAUAUUUAUAAUGUAGUUAUUUUUUAUAUAAUUUCACUUUAAAUUUUAAAGAUUUUUUGGGUUUUUUUUUAGAUGAUGAUGCCGUUAUGAUGUCAUCAUAUACCACAUGGCAAUUUAUGAUUAGUUGGAUAUCUCAAUCUAUUUUUUAAUUUCCAAUGGACUAAACCAAGAACACCUGAUAAUGUUAGAGACUACACUAGCAAUGUUUGAUAAUAUUAGGUACUAAAGUGGGCAAAAAAAUAUUAAGAACCAAAGUAAAAAAAAAAAAAAGAAGAAGAAGCAAUAUGCUGUAGAGAAUAAACUAUGCAUUAAGCCAUUAAAAAUAUAUCUAUAAUAUAUAUAAAUGCAUGGAUUUUGAGAAACUUUUGAAGUGAUAAUUAUAUAGUCUUUGUUGUUUACUAUAUUAUUGAAUUUGUUAUUUUAAAUAUUUUUUUAUUACUUUUAAGAUUUAUUGGAUAAGAAUUUUGGUUUUUACUAAAAUAUUUGGUUAAAUAAAUUAACUUCAUAAGAAAAUUUAGCAUCCUUAUAAAUAACAAUUUUGAUUCUAUUAAAAAAUUAUUUUAAAAAGCAUAUAAUAAAAAUUUAAAAUUUAUAUUGAAUUACUUUAUACUUAAAUUAUUAUUAGAAAUUUUAUACUUAAAUUUAUGAGAACCACAAAUUUAGAACUUAAAUUUGUGUUUUAAAAUAACUUAUGAUAAAUAAUGAAAUGUAUAAUUUGAAACUAUUUAAUAAUAACACAUGGCAUAUCUACCAUAUUGAAAUAAAAAUAGAUUAAAUUGUAAGUAAAACAUAAUUUAAGCAUAGGUAUACAUCAAAUUAAGAAUACUAAAUGAAUACAGUUAUUUAUGAUGAUGUUGUUGUCAAUUCCUAAGUUGGUGUCGAGUUAAUUUGUGACAUCAUAAAUUUAAGUGAUAAAUUUAAGGUUUUACGUAUUGAUGUGGAUUGAAAUAUCACCAUACUUUUUUUAAAAUAAAAAACUAAAAUACCCUCAAAUAAUAUAACUUAUAUUAAAUAUGAAAGGGUAAUUUUGUAAUUUCUCUGACUGAGUUGGUGCCAGGUUGACUCAUGACACCAACUAAAUCGAAAGCUUCAAUAAUAAUAUAGAUAUUCACAUUAAAAAAAAGUACUUUAGUUCCAAAUAAUUAUAUAACAAGUAAAUUUAUAAUUGACGAAUAAAUUUAUAGAUAAUAUAUUUAUAUGAUCUAAUAUAUUAUAUUUAUAUUAAUUAUAUAUCAUCUACAAACUUUGAAAAUCAAUUUAUUAAGUAUCAGGAAAAGAAAAAAAUGAAAUUGAAUUAACACUAAAUCAAUUUUUGAAUUAACAAAAAAUUAGUGAUAUAUUUUAAUUAUAUUUAUUAUUUAUUUUUUUAAUAAUAUUUUUUUAAUUAUAUGAAGUAAAAUUAUAUUGUAUGAAGUAAAAAAAAUAUAUUUUCCGCAUUGGUUUCUUUUAUUCUACAGACAAAGGAUUUCUAAUGAUUUUUUAAAAAAAAAUUACUUAUAUAGAAUAGAUUAGUUUAUGCAAUAAAAAAUAAUUUCUUUUUUUAAAGUUUAAUGGAAAUUAAAAAAUUAAAAAUAAAUCAAUUCAUAUAAAUCUUAUUGUUUAUUAUCAUAUUAAAAUGAUAAAAAGUAUAUGACCAAAAUAGAAGAAACAAAUUCAACACAAUGUUUUUGGAGUUUAUUAUCAUAUUUCUAAUUUGUUGUUAAAUAGAUCUAUUUCUUCCAGCGUAGUUGAAUUAAAAAUAUUUGAUGGAAUCUGACCUGCACACAUAGUCGAAAAUUGAAGUGAAAAUUAUAUCUUCUAAACUGUUCAACUAAAAAUACUUUAAGCAUAUUUUUUAAGGUUAUUGCAUUUACCCAUGCCAAAUGGAAUGCUACCAAAUAACUCAUUGCUAUGCAAGUAAAGCCCUUCAAGCUUGGGAAGAUGUUGACACAUAUCAUUAGGAAAUUACCUGAUAGGCUAUUUUUGGAGAGAUCAAUGGUCUUCAGAGAAGAAAUGUUGAAGAUCAAAGUUGGAAUCUGACCUGUAAGGCCUUUAAUUGCUUGAAUAUUAAGCAAUUCCAAACCAUGAAGAUUACCAAUUUCCUCAGGAAUUUGACCUGCACACAUAGUCGAAAAAUCAAGGUGUCAAACUACCUAUUUUGUUAGCAUAAGUCAAAGAGGUUUUCUUUUCUGUUCUAUGGUAAUUUGGAGAUGUUAGAUUUUCAUAUAUUUCAGCAUAUGUUUUUCAUCAAAUGAAAUAAAAACUUUUUCCUUUUGUUAUCUAUUACAAAUCAAACUCUUUUAUAAAAAAAAUACUUAAAAUUCAAGAAAUCAAGGAAAUUGAUUACCUUCUAGAUUAUUAAAUCCCAAAUAUAAUUCUCUGAGUUGUGUCAGAUUUCCAAUACUUCUUGGAAUGAUCCCCGUCAAUUGAUUCAAGGACAAGGACAAAUUAUUAAGGUUGCUGCACUUGCCCAUACUUGACGAAAUGUUACCAGAUAACUCAUUGCUCUGCAAGUAAAGCCCUUCAAGCUUGGGAAGAUGUUGACACAUAUCAUUAGGUAAACUACCUGGUAGGCUAUUGCUGGAGAGAUCAAUGGUCUUCGAAGAAGAAAUGUUGGAGACCGAAGUUGGAAUCUGACCUGUAACGCCUUUAAUUGCUUCAAUAUUAAGCAAUUCCAAACCAAGAAGAUUACCGAUUUCCUCAGGAAUUUGGCCUGCACACAUAGUCGAAAAAUCAAGGUGUCAAACUACCUAUUUUGUUAGCAUAAGUCAAAGAGGUUUUCUUUUCUGUUCUAUAGUAAGUUGGAGAUGUUAGAUUUUCAUAUAUUUCAGCAUAUGUUUUUCAUCAAAUGAAAUAAAAACUUUUUUCUUUUGUUAUCUAUUACAAAUCAAACUCUUUUAUAAAAAAAUACUUAAAAUUCAAGAAAUCAAGGAAAUUGAUUACCUUCUAGAUUAUUAAAUCCCAAAUAUAAUUCUCUGAGUUGUGUCAGAUUUCCAAUACUUCUUGGAAUGAUCCCCGUCAAUUGAUUCAAGGACAAGGACAAAUUUUUAAGGUUGCUGCACUUGCCCAUACUUGACGGAAUGUUACCAGAUAACUCAUUGCUAUGCAAGUAAAGCACUUCAAGCUUGGGAAGAUGUUGACACAUAUCAUUAGGCAAACUACCUAAUAGGCUAUUGUUGGAGAGAACAAUGGUCUUCAGAGAAGAAAUGUUGAAGAUCGAAUUUGGAAUCUGACCUGUAACGCCUUUAAUUGCUUGAAUAUUAAGCAAUUCCAAACCAUGAAGAUUACCGAUUUCCUCAGGAAUUUGACCUGCACACAUAGUCGAAAAAUCAAGGUGUCAAACUACCUAUUUUGUUAGCAGAAGUCAAAGAGGUUUUCUUUUCUGUUCUAUAGUAAUUUGGAGAUGUUAGAUUUUCAUAUAUUUCAGCAUAUGUUUUUCAUCAAAUGAAAUAAAAACUUUUUCCUUUUGUUAUCUAUUACAAAUCAAACUCUUUUAUAAAAAAAAUACUUAAAAUUCAAGAAAUCAAGGAAAUUGAUUACCUUCUAGAUUAUUAAAUCCCAAAUAUAAUUCUCUGAGUUGUGUCAGAUUUCCAAUACUUCUUGGAAUGAUCCCCGUCAAUUGAUUCAAGGACAAGGACAAAUUAUUAAGGUUGCUGCACUUGCCCAUACUUGACGGAAUGUUACCAGAUAACUCAUUGCUAUGCAAGUAAAGCACUUCAAGCUUGGGAAGAUGUUGACACAUAUCAUUAGGCAAACUACCUAAUAGGCUAUUGUUGGAGAGAACAAUGGUCUUCAGAGAAGAAAUGUUGAAGAUCGAAUUUGGAAUCUGACCUGUAACGCCUUUAAUUGCUUGAAUAUUAAGCAAUUCCAAACCAUGAAGAUUACCGAUUUCCUCAGGAAUUUGACCUGCACACAUAGUCGAAAAAUCAAGGUGUCAAACUACCUAUUUUGUUAGCAUAAGUCAAAGAGGUUUUCUUUUCUGUUCUAUAGUAAUUUGGAGAUGUUAGAUUUUCAUAUAUUUCAGCAUAUGUUUUUCAUCAAAUGAAAUAAAAACUUUUUCCUUUUGUUAUCUAUUACAAAUCAAACUCUUUUAUAAAAAAAUACAUAAAAUUCAAGAAAUCAAAGGAAAUUGAUUACCUUCUAGAUUAUUAAAUCCCAAAUAUAAUUCUCUGAGUUGUGUCAGAUUUCCAAUACUUCUUGGAAUGAUCCCCGUCAAUUGAUUCAAGGACAAGGACAAAUUUUUAAGGUUGCUGCAUUUGCCCAUACUUGACGGAAUGUUACCAGAUAACUCAUUGCUAUGCAAGUAAAGCACUUCAAGCUUGGGAAGAUGUUGACACAUAUCAUUAGGCAAACUACCUGAUAGGCUAUUGCUGGAGAGAAUAAUAAUCUUUAGAGAAGAUAUGUUGAAGAUGGAAGAUGGAACCUGACCAGAUAAUUGAUUGAGUCCCAAGUUCAAAAUCUCUAGAUUAGAUAUGCUAACAAGUGUUUCAGGGAUUGUGCCUGUAAAGUAAUUAUUUUUCAUUUGUAGCCUUCGAACUCUCUGUAAGUUCCCAAGCCAUGAUGGAAUUUCCCCAUUCAGACGGUUGUAGCUUAAUUGAAGGAUCCUCAAACGAUGCAAUUGGCCCAAUUCUUUAGGGAGAUGGCCAUAGAAAUGGUUGCUACUCAAGUCGAGAGAGAGUAGAAAUGAAAGAUUUCCAAGGUGUGGAGGGAUAGUACCCCUAAGAUUCAUGCUUGUAAGAUUCAAAGCUAUAACUCUUUUAUGGAGGAUGCCACAAGAGACACCAAUCCAAUUGCAAACAGAGGUUGAGGCCGUCCAAUUGUCUGCCAAGACAAUUUGAGGACCGCCAAUACGAUCCUUAAACUCAAGAAGUGCAAACUGAUCGGAGUUGAGAUUCCUGACUGUCAUAGCCAUGCAAAGUACGAAACAUGGUAUGAAUAAAGCUAAGAGAAGAUGAAAGCAAGUUUUGUAGUUCAUGAUUGCAAGACAGAAUAAGGCAAGAAAAUAAAAAAAGUAGGAAAAGGGCAGUUGAGUUGAUAAAAUAGUUUGGAUGAUGAAGAAAAGCCCAGAGAGCAUGCUUUAAUAUGUUUCAACCCUCGCACACUUGAUAAACUUGAUAAAAAUAUUUUGAUCUAAUAAAUGUAAAAAAAAAUUAAACAAAAUAAGGUUGAAAUAAUCUAUUUGUCCUUAUAUUUUGAUAAAGGUUGAGAUUAGUCCUUAUACUUAAAAGGUUAAAAAUAAAGUUUUCUUGUUUUUAUUUAAAAAUCUUAGUCCUAUCGUUAAUUUUUUUUGGGCAAAAUUUGUCAACUGGACAUAUUAAUUUGGUUUCCCUUAUAUGUCGUUGUAUAUGACUAACACAAAAUAAGCAAGUUGACAAAUUAUGACAAAAAAAUAUCAAAGAUGAUAAUAAUUUGAUUAAAAUUUUUAAAUUGAAUUAAUAACCUUUAACAUAUAAGGAAUGGAUAUCAAAUAUUUAUAGGAAUAAAGGGACAAACAACAUAUUUUAACCACAAAAUAAUAUGAGUGAUUAGAAUGAAUCUAAAAGAGACUAACAACAUAUUGAUAACUUUGAAAUCUCCUACGAUCAUCCUUUUUCUACGUAGAAAAAGAAAAUUAAUUAGCAUCUAAAGUGUCAAUUAAUGAAACCUUCAAAAGAAAAUGUGAAAGUGAUUUACCAAACAAUAAUAUUCUAACUUAUAAUAUAUUUAAUUACAUUUAGUACUUUAUCAAUCAAAACUUAAUUAACAUCCAUCAAUACUUCAUACAUAAGUAAAUUUACCAUUUAACUCAGAUUUAACUUUGCAAGUAAACUUGAAAUUUUAUUUAAUUUUGUCACUAAAUUUAAUUUGCUCAAUAUAGAUUUUGGUGACUUAAAACAAAAUUAAUAAAAAAUUAUUCUUUCAGACAUCUUUUUAAUGUUUAAUAAUAAGUUAAUUUAUAAAAUAUACUUUCAUUGGACACAAGCCUCCAAGGCAGUGAACCACUAAUCAAAUUAAUUUGGAGAUAUCUUUUUUUUCCAAAUAAAAUGGAUAUCAAGAGAUACCAAAAAUUAUUUCACUAAGAAAUUUUAAUUCACUCGAAAAGUUAGUGUUUUAUUUCAAGGGGUCAUAAUUAUAAAUUUUGAACUUUUUGACAAUUGCGUAAAUAAUAAAUACCAAUUUUGAGUGCUGUAGGGCUAGGACAAUCUCCCUUACACAUAACCGACUCUUGAACCUACUCUUUUCUCUAGAAUUCAACUCAGACCUCAAAUUUAUCUUUUGAAAAGAAUUUUAAAAUCUUUGUAUAAAAGGUGUAAAAAUAUAUAUUUUAUUAAUUACUAUAUAUUCUUUUAUUUUCAGAAUAAUAAAUUGUUUAAAAUAUGCUACUAGUCCCUAUAAUUUAAAAGUUAAAAGUAAUUGGGAUCUUGAGUGCAUCAAAUUCCUCCUUUUAUUAUUAAAUGUUUUAUUUUAGUUACUCUAAUUAAAUAUAUCCAAAUUGUAAUAAACAUUUAUUAUAUAAAAAAUAUUUUAAAUUUAUUUCAAUUGCAAUUUAAUUUUAGUAGAAAUAUUUCAUUUAUAAAAUCAUAAAAUUUUAAAAUAUUAACUUUAUUAAAUAAAAAAUAAUUUUUUUUAAACAGUAAAUGUUGACUUUAUUAACACAAAUGGGUCUUUAGGGUUAAACUUCAGUAACUGACGAGCUCUUCCACAAACUGUGGAUGAUUUGGGGAUAAGAACUUCAAUAAUUCUAGAGUUAAAGUGUAAAUUUACUACUAUAUUAUAAGUAAAUAUUGAAAUUUAUCACUAAAUUUUAAUUGAUACUUGUCAUUACACUUUGAAAAUAUAAGUAAAUUUACCAUUUAACUCAUAUGUGAUUGAGCUUUGCAAAUAAACUUAAAAUUUUAUUUAAUUUUGUCACUAAAUUUGAUUUAUUUAAUUAAAUUUACAACUCAAUAUAGAUUUUGGUGACUUGAAUUAAAGUUAAAAAAAAAACUAUUCUUUCAAAUAACUUUUAAUGUUUACUAAUAAGUAGAUUUAUAAAAUAUACUUUCAUUGGACACAAGCAUCCAAGGCUGUGAACAAACCACUGGUCAAAUUAAUUUGGAGAUAUCCUUUUUGCGUUUUUCUUUUUUUUUAAAUAUUUUUAAUAUUUUUGUGGGUAUCAACAGACACCAAAAAUUAUUUCACUAAGGAAUUAAUUUGUAUUUUAUUUUAAGGGUUCACAAUUGAACAUUAGAUUUUUUAUUUUUAAAUUUUGAAUUUUUUGACAGUUGCGUAAUUAACAAGUACUAAUUUAGGGUGUUGUAGGGUUAUUACAACCUUCCCUACACGUAACAGACUCUUGAACCUACUUUUUUUUCUCUAGAACUCAACACAAACCUUAAAUUUAUCUUUUUAAAACAAUUUUAAAAUAUCUUUAUAAAAGGUUAUUUUUUUACCCAUCACACUUAACAAAAUUUUAAAAAUUAUUAAUUUCUUUUUGAAAUUUAAAGUGAUCUAAAAAUAUAUUUUUAAGUGCUUUAGACCCUGCGGUGCUGAUUUCUUUAUUGUAUUAAAUGCUUGCAAUCACUCCUGAUAUCUUAUACUUGAGUUGUAACAAAACCAAUUAUCAUGUUCCAUAAUGUUCUAUUGAUGCUGAAACUGAAGUUUUUGUUAUAUUAAUAGAGCUUGUCCUUCAACACGUAUAACGGGUGUUUGUUAUUUUUUUCUUCAAAUUGUAUGAUCUCAUUCAUUAAAUGAAUUAAUGAAUUUCCCUUUAAAAAAUAUAAUUUUAAAAAUUAAAUACUUUAUAAGAUAUUUAAAACUAUUUAAAAAUUGUAAGCGUUAAAACAAUCAACAAGAUAUAUUUUUCUUUAAAAAAUCAAUAAAAAUAUGUUUAAAAUUUUAUAUGAAAUUUACAAUUUUUUAACAAUAAUAUAUUUUAAAAUUAUUUACACCUUUUUUAUAUAUUUUUCCUAACAUAUAUUUUCAACACUAUCGUAAUCCUGUUUUGAUAACUCCCUUUCCAUACAUCCUUUUUCUACAUAGAAUUUCGAAAGAAAAUGUGAAUUAAUGCAGACGUGAGAAGACUUAGAGGUAAGUCACCCAAUGAAAGUGACCUACUUAUGGAAAAAUCAAACAAUAAUUUUGUAUCUUAUAAUAUAUUAAAUUACAUUUAUGAGGUUAUCAAUCAAAACUUAAUUAAAAUCCAUCAAUAAAGUUGUUGAUUGUAUAGCUAAGGCAGAUGGAGGCAUAAUUGAGCAGUUAGUUAUCUUGGAAAAUCCUCCGCAUUAUGUGAGAUGUUGGCUUGAAGAAAAUAUUAGACAGUCGUUGGUCACUGAUGAUAAUUUUUAUUUGGAUUGAAGCUGGCUUAAUUUUCUAAGUUUAUGUUCAACUAGAAAAAAAAUGUCUAAAUUGUAAUUGAAUUAACAUUUAGUGUAUAAAAAAUAUCUUAAAUUUUUUUUUUCAAUUGCAAUUCAAUUCCACAAAUACCGACGAUGAACCCUAAAACGGACAUGAAAAUUACAAAAAGAAAAAAAGCACAUCUAUUAUCAAACCAGCAAUACAUGCCUAAACUAAUAGAGAUGAACCCUAUGAUAGAUUGUGACCCCCCAAAGUCGACCGGGAUAGACCAGCCUGAAUUCAAAGCAUUACAUUAGCCACCUAAAUGACUCUCCAGCUAACGACCACCCAAGGCACACCCCAACCUUAUAACACCUCAAUUUUAUCUAAUUAUUAGUUAUUUAUUAAUGCCAAAGUAAAUUAUGAGCCAAUUUUAAACUUUUCCUAAGUAAUUUAAUCUAUGGGCAUUUACGUUAUUUUACCACCUAUGGUAAAACUAACUUGAUUUUAGAUCUAAGUGUUUACUCACCUUCUUUUAGUCAAAUUAUGCAAGUCUAAAAUUUCCAGGUGAAUUUGAGUUUGUUUACUAUGUCUAAUUCAAGUUUUAUUAUUUAGGAUUAAAUUGUAACUUAAACAAAUUCGAAUACCAAUUUAAAGAGGCAAAAAUUCAAAACCCAAAACAGACACAAGCAUGUGCGUAAAUGACACGGGCGUGUGAAAACUGGAACUAUCACAUACGGACGUGUGGGAUUGAAAAAUAUAAAAUAAAUUAAUCCACUCAAUUUUCCAAUAGCCAUGCUAUACUACCAAACCAAAAAAUGCUUGAAGCUUUGAAUAGGGGUGAAUCUAAAAAAAAAAUUAGAAGAAUUAGAAUUAAAUUAUAAUCUAAAAAAAAUUAGAAGAAUUAGAAUUAAAUUAUAAAACUUUGAGAAGUUAAAAUAUAAUUUUAUCAUGUAUUAAUUUAUUAUUUUUAAAAUGGUCUUAAUUGAAUUUUUUUUUCCAUUUUUGUUGGGCCAAUACCCCUGCUUGCCUCUUUGAAUUUGCUCCAACCCUAAACCCAAUAAUCAAUUUGGAUUAACAACAAUAUAUAGGUUAGUAUUUGUGGGAGUUUGACAAUAAAAUUUUUUUUAAAAGGUUUAAAUUAUAAAUUUUUGAAAGAUUAAAAUAAAUUUGUAUUUUUUAUUAACAAAAUAUAAAAGAAAAAAACAUGUUUAGACAAGCCAAGAGACCUUUGGGAUCAUACGGGUGAUUUUGAUGAUGUUAAUAGUUAUUUUGGUGGAGAGGCUGAGAAAGAAACAAAUGAUUCAUUAUAUAUAAUAUAAUUAUGAAAUUCAAGCCAUAUAUUGUAUGUUUCAUACAUAAAAAAAAUUGGAGCAAUUUAAUCCCUAUCAAUUUUGAAAGUGAGCAACUAAGAACAAUGAAUUAUGGUGUUUCCUUCUUAAUUUCACAAUUGCGCAAAUUAGUCCCUCUCAAAAAAAAUUGGAGCAAUUUAAUCCCUAUCGAUUUUGAAAGUGAGCAACUAAGAACAAUUAAUUAUGGUGUUAAAUUCUUCCAUCAAUUGUACAUAAUUUUGAUUGGUAUAGUAAUAAAUUUAGCCUUCAAUGUUUAAAUAUUUUGUCAUUUUGGCCUUAAUUUUUUUUUAAAAAAAAUUCAAGCAUUUCAACCUCAACAUUUAGAUAUUUACACAAACGUUGCGGGAAAUUUUUGUUAAAUUUAGACCAAAUUGCAAGUAUAAAUUUUGAAGGCUAAAUUUAUUAUUAUACCAACCAAAAUCAUGUACAUUUUAUGGAAAAUUAACAUCCUGAUUAAUUAUUCUUAGUUACUCACUUUCAAAAUUAAUAGGGACUAAAUUGCUCUGAUUUUUUAAGGGUGACCAAUUUCCUCAAUUUGGAAAUUGAGAGAGACUAUUCAGAUAUUUUACAUAUUUUUUUAUAAAUAUAUUUUUUUAAUAUAAAAUAUAUUUGUUCACACAUAUUGUGAGUAUGAUAAAAUAUUUUUAUUAUUGAUUGAGUUGGUGUCAAAAAUUAACUCGACACCAACUCAAGAUUAAUAAUAACAAUAUGAUAAAUAAUUUAUUUAUUUAAUAUUCUUAAUUUAACAUAUUGAUGUAAAUUUUAAGACAUGCAUGUCUUGUAGAAUUGAGAUUAUACUAUUUGAGUAUUGAGUCAGUUUUCCACAAUGGUGGGUCUCGAGCAACAGCACAAUUUCAACAUUUCUUCAUCUCGCUUAAUCCAAAUGCAUUUAGGAUUUUUUUUUUAUAUCAUUGUUUCAAAAACGAUAAAAAAAAACGUGGACAUUGAAUUUUCUGUUUCACAUUCAAUUUUUGGAGAAGUAGAAUUUUCUAACUUAUUUUCCAUCAACUUCACUUCAAUUUUCAAUCACAAUCUAUUGUAUUCAAGAGUACCACAUCUUUUUGGAUGAAACAAACCUCUCAAUCUUAAGAUAAACGGAAUCUAUUGCAUUCAAGAGCACCACAUCUUUUUGGAUGAAACAAAGCACUCAAUAUUAAGAUAAACGGGUCUUUAGGGUUAUUAACUGAGGGCAUUUUCCACAAAUGGCAUCGUUAUUUGAAGGUGAUUCGGGGAUAAUAACAUCAACAUUUCUGUAUCACAUUUAAUUCAAUUCCACAUUUAACUUUUAAUUUUUGGAGAGAUGAUUGGGCUACAACAAUGGUUUGAAGUGAAGAUAUUUCAAAAGAAGGCAAAUAUAUCAAUUUUUUUAAGGGGUCUUUGGAGUUAUAUGUGACUUUAGCAUUAUUGACCGAUUUUUUUAUGGUUAAUCUUUUAUAAUAAGGUAAAUAUAUCAAUUUUAAUAACAUCGGCAUGUUUUUUAGUAGGGUCGAGCAAAACCCAAUUAAAACCUUUCAUCACUGCAAAAAUGAAAAUAAUAGAAAUGAAAGACUAGCCAUUGUAUGAGAUUUAUAAUUGUAACUGUCAACGAAAUUGGGAGAAAUUUUUAAAUUUUAUGAAAUUUUAAAAUUUAACUGUCAAUAAUAGAAAAUUGCCUGAGUAACUUGAGAUAAGAGGUUGAACAUUUCUGGAUCACAUUACAUUUAAGAUGGGUCUUUAAGGUUAUACUUUAGUUAUUGAGAACAUUUUCCACAAGUUACCGUCGUUAUUUGUGGGGUAAGUGGUUGAACACUUCUGGAACACAUUGCAUUUAGGACGGGUAUCAUUCAUAGACUGACUUUUCUAUAAUUAGUCCUUGCUUUACUUUAGGUGGAUUCUUCCAACUAGUCCAAGAAUUAUUGUACAGUUACAAUUAAUCUUUUUAAAUGAGACAAACAUUUCAAAUUUGUCGUUACUAUUUGUGAGUGAUUUGGGGGUAAGAAGUUUAACACUUCUGGAUGUCUUAUAGAAUUGUGAUUAUACUUUUUGAGUAUUGACUCAGUUUUCCACAAUUGUGGGUCUCUAUUUGAGCAAAACAAUUUCAACAUUUCUUCAUCUCGUUUAAUCCAAAUGCAUUUAUGCAUUUCUUAUAUCAUUGAAUUUGCUGUUUCCCAUUCAAAUUUUGGACAAGUAGAAUUUUCUAACCUAUUUUCCAUCAAGAAUUUUCUAACCUAUUUUCCAUCAACUUCACUUGAAUUUUCAAUCACAAUCAAUUGCAUUCAAGAGCACCACAUCUUUUUCGAUGAAACAAAACUUUCAAUUUUAAGAUAAACGGGUCUUUAGGGUUAUUAUUCAUUUAUUGAGGGCCUUUUCAACAAUUGCCAUCAUUAUUUGUUGGUGAUUUGGGGAUAAUAACUUGAACAUUUCUGGAUCACAUUGAAUUCAAUAUUCUUAUACAAUAGUAUUUUAUAUAUAUACGUACAUAAUUUAUAUUAAACUAUUUUUAUUUUAUAUAUUAUUGAUUUCGUAUUAUUAUAACUAUUGACCUUAUGUUUAUAUGUUUUUUUAAAACCUAUUUUUUACAUAUACAAUUUACUUCUUUUAAAAAAACCCUACUUCAUAUACUUGGUUUAUUUCAAAUUUCUACAUAUAUUAUUAUGCAUAUAUAUAUAUAUUAUCAUUUGUAUUGUUAUUAAGCUUUUCAUUUCAUAUAUAUUAAUUAUUUAGGUUAAUACAUACAUUAUUUUGUACAUUACCUAUUUUGAUUUUAUUCUUAUGCAAAAUUUACUUUAAAAUUUGUUUACAUAUUAUUGUUUCACAUAGUAUUUAUUUUUAACUCUAUUUUUGGUCUAUUUCGAAUUUUCAUGUACAUUAUUUAUUUUUAUACUUUUUGGAUUUACAAUUUCCUUUCUUUCAUGCCAUUUUUUAAUUAUUUCAAAACUUAUACAUUGGAUUUGCAUUUGUGUUAAUUUGUUUGCUUUUUAGGUUUUACUAGCUUUUAAAUAUGGAUGUUAGUAGUUGCAUAAUGUGUAAUAUAAGAUUGUUGCCCUUAUGUAUGUUGUAUUGUUUAUUUGUAUUUUAUUGAUCCUUUGUUGCUCAUUAGCUUACAUUUAGCUUACAAAUUGUAAGUGUAACUUUUGAGGGCUAAAUUUAUUAUUAUACCAACCAAAAUCAUGUACAUUUUAUGAAAAAUUAACAUCUUGAUUAAUUAUUCUUAGUUGCUCACUUUCAAAAUUUCUCUGAUUUUUUUUGGGUGACCAAUUUCCUGAAAUUGGAAAGUGAGAGAGACUAUUGAGAUCUUUUACGUAUAUUUUUUUAUAAAUAUAUUUUUUAAAUAUAAAACAUAUUUGUUCACACACAUCAUGAGUGUCGAAACCAUUUUUUUAAUAAAUGGGGGUCGACUUUUAUUUUGAAAAUGAAAAUAAACAAAUGGGACUCGCCACUGAUCUUUUGUUUAGUGUGAUCAGAUCACCUUGAAAGCGAUUUUGGUCUACGAAAUUUGAGAAAACAGGUUGGGGAGUCGAUUACGCACGAGGAAGGGUUAGCACCCUCGUAACACCCAAAAUUGGUACCUAAUUGAUUAAUUAAUGUCUUAAUGUCGAAAUUUUAAAAAAAAAAUUUAAAAUACAAUCCUUCUAUUCAAAUGAACACUUGUAUGAAUCAGAUUGCGUACUAAGACCCUCUUGUUUUGGAGAAAUAGAAUGCCACACACAGUGAGUUAGGAUAUGACAUUUUCACAUCUUCCAAAAAUGAGCUGGCCUUUUGAUUUUUUUUUUUAAAAAAAAAACUCUUGCAGUGAAGUUUAAAAAAAGGAUACUCUAUUGUUUUGGUUAGAUGAAAAUAAAUGAAUAAAUGAAUAGCAUACAAGAAAGGAAAUUUAAAAUUAUCAAUACAUAAACAAUAAAUUAUAUGCAUUAACUUUUAAAAUAAACAAUAUAUAUACGAGUUUGAAAUAGAUCAAAAAUGAAGAUAAAAAAUAGAUACUAUAUGAAAUGAUAAUAUCAAAAUGAAUUUUAAAGUAAAUAUUGAAUAAAAAAAAUCAAAAUAUGUAAUAUACAAAAUAAUAUAUAUUAAUCUAAAUAAAUAAUAAAUAUGGAAUGAAAAAUUCGAAAUAGAUAAUACUAUAUAUAUAUAUAUAUAAAUAUAUGUGAAAAGUCGAAAUAGGUAGAAUAUAAUAAAAUAGGUUUUUUAAAGAAAUAAAUUAUAUAUAUAUGGAAAUAGGUAACAAAGAUAUAUAUAACAGCAUGAAAUCAAUAAUAUAUUAUAUAUGCAUAUAUGUAUAAUAAAAAUAGUUUAAUAACACUUGUAUAUAUAUGUAUAAAAUAGUAAUAUGAAAGAGCAUUAUCGUAUAAAUCUUUAAAACAAAGAAGUAUAUAUAAGUGCAUUUUAAAAAUGUAUUUAAAAUAAAACCAUUAAAAACGUAUAAAUUAUAUUGAAAUUGCAUAAAAAGUAUAUAAAAUAAUAGAUGGAAAUUAAAAUAAUAAUAUAUGAUAAAUUUUAAAAAAAAAGUAAUUAUACAUGAAAAACUUAGAAUAAUAAUACAUAAAAAACUUAAAAUAAUAAUACAUGAUGAAUUUAAAUAACAAAUACAUGAUAAAUUUAAAUAAUGUUAAUGAUAAAUUUAAAAUAAUAAUAUAUUACAAAUUGAAAUAAUAUUGAUGAUAAAUUUAAAAAUAAUGUUAAGCUUAAACAUAAAAAUAAUAUUAGAUUUAAAAUUAAAUAUAUAUUUUUUUAAAAAUAACAGGAUAAUAAAUAUUUAAAAAAAUUGAACACGUUAAAUUAAACAAAUACGGGUUAAAUUGUAUUUAAUACAAAAUUAAAAGAAAAAAUGAAAAUAAAAUAAAAUAGAGGGCCAAAAUGCAGCACACGAAUAACAUGGGGGACUAAAUGGGGAAUAUUCCCUGCCCACCAAAACGCUGUGUUGCAAUAUGGAUCAAAAUGAACAGUAUUCAAAUUAAACGAGGUAAAUUUAAAAAUAAAAAAUGAAAUUAAAAUAGUGAAAGAAAAUAAAAGGGUCAAUGGUGCAAAUAUCCCCUUUUAGACCCAAAACACGUGGAUCUGACCUUGCUCGAGUCGGGUCAUUAGAUCUCUUAAACCUAAACCAUUGAAGCAAGGCCCAAACGGUACCAUUUCAUGGUCUUCUUAAAACAAAAACCUAAACCACUAUUUGGUUGUUCUUAAAUCAGAUUAGCCAAAACCCUAGCCGCUCGAAUGCUUUGCCGAUAUUCAACCUUACAGUCCUCGCUUGAGCUCCGAUUACGACAAAGUGAAUGGGGAUACAAUGGCGCUAUCUUAUAGGUAAAUCCCUCUCCUCUCAUUCAUUUCUCUUUCACAAACAAGUAUAACAAACAAAGAUUGAGGAAACAGAAAAGAAAAAAGAAAUCUAAAGAUAAAGAAAUGGGAUUUUUUUUCAUAACGGCUAAAUCAUUCAACUCAUAGUUUUUGUUAAAUGAAGAGGUCAAUUGAUUUUUUUGGAAUCAUUGAGUACUCAAUUGGUGCACUUUUUUCAUAAAGGCUAAAUUAAUUUUUUAAUUUGUUACUGUUGAGGGCUAUAGCAAUAAAAAAAAUUGAGGUAAAAUGGAAAAAAUGUUAGAGCUAAAUUUAUCACUAUGCCUAAAACCAAAAUUUUUUGAAAAUAAAAAAAAAUGGAAAAUCACAAAUUUUGUCACUUAUGUUAGCUUAAAAUUAUAGUUUUGGUCACCAAUCUUUUGAAGUAAAUAUCUGGUCAACAAUAUUAUCCAUUUGUUACUUUGUAAUAACUCACCUUAAAGUUAUAUCCCUGCGCAAGAAAGGAUUAAAUGACAAACUUGUAUCUUUUUUUAUUCAUCCAAUGUCAUUUCAACAUUUUCAUUUAAAAAAAUUGACAUAUCAUUUUGAAUUCCAUCUUUUUCAUGAUGAAACUAUUGAAAUGAUGUUAAAUUACUGGAAAGAGAUACAAGUUUAAUCUUAUCUAUCUAAGAAAGCUGAUGUAACACAUUAAUGACAUCAUUCCAAACAAAGUUUUAGGUCCAAUUGUUCAUCUAGCCCUUGUAAUUGUUUUUAGGUGAAUUUCAUUAUUAAUCUUUUAUUUUCUUUGGCUUAAAUACACAUUUACCCUUAAUUUUAUCACAUUCUCCUUCACUGGUAUUUAUGGUUUAGAAAAUUUUACAAAUAUAUUAUUUUUUAAGAAAUUAUAAGAAGAUUACAAAAAUUCCAAAAUAAUAUAAAAAAGCUAAGGAAAACCUAGAAAUUCAAAAAAAAAAUCAUGUUUUUACAAAUUGGGAAAUACCUAAAUUUGUUUUCAUCAAUUAAGAAAUUAAAAAAAUUGUUGAGAAAUAUCUUUUUAGAAAUAUCAUAAUUGCAUUUAAGACCUCAUGAUUAUCUUUUAUAAUUUCAAGGUUAUCAACUAUUUUGAAAACAAAGACAAAAACAAAAACAAAAACGUCGACAUAUCACUUUAGCAUUGACUUACUUUUCUACAGUUAGUCUUCUCCAACAAGAUAAAUAUUUCAAUUUUAACAACAUUGACAGGUCUUUGGGGUAGGGUCGAGCAAAAGUCAAUAGAAACAGAUGAUAUAAGUUUAAAUCGGCCCGGUCAAGCCGAUGUCCUGGUAAAAUCAAUUUUAAAAUUAAUUAUAAUAGUUUAAGCGAAUUGAUUAUUAAGUAAUGAAAUACUUAAUUCAAACAAUUGAUGUAAUCAAAUUAUAAUAAAUAUAUAUUUACUUUUAUGGGAUCCUUCAUCUCCUUUUUAGAGUUUGUGGCAAUAUUUAUUUUAAGCUUCAAAUUUAUAUUUUUUAUUUAUGAGUACAAUGUGUUUUACAAUUACAUCUACAGUGUAUAUUUUUUAUUUUAAAACAUAUAUUAUAAUAUAUGAAAAACAUAUAUGUCGAAACCAUUUUUAAUAAUUUUGAAAAACGGGGAUCGACUUCGAAAAUAAAAUGGGAGUCACCAUCGAUCUUUUAUUGAGAUAUGAUCGGUUCACCAUUAGACGUAAUUUUGGUCUGCAAAUUUUGAGAAAACAAGUUCAGGAAUCUGUUAAGCACGAGGAAGGGUUAGCACCCUCGUAACGCCCAAAAUUGGUACCAAAUUGAUUGUUUAAUGUCUUAAGGUCGAAAUUUUGAAAAGAUUUUAAAAUACGAUCCUUUGAAGUUUAAAUUUGAAUAAACCAAAUUGAAUAAUAAGACACACUCAUUUCGAAUAAAUAAAUUGUCACACUCAGUGAGUUAGGAUGCAACAAUUCAAUCAUCAAAAUUAAGUAUGUCUUUUUUAAUUUUAAAAUUUUAAAAUUCAUGCAUUUUGAGAAUGUUGUUCGGUUAUUUAAGUCAAACGAGAAAUCAGAAUUCAGUAAGUUAGGUUUCGAUUUCUUGAAGUUCUUAAACAUCAAAUAUUGUCUUUAUUUUAAAAUCAGGAUAUCAGAAUGUCACAUCCGGUAAGUUAGGAUCCGACAUUUUGAAAUCCUAAAUGCUUAGUUUUAAAAUGGUAUGGUUUUAAUAAAAUAAGCAUAUAGCUAUUUAAAUUCAUCGAGAAAAAUUGGAACCCAAUAAGUUAGGGCACAAUUCUCUCGAAAAUUAUAAAUGCUAGACCUUUUUUAAUAUGAAAUAGAAUAAAAAAUUUAAAAGAAGUAUGAAAUGUAAAAGAUGAUUGAUAAUUCAAACUUAAACUAAGAAGUAGCAAAUAAGUGAUAAAUAAAUACAAAUAAGGAAUAGCAAUAAUAGUUUUAAUAAUAUUAUAUUAACGCUAACAUUGACAAUCAAACAUCAAAUUCUAAAGUAUAUCCAAGAUGAUAAAAGGGGAAUUUCACCUCACGAAACUUAUGCACACAAGUUCUAAAAGAUUUAUUCACAAAAUCAAAAUAGAUUCGAAAUAAAAUAAUAAUAACAUUGUAUAAUAGCAUUUCGAAAUGAGCUUGAAACAAAUAAAAUAUAUUUAUUAAUCCACCUUAAAUAAUACACAUAAAAUAACUAUGAAAGGGUCUCAAUGCAUGUAUGAUUUAAAAGAAAUAAGUAAUUACCCAAAUAGGUUUUCAAAGAAAUAAAUUAUAUAAAUGAAAUCGACUUAAAAUUCAUAUAUGCAUAUAAAAAUACUUUGAAAAUUUAUAAUCAUGAUGAUAUUAAACAUCAAAACAAUAAUAUAUAUAUUUUUUGAAAUAAUUUAAUAUCACAUAUAGUAGCAUUUAAAAACAUUAUAUUAAAAGAAAAUUAAGUUAUAACACAAAAUGAAUUACUAAAAUAUGUUCAAAGUAUGUCAAAUUGCUAUAAAACAUUUUUACAUAUAUAGAUGAUGAAACAUAUAAUGAUAUAGAGUUUUAAAAUAAAAAGGAUAAAUUUUAAAAAAAUGUUAAUAAACUCAAAACAUGUUAAUAAUAAUUUUAAAUAACAAUAUGUUGUACCUUAAAAUUAUAAUAAAAAUGUUUGAAAACAGUGUUAAUCCUAAUAUUUAAAACUUAUUAAAAAUAAACAUAUUAAAAAUACUAAGCUAACUUUACAUUAUGUUAUAUAUAUAAAAAAAAACUAAAUUUGAAUGAAAUUUGUAGAAGCCCAAAUUUGCCGGGCCCAUACCAACAAAAUAACCCAAACAAUAAACCCGAAGCCCAACUACCCCAGCCCAUUAACCUAAGCUCAGCAUUCAGAAACCCUAAUCCCACUAACCCUAGCCACCUACCCCCACUUGCCCACUUGCCCACUUGCGCCGAACACCACCAUGCCACUAUCGGCCAUGGCCACCUGCAAGAAGCCAAGUAGAAAUAAACAAAUAGAAAAUAAACAUUUGUAAUUGGUUAUAAAAACCGAAAAUCUCACCAUUGAUAAAGGGGAUUUUUUAUUUUUUGCUAUGAAAACAAAAGAUUUUCUUUCAAUAUUAACAGAUUCAAUACAAGAACCAUUCGAAAAUAUAUAUACUAUCAGGGGCUCUAACACCAAAUCGGAGAAUCAAAUCUAAAACCUAAGGUGAACCUAAGGUGACUCUUUCUUUUUUUUUUCUUUACUGUUUUGAGUUUAUUUUCUACAUAAAAAUACUAAAAAAUAUUAAAACAUAAAAAUAUAUGCAUUAUUAAGCAAAAAAAAAAAGAAAAAAAGAAAAAAAAUAUUUUUUUUACCUUUUCCGGCCACCGCCGGCGAGCCUCCGGUGGCCGUCCGGUGACCGGCCCCCUGGCCGGAUUCCCCUUUCCCCCUCCCUUCUCUCUCCCUUCUCUCUUCCCUCUCUCUCUUCUUUUUUUUCUUUCCCUCUCCCCAAAGGAUUUUUUUGGCUAUUUUAGGCCUUUAUAUAGCCCUCCAAAACGAUGUCGUUUUGGGGGCUACACUUAAGCCUCAAAACGACGUCGUUUUGACCAUUGCCCGACCCAUCCGACCCGACCCGCUAGAGGAUCCGCGUGUUUUCGUUUGAAUGGGAUAUUUAUGCGCGCAGUCCUUCCGCUUUUUCAAGGUUUUGCAGUUAAGUCAUUUUUCUUGUUUCCAAUUUGGCCCCAUAAUUUCUCGCGCUUUUCGAUUUAGUCCCCGCUAAUGUGCUGUGUUUUAAUGGAAUGGAAUAAUUGUUGUUUCGGUCCUCCUAUGUUUUGUGCGCGCUCAAAUAAGCCCAUUUCUCUUUAUUUCCUUUCACAUUUGCCCCACAACUUUGUUUUUAAUUCAAUUUUAGUCCUUUUUCGUUUAUUUUUAUAUCUUUAUUAAAUAUCAUUGUUAUUUUAUAUUAUUAGUAUUAUUAGUAUUACUAUUAUUAUUAUUAUGUAUUAGUAUAUAUUUUUAUUAUGUACGCGUAUACAUGUAUAUAUAUUUUCAUAUUUAAUAUUUUUAUUUCAUUUUUUUCUAAUAUUUUAUUAUAAUUUAUAUAUAUAUACAUAUACAUAUUCUUUAUUUAUUUUAAGUAUAUAUUUUUUAUAUUUCAUAUUUUCUACAGGCAUAUAUAUACUUAUAUAUUUACAUAUUUUAAUUCAUAUACUUAUAAAUGUAUGUACAUACUUACGUUAUUUUAUUUUUAUAAUAUACAUAUUUAUAUUUUUUUGUCUUUAUGUAAUAUAUAUACAUACAUGCGCAUGUUAUUUAUAUAUAUGUAAUUAUGUUUUCAUAUUUUAUAAUUCUUGUACAUACAUAUAUAUAUAUAUAUGUAUAGACAUACAUAUUUUCAUUAUAUAUAUAUACCUACAUAGUUUUUUUUUUGUAUUUUAAAUCUUUUAAAAUUCAUACAUGCAUUUUUAAAACUUUUAUAAUUUUAUUCAUUUCUUUAUUAUUAUUAUUGUUUUACUUUAUGUUUAUCUAUUUAUUUAUGUGUCCAUUAUUAUUUUUUUUAAAAAAUGUUUUAGUUUUUUUUAUUUUGUUUAUUUACUUGUUAUUGUAUAUAAUUGAUUUUUUAUAUAUUUAUUUUUGUUAUCUUCGCUCGUAUUAUUUUUACUCGCAUUAUCGUAAUUGUUAUUCCGUCACAUCAAUUUUUACCCAAAUUCGUAAAAAAGGGAAAAUUUUGGAAAUAAAGGCAAUACUCGAUACUUGGGAUCUUCGAGAGAAUUGGGCCCUAACGUGCUGGGUUCUAAUUUUCUGUUGAAUCUAAAUGCUCGAGAAUGCUCUUUAAUAUAAAACAUAAAUAAAAACUCAUUAUCGGGAUUUCAAUAUGUUGUGUCCUAACGCAUUGGAUAUGACACGUGGUUUUCUCGAUAUGAGGAUUUUUUUUUUCGAAAGUAAAGACAAUAUUCCGUAUUUAGAAAAUUCGAGAAAAUCAUGCCCUAACUUACUGAGCUUCGAUUUUUCUCGUUGAUUCUAAGUAAUCGGAUAUCCUUUUAAAAUUAAAAUAAAUGAGGUUUAAAUAAAAAAAUGAAAGGCAAGUUUACUCUCGAAAAUACGAGGUGUCGUGUCCUAACUUACUGGAUGUAACAUCUUGUUACUUCGAGAUAAAGAGGCAUUUUCCAUUUUGAUUUAUUCGAGUAUUUUUAAAAUAACACGAUAUAAGGAGGGAUCAUAUUUUUAAGAUUCUUUUCGAGUUUUUAAUUUUCGACACUAAGACACUAAUUAAUCAACUAGGUACCAAUUUUGGGUGUAUCGAGGGUGCUAAUCCUUCCUCGUGCAUAACCGACUCCCGAACUCAUUUUUCUGAAUUUCGUAGACCAAAAUCGUUGUUUUAAUAAAAUUAAAUCAUUUAUUAAAAACAACCACUUUUUGAGGUGACCCGAUCACACCUCAUCAAAAAAGGAUUGGUGGCGACUCCCAAUUUCGUUUCAUUUUCAAAAUCCAAGUCGACCCCGUUUUCAUCCAAAAAAUGGUGUCAACAGCUUGGCGACUCCACUGGGGACAAUAAGAGAGUCAAGCCACGUGUUGAUUAUUUCUUGUCUUUCUGUUGAAAGUGGAAAAUUCGAUUUAAAUUUACGAUCCUCUCAUUACAUCUCUUUUGUUUUGAGUUAUAUUUUUAUUGUGUUCUGUAUUUUAUUUUAUACCUCUGCACAUUGCAUUGCAUGACCGCUGGUCAUACCCUUUUUAAGUGGGAGUGAGAAGCUACGCCUUCGUGAGGUUUUCACCUCCGCAUGGGAUAGUGAAUCGCUUUCGGGAUAUAUCCGUACCUAUGUCUUCGUGAGAUUUUCAUCUCCGCAUGGCCAUAGGGAAAUGUAUCCCCCUGAAUCGAACUCGGUCCAUAUGAGCCUAUAAUGGGUGAGGAUCGAGGAAUCUGCUGGUUCAGGUACCCUUACUUUAGAACCAAACCUCAUGUAGUGAACCUUAGGAGCCCACCCUAGGUAGAACCACCUCCAAACCCCUAGUGGUCACCCGAAUUGCUUUAUUUGUUAUUUAUUCUGCACUAACGUGUUUUGUUUUUUUUUUGUUUAUAAUUGCAUUGUAUUACAUCAUCCUAGGAAGGAGGUGUUGAUUUAUAUUUGAUUGCUAAAUAGAACAGUUUGUCAUAAGAAAACAAAUUUUUUGAUAAAGUGGAUUAUAACACGGUUGUCUAAAUAUGGUCCAAGUGAAUACAUGAAAGAAGGCUGAUAGUCCGUGAAGAAAUACAAGACUUUGCUUCAUUGCCUGAAGACAGAAACUAACAAAGAUUAUUCGAGAGCUGUCAUGUCUUGACUUUCUUAAAGGAGCUGAAAAGUAUCAUAGAAAUAAGUGAGCAACGAGUCGCUGCCUGGAUCCAGCAAAAAAGCAGUUAAUAUAGACAUCUCUUGGAGAAUUCGUCAGACUCGACCAUAAGAUCCAGAUAUGAAGAGGAAGAAAGGUGUCUUCACUUGGAAUAUGAGAGAAAGACCGUGUAUGUAGUCCGUUUUAUGUAAAGGAAUUUGUUUUCUAGAAAAGUUGUUCCAAUGAAAUUAAAUUUAGAAUCAAUGUCUUCCUUUCUUUUUGCAUUCAUGCAUUUGCAUUACAUUACAUCAAAGAAAAGAAUGUGUUGAUUCGAAAUUCGAUUCCUAAAUAGAAUAGUUUGUCAUAAGGAAACGAAUUUCUUGAUAAAGUGGAUUAUAGUGCGGUCACCUGAAUAUAGUCUGAGUAAACACGAUGAGAGAAAGCUGGUAGUUCACGGAGGAAUACAUGAUGUAAUUUCUAGAGAUUCAAGCCAACGAAGGCAUGACGAGAGAAAGCCGGAAGUCCACGAAGGAAUACAUGACUUGAUUUAAUUGCCAACGAAGAUUAUCCAAGAGCCGGCACUUUUUGAUGAAUAUCAUGGAGAUAAGCGAGCAAGAGAUCGAGGCUCAGGUUAAGCAGUAAGGAGCUAGCAAAGGCAUCUUUUGGAGAAUUUACAGGGUUUAACCAUGAAGAAAAUAUCAGCGUUUACUUGGACUAUGAAGGGCAAUACCACAUAUGUAAACUAUUUUCAUGUAAAAAAAUUUGUCUUCUAGAAAAAUUAUUCUAAUAGAAUUAAAUUUAGAAUCAACGCAUUCUUUUUCUUUGCAUUCUUUUCAUGCAUUGCAUCACAUCAUAUGCAUUAAUGACCAUUUAAAAAGAACUUAAUCGAAUAAAAUCAUUUCAGUUAACCUGGAAAACCAACAAAGUUACGGCACCCGAGCUAAGGCAAAAGUUAUGGACCAAAGGUUGGAGAAGCUAGAGCGACUUCAAAAAGAAAUGCAAGACCAGUUGCAGGCGCAAAUGAAAGAGCAAAUGGAAAAGAUUCAGCGUGACAUGGUGCAAAAGAUGGAGGAGUCCCAAAAUGAUCUGGUGGCUAAGAUGACGCAAUUAUUGAAGGGAGUAGAUAAGGGUAAAGGUCCUGUGAUUGUUAGUGAAGAAGAAAACAAUGGUGAACCACUUUAUCCUCCAGGUUUCACGCCUCCGCAUGAGCAAGUACAGACUGAGCUGCAUCUGCGGAGACCCUCUGUGUCGGUUAGGCCCCAGCAGUUCCAAGGCGAUGCUUCAAUCCCAAUGAAUUUUCAACCCGGAGCGGGCUUUAAUCCCAGUGAUAGCCCGAAUAAUAUUGUUGUCCCAGAUCUUGAUGAGAUGGUUGAAAAGGACAAGGCGAAGGAGGAAUUUCCAAAACAAUUUGAGGAGAAAUGGAAAUGGAUAGAAGAAAAGUUUAGGGCAAUAGAAAGCAUCGAAAGCUACGGAAUAGAUGCAAAGGAUCUGAGCUUGGUUCCGGACUUGGUGCUCCCUUACAAAUUUAAGAUGCCGAAAUUCGAGAAAUACAACGGGACUAGUUGCCCAGGAUCCCAUAUUACUAUGUUUUGUAGAAGAAUGACGGGGCAUAUUAAUAAUGAUCAAUUAUUAAUACAUUGCUUUCAGGAAAGUCUUACGGGAGCGGCGUCAAAGUGGUACAAUCAGCUGAGCCGAGCUAAAAUUGCUACUUGGAGGGAUUUAGCACAGGCUUUCCUGAGACAAUACAAUCAUGUCUCAGAAAUAAUGCCUGACAGGAUAACUCUGCAAAAUUUAGAGAAGAAAUCAAACGAAAGCUUCAGACAAUAUGCGCAGAGGUGGCGAGAGGUGGCAGUUCAGGUGCAACCACCGCUUUUGGAAAAAGAGAUGACAACGCUUUUUAUUAAUACUUUGAAAGCCCCGUUCAUCACUCACAUGUUGGGAAGCGCUUCAAAAAAUUUCUCGGAUAUAAUCAUGAAUGGUGAAAUGAUUGAGCAUGCCAUUAAAAGUGGAAAAAUAGAUGGAGGAGAAAAUAAUAGGAGGGCACCCCUGAAGAAAAGAGAAAAUGAAGUGAAUAAUGUGAAUGCUUAUGGUAGGUCAAUUACCGUGAAUCAACCAAAGAAAGUGGUUGCUAAUCAACAGGGAUCAUCAAGACAAGAGUCGGGAGCUAGGCAAACUACUGAAAAGCCCUAAUUCACGCCAAUCCCGAUGUCAUACAAGGAGUUGUAUCAGACUUUAUUCGAUGCACAUGUUGUUGCUCCUCGUUACUUGAGUCCUCUACAACCCCCGUAUCCAAAAUGGUAUGAUAUGAACGCGCAAUGUGAUUAUCAUGCGGGAAUUUCUGGGCACUCGAUAGAAAAUUGUACUGCCUUCAAGAAGGUAGUAGAAGGACUUAUCAAUUUAGGUGUCGUCAAACUUGACGACUCACCUAACGCAAAGAAUCCGUUACCUAAUCACGCAGAUAAAGGGGUGAAUAUGGUUAGCGAAGAUACGGGAGAAGAAGCCAAGACUGACAUUGCUGAAGUAAAAACUCCAUUGAAACGGGUCUGGAAAGAAAUGGCGAAAAGAGGUUUGGUUAUUUCAGAUUCUGAGGAAGGGCAUGAGAUGGGAAAUUAUUGUGAAUUUCACCAUAAAACAGGGCACGAAAUCCAAGAAUGUGAAGGAUUUAAGGCUUUGGUUCAAAGCAUGAUGGAUAACAAGGAGAUGAGGUUUUACGAAGAUGCGAAAGAAAUGAGGAGCAUAUGCGCGACAGAGUUGGGAACAAAGGCUCCAAAUCAUCCUGUGGUCAUUAUCUCACGCCCUAAGGGUAAGGAGGUUAGGGCUCAGGUAACACCGAAAAUUGUAAUCCAGAAACCAUCAAAUUUCUCUUAUAGGGAUAACAAAAUGGUACCGUGGAAUUACGGGUGUAAUGUGACCAUUUUGGGAAAAGAAGCAGAAAGAAAUCAGGAAAUAGGUUCUUACACGCGCAAUAGAAAAAGAUAUGACGCUCAAGCAGAGUCGUCCAGGGAAGAGAAUUGGAAGAAAGAACAGAGGAAAGGGAAAGCAGUAGAAGUUGAGCCAUUGGUAAAUGAACCAAAAAAAGAAGAGGAGGCAAAGGAGUUUUUGAAGUUUUUGAAACACAGUGAAUACAGUGUUGUGGAGCAACUACACAAACAGCCAGCCCGCAUUUCUGUAUUAGCUUUACUCUUAAACUCGGAAGUACAUCGGAAUGCACUAUUAAAGGUGCUAAACGAAACAUAUGUGGCUGACGAUAUUUCGGUAAACAAGCUGGAUCGGCUGAUCAACAAUAUUGGUGCUGACAAUUUUAUCUUCUUCAGUGAUGAUGAAAUACCAUCCGGAGGAAGAGGUUCUACUAAAGCCCUGCAUGUUACUGUCCGAUGCAAAGGGUACACACUCCCGGGGGCCUUGGUUGAUAAUGGAUCUGCACUAAAUGUAUUGCCUUUGUCCACUCUUAGUCGAUUACCAAUAGACAGUUCGCACAUGAAAGCAUGCCAGAACAUAGUAAGGGCAUUUGAUGGAACAAAAAAGGAGGUUAUGGGGAGAAUUGAGGUACCAUUAAGGAUUGGCCCAGUCACUUAUGAGGUGGAUUUCUUGGUAAUGGAUAUUAAACCCUCCUACAACUGUCUAUUGGGGAGACCGUGGAUACACUCAGCAGGGGCAGUACCUUCAUCAUUACAUCAGAAGGUGAAGUUGGUAUCGGAGGAUCGGUUGGUAACAAUAGAUGCAGAGGAGGAUAUUAUCGCAAUGAUGACUAGCGAUGCACCUUAUGUGGACAUCAACGAUGAGGCACUAGAAUGUUCUUUUCGGUCGUUAGAAUUUGUGAACGCGAUGUUUAUUGCGGAGGGAAAUAGAAUUCCAGUACCAAAAAUAUCCAGGACCACUGAGAUGGGAUUGCGAUUGAUGGUAGGAAGAGGAGCCUUACCCGGGAAAGGAUUGGGAAAAUAUCUUCAGGGAAGGAUUGAGGCACCAAUGCCGAAGGAAAAGUUUGAUAGAUUUGGUUUAGGGUACAAGCCAGACAUGAAGCAGAAGAAGAAAGAAGUAGAGAAGAGACAAGAGAGAAGAAGGGCGCGUUUGAAUGGACAUGAAGCUAAGUGUGAGCCUUUAACCUUUCCCCACAUAUCUACAUCUUUUGUGUCGGGAGGAUUUAUUCAUUCUGAAUGUGGAGUGUCCGGUAGCGGCAUGGGAGGAAUGUUGGAAAACGUUUAUACCAACGCCAUAGAAGCAACGGAAAGGAGGGCCUUGUUGGAGAUCUGCCCUUAUGAGCCUGGAAGCGAGCUAAACAAUUGGACUGCUGAAGAAAUCCCUGUAGUCUUUAGGGCUUAUUCAGAGUAAUGCUCAAAACAUUCCUGUUGUUUGUUGGCCUAGAAACGAUAUGAAAUCUUUUGUGAAAUAGGCAUUGGGCCUAAAUAUCAUUAUUUUAAUGAAAUACGUGUCUACGUUCAUCUCGAUCAGUCACUUUUUUUUCCUUUCAUAUUUUUCAUUUGGUUGAUUGUCUUACAAAUAAUUCUUUCAUUUGUAAUUCUUUUGCACAAACAUAUUCAUAAAUUUAUAUUCUUGGUAUAUUCUUUGAUGCGCCCUCAUAGGUCUUCAGAUAUCAAUGACAUGAGUGACGCUGCCUCAAACACGGAGCCUAUUUUUGAGCAAAAAGUGUGUUCAGAGGGAUCCCACGACUUUGACGAAGAUUAUGAUGCAUCUCCGGACUUGUUAAGAAUGAUGGAACAAGAGGAUAAGCAUAUCCUACCUCAUAGGGAAUCGUUAGAAAUAGUGAGCCUAGAGGAUGGAAAGGAGGUGAAAAUUGGAUCUGAAAUCACCGCAAAGACAAGGCAAGACCUCAUUAAUUUGCUCCGAGAGUUCAAGGAUGUUUUCGCGUGGUCGUACCAAGAUAUGCCUGGGCUAAGUACUAACAUUGUGGUGUAUCGUCUGCCCAUAAAGGAGGAUUGUAAACCCGUUCAACAGAAGCUUAGGAGAAUGAGACCUGACAUUGUGUUGAAAAUAAGAGAAGAAGUCAAAAGACAAUUCGACGCUGGAUUCUUACAAGAAGUCAAGUAUUCGGAUUGGGUAGCCAACAUCGUCCCAGUUCCCAAAAAAGAUGGAAAGGUACGAAUGUGUGUGGAUUAUAGGGAUUUAAACAAGGCUAGUCCAAAGGACAACUUUCCACUGCCUCAUAUUGAUACUUUGGUAGAUAACACGGCGGGCUAUUCAUUGUUUUCUUUCAUGGACGGUUUUUCUGGAUACAAUCAAAUAAAGAUGCAUCCUGGAGACAUGAGGAAAACCACAUUCAUUACCUUAUGGGGAACAUUCUGUUACAAGGUAAUGCCCUUCGGAUUGAAGAAUGCGGGAGCAACAUAUCAAAGAGCUAUGGUGACUUUGUUUCACGACAUGAUGCACAAAGAGAUCGAAGUCUAUGUUGACGAUAUGAUCGCGAAGUCUAGAACGGAAGAAGAGCAUGUUCAGGUCUUGAAAAAGUUAUUUUUGAGAUUAAAGAAAUUUCAGCUCAAGCUUAACCCGGCCAAAUGCACGUUUGGAGCCAGAUCAGGGAAGUUAUUAGGCUUCAUAGUUAGCAAAAAGGGGAUCGAGGUUGACCCAGACAAAGUAAAGGCAAUACGAGAUUUACCUCCCCCGCGCACUCAGAAGGAGGUUCGAGGUUUCCUAGGGAGGCUGAAUUACCUUGCUCGGUUCAUCUCAUAACUGACAGAGAAAUGUGAUCCAGUAUUCCGGCUCUUAAAGAAACAUAAUCCGGGUGAAUGGGAUGAAGAGUGUCAGAGGGCUUUCGAUAAGAUAAAGCAGUACUUGGCUAAUACCCCAGUCUUAUCACCUCCAAGUCCAGAUAGGCCAUUGAUAUUGUAUCUAACAGUGUUGGAGAAUUCCAUGGGAUGCGUAUUGGGCCAACAUGAUGAGAUAGGAAAGAAAGAAAGGGCAAUAUACUACCUCAGUAAGAAAUUUACCGAUUGCGAAAUGAGGUACUCAUCAAUUGAGAAGUUGUGUUGCGCUCUAAUCUGUGCAACCCGAAGACUGAGGCAGUAUAUGUUGUAUCACACGACUUGGCUGAUUUCAAAGUUAGAUCCUUUAAAGUAUAUGAUGGAAUCGACUGCUUUGAACGGGAGAAUGGCUAGAUGGCAGAUCUUGCUCUCAGAAUUUGAUAUAGUAUAUGUCAGUCAGAAGGCCAUAAAGGGAAGUGCAAUAGCCGAUUUCCUAGCUAGUAGAGCCUUGGAGGACUAUGAAUCUUUGAAUUUCGAUUUUCCAAACGAGGACUUGAUGUAUGUGGCGAAUACUGAAGAAAAUCCUUAAAUGGAUCGCGUAUGGAAGUUAAAUUUUGAUGGAGCUUCAAAUGCUACGGGUAAUGGAGUUGGGGCAGUUUUGGUAUCCCCAAGUGGAGAUCAUUAUCCUGUUGCUAGCAAGUUGGACUUCGAUUGUACAAAUAACAUGGCAGAAUAUGAAGCAUGUAUUAUGGGCAUUCGUGCAGCCAUUGAACGGAACAUCAAAGUACUGAGAGUAUACGGGGAUUCAGCGUUGGUGAUAUACCAACUCAAAGGGGAGUGGGAGACUAGGGAUCCUAAGCUAAUCGGUUAUAGAAAACUAGUUCUUGAAUUGGCUGAGGAGUUUGACGAUAUCACCUUCUAUUACCUCCCACGGGAGGAAAACCAAAUGGCUGAUGCUUUAGCUACUCUAGCUUCGAUAAUUCAGGUGAAUAGACUUGAGGCAAUGAGGCCUGUUCAGAUGAGUAUCUCUGAGACCCCGGCUAAUUGCUGCAAUAUUGAGGAGGAGGGAAAAGAUGAUUGUCCUUGGUAUCAGAGUAUCCUACAAUAUGUGAAGAAUCGGGAAUACCCUGAUCAAGCGACAGAGAAUGACAAAAGAACUCUGAGAAAGAUAGCCAUUGAAUAUGUCUUAGAUGGAGAAGUGUUAUAUAAAAGAAGGAAGGAUCAAGUACUGUUAAGGUGUGUGGAUGCUGUGGAAGCCAAGAAAAUUUUGGAAGAAGUCCAUGAGGGUAUUUGUGGGACGCACGCCAGUGGUUUCACGAUGGCCAGACAGAUCAUGAGAUUUGGGUACUAUUGGCCCACCAUGGAAGGAGAUUGUAUUGAUUAUGCCAGGAAGUGCCACAAAUGCCAAAUUUACGGAGACAAAAUGCACGCGCCCCCUUCACCUCUUCACGUCAUGACCUCUCCUUGGCCGUUUUCCAUGUGGGGUAUGGAUGUUAUUGGGCCAAUAUCACCAAAGGCUUCUAAUGGGCAUCGCUUCAUCUUCGUAGUAAUUGAUUACUUUACUAAGUGGGUGGAGGCUGCUUCAUAUGCAAAUGUCACGAAAGCAGUAGUCAGCAAAUUCUUGAAGAAGGAGAUCAUUUGUCGAUAUGGAAUGCCUGAGAGGAUCAUAUCCGACAAUGCGAUGAACUUGAAUAAUAGCACAAUAGCUGAAGUUUGUAGCAAAUUUAAAAUUAAGCAUCAUAACUCAUCGCCGUAUCGUCCCAAAAUGAAUGGUGCAGUGGAGGCGGCCAAUAAGAACAUUAAAAGGAUUGUGGGGAAAAUGACUGAAACCUACAAGGAUUGGCAUGAGAAAUUAUCAUUUGCUCUCCUUGCCUAUCGAACAUCUGUUAGAACUUUUACUGGGGCAACGCCUUUUUCUCUGGUUUAUGGAAUGGAGGCAGUAUUACCUAUUGAAGUUGAAAUCCCUUCUCUACGGGUGUUAUCUGAGCUACAGUUGGAUGAAGCCGAUUGGAUCCAAUCUCGGUACGAUCAGUUGAACCUAAUAGAAGAAAAGAGGCUAAGAGCUAUUCACCAUGGGAAAAUGUACCAGAAACGAAUGAUGCGAGCCUAUAAUAAAAAGGUUCGCCCCCGAGAAUUUCGUGAAGGGGACUUGGUACUAAAAAAGAUUCUUUCUAUGCAAAAAGAUUUUAGAGGAAAAUGGAUGCCAAAUUGGGAAGGCCCUUAUGUUGUAAAGAAGGCCUUUUCUGGUGGAGCUUUGAUCCUAUGCGAGAUGGAUGGCAAAAGUUUACCAAAUCCUGUAAACGCAGACUCCGUCAAGAAAUACUUCACUUGAAAGAAAGGGGAACCAAAGUGAAAACCCGUGAAGGGCGCUUUGCUUCCUAAAAAAAAAAGAAAAAAAAAAACUUUGGGGAGGCUAAGGUGAAAACCCGUAAAAGGCACUUUGAGACCAAAGAGGGCUGGAGUCGAAAACCUGAAAAAGGUGACUCAAGUACUGGGCAGGAUUGGAACAUCAGGAUUUGAGCGGAUCAAAUUUUGAUCGGGGGCAUAUGAUUAUCUUGCUUUACUUGAACCAAUAAGAAAGGAUAUGCAACGUCUUGGAACAUGGACAGAGUAUUCCAGAUCUCCUGAACACAUGUCAAACUCAGAAGGGUCUUCGGAAAGUUUGUACAGAGAAACUCAAGCUGCGAUAACUGGGGCACCUAGUUCUUAUGUGUAUUCUUGAAAAUACAUUUUUUUAUUUUCUUUCUUUCUUCCUUUCUUUUGGUGAAAACGCACAUUCUCAAUCCAUUUCUUUGUUACCUUGCUUUCGCCAUCUUUGAUGUUUUAUUCGAGUUAUGAUCAGAACUAGCUUUAUUCUUAUCCAUUGUUAUGAUCUUUUUGCAAACAUGUUGCAUAGGAAUAAUGAUUAACGAACUAAUAAAACUUUCAGGAAAGAAGUUUUGCACAUUACUCUGGAAAAUUUCUAAAUAAUAUAGGGACCUGAAUCAUGACUAUUGUUUAGAAAAUACCAAGUUUAAAGGGUGAAAUAUCUAAGAAGGAAGAGUCUAAUUUAAAGACUAUCCUUUCAGAUUUUGUUGUCUAAACAUUGAUUGAACAAAAUGACAAGCUGUCGUGUUACAAAGCUUAAAUGAACAAGCAAGCAAUGAUCAUCAGGCAAUAGGAAGAGGUUACCUCGGAGAAGAGAGCCUUCACUUGCGCAUAAGACUUUGGUACGACACCUUGAGAAUGGUGUAGGAAACCAGAACGGUUCAGAUCCUAUAUCCCCGAAUUGUGAUAAAAGAGGACAGAGGAAAAGCCACAUAUUUCUACCCUUAGAUUACUGUGAGAGAAUGAUGGUACAAAUUUUGGCGUCCCAGUGGAUAUAACUUUGAGGUUUACAAUGGGGACAGUCUGGCUAAAUGUUUCUUCAGAAAAAAAAAUCAGUCAAGCGAGAAGGCGUUGCAGCACGUCAGUCACAAAGCCUUAGUAAACUUCGAGUAAUGACAACCUAAGCGAGAUCAUUCUCGGAAAAAUAAAAUUCUGCAUUCAUGCGAACACCAUUCACAUAUGUCUAGUUAGGAGCAUUUGUUUCAUUUUGAUCAUGUCAUCCUAAUCAUUAGGCAUAAUUAGGUUUAUUAUACAGGUCUUAUCUCCCUGAGAUUACAGUGGAACAGACCAAAGAAUUUCAGAUCCUAUCUCCCUGAGAUUACAGUGGAGCGGAUUAAAAUAAAGGAUCUUAUCUCUCUGAAGUUACAGCAGAGUAGAUCGCAUCAAGUCUUAUCACCCUGAGGUUACAGGGGAGUAGACCGAAGAAUUUCAGAUCUUAUCUCCCUGAGGUUACAGUGGAGCAGAUUGAAGCCAGAGAUCUUAUCUCUCUGAGAUUACAGCGGAGUAGAUUGAAGCUAGUAAUCCUAUCUCUCUGAAGUUACAGUGGAGCGGAUUAAAAUAAAGGAUCUUAUCUCUCUGAAGUUACAGUAGAGUAGAUCACAUCAGAUUGAAGCCAGAGAUCUUAUCUCCCUGAGAUUACAGUGGAACAGACCGAAAAAUUUCAGAUCUUAUCUCCCUGAGAUUACAGUGGAACAGACCGAAAAAUUUCAGAUCUUAUCUCCCUGAGAUUACAGCGGAGUAGAUUGAAGAUAGUAAUCCUAUCUGCCUGAGAUUACAGUGGAGUGGAUUAAAAUAAAGGAUCUUAUCUCUCUGAAGUUACAGUAGAGUAGAUCACAGCAGACAAAACCACAGAUCUUAUCUCCCUAAGCAGUUAGUGGAACAGAUCACAUCAAGUCUUAUCUCCCUAAGUAGUAGUGGAGCAGACUAAAAACACAAAUCUCAUCCCCAUGGAGUCGUAGCAAAGUAUAUUGAAGCUACAAGGCGUAUCUGAACUUGAAGUAGAGUGGAUCGAAGCAACAAGAUGUAGCAGGCUGGAAUAAGGCUACUUGAAGAAGAGAAGCACCCAAAGAAGUCAAGCCUCGGUGAGACCAGGCAAAUUUGGUCUUUUUUAGUCUUUGCUCUGUUCUUGUUACACAAAAACGAGCAAAGAGGGGCAGCUGUAGAAGCCCAAAUUUGCCGGGCCCAUACCAACAAAAUAACCCAAACAAUAAACCCGAAGCCCAACUACCCCAGCCCAUUAACCUAAGCUCAGCAUUCAGAAACCCUAAUCCCACUAACCCUAGCCACCUACCCCCCACUUGCCCACUUGCCCACUUGCGCCGAACACCACCAUGCCACUGUCGGCCAUGGCCACCUGCAAGAAGCCAAGUAGAAAUAAACAAAUAGAAAAUAAACAUUUGUAAUCGGUUAUAAAAACCGAAAAUCUCACCAUUGAUAAAGGGGAUUUUUUAUUUUUUGCUAUGAAAACAAAAGAUUUUCUUUCAAUAUUAACAGAUUCAAUACAAGAACCAUUCGAAAAUAUAUAUACUAUCAGGGGCUCUAACACCAAAUCGGAGAAUCAAAUCUAAAACCUAAGGUGACUCUUUCUUUUUUUUUUCUUUACUGUUUUGAGUUUAUUUUCUACAUAAAAAUACUAAAAAAUAUUAAAACAUAAAAAUAUAUGCAUUAUUAAGCAAAAAAAAAGAAAAAAAGAAAAAAAAUAUUUUUUUUACCUUUUCCGGCCACCGCGUGCGGUGGCCGGCGCCGGCGCCGGCGAGCCUCCGGUGGCCGUCCGGUGACCGGCCCCCUGGCCGGAUUCCCCUUUCCCCCUCCCUUCUCUCUCCCUUCUCUCUUCCCUCUCUCUCUUCUUUUUUUUUCUUUCCCUCUCCCCAAAUGAUUUUUUUUGGCUAUUUUAGGCCUUUAUAUAGCCCUCCAAAACGACGUCGUUUUGGGGGCUACACUUAAGCCUCAAAACGACGUCGUUUUGACCAUUGCCCGACCCAUCCGACCCGACCCGCUAGAGGAUCCGCGUGUUUUCGUUUGAAUGGGAUAUUUAUGCGCCCAGUCCUUCCGCUUUUUCAAGGUUUUGCAGUUAAGUCAUUUUUCUUGUUUCCAAUUUGGCCCCAUAAUUUCUCAUGCUUUUCGAUUUAGUCCCCGCUAAUGUGCUGUGUUUUAAUGGAAUGGAAUAAUUGUUGUUUCGGUCCCCCUAUGUUUUGUGCGCGCUCAAAUAAGCCCAUUUCUCUUUAUUUCCUUUCACAUUUGCCCCACAACUUUGUUUUUAAUUCAAUUUUAGUCCUUUUUCGUUUAUUUUUAUAUCUUUAUUAAAUAUCAUUGUUAUUUUAUAUUAUUAGUAUUAUUAGUAUUACUAUUAUUAUUAUUAUGUAUUAGUAUAUAUUUUUAUUAUGUACGCGUAUACAUGUAUAUAUAUUUUCAUAUUUAAUAUUUUUAUUUCAUUUUUUUCUAAUAUUUUAUUAUAAUUUAUAUAUAUAUACAUAUACAUAUUCUUUAUUAUUUAAGUAUAUAUUUUUUAUAUUUCAUAUUUUCUACAGGCAUAUAUAUACUUAUAUAUUUACAUAUUUUAAUUCAUAUACUUAUAAAUGUAUGUACAUACUUACGUUAUUUUAUUUUUAUAAUAUACAUAUUUAUAUUUUUUUGUCUUUAUGUAAUAUAUAUACAUACAUGCGCAUGUUAUUUUUAUAUAUGUAAUUAUGUUUUCAUAUUUUAUACUUCUUGUACAUACACAUAUAUAUAUGUAUAGACAUACAUAUUUUCAUUAUAUAUAUAUACCUACAUAGUUUUUUUUUUGUAUUUUAAAUCUUUUAAAAUUCAUACAUGCAUUUUUAAAACUUUUAUAAUUUUAUUCAUUUCUUUAUUAUUAUUAUUGUUUUACUUUAUGUUUAUCUAUUUAUUUAUGUGUCCAUUAUUAUUUUUUUUAAAAAAUGUUUUAGUUUUUUUUAUUUUGUUUAUUUACUUGUUAUUGUAUAUAAUUGAUUUUUUAUAUAUUUAUUUUUGUUAUCUUCGCUCGUAUUAUUUUUACUCGCAUUAUCGUAAUUGUUAUUCCGUCACAUCAAUUUUUACCCAAAUUCGUAAAAAAGGGAAAAUUUUGGAAAUAAAGGCAAUACUCGAUACUUGGGAUCUUCGAGAGAAUUGGGCCCUAACGUGCUGGGUUCUAAUUUUCUGUUGAAUCUAAAUGCUCGAGAAUGCUCUUUAAUAUAAAACAUAAAUAAAAACUCAUUAUCGGGAUUUCAAUAUGUUGUGUCCUAACGCAUUGGAUAUGACAUGUGGUUUUCUCGAUAUGAGGAUUUUUUUUUUUCGAAAGUAAAGACAAUAUUCCGUAUUUAGAAAAUUCGAGAAAAUCAUGCCCUAACUUACUGAGCUUCGAUUUUUCUCGUUGAUUCUAAGUAAUCGAAUAUCCUUUUAAAAUUAAAAUAAAUGAGGUUUAAAUAAAAAAAUGAAAGGCAAGUUUACUCUCGAAAAUACGAGGUGUCGUGUCCUAACUUACUGGAUGUAACAUCUUGUUACUUCGAGAUAAAGAGGCAUUUUCCAUUUUGAUUUAUUCGAGUAUUUUUAAAAUAACACGAUAUAAGGAGGGAUCAUAUUUUUAAGAUUCUUUUCGAGUUUUUAAUUUUCGACACUAAGACACUAAUUAAUCAACUAGGUACCAAUUUUGGGCGUAUCGAGGGUGCUAAUCCUUCCUCGUGCGUAACCGACUCCCGAACUCAUUUUUCUGAAUUUCGUAGACCAAAAUCGUUGUUUUAAUAAAAUUAAAUCAUUUAUUAAAAACAACCACUUUUUGAGGUGACCCGAUCACACCUCAUCAAAAAAGGAUUGGUGGCGACUCCCAAUUUCGUUUCAUUUUCAAAAUCCAAGUUGACCCCGUUUUCAUCCAAAAAAUGGUGUCAACAAAAUUUUCUUUAAUAUAUUCACUAUAAGAGCCAAUAAUAUUUAUGAAACUUAACAAAACAUUAUGACUAAUGAGAAAUAAAGAUAAAAUUAAAAAAAGAAGAAGCAAUAAUUGAAUCGAAAUUACAGCACUUGGAAGACUAAAUUUGCAAUCAAUCGAAAACAUGAGGACUAAAACCAUAAUUAAACACAAUGGUUCAAACAUUCAAAUUCAGAUAAUGGAAACGUCGCCGUUUAACUAUGAACCAAAUUGAAACCAGAUUAAAUCAUACGGUAUAAAUCGAAAAAUUGCAGAAAAUCGAAUUAGAACAAUACAAGAUAAAAGAGGACUGAUUGCGGAAAUAGUCCAAUGAACCAGAAUGCGCGGAUCCUGCCCCGGGUCGGGUCACCGCGUGGGUCCAAGGACGCUAAACGGCGUCGUUUCUUUCACACUAUAUAAGCUAAAAUAAACCUAAAACCUAAAGCUCUCAGUCAUUUUUUAAGAAAAAAAACCUAAAAGAAAACUAAACUCCUGGCGCCGCUUCAGCGUCGAAAACCCCCCUCGCCUAUUCAAUCUUGGCCUGAACGGGGGAGGGAUUCGGCGACUCACCGAUCCAGGUAAGGUUUCUGAACUGUCCUCCCUUUUUAUUUUAUAUAUAUGCUUAUAUAUGUGAUUACUAGCAAACAGAAAAAAAGAAAAAGCAAUCGGAAAAGGAACAGAACCGAAAAGAGGAAAAAAGAAAACCUUUUUUGUAUUGAUUUCGUUUUUUUUUUAUACAGUCUCCCCUUCCGGAGUACAUGAGAAAAUAAGGCUCUCAUAGCCCGAAAAAUAAAAAAUAAACCCUCUUUUCUCCUUUUUUCUUUUGUUGUUAUCGUUUUUUGCUUUUUUUCUUCUUCUUUUGCUGUUGUCUUGUUAUUUGCUGCAGGUACGGGUACGCGUGACGUGGCUCAACGCGUAUGGAGGCAGAGGCUGGCGUGGAGCGGCUCGGAGGCGUGGCUGCAGCGCUGGAGGCUGAAUGUUGCUAGGGUUUGCUGCUGUGCAUUCUGGUGUUGGGCCAUUUGGGCUGAGUUGGUUUGCUGGGCUUAGAAUCAGGUUUAGGUUUGGGCUAGGGUCUAGGCAAAUUGGGUUUGGUGAAUUUUUUUGUAAUUUGGACUGUUAUUUUAUUUGUUUUUUUAUUAUUUAUUUUAAUAGCGGGCUGGGCAAAUUGGGCCUAUUACAAUAUAUAUAACCAAAUUUUGUAACACCCAUUUUAUGUUAAAAAUAUUUUCUUUAAAAUUAAGUAUAGGUUGGGUGGUAAAGUACUUAUAUUUUAAUACUAGUAAAUACAUGUUCAAUCUUUAGAUUUAUAAUUUAUAAUUCUUUUAAUUAAAGAUGAUAUACAAGUAUGAAAAGACAAAAGUGACAUAGUAAUAAUAUUAAUUAUAAAUUUUAUAAUUUCAUAAUUGAGUUGAUGACGUGGUUGAAGGUGGCACUAACUCUAAAACACUUAAAUAUAAUAAUAGCUUAAAAAUAAGGGGCUUUUGGAAAAUACAUUUCUGAGUUGGUGACCUGAGGGUCACACCAACUCAAUAAAACUCUUAAAUAUUGAUUACAAAUCCUAUCACACACUUAUGUGUAUCAAUAUCACAAAUUUAGAAUAUAAAGAUGUGUUUAAAAUUAACAUACAAUAAAGAAUGAAAUUUAUGGUUUGAAACUAAUUAGUAAUAACACAUGAAAUAUGUAUGAUAUUAAAAUGAAAAAAGAGAGAUUAAAUUGUGCAUAAAACAAAAUUUUAUCCUAUUACAUCAAUAAAGUUAUAUUUAUUACCCUCGCCAAUUAUUUGUCAUUAAGAACAUUAAAGUAUCCUUGAAUGAUAUAACUUAUUCUAAAUAGAGUUGAUGUAUGGUUGGCUUGGGAUACCAACUCAGUCAGGAGCUUAAGAUUAUUAAAAUAUUCUUAUUUUAAAGAGAAAUUAAUAUUAUUAUAAGAGCACGUUUGGUUCGUUGUAUUGGAUUAGAGGCGUAAUGGAAUAGAGGUGUAAUGGAUUAGAGGUGUAAUGGAAUAGAGGUGUAAUAGCAAAUCAACUGUUUGGUUAAAUGUAAUGGAAUAGAGGCGUAAUAGUAAUCUUGUAUUUGGUUGAAUGAAAUAGAGGUGUAAUAGCAUAAUGGGAAAAACUAAAAUGACUAGAAUACCCUUAGCAUAAAUUUGUUAAUGAUUAUUGUUAUUGUUAUUUAAAUUUUAAUAAGAUUAUUAUUAUCAAUAAUAAAUAAUUUAAUCAUAUUUAAACAUAAUUAUUAUUAAAUAUAUUAUAAUUAAAAUAUAUAAUUUAAUAAAAUUCUUAAUAAUCAAUAUUCUUAUAUGAAUUUACUCAAAUCAUAAUAUAUGAUACUAUAAAAUUUAAAUUAACAUAAUUAUUAUUAAAUAUAUUAUAAUUAAAAUAUAUAAUUUAAUAAAAUUCUUAAUAAUCAAUAUUCUUAUAUGAAUUUACUCAAAUAAUAAUAUAUGCUACUAUAAAAUUUAAAUUAACAUAAUUAUUAUUAAAUAUAUUAUAAUUAAAAUAUAUAAUUUAAUAAAAUUCUUAAUAAUUAAUAUUCUUAUAUGAAUUUACUCAAAUCAUAAUAUAUGAUACUGUAAAAUAUAAAUUAAAAUAAUAAUUAUUACAUAUAAUUUAAUAAUAAUAUAUAAUUUAAUAAAAUUCUUAAUAAUUAAUAUUCUUAUAUGAAUUUACUCAAAUCAUAAUAUAUGAUACUAUAAAAGAUAAUUUGAAAUAAUUAUAACUAAUAAAUUAUAUUUUAUGAAUUUGUAUAAUUUAAAAUAAUAAUUAUUACAUAUAAUUUAAUAAUAAUAUAUAAUUUCAUAAAAUUCUUGAUAAUAAAUUUUCUUAUAUGAAUUUAUACAAUUUAAAAUAAUUAAUAUUAAAUAUAAUUUAAUAGUGAUAUAUAAUUUCAUAAAAUUCUUAAUAAUAAAAUGUUCUUAUAUGAAUUUACUAAAAUCAAUAUAUAACUUGAGAAUUAUAUUCUGCAUAAACAUAAUUAACUUAUAUUAAGAAAAGGUUAGAUGAAAAUGAAAUUCUACAUCAUAAUCCAUAUGUUAUAUAGUUUUACAACAUCAAAAAGUUUGAACAUUGAUAUUUAAUGGUGAGAAAGAAAUCUUCUGACCCAUUCCAAUCGGGCAACAGAAGGUAAACUAAAGAAAACGAUCAUUUGAGUUGGAUGAUCUGGAAUUUUACUCAAAGCAUCAUACCGCUGAUCGUCAGUUAAACCUUCAAUUGACCAUAGGGCUGAAUAUAAAUUUGAAGCUUUCUCUUCCAUCUUUUGAUAUUCUUCUGACUUCUGCUGAACUACCACCUCGAAGGCAAUACUCCUACUGAUUUGAUCGCCAACGGCCUGGAUUUUUUCCCCCAACAAAGUGGCAGCCUCAUCAAAUGAAGAAUACACAUUAUCACGAGCAUCAGAUUUCUUCUUUCUCUUGUUUGAAGAUGAGGAACCCCCUUGGUCUCUAUCUCCUCACGGAUCUGUACCAGAAACAUCCAUGUCGUCUAAAGAGACGUCAGCUUCGCAGUCAUAGAAUGUGUUUCUCUCUUCAUUCAUAUCUGUAGUACGUACAUCCUCAGCAUGUAUUUCUUCAAGAACAUCAGCAGCUGUUUGAGCGUCUUUCCCAGUUGCUCGAUCUCUUGCUUAUAUGGUAGUAAGCUGGUCAUAGUAAGAGAAAGUACGAUAUUUGAAUUGAGUGGCUUCUCUGUGACUCUAAAAAAAAUGAGGAAAUCAUAUUAGUCAUAAGUUUGGUAUAAAUAAGAUAAUAAAGACUUGAAAUAAUCUUACCUUUAAAUAGGACUCCCAAACCGUAUCUUCAGCAACAACGAGCUGCCUAUGCUCGUCCCAACCAAAACCGCUAUUGUUUUGGCCAUUAAGCAUGUCAUAAACGAUUGACCACUCCCUUUUUAGUAACCUAACCCUUGAUUCAAUAUUAGGUUUCGCCUUCAACAUUGCAUUUAGUAAAACCGUUUGUAGCAUUCUUUCCAACUCGUUCAAAUAACCGGCUUUGAACCCGGUAUCAGCAUUAAAUGUUCCAACAUUGUGCAGGUCCACCAUGCAGGAAACUAAUGCUGCAUCUUCUUCUGGAACCCAUUUUCUUUUGCUUCCUCGAGAAGCUUGAGAAGAAGCAUUUGAUUCUGGAACACCUGACAUAAUGAUCUUAAGAACAAAAAAAAAACAAAUUAUAUUAAUUACUAUUUUAAUAUCAUGAUUCAAAAGGUCAACACUAUAUAAAAUCUAAGGAAUUAAGUUGAAUAUCAUGAAUCAAAAGCUCCAUACCACAAAAAAUUUAAAAUUAUAACACAUGCUGAAUUAGAAGAAAUUAUAUUAUAAUUCAACAAGUUUAGUACAAUACAAAAAUCAAUACAAAAGUUUCACAAACUAAUUUCUAGAUGCUUGCCAUUCAUCGAACAUUUGGUUGGCUAGUUCCAUCCUCCAAGUAGCCCAAGCAUCUGAUGGAUGAAUAUUUGUGAUAUUCGGUUCAUCGUCAUCCACCACAUUAAUUGUAGGUAAUCCUUCUCCCACCUCCGCUUCAAUGGGAUCAAUACUCAUAUGGGUUCGAAUAAAAUUAUGGAGCAAACAACAUGCAAUAAUAAUUCUAUUGUGCACCCUUACAGGAUAGAACGAUGGACUCCUAAGUAUUCCCCAUCUAAGUUUUAAUAAGCCAAAGCAUCUUUCAAUAACAUUACGUGCUGAGGCAUGUUUCAUAUUAAAAAACUCUUGCGGAGAACUUGGCUGAUAACCCUGACGCCACUCGUUCAAAUGAUAUCGCUGUUCUCUAAAUGGUGCAAGAAAUCCCUCACAAUUUGUGUAUCCAGCAUCAACUAGAUAAUAACAACCUAUAAAAUAAAUUUUUUUUUAAAAUGAUUAAUUCAGCACACAAAGUUUACUAAAAAAAUAAUUCAAAGUCCUCUAACUAUACACUUUACCAUGAGGAACUUUUAAUCCAUGUCUUCUACUAAUGGCAUCUCGAAGAACCCGUCCAUCAGCAACUAAACCUUCCCAACCAGGAAGAACAUAAACAAAUUGCAUCUCAGGUGUACAAACACCUAGCAUAUUUGUUGCUAUGUCACCUUUUCACGUUCGAUAUCUAGGUUUAUCAACUGUUGGAACCCUAAUCUUGAUGUGGGUUCCAUCAAGAGCACCUAAGCAAUUCUAUAUCACAUGAUAUAAAACCUUGAGUUAGAAUACUAAUUUAAAUCUAAAUCAAGUAAAUGUUGUUGAAGAUAUAUAUAAAACUUAGUCCAAUACCUUAAACCAUUUCCACCUUGUGUCAGAAGAAUCAGCUGUAAUUAGCUCUGGCUUUUUAAAUAACACAUCUUGUAAGCGUAUGACAGCAUUUAAAACACUAUGAAAUGCUCUGCUAACAGUUUCCCCGGACCUUCUAAAGUGAUGCUUGAUAACUCGAUUUUUCAGGUGAUGGGAGAUGAUAAGUAAAAACAUUGCUACUUGCUCGUCAACAAGCAUGAACCUUGUCGACUUCAAUCCCCUAUCGAUUCUAACAUCUCACAUUGUUUAAAAAAGGCAGCUCUAUUCAUCCUAACUUGUUCAAUACAGGUCUCGUCACUAGCAUAUACAAGCCUCUUCACAUAAUCCCGUUUUGCAUAAAAAUCUACGGUAUAGGACCUAAUCCUUGGUCUAUGUAGCCUAAGGCUGGCACCCAUUCUAAAUAAGAACCAAAUCGCGAUUCUACAGAUUUCCAACCAUAUUGUCACAGCAAUACCAAUUCUUUUACGCCUCACACUUUGUGCAAUUAAAGGCAGACGAGCCAUUACUGCAACAUUUAGAACACACAUAGUUUAAACUCACGAAUUUAGAACACACGAUAGUUUGAACAUUAAUUAGUUUGAACAUUUCAUUUCGUAUAAAUAUAUUGAUUAGUUAAUUAAAGCAUGUUCAAUGUUUGAACAUUGAUAGUUUGGACAUUUAAAUUUAAAUUUAAAUAUAAUUUCGUAUAAUGAAAUUUAAGAUUUAAUAAAGGUGAGUAUCAAAGUUUGAUCAUUGAAUAAUCUUUUUUAUUGAUGAUUAGUUUAAUUAAGGUUUUCUAAUUUCAAAAUAAAUAAAAUGAAGAAUGAAGAUUUGGUUUAAUAAUGAAGAUUUGGUUUAAUAAAUAAAAUGAAGAAUGAAGAUUUGGUUUUCUAAUUUCAAAAUAAAUAAAAUGAAGAAUGAAGAUUUGGUUUAAUAAUGAAAAUGAAGUUUUAAAAUUUUUAUAACAUUUUAAAUGGUAAUUUUAUUUUGUAAAAAUAUAUAUAACUUUUAUCUCAUUUACAUGUACAAAUUAAUAUUAACAGUAUUGUAUUUGCAAUUAUGAUUGGAAAGAUUGAAAUCUAGUAUUGUAUUUACAUGUACAAAUUAAUAUUAUUUAAGCCCAUUAUUUGUAGGCAUAAUGCUCUUUAAGAUUGAACAUAAUUAAAGGUUGAACAUAAUUAUUAUUAUUUGAAUAAUAUCAAUUAAAGGUUGAACAUAAUUAUAUAUUAGUAUCAAAUUUGUAUGUACUCUUUAUAUGUACUCUUUCACUAAUAAAUUAUAUAUCAAAUUUGUAUCACAUUGAUUUUAUGUACGCUUUCAGUAAUAAGUUAUAUAUUAGUAAAAAGUUGGUGCAUUGGUACACCAAAUAAUUUGAAUACAUACUACUUUCUUUAAAAAAAAUGUUACCUAUUAGUAAAAACAUAUAACCUAUUUGGGAAACAACAAAAGCUGUAAUGACCAUAAUUAUGCAAAUUGGUGAUAAAAAAGAACAAUAAUUAUGCAGCAAUAACCAUAACCAUACAAACAAAAGCUGUAAUGAGCAAUACAAACAUACAAACAAAACCAUAUUCAUUUGGGAAACAACAGAAGCAGCUACAGCAAUACAAACAUAACCAUACAAGGAAAACAUACUAAUAAACCAUGAAUACCAAUGGAAAACUAACCUGUAAUGAGCAAAUCGGGGACGACUGCGAUGUAGAAGUGUUGGAACAAAGAACCUGUAACCAGUAAAGGGAAAUCAAUGUUACAAAAAUAAUCAGUUUAUAAAAUUGAUCAUACACUUUACCAAAGCAGCCUCUCAUUUAGUAACCAGUCCUUUAGAUUAUUAAAUAUACCAACUUGGCAGCUUUGAAUAUAUAUGCAAAGCCAUUUUACUUUAAAAUACAUCCCUCCAUUUAUCCUCUUUAAUGUGGUUCACUAGCACCAAGGAAGGCUUAGCAAUGAGGACUUUACAUUCCCUUUCGAAUUUUAAAAUCCCAGGGUUUACCAUCACAAGAAGAUACAUCCUUAUUCAAUCACACUCACCAACUAUUAUGUAAUUACUAAAAAAUGCAACCAAAAUGGGGUUGGCCUAACAUAAAUCAUACACCACACCAUCAAUUGAAGGUUAAUUCAUGGUAACAUUAGUAUUGAAAGGUUGCGUUGUGGGCAGCCUAAGAGGACUCGCAACACUAGGCUUAAUUGCUGUAACAUAUCACAUUCGGAGGCUGGUUCGGACAGCAUCAAUAAUACAAUAUUUAGACAUCAUUAACAACGCAAUAUUCGAACAACAUCAAUACCACAAUCGGACAGCAUAAACAGGGCAGCAAUUAACAAUACCAACAAGGUAAAAUUCGGACGGCAAUUUAACAGUUUCAACAAUUAUCAAACACAAGAAAAUAGAAGUUCAAGGAAAACUCGCCAAGGUUCCCAACACCAAUUUUACCUAUUUAAUUUACUUCUUCCCUUUUCCGCUACAGCCUUCUCCCACCUUGUUAGCUAAAUACAAUGAACCCAAAAGUUACAAAAAUGGUGUAUAACAACUCAAGCAUUCACUAAAUUCUUUUAACACAAGUGAGAAACUCCUCAUCUUCUAGACAUGCAACGUUUACAACUAGAAAAGAAACUCUUCUCUUCUCCCACACAUUCGGUCAAGCUCAAUUCAACAAUGCAACCAGAAUUUGUCAACGAAAAGCUAUGGGCAAGGGAGAGCUUAGAAGAGUUACAGUUCUACUUGAAAAUUUUAACUUCUAAGCAAGCAAAUUUCAUGGUUUUCCAGUACAUGUAGCCGGCCUCUCCUCUCUAGCUUCAUUUGAAAGAGACAAGGAAGCAAGAUAGAAAAAUAAAAAGUCGAAGUCUUUCUUUCUUACUUACCGUCCAUUUCUCCACCCUUUACCCAUCAUAAAAUGAAAUUUAGCCAAUCAACAAAUCUUAGCCGGCCACCAACCAAAAACCAAAAACCAAAAACCAUAAAAUGAAAAGAAUCAUGUAAAAGUUUAUUCAUACCUCAAAAACCAAACGCCGAGACCGAGAGAAGAAACGAUGAGGACUGAAUCAUCAACGAAAGCAGUGGGAAAUGGGAGGAGAAAUUAUGAGGACAGAAGAUGAGAGGGUCGGGUAGGGAGGGAGGGUAAAACAGAGAGUUGGGGAGGGAAGCCGGACGUAAUACCUAUUACUCGAUUUGGGAAGGGAUUAGAAAAGCAGGGAAUUUGGGGAUUAGGUCGGGAUUGUAUUACGCGCGUAAUACCUAUUACAGCGAACCAAACGCCAGAUUAGGGGCGUAAUGUAAUAGCCGCAUAAUCAGUCAGUAAUGGAUUACCUAAUACACUGAACCAAACAUAGUGUAAGUGUAUUUUCACCUUUUCAUACUUUGAUAUAAUCUUCAAGUAAAACGAUUGAAAAAUAUUAUUUGACGACACAAGACUAAAAAAAUUCAUAUAGAAAAUGCUUACCACUCCACUAGUAAUCAUUUGUCAAUGUAUUUUUGGUAAAAAGACCUCUCCAAUCCCUCUUAAUUUCACAAUUGCGCAAAUUAGUCCCUCUCAAAAAAUUAAAGCAAUUUAAUCCUUAUCAAUUUUGAAAGUGAGUAACUAAGGAUAAUUAAUUAUGGUGUUAAAUUCUUCCAUCAAUUGUACAUAAUUUUGAUUGGUAUAGUAAUAAAUUUAGCCUUCAAUGUUUAUAUAUUUUGUCAUUUUGGCCUUAAUUUUUAAAAAAAUUUUAAGAAAUUCAACCUCAACAUUUACAAUUUACACAAACGUUGCGGGAAAAUUUUGUUAAAGUAAGACCAGCUAAAUUUAUUAUUAUACCAACCAAAAUCAUGUACAUUUUAUGAAAAAUUAACAUCCUGAUUAAUUAUUCUUAAUUGCUCACUUUCAAAAUUAAUAGGGACUAAAUUGCUCUGAUUGUUUUAGGGUGACCAAUUUCCUCAAUUUGGAAAUUGAGAGAGACUAUUGAGAUCUUUUACAUUUUUUUUUAUAAAUAUAUUUUUUAAUAUAAAAUAUAUUUGUUCACACACAUCGUGUGUAUGAUAAAAUAUUUUUAUUGUUGAUUGAGUUGGUGUCAAAAAUUAACUUGACACCAACUCAAGAUUAAUGAUAACAAUAUGAUAAAUAAUUUAUUUAUUUAAUAUUUUUAAUUUAAGAUAUUGAUGUAAAUUUUAAGACAUGUAUGUCUUGUAGAAUUGUAAUUAUACUUUUUCAGUAUUGACUCAGUUUUCCACAAUUGUGGGUCUCUAUUUGAGCAAAACAAUUUCAACAUUUCUUCAUCUCGCUUAAUCCAAAUGCAUUUAGGAUUUUCUUAUAUCAUUGCUUCAAAAAGGGUAAAAAAAAACGUCGACAUUGAAUUUUCUGUUUCACAUUCAAUUUUUGGAUACGUAGAAUUUUCUAAUUUAUUUUCCAUCAACUUCACUUCAAUUUUCAGUCACAAUCAAUUGCAAUCAAGAGCACCACAUCUUUUUGGAUGAAACGAAGCUCUCAAUUUUAAGAUAAACGGGUCUUUAGGGUUAUUAAUUGAGGGCCUUUUCCACAAUUGCCAUCGUUAUUUGCGGGUGAUUGGGUUACGACAAUGGUUUGAAGUGAAGCUGUUUCAAAUGAAUAUGAAUACUCUACCAGUAAGUCAUAAUUUAAAAUUCAGGUUAUGUUUCAUUUCAACUAAGUUAAAUGUUAAGAUUGAAGUUAAACCUUUUAGAGGUUGCUCACAAAAGGAUCAAACCUUUAUAAAAGUGCUUAAAUGAAUGCCAAAUUUUUUAAAAUAGACAAAUAAGGCCCUAACCUUUUAAAAGGUGUUCAAAUAAGGGCUUCUCAAAUGUUGUAUAUCAGGUUAUGUGUUUUACUCUAAACAUAUCAGUAUUUACUAUUUUUUCUACAAAUUGGGUUGAAGUGCAUGAAAAAUUUUAUUUUAGCACUUUUGUAAAGGUUAAACUCUUAUUUGACAAUUUUGAAAGGUUUGAUCCUUAUGUGAGCAACCUUUAAAAGAUUGAGCACUAAUUUAACAAGUUGAGAAAUACCUAAAUUUGUUUUCAUGAACCAAGAAAUUAAAAAAAAAAAAAAAACAUGUUGAGAAAUAUUUUAGAGAUUCUUAGCCUUGACAAGUUCCCUCCACCAUCUCCCUGCCUCCAGUCCCACCUCUUCUCUUAUGCUCCUUCCAGGUUCUUGUUUUUUGUGUAUUGAAAAUUCGACGGAACAAAAUAUCAACCUACAUCAUAAGGCACGAAGGCCAGAACUUUACUUUCUAGCCCGUCCGAUCCAAUGAAAGAAGAACAAAGAGUAUUGAGAUCUGACAACUUUAUUUCAUUUUCAUUUUCUUUGUUAUUUUCUAUGUUUCAUGUCAAAUACAAUGGAAGAAGAACAUAGAAAAAUGUUGCCUAUUUAUUUCCCAAUCAUCAUGAAAUUACUUGCCAUAGUCUUAGAAUUUUCUCACCAAUUUUCAAGCAAUCUCACAUGAUUUCUCAAUCACAAUUAAUUGAAUUCAAGAUCUUUUUGGAUGACACAAACAUUUCAAUUUUAACACAAACCAAUAUUUAGGUUAUACUUCAGUGCUUGACAAGCACUUUCACAUUUGUGGGAUAAUAACUCUAGCAUUUUAGGAUCACAUUUAAUUCAAUUGCAUUUAAGACCUCAUGAUUUUAUUCUAUAAUUUGAGUCUUAUCAACCUUUUGGGAAAUAAUAAAACAUCGACAUUAAACUUGUUGUUGAUGCAUUCAAUUUGAUUUUUUGAGGGGUCGUUGGAGUUAUAUAUGACUUUAGCAUUGAUUGAUUUUUUUAGAAUUAAUCUUUUAUACCAAUUUAAUAACAUCGACAUGUUUUUGGGUAGGGUAGAACAAAACCCAAUUUAAACCGAUUAUAGUGGUUUAGUUGACUCGGUCAAGUCCAUUAGAUGGAUAAAAUCAAUUUUAAAAUCAGUUAUAAUGGAUUAAGGUAAUUAAUUAUCUAGUAAUGAAAUACAUAAUCAAAUCAGUUACGGAAUCCGCCAUGUUAGAUAAUAUGAACAUCCCAUAUAUAAUAAGAAAAAAUUACGUACGAUUAUUUAUUAUCAUAAAUGGUUAGCUUAAAUUUAAAGUAAUCUAAUAUUUUUAUUGAUCUUCAACUAUUAACUAAAGUAUAAGCUAAAUAUGUGUAAAUAUUCUAGAAAUCAUUUCUAAUUGAUGAUAGGCUAAUUCGGAAUUAAGAUUAAUAUAUAAAAACUAGAUAGUAGGGUUAUAGUCCUCAAACUACACCUAAUUUAGUUUUUCCGACAUAUUUUUGAAAAAAUAUCACCUUCUUUAAAAAAAAUUGGUACAAAUUUCAAAAAUUAAAACUAUCAAUAAAUUCAGAUAUAUUAAUAAGUACCAACUAAACAAUACUUAAAUAUAGAUGUGUUUUAUAAAAAAAAAUUAUCAGCUUAAAGAAGUUGCAACAAAAAUUUAAAAUUCAUUUAUCAAAUGAAUAUUUAAAACUUAUAAUCUAAACUCUGACAUAAUAAAAUACAUAAGCAUAACUUGGAUUUACCAAAAAUCUAUGAACUUUUCUAAAACUUAAAUUUUAGUCCCUAUACUUUAAUUUAGAGACAUUGAGUCACUAUACUUUUUUAUUUAAAAAUCUUGGUCCCUUCAUCAAUUUUAUCAUUAUAAUUGUUGAUUUACUUGUUAUAAAAAAGGUAGAAUAACUUUUUUAGCCUUAAACAUUUAUAGUUUUUAUUAAUUUGGUCCUUACUCUUUAAAAUUACAUAAAAAUUCAAAAAUAUUUUAAAAAUUAAAUUUUUUCGUAUUUUUAAAAACAUUUAUAGUUUUUUUUUGUGGUUUGGUAACUUAUCAACUCGACUCUUAAUUGUGACAAACUUUUUUGACCUUUUUCGUACCCUUAACCUAAGUCCCGCUACAACUUUCUAAAGACCUCUUGAUUGGUGUAUCAUCUCGAUUUGUUUUUAUAGUGGUGGAGAUUUGGUUUUGAAGCAAGCCUAUGAUAAUCACAUUUUUCAUUCAACUGUUGAGCACACAAUACUUGAACCUUAAACACUUAGAGUGCUUUGAGUGAAUCUUAGAUAGGGUAUUGAUUAUGGUUGAGUUUGAAUUUCAGGUAAUUAUUGAGAUAGAGGAGACGCCUAUGUUUUUUGUGCUUUACAAAUUUUUGCUUAGAUUGCUUUUAUUCUUUAGUGUUAUGCUAGUUUCAAUUUCUAGUGCGUGAUUAUCUGUAGAUUAUUCCUAAGGAAUUGUCGGUGAAAACAAUAAAUUGAGGGAGAUUAACUUGAAUAAGGGUUGAGAAUUUUGCUUAAGGACAAACAAAUGCUUAAGUGUGGGGAUAUUUGAUAAGUGCUAAAAUUAAUAUGUUUUAACAUCAUUCUUAAUGUGUUUUUGGUUGAUUAUUUGAUGUUAAUUAUGAAUUUUAUGCUCCUAAUUCGUGUUUUUAUGCUUAAUAGAACAUUUGGGAGGAAAAUGAGCUAAAAUGGGGGCAACUAUAGGACCCACACAGGCUGACCUAUUCCAUAUGACCAUGUGGGUCAUGUGGCAGGCCAUUCGAUUUCGUAAAUUUUCACUCUGAACUGCGAAAAAAAAACGAAUUUUAGGUUUUUCAAGCAUUUUAAGGCGUAUAUAUGAAAAACAUAAGAAUAUAGGAGAGAACCUACCUAGAAUAUUUAAGAAAACAACUCCAAAAACACCAUUGAAGUCGGCUCUGAAGUAGAUUUUCAUCAAGAUUGAAGAUUCCCAGUUGAUUUCUUAGGAGAUUAUCAUGAGUUUCUUUAUUUCUUUCGGUUAUACUGCCCUUUGGAUGUUUUUAUUUUUAAGCAUGAACUAAUUUUCUAAAUACCUAAGAGAGAUGAACCCUAUGAUAGAUUGUGGCACCCCAAACCCGAUCGGGAUAGACCGGCCCGAAUUCGAAACAUUACAUUAGCCACCUAAGUGACUCUCCAGCUAACGACCACCCAAGACACAACCCAACCUUAUAACACCUCAAUCUUGUUUAAUUAUUAGUUAUUUAUUAAUGUAGAAGUAAAUUAUGAACCAAUUUUAAACUUUUCCUAGGUAAUUUAACCUAAGGGCAAUUUCAUCAUUUUACCACCUAUUGUAAAACUAACCCGAUUUUAGAUCUAAUUGCUUAUCAACCUUUUAAUCAAAUUAUGGAAGCCUAAAAUUUUUAGAUUCAUUUGAGUUUGUUUACUAUGUCUAAUUCAAAUUUUAUUACUAGGGACUAAAUUGUAACUUAAACAAAUUAGAAUAUCAAUUUAAAGAGACAAAAAUUCAAAACCCCAAAACCUACACGGGCAUGUGGAGACUGGAGCUAUCACAUACGGGCAAGUGAGAUUGAAAAAUAUGAAAUAAAUUAAUCGACUUAUUUUUCCAACAACCAUGCUAUGCUACCAAACCAAAUAAUGCUUGAAGCUUUGAAUAGGGGCGAAUCUAAAAAAAAAAAAAAUAGAAGAAUUAUAAUUAAAGUAUACAAUUUUGAGAAGUUAUCAUGUAUUAAUUUAUUAUUUUUUAAAGGGUCUUAAUAGAAAUUUUUUCCCAUUUUGGUUGGGCCAAUACCCUUGUCUGCCUCUUUAAAUUUGCUUCAACCCUAAACCCAAUAUUCGAUUUGGAUUAACAAAAAUAUAUAGGUUAGUAUUUGUGGGAGUUUGACGAAUAAAAAUUUCUUUUCUAGAGGUUUAAAUUAUAAAUUUUUGAAAGAUUAAAAUAAAUUUGUAUUUUUUUAUUAACAAAAUAUAAAAGAAAAAAAACAUGUUUAGACAAGCCAAGAGACCUUUGGGAUCAUACGGGUGAUUUUGAGAUGUUAAUGGUUAUUUUGGUGGAGAGGGUGAAAAAGAAACAAAUGAUUCAUUAUAUAUAAUAUAAUUAUCAAAAUUCAAGCCAUAUAUUGUAUGUUUCAUCCAUAAAAAUUUGAUGGGAGGUCCAAAGGUAAUUAAAUGACUUGUGGGCUUGCUGAAUUUCUUUGAAAGGCCCAAAGGCAAUUUAACAUUCACAAAAUAAUCUCUAAACACUGUAAAGACAAAUCAAAUCCACAGUAGCAUAAGAGUUGAUUAAGCUAAGCAUUGGUAAAUAUUACUUUGAUUUUGCAUGCAAUAUUGACAAAACCCCCUCCUACAUUAGAAAAACAACAUAAUCCAUGGAACAUUGAUAGCCCAAUACAAAUUUAUUCGAGAAAAAAGUCUCUUUGUUUUGUAGAACAUGAUAGUAAAGAUGUGGAGUUUCGUUCUUCUUAUUGGCCUCCUUUAGUUUUCCUUGAUCAACAACCACUAGCCAAAAACACAAUUAGAUUAGAUUAUGAAUGAUACUUUCAACUAUGACAAUAUUAAAUACAAACCCACUCUAAAUAACUUUAAAUAAAUGGAAAGCAGCAAAUUACCUGACCAGGCAAGCUAGUUUAAUUAAGACCAUUGUGUUAUACUUGUCUCUGAAUUGAAAAAUUUAGAAGGAAAUAAAGAGAAAGACUUAGAAAAUACUUGAAAACAGAUAAAACUUAUAUGUCAUUUAAAAUAAAAUAAAAAAUUCUAUUUAAGCCAUUUAAAAGUUUUAAGAUUUUUAAAAUUUUAAAAUGAUAAAAGUAAAAUAAUACUUUGGCACCCAAAAAUGAUAAAACUUUGAUUUAAUUCUUUAGUAAUUAUAAAAAUAUAGGAUAUUAAAAUGGUGAAAUUACAUUUUUACUAUAGUAAAAAUUACAAUUUAAUUUCACCCCCUAAAAGGAUUUUUUGGCUUCGCCACUAAUAAAAUCUUUGGCAAAAGAUUAAAAUAAAAUUAUACCGUAAAUGGAAAAAGAAACUAAGAAAAUCCAAUCUAACAAAGAAAAUAACUUGUUGUAACCAAAAGCUACCAUAAACCGUAAUUCAUGGGAAGGCUUGUUGCUUAUUUUAUUGGUUUCCAUUUUGAUUUUGCAAAAGAAGUCAGAAUUUUGAAGAGAGCAAAAGAAAAAAAAGUUUAUAUGAUUAAAAUUCUAGAAUAGAUUAAAAAUGUUGAAUUAAAGAUAAAAUUAAGUGUACUCAUUACUCACCAUCUCUGUUAAAAAUGUUGGAUGUUGUUUAGCAACCUUUGUUUGAUUUUCUUCAGCUCAACCACAACAUCUUUCAUAUCUUUUCUUUCUUCUGGUAACUCAGCUGAACAAUUCAAAGCCAACUCCAUGAUAGAUGAAAUACAAUUUGCUUUAACAACCAUGUACUCAUCCUCUCUUCUUAAUAAAUCAACAUCUGCAAUUUCUAUCGCUCCUUUAGGCAAUGAUCUUUCCAUCCAAUGCCUUAUACUCUCUUCUUCAACAAAAACAUUAUCAGUUGGCUUUUACUUUGUGAAAGUUUCUAUAAGGACGAUCCCAUAACUAUAGACGUCAGAUUUUAUAGAAACAAUUCCUGCUGAUCCAAAUUCUGCAUUUCAAGUAUAAUUAGAACAUCAUUCACCCUCAGUUAUUUCUAAAAUGCUUAUUCAAAUAUAUAUCCACAUCCACAUGAAACAAAAAUAUAAAAUGAAAAUUAGGAAAAUAAUCAUACAAAAAUAAAAAAGAAUUCACCUUGUGCCAUAUACCCGAUAGUUGCAAGAGUCAUGGUUUGCUUCAUUACUUCACCUUCUCCCAACAAUUUGGCAACGCCAAAAUCUCCAACAUGUGCAACCAUGUCUUCAUCUAGUAAAAUAUUUCUUGGUUUUAUGUCACAAUGAAUUAUAGGUGUUGGAUGUCCAUUGUGGAGGUGUUCUAUAGCUCCCGCAACAUCUAUCAUUAUGUCGACCCUUUGUAUGAUAUCAAGGAAACAAAUUUCAGAGUGUAACCAUUUCUCAAGGUUUCCAUUAGACAUGUAAUCAAGCACCAAGGCUUUGAAGUCAACACUUGAGCAGCAAGUAAUGACCUUCACAAUAUUACGAUGAACUAUAUUACGCAUAGCAUCACAUUCAAUGUCAAAACUCCUAAAUGCUCCCUCUGUUUGCAAAUUGAAAACUUUUAUUGCAACUUCCAUUCCAUCUGAAAGCCUCCCUUUAUAUACAUAUCCAAAACUCCCUGAACCAAGCAUAUUGCUUUCCUCAAAUCCAUUAGUUGCUCGUGAAAGUUCAGCAUGUGAAAUUCUUCUCGGUGUCUUCAAAGACAACAAAUCAUCUUUAAUUGGUAGAGUUGUACUUCUCCUUUGGCAACUUCUAUACAUAAUAGUUAAGACUGUUAGUACUACGACAAUACCAAUUGUUGUAAACCAUACCUAAAAGCAUGCAAUAUAAUCAUUUGGGAGUUUUUGUGGAUGUCGUUUUUGCAAGGUGGGACUAGCAAUCUAGGUGGGCCACAAAGUGCAUAAUUCUUCAUGAAUGAUGUGCUAGAAAAGUUUGAAAAACAUCCUUUGCUGGGAAUUUCCCCUUCAAGUCUAUUGAAAGACACAUUAAAAUACUUUAGAUAUAAAAGCUUUUCCAAAGAUUUGGGAAUGACUCCAGAGAGAUUGUUAUUGCAUAAAUCCAAGAAUUCCAAACUAAUCAAUCCAUCAAAUGAUUCAGGGAUAUGACCAUGUAGUAUAUUAUUUGAUAAAUCUAAUGAAACCAAAGUUUGAAGACCCCCAAAUGUGGAUAAGAUAUCGCCCGUGAGAAGAUUCCUUGAUAAAUUUAGUUUCAGUAGACUCCUAAGAUUUCCAACAUCAAUAGCAUGUGAAUUGUGAAGAUGGUUUGAUGAUAAAUCUAUUUUUAAGAUAUCUUUAAGAUUCCACAAAGUUGAGGGUAUUGCAGAACUCAAUUUGUUGGAAUGUAACCAAAGAUAUCCCAAAGAAGUAAUAUUACCCAAACAAGAGGGUAUAGAUCCAUGCAGCUUAUUCAACCCUAAAAACAAGUUGUAUAAUCUCUCCAAAUCACAAAGGCUUUCUGAGAUGGGCCCUCCUAAUUUAUUAGAGGAAAGACCUAGACUUUGGAGAUUCCGCAGUCCUCCUAUUGAUGUUGGAAUGAAUCCACUUAAUUUAUUAUAGCCAAGUUCUAAAAGCAACAUGUUGCUUAAGUUACCUAUUUCCAUAGGAAUAGUGCCUUGAAGCUCACAAUCUUCGGCAUAAAAGUAUUGAAGGGAUUUUGAAAGGUUCCCAAUAUAAGUAGGAAGAACGCCACUCAAUGGAUUUUCUGAAACUCCUAUGGUUUUCAAAUUCUUACAAUUCGUCAAAGAAGAAAGAAAGCUCCACUCAUGAUCAGUAGCAGAUCCUGUGAUCAAAUUAUUGUUUACGAUUCGGAACCAUUCAAGCUGUCUUAAGUUGCCAAGCGUUUUAGGGAUUGGGCCAGAGAAUAAGUUAUCUCCCAAGUCUAGUUUCGUAAGCAUGGAAGCAUUGGAGAUAGAGUAGGGAAUGUUUCCGCUAAGUUUAUUUCCCCCCAAAAAAAGAAACUCAAGCUUUGGAGCAUUGGUAAUGGGUGGUAAAUUACCUGUAAAAUAGCAUCUUUUAGUAUACAUAUUAAUUGAAUACCAAAUUCAUAAAAUAUAUAAUACAUUAAAAUAAAAACUGUAAAACUUCAAAUCAAUUAAGAAUAAAAUUUUGGCAUGGAAAAAUGUGAUGAAAUCAAUUAGAAAGUUGAGACAUAAUAAGAAGUUUUGAGUAGUAAUUACUCAUGAUUUCUAUAGACAAAACAUAUAAUACACUGAUAAUUUUUUAUAAUUUUUACAAUAUUUACAAUUUCUAACAAUUUUUAAUAAUUUUAUUAUUUAAUACAAAUUUAAAAUUUAACAAUUUUUUAUUUUUUUAAAACAAUUAUAUAUUUAUAAUGUAGUUAUUUUUUUUAUAAUUUUUUUUGAAAUUUUAAAGAUUUUUUUGGUUUUUUUUCUAGAUGAUGAUGCCAUCAUGAUGACAUCAUAUGCCACAUGGCAAUUUAUAAUUAGUUAAAUAUCUCAAUCCAUUUUUCUAACGUCAAAUGGACUAAAACAAGAACACCUGAUAAUGUUAGAGACUACACUUGGAAUGUUUGAUAAUAUCAGGUACUAAAGUGGGCAAAAAAAUUAAGGACUAUAUUAAAAAUAUAUCUAUAAUAUAUAUAAAUGCAUGGAUUUUGAGAAACUUUUGAAAUGAUAAUUAUAUAGUCUUUGUUUUUUUUACUAUAUUAUUGAAUUUUUUAUUUUAAAUAUUUUUUAUUACUUUUAAGAUUUAUCAUAUGUAUGUAUAAGAAUUUUGGUUUUACUAAAAUAUUUGGUCAAAUAAAUUCACUUUAUCAAAAAAUCUAGCAUCCUUAUAAAUAAAAAUUUUGAUUCUAUUAAAAAAAUUAUUUUAAAAAAUAUAUAAUAAAAAUUUAAAAUUUAUAUUGAAUUACUUUAUACUUAAAUUAUUAUUAGAAACUUUAUCAUACACAUACGUGCAUUAGAACCAUGUAUUUAGAACUUAAAUUUGUGUUUUAAAAUAACUUAUGAUAAAUAAUGAAAUGUAUAAUUUGAAACUAUUUAAUAAUAACACAUGACAUAUCUACCAUAUUAAAAUAAAAAUAGAUUAAAUUGUAAGUAAAACAUAAUUUAAACAUAUGAAUACAUCAAAUUACGAAUACUAAAUGAAUACAGUUAUUUAUGAUGAUGUUGUUGUCAAUUCCUAAGUUGGUGUCGAGUUAAUUUGUGACAUCAUAAAUUUAAGUGAUAAAUUUAAGGUUUUAUGUAUUGAUGCGGAUUCAAAUAUCACCAUAAUUUUUUUUAAAUAAAAAACUAAAGUACCCUCAAAUAAUAUAACUUAUAUUAAAUAUGAAAGGGUAGUUUUGUAAUUUCUCUAACGAGUUGGUGCCCGGUUGACUCAUGACACCAACUCAAUCAAAAGCUUCAAUAAUAAUAUAGAUAUUCACGUUAAAAAAAAAGUACUUUAGUUCCAAAUAAUUAUAUAACAAGUAAAUUUAUAAUUGAUGAAUAAAUUUAUAAAAAUAUAUUUAUAUGAUCUAAUAUAUUAUAUUUAUAUUAAUUAUAUAUCAUCUACAAACUUUGAAGAUCAAUUCAUUAAGUAUCAAGAAAGGAAAAAAAUGAAAUUGAAUUAACACUAAAUCAAUUUUUAGAUUUUGUACAGAUGAUUUAAUGAUGAUAAAAAAAUUAUUAGCACUAUUUUUGAAUUAACAAAAAAUUAGUGAUAUAUUUUAAUUAUAUUUAUUAUUUAUUAUUUUUAAUAAUGUUUUUUUAAUUAUAUGAAGUAAAAUUACAGUGUAUACUAAAUAUGGUACAUAUACUUUAAUUAUAACUAGAAAAUUUAUUAUAUAAAUUAAUAUAUUUUAAUUAUAUUCAACCAUUUGAACAACAAAAUAAAAAAAAUAAUUAGAAUAAUUUAUUUUUUAAAGUUUAAUGGAAAUUAAAAAAUUAAAAAUAAAUCAAUUCAUAUAAAUUUUGUUGUUUAUUUCAGAUGAAAAUGAUAAAAGUAUAUGACAUAAAUAGAAGAAACAAAUUCAACACCAUGUUUUUGGAGUUUGGAAAAAAUUAAAGUGAAAAACAUACCUUCUAAUUUGUUGUCAUGGAGACCUAUUUUUUCGAGCAUAGUUGAAUUAAAAAUACUUGAUGGAAUCUGACCUGCACACAUAGUCGAAAAUUGAAGUGAAAAACAUACCUUCUAAAUUGUUCAACUAAAAAUACUUUAAGCAUAUUUUUUAGUAAAGCCCUUCAAGCUUGGGAAGAUGUUGACACGUUGACACAUAUCAUUAGGCAAAGACUAAUAGCUUUCAAAGAAGAAAUCUUGAAGAUGGAAGAUGGAACCUGACCAGAUAAUUGAUUGAGUCCCAAGUUCAAGAUCUCUAGAUUAGACAUGUUAGCAAGUGUUUCAGGGAUUGUGCCUAUAAAGUUAUUAUUUUUCAUUUCCAGCCUUCGAACUCUGUGUAUGUUCCAAAGCCAUGAUGGAAUUUCCCCAUUAAGACGGUUGUAGCUUAAUCGAAGGAUCCGCAAACGAUGCAAUUGGCCCAAUUCUUUAGGGAGAUGGCCAUAGAAAUGGUUGCUACUCAAGUCGAGAGAGAGUAGAAAUGAAAGAUUUCCAAGGUGUGGAGGGAUAGUACCCCUAAGAUUCAUGCUUGUAAGAUUCAAAGCUGUAACUCUUUUAUGGAGGAUGCCACAAGAAACACCAAUCCAAUUGCAAACAGAGGUUGAGACAGUCCAAUUGUUUGGCAAGACAUUUUGAGGACCGGCGAUGCGAUCCUUAAACUCGAGAAGUGCAAACUGAUCGGAGUUGAGAUUUCUGACUGUCAUAGCCAAGCAAAGUACGGAACAUGGUAUGAAUAAAGCUAAAAGAAGAUGAAAGCAAGUGUUGUAGUUCAUGAUUGCAAGACAGAAUAAGAAAAGAAAAUAAAAUAAAAAAAAGUAGGAAAAGGGAAGUUGAGUUGAUAAAAUAGUUUGGAUGAUGAAGAAAAGCCCAGACAGCAUGCUUUAAUAUGUUUGGAUGAUAAAUUUAAACUUGAUAAAUUUAAGACUACCCUAAAAAUACGUACAAAGAAAUUUCAAAAUUUCAAAAUAAAUACGUACAAAGAAGCGAAUUUUCAAAAUUUCUCCUAAAUUUUCUUCACAUUACUCUACAUAAUCCAUUAAAAAAAACUUAAAAAAUAUAUUUUAUUAAUUACUAUAUAUUCUUUUAUUUUCAGAAUCAUAAAUUGUUUAAAAUAUGCUAUUAGUCCCUGUAAUUUAAAAGUUAAAAAAAUUCAAUCCUCCUAUUUUUCUAAUUUAAAAAUUCUAGUCCAAUCAAUUUUAAUUCCAUUAAAAAAUUUCAACUUAAUAGAUUUUUUAUUAUCAAUCAUAUGCAACAUUAUAUGAAGACAGUCUACUCAGCAUAUAUCCAAGUUUACAGAUUUUAAUAGAAAAUACUUACAAUCCUAAUGGUAGGACUAAGUUUUUUAAACUAGAAAAGUAAGAAGACUUAAUUUUUAACUUUUUAAGUACAAGGAUUAAAUUUUAAAUGUUGUCAAAGUACAAGCACUAACAAAAUAUUUUGAUCUAAUAAAUGUAAAAAACUUUUUAAACAAAAUAAGGUUUGAAAUAAUCUAUUUGUCCUUGUAAUUUUAUAAAUUUGAGAUUUAAUCUUUAUACUUAAAAGGUUAAAAAUUAAGUCUUCUUGUUUUUAUUUAAAAAUCUUAGUCCUAUUGUUAAUAUUAUUUUUUUUUUGCCAAAAUUUGUCAACUUUACAUAUUAAUUAGGUUUCCCUUAUAUGUCGUGGUAUAUGACUAACACAAAAUAAGCAAGUUGACAAAUUCUGACAAAAAAUAUCAAAGAUGAUAAUAAUUGGAUUAAAAUUUUUAAAUUGAAUUAAUAACCUUUAAUGUAUAAGGAAUGGAUAUCAAAUAUUUAUAGGAAUAAAGGGACUAACAACAUAUUUUAACCAGAAAAUAAUAUGAGUGAUUAGAAUGAAUCUAAAAUUUUAUAGAAAUAAAAGAGACUAACAACAUAUUGAUAACUUUCAAAUCUCCUUCGAUCAUCCUUUUUCUACGUAGAAAAAGAAAAUUAAUUAGCAUCUAAAGUGUCAAUUAAUGAAACCUUCAAAAGAAAAUGUGAAAGUGAUUUAUCAAACAAUAAUAUUCUAACUUAUAAUAUAUUUAAUUACAUUUAGUAAUUUAUCAAUCAAAACUUAUUUAACAUCCAUCAAUACUUCAUACAUAAAAAACGCAAGCAUAAAUUACCAUUUAACUCAGAUUUAACUUUGCAAGUAAACUUAAAAUUUUAUUUAAUUUUGUUACUAAAUUUGAUUUGUUCACUAUAGAGUUUGGUGACUUAAAAUAAAAGUAAUAAAAAGUUAUUCUUUCAGAUAUCUUUUUAAUGUUUAAUAAUAAAUUAAUUUAUAAAAUAUACUUUCAUUGGACACAGGCCUCCAAAGCGGUGAACCACUAAUCAAAUUAAUUUGGGGAUACCUAAAUUUGUUUUCAUCAAUUAAGAAAUUUAAAAAAUUGUUGAGACCUCAUGAUUAUCUUUUAUAAUUUCAGUCUUAUCACCAAAAACUAAAAAAUAAAAACGUCGACAUUAAAUUUGUUGGUAUGCAAUCAAUUUUAAGAUGGUUUUUGGGGUUAUAUAUCACUUUAGCAUUGACUUACUUUUCUACUCUUAGUCUUCUCCAACAAGUUAAAUAUUUGAAUUUUAACAACAUUGGCAGGUCUUUGGGGUAGGGUCGACCAAAACUUAAUAGAAACAGAUGAUAUAGGUUGAGUUGGCUCGGCCAAGUCGAGUCGACUUGUUCAAAUUAUUUAAAUUAGUAAAUUUUAGGGUGCAGUUAGAAUUUUUUGUUUUGAGAUGCUAAGAUUAAAAAAUUUCAGUUGCUAAAACAAAAAAUUUGUAUUUAAAAAGGCAUAAAUUAAAUAAUUAAGUUUUUCAAGUUUCCAUUUAAUCAAAGGUUAAAAGGACUAAAUUGAAGCUUUUUAUUUUUAAGAAAGGCUGAAUGCCAAAUUGCCCAAAGCCCAUGCCCCUAGCUAUACAACUAACUUUUCUAUGAUUAGUCCUUGGUUUGCUUUGGGUGGAAUCUUCCAACUAGCCUCAUCCUUCGUUUUACUUUCCAACAAUUAGUUUAUCAUGAGUUUUGUUUUCUUUAAAAAAAUAUUUUUGUGGAUAUUAGGAGAUAAUGAAAAUUAAUUUAGUAUGAAAUUUUAAUAAAACUGGAAAAUAAGUAAUUUAUUUAAGAGAUCACAAUUAAACGUUAGAUUUCCAAUUUUUAAAUUUUAAAUUAUUUUGACAAUUGCAUAAUAUUUUGAGCAUUGUAGGAAUGCCAUAAUCUUCCCUACGCAUAAUCGACUCUUGAGCAUGAUGGAUCCUAGGCCUUCUCCUCUAUUCUCGUACCACAAACUGCUUCGAGUGUGGAUUCGAACAAUCACAAAUUAAACACAAAACCAGAAAUGAUUUAUUACUUUCAAUAGCAAAGUAAUUCUCUCUCAAUAGAAACCAAUAGAAUUGUAAUUCCUAAAAAAUAAAAUUUAUUUUUGGAAAAUAUAUUCCCACUACUUUCUAGCAGAAUAAUAAUAUGUGAAACUUAUGUCUUGUGUUAAUAGCUCUACCAGCACUAUCUAUUUAUAGGGAGAGACGAGAAUCCUGGUUGACUUAGUAAAACACGAAUAAUAUUUAUUUCAUUGAAAACAAUAUUCCACCCUAAGUAGAUCAAGUUUGUAUGACGCAUGGAUCGAAGCUCAAUCUAGGAGAAAAAAAAAAGGAAUUUUCUUUGUAAAGAAAAUCUGAGAUUGUACUAUUUUCAAAGUUAUAAAUAAAAUUAUAAGCUAAAUUUUCAAGUCAAUUUUCAACUCCAAUUUUGUAUGCACAAAUUUCUAAUACACUUGGUGGGACAUUCUUUGACUUUUAUCUAUUCUCUCAAAAAGUUAAAGUUCAAAGUUGCAUUAAACUCAAAGAAGAUAAUCAUUAGUAAACCAGCUCACAAGCCUGCUCAAGCUAAUCCUACAACUUGUUCCACUUCAUCAUCAAACACCAAUGUUCUUGCUUAUCCUUAUGGAAUUAAACAGUCUCAUUUUCUGCAUUUUGGAUACACACCUAGUUUUGUUUGAUGCUAAAACAGUCCCUGAGCACUCCAAAGCCUAUAAUUGAACAAAUAACACUAAUUUAAUCUUACAUAACGUGAUCCCAAAUUGAACUUGUAUCGAGGUUUUAACCCAUAAGUGACUAAACUUUACCUUCAACCGAUGAACAGUAAUUCCCACAUAAACUAAGACUCCGAUUGGCGAUUACGAGCCCUUGAAUCCUCCCCUAAUUGGCAUAAACAAAACACUUCAGAAGAAAGUUAACAAACAGAGACAAAUCACUUAUCUAAAACUUACUGAAUGAUCACAGACAAACGUGGAGCGACACAAGGCAGAGUGGGAAAAGAAAAAUCAAGAGGAUGAAGGGUGAAAGAGAGCAGAAAUUCGGUAGCAAUAAAGAGAAAACGGUAAGAGGGUGGAGGGAUUUUGGGGAAAGUAAAAAAAAAAGAUGAACAGAAUAUUUGAUAACUACCCCAAUCCCUUAUUUCUCUCCAUCAAACUCUCCACUAAAUCCACUACUCGAAUUUUUAGUCCAUCUCAAACUCUCCUGGACGCAUGAGCAAAAAAUAAUGCCCAUGCCAAAAUUUGAACACAUGACCUCCUUCACACCAACACUCCACUUAUCCACUAGACCAACAGGCUCAUUCUUUUAAUUAUUUGUCAACUUUUACUUAAAAGCCUACUGACCAAAAAAUACCAAAAUUUGCCCAAGUCCUAGAUUGAACUUGGGACCUCCCAAACACACCCAGAACACAUAGCCAAUUUUCAAGCAAUCUGACAUGAAUUCUCAAUCACAAUUAAUUGAAUUCAAGAUAUAUUUGGAUGAGAAGACAAAUAUUUCAAUUUUAACACAAACCAAUGCUUGGGAUGAUUUGGGAUAAGAACUCCAACAUUUUAAGAUCACAUUUUCUUUUAUAAUUUCAGGCUUAUCAACUAUUUUGAAAACAACAAAACGUCUUACACCAAAAACUAAAAAAUAAAAACUUCGACAUUAAAUUUGUUGGUAUGCAAUCAAUUUUAAGAUGGUUUUUGGAGUUAUAUCUCACUUUAGCAUUGACUUACUUUUCUACUCUUAGUCUUCUCCAACAAGUUAAAUAUUUCAAUUUUAACAACAUUGACAGGUCUUUGGCCGAAUAAUUUUAAACGUCUCAUCAUUGCAAAAAUGAAAUAAUAGAAAAGAAAGAGUAGCCAUUUUAUGAAAUCUAUAAUUCCAACUGUGAAUAAAAUAUAAAUUUUAUGAAUGUGGACAAGCCAUUUUAUUUAUAAUUUUCUGUGUUUUUCUGACUUUUUUUAAGUCAUUUUCUUUGUUUCCUAACCAAAAAAUUUGCCCAUCACUUUAAAUAUAAAUUUAAAUAUAAAUUUUCUUUUUAAAAUAUAAAUUACUUGUCACAAUUCAUAUUUCUAAGUCAAUUUGCCAUCACUUUAACAUACACUAACUGUUCUAUGAUUAGUCCUUGGUUUGCUUUGGGUGCAAUCUUCCAACUAGCCUCAUCCUUGGUUUUACUUUCCAACAAUUAGUGUAUUACGGGUUUUGUUUUCCUUAAUAAAUAUUUUUGUGGAUAUUAGGAGAUACUGAAAAUUAUUUCACUAUGAAAUUUUAAUAAAACUGGAAAAUAAGUAAUUUCUUUUAAGAGAUCACAAUUAAACAUUAGAUUUCCAAUUUUUAAUUUUAAAGUUUUUUGACAAUUGCAUAAUUAAUAAGGUACCAAUUUUGAGAGUUGUAGGAAUGCUAUAAUCUUCCCUACGCAUAAUUGACUCUUGAGCAUGAUGGAUCCUAGACCUUAUCCUCUAUUCUCGUACCAGAAAUUGUUUCGAGUGUGGUUCGAACAAUCACAAAUUAAACACAAAACCAGAAAUGAUUUAUUACUUUCAAUAGCAAAGUAAUUCUCUCUCAAUAGAAACCAAUAGAAUUGUAAUUCCAAGAAAAUAAAAUUUAUUUUUUGAAAAUAUAUUCUCACUACUUCCUAACAGAAUAACAAUAUGUAAUACUUAUGUCUUGUGUUAAUAGCUCUACCAGUACUAUCUAUUUAUAGGGAGACACACGAGAAUCCUGGUUGAAUUAGUAAAACACGAGUAAUAUUUAUUUCAUAGAAAACAAUAUUCUACCUUAAGUAGAUCAAGUUUGGAUGACGCAUGGAUCGAAGCUCAAUCUAGGAGAAAAAAAUAAAGUAAUUUUCUUUGUAAAGAAAACCUGAGAUUGUACUAUUUUCGAAGUUAUAAAUAAAAUUAUACGCCAAAUUUACAAGUCAAUUUUCAACUCGAAUUUUUUAUGUACAAAUUUCUAAUAGACUUGGUGGCACAUUUUUUGAAUUUUAUCUAUUCUCUCGAAAAGCUAAAGUUCAAAGCUGCAUUAAACUCAAAGAAGAUAAUCAUUAGUAAACCAGCUCACAAGCCUGCUCAAGCUAAUCCUACAACUCGUUCCACUUCAUCAUCAAGCACCAAUGUUCCUGCUUAUCCUUAUGGAAUUAAACAAAAGACAAAAGCUCUCUAAGAGUUAUUUGAACAGACAAAAUAUUCAGAUGUGUUGAGAUGGAAAGUGACAACGCAAAGUUGAUUGAAACUAUUUGUAACGGGUUGGCUACAAUAAGUAGUGUUGUGAAGUAAGAUAGAUUCACGAUUGGUGUUCCAAAAUUGAGUAGCUAGUUAUCUUGGAAGAUCCUCCACAUUAUGUGAGAUGCUGGCUUGAAGAAGAUAUUAGACAAUUGCUAGUGACUGAUGAUAAUUUUCAUUUGGACUGAUGCUUGCUUAAUUUUCUAAGCUUAUGUUCAACCAAAAAAAAAAAAAUUAAAUAUGUCUAAAUGAUCAUAGAGUUAACAUUUAGUGUAUAAAAAAUUAAUAUAUAAUUUGUUUUCAAUUGUAGUUUAGUUCUAGAAAUACCAACGAUGAACCUUAAAACGGAAAUGAAAAUUACAAAAAAAAAAACAAACCACAUCUAUUAUCAAACCAACAAUCCAUGUCUAAACUUAAAUUAACAAAAUUCGUUACGCAACUCGGUACACUAUUUUAUAUAAUCAAUAUAUUAGAUUUAUUCUUGAUGCACAUGUUUUAUUAUAGUUAAAAAUUAAAAUAUAUGAUUUACUAAGUUUUAAUUGAAUUAGUAUUGGUAUUAUAUCAGUGUAGGAAAAUGUGAGUUUAAUCGUACUUAAAUAUGUAUCCUCCAACUCAACAGUUGGGAAAAGGUUAUUGAUAAUUAAAUUAUACCAAUUUUUACAAUAUCUAAAAAGCAUUCAUAAACAUAUUCAUAUUGAUGGGCUCUUUCAUUAUUAAACUUUUUUUCUCUCACAAGUAAAAGUACUUGUGGUGAGGAUCAUGUAAAAUAAUAAACUGAAUAAUUUUAAACGUCUCAUCAUUGCGAAAAUGAAAUAAUAGAAAAGAAGCCAUUUUAUGAAAUUUACAAUUCCAACUGUGAAUAAAAUAUAAAUUUUAUGAAUGUGGACAAGCAAUUUUAUUUAACUUUUUUUAAAGUAAUUUUCUUUGUUUCCUAACCAACAUGAAAUUACUUGUCACAAUUCAUCUUUUUAAAUGAGAAACAUUUUCAACAAUUUGCCAUCACAUCAACAUACACUAACUUUUCUAUGAUUAGUCCUUGGUUUGCUUUGGGUGCAAUCUUCCAACUAGCCUUAUCCUUGGUUUUACUUUCCAACAAUUAUUGUAUCCUCCUCAUUACUUUUACUUACCGACGGAUGAAAAAUUCACUGAUCAAAUUAAUUCAAAGAUUUUUUUUUUCUAAAUCAAGUGAAUUCACGAGUUUUAUUUUCUUUAAAAAAUAUUUUUGUGGAUAUUAGGAGAUACUGAAAAUUAUUUUACUAUGAAAUUUUAAUAAAAUUGGAAAAUAAGUGAUUUAUUUAAAGGGAUCACAAUUAAACAUUAGAUUUUUAAUUUUUUAAUUUUAAAUUUUUUUGACAAUUGCGUAAUUAAUAAGGUACUAAUUUUGAGCAUUGUUGGAGUGCUAUAACCUUCCCUAUGCAUAAUCGACUCUUAAAUUCACUUUUUUCUCUAGAAUUUUAACAAACUUACAAAAUGAUUUAAUGAUAUUUAAUUAUUGAUGGGUAAAAAAAUUAUAUCAUAUAAAUUCCGAAUAAUUAAUUAUAUAUCUACAUAUUAUAACCAAUUCAUCUUUCAAAAUUAUUUCCUUAUAAUUAAAGCAAAAAUUAUAUUUAUAAAAUUCUAAAUAUAUUAUAAUUCUUGUAAAUAUAUAUAUUUACAUAUAUAAGUCCAAAUUGUAAUAGAGUUAACAUUUAUUGUAUAAAAAAUGUCUUGAAAUUUUUUUUUUCAAUUUCAAAAGAACUAUUCCAUUUAUAAAACCAUAAAACUUUAAAAAUAUAAACUCUAUUAAAUAAAAAUAAUAAUAUUUUUAAACAAUAAAUAUUGACUUUAUUUUAAAUUGACAUUAUCUAAUUCUUUUUAAUAUGUAUCGCUAAGCUUUACAUUAAUAUACAUGAUUUAUUUGUUCGUUAUUAUUAUUAUUAUUAUUAUUAUUAUUAUUAUUAUUAUUAUUUCUAUGAUUAUUAUAUUAUACUUAUCGGACUACAAUCAUAACCAUGUCUAUUAUCAUUCGAUAAAAAAAAAUUAAGUGUUGAGUAUAAUGACAAGGCACAUUACACUCUGAAGGGGAGAUUAAGGUUUGGACAAAGGAAGAAUAUGAUUCAAAUUUUGGAGACAACAUUCUUGAAAUGAGCAACCAUAAACCCCGAUUAUGAACCAUAAAACGAUCAUGAAAAGUACCCAAAAAAACACAUUUAUUACCAAAUAGUAAUCCAUCUAAGGAUUAAAUUAACAAAAUUCACCAUCCAACCGUGUAGACUAUUAUAAAUAUAUAUACUAUAUUUAUUCUUCAUGCAAAUGUUUAUUAUAUUUAAAAAUUAAAAUAUAUGGUUGAUUGAGUUUUAGUUGUGUUAAUAUUGAAAUUAUUGUCAGUGCAAAAGAACAUGAGUUCAAUCAUGUUUAAAUACGUUUUAUACUCCAAUUUAGGAGUUGGAGAGGAUUCUCAAUAGUUAAAUUAUAUUAGUUUUUGUCUAUUUAAAAAUGAUUUAUAAAUAAUAUAAGUAGAAAAUUUUAAAAAAAAUACAUAUUCAUAUUGAUCGGCUUUUUCAUUAUUAGACUUUUUUCCCCACAGUUAAAAGUAUUUAUCGAAUUCAAAUUUUGGGUUUUAAAUAAGGGUUUCGGAUUUUUUUUAAACAUUUGUGUGAGUUUUUGCCAAAUUUUAUAUUUUCGGAACGAAUAACUAAGUUGAUUUUUAAUUACUUUUUCAAACAAGUCGAUGUAAUUCCUCAAAAAUCUAGUCAAAGCGUCUAGGCUGGGUUUGGAGGUGUUACACUAACGUUACUAAAGUUAAUCUUAAUCUAUUUAGUCUAGAUCUAAACAUCAAUAUUCUCUUCCAAGAAAAAUCAAGAUUAUCAAAUUAUUACAACUGUGUAGCCAGACAAUCAUAUUAAAUAUGCAUAAAACAUAAUAAAUAAUUAGCGAAGAUUGAAACAAUCAAAGAAAAAAAUAAAUAAAUAAACUAAGAAAUAAGGAUCCAUUAUUGUUUCAAGAAAACAGAGUUUAGUUCAUAUUGAGUUGAGAAAACCAGAAAGGAGAUUCAAAACAAACUUGUGAUAAGGGGAACAAUGUCAAUAGAUCAUAUUCAAGUUGUUCGACUUCAGAUUUGACCUGAAAAGAAGAAACCAAACAUAUUUAGGAAAACAAGAAAAAACAAAGAAAAAAAACUAAAAUGAGAAAUUUAAGAAUAAAUAAUAAAUAUUAAAAAUAAAUAAAGAAAUUAUAGAAUAAAAAGUGGCAGAUGGAAUGAAGAAAUGAUGGAUAUAAAUAAAAGAUGGAUAUGACAUAUAGAUGAAUAAGUGUCUGAUAACUCUUGAAAAAAAGUUAUAUUUCAUGCCUUUAGACCUAGCUAAUUGCUUGUACUUAAGUAUAUUUUGUUGCUUUUUAAGACAUUUUAGUGAGCAUUUUUAAUAUUGUAUUAGGACUUAGACUGAGUUGGAAUUAGGUGCUUUUAAUCGCUUGUGGUGGAGUUUUUUGUGUGUUGGUAUGGCAGGAACAGGUUUUAGAUCGAGGAAAUAAAUGAGUGAAGUUUUGUUUGGGCAAAAGUGCAUAUAGUUUUCCAACAAGGAUGCCGUGGCAAUGCCGAGAAGACCAAGUUCAUAUUUUUUGUGCAACAGUCCUAGUUCAAAUUCAAACUUGUAUGAGAUAAAUCCCCCUAAAAGAGGAGAAGAUAAUUACAUUGAUGUUAGUUGACCCUAGCCUAAUCUAUCUAUUAAAUCCAAUGAAAGGGAUCUCACAAAUGGUAGAAAAAAGUGAGAGAGAUCUUUAGGGGUGAAUAAGGGUUUGGCUGUGCAAAGGAAAAGAAGUCAAGGGCAAUCAUUCUUAGCCUUCACAGGACGUUUUGUUGCCAAAGUGUGGACUGGGCAAGUGAAAGCUGUUUCCCAAAGUUCUUCUGUUAUUUCCAUCAGUGUUCCUUCGAAAGAUUGAAUUGAAGUAGUUGAACACAAUGUCAGAUAAUAUUUUGGUUUGAAAUUCUAUUUCCCAGUUUAUGAGCUAAAUCUCAUAAGGUUGGGAUUACUUUCGAUGAAACCUUUAAUUUUUUUUAUGGAUGCAAUAUAUAUCUAAUUUACAUUACAGUUUCAUUUGAUUGUUCUUAUUUCUUAAUUAAAAUGCAAAUGAUCUCUAGACAUAGAAGACUAUUCACAUACUUAUAAACUGAUUAUAAUUCUAAAAGGGUUGGAUUAAAAUUAAAUGAAAUGAGCAAGUAUUUGAUAGACACUUGUAGCCGACUCCAGACAUAGAGUCACGAUCAUACAGAAGGAACCCAUGCAAGAUAUCUGAAAAGCCUUUAGACACAGGCAAGGCAACUUGAGGUUAUUCUCUCACACGAGGCAGACCAUUUUAGAACUCUUCUGUGUUGUAAAGUAGAUACGAUUUUGCCAAGGCAUUAUUGACAAUAAGGGUUGAUUCUGGGUAAUCCCGACCUUCCAAAUCCACAUCGUAUAUCCUUCAUUAUUUUCCAUAGUAUCUUUUCCACAUCAUUAUUAAUUAUUUAUUUGUUCAUUUACAUAAUAUUCCCAUAGUAAUUCUCAUAAUUGCCAUUACAUUUCUACUCUCGAUUUGCCAUAGCAUUACCAAAUAUUCAUUAAUUCCACAUAUUGAUUACAUCAUUACUCUACUCAUUGCCAUUGCAUAUUUAUCAUUGACUUUGUCACAACAUUAAUUGUAUUUUAUGAUAAUAACUUGAUCGAUUUUGUGCCUCAAUCUGAUCAUCGUGGGAAUGAUACUCACUCAUCAUUUAUUACUUGAUUCAACGUGUAUACUUGCACAAAUCGCAUAUCAUUUCACAUGCGACAAUGUCCAAUUGAACCCUUUAAGAUAUAAACUCAAACAAACUCAAUUAAUGGCUUUAAUCAACCCACCAAGAAAUAAUCCUUGGCAAAUUGAAGGAUGAAUAAUGAAUUCCCAUGACUCCUUAAAGAAAAUUGAGAAGAAAACUGCUUCUAAAAAUUACAAGAAACAAUCUUGCACAAAGAAACUAACCUUGAGAGUUGGAAAUUUUAGUAACGAACAAAGACAAUUGUGUCUCUAAUGACCAUGAAAGAGCUUUACAUAGGCUAGAUAAGUACAUCCAAAUAAAAUUUCGAAGUAUCUUAAAACUUUAAUUAAUGUAAGCAAAAAGUAAUUUUCAACUAAAAUAGUCAUAAUUUCCGUAAUAAUCCCGUCUAGAAAUUCUACUCACAUAGUCAUCACUAAAAUAGUCAUCAUUUGAGCUCUUGAACUAGAAAUUGAGUGAAUAAAAGUGUGUUUGAUAGACCUUAGAACUCCAUCAAGACAUAUCAAUCGAAAAAUAUUUGGAUCCCAUCCAAAAAGUCAUUGCAAGUUAACUGAUUUUCCAAACUUGAAAAUUGGCAGCUUCAGUGAAUGAAAUUUAAUAAAGUUCACCCCAUCUGCUCAUGUAUAAACUUGCAGUGGUAAAAAGUAAAAAGAAAUAAUCUAUAGAGAAAAUAGUUGAAGAAUUUAUGACAAUUUAUUCAGACCUUUUUUUCUUCUAGCCUUUGCAAGCUUGAAGUUUCCGUUGGUGUGUGAGAGUUGUUCCUUACCCUUUAAGUUAUUUCUUUUCUUUUCCUUCUUUUUCUUUCUCUUCGAUCUCAUCACCUAAGGGUGCUCAAACAACUGAUUCAGUUAAUACCCGAACAAAGCUAUCAUUAAAUGAAAUUUUGAAACCCUUAAUCAUUAAUGAAACCAAUUUUUUGUUGAAACCUAUUAACCGGCCGGAUUGAUUUCGGUUAAUUUGUGCAGUUAACCAGAAUUUAUACAUUGUUUGUUUUUUAUCAAACAAUUUUAAAACAAAGAACAAUCCAUGACAACUUUUUCCUUGUUUUUUAUUCAAAAAUUAUUAAAAGAACUAAAAAAAAUAACAUAAUAACAACACUAAAUUAAAAACAUAAUAGCAUUCAUUACAGUACAAAUCUUUUUUCUUUUUUUUCUUUUUGUUGACUUUUUAGUUUAAUUUUAGUUUUUUUUCAAAUAUUUUAGUUUUCAUAUUCUUGUUAAGCUUAUUAUAAGAAAACUUAUAAAUCCAUUAGUUUUUAUAUAUUAGGUUUGUAUAAUGUAUUGGAGCUAUCUCUAUAAUAUAUUUUUAUUGAUUUCGGUUAAUCAAUUAAUUCGGUUAAUUAGUCGAUUUCAAACGAAACUAAUUGAUAAACAAAAUCUUCAAAAACAUUUAACCAACUCCCAACCAAAUUAGAUUCGUUGAUCGCCUGCUUAAUCAAGUUAAUCAUAUGGUAAAAUGGCAUAGUUUUGGAAUGGUUUUUUGGAAUUAUUGGUAUAGGUUUAAGUUAUGAUCUUGAGAUGUUGAGUUGAAUUAAGUUUGAUAUGUAUAUUGUGAUGCCUUCAUUGGCAUAUUGGUUAGAUAUUAAAGGAUGGUUGAUUUGGUAUGUUUUUAAAAUGGUUGUUGGUAUGUGUGAUCUAAAUUGAUUAAAUGAACUUGUAAUGUUGAAUGGUAUAAUAUUUGUUGGUACAUUAGUUAGUCUUAUAGGUUGAUGGAAUUGGUAUGUUUUAAAUGUGUUUAAAAUGUGUUUUGAUUGUUUAAAUGUUUGUGGAAAUGGUGUGUCUUGGUGUACAAGAUUUGAAAUUGAAAUGGCUUGAUUUAGAAGCAACUUAUGUUGUACACCACCUGGGACACUGGUUGUCACAUGGUUGUGUGUCAUUAUUGUUUUAGGUACAGGUUUCACACAAUCUGAGACUCGGCUCACGACAUAGCUGUGUAUCACAAGUCAGUAUGUAACACGGUUUGGUACAUGGCCUGCGACAUGACCGUGUGUCCAAACUUCGAAUGUCCACACGGUCUGGGCUAUGUCACACGGGUUGGCCACAUGGCCGUGUGACCCUUGUUUUCAAGUUUUCUAAAAUUUUCUAUUUUAUUUCAAAUUGAUCCUAGAAUAUUCUCAAACUGUUUUUAGGGCCCGUAGGUUCGAAUUAAGGCCCAUAAGUGUAUGUUUGCUAUAAUUAAGUUGUGUUAAUUAAUGUUAUUAAUUAAAUGGCAUGAAUAUUUUAUUGUAAGUUAAAUGUUUUAAUUUGAACUAUAAUGCUCCGUAACUCUAAUCUGGCGACGGAGACAGGUUUGGGGUGUUACAAUUUUGGACUUGAAAUUUGUUUUGGGGCUUUGUUCGAUGUUUGUUGGAUUUUAGUGUUUUAACAUUAAACUACAAAAUUGUAUGAUUUAACAAACUAAAAAUUAGGUUUUCAAAAUUAAAACUCUGGAAGUUUCUGUUUCAAAGAUUAAGUAAUCACUUAAGUGUUUUCCCAUAAAUAAUUAAAUGGUUUUUAACAAAUGUUUUCCUUAGUUUUGGAAAUGAUAUGCCAACAUUAGUACUUUUAAAACACAUGAUUUCAAAUUCAAAUUCUUGGUUUUAAGUAAGGGUUUUCAAACUUUGAUUUUUUUUAACAUUUGUGAGAGGUUUUUGCCAAAUUUUAUGUUUUCAGAACGUGUAACUAAGUUGAUUUUUAAUUAGUUUUUCAAACAAGUCAAUGUAAUUCCUCAAAAAUCCAAUCAUAGCGUCUAGGUCGGGUUUGGGUUGUUACACUGACGUUACUAAAGUUAAUCUUAAUCUAUUUAGUCUAGAUCUAAACAUUAAUAUUCUCUUCCAAGAAAAAUCAAGAUUAUCAAAUUAUUACAACUUGGUAGGCAGACAAUCAUAUUAAAUAUGCAUAAAAGUUAAUAAAUAAUUAGCGAAGAUUGAAACAAUCAAAUAAAAAAUAAAUUAAUUAACUAAGAAAUAAGUUCCAUUAUUGUUUCAUGAAAAUAGAGUUUAGUUCAUAUUGAGUUGAGAAAACCAAAAGCGAGAUUCAAAACAAACCUGUGAUAAGGGGAACAAUGUCAAUAGAUUAUAUUCAUGUUGUUUGACUCAAGAAAGAAAUAUUCGAAUCUAACUUGAAAAGAAGAAACCAAAUAGAUUUAGAAAAAUAAGAAAAAAAAACAAAGAAAAUAACUAAAAUGAGAAAUUUAAGAAUAAAUAAUAAAUAUUAAAAAUAAUAAAGAAAUAAAGAAAUUAUAGAAUAAAUAAUGGAAGAUGGAAAUGAAACGACGGAUAUGACAUAUAGAUGGAUAAGUGUCUGAUAAUUCUUGAAAAGAGUUAUAUUUCAUACCUUUAGACCUCACUAAUUGCUUGUACUUAAGUACAUUUUGUUGCAUAUUGAGACAUUUUUGUUCGUAUUUGUAAUAUUGCAUUAGGACUUAGAUUGUGUUAGAAUUAGGUGUUUUUGAUCACUUGUGGUGGAGUUUUUAGUGUGUUGGUAUGGUAGGAACAAUAUUUAGAACGAGGAAAUAAAUGAGUGAAGUUUAGUCAGCGCAAAAGUGCAGAUAGUUUGCCAACACGUAUGCCGUGGCAAUGUCGGGAAGACCAAGUCAACAAAUUUUUGCGCAACAGUCCUAGUUCAAAUUCAAACUUGUACUAGAUAAAUCUCCUUAAAAGAGGAAAAGAUAAUCACAAGUUGUUAACCGACCCUAGCCUAAUCUAUCUAUAAAAGCCAAUGAAGGGGAUCUCACAAAUGGCAGAAAAAAGUGGAAGAGAUCCUUAGGUGCGAAUAAUGGUUCAGCUGCGCAAAGGAAAGGAAGUUGAAGGCAAUCUUUUUUAGCCAUCACAAGACGUUGUGCUGUCGAAGUGUGGACUAGACAAGUGAAAGUUGUUUCCCAAAGUUCUUUCGUUAUUUCCGUCAGUGUUCCUUCAAAAUAUUAAAGUAGUUGAACAUAAUGUUGGAUAAUAUUUUGGUUUGGAAUUUUAAUUCCUAGCCCAUGAGCUAAAUCUCGUAGGGUUGGAAUUACUUUUGAUAAAACCUUAAACUAUUUUUAUGGAUGCAGUAUAUAUGUAAUUUACUUUACUGUUUCAUUUUAUUAUUCUUAUUUCUUAAUUAAAAUGCAAAUGAUCUCUAGACAUUGAAGCCUUUCACAUACUUAUAAACUGAUUUUAAUUCUGAAAGGGUUGGAUUGGUUGGAUUAAAAUUAAAUGAAAUGAGCAAGCAUUCGGUGGACACCUGUAGUAGACUUUAGACAUAGAGUCACGCUCAUACAGAAGGAACCCAUGCAAGAUAUCUAAAAAGCCUUUAGACAUAGGCAAGGUAACUUAAGGUUUUGCUCUCACGAGAGGCAGGCCAUUUUAGUACUCUUUUGUGCUUUAAAGUAGAUACGAUUUUGCCAAGGCAUUAUUGACAGUAAAGGUCGAUUAUGGGUAGUCCCAACCCUCCAAAUCCACAUCGUAUAUCCUUUACUCUUUGCCAUAGUAUAUUUGCCACAUCAUUAUAAGUUAUUUAUUUGUUCAUUUACAUAAUAUUUCCGUUGUAAUUCUCAUAAUUAUCAUUACUUUCUACUCUCGAUUUGCCACAACAUUACUAGUUAUUUAUUAAUUCCACGUAUGGCUUACAUCAUUGCUCUACUAAUUGCCACUGUAUAUUUACCAUUGACUUCGCCAUAGCAUUAAUCAUAUUUUAUUAUAAUAACUUGACCAAUUUUGUGCCUCAAUUCGAUCCUCAUGGAAAUGAUACUCACUCAUCACUUUAUUUGUAACACCCCAAACUCGGCCUAGACGUUAUGGCCGAAUCUGGUGAUGUCACAUGGAGAGGGAUUUGAAGACAAGAUUGUUGAGUUUAAAAACCGUUACAGUAAGUUAGCUUUUAUUUAGGGAAAAUCGUGUUUUGUAGAGUUGUAGUUUUUAGGAAAAAAAUCGUGUUUUGUAGAGUUGUAGUUUUUUUAAAAAACCCAAUAAAAAAUAGUAUAAAGUCCCAAAUUUAAAACCAAUCAGUCCAUAGUCCAGAAGAUACAUCAAAAACUCAAAAUAAGUAAUAAAUUCUAGGCAUUAACGGAAAACAAUCUAAAAUUUACGUGUGGCCACCAUUGAGUCCUCUGCUGCACCGAUUCGUCAAGUCUGAGGAUUACCUAUACAAAUUAAAUAGAGAAAGGGUGAGUUGUCGCAAACUUAGUGUGUAAUCCCCACAGAAAACAUGCAUAGAGAUAAUUAACAAAAUUUAGUUAGAUACAGUCUAGGGCCUGUGCCCAUCAUAGAAUCAGUUUGGGCCUUAGCCCAUUCAGAUAUAGUCUUAGAAAUACAUUAGGGCAUUGACCAGCCUCUACAAACCACCUCCAUCCAACCAUACACACCAUGUGGGGAUUAAAUCAACCAACCCAUCCCUACACACCAUGCUGUACCGAAAUGCGGCACAUAAUUAGAAGGUUGCAGCUGGGCUGCCAGAUAACAUAAGUCAUGCUCGGUAUAGAAAUCAGACAGACAGAUCACACAUAUAGGUGUCUAAGUAAAGCUUACUGACCCUACAGUAGGUCCACAGUUAACUUGGGCGACCCGUGCAAAAUUACAGAACUUUUUAGAAAAAUGGGCUUACACGCCUAUGUGGCCCACUCGGCCCAAAUUGGCCUUGACCACGUGAUCCAUUUUUAAUGUAACCAGUGCUAGUUAAUUAUUCAUAUAUGUUUUCACUAUUUACUUAUAUGUUAAUUUAAAGCUGUCUACUUGAGUCACUGUUACUAAAUUAUUUAUAUCUUGAGCUACAGAAUUUCAAAUUAAGAUCCGCUUAAUGUCUUUGAAACUAGACUCAAAUAUCUUUCUACUAUAAAAUUUUUAUAAUUUUUGGUUGAGCCAACAAGUACAGUAAAAUCUUCAAACCUUCCCCUAUUCUGCUGUCUGACAACUUCAACCCUUCUUUGCUAAGAAUUAAUUAUCUCUUAGUACAAGAUUUGGAUGAUGUUUACAUUUGUUUCUAUUGAAAAUAAACUCAUUAAUAAUUUAAAAAUGUAAAUUUUAAACCCCUAAUUAUUUUUCUCCAAUUUUUGAUGAUUUUCCAAAUUUAGAACAGGGGAACCUUAAUUCUUUCUGACCUUGUCUCACGAAGUUUAUUAUACCUCACAAUUUACAAUUCCAUUACUUACAUCGUUUAAGAUUUAAUUCCAUAUUUUUUUCAUCCUCUAAUUCAAUUUCCACAAUUUAUGGCAAUUUUUCAAAGUUAACCUACUGUUGUUGUCCAAACAGCAAGCAAUUUUGGCUUUUCGCCGAAUCCUUUUUUUUGCAUUUCGGGUACACACCUGGUUUUGUUUGAUGCUAAAACAAUCCCCGAACACUCUAAAGUCACCAAUGAUAACCAUCCAUUUAAAUAUUGUUAACACGAGAACACUGAAUUCACUAGUCCGAGUCUCCCCCUACGCCCAAAUCGCAGAGAAAAUACGUUACCACUUUAGUCGCUAAAAGAUUCAUGAUAGAAAAGAAGAGAAACACUUACCGAACUAAGCGAGCACUAACCGUGUGUGAAAAUGAAGGAAAAUAAAUGGAUUAGGGAAAAAUCAAGAACAAGAAAAAGAAGAAAAAGAAAAACUCAGAGAAUUUCAACAAGAGGAGAGGGAGAAGAAUAGACGGCGAAUAAAAUUCUGAUAACCCCCAAAAUCCCUUAAUCUUCUCCCCUAAUUCCCACUACACAUCCACUAUUCAUAACCCCCUAUUACAUAACUCUAUCCGAAAUCUGAUAAAAAAAAACAUAAUACCCUUGCCUGCAUAGGGGUUCAAACACAAAACCUCUACUAUAAUAACACAUCAUUUAACCACCAGACCAGCAGGCCCAUUCUGAUGUAAUUUACCCAAAAAUCAAAUAAAAGCCUACUCAACAAGAGUAAAGCCUAAUUCAUUCAAAAUACCAAAAUUUGCCCAAGCAAAAGCUUGAACUUGGGACCUCCCAAACACUCCCAGAACACAUAACUACUAAAGCUGACAAAUAUUUGUGUCAUAUUUUCACAAUAAUGAAAUUAGAAAUUUUGGGACAUUACAUUAUUACUUGAUUCAACUCUUGCACAAAUCGCAUAUCAUUUCACACACAACAGUGCUCAAUUGAACCCUUUAAGAUAUGAAAUCUAACAAACUCAAUUAAUGGCUUUAAUCAAUCCACCAAGAAAUAAUCAUUGGCAAAUUGAAGGAUGAAGAAUGAAUUCCCAUGACUCCUUAAAAAAAUUGAUAAGAAAACUACUUUUAAAAAUCACAAGAAACAAAUCUUGCAUAAAGAAACUAACUCUCAGAGUUGGUAAUUUUAGUAAUAAACAAAAACAAUUGCGUCUCUAAUGAACAUGAAGGGGCCUUUACAUAGGCUAGAUAAGUACAUCCAAAUAAAAUUGUCAAAUAUCUUGAAACUUUAAUUAAUGUAAGCAAGAAGUAAUUUUAAACUAAAAUAGUCAUAAUUUUCGUAAUAAUCCCGUCUAAAAAUUCUGCUCACAUAGUCAUCAUUAAAACAAUCAUAAUUUGAGCUCUUGAACUCAAAAUUGAGUGAAUAAAAGUGCGUUUCGAAGUUAAGUGAUAGAUCCUAGAACUCUAUGAAGACAUAUCAAUCAAAAAAAUAUCUGGAUCCCAUCCAAAAAGUCACCGCAAGUUAACUAAUUUUUCAAACUUAAAAUUUGGCAGCUUCGGUGAAUGGAAUUUAAUAAAGUUCACUCCAUCCAUUCAUGUAUCAACUUGCAUUGGUAACAAGUAAAAGAAAAAAAUCUAUAGAGAAAAUAGUUGAAGAAUUUAUGACAAUUUAUUCAAAUCUCUUUUUCUUCUAGUCUUUGCAAGCUUGAAGUUUCCCUUGGUGUGAGAGAGUUGUUCCUUACCCUCUAAGUGAUUUUUUUCUUUUUCUUUCUCUUCGAUCUCGUCACCUAUUGGUGUUCAAACAAUUGAUUCAGUUAAUACCCGAACAAAACUAUCAUUAACUGAAAUUUUGAAACCCUUAAUCGUUAAUCAAACCAAUUUUUUUAAAAAAAACCUAUUAACUAGCUGGAUUGAUUUCGAUUAAUUUUAGCGGUUAACCAGAAUUUAUACAUGGUUUUUUUUUGUUCAAAAAAUUUUAAAACAAAGAACAAUCCAUGACAAUUUUUUCCUUGUUUUUUAUUGAAAAAAUUAAAAGAACUAAAAAAAUAACAUAAUAACAACAAUAAAUUAAAAACAUAAUAGCAUUCAUUACAUUACAAGGCAUAUAUAUAUAUUUUUACUUUUUCUUCACUUUUUAGUUUAAUUUUAUAUUUUUUAAAAUAUUUUUAGUUUUCAUAUUUUUGUUAAGCUUAUUAUAAGAAAACUUAUAAAUCCAUUAAUUUUUCUAUAUUGGUUUUGUAUAAUGUAUUGGACUUAUCUCUAAUAUAUUUGGCCUAUAAUAUAUUUUUAUUGAUUUCGGUUAAUCAAUUAAUUCGGUUAAUUAGUCGAUUUCAAACUAAACUAAUUGGUAAACAAAAUCUUCAAAAACCUUUAACCAACUCCCAACCAAAUUAGAUUUGAUUGCUUAAUCAAAUUAAUUAGGUUUGAUAAAUUAAUUCGUUAAAACCAAAAAAUCCACACCCCUAUCAUCACCUUUAUUUUUAGGGAUUUUAAUCAUGUUGCUGCACCUGAUGCAGAAGUUGAGGUGGAACGAACUGCUUGCUACCACAAUUUAUGAAUUAUAGAGCAUGCUCCACCGUAGUGAAUCAAAUUCGGUGGAGUAGAAGACUUUUCUUCACUACUUUAUGCUCUAUGCUCCAAGUCUUCUAUUCUUCUUCUGAGACCUACAAUGGGAAAAUAAAAACUAAGAAACAAGUCUAAACUAACUUUGAAAAUUAGAAAUUUUCAACAAAAUUGAAAUAAAAUAUAAUUAAUCCAUAAAAAACUAUAAAAUGCAAUAAAAACAAACCUAAAUACUAAAAUUACCUCCUAAAAUGCUGUGGAAACUAUACUAAAAUAACUCUAAAUAUGAUAGUUAUCAGAAGCGACUUGAAUAAGCCAAUCGAGUAGAUGAUUUCAACUAUUGCAAAUAGCAUCAGUCGAUUAACCAUCCUCUUGAGAAGAUCAUAGAGUUGAAAGAAAAAAUCAUACAACUCCAUGAAGAAGAAAAAAUCAUGUUUGAAAAAGAAGUGGCAUUAUCAAACUUGACAUCAAUGCUUUGGUUUCUCAAUACAAUAUUAAGGAGAAAUUCAUCAAAUUUGGCUCUUUCACUCCUAUUACACUAGCUCUAAGUAGAAGUAAGAUGGUGAAUUUCGAAGGGAUUGGGGACAAUCAUCUAUUUUUGGAAUAUCAGAAUGGUCAUGAUUGGACUCAAAGAAGCCAAUGAAAUGCAUCUCUCCUAGGUAUAAGCUUAUAUUGUCACAUUGCUCCUAAGCACGAGCAUAAAUUGUUCAUCCAAAAUGAUGAUGCUCCUAAGCAUGAGCUUAAACUGUUCAUCUAAUGCUCCUAAGAAGGAGCCUAAACUAUUCAUAAAAAAUAAAUGAUGAUCCAGUGAAGCACGAGAUUAAACUAUUCAUACGAAAUAAAUGAUUACCUCCUAAGCAUGAAUUUAAAUUGUUCAUACAUAAUAAAUGAUGAUACUCCUAAGCAUGAGCUUAAAUAGCAGUCCAAAAAAAAUUGAACAACAUUAUAACUUUAUCUUUUAAAAAUGAAGGUACGUAGAUAGCCUGGUUUCAUUGCCAAGUUCAGUCAGUGAAACAAAUUCUUGAAAGUAGGAAGCAAAUAAAAUUUCAAGACUUGUACCCUUUCUACGCCCAACAAAAUUCAGAAUUCAGCAUUUGUUAUUACUGUUUAUCUCUAACUAAAUUAAUGAAAAGAUAAAUCAAGAAAUUAAAUCCUUUUAGAACUGUCUUAUAAAGAAACCAUAUUCUUUAAGGAUUACUUUAUCUAUAAUUAAUUAAAUUAAUAAGAUAUGAAUAAUAAUAAUAGAGUUUAAAUUCUUAUAGAACACUCAAAUGAAAAAGCUAAAUUCUACAACAACUCUCUUAUAUCAAAGUGAUUGGGCACUAUAAAAAUGGGUCACCUCCAAGUCAUUCUACACAUUCACAAGUUCAAGAAGUUCAAAAAUUCUUUACGAAAAUAUGAAGAAACUAAAGAAGUAGAAGAAAUUCUGAUGAACAUCAUAUCAGUUCUAAAGAAAAACUGCCUCCUAUCCAAUUCAAUUGAGAGGAGGAUGUCAACAGAAGAGAAGAAUCGAAGAAGUUUUGUUUGUAAAUAAAUUCAAAACUAUACACUCUUCGAAAUAAUAAAUAAAAUUUGACGCAAAAUUUUCAAGUCAAUUCUCAACUUAAAAUUUGCGUGUACAAUAUAUAUAGGAAAGAAUCCAUUUACAUUAUAUAAAACUAGUGUAUGUAUAAUACAGAAAUAUUUAGUACAUUAUCAAUAAAGUUUUUAAACUAUGCACUGUGAUUAAAACCAAAAUAAUAAUAAUAAUAACAACCAAUCACUUUAUUUGACUAACUUUUCCCUACAAGUCUUUAGUAUGGAGACAAAUCAGUUUAAUCAGCCUUUGGAGCUAUUAACUGACAUUUCCACCAUUGAUUUGAAAAUCCUAACCCAUCAAUUCACUUUAAAUGAAACGAGAUCCACUAGUGUUUGGUGUUAUAUUUUUAAAAUGUAUUUAGAUUAUUGUUUAUUAAUUUUAUUUGUUUAUAUUUAAAUCAAAUGUAAUAAAUUGUUGAAUUUAUAUACUUCAUAUUAUAACAAUAUAUUUUAACUUGCUACUUCUCUUUUUAAUUUAAUUUUUUGUAACUCUUCACAAUUUAUUUUGAAAAAAAUUGAAAAAACUAAAUGAUUAAAUUAAGGCUCAACUUUUCACUAACCUUAGUUUAUUUAGUCUAACUUUUCACAAAUUAAUAUACUCAUUUCAUGUUUCAUACCAACAACUUUUCUUUUUGGUAAAAAGAAAAAACAACUAUACGUUUUUUUUAAUCCCAAAAUUAAGGCUUUAUGAAUGAAAAUAAUAUUAUAUUAACUAUGAUAAUUAAGUCUUUAUUUUUAAUAUGAUUAAUAUUAUAUAUAAUAACUUUAAAUAUGCUUCCACUAAUCAGAUAUACUAAAGGAAAGAGUAACUUUCUUUUUAUGGUAACUAAUUUUCAAUUAUGUAUUUUAAUCUAUCACUAAAUAAUUAAUUAUAAUCAAGAUGUUAAUUUUCCAUAAAAUGUACAUAAUUUUGGUUGGUAUAUUAAUAAAUUUAGCCCUAAAAAUUUACACAUGCAAUUUGGUCUUAAUUUAACAAAAUUUUCCCGCAACAUUUGUGUAAAUAUGUAAAUGUUGAGGUUAAAUUUCUUGAAUUUUUUUUAAAAAAUUAAGGUCAAAAUGACAAAAAUAUAAAUAUUGAAAACUAAAUUUAUUACUGUACCAAUCAAAAUGACAAAAUAUAGCUAGGGACAUGGGCUUGACCGAGCCAACUCAACCUAUUUCAUCUGUUUCUAUUGACUUUUGCUCGACCCUACCCCAAAGACCUGUCAAUUUUGUUAAAAUUGAAAUAUUUAACUUGUUGGAGAAGACUAACUGUAGAAAAGUAAGUCAAUGCUAAAGUGAUAUGUCGACGUUUUGUUGUUUUCAAAAUAGUUGAUAAGCCUGAAAUUAUAAAAGAUAAUCAUGAGGUCUUAAAUGCAAUUAUGAUAUUUCUAAAAAGAUAUUUCUCAACAAUUUUUUUAAUUUCUUGAUUGAUGAAAACAAAUUUAGGUAUUUCCCAAUUUGUAAAAACAUGAUUUUUCUUUGAAUUUCUAGGUUUUUCUUAGCUUUUUUUUAUAUUAUUUUGGAAUUUUUGUAAUCUUCUUAUAAUUUCUUAAAAAAUAAUAUAUUUGUAAAAAUUUUUAAACCAUAAAUACCAAUUAAGAAGAAUGUGAUAAAAUUAGGGGUAAAUGUGUAUUUAAGCCAAAGAAAAUAAAAGAAUAAUAAUGAAAUUCACCUAAAAACAAUUACAAGGACUAGAUGAACAAUUUGACCUAAAACUUUGUUUGAAAUGAUGUCAUUAAUGUGUUACAUCAGCUUUCUUAGAGAGAUAAAAAUUAAAUGAAUAUGAGAUACAUGAAACUUGUAUCUCUUUCCAAUAAUUUAACAUUAUUUCAAUAUUUUCAUCUUGAAUUCACGAGUGAAGCGUACAUCAUAUACCAACUCAAUUGGAAAAAAGUCUUUAAAUUAUUUUUAAAUUGUAACAAAUAUUAUUAUUAAGAUGUUUUUCUUUUUAUAUUUUUUAUAAAAUAUAUUAAAAAACAAUUAAAAUAAUUUUAAGAGAAAAAAACUCAUACAAGGUAGAAUUUAAUCUAAAGAUGUCAAAGUUUUAAAGCCUCAACUUUAACAUUUCAACCGAAAUUCCAUUAGUAUAUAAAUAUUUAUAAAUAUAGAUUUUAUAUAAAAAAUUUUAUGUAAACUUUUUUUUAACCCGCAUCACAAGUACACCAUAUUUAGAGAUAUUCAUAGUUAGGCAGUCCACUUUGAGUCAAGCUUGAGCUUAGGUUUUCAAUCUCAAGUUGGCCCAAUUCAACUUAUUUUACUACUUAAAAAUAUAAAUAUAUGUUAUAUUGAUAUUUAUAUAUGUCUAUAGUUAAAAAAUUAUUAAAAAUAAAUUCAACUUAUUUAUUAAUUAAAAAUAUAAAUAUAUGUCUAUAAUUAAAUUUUAAAGAAAUUUAUUGUUAUUUUCUAAACAUAAAACAAAGAAAACUUUCACCCAAAUUAUAAGUUUGUGGUCAGGCAGCCCACUUUGGGACUGGAAUCAGCUUACUUUUUUAAUCUUGGGCUUUAAAAAUAAUAAAAAUAUAAAAAUAAUGUUCUAUUAAUAUUUAUAAAUUUUAUAAAUUUAAAUUUAAUUAUAUUUUUUAAACAGUAAAAUCAACCAUUUAUAUGGGCUAAAUUGAGUUAAGUUCGGUUUGCAUCAAGCCUUAACUUUGACCAAAUCCAACUAAAAACACCUCUAACCAUAAUCUAGUAUUGUUUUUAUGAAUUCAAUUUUAACUUGUAAUUUUCAAUUCUAUUACAAAAUUUCUUUGCCUACGAUAAGAAAAUAACAUAUUUGUAACUAAGUAAUUAAUUAAGUUAAUGUCACGAGUGAAUCAUACAUUAUAUGCCAACUCAAUUGGAAAAAGUUUUUAAAUUAUUUUUAAAUUGUAACAAAUAUUAUUAUUAAGAUGUUUUUCUUUUUAUAUUUUUUAUAAAAUAUAUUAAAAAACAAUUAGAAUAAUUUUAAGAGAAAAAAACUCAUACACGGUAGAAUUUAAUCUAAAGAUAUCAAAGUUUUAAAGCCUCAACUUUAACAUUUCAACUAAAAUUCCAUUAGUACAUAAAUAUUUUAUAAAUAUAGAUUUUAUAUUAAAAAAAUUAUGUAAACUUACAUAUAUGGUUCGUCAUGCAAAUGUUUAUUAUAUUUAAAAAUUAACAUAUAUGGUUAUUGAAUUUUAAUACUGGCUUGAGGAGUCGACUCUAUUGUAGAUUCUAGAUUAAUCUAAUAUUUCACCCUCUUUUAAUUUUCUUUAUUGGAAGAGUCUUUAAGAGAUAAGUUAAGUAGUAUAGCAGUUUCAUCUAAAACAACAUCUCUGCUAAUCACAACUUUUCUAUUUUUAGGACACCAUAACUUAUACCCUUUUACAUCAGCUUUAUAACCAAUAAAAACACAUUUAAUGAAUCUCGGUUCCAAUUUUUCAUUAUCAACAUGAGCUUACGAAGGACACCCAAAGAAUUUAAUCUAAAGAUAUCAAAGUUUUAAAGCCUCAACUUUAACAUUUCAACCGAAAUUCCAUUAGUAUAUAAAUAUUUUAUAAAUAUAGAUUUUAUAUAAAAAAAUUUUAUGUAAACUUUUUUUUAACCCGCAUCUCAAGUGUACCAUAUUUAAAGAUAUUCAUAGUUAGACGUCCACUUUGGGUCAAGCUUGAGCUUAUGUUUCCAAUCUCAAGUUGGCCCAAUUCAACUUCUUUUACUUUUUAAAAAUAUAAAUAUAUGUCUAUAAUUAAAUUUUAAAGAAAUUUAUUGUUAUUUUCUAAACAUAAAACAAAGAAAACUUUCAUCCAAAUUAUAAGUUUGUGGUUAGGCAGCCCACUUUGGGACAGGAUUCAGCUUACGUUUUUAAUCUUGGGCUUUAAAAAUAAUGUUCUAUUAAUAUUUACAAAUUUUAUAAAUUUAAAUUUAAUUAUAUUUUUUAAACAGUAAAAUCAACCAUUUAUAUGGGCUAAAUUGAGUUAAGUUCGGUUUGCAUCAAGCCUUAACUUUGACCAAAUCCAACUAAAAACACCUCUAACCAUAAUCUAGUAUUGUUUUUAUGAAUUGAAUUUUAACAUGUAAUUUUCAAUUUUAUUACAAAAUUUCUUUACCUACAAUAAGAAAAUAACAUAUUUGUAACUUCUCCAAUUCGACGUAAAUGUUCAGUCUGAAUUCAGAAGAUUACAUCAGCCAUAAAGAUGGCCUAGCAAGGUUAUUAGAGUUUUCAAAAACAGGCAUCUUUAAAAUGCUUGUUUAAUUUAUACAAAAACUUAUUUAAUUUCCAAAUUAUUUAUUACUUGAAAUCUUAAUUAUACUUUGAAAGCAAGAAGUGGUAACUAUUUAUUUUUAAUAAAAAUCAGGGUUCAUGUAUAAUUGAUUAAUAACUGUUAGAAUUAAGCGACCCGAAUCUUUAUUUAAAUGAAAUACAGUGGUAAAAUAAAAUAAAAUUAAAAUCCCUAUAGAACUACACUUAUUUUAUUUUAUUUUAGAAUAAGGAUUUUUAAACCUUAUUAAACUCCAUCCAUUUGAUAUUGAUUAGAAUAAGGUGUUUCAAUCUUACUACACUCCUAUUAGAAUAUGGUUUUACAAGCCUAUAAAUAGACAUAGUCUACUCCUCUUGUAAUUAUUCGAAUUCGACAUAGGGAUUUAUCUUCUCCUCUACCAAUAGCUUUUUCCCUGAAAGGGUUUCCACGUAAAAUCUGUGUGUUUUUUUUAUUUUUCUCCCUUUUAUUCUUUGCAAUACAUUGUCAUUACCAACAUUCUAUUUUUAGCAAAUUGGUAUCCAAGCUUCCAAUUUGUUCAUCUCAAUCAUGGUAAUGGCGUCUUUGAAGUAUGAAAUUCUGCUAUUGGAUCGCAACACCAGAUCCGCAUUGUGGCAGAUAAAGAUGCAGGCAGUUCUUACACAGAUAGACUUAGAGGAAGCCUUGCUAGGGGUAGAUAAAAUGUAUUCAACAUUAACAGAGGAAGAGAAGAAGCACAAGGAUCGAUAGGCGUUAACACAAUUACAUCUUCAUUUGUCCAACGAAAUUUCACAGUAUGGAGAAGACCGUCGCUGGAUUAUGGAAGAGGUUGGAACAAAUAUGUACGUCGAAUACUCUAACUAGCAAGUUGCAUAUGAAGCAGCUUCUUUAUGCUCAUCGUUUGGAGGAAGGUGUCUCUAUGCACGAACACUUAAUAGUGUUUAAAGGAAUUCUCUCGAACUUAGAGGUCAUGAAGGUUCAGUAUGAUAAUGAAGAUCUACGAUUGAUUCUACUUUGUUCGUUGCCUCUAUCUUAUUCAACCAUUAGAGAUGGGAUUUUAUAUAGCCGCGAGUCUCUCACAGUUGAUGAGGUUUAUGAUUCUUUAACCUCGUAUGAUAAGAUGAAGCAUCUUUUUCGUAAAACUGACUCUUAGGGAAUGGGUCUCAUUGUUCAUAGUAGAUAAGAUCAGAAUGCUGAUGAUGAUCGUGAAAGGACACAGGAAUAGAAUUCUCGCGAUAAAUCUAAGGAUAGAUCAAAGAUUUCAAGCAGAGGUAAAACUUGUAACUUCUGCAAGAAGAAAGGGCACAUUAAAUCUGACUGUUAUAAGCUACAAAUCAAUAUCAAAAGGGAGGUUGUGAAACAAAAUGGAAAACAACUAGAAUAUGUUGGUAAAGCUGAUGUUGUAGAAGACUAUAGCGAUGGUGAACUUCUAGUCACUUCUAUCAACAAUUCUAAAAUAAGCGAGGAGUGGAUCCUUGAUUUGGGCUGCACCUUUCACAUGAGUCCCAAUGGAUAUUGGUUUAUAACUUACGAAAUAGUGUUUGAAGGUGUUGUUUUGAUGGGAAAUAAUGCUUUAUGUAGAAUUGCAGGUGUUGGGACAAUAAAAGUUAAGAUGUUUGAUGGAGUUCUCAGAACACUUAAUGACGUACGACAUGUUCUAGAAUUGAAGAGAAAUUUAAUUUCAUUGAGUACUCUUAUUCAAAAGGUUAAAAAUACAUAGCUAAAAGUGGGGUUUUUAAUAUUUCCAAAGGUUCUCUCGUUGUGAUGAAAGGGCAGAGAAAGACUGCCAAGUUAUAUGUUUUGUAGGGUUUAGGAGUUCUUUGGCAUAUACGCCUAGGGCAUAUAAGUGAGAAUGACAUGGCAGAAUUGAGCAAAAGAGGACUUCUUGAUGGGCAAGGAAUUUGCAAACUGAAGUUCUGUGAUCACUGUAUUUUUGAGAAGUAAAAGAGAGUUCGAUUCAUCAGAGGAAUCUAUAACACGAAGGGAACAUUGGAGUAUAUUCAUUCUGAUCUGUCGGGGACACCCAGAGUGCAUUCAAGAGGUGGAGCUAAUUAUAUGCUAACUUUUAUUGAUGAUUUUUCUAGAAAAGUUUGGGCGUUCUUCCUAAAGCAGAAAAUCGAUGUGUUUUUCGCAUAUAAGUCUUGGAAAACUAUGAUUGAAAAACAUAUGGAAAAACAAAUAAAAUAUCUCCACAUAGAUAAUGGCUCAAAGUUCUGUUCUAAUCACUUUAAUAAACUGUGCAAGUCAGAAGGGAUCGUGAGACACUUGACAGUUUGCCACACUCCACAACAAAACGGUGUUGCAGAACGAAUGAACAGAAUGAUCGUGGAGAAGGUUUAAUGUAUGUUUUCAAAUGCCAACUUAACAAAGUUGUUUUGGGCCGAAGUAGCCUCUACUAUAUAUUUUUUGAUCAACCGAUCUCUAUCUAUUGCCAUUGAGAAAAAGACUCCACAAGAGGUAUGGUCUGGUAAUCCUGCUAACUGUUCUGAUUUAAAGAUCUUUGGGUGUCCUGUGAAUGCUCAUGUUGAUAAUGGAAAAUUGGAACUGAGAUCCAUUAAGUGUGUUUUUCUUGGUUAUAAAGCUGGUGCAAAAGGGUAUAAGUUAUGGUGCCCUAAAAAUAGAAAAGUUGUGAUUAGCAGAGAUGUUGUUUUUGAUGAAACUGCUAUGCUACCUAACUCAUCUCUUAAAUACUAUUCCAAUAAAGAAAAUAAAAAGCAGGUGGAGUAUCAGAGUAAUCCAAAAUCUACAACAGAGUCGACUCCUCAAGCCAAUACAAAAAUUCAAAAUAGAGUUGCUUCUUUACCACAAUACUCUAUCGUAAAAAAUAAAACUAGAAGAGAUAUUAAACCCUCAAAGAAAUAUGCCGAGGCUGAUCUAGUUGCUUAUGCUUUAAAUAUUGCUAAAGAUAUAGAUGCAAACCAAGAGCCAUCUAAUUAUUUUGAUCCGGUUAGCUAUAAAGACUCAGAAAAAUGGAUGUUUGCUAUGUAAGAGAAGAUGGAAUCACUCUACAAAAACAAAACAUGGGAUCUUGUAAAACUUCCUAAAGGUAAAAAGGUUGUUCGUUGUAAAUGGGUGUUUAAAAAGAAAAAGGGGACUCUGGGAGUUGAAGAACCCAGAUUUAAAGCAAGGCUUGUUGUAAAGGGUUACAGUCAAAUUCCAAGAGUGGACUUCACAGAUGUGUUCUCCCCAGUUGUGAAGCAUAGUUCGAUUUGAGCUUUGCUUGGUAUUGUGGCCAUGCAUGAUUUGGAGCUAACUGUAAAAACUACAUUUUUGCAUGAAGAACUUGAGGAUGAUACUUACACGCAACAACCAUAGGGUUUUAUAGUCUCAGAAAAAGAGGACUAUGUUUGCCUGUUGAAAAAGUCCUUUUACGGUUUGAAACAGUCACUAAGAAAGUGGUACAAGAGGUUUGUUUCCUUUAUGACUUCUUAUGAUUUUAAAAAAAGUAGCUUUGACAGUUGUGUUUACUUUAAGAAAAAUAGUGAUGAUUCUUUUGUGUAUCUACUUCUUUAUGUUGAUGACAUGUUGAUAGCAACAAAAGAUAAAUGAGAGAUAAGAAAGGUUAAAGCCCGACUAAGUGAAGAUUUUGAGAUGAAAGAUUUGGGACCAGUAAAGAAGAUACUUGAUAUAGAGAUUCUCAGAGAUAGAAAAGUAAGUAAAUUGUACCUAAGUCAGAAGGGGUACAUUGAGAAAGUUCUUUGCAAAUUCAAUAUGCAGAAUGCUAAGCCUGUUAGUACUCCUUUAGCAGCCUAUUUCAGACUUUCAUUGGCUUUGUCUCUACAAUCAAAUGAUGAGAUUGAGUACAUGUCAUAUUUUUCAUACUCUAGUACAAUGGGAUCUCUCAUGUAUGCUAUAUUUUGUUCACGUCCAAAUUUAUUAUAUGCAGUCAAUACAGUUAGUAGAUAUGUGGCAAAUCCUGGUAAAGAACAUUGGAAAAUACUGUUUCCAAAAAUUUAUGGAUUUCUGGUGAGUGAACUUCUAGUGAAAUUAUUGUGCUAAGUCCAUUGGGGCAGUCUGUUUGAGUAAGUACACUUUAUAGGAAUGUACCUUUGGAAGUACAAGGGAUUGUGUUUUCGGCAGAUCUGGUGAGGUUACUUCUAGUGAAAUUAUUGUACUAAGUCUGUUGGGGUAGUCUAUUCGAGUAAGUAGACUUUAUAGGAAUGUACCUUUGGAAGUACAAGGGAUUGUGUUUUCGGCGUUUUAUUCACAUAAAAGCAGCAAAAUUUAGCGACAUUGUCUACAGCGGCAUUUUUUACGGCGCUUGUGAAAGCGCCGCUAUAGGCCUAAAAAACACCGCUAAAAGCCUAUUUUGCUGCAGUGAAUUAAUAUUAUUAUAAGUAUAUUUUCACCUUUUCAUUCUUUUAUAUAAUCUUCAAGUAAAAUGAUUGAAAAAUAUUAUUUGAGAAUCAAACACAAGACUAACAAUAUUCAUAUAGAAAACGCUUAUCACUCCACUAAUAAUCAUUUGUUGAUGUAUUUUUGGUAAAAAGAGCCCUCCAAUCCCUCUUAAUUUCACAACUUCUCAAAUUAGUCCCUCUCAAAAAAAUUGGAGCAAUUUAAUCCCUAUCAAUUUUGAAAGUGAGUAACUAAGGACAAUUAAUUAUGGUGUUAAAUUCUUCAAUCAAUUGUACAUAAUUUUGAUUGGUAUAAUAAUAAAUUUAGCCUUUAAUGUUUAUGUAUUUUGUCAUUUUGGCCUUAAUUUUUUUAAAAAAAAUUCAAGAAAUUGAACCUCAACGUUUACAUAUUUGCACAAAUGUUGCAGGAAAAUUUUGUUAAAUUAAGACCAAAAUGCAAGUGUAAAUUUUGUUAAAUUAAGACCAUAUUUUCCCCCUUUAUUUUUUCAGUGCCGACCGGAAAAAAAAAUUUCAGUCUCAUCUAAAUAAGACAUACUUCAGCAGACCAAUAGACUGCAGAUCAGACCCAAUUCAAGGGUAAUGCAGUCCAAAGUUCCUUGAACUCCCUCCUCCAAAGUGAAAAACAAAUCUAUAUAUUUCUGCAUGAUUCAAACAGAAAGGACUGUUGGACAUGUAACUCAGAAAGAAUGCAAAUACAUUGAAAGUACCAUAGACUUUAUAAAUUAGUUUCAUGUUGUUAAAUUUCAACACUAUAAACCUAAAAAUUCCCAGAACGAAAUGCGGGAAUCAUGCCUUAAACUCCAAUACUCAAAUAAGAGACAGAUAAAUUGCACAUUUUUUAAUAUAAUAUUUACAGACUAGAGAUAAAAAUAUAGAAAAAUAUAAACAUGGACAUCGACAAAAAGACUAAUUGACUGUGCAUGUGUGCUAGAGAGUGGCAAUUAAACAUUAUCCAAACACAAUCAUUUCUCAACAUUUGUAAAACAAAAAGAAGAUUAAGAUUAGCAGUAAACUAAAUAAAACCAAAGAAGUGAGAACCACAAGUAAAUGAGAAAGAAAACAAAAUAGAGAUCCUAGUAGCUUUCCCAUUGAACUUCGUAUAAGAGAAAUAACAACAUUUGAACUUUAAGCAAAUAAAAAUGUAAAAUAUUCAGAAUCAAAACAAUCUUUUAUCAAAAUUCAAGCCAAAAACAAUGAGCUUCACUCUAUACAAGAAGCAUGUUAAAGUCAUAGGCUUUCUCGUUUCUGGAAACCAAAUCCAGAAACGUCUCCCACCAAAAAUCAAGAAAAUAACUUCUGUUUUUGAAAAUCACAUUCAAAUCGUGAAAUAGGAGCAAGGUCCUUCAAAUUCAAGCAAAGUUGGUAGUAAAAGCUUAACUUUCAAAGGUCAAACAACACAGCAUUAAGUAUAAAACUAACCCAAUCUCCACCAAUUCAAAAACAAGAAACCAAACACGAACCCGAAGAUCCAAACACGAUUUCGAAAAAAAAAAAUAGAUAUUCCUGAAAAUCGGAUAAAAAACUAGCAUAUACUUAAUGAAAAGAGAAAUUGACGAAAAAUCACAAGAGAUCUGCAUGCAAAUAUAGGCACACUUUUGCUUGAUUAUUCGCUUAAAAAAGUAACAAUGGAAAACAAGAUGCAAGUGUCACGGGCCGCAGUUCAAAGCCCGUGACCAGCGCACCAAAUGCAUCCAAUAGAGAUCUAUUGCUCAGAUAGGGAUCAUUUGGCCCACAAGAACUGGCUCGAUUCAAGGAGCUAUUGGACAAGCCUGUCAGAUUGAAGCCUGGUUGGCCCGAAAACGAAGAGAUGGCAACUUAGGCUAAUAUGGUAACUAAUCUUAGAAGAUAGAGGGAAUCUUAUCUUGUAAAGAUUAGAUUAGAUUAGAUAAGGCUUAUCUUGUAAAUCCCUAAAAUUAAGGGAUAUGGGUUAAUCUCAUCCGUCGAUGUAAAUGUAUAUUGACCGUCGAUUUUGGGGGAGAUCAACUAUAAAUAGAGAGCCUCCCCCUCAUUUGUACUCACUCUUGUAAUUAUUUCAUUAUUCUUUGUGAAUAAGAGAAUUGAGAGCAUUUACUCAAACACUUUACGAGCGUCCUUUCUGUUGUUCUUUUGUUUAGCUUCUUUUGGCACAAUCGCUUCCGCUAUACAAAUUGGUGCCUUGGAGGAGUUCUAAAAGAAUCCUCACUUGAGUUAAGCCUGACUUGGGCGAGUUUGGAUGAACAAAUUGUCUAAGGCUGCACGAAUUACGAGACGAAAGGUCUAGCCCUGUGACAAGUGGUAUCAGAGCCAAGUUUUGAACCAAGUGACAUUCGAGUUGGUUUGAAGGCACCGUUGGGAUGUCAAGAGAAGAGUUCGAACAAAGGUGGGAGAAGAAGUAUUUGAGGGAGACAUUAUCGGUAGUAGAGAAACGUGUGGGUAAACUCGAGGGAUCCAUGGAGGAUGUAAAGGAGGCACUCGAUGGGGUCGAGGAUCACAUUGCAAACUGGAAGGAGCAGUCUAGAGACUAUGUAAAGAUGUCUCUUAGUUCCAUCAUGGAUAUGGUAAACGAGUUGUUUAAUUCACACAGGGAUAAGCUGUCGGAAAGGAAUGAUGCUCUCGAGGCCAAAAUGAUGGCUUUGAAAGAGGAAACAAUGGCCACGACGAGGGCUUUGAGCACAAGAAUAGAGGAGCUCGAGGGAGAGCUGGCCUUGUGUUGAGCAGCCGUGAGGAAAGGAGUGGCAAAUGUAGCACUCAGUAACGAGGAUGUCCCAAAGCUGAAAGAGUUUGUGGGGACAAGGUCUGCGUGCGAUGUGGAUAAUUUCUUAUGGAGGAUGGAAAACUACUUCCGUGCCAAAGGCGUCAUGGAUGAUACGGUUAAGGUAAACACUACUUCAAUGUUUCUUACUGCCAUUGCACUUUUAUGGUGGAGAGGUAGGACCACAAAUAAAAGGCAAGGUGAGAUUGGGACGUAGCAAGAGUUCCAAUGCGAAUUGAAGGGACAGUUUUACCCAGAGUUUACCGAGGAAGAAGCUCGGGCAAAGUUGCAAGGGAUAACGUAACAGGGCACAGUGGGGGAGUAUGUUCGAGAGUUCAAGGAACUCAUGCUCCAAGUUUUAAAGGUGACCGAAAGAGAGGCAUUGCUUGCUUUUCAAAAUGGAUUGAAGCCGUGGGUCAGACAGGAGGUGGAACAAAGAGGUGUCCAAAAGCUAUCGGAAGCCAUGACGGUAGUUGAGUCUGUGGUUAAGCUUAGUCUAGGGAAAGACAAGCUUGGAUCUUCCAAGUCCGAUGGAAGGGGUAUAUGUGAAAUGGAUCAAAAGGAAGAUAGUGUUGAUGGCAAUGGCAACGGCAACAAUGGUGGUAAUGGGAAACCAUGAGUUGGGAAGAAGAAACCCAAGAGGAAAAGGGACAAGCUAAAAUGCUUUCUCUGCGACGGUCCACACAUGCUGAAGAAAUGUCUGAAAAAUUUGAGCUCAAGGAGAAGCCGGUGGGUAAGGCCUUGGUACUUGGUUCGAGCGCAAGGGGUGUCGAAGCCAAGAAGGCCAAAAGUAAGAAGAAGCCAGUGGAGUGGUUCUUGUGUCAUGGUCCGCAUAGGUUACGAAAGUGUCCGAGGAAGUCUAUCAUCGAGGGGAAUGAUGGAGCAGACAAGGAGCCCAAGAAGCUUGGUUCGAGCAAGGGAAAAGCCGAAGCCAAAGGGGCAAAAGGGAGCAAAAAGAAGCGAGUAAAGUGCUUCUUGUGCCGUGGUCCGCAUGAGUUACGGAACUGUCCAAAGCAAGCCGGAGUCAUAAGAAAGGCAACGUCUGAGCUUGGUGAGUCAUCGGAGGGGCUUCCACCCAAGGAAGAGGUGAGUUUGUCAUCGAACUUAAAGGAAAUAGUUGCGAUGAAAACAGUGAAGCUGGGACCAAUGAGGCUCAAGUUGAGUGAAGCGUCGGAGUUGGCCGAGUCAUCGAUAAGGCUUCCACCUAUGGGAGAGGUGGGUGGUGCAUCAGACUUCAAGGGAAAAGAAGGGAUGCAUGUGGGACAGUUGACCAGAGUAAAUGCGACGAGUAGGACGGUUUGAGUUAAGAAGCGACGUAAGCCGAGGCAAAAAUCCCGAAGGAAGGGAAAGGCUAAGGCAUUGAGACAAGACCGAGGUGAAUCGAGUCAGUGCCAUUCAAAAGUCACAACGAGGACGGUGCAAGAAUGUGUGGGGGAGAAUGUCACGGGCCGCAGUUCAAAGCCCAUGACCAGCGCACCAAAUGCAUCCAAUGGAGGUUUGUUGCUCAGAUGUGGAUCAUUUGGCCCACAAGAACUGGCUCGAUUUAAGGAGCUAUUGGACAAGCCUGUCAGAUUGAAGCUUGGUUGGCCCGAUAACGGAGAGAUGGAAACUUAGGCUAAUAUGGUAACUAAUCUUAGAAGAUAGAGGGAAUCUUAUAUUGUAAAGAUUAGAUUAGAUUAGAUAAGGCUUAUCUUGUAAAUCCUAAAAUUAAAGGAUAUGGGUUAAUCUCAUCCGUCGAUGUAAAUGUAUCUUGACCGUCGGUUUUGGGGGAGCUCAACUAUAAAUAGAGAGCCUCCCCCUCAUUUGUACUCACUCCUGUAAUUGUUUCAUUAUUCUUUGUGAAUAAGAGAAUUGAGAUCAUUUACUCAAACACUUUGUGAGCGUCCUUUCUAAUGUUCUUUUGUUUAGCUUCUUUUGGCACAAUCGCUUCCGCUAUACAAAUUGGUACCUUGGAGGAGUUCUAAAAGAAUCCUCACUUGAGUUAAGGCUAACUUGGGUGAGUUUGAACGAACGGAUCGCCUAAGGCCUCACAGAUUGUGAGACGAAAGGUCUAGCCCCGUGACACAAGUGCUAGGUAAAACCAUCAUGUCUGCUUACUCACCACAAACAAAGGCCCUCUAGGACCUUCAUGAAUUUUUGUCUUAUAAGUGCUUCCAUUGUGAGCCUGAACAGCUUGAUAGCCCACAAGAUAAGGAUAUCGAUCUUUACCCUACAGAUUAACAAGGUUAAAUCCACUUAAAUGAAGCACCAUUAGUCUAUAACAAUUUACUUCAAUUUUCUGCUGUUAGUUCAAAUAUUUAUUUUUUUAAUUUGCCAAAACUUGCUAGGAUCGAAGAUUUGGAAUUCCUAAAUUUCAAUUACAAAUUUACACCGUACUUGCAGAAAAAUAUAUUACUAUUAGAGACACCAGCAAUCAACCAGAGUUCUUUAGUUUUCAAUCAAGUUAUUCGACAGGUAUCUAUAUUGAUUACACAAAAAAAAUCAUACACCGUGAGAAUGUCGAGUAAAUUACAAAUACAAAAGCAAACGAACCCUAAAGGAGCUCCAAUACUUCUUCUCCCAGGGGCCUUUGUAUAGAGAUCCAAUGGAAACGAUCUCUAGAUCCUCUAAUUUCGUUGUUUGUUCUCCUUUUUUUGUUUUCGCCAUUCAAAGAAAUGAGAAGAAAGCAAGAUUUCCAAACAACUAACAAUAAGAGAGUAGAGAGGAUUUUCAAGAUAGACGAAGACAUGGCAUUUUAAAAUAGGGGAACUAAAAUCUUAAAAUGCAUGAUUUCCCUUGAAAUUCUAAAUAAAAACUUUAUUUGAUUAGGAAAAAUGUGAAUUGAUUUUGGGAAAAAGAAGGGAAAAAAAAGAAAAGAUUUCAUUUGAAAUAUUGGGAUAAAAAAAUAUAAUUACAAAACGACGCCGUUUUGAAAAAAACAUAUUCGUGGCGUUUGGAAAAAAAAGUCACUAUUGCUCGACUUUUAGCGACAUUUGGACCAAAAACGCUACUAUUGUUCAACUUUUUUCUGCAUUUACAACAAAAAAGCCGCUAUUGCUUACCUUUUGCGGCGUUUUUUUUAUAAAUGCCGCUAACACUUGACUUUUUUACAAUUUUUAUAUUGAAUUAUUGUAUCUUUCAUAUAAAUUUUAAAUGAAUAAUUUUUAGUUUUUGUAUUUCAUUUUUAUUUUUGUAUUUCAUUUUUAUUUGUUAUAAUUUUGUCCUAUCCAAAAUAGAUAGUUACCUAUCCAUAUCAAUCUGUUACUUUUUUUUAUUUAUUUAUCAAUAUUUUUUUAAAUUUAAUAGUUAAAUAUAUUAAAUGGUUUAGAUUUAAUAUUUUUAAAUAUAAAAGCAUUAAUUGAUUGUAUAAAAUUUUAUCAUUUAACAAAUCUCAAGUAAACCUUAAAUCCUAAACCAUUUAAUAUAUAUAAAGUUUAUCUAUUAUCUCUUAAAUAAUUUAAACUAUAAUCAUAAUUUUAAUAUAUUAAAAUUAAAAUUAAAAUGAUCUCUUUUACAAUUAUAUAAGAAAUUAUUUAAUAUAUAAAUUAAAAAACACUAAUUAACCUAAACCCUAAACCCUAAACCCCUAUCCCCUAAACCUUGAAUUAUAAAACAUAAAACAUAAACCCUAAAUCCCUGAAUCCCUAACCCUUAACCCCUAACCCCUAACCCCUAAACCUUAAACCCCAACCCUUAAACCAUAAUCCCUAAACCCAUAAUCCAUAAUCCAUAAACCUUAAAAUAGUAACUCUUAAACCUUAAACCCUAAACCAUAAACCCUAAACUAUAAUGAUAAUUAAUUCAAUAUUUUAAAAUUAAUACUAUCUCUUUUACGAUUAUAUAAGAAAUUAUUUAAUAUAUAAAUUAAAAACAAUCAGUCAUGUACCCAAGAAACUUUAAAAUUAUUUUAAAUAAUAUAUUUUAAUUUUUUCAUUUUUAACAAAUAUUUUCUAUGUUUUUACUUUCAAAAUUUCUCUACGUGUCAUUAUUUUUUUCUGAAGAAUUUAAAUAUUCAAUUAAAAAUAAAUUUAUUUUAAUUAAUAUAAAUAAAGCGGUUAAAUAAUAAAUAGACAGAUAAAAUACUUUUUGCGGUGAUUUUCAUAAAGUGCCGCUAAAGCUCGAUCUACAGCGGCGUUUUACGAAAAAGAGUCUUACUGAAUUUUUUGGGGCAUUUUUCAAAAAGCGCCACUAAUUCUCGAUCUAUAGUGGCGUUUUUCAAGAAGCGCCGCUAAUGCCACUAAAGCUCAACAUAAAACACCAGCAUUGAGCUUAAUUUUUUUGCGGCGUUUUUCAAAAAGAGCCGCUAAUGGUAGACCUAUAGCGGCGUUUUUCAAAAAGCGCCACUAAAGCUCAACAUAAAACACCGGCGUUGUGCUUAAUUUUUUUACGGCAUUUUUCAAAAAGCGCCGCUAAUGGUCGACUUAUAGCAGUGGUUUUAAAAAAGACCCACUAAUGCUCGAUCUAUAGCGGCAUUUUUCAAAAAGCGCCGCUAAUGCUCGAUCUAUAGUAGCGUUUUUUAUCCAAACGCCGCUAAAAAUGCCACUAAAAACCUAUUUUGCUGUAGUGAUUUGUGGGGUAAGUGGUUGAACAUUUUAAUAUAGACUGACUUUUCUAUAAUUAGUCCUUGCUUUAAUUACUUUGGGUGGAUUCUUCCAACUAGUCCAAGCAUUAUUGUACAAUUACAAUUAAUCUUUUUAAAUGAGACAAACAUUUCAAAUUUGUCAUUACUAUUUGUGAGUGAUUUGGGGGUAAGAAGUUUAACUCUUCUGGAUGUCUUAUAGAAUUGUGAUUAUACUUUUUGAGUAUUGACUCAGUUUUCCACAAUUGUGGGUCUCUAUUUGAGCAAAACAAUUUCAACAUUUCUUCAUCUCGUUUAAUCCAAAUGCAUUUAUGCAUUUCUUAUAUCAUUGAAUUUGCUGCUUCAUAUUCAAUUUUUGGACAAGUAGAAUUUUCUAACCUAUUUUCCAUCAACUUCACUUGAAUUUUCAAUCACAAUCAAUUGCAUUCAAGAGCACCACAUCUUUUUGGAUGAAACAAAAAUUUCAAUUUUAAGAUAAACGGGUCUUUAGGGUUAUAAUUUCAAUUUUUAAAAGUUUAAAAUAAAUUUGUAUUUUUAUUAACAAAAUGUAUAUAAAAAAAAACUUGUUUAGACAAGCCAAGAGACCUUUGGGAUCAUACGGGUGAUUUUGAUGAUGUUAAUGGUUAUUUUGGUGGAGAGAGUGAAAAAGAAACAAAUGAUUCAUUAUAUAUAUUAUAAUUAUGAAAUUCAAGCCAUAUAUUGUAUGUUUCAUACAUAAAAAAAAUUGGAGCAAUUUAAUCCCUAUCAAUUUUGAAAGUGAGUAACUAAGGACAAUUAAUUAUGGUGUUAAAUUCUUCCAUCAAUUGUACAUAAUUUUGAUUGGUAUAGUAAUAAAUUUAGCCUUCAAUAUUUAUAUAUUUUUUCAUUUUGGCCUUAAUUUUUUUUAAAAAAUUCAAGAAAUUCAACCUCAACAUUUACAUAUUUACACAAACAUUGCGGGAAAAUUUUGUUAAAUUAAGACCAAAUUGCAAGUGUAAAUUUUGAGGGCUAAAUUUAUUAUUAUACCAACCAAAAUCAUGUACAUUUUAUGGAAAAUUAACAUCUUGAUUAAUUAUUCUUAGUUGUUCACUUUCAAAAUUAAUAGGGACUAAAUUACUUUGAUUUUUUUAGGGUGACCAAUUUCCUCAAAGUGGAAAUUGAGAGAGACUAUUGAGAUCUUUUGCAUAUUUCUUUUAUAAAUAUAUUUUUUAAAUAUAAAAUAUAUUUGUUCACACACAUCGUGAGUAUGAUCUCAAUAGUCCACAUAAUCCAUUAAAAAAACUUAAAAAAUAUAUUUUAUUUUUUAACACCUAAGUGAUUCUCCAGCUAACGACCACCCAAGACACACCCCGACUUUAUAACACCCCAAUCUUAUUUAAUUAUUAGUUAUUUAUUAAUGCAGAAGUAAAUUAUGAGCCAAUUUUAAUCUUUUCCUCGGUAAUUUAACCUAAGGCCAAUUUCAUCAUUUUACCACCUAUUGUAAAACUAACCCGAUUUUAGAUAUAACAACAUGUUUGGUUUGGUGUAAUAGAUUAGCCAUUACACCCCUAUUUCGUGGGCCCCACUAAUCCCCACUUAUUCUUGUGUUUGGUUUGAUGUAUUGCCUAUUACAGGCCUAUUACAACACGAAUGUAUUCCUCAUUUUCUCUGCUUCAACAAUGAUUAGCCAUUCCGUUCCAAAAGUAAGGAUUAGCUAAUCGUCUCUGUUUUACCCUCCUCAGCCAAAAUCUACUGCUCCACCCCACCCUCUCCCUCCCAACAUCAACAGCAGUUUUCUUCGAACCAAAUCUCCACCGUCUCAGAUCGCCUGUGAGUAAUCUCAACAGCAGUUGCCAGUGAAAAUUGCCCUUUCUUCAAAAACCCAGCCCUAAACCCUUCUUCUCUUUCAAUACUCCAUUCGAACAGGUUGCGGUGUCUCCCUCCUCUGAGGUAUGGCUCUGUUUCUUUAACUUUAGCAUUGAGCGACUCUUUUCAAUUCCAAAAUUAGUCUACUCUGCUAAGGGUUCUUGCUUUUCAAACCAUUUUUUCACCAUUUUUCUUGUAAUUCUUUUUCUUGUUAGAGUUCAGAUUUUAGAUUUUUUUUAAAAAAAAACGAUUAGAUUGUGAGGUUCAGUUAAUUAUUAGGGUUUUCUGUUUUGGGUUUCCCUGUUGCGUGGUAAUUUUGAAGUGCAUAUAAAAUGGAUGCUUUUGAGGAUCUUAAGCAAUUCGGCGAUACUGAUAAAGGUUGAUAUUCGAUUCAUUUUGCUUUAAUUUACUUGGUUUAUGCAUUUUGGGGAUAAAAUUAGCUUUGUUUUCUUCUCUUUUGGUUGGCUUUAAGCUGAGAGUAAAAUUUGAAACCUUUGUGGUGGAGGAGUUACCGUUCUUCUGAGAUCAAAUGUAUAACAGGUUAGAAGGAAAUGAAAUUAGAUCCUUAAAUAUUGUGUUUUCAAUGUUAAGGGCAGGCUUUUGUUGCUAAAACAAUUGUGGUAACACUGUUUGAUUCAGUUAGAAGUCAAAUGUCGUUUCCAUGUGUGAACAAUUUCUGGUUUUUAAGUAGCGACUUUGUUUCAUGUUGGCCUGGACAUUUUCCAAAUUAGUAAUUAUAAGUUUGAAUUUGGCUACUAAAUCACGCCAAUUAAUGAUUUCAGUGUGCUGGUGUUUCAGACUUUCAGUUGAAUUGACUUUGGUUUCGAAUAUUUUUAGUGAUGGAAAUAAGCACGAUUUAUUUAAAUUAUGAUUGAAUUGGAGAAACUGCUUUUUGUACAUUUUGAGAAAUAUCAGGCCCUUGGAUACACAAAGGGUGUUAACUUGCGCCUAUCUCAAUUACCCCAUUCCUGCCCAUUGAAUUGGAGAAAGUUCUUUUUUUUAAUGAUUCUGCGUUGCUACUGAUUUUUAGUGAAAUGGUAUUUUUCUUAUGAUGUGUUUUCUUCUUUAUGAAGAGCUCAUUUCAGUAAAGUUAACCUUUCUAUUAUGCAGAAGGUGCAGUAUUUGAUGCAUCACAAUAUGCAUUUUUUGGAAACAAUGUUCUCGAGGAAGUUGAAUUGGGGGGGCUAGAUGAUGAGGAUGAGGAUUUACCUGCAGCUGGACUUGAUGAAGAGGAGUUUUUGUUUGAUCAAGAGGAGGUUAAUAUUCUUGUUUCUUUCAGUUUUAUUUUUCCUGUUUCGAUUGUUCUUGCAAGUUUCUGCAGCAUAGCACAACCAGUGACUAUUCGAUCGAAAAAUAAAUGUAUCCCUUCCAGGCGUCAUGCUAAAAAAUAGCCUUUUGGAUUAGUGUUGGAUUUUUUCUCCAUGUUCUUUAACAGAUAGAUUCCACUGCAUUCAAUUAGUGGUUGGCAUGCGAGUUUUAUUUGUGGAAUAAAGCUCUGUGGGAGUUCAUAUUAUAUAUUGUUCUAUUUGUCUGUGCAAAACAUUGUGAACCUUGUUCUCUGUAUUUAUAAGUUGACAAUGUAGCCAUCUUGGUUGGCUGCUUUCCGAAGUCAAUUUAUUUGAUUCGUUCUCUUUGCUCUUCACAAUGAGAGGUAGCUCUUUUGUACUUUUUUAAUAAGAUCAUAUUAUACAUGCUCUUUUGCAGUGGUCUAGUGGUUUAGUAUCUUGUUAAUAAAACCAUAUUGUAUAUUUGAAUAGUUUGGAGAUUGUGUUAACUGUAUUUGGUGCAUCUUGAAGUAAUGUUUGUUGUAUCUUAUAUGCUUCCUGAAUCAAAUAUGGAGAGAAGGUAGUAUAUGGAGUUUAUAUUUUCAAGUAUUUUUCACACAAUUGAUUUAUCUGUUCCCUUCAUUGAGGGGAAAACAUGGAAUGAAUUGACUUACACCUCACUUCUUCCUCAAACAUCUUUUGUACCACUUAUUUUCAUAAAAUGAUAAGAAUCUUUUUAGAUUACAACUUCCAGAGGUCUAUGUCACCUUCUUGACAAUCAGGUUUUUAGGAAUAUUUUUACCCAUCAUGCAGAAGUUUUAGACAAAAUCUUGUUCGUGGUUGCUGCUAGAUGCAUGAUACUGCCUCAUUUCCUUUGUGGUGGUUCUUCGCUCUCCCCCUUCUUAGUAUUUUUGGUUGUUGAGUCUUGGAGGCAGUUGUAUUCAGUAAUGGCUGGCUUGCUUUGAUGCAUUGCUUCUGUAUAUCUUUGUAGAAAACGAAUCUGUAUCUAUUAUUAACACAAAUUUGAUUAGUUCAUGCCAAUGGAUUUGUAAAGUUAAAUUAGUUAUUGGCGUUAGAAAUUUACUCUUAUGCCUGGAAGGAGAUCUGGCUUACAGAUCAACUACUGGAGUUAAUUGUGGAAAUUUGUUUGAUUUGGUUUCUUAUAAAAUUGUUACCCUGUUCUAUUUAUGUUGGAGUAGCUGAAAUCUGAGGUUGCAUUUGUCAUUAACAAAUAGAAAUCCAAAAAGAGAGGAAAGUGAUAUCAUCCCCUCCACUUUUUCCUUGGAAUUGCGUACUUCAAACUUUUUUAAUUGUAUAAAUUCAUAUAAGAAAAUUUAUUAUGAUGUUGUAAAACUAUAAAACAUAUGGAUUAUGAUGUAGAAUUUCAUUUUCAUCUAACCUUUUCUUAAUAUAAGUUAAUUAUGUUUAUGCAGAAUAUAAUCUCAAGUUAUAAUUUGAUUUUAGUAAAUUCAUAUAAGAACAUUUUAUUAUUAAAUUAUAUUUAAUAUUAAUUAUUUUAAAUUGUAUAAAUUCAUAUAAGAAAAUUUAUUAUCAAGAAUUUUAUGAAAUUAUAUAUCAUUAUUAAAUUAUAUUUAAUAUUAAUUAUUUUAAAUUAUAUAAAUUCAUAUAAGAAAAUUUAUUAUCACGAAUUUUAUGAAAUUAUAUAUUAUUAUUAAUUAUAUUUAAUAAUAAUUAUUUUAAAUUAUACAAAUUCAUAUAAGAAAAUUUAUUAGUUAUAAUUAUUUUAAAUUUUAUUAAAUCAUAUAUUUUAAUUAAAAUAUUUUUAAUAUUAAUUACUUCAAAUUAUAUUUUAUAGUAUCAUAUAUUAUGAUUUUAGUAAAUUCAUAUAAGAAUUUUGAUUAUUAAGAAUUUUAUUAAAUUAUAUAUUUUAAUUAAAAUAUAUUUAAUAAUAAUAAUGUUAAAUUAUCUUUUAUCGUAUCAUAUAUUAUGAUUUGAGUAAAUUCAUAUAAGAAUAUUAAUUUUUAAGAAUUUUACUAAAUUAUAUAUUUUAAUUAUAAUAUAUUUAAUAAUAAUUAUGUUAAAUUAUAUUUUAUAGUAUCAUAUAUUAUGAUUUGAGUAAAUUCAUAUAAGAUAUUGAUUAUUAAGAAUUUUAUUAAAUUAUAUAUUUUAAUUUAAUAUAUUUAAUAAUUAUUAUGUUAAAUUAUCUUUUAUAGUAUCAUAUAUUAUGAUUUGAGCAAAUUCAUAUAAGAAUAUUAAUUAUUAAUAAUUUUAUUAAAUUAUAUAUUUUAAUUAUAAUAUAUUUAAUAAUAAUUAUGUUUAAAUAUGAUUAAAUUAUUUAUUAUUGAUAUUAUUAAUCUUAUUAAAAUUUAAAUAACAAUAACAAUAAUCAUUUACCCAAACAAAUUUAUGCUAAUGGUAUUCUAGUCAUUUUAGUUUUUUUCCAUUAUGCUAUUACACCUCUAUUCCAUUCAACCAAACACAAGAAUACUAUUACGCCUCUAUUCCAUUACGCCUCUAUUCCAUUCAACCAAACAAUUGAUUUGCUAUUACGCCUCUAUUCCAUUACACCUCUAUUCCAUUACGCCUCUAUUCCAAUACAGCGAACCAAACGUGCUGUAAGUGUUUACCAACCUUCUUUUAGUUAAAUUAUGCAAGCCUAAAAUUUUCAGCUUUAUUUGAGUACGUUUUCUAUGUCUAAUUCAAGUUUUAUUAUUAAGGACUAAAUUGUAACUUAAACAAAUUAGAAUACCAAUUUAAAGAGACAAAAUUCAAAACCCCAAAACCCACACGGGCAUGUGGGUAAGUGGCACGGGCCAGUGGAGACUGGAGCUAUCACAUAAGGCGAGUGAGAUUGAAACAUAUGAAAUAAAUUAAUCCACUUAAUUUUCCAACAACCAUGCUAUACUACCAAACCAAAUAACGAGUGAAGCUUUGAAUAGGGGCGAAUCUAAAAAAAAAAUUAGAAGAAUUAGAAUUAAAUUAUAAAAUUUUGAGAAGUUAUCAUGUAUUAAUUUAUUAUUUUUUUAAAGGGUCCUAAUAGAAUUUUUUUCCCAUUCUGGUUGGGCCAAUACCUUUGACUGCCUCUUUAAAUUUGCUUCAACCCUAAACCCAAUAUUCGAUUUGGAUUAACAACAAUAUAUAGGUUUGUAUUUGUGGGAGUUUGACGAAUAAAAAUUUCUAUUUAAAAGGUUUAAAUUAUAAAUUUUUGAAAGUUUAAAAUAAAUUUGUAUUUUUUAUUAACAAAAUAUAAAAGAAAAAAAACAUGUUUAGACAAGACAAGAAACCUUGGGAUCAUACGGGUGAUUUUGAUGAUGUUAAUGGUUAUUUUGGUGGAGAGGGUAAACACGAAACAAAUGAUUCAUUAUAUAUAAUAUAAUUAUGAAAUUCAAGCCAUAUAUUGUACUUUUGGUUUUUCUGCAAUAUGAUACAUGUAUUUGGUAAAAAGUUAUAUAUUUUGAUACUUAAAAGUAACAUUGUUAAUUUUUUUAGUGCUUAAUCUGAAUUUUAGAGUUUAUUUAAUGAACAUUAAUUGUUAAUAUUGUUAUGUUUAUUUUUUUAUGAUUUUGUUAAUAAAAUAAAUUUUAUGUUUAUCUUGUUAUCUUUUUUAUUUUAGAAUUGAUUACAUGAAAGUUAAUUGCUAAUAUUAUUAGUUAACUAUUAGUUUUCUUCAAAUCAAAUUAAAACCCGAAAGAUCCCACUUUUUUUUUAUAUUAGUUUUAGUUAUCCAUUAAAUUUGUUUCUUUGUAAUAAAAUUAAAUUAUAGAAAUAACAUUAAAAUUUUAAAUAAAAUUAAUUCACAAUAAUUAUACAGAAUUUAAUUUUCUUUCAAAUACUGCAGUUAAUAAGGAAAGUGAAUAUAGUAAAAAGAAAUAUUGUUUAAUUAGUUAAUUUAAAAAUCAAUAGCGUCUAAAAACUGUCAGAAUGGAAUAUUAGAUUUUAUAAGAUUUCAUUAUUCUAAAAAAUAAAAUAUGACAAUGCUUAAAAAUUUUAUCAAAAAAGUUUUAAAUUUUAUAUAAAAUUUUAAAAAAUAAAAAAACAGUAUUAAAAAUUUUUAUAAGCAAAUUAAAUAUUAAUUAGUAAAUUAUUUUUGUAAUAUUUAUAUGUAUUUUCAUUUUUAUAAAUACUAUUAAAACUUUUUUUAAAAAAAUUGAAUGCUAUGUAAAAACAUUAUUAAAAAUAAAAUAUUAUAUGAAAGUUAAAAUGAUGUAAAAACAUAUUUUCAGUGUUGGCGUUGCUCGUUCGUAAAUGGGUUAGUUUCCGUUUUGAUGUGUUUUUACGUGGAUAGUAAAAGAAAUGUGUUAAUUUUUGGAUUAUGGAGUUGAUCGUUUUUAAUCAAUUCUCCAGUAAGUUGACUCGUUUGUUGUUGUUAUGUGCUAGGAUAAGAGAUUAAUUCUGAUUUGGGCCUGUGUGGUUGUGUAGAUUUUCCAUGUGAAAUCGUUUGGUAUUUUUAGGAUAAAUCAUUCUUUAAAUCGUAUUGCUACCAUCGCGAAUGUGAUGUUUUAAUUUAUGCAUUUAGGAUCUGGUAGUCUUAUAGGUGUUUUCGCAUAAAAAAUUGAACCAUGUGUGUAACGAAAGCUAAAAAAUUGCACUGUUGACGCCACACGGCCAUGUGACAAGUCGUGUGCUGGAUCAUGUGUAACACACGAUUUGAGCUAGUUGAGCCAUGUGGAAAACAAAGGUGUGUGUGAAGGCGUGUGCCACACCAUGUGGGCCACACAGGCUGGCCAUUUAGGCCGUAUGGGACCAAAAUUCUAAUUUUUUUCCUAGGGUUAUACACAGUGUGUAUACUUGUCUUUGAAUUGAAAAAUUCUAAACAACUCUAAAUAAAUGGAAAGCAGCAAAUUACCUGACGAGGCAAGCUAGGUCAAUUACGACCAUUGUGUUAUUCUUGUCUCUGAAUUGAAAAUUUUAGAAGAAACUAAAGAGAAAGUGUUAGAAAAUAAUUGAAAACAGAUAAAACUUAUGUCUCAUUGAUUGGAUAAACUACGAUCACCCAUAAUAGACCUUGUACUUGACUUUUUGUUUAGGGAGAUUGACUCUUUUAGGAGAAGUCUUUUGAGUGUUGUUUGCUAGGCAAUCGGUGCUGCCCUCAACAACUAAUGGUAGUGUCCCCAUGUUGGGAUUUUAUCCCCAGCCUCUGCGGAAUAAUCAUUGAGGAUAUGUGCGUAGGGAUUCAAACUACCAAUCAAUGCAUGUGUAGCCUUUACCUUGCAACCAUCUCCAUGAACCCAUAGGGUUCUUAGCGGGAUCAAGAGACGAAACCCUAAUGUGGGAACAAUACCAUUUGUUGAAGGCUUUGUUAAUAGGGUCACACCUAGGGGAGUUGGCAGGGGUCCCAACCCCCCUUAAAAUGAAAAAUUUUCCAUUUAGGCCCUUUAAAAUUUUUAAAAUUUUAAAUUAAUAAAAGUAAAAUUGUACUUUGGCCCCCCAAAAAGUGAUAAAACUUCGAUUUAGUCCUCUAAAAAUUAUAAAAUAUAGGCUAUUAAAAUGGUGAAAUUGCAUUUUUACUAUCAUAAAAAUUAUAAUUUAAUUUCACCCCCUAAAAAGAUUUUCUGGCUUCGCCCCAAAUAAAAUCUUUGCCAAAAGAUUAAAAUAAAAUUAUACCGUAAAUGAAAAAAUAAACUAAGAAAAUCCAAUCUAACAAAGAAAAUAACUUGAUGUCCAAAAGCUACCAUGAACCGUAAUUCAUGGGAAGUCUUGUUGCUCAUUUUAUUGGUUUCCAUUUUGAUUUUGCAAAAUAAGUUUGAAUUUUGAAGAGAGCCUACUACGUGAGAGCAAAAGAAAAAAAUUCUAUAAAGAUUUUGAAUUUUGAAUUUUGAAUUUUGAAUUUUGAAUUUUGAAUUUUGAAGCAGAUUUUCAUUAAGAUUGAAGAUUCCUAAUUGAUUUCUUAGGAGAUUAUCAUGAGUUCCUUAUUUCUUUCAGUUAUAUUGCCCUUUGGAUUUUUUAUUUUUAAUCAUGAACUACUUUUCUAAAUACGUAAGAGAGAUGAACCCUAUGAUAGAUUGUGACACCCCAAAGCUGACCGGGAUAGACCGGCCUGAAUUCAAAGCAUUACAUUAGCCACCUAAGGACCACUCAAGACACACCCCGACCUUAUAACACCUCAAUCUUAUCUAAUUACUAGUUAUUUAUUAAUGCCGAAGUAAAUUAUGAGCCAAUUUUAAAGUUUUCCUAGGUAAUUUAACCUAAGGGCAUUUACAUCAUUUUAUGACCUAUGGUAAAACUAACCUAGAAAUACCGAAAACAUUCCAAAAUAAUAUAAAAAAAAAGCUAAGAAAAACCUAGAAAUACAAAAAAAAAUUCAUGUUUUUACAAAUUGGGAAAUACCUAAAUUUGUUUUUAUCAAUUAAGAAAUUAAAAAAAUUGUUGAGAAAUAUCUUUUUAGUGAUUGUUAGCUUUGACAAGUUCUCUCCACCACUUCUCUUACGCUCCUUCCAGGAUCUUGCUUUUUGUGUGUUGAAAACUCAAAUGAACAAAAUAAAGUGAAUUUACGAGUUUUGUUUUCUUUUAAAAAUAUUUUUAAUAUUUUUGUGGAUACCAAGAGAUACCAAAAAUUAUUUCACUAAGAAGUUUUAAUUCACUCGAAAAGUUAGUGUUUUAUUUCAAGGGGUCAUAAUUAAUCAUUAGAUUUCUCAAUUUUAAAUUUUGAAUUUUUGACAAUUGUGUAAUUAAUAAGUACCAAUUUUGAGUGGUGUAGGGCUAGUACAAUCUCCCUUACACAUAACCGACUCUUGAUCUAAUAAAUAUUUAUCCUUAUACUUUGAUCUAAAUAUUUUGAUGUAAUCAAUGUAAAAAACCUUUUAAACAAAAUAAGGUUGAAAUAAUCUAUUUGUCUUUAUACUUUGAUAAAAUUUGGGAUUUAGUCCUCAUACCUAAUGUUGACACCAUUUUUUUGUGAAAACGGGGUUGACUUGGAUUUUGUAAACGAAAACGAAAACGGGGGUCGCCACCAAUUCUUUUUGAUAAGGUGUGAUCGGGCCACCUUGAAAAGUGGUUGUUUUUAAUAAACAAUUUAAUUUUAUGAAAACAACGAUUUUGGUCCACGAAAUUCAGAAAAACAGGUUCGGGAGUCGGUUACGUACGAGGAAGGAUUAGCACCCUCAUAACGCCCAAAAUUGGUACCUAGUUGAUUAAUUAAUGUCUUAGUGUAGAAGAUUGAAAACUCUAAAGAGAUUUAAAACACGAUCCUUUACUGAAAUGAUAAAAAUUUUCGGCAAAAAGGGCAUAUUUCACAUUAAUCGAGAAAGAGAAUUAUAUCCAAUAAGUUAGAACACAAUGUCUUGAAUUCCGAUGCGCGAAUGAAUACCAAAAAUUUACUUAUUUAAAAGAUAUUUAACUAUCUCGGAUUUAAAAAAGGGAUCAUGCCCAGUAAGUUAGGACACGAUCUUUUCUUAAUUCCCGAGAUCGUUUAAAACUUGAGAAAAAAGGGAUCAUGCCCAGUAAGUUAGGACAUGAUCUCUUCUUAAUUCCCGAGAUCGUUUUAAACUUGAGUUUGAAAAGAUUCGUGUAUUUAAAUUUAUUGUGAAAAUUGAAACCCCGUAAGUUAGGGUACGACCUUCUCGAAUCUAAACAUGAGAUUUUGCUUAUUCAAAAAAUCAUAAUUUAUGCAUUGAAUAAAAUUAAUCUAACACGAAAUAGUAGAAAUGCAACACGGUGUCAAUAUGUGUAACAAGACAAAAAUGAAUAUGAUAAUGUAAGCAUAAAUAGUACGAACGACAUCGUAAAUGAGAUAAAUAAUAGGAGAGACAAAUCCAUCAUAUCACAACAAAUAAAUAAAUGCAAUAUUAAGACAUUCUUUUCAAAUGAUAAUGAACAUAUACGCAAAUAAACAAAUUAACAUCGAGUGAAACAAAAAUGCAAUAACGAAAUUAAUAAAACUAUAAAAAGUAUAAAAAUAUGUGUGUAUGUACGUGUAGGUAUGCAUUAUAAAAAUAUAUGUGCAUAUAUAUAUAUAUAUAUUUGAAAUUACAAAAUAUAAAAGAUAUAUAUAGGUAUGUAUAUGUAUGAGUUAUAAAAUAUAUGUAUGUAUAUGUGUACAUAACUAAAUUUGAAAUAAAUAGAUAUAGAUAAACAUAAUAAUAAUAUAGUAAGACAGAUAUAUUUAAUAUUUAAAUAAGUGAACAUAAUAAAUGGGAGUAUAAUAAAUAAUAAUAAUAAUGCAAAGCUAGUAAUAUGAUAUAAUGAUAUAAUAUUAAUGACUAAGUAAAUAUAAGAAGAAAAUAUUAAUAGAUAAUGUAACAACCCGGUUUUGACCCUAAUCGGAAUAGUGGUUUCGGGACCACAAAUCCGAACUAGAAAAAUAUUAUUAAUAUUAUUUAGUGUGUUUAUAUUGUGUGCAUUUGAAUGUGUGAAAUUUUCGUGUUUUAAUUUCAUCGUUUAAGUGUCCGAUUUAAUAAAAGGGUUUAAUCGCGUAAAAUGAAAAAUUAGGGGUUAAUUAUAAAAGCACCUAAUUGUUGUUGGCUUUAUAAUUUAGAGGUUUUACUAUGAAAUUAGUCCACUAUAUAAGUUAGUGGGUGGCAAAAGACUAAUGUAACCUUAUUAUAUAUGUUUUAUAUAUAUAUUAGUAAAGGUUAAAAUAGUAAAUUAAUUAUAAAGUUAAUAUAUGUUUAAUAUAACAAAUUAAAUGGCUAUGUUCUUCAUCUUUUGGCCGAAUGGGUGAGAAAAUAAAAGGGGUUUAAAGCUUUUUGUAUUUCGGCAGAUUCAAGCUUUGAUUUAGGUAUGUUUUUGCUUCGGUUUUUGAUGAUUUUUACGUUUUUGAGAUCGUUGCUUUGAAUACUUCAAAACCCAUGUCUUAAUUUUGUGAAUUGAUGAAUAUUUUGAAUUAUGUCAUUGAUGAAUAUUUGUGUUUUGGGAUGUUUGAUGAUGAAUAAUGGAAGAUAUGUCUUAGAUUAACAUGUUUUGUAUUGGUAUUUUUGAUGAAUUUGAGUAUUUAGGGCUAAAUUGUGAAAAUAAAUUUUUGAGGGAUUAAAAUGUGAAAUAAAUGCAAUGUGUGGACUUGUAUGAGAACCAUGAAUAUUCGGCCCUUGUGUGGUAUGGGCAAAUUUUGUGUAUUUUGUGUUUUGUGCAAAAAGGACUAAAUUGCAAAAAGUGCAAAAUGUUAGGGGCAAAAUGGUAAUUUUCACAUUUAUGUAUUGAUGGACUCAAAUGAAUGUUUUGAUGAAUAAGAAGGUUAAAUUUGACUAUGUUUAGAUCAAGGAACGAAGAAAACGAAUUUGGAUCGGGGGAAGUCGAAAGUAAUCGAAUAGUCGAUCGUGUUUGCUGAUAUCCGAGGUAAGUCUAUUAGCAACUAAAAGUUAUUAAGUUAAUAUUUAUACAUGCAUACUAAUUUUAUCUUAUGAUUGAGCUAUAAUUUAAAGUAUAAAAGUUGAAUAAACUUUGGACUAUAGAUAUUGUAUAUAACAUGUUCGAAUAUACAAGUAUGAUCUUGUAUAAAUUAUUGGAUUAAUCAAAGAUAUGUAUAAGAUAUAUGUAUAUACAUAUAAGGUUUGAAUGAUUAUAUGAGUAUGUAUAUAUAUGUAUAAACUCUUGGAUUUGAUUUGUGAUAUGUAAUUUAUAAUUGUAUAUAUAUAUAUAUAAAGUCGAAUAAGCAUGCAAUUAUACAUGUAUGUGUUGUGUAUUGAAUUUAGAUAUGUCAUUAUAUAAGUAUAUGAGGAUUGAUUGUGAAUUUAUAUAUGUAUAAGUUUUUGUUUUGAAAUUAAGUAUGAAAUUAUACAUUCAUAUGGUAGAUUCGAAUAUGUAUAAAUGCACAUGUAUAAUUUCUUGAAUUGAAAUUAGGUAUGGAAUUAUAUAUGUAUGUGAAAGUUUCGAUUUGUAUGUAUAUUCACGUAAAAUUUUUUGAAUGGAAGUGAAGAUAUGAAAUUAUUAGUUUGGAUCAUUAUAAAGUGAUUGAAUGUAAUACAGACGUUACGUCUAGCAGGCUUGAUGCCGGUGAAGUAAUUCAGACUUUAAGUCUAGCAGGCUUAAUGCCGGUGAUACAUUUCAGACUAUAUGUCCAGCAGGCUAAGUGCCGGUGUACUGAAUCAGGCUUUAAGCCUAGCAGGCAAAAUGCUAGUGAAUCUUUUUAAAUUAUGUGAGAAUAUGCAAUUGAUAUAUCUAUGAUUUUGAUUAUACGAAAUAGAUGAAUACAUGAACAUUCGGUUUUUUUUUAUAUGCCUGGUGAGCUUACACCUACAUUCGGGUUUUAUAUUGGUUAAACAUAAUUGUAUGGAUUCGGUAUAUACAAUUAAUAAAGGCAUAUGUACAUUAGGUAUAUGCGAUUGCUGAAAUUAUAAAUGCAUAUGGUGAUAUGUGAUUGUUAAAUAUACACGUUGAGCCUAUGUGUUCGAUAAUUAAUUAUGUAUGCAAUUGAGAUAUGUAUAUAUAUACAUGUACUCAUUUAUAGGUAUAUAUAUUCGAAUGUAUAUACUAGCUAUGUAUUCAGGUAUAAAUCCAUAAUGAGUAUAUAUAUAUACAAACGAAUAUAAAAUGUGAUUGAUACAUAUGUGUUAGAUUCGAAUUGAUUUAAAGUUUACCAUGAGUAUACAUACACAUUCGGUUAAGAUAUGUGUAUAAUAUAUAUAUAUGCUCGAUUGUAUACAUUGGGUUGUAAUGUUGUUUUGUAUAAUAUAUAUUCAAUUGAUUUCAUUCGACAGGUAUACAUAUCUGACUAUAAAUAAAAUGGUCUGAGUACAAUAAUGUAUGAAUGUUAGUUGGUCGUGUUAGUUGAAAUUUCAGUAAAAUAGAUUAAAAGGUUAUAUUAAUUAUGUGUUUAUAUAUACAUUUAGUUAUGCUGUAGACUUACUAAGCUAUAAAAGCUUACUUCAUUUGUUUUCGUUCAUUUGUUUUUAUAGAUUUUGGAGACGCGUUACGAGCUCGGGGAUCAUCAGCAUAGUCCAUCACACUAUCGACUUCUUUUGGUAUUUUGUUAAAUAUUUGAACUCGAUCUUAUGGCAUGUAUAGGCUUGAUAAUGUUUUGGUUAGUUUUGGAUCCUAAUAUGUAAAUAGUCAUGCGAAAAGGGUUUAAUUUCCAUGCUUGAAUUUGACUACAUAUGAUCAUGAUUUGGGCUUGCAUUUGAAUGAGAUAUUCAAGUUACAUGUAUGUUAUAAAUUUUGGAUUAUGUUAGGUAUUAAAGUCAUGUUUAUGUGUGCUUUGUUUCGUAAUGCCUCGUAACCCUAAUUCGGCGACGGAGACGGGUUAGGGGUGUUACAGAUAAUAGCUAGGUUAAUAAAAAAAACAAAAUGGACUAAUUCAUGAUAAAAAUUAAAUUUAAAGGUUCAAUCUAUAAUAAAAUAAAUAAAGUGGGUCCAAAAUGAAAAGGCACGAAAGGGCGGAGGGCCAAAUGAGCAAUAAACCCAAAUUCCAGGCCACGCCCAGGGGUCCAACGAAUUGAGGAACGAAUUGAAAACCGCAACAAACCUACGGUCCAAAUUACAAAACGAGGGAAAAAAGAAAAGGAACUAAAUCAAAACAAAUCGAUAAUGCGGAGGGGCCAAAGGAGCAAAUAACCCAACACUUAACAAUGCACGGAUCCUCUGGUCGGGUCGAGUCGACGAGUGGAUCUGGGGGGCAAAACGACGCCGUUUUGGUACCUGGGAGGCCUGCCCAAAACGACGUCGUUUUAGGGCCUAUAUAAGUAAAAAAACAUAAACAAAAAAAUCAUUUUAAAUCCAUUUCAGAAAAAAAAAACUUUCCCUUUUUUAUUUUCUCUCUAGCCCCACUCCCUUCGAUCCAGACUCCGACCGAUGGCCGUCGCACCGCCCACCGACCACCGGCGACGGUGCCGCCCACUGACCACCGAUGACGGCGCCGUCGUGCACAGUUGUCGGAAAGUUCAAAACCCCUUUUUCUCUUCUCUUUUCGAGUAAAGUACCUAUUUGGGUUUAAGACAUCCCAAAAGUCCUUCAAAAUAAAAAAAGAAAGAGAGAAAAAUCUAGAGACCUUUCGGUUUCUCAUCACCGCCGAUGGAGUUUUUGGCGAACCCGUUGGUUUGACCACCCCAAGACCGGAGGUACCUCCGUCCGCGGCAAUAAAGGUAAUAGAUUUCUCUUUUUAUUUACUAUUAUAUUUAUUUUCGAAAUAAAUAAAUAAAUAAAAAUAUAAAAGAGGCACCUUUGUUUUUUCCAAAUCUGUUUCAAACUUUUUUAUUUUCGAAAAAAUCCCAAAAAUCCCCAUGAUUACAUUGAAUUUGUGGCUUUUAUAGCCCAAUGCAUAUUUUCUUUUUUCUUUUUGUUUAUCACUGCUUCUCUGCUAUUUGUGCUGUUGUUGCGUGUUUUUUUCAUGUUUUGCAGGUCUUGACGGAGCAGGUGGGCAGGUGGCAGAGCAAGUGGCGGUGGGUGGUGUCAGAGGUGGCAGAGGCAGAAGGUGACGCCAGAAGAUAGGAACCCCUAGGUGUGGCGCACCUAGGGUUUGACAUUGUUGUUUUUUAUUUGAUUUUUUGGGCUAGGUUUAGACAGUUGGGCCUGUGCAUUUUGCUUCGGGUUUGGGUUUAAUCUCGUUGGGCCGGGUGUAAUUGUGUUAGUUAGGCCGGGGCAUAAAUUGGUUAUUACACCUAAAAGGUUAAAAAUUAAGUCUUCUUAUUUUUUUUUAAAUCUUAGUCCUACCGUUAAUUUUUUUUUGUCAAAAUUUGUUAACUUGACAUAUUAAUUAGGUUUUCCUUAUAUGUCGUGGUAUAUGACCAACACAAAAUUAAACAAGUUGACAAGUUCUGACAAAAAAUAUCAAAGAUGAUAAUAAUUUAAUUAAAAUUUUUAAAUUGAAAAAGUAAGGGAUUAAAUUUAUAACUUUUGAAGUGUAAAGAAUGAACUUAUUGAAAUACAAGAACUAACAACACAUUUUAAAAUAUUACUAGUAAAUUAUAUAUCUACAACGUAAGCUCUUAUAUUAUAUUCUUGUAUCUAUUUUGUAUCUUUCAUUAUAAUAUGAUUUAUUAAUUUUAAUAUUUUUAUAGAAUAAUAUGCUUUAAACUAUUUUUUGUAUAAUUUAUAAAAAUUAUAAUAAACUUGCAAAAUGAUUUAAUGAUAUUUAAUUAUUAAUGGAAAAAAAAAUGAUAACAUAUAUAUUCUGUAUAUAUUAAGAUUUUGAGUCAUUAAUUAUAUAUCUACACAUUAUAAUAAAUUCAUCUUUCAAAAUGUUCCUUAUAAUUAAAGCAUAAAUUAUAUUUAUAAUAUUAUAAAUAUAUUAUAUCAUAAAUAUUCUUUCAAAUAUUUUUUAAUGUUUAAUAAUAAGUUAAUUUAUAAAAUAUUCUUUCAAUAAAUUAACGUGAUGCGAUCGUUAGGUGCUUGGAUUUGGUGAUGGGGGAUGAAGAGAAAAGGGAUGGAAGUGAAGAAAAAUGUUGAGAAAUGGAAAGGGUUAGCAAGGGAAGCUGCCAUGAAAGUUGGUUCUAUGGAUAUGAACCUUCAAGCUUUUGUGGAUGAUGUUACUCAAGGUUGUUGGAAGUAAAUUUUAAAAAAAUUGAGGUAAAAUUAAAAAAAUGUUAGAGCUAAAUUUGUCAUUAUGACUAAAAUGUAAAACCAAAAUUUUUUGAAAAUAAAAAAAAAUGGAAAAUAACAAAUUCUGUCACUCAUGUUUGCUUAAAAUAUAGUUUUGGUCACCAAUCUUUUGAAGUAAAUAUAUGGUCACCAAUAUUAUCCAUUUGUUACUCUGCAAUAACUCACCUCUAUGAAAUUUGGCAGGCCGUGUCAAUUUUGUAGAUUUGCGCUCUGAACUGUGAAAAAAAUGCAAAUUUUAGGUUAUUCAAGCAUUUUAAUACGUAUAUAUGAAAAAAAGAAGAAGAUAGGAGAGAACCUUCCUAGAAUAUUUAAGAAAAUAGCUCCAAAGACACUAUUGAAGUCAACUUUGAAGCAAAUUUUCAUCAAGAUUGAAGAUUCCCAGUUGAUUUCUAAAGAGAUUAUCAUGAGUUUCUUUAUUUCUUUCGGUUAUACUGCCCUUUGGAUGUUUUUAUUUUUAAGCAUGAACUAAUUUUCUAAAUACCUAAGAGAGAUGAAUCCUAUGGUAGAUUGUGGCACCCCAAACCCAAUCGGGAUAGACCGGCCCGAAUUCGAAGCAUUACACUAGCCACCUAAGUGACUCUCCAGCUAACGACCACCCAAGACACACCCUGACCUUAUAACACCUCAAUCUUGUUUAAUUAUUAGUUAUUUAUUAUUGCAUAAAUAAAUUAUGAGCCAAUUUUAAACUUUUCCUAUGUAAUUUAACCUAAGGGCAAUUUUGUCAUUUUACCACCUAUUGUAAAACUAACUCGAUUUUAGAAGUUUUUACCAACCUUAUUUUAGUCAAAUUAUACAAGCCUAAAUUUUUUAGCUUAAUUUGAGUUUGUUUACUAUGUCUAAUUCAAGUUUUAUUAUUAAGGACUAAAUUGUAACUUAAACAAAUUAGAAUAUCAAUUUAAAGAGAAAAAAUUCAAAACCCAAAAACCCACACGGGCAUGUGGGUAAGUGACACGGGCGUGUGGAGACUGGAGCUAUCACACACGGGUGAGUGGGAUUGAAAAAUAUGAAAUAAAUUAAUCCACUUAAUUUUCCAACAACCAUGCUAUACUACCAAACCAAAUAACGCUUGAAGCUUUGAAUAGGGGUGAAUCUUAAAAAAAUUAAAAGAAUUAGAAUUAAAUUAUAAAAUUUGAGAAGUUAUCAUGUAUUAAUUUAUAAUUUUCUAAAGGGUCUUAAUAGAAUUUUUUUUUUCCCAUUUUGGUUGGGCCAAUACCCCUACCUCUUUAAAUUUGCUUCAAUCCUAAACCCAAUAUUCGAUUUGUUGUGGAAGUUUGAUGCAUAAAAUUUCUUUUUUUAGAGGUUUAAAUUAUAUAUUAUUGAAAGUUUAAAAUAAAUUUGUAUUUUUUAUUAACAAAAUAUAAAACAAAAAAACAUUUUUAGACAAACCAAGGAACCUUUGGGAUCAUACGGAUGAUUUGGUGAUGUUAAUGGUUAUUUUGGUGGAGACAAGCCAAGAAAAGAAACAAAUGAUUCAUUAUAUACAAUAUAAUUAUCAAAAUUCAAGCCAUAUAUUGUCUGUUUCAUCCAUAAAAAUUUCAUGGGAGGUCCAAAGGUAAUUAAAUGACUUGUAGGCUUGCUGAAUUUCUUUGAAAGGCCCAAAGGCAAUUUAACACUCACAAAAUAAUCUCUAAAUACUGUAAAGACAAAUCAAAUCCACAGCAGCAUUAGAGUUGAUUAAGCUAAGCAUUGGCAAAUAUUACUUUGAUUUUGCAUGCAAUAUCGGCAAAACCCCCCUCUUACAUUAGAAAAAACAACAUAAUCCAUGUAACAUUGAUAGCCCAAUACAAAUUUCAUCAAGAAAAAAGUCUCUUUGUUUUGUAGAACAUGAUAGUAAAGAUGUGGAGUUUCAUUCUUCUUAUUGGCCUCCUUUAGUUUUCCUUGAUCAACAACCACUAGCCAAAAACACAAUUAGAUUAGAUUAUGAAUGAUACUUUCAACUAUGACAAUAUUAAAUACAAAACACUCCAAAUAACUCUAAAUAAAUGGAAAGCAGCAAAUUACCUGACGAGGCAAGCUAGCUUAAUUAAGACCAUUGUAUUAUACUUGUCUCUGAAUUGAAAAAUUUAGAAGAAAAUAGAGAAAAAGACUUAGAAAAUACUUGAAAACAGAUAAAACUUAUAUGUCAUUUAAAAUAAAAAAAAAUUAUUUAAGCUGUUUAAAAUUUUUAAGAUUUUUAAAAUUUUAAAAUGAUAAAGGUAAAUUGUACUUUGGCACCCCUAGAAAUGAUAAAACUUUGAUUUAAUCCUUUAAAAAUUAUAAAAAUAUAGGCUAUUAAAAUGAUGAAAUUAUAUUUUUACUAUAGUAAAAAUUACAAUUUAAUUUCACCCCCUAAAAAGAUUUUCUGGCUUCGCCCCUAAUAAAAUAUUUGGCAAAAGAUUAAAAUAAAAUUAUACCGUAAUUGAAAAAAGAAACUAAAAAAAUCCAAUCUAACAAAGAAAAUAACUUGAUGUCCAAAAGCUACCAUAAAUCGUAAUUCAUGGGAAGGCUUGUUGCUCAUUUUAUUGGUUUCCAUUUUGAUUUUGCAAAAGAAGUUUGAAUUUUGACGAAUACCGACAUAUUAUAUAUAUGACUAAAAUUCCAGAAUAGGUUAAAAAUGUUGAAUUAAAGAUGAAAUUAAGUGUGAAUUAAUAACCACAAGUGUACUCAUUACUCACCAUCUCUGUUAAAAAUGUUGGAUGUUGUUUAGCAACCUUUGUUUGAUUUUCUUCAGCUCAACCACAACAUCUUUCAUAUCUUUUCUUUCUUCUGGUAACUCAGCUGAACAAUUCAAAGCCAACUCCAUGAUAGAUGAAAUACAAUUUGCUUUAACAACAAUGUACUCAUCCUCUCUUCUUAGUAAAUCAACAUCUGCAAUUUCUAUCGCUCCUUUAGGCAAUGAACUUUCCAUCCAAUGCCUUAUAGUCUCUUCUUCAACAAAAACAUUAUCAGAUGGCUUUUUCUUUGUGAAAGUUUCUAUAAGGACGAUCCCAUAACUAUAGACGUCAGAUUUUAUAGAAACAAUUCCUGCUGAUCCAAAUUCUGCAUUUCAAGUAUAAUUAGAACAUCAUUCAUCCUCAAUUAUUUCUAAAAUGCUUAUUCUAAUAUCUAUCCAUAUACACAUGAAACAAAAAUAUAAAAUUCAAAUUAGGAAAAUAAUCAUACAAAAAUAAAAAAGAAUUCACCUGGUGCCAUAUACCCGAUAGUUGCAAGAGUCAUGGUUUGCUUCAUUACUUCACCUUCUCCCAACAAUUUGGCAACGCCAAAAUCUCCAACAUGUGCAACCAUGUCUUCAUCUAGUAAAAUAUUGCUUGGCUUUAUGUCACAAUGAAUUAUAGGUGUUGGAUGUCCAUUGUGGAGGUGUUCUAUAGCUAACGCAACAUCUAUCAUUAUGUCGACCCUUUGUAUGAUAUCAAGGAAACAAUUUUCAGAAUGUAACCAUUUCUCAAGGUUUCCAUUAGACAUGUAAUCAAGCACCAAGGCUUUGAAGUCAACACUUGAGCAGCAAGUAAUGACCUUCACAAUAUUACGAUGAACUAUAUUAAGCAUAGCAUCACAUUCAAUGUCAAAACUCCUAAAUGCUCCCUCUGUUUGCAAAUUGAAAACUUUUAUUGCAACUUCCAUUCCAUCUGAAAGCCUCCCUUUAUAUACAUAUCCAAAACUCCCUGAACCAAGCAUAUUGCUUUCCUCAAAUCCAUUAGUUGCUCGUGAAAGUUCAGCAUGUGAAAUUCUUCUCGGUGUUUUCAAAGACAACAAAUCAUCUUUAAUUGAUAGAGUUGUACUCCUUCUUUGGCAUCUUCUAUACAUAAUAGUUAAGACUAUUAGUACUACGACAAUGCCAAUUGUUGGUAAACCAUACCUAAAAGCAUGCAAUAUAAUCAUUUGGGAGUUUUUGUGGAUGUCGUUUUUGCAAGGUGGGACUUGCAAUCUAGGUGGACCACAAAGUGCAUAAUUCUUCAUGAAUGAUGUGCUAGAAAAGUUUGAAAAACAUCCUUUGCUGGGAAUUUCCCCUUCAAGUCUAUUGAAAGACACAUUAAAAUACCUUAGAUAUAUAAGUUUUUCCAAAGAUUUGGGAAUGACUCCAGAGAGAUUGUUAUUGCAUAAAUCCAAGAAUUCCAAACUAAUCAAUCCAGCAAAUGAUUCAGGGAUAUGACCAUGUAGUAUAUUAUUUGAUAAAUCUAAUGAAACCAAAGUUAUAAGACCCCCAAAUGUGGAUAAGAUAUCGCCCGUGAGAAGAUUCUUUGAUAAAUUUAGUUUCAGUAGACUCCUCAAAUUUCCAACAUCAAUAGCAUGUGAACUGUGAAGAUGGUUUGAUGAUAAAUCUAUUUCUAAGAUAUCUUUAAGAUUCCACAAAGUUGAGGGUAUUGUAGAACUCAAUCUGUUGGAAGCAAAGUAAAGAUAUCCCAAAGAAGUAAUAUUACCCAAACAAGAGGGUAUGGAUCCAUGCAGCUUAUUCAACCCUAAAAAAAAGUUGUAUAAUCUCUCCAAAUCACAAAGGCUUUCUGAGAUGGGCCCUCCUAAUUUAUUAGAGGAAAGACCUAGACUUUGGAGAUUCCGCAGUCCUCCUAUUGAUGUUGGAAUGAAUCCACUUAAUUUAUUAAAGCCAAGUUCUAAAACCACCAUGUUGCUUAAGUUACCUAUUUCCAUAGGAAUAAUGCCUUGAAGCUCACAAUUAGAGGCAUAAAAGUAUUGAAGGGAUUUUGAAAGGUUCCCAAUAUAAGUAGGAAGAACGUCACUCAAUGGAUUUCCUGAAACAUCUAUUGCGGUCAAAUUCCUACAAUUCGUCAAAGAAGAAAGAAAGCUCCACUCAUGAUCAGUAGCAGAUCCUGUGAUCAAAUUAUUGUCAUUGAUUUUGAGCACUUCAAGGUGUUUUAAGUUGCCAAGCAUUUUAGGGAUUGGGCCAGAGAAUAAGUUAUGUGACAAUUCUAGUUGCUUAAGCAUGGAAGCAUUGGAGAUAGAGUUGGGAAUGUUUCCGCUAAGUUUAUUUCUCCACAAUAAAAGAAUCUCAAGCUUUGGAGCAUUGGUGAUGGGUGGUAAAUUACCUGUAAAAUUGCAUCUUUUAGUAUACAUAUUCAUUGAAUACCAAAUUCACAAAAUAUAUAAGACAUUAAAAUAAAAACUGUAAAACUUUAAAUCAAUUAAGAAUAAAAUUUUGGCAUGGAAAAAUGUGAUGAAAUCAAUUAGAAAGUUGAGACAUAAUAAGAAGUUUUGAGUAGUAAUUAGUAAAACAUAUAAUACAUUAAUAAUUUUUAAAAUAUUGUAAAACUUGAAAUAAAAUAAAAAUAAAAGUUUGGCAUGAGAAUGUGGCAUCUAAUCAAUCUUAAAAAUGAGACUCACAUUGAAUAAUAAUUAGUUAUGAUUUGGGAAACAAAAAUGUUAAAGCCAUUGUUUUUAAUGUAAGCUGGUAUGACUUUUAUCUAUUGGGUUAAUUAUUUAUUUUUAUUAAAUUAUAGUGUAAAAUUUAAAUAUUAUUAUUUGCUUAAAUUUUUUGUAUUUUUCGUAUAUUUAAAAUUUAAUCUUUAUAUUUUUAUUUUCUGUGAUUUAGUCCCUCUACUUUUUGAAUUGAAAAUUUUAGGUUUAUUUAUUAACACCGUUAAAAAGUUUUUGUGUUAGUAUGGCAUUUUGAAAACUAAAAUAAACUUGAUAUCUAUGUUUUUAAUUAUUCCAAAUAUUGUUUUACUAUUUCAAGAUAAAUUAUUUGUGUCUAGACCAAUAUCUUAAGAACUAUUGUUGCAUAUUUAAUUAUUCUAAAGAAUUGUCGAUUGAAUCUUAGCUUGAUUGGCAUGUGCAUUGUUGCCAAUGUAGGAGAAUGUGGGUUCAAGCAUGCAUGCUGAAAUGCAUUAUCCUCCUAUUUAUGAAUUGGUAAAGUACUAAAUUUUGAUAUAUUUUAAAAUAUUAAAAAUUUAUUAAAAUAUUUUUUUAUAAAAAUUGAUUGUACCACAAUAUACAAUUUUAAUAUCAAAUUUUUAAUUUUUUUAAAAAAUAUUAGCGAAUAUGUACUUUAUUUCAAGUUACACAAUUUUUACUAGUUUUUAAAUUUUUUUAAUUUUUAUCGUCUUUUAUAAUUUCUAAUAAUUUUUUAUAAUUUUUUACAAUAUUUAACAAUUUCUAAAAUUUUUUAAUAAUUUUAUUAUUUAUUACAAAUUUAAAAAUUAACAAAUUUUUAAUCUUUAAAACAAUUAUAUAUUUAUAAUGUAGUUAUUUUUUUUAUAAUUUUAUUUGAAAUUUUAAAGAUUUUUUUGGUUUGUUUUCUAGAUUAUGAUGCCAUCAUAAUGUCAUCAUAUGCCACAUGGCAAUUUAUGAUUAGUUGGAUAUCUCAAUCUAUUUUUUUAACGUCCAAUGGACUAAGCCAAGAACACCUGACAAUGUUAGAGACUACACUACGAAUGUUUGAUAAUAUUACGUAUUAAAGUGGACAAAAAAAAUUAAGGACCAAAGUUAUAAAAAAAAAAAAAAAACAGCAAUCGGCUGCAGGGAAUAAACUGUGCAUUAAGCCAUUAAAAAUAUAUCUAUAAUAUAUAUAAAUGCAUGGAUUUUGAGAAACAUUUGAACUGAUAAUUACAUAGUCUUUGAUGUUUACUAUAUUAUUGAAUUUGUUAUUUUAAAUAUUUUUUUAUUACUUUUAAGAUUUAUCAUAUGUAUGGAUAAGAAUUUUGGUUUUACUAAAAUAUUUGGUUAAAUAAAUUCAUUUAAUAAGAAAAUUUAGCAUCCUUAUAAAUAACAAUUUUGAUUCUAUUAAAAAUUAUUUUCAAAAAUAUAUAAUAAAAAUUUAAAAUUUAUAUUGAAUUACUUUAUACUUAAAUUAUUAUUAGAAACUUUAUCAUACACAUACGUGUAUGAGAACCAUGUAUUUAGAACAUAAAUUUGUUUUUUAAAGUAACUUAUGAUAAAUAAUGAAAUGUAUAAUUUGAAACUAUUUAAUAAUAACACAUGUCAUAUCUACCAUAUUAAAAUAAAAAUAGAUUAAAUUGUAAGUAAAACAUAAUUUAAACAUAUGAAUACAUCAAAUUAAGAAUACUAAAUGAAUACAGUUAUUUAUGAUGAUGUUGUUGCCAAUUCUUAAGUUGGUGCCGAGUUAAUUUGUGACAUCAUAAAUUUAGGUGAUAAAUUUAAGGUUUUAUGUAUUGAUGUGGAUUCAAAUAUCACCAUAAUUUUUUUAAAUAAAAAACUAAAAUACCCUCAAAUAAUAUAACUUAUAUUAAAUACGAAAGGGUAUUUUUGUAAUUUCUCUAACCGAGUUGGUGCCCGGUUGACUCAUGACACCAACUCAAUCAAAAGCUUCAAUAAUAAUAUAGAUAUUCACGGUAAAAAAAAUUACUUUAGUUCCAAAUAAUUAUAUAACAAGUAAAUUUAUAAUUGACGAAUAAAUUUAUAAAUAAUAUAUUUAUAUGAUCUAAUAUAUUAUAUUUAUAUUAAUUAUAUAUCAUCUACAAACUUUGAAGAUUAAUUUAUUAAGUAUCAAGAAAAGAAAAAAUGAAAUUUAAUUAACACUAAAUCAAUUUUUAGAUUUUGUACAGAUGAUUUAAUGAUGAUAAAAAAAAUAUUAGCACUAUUUUCGAAUUAACAAAAAAUUAGUGAUAUAUUUUAAUUAUAUUUAUUAUUUAUUUUUUAAUAAUUUUUUUAAUUAUAUGAAGUAAAAUUAUAUUGUAUACUAAAAAUGGUACAUAUACUUUAAUUAUACUUGAAAAUUUAUUAUAUAAAUUAAUAUAUUUUAAUUAUAUUUAACCAUUUGAAUAACAAAAUAAAAAAAAACUAAUUAGAAUAAUUUAUUUUUUAAAGUCUAAUGGAAAUUAAAAAAUUAAAAAUAAAGCAGUUCAUAUAAAACUUAUUGUUUAUUAUCAGAUUAAAAUGAUAAAAGUAUAUGACCAAAAUAAAAGAAACAAAUUCAACUCAAUGUUUUUGGAGUUUGGAAAAAAUUAAAGUUAAAAACAUACCUUCUAAUUUGUUGUUAAAUAGAUCUAUUUCUUCGAGCGUAGUCGAAUUAAAAAUACUUGAUGGAAUCUGACCUGCACACAUAGUCGAAAAUUGAAGUAAAAAACAUACCUUCUAAACUGUUCAACUAAAAAUACUUUAAGCAUAUUUUUUAGUAAACUGUGCAACAGGUGAUAUGAGAAUCUAUGUAUAUAAAUGUAUAUGUAUAUAUAUCGUUGUUUCAUUUUGUAAAAUAAAUAUAUUUUCCACAUUGGUUUCUUUUCUUCUACAGACAAAGGAUUUCUAAUGAUUCUUUUUUAUUUUUACUUAUAAAAUAGGUUAGUUUCUGCAAUAAUAAAAACAAUUUCUAAUGAUUAUUGUUGUUACCAGAUAACUAAUUUUCAUUCAAGUAAAGCCCUUCAAGCUUGGGAAAAUGUUGACACAUAUCAUUAGGCAAACUACCUGAUAGGCUAUUGUUGGAGAGAUCAAUGGUCUUCAGAGAAGAAAUGUUCGAGAUCGAAGUUGGAAUCUGACCUGUAAGGCCUUUAAUUUCUUUAAUAUUAAGCAUUUCCAAACUAAGAAGAUUACCAAUUUCCUUAGGAAUUUGACCUGCAGACAGUCAAAAAAUCAAUGUUUUUCAGCAUAUGUUUUUCAUCAAAUGAAAUAAAAAGUUCUUCCUUUUGUUAUCUAUUACAAAUCAAACUCUUUUAUAAAAAAAAAACUUUAAAUUCAAGAAAUCAAGGAAAUUGAUUACCUUCUAGAUUAUUAAACCCUAAAUAUAACUUCUGGAGUCGUGUUAGAUUUCCAAUACUUCUUGGAAUGAUACCCAUAAAUUGAUUAUAGGACAACGACAAAAUUUGAAGGUUGUUGCAUUUGCCCAUGCCAAAUGGAAUGUUACCAGAUAAUUCAUUCAAACUCAAGUAAAGCCCUUCAAGCUUGGGAAGAUGUUGACACAUAUCAUUAGGCAAACUACCUAAUAGGCUAUUGCUGGAGAGAUCAAUAAUCUUCAGAGAAGAAAUCUUGAAGAUGGAAGAUGGAACCUGACCAGAUAAUUGAUUGAAUCCCAAGUUCAAGAUCUCUAGAUUAGACAUGUUAACAAGUGUUUCAGGGAUUGUGCCUGUAAAGUUAUUGUUUUUCAUUUUCAGCCUUCGAACUCUUUGUAAGUUCCCAAGCCAUGAUGGAAUUUCCCCAUUCAGACGGCUGUAGCUUAAUUGAAGGAUCCUCAAACGAUGCAAUUGGCCCAAUUCUUUAGGGAGAUGGCCAUAGAAAUGGUUGCUACUCAAGUCGAGAGAGAGUAGAAAUGAAAGAUUUCCAAGGUGUGGAGGGAUAGUACCCCUAAGAUUCAUGCUUGUAAGAUUCAAAGCUAUAACUCUUUUAAGAAGGAUGCCACAAGAAACACCAAUCCAAUUGCAAACAGAGGUUGAGACUGUCCAAUUGUUUGGCAAGACAUUUUGAGGACCGACGAUGCGAUCCUUAAACUCGAGAAGUGCAAACUGAUCGGAGUUUAGAUUCCUGACUGUCAUAGCCAAGCAAAGUACGAAACAUGGUAUGAAUAAAGCUAAAAGAAGAUGAAAGCAAGUGUUGUAGUUCAUGAUUGCAAGACGGAAUAAGCCAAGAAAAUAAAAAAAAGUAGGAAAAGGGAAGUUGAGUUGAUAAAAUAGUUUGGAUGAUGAAGAAAAGCCCUGAGAGCAUGCUUUAAUAUGUUUCAAUCAUCGCACACUUGAUAAACUUGAUAAAUUUAAGACUACCCUAAAAAUUAAAAAGGAAAGCAAAGUUUUGAAGAAAUUUCAAAAUAAAUGUCAAGUCUUCUUCUUUUAAAAAUACGUACAAAGAAGCGAAUUUUCAAAAUUUCUACUAAAUUUUCUUCACAUUACUCCACAUAAUCCAUUAAAAAAACUUCAAAAAAAAAUAUUUUAUUAAUUACUAUAUAUUCUUUUAUUUUCAGAAUAAUAAUUGUUUAAAAUAUGCUAUUAGUCCCUGUAAUUUUAAAGUUAAAAAAAAUCCAAUCCUCCUAUUUUUCUAAUUUAAAAAUUCUAGUCCAAUCAUUUUUAAUUCCAUUAAAAAAUUUCACCUUAAUAGGUUUUUUGAUUAUCAAUCGUAUGCAACAUUAUAUGAAGGCAGUCUAAUCAGCAUAUAUCCAAGUUUAUAGAUUUUAAUAGAAAAUACUUACAAUCCUAAUGGUAGGACUAAGUUUUUUAAACUAGAAAAGUAAGAAGACUUAAUUUUUAACUUUUUAAGUACAAGGAUUAAAUUUUAAAUGUUGUCAAAGUACAAGGAUUAAAUUUUAAAUGUUGUCAAAGUACAAGCACUAACAAAAUAUUUUGAUCUAAUAAAUGUAAAUGAACUUUUUAAACAAAAUAAGGUUGAAAUAAUCUAUUUGUCGUUGUAUUUUGAUAAAAUUUGAGAUUUAGUCUUUAUACCUAAAAGGUUAAAAAUUAAGUCUUCUUGUUUUUAUUUAAAAAUCUUAGUCCUAUCGUUAAAUUUUUUUGUCAAAAUUUGUCAACUUUACAUAUUAAUUAGGUUUCCCUUGUAGGUCGUGGUAUAUGACUAACACAAAAUAAGCAAUUAAGUUGACAAAUUUUGACAAAAAAUAUCAAAGAUGAUAAUAAUUGGAUUAAAAUUUUUAAAUUGAAUUUAUAACCUUUAAUGUAUAAGGAAUGGAUAUCAAAUUUUUAUAGGAAUAAAGGGACUAACAACAUAUUUUAACCACAAAAUAAUAUGGGUGAUUAGAAUGAAUCUAAAAUUUUAUAGAAAUAAAAGAGACUAACAACAUAUUGAUAACUUUGAAAUCUCCUUCGAUAAUCCUUUUUCUACGUAGAAAAAGAAAAUUAAUUAGCAUCUAAAGUGUCAAUUAAUGAAACCUUCAAGAGAAAAUGUGAAAUUGAUUUACCAAACAAUAAUAUUCUAACUUAUAAUAUAUUUAAUUACAUUUAGUAAUUUGUCAAUCAAAACUUAAUUAACAUCCAUCAAUACUUUAUAUAUAAAAAACGCAAGCAUAAAUUACAGUUUAAAGUAAUUGGGAUCUCGAGUGCAACAAAUUCCUCCUUUUAUUAUUAAAUGUUUUAUUUUAGUUACUCUAAUCAAAACUUAAUUAACAUCCAUCAAUACUUCAUACAUAAAAAACGCAAGCAUAAAUGACCAUUUAACUCAUAUUUAACUUUGCAAGUAAACUUCACUAAUUAUAGAGUUAUAGUGUAAACUUUGAAAAUAUAAGUAAAUUUACCAUUUAACUCAGACUUAACUUUGCAAGUAAACUUAAAAUUUUAUUUAAUUUUGUCACUAAAUUUGAUUUGUUCAAUAUAGAUUUUGGUGACUUAAAACAAAAUUAAUAAAAAAUUAUUCUUUCGGAUAUCUUUUUAAUGUUUAAUAAUAAGUUAAUUUAUAAAAUAUACUUUCAUUGGGCACAGGCCUCCAAGCCGGUGAACCACUGAUCAAAUUAAUUUGGAGAUAUCUUUUUUCUGAAUAAAGUGAAUUUACCAGUUUUGUUUUCUUUUAAAAAUAUUUUUAAUAUUUUUGUGGAUAUCAAGAGAUACCAAAAAUUAUUUCUCUAAAAAAUUUUAUUUGACUCGAAAAGUUAGUGUUUUAUUUCAAGGGGUCAUAAUUAAUCAUUAGAUUUCUCAAUUUUAAAUUUUGAAUUUUUUCACAAUUGCGUAAUUAAUAAGUUCCAAUUUUGAGUGUUGUGGGGCUAGUAAAAUCUUCCUUACACAUAACCGACUCUUGAACCUACUCUUUUCUUUAGAAUUCAAUGCAGACCUCAAAUUUAUCUUUUGAAAAGAAUUUUAAAAUCUCUGUAUAAAAGGUGUUUCUUUUUGUUACCGAUCACAUUUAACAAAAAUUUAAAAAUUAUUAAAAAAUAAUUUCUUUUUGAAAUUUAAAAUGAUCUAAAAACAUAUUUUUAAUUGCUUUGGACCAUCUAUUGCUGAUUUCCUUAUUAUAUUAAGUGUUUGCAAUCACUCUUAAUAUAUUGUGCUUGAGUUGUGACAAAGCCGAUCGUCAACGUGCCAUAAUGAUCAAUUGACGCUGAAACUGAAGUUUUUGUUAUAUUGAUAGAGCUUGUCCUUCAACGCAUACAACGUGUUUGUUAUUUUUCUCCCUUCAAAUUGUAUGAUCUUAUUCAUUAAAUGAAUUAAUGAAUAUCCCUUUUAAAAAGAUAUAUUUUUAAAAAUUAAAUACUUCAUAAAAUAUUUAAAACCAUUUAAAAAUUUGUUAGCCUUAAAACAAUCAACAAAAUAUAUUUUUCUCUAAAAAAUCAAUAAAAAUAUGUUUGAAAUUUUAUAUGAAAUUUAAAAUUUUUUAACAAUAAUAUAUUUUAAAAUUAUAGUAACGCUACAAAAUAUAUAUAUUUACUAAUUAUAUACACCUUUUUUAUAUUUUUUCCUAACAUAUCAUUAUUUUCAACAUUAUCGUAAUCCUGUUUUUAUAAUUCCCUUGUCAUACAUCCUUUUUCUACUUAGAAUUUCAAAAGAAAAUGUGAAUUAAUGUAGACGUGAGAAGACUUCAAGGUAAGUCACCCAAUGAAAGUGACCUAAACCGACUUAUGGAAGAAUCAAACAAUAAUUUUGUGUCUUGUAAUAUAUUUCUUGUAAUAUAUUUAAUUACAUUUAUUAGUUUAUCAAUCAAAACUUAAUUAGAAUCCAUCAAUAUUUCACACAUCAAAAACCCAAACAUAAAAUUCACUUCUAAAUUAUUUGGGAUAUAUUUGUAUUAUAGGAAAUGGAUUAAAUUAGUCUUUUUAUUAUAAAAUGUAUUAUUUUAAUCUUUGUAUUAGGUAUGAAUGAUAUCUCCUAGAUUGAACCCAAAGCUAUUCUUGAAAGACUGAAAUUAGGAUUUAGAUGUGUUGAGAUGGAAAGUGACAACACAAUGUUGAUUGAAACUAUUUGUAAUGGGUUGGCUACAAUAAGUAGUGCUGUCGAAAUAAGACAGAUUCACGAUUAGUCUUCCAAAAAUUGGGAAGUCAAAUUUCGACAUAUUUAGCGGAAUGCCAAUAAAAUUGUUGAUUGCUUAGCUAAGGCAAAUGGAGGGGUAAUUGAGCAGCUGGUUAUCUUGGAAGAUCCUCCGCAUUAUGUGAGAUGCUAGCUUGAAGAAGAUAUUAACAGUCACUGGUCUGAUGAUAAUUUUCAUUUGGACUGAUGAGCGCUUAAUUUUCUAAGCUUAUGGUCAACAAAAAAAAAUUAAAUACGUCUAAAUUGUAAUAGAGUUAACAUUUAGUGUUUAAAAAAUAUCUUAAAAUUUAUUUUUUCCAAUUGCAGUUCAAUUCCACAAAUAUCGACGAUGAACCCGAACAUAAAAAUUACAAAAAAAAACACAUCUAUUAUCAAACCAACAAUCCAUGUCUAAACUUAAAUUAACAAAAUUCACCACGCAACCUGGUACACUAUUUUAUAUAUAUAUAUAUACUAGAUUUAUUCUAGAUGCACAUGUUUUAUUAUAUUUAAAAAUUAAAAUAUAUGGUUGACUAAGUUUUAGUUGAAUUAGUAUUUGUUAAAAAUAUAAUGUUGGUAAUGACAAUAUAUAGCAAAGAAAAUAGAAAUAGAAAAAUAAAGAACACACAUAUUUUACGUGGAAACCCUUUCGGGAAAAAACCACAGGCAAAAGAGAAGAAAAUUCACUAUGUCGAAUUCAAAUCAAUUACAAGAGGAGUAGACUAUGCCUAUUUAUAGGCUUGGAAACCUUAUUCUAAUAGGAGUGAAACUCUUUAUUCUAAUAAUAUCAAAUAGAUGGAGUUUAAUAAGGUUUAAAAAACCUUAUUCUAAAAUAAAAUAAAAGAAGUAUAAUUCUAUAGGGAUUUUACUUUUAUUUUAUUUUACCAUAGUAUUUAAUUUAAAUAAGGAUUUGGGUCACUUAAUUCUAACAAUCUCAACCUUGACACGAAUUCUUAAUGAACAAGUUCUUCAUCGCGAACUCUCAACGAACAAGUUUCUCCACCUCUUCCAUAAAACCCCUUAAGGGUUUAUUUUCAACAAUGAACACCAACCAAGUCUAAGCAGUGCUCAAACUUGGUUAUAGGAAGUGACUUAGUCAUCAUAUCUACAGGAUUUUCAUGAGUACUAAUUUUGCUCACAACAAUAUCACCACGAGCAAUAAUAUCACGAACAAAAUGAUACCGAACAUCAAUGUGUUUUGUUCUCUCAUGAAACAUUUGAUCUUUUGUAAGGAAGAUGGCACUUUGACUGUCACAAAAUACUGUAUUAAUUUGAAGGUCUUCAUUGAGUUCACUAAAGAGUCCGUUCAACCAAAUAGCUUCUUUGCAAGCCUCAGUAAUCGCCAUGUGCUCAGCUUCAGUGGUAGACAAAGCGACUGUAGUUUGCAAAGUGGCUUUCCAACUGAUUGCACAACCUCCGAUUGUAAAGACAGAACCUGUGAGAGAUCUUCUUCUAUCCAGGUCUCCAGCAAAAUCAGCAUCAACAUACCCAAUGACUCCAUCUCUAGUUCUUCCAAACUGUAAGCAAACAUCGGUAGUACCUCGUAAGUAUCUUAAAACCCACUGAACUACUUUCCAAUGUCUUUUAUCGAGAUUCGCCAUGUAUCUACUAACUGCACUAACUACAUAUGAUAAAUCUAGAUGUGAACAAACCAUGGCAUACAUGAGAGAUCCUCCUGCACUAGAGUAUGGAACAUGUGACAUGUACUCAAUCUCAUCAUUUGAUUGUGGAGACAAAGCUGAUGAUAGUCUGAAAUGGGCUACUAAAAGAGUACUAACAGGCUUAGCAUUCUGCAUAUUGAAUCUAGAAAGAACUUUCUCAAUGUACCCUUUCUGACUUAGGUACAAUUUACUUGCUUUUCUAUCCCUGAGAAUCUCCAUACCAAGUAUCUUCUUUGCUGGUCCCAAGUCUUUCAUCUCAAAUUCUUCACUUAGUUGGGCUUUGACCUUUCUUAUCUCUCAUUUAUCUUUCGCUGCUAUCAAUAUGUCAUCAACAUAAAUGAGUAGAUACACAAAAGAACCAUCAUUGUUUUUCUUAAAGUAAACACAACUGUCAAAGCUACUUCUUUUAAAAUCAUGAGAAGUCAUAAAGGAAUCAAACCUCUUAUACCACUGUCUUGGUGACUGUUUCAAACCGUAAAGAGACUUUUUUAGCAAGCAAACAUAGUCCUCUUUUUCUGAGACUGUAAAACCCUCUGGUUGUUGCAUGUAAAUAUCCUCCUCAAGUUCUCCAUGCAAAAAUGUAGUUUUUACAUCUAACUACUCAAGCUCCAAAUCAUGCAUGGCCACAAUACCAAGCAAAGCUCGAAUCGAACUAUGCUUCACAACUGGAGAGAACACAUCUGUGAAGUCCACUCCUGGAAUUUGACUGUAACUAUUUGCAACAAGCCUUGCUUUAUAUUUGGGUUCUUCAACUCUUGGAGUCCCCUCUUUCUUUUUAAACACCCAUUUACAACGAACAAUCUUUUUAACUUUGGGAAGUUUCACAAGAUCCCAUGUUUUGUUUUUGUGGAGUGAUUCUAUCUCCUCUUGCAUAGCAAACAUCCACUUUUCUGAAUCUUCACAACUAAUCGCCUUAGAAUAAUUAGAUGGCUCUUGGUUUGCAUCUAUAUCUUCAGCCACAUUUAAAGCAUAAGCAACUAGAUCAGCCUCAACAUACUUCUUUGGAGGUUUAAUUUCUCUUCUAGUUCUAUUUUUGGCGAUAGAGUAUUAUGGUGAAGAAGCAACUCUAUUUUGAAUUUUCGUACUGGCUUUAGUAGUCGACUCUGUUGUAGAUUCUAGAUCAAUCUGAUGCUCCACCUGCUUUAGAUUUUCUUUAUUGGAAGUCUUUAAGAGAUAACUUAGGUAGCAUAGCAGUUUCAUCUAAAACAUCUCUGCUAAUCACAACUUUUCUAUUUUCAGGACACCAUAACUUAUACCCUUUUACACCAGCUUUAUAACCAAGAAAAACACAUUUAGUAGAACUCGGUUCCAAUUUUCCAUUAUCAACAUGAGCAUACGCAGGACAACCAAAGAUUUUUAAAUUAGAAUAGUCAGCAAGAUUACCAGACCAUACUCUUGUGGAGUCUUUUUCUCAAUGGCAACGGAUGGAGAUCGGUUGAUCAAAAAACAUACAGUAGAGGCUGCUUCUGCCCCAAAAUGACUUUGAUAAGUUGGCAUUUGACAACAUAUAUCAAACCUUCUCCAUGAUCAUUUUGUUUAAUUUUUCUGCAAUGCCGUUUUUCUAUGGAGUAUGACGAACUGUCAAGUGUCUCACGAUCCCUUCUGACUUGCACAGUUUAUUAAAUUCAUCAGAACAGAACUCUAAGUCAUUGUCUGUGCAGAGGCAUUUUAGUUGCUUUCCUAUCUAUUUUUCAAUCAUGGUUUUUCAAGACUUAAAUGAGGAAAACACAUCACUUUUCCGCUUUAGGAAGAAUGCCUACACUUUUCUAGAAAAAUCAUCAAUUAAAGUUAGCAUAAGUAGCUCCACCUCUCGAAGGCACUCUGGAUGGCCCCCACAGAUCAGAAUGAAUAUACUCUAACGUUCCCUUCAUGUUAUGGAUUCCUCUGGUGAAUCAGACUCUCUUUUGCUUCCCAAAAAUGCAGUGCUUACAGAACUUCAGUUUGCAAAUUUCUUGCCCAUUAAGAAGUCCUCUUUUGCUCAAUUCUGCCAUGCCAUUCUCACUCAUAUGCCCUAGGCGCAUAUGCCAAAGUUUAGUAAUAUCAUCAUCUGACAAGGAAGAGGAUGAGACAGUUGCAUCACCAGUAACAGUAGAACCCUGCAAAACAUAUAACUUGGCAGUCUUUCUCUGCCCUUUCAUCACAAUGAGGGAACCUUUGGAAAUCUUCAAAACCCCACUUUCAACUGUGUAUUUGUACCCUUUUGAAUCAAGAGUACUCAACGAAAUUUAAUUUAUUUUUAAUUUUAGAACAUGUCGUACGUCAGUGAGUGUUCUGACAACUCCAUCAAACAUCUUAACUCUGAUUGUUCCAACACCUGCAAUUCUACAUGAAGCAUUAUUUCCCAUCAACACAAUACCUUCAGACACUAUUUCGUAAGUUGUAAACCAAUCCCGAUUGGGACUCAUGUGGAAGGUGCAACCCGAAUCAAGGAUCCACUCCUCGUCACUUUGGAAUUGUCGAUUGAAGUGACUAGAAGUUCACCAUCGCUGUAAUCUUCUACAACAUCAGCUUUACCAGAAUUUUCUAGUUGUUUUCCAUUUUGAUUCGCAGCCUCCCUUUUGAUCUUGUUCUGUAGCUUAUAGCACUCAGUUUUAAUGUGCCAUUUCUUCUUGCAAAAGUUACAAGUUUUACCUCUGUUUGAAGACUACUUUUAGAUUUACUGCGAGGAUUCCGUUCCUGUGUCCUUCCAUGAUCAUCAUCAGCAUUCCGAUCUUGUCUCCCAUGAACAAUAAGACCCUCUCCCCGAGAGUCGAUUUUAAGCACAAGAUGCUUCAUCUUAUCAUACGAGGUUAAAGAAUCAUAAACCUCAUCAACUGUGAGAGACUCGCGGUUAUAUAAAAUCGUAUCUCUAAAGGAUGAAUAAGAUGAGGGCAACGAACAAAGUAGAGUCAACCCUAGAUUUUCCUUAUCAUACUGAACCUCCAUGGCCUCCAAGUUUGAGAGAAUUUCUUUGAACACUAUUAAGUGUUCGUGCACAGAUGCACCUUCCUCCAAACGAUAAGCAUAAAGACGCUGCUUCAUAUGUAGCUUGAUAGUUAGAGUUUUCGACAUACAUAUCUAUUCCAACCUCUUCCAUAAUCCAGCAGCAGUCUUUUCCUUCAUCACAUCCUGCAAAAUUUUGUUAGACAAAUGCAGAUGUAACUGUGUUAAUGCCUUUCAAUCCUUGCACUUCUUCUUUUCUUUCGUCAAUGUUGAAGGCAUCUUAUCUACCCCUAGUAGGGCUUCCUCUAAGUCCAUCUGUGCAAGAACUGCUUGCAUCUUUAUCUGCCACAAUGCAAAUCUAGUAUUGCGAUCCAACAGCAGAAUUUUGUACUUCAAAGACGUUAUUACCGUGAUUGAGAUGAACAACCCAGAAGCUCUGAUACCAAUUUGUUAAAAAUAUAAUGUCGGUAAUGACAAUAUAUAGCAAAGAAAAUAGAAAUAGAAAAAUAAAGAACACACAGAUUUUACGUGGAAACCCUUUCGGGAAAAACCCACGGGCGGAGGAGAAGAAAAUUUACUAUGUCGAAUUCAAAUCAAUUACAAGAGGCGUAGACUAUGCCUAUUUAUAGGCUUGUAAACCUUAUUCUAAUAGGAGUGAAACUCCUUAUUCUAAUAAUAUCAAAUAGAUGAAGUUUAAUAAGGUUUAAAAAACCUUAUUCUAAAAUAAAAUAAAAGAAGUAUAAUUCUAUAGGGAUUUUACUUUUAUUUUAUUUUAUCACAGUAUUUAAUUUAAAUAAGGAUUUGGGUCACUUAAUUCUAAUAGUAUUGAUAUUAUUGUCAGUGUAGGAAAAUAUGAGUUUAAUCAUGCUCAAAUGUGUUUUAUCCUCCAAUUCAAGAGUUAGGAAAAGGUUAUUGAUAAUUAAAUUAUACCAACUUUUAUGAUAUUAAAAAAGGGUUUAUAAAUAAUAUAAGGAAAAGAAAAAAAAGCGAGAAACAUAUUCAUAUUGAUAUUAGACUUUUUUUUUUCUAUCACAAGUAAAAAUAUCAAAGGUGAUAAUAAUUAAAUUAAAAAAUUUAAAUUGAAAAAAUAGGGGAUUGAAUUUAUAACUAACAACAUAUUUUAACCACAUAAUAAAAGUAGUUAUGAAGAGGAUCAUGUAAAAUAAUGACCUGAAUAAUUUUAAACGUCUCAUUCUUGCAAAAAUGAAAUAAUAGAAAAGAAAUAAGUGUUGGGUGUAGUGACAAUGUACAUUAUACUUCUAAGGGGAGAUCAGGGUUUUAGGCAAGGGAAGAAUUUAAUUUAAACCUACUUUUUUUUCUCUAGAACUCAACCCAAACCUCAAAUUUAUCUUUUUAAAAGAAUUUUAAAAGAUCUAUAUAAAAGGUGAUUUUUUUUUAUCGAUUACACUUAACAAAAUUUUAAAAUUUCUUUUUUUGAAAUUUAAAGUGACCUAAAAACAUAUUUUUAAGUCCUUCAGACCAUCCUGUGCUGAUUUCUUUAUUAAUUUGAUUUGUUCAAUAUAGAUUUUGGUGACUUAAAACAAAAAUAAUAAAAAAUUAUUUUUUCAGAUAUGUUUUUAAUGUUUAAUAAUAAGUUAAUUUAUAAAAUAUACUUUCAUUGGAUACAGGCCUCCAAGGCGGUGAACCACUGAUCAAAUUAAUUUAGAGAUACCUAAAUUUGCUUUCAUCAAUUAAGAAAUUAAAAAAAAAUUGCUGAGACCUCAUGAUUAUCUUUUAUAAUUUCAGGCUUAUCACCAAAAACUAAAAAAUAAAAACGUCGACAUUAAAUUUGUUGGUAUGCAAUCAAUUUUAAGAUGGUUUUUGGAGUUAUAUAUCACUUUAGCAUGGACUUACUUUUCUACAGUUAGUCUUCUCCAACAAGUUAAAUAUUUAAAUUUUAACAACAUUGACAGGUCUUUGGGGUAGGGUCGAGCAAAACUCAAUAGAAACAGAUGAUAUAGAUUGAGUUGGCUCGGCCAAGUCGAGUCGACUUGUUCAAAUUAGUUAAAUUAGUAAAUUUUAGGGUGCAGUUAGUAUUUUUUGUUUUGAGAUGCUAAGAUUAAAAAAUUUCAGUUGUUAAAACAAAAAAAUUGUAUUAAAAAAAGGCAUAAAUUAAAUUAUUAAGUUUUUCAAGUUUCCAUUUAAUCAAAGGUUAAAAGGACUAAAUUGAAGCUUUUUAUUUUUAAGAAAGGCUGAAUGACAAAUUGCCCAAAGCCCAUGCCCCUAGCUAUACGCCCCUGGUAAAAUCAAUUUUAAAAUUAGUUAUAAUAGUUGAAGCGAAUUGAUUAUUGAGUAAUGAAAUACAUAGUUCAACAAAAAAAAUAAGUUGACAAAUUUUGACAAAAAAAUAUCAAAAAUGAAAUAAUAGAAAAGAAAGAGUAGGCAUUUUAUGAAAUUUAUAAUUCCAUGAAUAAAAUAUAAAUUUUAUGAAUGUGGACGAGCCAUUUUUUUAUAAUUUUCAGUGUUUUUCUUCUUUUUCUUACUUUUUUUAAAGUAUUUUUCUUUGUUUCCUAACCACCAUGAAAUUACUUGUCACAAUUCAUCUUUUCAAAUGAGAAACAUUUUCCACAAUUUGCCAUCACUUCAACAUACACUAACUUUUCUAUGAUUAGUCCUUGGUUUGCUUCGGGUGCAAUCUUCCAACUAGCCUUAUCCUUGGUUUUACUUUCCAACAUUUAGUGUAUCACGAGUUUUGUUUUCUUUAAAAAAAUAUUUUCGUGGAUAUUAGGAGAUAAUGAAAAUUAUUUUACUAUGAAAUUUUAAUAAAACUGGAAAAUAAGUAAUUUAUUUUAAGCGAUCACAAUUAAACAUUAGAUUCCAAUUUUUUAAUUUUUUUUUUACAAUUGCAUAAUAUUUUGAGCAUUGUAGGAAUGCCAUAACCUUCCCUACGCAUAAUAUACUCUUGAGCAUGAUGGAUCCUAGACCUUCUUUAUUCUCGUACCACAAAUUGCUUCAAGUGUGGGUUCGAACAAUCACAAAUUAAACACAAAACCAGAAAUGAUUUAUUACUUUCAAUAGCAAAGUAAUUCUCUUUCAAUAGAAACCAAUAAAAUUGUAAUUCCUAGAAAAUUAAAAUUUAUUUUUUCAAAAUAUCUUCUCUCUACUUUCUAGCAGAAUAACAAUAUGCGAAACUUAUGUCUUGUGUUAAUAGCCCUACCGGUACUAUCUAUUUAUAGGGAGAGACACGAGAAUCCUAGUUGAAUUAGUAAAACACAAAUAAUAUUUAUUUCAUAGAAACCAACAUUCUACCCUAAGUAGAUCAAGUUUGGAUGACGCAUGGAUCGAAGCUCAAUCUAGGGGAAAAAAAUAAAGGAAUUUUCUUUGUAAAGAAAAUCUGAGAUUAUACUAUUUUCGAAGUUAUAAAUAAAAUUAUACGCCAAAUUUUGAAGUCAAUUUUCAACUCAAAUGUUGUAUGUACAAAUUUCUAAUACACUUGGUGGGACAUUCUUUAACUUUUAUCUAUUCUCUCAAAACGUUAAAGUUCAAAGUUGCAUUAAACUCAAAAAAGAUAAUCAUUAGUAAACCAGCACACAAGCCUACUCAAGCUAAUCCUACAACUCGUUCCACUUCAUCAUCAAACACCAAUGUUCUUGCUUAUCCUUAUGGAAUUAAACAAAAGACAAAAGCUCUUUAAAGUUAUUUGAACAGACUUCUUUAAUGGUAAAUGAUAAUCCACUCUAUGAUGCUUCUUCGCCCAACUCAUGAUUUAAAAGAAGUUUCUACUCAUAGAUCAAGUGUAGCUCGCCAGUUAUCAUUAAGGAGAAAAAGGAGUCAAUCAAGUGAAAAUUAUAUUCCAACAUCUCCCCAGAACCAAAUUUCAUAGUGAUGAAUGUCAUGACAACUGACACUACAUUCUUAGAAGAAUAAGUAGAUUUCUAGCAAAAACGAUGGAGAGUUUUACUACAAGCAUAAAAGAAAUGGAUGAUCAAAUUGAACAUCUUAGUGGAAGUAACCAAACCUUUUCCAACGAAACUCAACAUCCUCUUCACAAAGUUGUUGGAAUCUUAAUUGUUGAAGGACUUUAAAGUGUUUCUUUAGAUCAACUCAAGGAGUUUAUUAAAAAAACCAUCAAAGAUCAAGUCAAAAGUGUUACUUUGCCUUCAUAUACAUACUCAAAGUCAUACAUCUGAAGGAUUUAUCAUUUGAAUAUGCCUGAGCAUUAUCCACCUUUAAAAUUGUAAUAGUUUGAUGGUAAAGGAAAUCCAUGUAAACAUGUCGUUCACUUCAUGGAAACUUGUGAUCGCGUCGAUGUAACACCCCACUCGUGACCCAAUCGCUGGAUUCAAGAAGAGAGAUACCAAAAUCAUGUUGGAAAAAAUCUUCGAUAAGUGUAGCAUGAGUGCUCACACUCUCCAAACACUCCAUACUAUCUUUGGUAUUGAAGUUAAGCUUGACACUCCCUUAUCUCUCUAAUGUUAUCUUCAGGCCAUAAUGCCCUAUCACAUAGUAAAAAAGGUGAGUACUCACAAUCCUAUGGCAUGCCAAUGAUAUCUAAUGGUUUCAAGUGUUCACAAUGCCAACAUAUGUUUUGUAUCACAUUCACUUUACACAAUUUAAAAGGGCUCACAAUACAGCAGAUCUCACGUAUAAUAGUUUUUAAUAACACAAUUCACAUUUCUGUAGGGCUCGUAUUAUAUAUAAGUUCGUAAUAACAUGGAUUCGCAUAACACUUAUGGCUCGCAUAUAUUUAGGGCUCAUAUGUAACAGUUGGGAUCCUAUAUAUUUAAACUCGCAUAAUACAGGGGCUCGCACGACAUAUUUUGGCUUGCAUGCAAUAUAGGGCUUGAUCACAUAUAUAGGUUCACAUGAUCUUAGGGCUCGCAUCACAUAUAUAAGCACGCAUGAUACAUGGGUUCACUCAACAUGUAUAUAUCAACUCGUGCAUCAAAGUAUAGGCUCGCAAGCAUUAAGGUGAUAGAGUUUGCAAACAAUUUAGAGCUCGCACACAUCAUAGGCUUGCAUACAUACAUGUUAGCAAGGUCUGCAGGUUACAAAUCGAGGCUCACAUAACUAUAGAGGCUUGCAUGGAAAUAUAAAAUUGUUCAGAUAUCAUUUUAAUCGGCUUCACACAUUAAAUCAAAUGGUUUGCAUGCAUUCCUUGGCUUUCAUUAGCAUGCGAACUCGUGUUUUUAACACAGUGUGCAAGGACACUCACUAGUUGUUUGUUGAUACUGUCGAACCUAUACCACCUUUUGCUUGACUUUUUCCUUGCUCAUGGAUGCACCUUCACAUUGAAAGGAUUUGCAUAAAACAAGAAAUAAUACAGAUUACUACUUUCACAGACAUAAUAACCUUCUUAACAAACAUAGUAGCGAAUCUUCCAAUCUUCCUUAAUAAUUCCUUAAAUGAAGCUAAACCAAAAUGCAUUAUAAAUUCAAUCAAUUUACCAUUAAACCAGCCCCCAAACACCCACUUAUAAGUUCAAACUGAUCAUUGAAAUUAUAAUUAUUUUAUGAAUCCAAACUAGUUAGAUUCCUUAAACUGUAUUGAUGCGAAUUGUAUGUACAAUCGUUCUUCACCUUUACGGAUGAUUUGGGGUGUUUGGGUCAACACCUAAUUCAAUAAUAUACUGGAAAACUAGUAGUUAACCAAUUCAUAACCUUUACCCAACAACUAUGUCGAAAUAACAAACUAGUUUAUAAUUAAUCGUACUUAUACCAAAUUGCGAGAUCUGAAUGGCUAAUUGAUCAAGAAUGUGUUUUGUAACAUCCCAAAAAUUAGGUUAGAAGAAAUGGGGCUUUGAAACCAAGAGUGGUCAUCCCCCGAUUAUGAGUUUAGAUCUUGGAAAAUUUGACAAGUAAACUGAUCUGGUUAAUGGUUAAGUGUCUUGGUUAUAUGUGUCAGGUUUUGGGUUCAAAUCUUGUUUUUGGAAAUUUUGUUACUUUGCUUAAACUCUUACCUUGAAUGUUUGGUUUAUAAGUUAAAUUUAGUCAAUUGAUGUCAAGAAUGAGUCUAUUGGUUCAAUGGUUAAGUUUUUGUAUAAUCAUUGGUCUUGUGUUCGAAUCUCAACAAAAGUAAUAGGGAAUGUUUUGUUUUUAAAUUUUUUUUAUAGGGUAGUUAGUUUCGAUUGGUUAUUUAAAGCCUUCCAGAAACCUCUAUUGCUUUUAUUUUUAUUUUGUUCUUUCUUUUUCUGCGACAUUUUCUAUCAUUUUGUUUCUGUUCUUUAGUUUCGUCAUAUUGGUUUUUUAUUUUCAAGCAACUUUUUUUUUGUUAUGUUACAUUACGCCGAUUGUGUACGGAGUCUAACUUCACCCUCUAGUUAAUUCGCUGGCCGGUAAGUUCGAUUUAAAGUUUUGGUGUUGAAAGUUUUUUAACGUAAAUUUAAUUUUGAAAUGUUAGUUUUUAGUGGUUUAGCUGCAAAUUAAUCGUUUGUUGGAAAAUUGCUUGUCGUUCAGGGACAUGAAUUUAUCCUUGUUACUCUUGCAUCAAGUUCGUAUCAAGUGGGUAUCAGAAAACCCUUCUUCUUUAAAUUUUAGUUGUCAAAUAAUGGCACUAUCGAUGCCACAUAGCUGUGUGGCAGGCCGUGUAACUUACUGUUCAAAAAAAUUAGAGGCAUACGAGCGUGGGCCCAAAUUGUGUGUGGUUAUGAAUUGUGUAGGGUUCACACAGGCCAGUGACACUAGCAUGUGUCAGGUCGUGUGGGACACACGGGCAAGUACACGAGCGUUUACCAGACUGUGUGGAGUCACAUGGGCCAGUUCUCUAGGCCGUGUAAAACCAUAUAGGUAUGUGAAGCAAUAUUUGGAAUUUUUCCCUUGGGUUACAAGAGUUGUUUGAAACAAACGCAUAAAUACUGUAGGGUCCGUACGAUUUGGAUUAGGCUAUAUAACUUGAUAUUUGAUGAUAUGAUGAUGAACAACUUGUGAUCUAUACGUAUAUUUGUUAUGUUUGAACCUAUGUGAGUAGGAUCUGUUAGAAUGUAACAUGUUAUUUUUUGUUGUGUGUGAACUAUCCAGGUACAAUUUGUAUUCUAUUAAGUUUUUUGGUACGCCUAUGUGUUACUCUAUUGAUGAAGAAUAUGUGACAUUUGAUUAUGUUAGAUUGAUUGUUACUGAUUAUAAUUUAUAACCCUCUACGUUACUUCAUUGAUGAGGAAUACACGUAUAUGAAAAUGUUAGAUUGAUUGUUACUGAUUCUAAUUUAUAGUCGUGUAUGUGACUUCAUGGCAAAUAUGAUAUGAUUUGUUGAGGUUUGAUAAGUCUAUUUUACAAAACAUGGACCCUCAUGUCUCCUGAUUCUGUUAUUGAAAGAUAUCAUGACUUACAUGCUCAUCACUCUAAUUCUUCAUAUGUAUGUCAUGACACGUUGCAUGGGAUUUGGGUUGAUGUGAAAGGAGGAAGUUUUUGGCAGUUAAUGAUCUGUAUUAUCUGGUGGUUUAUCCAUGAUUCUGUUCCGGCAACUUAGUUGUACUAUAGUGGCUUGACCAAAUGUAACCGAUCUGGCAGUCUUAACUGCAAAAUUUUGGUGGCACCAUUCACAAUUAUCUAUUGGUGUAAUUUGGCCGGAUGAGUUAUGGGGGAACUCUAUUUUGGUUAGUAGCAAAGUUUGGGUAUGAUGUUUUCUGAUAAUUUUGCAUUCUAAUCUAUUUGAAAAAUACAAUAUUUGCAUAACACAUUUUCUACUCUGCUCUAUUCUGUUCUACUCAGUUCUAUUCUGCUUGAUUUAUUAUGUUCUGCUUCAUUCUGUUGUGUUCGGUUCUGUUGGACUGUUGUUGUGAAAAUUUUCGUGAUACUCUAGAUCUAUUCCAUACUGGUUAUAAAUUUGUUAUUAAGUUCUUUGCGUUACUUUGAUUUAUAUAAUAAAAUCUGUUUAUUUGUAUCUAAGUUUCAUUAUACACGACGCUUGGUGUUUCACCCUUUGUCUUAUCUUAAUCUGUUCAAGUGCACAUCUUACUUACGACUAGAUGUACAGGAGCUCAGAUUGUUUUGCAUUGAUAUAACUAUGAUUUGAUCUUUUAGGUUGUAAUUUGUUUUUGGACUUGUCUUGCUUUUCUUUUGAUAAUCUCGUCAAUAUCUGUCAUUUUCUAACACAAAAAUAAAAAACCACCUAAGUCGACUAAAAUGAAUUUCUGGUUUUCAAAGUUGAAAUUUUGAAAAGAAACUAGUUUUCUGCACGUUGGCGUAACUCGUCCAAAUUUGGCUUAAAUUUGUAGGUCGAGUUUGGGGUGUUACAUCUUUCCCUAAUUAACAUGUGAUUAAAUAUUUAUUAGAAGGAUUCAAAAACUCAACUUAAUGCUGGAAAAAUAUGGGCAAGAACCAAGAAACAAAACAACCCCCUUUCUUACACAUAGCCGUACGAACCACCACCCAUGAUGGCCAAAAUUGGGGUUGAAUUUUAAAAUGGUUUGAGAUCUCAUUAAAAAUAUAGAAAAACACAUUUGUGUCGAAACCACUAUUUAUUUUUGAAAAAUGGGAAUCAACUUUAAAAAAUGAAAAUGGGAGUCACCACUGAUCUUUUAUUGAGGUGUGAUCAGAUCACCUUAAAAAUGAUUUUAGGUCUACGAAUUUUAAGAAAAUAGGUUUCGGAGUUGGUUACACACGAGGAAGGGUUAGCACCCUCAUAACGCCCAAAAUUGGUAUCGAAUAGACUGUUUAAUGUCUUAGUGUCGAAAAUUUGAAAACAUUUUAAAAUACGAUCCUUUUUUAAAGAAAAUUUGAAUAAGUUGACUUAGAAGAUAAGACCCUUUUAUUUCGAAGAAGUAAAAUAUCACAUCCAGUGAGUUAGGGUGCAACAUUUCUAAUCCUUAAAAUUAAGUUUGUCUUUUGAUUUUUAAAACUCAUGCAUUUAAAUUUGAAAAGGAUAUUCAGUUAUUUGGGUCAAAUGAAAAAUCAAAACCCAAUAAGUUAGGGUUCAACUUCCAAAAAUUGCUAAAUACCGAAUAUUGCCUUUAUUUUUUUUAGAAAUCCAUAACUCAAGAUAACCAAAUGACAUAUCCAGUAAGUUAGGAUCCAACAUUUUGAAAUCCCAAUAGAGAACUUUUUAUUUAGGAUUUGUAUGGUUUUAUUGCAAAAGAGAUACUUGGCUAUCUAAAUUCAUCGAAGAGAAUUGAAGCCCACUAAGUUAGGGCAAAAUCUUCUCGAAAAUCGUGAAUACCGAGUAUUUUGAAAAUUUACGAAAUAAGAUGAUUUUAAUGCUUUAAGGAAACAUAAUUUUUAAAACAAAUGUAGUGUGAUUGAACGACAAUGUACAAUGCAAAAGGAUAAUUAAAAAAAAACAUGUAUACAUUAGUGAAUAACUAUCAAUCAAUAAAUAUAAAUAAGUAAAAUGAUACAUACGAGAACAAUAAUCUUACAUUCCAGAUUAUGCAAAUACUAAAUUUUAAAACUAAUGAAUUAUAAAUUAAUUUUGAAAGAAAUGCCAAGCAAACUAACACAAAUAAAAUAUAACAAGUUUUAAAAAUAAAAAGAAAUAAAAAAAGUACACAGAAAGAAAUUUAAAAUCAUCAGUACAAACAAUAAGUUAUAUGAAUAAUAUUUCAAAAUAAACAAUAUAUAUAUGAAUUUGAAAUAGUUCAAAAAUAAAGGUAAAAAAAUACUAUGUGAAAAGAAAUAAUAUCUAAAUGAAUUUUAAACAAAUAUUGUAUACAAAGAAAAUCAAAAUAAGUAAUACACAAAAUAAUACACGUAUAUCAAUCUAAAUGAAUAAUACAUAUUAAAAAAUCUUUAAAUCAUAGAAAUAUAAAUAAGUGAAUUUUUUAAAAAAUUUAAUUAUACUGCAAAAUAAAACCAUUAAAGAAUGUGUACAAUUCUAUUGAAUUUAUAUAAAAUAAUAUAUGACAAAUUAUAAUAAUAAUACAUAAUAAAUCUGAAAUAACAAUAUACAAUAAACUUAGAUAAUAUUAAUGAUAAAUUUAAGAUAAUAAUAAGUUUUAACAUUCAAAUAAUAUUAGAUUUAAAAUUAAAAAUAAAAAAUAGCAUAAUAAAAAAUACUUAAAUAAGUAAAAAGCAAGCAAAUUAAAAUAAAGUAAUGAGGAUUAAAUUGAAUUUAAAACAAAAUUUAAAAUAAAAAAAUGAGAAUAAAACAAAACUGAGAGCCAAAAAAAGACGCGCGGAUAACAUGGGGACCAAAUGGGAAAUAUUCCCUUCCUUCAAAACGCAGCGUUUUGACACGGACCAAAUUGGAAUGAAACAUAGAAUGCGUGGCCAAAUCUAAAUAAAAUAAAAGGAUAAAUUUGAAAGAGUUAUAAAAAGAACGGGGACCAUUUGCGCAAAUUUCUCCUACGCUAUAAAACGCGCGGAUACUUCUCCGGGUAGGGUCACCGGGCGCGUAUAGGCCAAUAUAGUGUCGUUUUGAAGCCACUGAAGCAGGCUGAAAAUGACAUCAUCACAAAAUUAGUAUAAGAUUAAAAUUAAAGCAAACAUUAAGCCAUUUAACCACAGAAACCCUAGCCCCUUUCGCCGUUCUGAACUUUGCUAAUUCUUUUAGCCUUGAAACCCUUGCCAAACUCUGAUCACGGCGAAGCAAACAAGGAUUUCGCGGCGGUUUUAUUAAGGUAACUUAUUCUUUUGUUAAUCGCCUCUUUUUUAUAUCUAGUAAUAAACAAAAUAAGGAUUCAAGAGCAGAGAAGAGAACUAUCAAGAGAAAAAGAAAAAAAUGAAAACUCAAAUCACCUUUCGAGAUUUCGUAUUUUUUGCCUAUUAGAUUUCUUUUUCUGAAUCAGUAUAUGUAAUCCUUUUACAAAUGAAUCAAUCGGCUUUAUAUAGCCGAAUAAAACCAAAAAAUUACAAAAUUAUUAUUUUUGUUAUUUAUCACUGCUGCUAUUCUCGUUUUUUCUUUUAUGUUAUUGCCUUCCUUCGUUUGCUUGUUUGUUGCGUCUAUUGUAGGUACCAAACCAGCUGGAGCACACGCAUGGAGGCACAAUGGAUGGGGGGCACACGCGUGUGGGGUUGGAGCUGCUGCGGCGUUGGGGCAACAGGCUAGGGUUUUUGGAAACUGCUUAGGUUUAUCUAGGUUUGGGCUUGUUGGGCCAAAUGGGGUUAGUUUUGGGUACUUUAAGUUAAAAUGAUUUGGGCUAUGUAUUUGGGUAUGGGUUUUAGGCUAAUACUGGACUACUAUUAUUUUUAUUUUAUUUUGGUUUAUUAUUGAUUGGGCCUAGGUUUUAUUAGAUUUGUAAUUGUAUUUGGUUUUUUAGUAUUUGGUUUGGGCUAGGCAAAAUUUGGUAUUACAAUUUGAAUUCAUUUAAAAUCCCCCAAAUUCCAGAUCUAAAAUUUUUUCUUUUUAAUUGACAAGAUUAAUUAAGAAAUUGAAGAGAAAAGAGAUCUUACCCAAGCCAGUUGAGAGAAAUGACGAUGACACUUUCUUUGCAAUGCUCAAGAUCGAUCUUAGGGUUCAAGAUUUUAGAUUUGGGGAUGAUUUAAAUGAGGAUAAAUGAUAGCAAUAGAGUAAAGGAGAUGGUGCACAAUCUUGAUGCAAAAAGAAGAAGAAAGAGAUGGUAAAUGGGAGGUGUAAGCAAUGACAACAAUGGGAGAAAGAAAGAAAAUAAGAGAAAAGUGGGGAGGAAGAUGCUGAACAGAUAGGGUAGGGAAAAAUUGAAUUUUAGGCUAAAAAUAUACUUAGGGUUCAAGGUUAUGGACAGCACACACAUUUAAAAAACAAAGGAUUUUGCAAAAUUUACUAUUUUGCAAGGGAAAGGAUUCGAAAUUGGGACCUCAUUUAAUUUUCAUGUUUUCUCAUAUUUCUUUUAACCAUUAGGAUUUUUCCUCAUUCUUAAAAUCAUUUUGAAAUAUUUAUUUUAAAAAUAAGGCAUGUCACACUAGGGUUUAAGGCAAAAUUAGCAAAAUAAUAAAAAAAAUGAGAGAGAAGGGGGUUUCAAGGAACGCUUCACUAAAACUUAUCCAACAAACCAACACCUCAUUAUUUUCCUAAAUAUGCAUAGGUAAUCAUCAAAAUUAAGGCAUCACCACUCUUUCUCGAUUCACAAACCCGAUUCUACUAACCCUUGAUUUUUGGGAUGUUAUAAGGUGAGUUCGUAGUGUAACAAUAUAUAUGUGUGUGUUUUGGGGAUACGAUUGGCAUGCCAAUAGGGUUAGUUACACUUCAAUGCCUCUCUUUACAAUUUGGUGCCACUGUAUUUGCACUACAGUGCCUCUGUUAGUAUUUCGAUGUUUAGGGGAAACCCGAGUAUCCAAGUCAUUUUAAUAUAGUUCAAAAGGCCAUGAAAUUUUAUGUUUAAAUGUUAAAUUACUCUUGAGUUUGAUUUAUGUAUAAAAUGAUAUAUUUGUGUAUAUACGUAUAUAAGCAUGGAUUGCUUUGGUUUGAGCCAUUGUUUAUAUUGAAUCAUAUGAGACAAAUGUUUUGAUUAGUAUAGUUUGAGAAUAAAUAUUAAUGCUUUGGUGUAAUUAUAUGAUUCAUAUGUCUAUAAACAUGAAUCUAAUUAUGUUUAUGGUGUGUUUAGAGAAUUAAAUGGUUAUAUGAUUAUUUUCCAGGUAUUCGAGGUUGUUUAAUUUGGUUUAAUGGGUAAAUAAAGCUUUAAAGGGUAUGUGAUUACAUGAAAUGAACUAUCAUAUUUGAGUAAUGAUAUGGAUUAUGAUGAAAUGUUUAAUUGAAAAGAAAAUAUGGUUUAGUAUAUAUGUAUGAGUGGUGAAUUAUGAAAGUGAAAUGUAGAUAUGUUUUAUACCAUGUUUUGAUUUGAAUUAUAUAUGAUAUGUUACACCAACUAACCUUGUGAGGUGGUGUGUAUAGGAAAGGAAAGUUGGCUUAAAACAUAAUGAAAUUAUGCUUGGUUUUUUAACUUAAAAUAUUCAAUAAGUUAAGUUUCAUUUAUAUGAACUUACUAAACAUUAAUUGCUUACAUAGUUAUUUUUCUUUAUUUUGUAGUUCAUCAGAAGCUCGGCCGGUUGGAAUCAUGUCAGAGCACGAUCACACUAUCCAUUCAACAUUUUGAUAGUUUUUGGUUAUUUUGGUAAAUGGUUAUAAAUGACAUGAAAUAGGGUUUAAAGGUCAUUCCAGUGAUUUGACUUGUUUUGAGUUGUGUCAAGCUUAUUGUGAUUAAUGUUGUUAGUUGCUGGCAUGUAAAUAAUGGUGUAAAUAUGUGUGGUCGGACCCUUAUGCAUGCUUUAUUGAUUAAAGAUAUCAUAUGUUAAAAUGGCAUGUUUUUGGAAUGGUUAUUUGGCAUGAUUGGUAUAGGUUUAAGUUAUGAUCUUGAGAUGUUGAAUUGAAUUAAGUUUGAUAUGUAUAUUGUGAUGCCUUCAUUGACAUAUUGGUUAGAUAUUAAGGGAUGGUUGAUUUGGUAUGUUUUUGAAAUGGUUGUUGGUAUGUUUGAUCUAAGUUGAUUAAAUGAACUUGUAAUGUUGAAUGGUAUAAUAUUUGUUGGUACAUUCAUUAGUCUUAUAGGUUGAUGGAAUUGGUAUGUUUUAAAUGUGUUUUAAAUGUGUUUUGAUUAUUUGGAUGUUUGUGGAAAUGGUGUCUCUUGGUGUACAAGAUUUGAAAUUGAAACGGCUUGAUUUAGAAUCAACUUAUGCUGCACACUGCCUGGGACAUGGAUUGUCACAUGGCUGUGUCAUAAUUGUUUUAGGUACGGGUUUCACACAAUCUAAGACUCGGCUCACGACACAGUUGUGUAUCACAAGUCAGUAUGUAACACAGUUUUGCACAUGGCCUGCGACACGAUCUUGUGUCUAGACUUCGAAUGUCCACAUGGUCUGGGCUAUGUCACAUGGCUUGGCCACAUGGUCGUGUGACUUUUGUUUUCAAGUUUUCCAAAAUUUUCUAUUUUAUUUCAAAUUGAUCCUAGAAUAUUCUCAAACUAUUUUUAAGGCCCCGUAGGUUCGGAUUAAGGCCCCGUAAGUGUAUGUUUGCUAUAAUUAAGUUGUGCUACUGAAUGUUACUAAUUCAAUCACAUGAAUAUUUUGUUGUAAGUUAAAUGUUUUAAUUUUUACUAUAAUGCUCUGUAACCUUAAUCUUGCGAUGAAAACAGGUUUGGCGUGUUACAAUUUUGGAUUGUAAAUUUGUUUUGGGGCUUUGUUCUUUGGUUCUUGCGAUGUUGGUUAGAUUUUGGUGUUUUAACAUUAAACUGCAAAAUUGUAUAACUUAAUAAACUAAAAAUUAGGUUUUCAAAAUUAAAACUCUGGAAAUUUUUCUUGCAAAGUUUAAGUAAUCACUUAAGUGUUUUUCCAUAAAUAAUUAAAUGGUUUUUAACAAAUGUUUUCCUUAGUUUUGGAAAUGAUCUGCCAAUAUUAGUACUUUUAAAACACAUGAUUUCAAAUUCAAAUUCUCAGUUUUAAAUAAGGGUUUUCACACUUCAGUUUUUUUUAAACAUUUGUGAGAGGUUUUUGCCAAAUUUUAUGUUUUCAGAAUGUGUAACUAAGUUGAUUUUUAAUUAGUUUUUCAAACGAGUCGAGUAAUUCCUCAAAAAUCCAGUCAUAGCGUCUAGGCCGGGUUUGGGAUGUUAUACUGACGUUACUAAAGUUAAUCUUCAUCUAUUUAGUCUAGAUCUAAACAUUAAUAUUCUCUUCCAAGAAAAAUCAAGACUAUCAAUUUGUUAAAACUUGGUAGGCAGACAAUCAUAUUAAAUAUGCAUAAAACUCAAUAAGUAAUUUGCGAAGAUUGAAACAAUCAAAGAAAAAAUUAAUUAAUUAACUAAGAAAUAGGAUACAUUGCUGUUUCAAGGAAACAGGGUUUAGUUCACAUUGAGUUGAGAAAACCAAAAGGGAGAUUCAAAAUGAACUUGUGAUAAGGGGAAUAAUGUCAAUGGAUCAUAUUCAAGUUGUUCAGCUCGAGAAAGAAAGAUUCAGAUUUAACUUGAAAAGAGUAAACCAAAAAGAUUUAGAAAAACAAAGAAAAUAACUAAAAUGAUAAAUUUAAGAAUAAAUAAUCAAUAUUAAAAAUAAUAAAGAAAUUAUAGAAUAAAUAGUGGAAGAUGGAAUGAAUAAACGAUGGAUAUGACAUAUAGAUGGAUAAGUGUCUUAUAAUUCAUGAAAAGAGUUAUAUUUCAUGCCUUUAGACCUAACUAAUUGCUUGUACUUACGUACAUUUUGUUGCAUUUUAAGACAUAUUAGUUAGCAUUUCUAAUAUUGCAUUAGGACUUAGAUUGUGCUGGAAUUAGCUGUUUUUAAUCGCUCGUGGUGGAGUUUUUUUUGUGUUUUGGUAUAGAAGGAACAUGUUUUAGAUCGAGGAAAUAAAUGAGUGAAGUUUUGUCAAGGCAAAACUGCAGAUAGUUUGCCAGCACGGAUGCCGUGACAAUGCCGGGAAGACCAAGUCAACAUUUUUUUGUGCAAUAGUCUCAGUUGAAAUUAAAACUUGUACCAGAUAAAUCUCCCUAAAAGAGGAAAAGAUAAUCACAAGACCCUAGCCUAAUCUAUCUAUAAAAGCCAAUAAAGGGGAUUCUCACAAAUGGCAGAAAAAAGUGGGAAGGAUCCUUAGGUGUGAAUAAGGGUUUAGCUGCGCAAAGGAAAGGAAGUCGAAGGCAGUCCUUUUUAGCCAUCACAGGACAUUGUGUUGCCGAAGUGUGGACUAGGCAAGUGAAAGUUGUUUACCAAAGUUCUUUUGUUAUUUCCAUCAGCGUUCCUUCAAAAUAUUGAAGUAGUUGAACACAAUGUUGGAUAAUAUUUUGCUUUGGAAUUUUAUUUCUCAUCCCACGAGCUAAAUCUCGUAGGGUUGGGAUUACUUUUGAUGAAACCUUAAACUAUUUUUAUGAAUGCAGUAUAUAUCUAAUUUACUUUACUGUUUCAUUUGAUUGUUCUUAUUUCUUAAUUAAAAUGCAAAUGAUCUCUAAACAUAGAAGACUGUUCACAUACUUAUAAAUUGAUUCUAAUUCUGAAAGGGUUGGAUUGGUUGGAUUAAAAUUAAAUGAAAUGAGCAAGUAUUCGAUGGACACUUGUAGUAGACUCUAGACAUAGAGUGGCGAUCAUACAGAAGGAACCCAUGCAAGGUAUCUAAAAAGUCUUUAGACACAAGCAAGGUAACUUGAGGGUUUGCUCUCACGAGAGGCAAGCCAUUUUAGUACUCUUCUGUGCUUUAAAGUAGAUACGAUUUUGCCAAGGCAUUAUUGACAGUAAGAGUCGAUUUUGGGUAAUCAACCUUCCAAAUCCACAUCGUAUAUCCUUUAUUCCUUACCAUAAUAUAUUUGCCACAUCAUUAUUAGUUAUUUAUUUGUUCAUUUACAUAAUAUUCCCGUAGUAAUUCUCAUAAUUGUCAUUACAUUUCUACUCUCGGUUUGCCACAACAUUACCAGUUAUUUAUUAAUUCCACGUAUUGCUUACAUCAUUACUCUACUAAUUGUGACUAUAUAUUUAUCAUUGAGUCUGCCAUAGCAUUAAUCAUAUUUUAUUAUAAUAACUUGAUCAAUUUUGUGCCUCAAUUCGAUCCCCAUGGGAAUGAUUCUCACUCAUCAGUUUAUUACUUGAUUCAACUGUAUACAUGCACAAAUCACAUAUCAUUUCACACACGACAGUGUUCAAUUGAACCCUUUGAGUUAUAAACUCGAACAAACUCAAUUAAUGGAUUUAAUCAACCCACCAAGAAAGAAUCAUUGGAAAAUUGAAGGAUGGAGAAUGAAUUCCCAUGACUCCUUAAAAAAAUUGAGAAGAAAACUACUUCUAAAAAUCACAAGAAACAAAUCUUGCACAAAGAAACUAACUCUCAGAGUUGGAAAUUUUAGUAAUAAACAAAAACAAUUGCGUCUCUAAUGAACAUGAAAGGGCCUUUACAUAGGCUAGAUAAGUACAUCCAAAUAAAAUUGUCAAGUAUCUAGAAACUUUAAUUAAUGUAAGCAAGAAGUAAUUUUAAACUAAAAUAGUCAUAAUUUUCGUAAUAAUCUCGUCCAAAAAUUUUGCUCACAUAGUCAUCAUUAAAAUAGUCAUAAUUUGAUCUUCUAAACUCAAAAUCGAGUGAAUAAAAGUGCGUUUCGAAGUUAAGUGAUAGAUCUUAGAACUCUAUGAGGACAUAUCAAUUGAAAAAUGCCUGGAUUCCAUCCAAAAAUUCACCGCAAGUUAACUAAUUUUUCAAACUUGAAAAUUGGUAGCUUCGGUGAAUGGAAUUUAAUAAAGUUCACCCCAUCUAUUCAUGUAUCAACUUGCAUUGUAAAAAGUAAAAAGAAAUAAUCUAUAGAGAAAAUAGUUGAAGAAUUUAUGACAAUUUAUUCAGAUCUCGUUUUCUUCUAGUCUUUACAAGCUUGAAGUUUCCCUUGGUGUGAGAGAGUUGUUCCUUACCCUCUAAGUGAUUUUUUUUCUUUUUCUUUCUCUUCGAUCUCGUCACCUAAGGGUGUUCAAACGAUUGAUUCAGUUAAUACCCGAACAAAACUAUCAUUAACUAAAAUUUUGAAACCCUUAAUCAUUAAUCAAACCAAAAUUUAUUUGAAACCUAUUAACCAGCCAGAUUGAUUUCGAUUAAUUUGAGCGGUUAACCAGAAUUUAUACACUGUUUGAUUUUGUUCAAACAAUUUUAAAACAAAGAAUAAUCCACAACAAUUUUUUCCGUAUUUUUUAUUCAAAAAAAUUAAAAGAAUUAAAAAAAAUAACAUAAUAACAACACUAAAUUAAAAACGUAAUAGCAUUCAUUACAUUACAAAGCAUAUAUAUAUAUUUACUUUUUCUUGAAUUUUUAGUUUAAUUUUAGUUUUUAUUCAAAUAUUUUUAGUUUUCAUAAUUUUGUUAAGCUUAUUAUAAGAGAACUUAUAAAUCCAUUAGUUUUUAUAUAUUGGGUUUGUAUAAUGUAUUUGACCUGUCUCUAAUAUAUUGGGCCUAUAAUAUAUUUUUAUUGAUUUCGGUUAAUCAAUUAAUUCGGUUAAUUAGUCGAUUUCAAACUAAACUAAUUGGUAAACAAAAUCUUCAAAAACCUUUAACCAACUCCCAACCAAAUUAGAUUCGUUGAUCAACUGCUUAAUCAAAUUAAUUAGGUUUGAUAAAUUAAUUCGUUAAAACCGAAAAAUUGACAUCCCUAUCACCACCUUUGUUUUUAGGGAUUUUAAUCAUGUUACUCCACUUGAUGCAGAAGUUGAGGUGGAACGAAUUGCUUGCUACCAAAAUUUAUGAAUUAUAGACCAUGCUCCACCCGGUGAAUCAAAUUCAGUGGAGUGGAAGACUUUUUCUUCACUACUUUGUGCUCUAUGCUCCAAGUCUUCUAUUCUUCUUCCGAGACCAACAAUGGGAAAAUUAAAAAUAAGAAACAAGUCUGAACUAACUUUGACAAUUAGAAAUUUUCAACAAAAUUGAAAUAAAAUAUAAUUAAUUAAUAAAAACUAUAAAAUUCAACAAAAACGAACCUAAAUACUAAAUUUACCUCCUAAAAUGCUAUGGAAACUAUAUUAAAAUAACUCUAAAUAUGAUAGUUAUCAAAAGCGACCUGAAGAAGCCAAUAUUCGAGUAGAUGAUUUCAACUAUUGCAAAUACCAUCAGUCGAUUAGCCAUCCUCUUGAGAAGAUUAUAGAGUUGAACGAAAAAAAUCAUACAACUCCAUGAAGAAGAAAAAAUCAUGUUUGAAAAAGAAGUGGCAUAAUCAAACUUGACAUCAAUGCUUUGGUUUCUCAAUACAAUAUUAUGGACAGAUUCAUCAAAUUUGGCUCUUUCAAUCCUAUUACACUAGCUCUAAGUAGAAGUAAGAUGGUGAAUUUCGAAAGGAUUGGGGGCAAUCAUCUAUUCUUGGAAUACCAGAAUGGUCAUUAUUGGACUCUAGCCACAUGUCAAAGAAGCCAAUGAAAAGCAUCUCUCCUAGGUAUAAGCUUAUAUUGUCACAUUACUCCUAAGCACGAGCAUAAAUUAGUCAUCCAAAAUGAUGAUGCUUCUAAGCAUGAGCUUAAAUUGUUCAUCUAAUGCUCCUAAGAAGGAGCCUAAACUAUUCAACCCAAAUGGUCAUGCUUUAAGAAAAAUCUUAAACUAUUUUUAAGGCCUUAUAGUUCGGAUUAAGGCCCGUAAGUGUAUGUUUGUUAUAAUUAAGUUGUGUUAUUGAAUGUUAUUAAUUCAAUCACAUGAAUAUUUUGUUGUAAGUUAAAUGUUUUAAUUUGUACUAUAAUGCUCCAUAACCCUAAUCUGGCAAUGGAAACAGGUUUGGCGUGUUACAAUUUUGGGUUCUUGCGAUGUUGGUUGGAUUUUCGUGUUUUAACAUUAAACUGCAAAAUUGUAUGAUUUAACAAACUAAAAUUAGGUUUUCAAAGUUAAAACUCUGGAAAUUUUUGUUGCAAAGUAUAAGUAAUCACUUAAGUGUUUUUCCAUAUAUAAUUAAAUGGUUUUUAACAAAUGUUUUCCUUAGUUUUGGAAAUGAUCUGCCACCAUUAGUACUUUUAAAACACAUGAUUUCAAAUUCAAAUUCUUUGUUUUAAAUAAGGGUUUUCACACUUCGUUUUUUUUUAACAUUUGUGAGAGGUUUUCGCCAAAUUUUAUGUUUUCAGAACGUGUAACUAAGUUGAUUUUUAAUUCGUUUUUCAAAUGAGUCGAUGUAAUUCCUCAAAAAUCCAGUCAUAGCAUCUAGGCCGGGUUUGGAUGUUAUACUGAUAUUACUAAAGUUAAUCUUCAUCUAUUUAGUCUAGAUCUAAACAUUAAUAUUCUCUUCCAAGAAAAAUCAAGAUGAUCAAAUUGUUAAAACUUGGUAGGCAGACAAUCAUAUUAAAUAUGCAUAAAACUUAAUAAAUAAUUAGCGAAGAUUGAAACAAUCAAAGAAAAAAUAAAUUAAUUAACUAAGAAAUAGGAUCCAUUAUUGUUUCAAGAAAAUAGAGUUUAGUUCACAUUGAGUUGAGAAAACCAAAAGGGAGAUUCAAAAAAAACUUGUGAUAAGGGGAAUAAUGUCAAUAGAUCAUAUUCAAGUUGUUCGGCUCGAGAAAGAAAGAUUCAGAUCUAACUUGAAAAGAAGAAACUAAAAAUAUUUAGAAAAACAAGAAAAAACAAAGAAAAUAACUAAAAUGAUAAAUUUAAGAAUAAAUAAUCAAUAUUAAAAAUAAUAAAGAAAUAAAGAAAUUAUAGAAUAAAUAGUGGAAGAUGGAAUGAAUAAAUGAUGGAUAUGACAUAUAGAUGGAUAAGUGUCUUAUAAUUCAUGAAAAGAGUUAUAUUUCAUGCCUUUAGAUCUAACUAACUGCUUGUACUUAAGUACAUUUUGUUGCAUUUUAAGACAUUUUAGUUAGUGUUUCUAAUAUUGCAUUAGGACUUAGAUUGUGUUGGAAUUAGGUGUUUUUAAUCGCUCGUGGUGGAGUUUUUCUGUGUGUUGGCAUGGCAAGAACAUAUUUUAGAAUGAGGAAAUAAAUGAGUGAAGUUUUGUUAGGGAAAAAGUGCAGACAAUUUGCCAACACGGAUGCCGUGACAAUGCUGGGAAGACCAAGUAACAUUUUUUUGCGCAAUAGUCUCAGUUGAAAUUAAAACUUGUACCAGAUAAAUCUCCCUAAAAGAGGAGAAGAUAAUCACAAGAUGUCAGCUGACCCUAGCCUAAUCUAUCUAUAAAAGCCAAUAAAGGGGAUCUCACAAUUGGCAGAAAAAAGUGGGAGAGAUCCUUAGGUGUGAAUAAGGUUUUAGCUGCGCAAAGGAAAGGAAGUCAAAGGCAGUCCUUUUUAGCCAUCAUAGGACGUUGUGCUGCCGAAGUGUGGACUAGCCAAGUGAAAGUUGUUUCCGAAAGUUCUUUUUUUAUUUCCAUCAGCGUUCCUUCAAAAUAUUGAAGUAGUUGAACACAAUGUCGGAUAAUAUUUUUCUUUGGAAUUUUAUUUCUCAGCCCAUGAGCUAAAUCUCGUAGGGUUAAGGUUACUUUUGAUGAAACCUUAAAUAUUUUUAUGGAUGCAGCAUAUAUCCAAUUUACUAAACUGUAUCAUUUGAUUGUUCUUAUUUCUUAAGUAAAAUGCAAAUGAUCUCUAAACAUAGAAGACUGUUCGCAUACUUAUAAACUGAUUCUAAUUCUAAAACGGUUAGAUUGGUUGGAUUAAAAUUAAAUGAAAUGAGCAAGUAUUCGAUGGACACUUGUAGUAGACUCUAUACAUAGAGUGACGAUCAUACAGAAGGAACCCAUGCAAGGUAUCUAAAAAGUCUUUAGACACAGGCAAGGUAACUUGAGGUUUUGCUCUCACGAGAGGCAGGCCAUUUUAGUACUCUUCUGUGCUUUAAAGUAGAUAAGAUUUUGCCAAGGAAUUAUUGAGAGUAAGGGUCGAUUUUGGAUAAUCAACCUUCCAAAUCCACAUCGUAUAUCCUUUAUUCCUUACCAUAGAAUAUUUGCCACAUCAUUAUUAGUUAUUUAUUUGUUCAUUUACAUAAUAUUCCCGUAGUAAUUCUCAUAAUUGUCAUUACAUUUCUACUCUUGGUUUGCCACAACAUUACUAGUUAUUUAUUAAUUCCACGUAUUGCUUACAUCAUUACUCUACUAAUUGCGACUGUAUAUUUAUCAUUGAGUUUGCCAUAGCAUUAAUCGUAUUUUAUUAUAAUAUCUUAACUAAUUUUGUGCCUCAAUCUGAUCCCCAUGGGAACGAUACUCACUCAUCACUUUAUUACUAGAUUCAACUGUAUACUUGCACAAAUCGUAUAUCAUUUCACACACGACAAUGUUCAAUUGAACCUUUUGAGUUAUAAACUCGAACAAACUCAAUUAUUAGCUUUAAUCAACCCACCAAGAAAGAAUCAUUGGCAAAUUGAAGGAUGAAGAAUGAAUUCCCAUGAAUCCUUAAAGAAAUUGAGAAGAAAACUACUUCUAAAAAUCACAAGAAACAAAUCUUGCACAAAGAAACUAACUCUCAGAGUUGGAAAUUUUAGUAAUAAACAAAAACAAUUGCGUCUCUGAUGAACAUGAAAGGGCCUUUACAUAGGCUAGAUAAGUCCAUCCAAAUAAAAUUGUCAAGUAUCUAGAAACUUUAAUUAAUGUAAGCAAGAAGUAAUUUUAAACUAAAAUAGUCAAAAUUUUUGUAAUGAUCUCGUCCAAAAAUUCUGCUCACAUAGUCAUCAUGAAAAUAGUCAUAAUUUGAUCUCUUGAACUCAAAAUCGAGUGAAUAAAAGUGCGUUUCAAAGUUAAGUGAUAGAUCUUAGAACUCUAUGAGACAUAUCAAUUGAAAAAUGUCUGGAUUCCAUCCAAAAAUUCACUGGAAGUUAACUAAUUUUUCAAACUUGAAAAUUGGUAGCUUCAGUGAAUGGAAUUUAAUAAAGUUCACCCCAUCUAUUCAUGUAUCAACUUGCAUUGUAAAAAGUAAAAAGAAAUAAUCUAUAGAGAAAAUAGUUGAAGAAUUUAUGACAAUUUAUUCAGAUCUCUUUUUCUUCUAGUAAUAUAUUGGGCCUAUAAUAUAUUUUUAUUGAUUUCGGUUAAUAAAUUAAUUCGGUUAAUUAGUCGAUUUCAAACUAAACUAAUUGUUAAACAAAAUCUUCAAAAACCUUUAACAAACUCCCAACCAAAUUAGAUUCGUUGAUCGACUGCUUAAUCAAAUUAAUUAGGUUUGAUAACUUAAUUCGUUAAAACCGAAAAAUGCACAUCCCUAUCAUCACCUUUGUUUUUAGGGAUUUUAAUCAUGUUGCUCCACCUGAUGCAGAAGUUGAGGUGGAACGAACUACUUGCUACCAAAAUUUAUGAAUUAUAGAGCUUGCUCCACCGCAGUGAAUCAAAUUCGGUGGAGUGGGAGACUUUUCUUCACUACUUUAUGCUCUAUGCUCCAAGUCUUCUAUUCUUCUUCCGAGACCUACAAUGGAAAAAUAAAAAAAUAAGAAACAAGUCUGAACUUACUUUGAAAAUUAGAAAUUUUCUACAAAAUUGAAAUAAAAUAUAAUUAAUCAAUAAAAACUAUAAAAUGCAAUAAAAACGAACCUAAAUACUAAAAUUACCUCCUAAAAUGCUAUGGAAACUAUACUAAAAUAACUCUAAAUAUGAUAGUUAUCAGAAGCGACCUGAAGAAGCCAAUCGAGUAGAUGAUUUCAACUAUUGCAAUAAUAUUGGUCGAUUAGCCAUCCUCUUGAGAAGAUCAUAGAGUUGAAAGAAAAAAAUCAUACAACUCCAUGAAGAAGAAAAAAUCAUGUUUGAAAAAGAAGUGGCAUUAUCAAACUUGACAUCAAUGCUUUGGUUUCUCAAUACAAUAUUAUGGACAGAUUCAUCAAAUUUGGCUCUUUCAAUCCUAUUACACUAGCUCUAAGUAGAAGUAAGAUGGUGAAUUUCAAAAGGAUUGGGGGCAAUCAUCUAUUUUUGGAAUAUCAGAAUGGUCAUGAUUGGACUCUAGCCACAUGUCUUCGGAACAUCAGAAUGGUCAUGAUUGGACUCUAGCCACAUGUCAAAGAAGCCAAUGAGAAGCAUCUCUCCUAGGUAUAAGCUUAUAUUGCCACAUUACUCCUAAGCACAAGCAUAAAUUGUUCAUCCAAAAUGAUGAUGCUUCUAAGCAUGAGCUUAAACUGUUCAUCUAAUGCUCCUAAGAAGGAGCCUAAACUAUUCAACCCAAAUGGUCAUGCUUUAAGCAAAUAUUAAACUAUUCUUAAAAAAUAAAUGAUGAUCCAAUGAAGCACAAGCUUAAUCUAUUCAUACGAAACAAAUGAUGACCUCCUAAGCAUGAAUUUAAAUUGUUCACACAUAAUAAAUGAUGAUACUCCUAAGCGCGAGCUUAAAUUGCAGUCCAAAAAAUAUUGAACUACGUUAUAACUUGAUCUUUUAAAAUUGAAGGUAAGUAGAUAGCCUGGUUUCAUUGCCAAGUUCAGUCUAUAUGAUAAAAAAAAUUUGAAGGUGAUCUUUGAAACAAAUUCAUCAAAGUAGGAAGCAAAUAAAAUUUCAAGACUUGUCCCCUUUCUACGCCCAACAAAAUUCAGAAUCCAUCAUUUGUUAUUACUGUAAUAAUAUCUCUAACUAAAUUAAUGAAAAGAUAAAUCAAGAAAUUAAAUCCUUUUAGAACUCUCUUAUAAAGAAACCAUAUUAAGGAUUACUUUAGAUCUAAUUAAUUAAAUUAAUAAGAUAUGAAUAAUAAUAAUAGAGUUUAAAUUCUUAUAGAACACUCAAAUGAAAAUGUUAAAUUCUACAAGAACUCUUAUAUGAAAGUGAUUGACACUAAAAAAAUGGGUCACCUCCAAGUUAUUCUACACAUUCACAAGUUCAAGAAGUUGAAAAAUUAUUUACAAAAAUAUUUGAAGAAACUAAAGAAGUAGAAGAAAUUCUAAUGAACAUCAUAUCAAUUGAGAGGAGGAUGUGAACAGAAGAGAAGAUUGAAAAGAGUUUUGUUUGUAAAGAAAUUCAAAACUUGUUAUAAAAUUUGACGCAAAAUUUUCAAGUCAAUUUUCAACUUGAAAUUUGUGUGUACUAUAUAUAUGGGAAAGAAUCCAUUUACAUUAUAUAAAACUAUUGUAUGUAUAAUACAAAAAUAUUUAAUACAUUAUCAAUAAAGUUUUUAAACUAUGCACCUGUGAUUAAAACCAAAAUAAUAAUAUUAAUAACAACCAAUCACUUUAUUUGACUAACUUUUCCUCACAAGUCUUUGGUAUGGAGACAAAUCAGUUUAAUCAGUCUUUGGAGCUAUUAACUGACAUUUCCACCAUUGAUUUGAAAAUCAUAACCCAUCAAUUCACUUUAAAUGAAACGAGAUCCUCAAGUGUUUGGUGUUAUAUUCUUAAAAUGUAUUUAGAUGAUUGUUUAUUAAUUUUAUUUCUUUAUAUUUAAAUCAAAUGUAAUAAAUUGUUGAAUUUAUAUACUUCUUAUUAUAACAAUAUAUGGACUAUCUUCCUACUUCUUUUUUUAAUUUAAUUUUUUGUAACUCUUCACAAUUUAUUUUGAAAAACAUUGAAAAAAAACUAAAUGAUUAAAUUAAGGCUCAACUUUUCACUAAUCUUAGUUUAUUUAGUCUAACUUUUCACAAUUUCAUAUACUCAUUUCAUGUUUCAUACCAACAAUUUUUCUUUUUGGUAAAAAGAAAAAAACAACUAUACUUUCUUUAAUCCCAAAAUUAAGGCUUUAUGAAUGAAAAUAAUAUUAUAUUAACUAUGAUAAUUAAGUUUUUAUUUUAAAUAUGAUUAAUUUUAUAUAUAAUAACUUUAAAUAUAAAUAUAUAUAUAUCUAUAAUUAAAUUUUAAAGAAAUUUAUUGUUAUUUUCUAAACAUAAAACAAAGAAAACUUUUUACCCAAAUUAUAAGUUUGUGGUUAGGCAGCCCACUUUGGGACAGGAUUCAGCUUACGUUUUUAAUCUUGGGCUUUAAAAAUAAUAAAAAUAUAAAAAUAAUGUUCGAUUAAUAUUUAUAAAUUUUAUAAAUUUAAAUUUAAUUAUAUUUUUUAUACAGUAAAAUCAACCAUUUAUAUGGGCUAAAUUGAGUUAAGUUCGGUUUGCAUCAAGCCUUAACUUUGACCAAAUCCAACGAAAAACACCUCUAACCAUAAUCUAGUAUUGUUUUUAUGAAUUGAAUUUUAACUUGUAAUUUUCAAUUUUAUACAAACUUUCUUUGCCUACGAUAAGGAAAUAACAUAUUUGUAACUUCUCCAAUCUGGCGUAAACAUUCAGUCUGAAUUCGGAAGAUUACAUCGGCCAUAAAGAUGGCCUAGCAGGGUUAUCAGAGUUUUUGAAAAUAGACAUCUUUAAAACGUUUGUUUAAUUCAGUAAAAAACUAAUUUAAUUUCCAAAUUAUUUAUUACUUGAAAUCUUAAUUACACUUUAAAAGAAGGAAGUGGUAACUAUUUAUUUUUAAUAAAAAUUAGGGUUCAUGUAUAAUUGAUUAAUAACCAUAAUUCGAAAACAUUAAAACUUAAAUUAAAUGUCAUGCAAAAUAAAACAAGCUUAAACCUAAAUCUCAUGCCACAGUUCAAAAUAAUUUAUUGUAGUCUUCAAAAAUAAAAUAAAUCAUAUAAUCAACCAAAAAUAAGUUUUGUAAUUUAGCAAUGUAUCGAGACCUUCUAGAUGUCAUGCCCGCGUCCUAACUUGGUUAUUUGUAAGUGUAACGACCCGAAUAAUUUAUCUCUAUUUCUGUAAAUAUUUGACGCAAAUACUUGUUUGCUUCAGUGGUUAAAUGUUUUGGGUGUGUUUGAGAGGUCUUGGGUUCAAGUCUCAUUUUUGUAAAAUUUUGUUAUUUUUAUGAUUCAAGCCUUAGCCUUGUUGAGUGGGCUUUUAUGAAAUUGUUUGCUACUUCAUAUUAGAAUGAGCUUGCUAGUUCAAGUGGUAAGGAGUUGGUGUGAAGGAGGUUCUGUGUGUGAAUCCCUGCACGAGCGUGGGUAUUAUUUUUUUGCUCAGUUAUAUGGUAGAGUUUCGGUGCUUUUGGGAUUAUAGGGUAGUUGGAUGUGAAUUAGUGGGGAGUUAGGAUAUUAGUGGGUUUUUAAUUAGAUUUUAUUUAAUUUUUAUUCUUUUUGUUUUUCCCAAUUUUUCUCUUAGCUUUUGACGUUCUGUUUCCCUUUUCUCCUCUGCUGAAUUUUUGCCGCUCCCUCUCAUUUUUGAUUUUUCCAAUUCGUCUCCUUUUUGUGCAAUGUUUGAUUGCAUUCGUUCGGUAAGUCUUGUAUUGUUACGAUCUUAUUGUUUGGUGGUUAAUGUUUUAAUGGGGGUUUUGUGUUUACUCUCGAUUAAGGGAAGGGCAAGAAGAGUUGGUACUCCUGCAAGAUUUGAGCGUUAAGGGUGUCUGUUCGUUGGCGGUAAGUUUUCAAAUUCUUUGUUGGUUAUUGUAAGGCUCCGUUUGUGGAAUGGUUUCGGAUUGAGUUUCGUAAGUGUGUAUCGAAUUUGGGCUUCUGGAUACUGUUUCUUAGGUUCGGUGGUCUCAGGGGUGCUUGUGCAUCAAAAUGAUAUCAGGUGUGUACCCGAAACGUAGAAAAUCGAGUUUCGAUGAAAGGUAAAAAACCUUAUUUUCGAUGCCACACGGGCGUGUGCAUGGCCGUGUGGUUGGCCGUGUGCAGGACACAGUCAUGUGUUCGACGAGGGUAGGGCCGUGCGCAAGACACGGCUGUGUGACGAUGUGGGUGUGGCCGUGUGGGCCACAUAGGCUAGGCCAAGUUGGGCUUGUGGGUUUUGGGCCACACGUGCAUGUGCCUUUUAAACAAGUCCGUGUGGACCACACGGGUAGGGCUAAUAUGGGCGUGUUGGCCACAUGGGCAUGUGGGCCGAAAAUUCUAAAAUUUUCCUUAAGGUCGCACAGGUCGUUCUAGUCGACUGUGGGCCUACCGUAGGGUCGGUAAGGGCUAACCAAACCCUAAAACUAUGUGAUCUGUUAGUUUGAUAUUUUGUUCUGAAUAUGAUACUGCUAUGCAUGUUUGAUUAGUUUGGUGUAUGUAUAUAUAUAUAUAUCUGAUAUCUAUGUAUGAGCAUGUGAGCAUGGUAACUCUAAUUAUCUAUAUCUGAUUGGGGUGGGAUUUGUAUAUGUGGAGGAAGUGUUCUGUAUGGCGGUCAUCGCUUAUAUUCUGGCAGCUUGGCUGCACAUUAUCUGACAUGUGUCGUAAUGGCACGAUAUGGUGUGUAGGGAUGGGUGGGUGUUUUUAACCCCACAUGAUGUGAUGGGAUAGUUGGAGUUGGUGUGUAGAGGAUGGAGUUAGGAUUUUGUAUUUCUGAUCUGAUCUGCAUAUCUGUUAUGUUAUCUGAAUCUGUAAAGGACUUAGGUCUGAAUCCGAAUCUAAAAUUGUAUCUGACUAUGUAUGAGUUUACUGCAUGUAUUGCAUGCAUUUUUUUAUUGGCUUACACACUAAGUUUACAAAAACUCACAUUUGUUUGUCUGUUAUGUUCAGGUAAUCCACAGAUUUAGGCGGGUCGGUGUGACGGAGGCUCAGUGGUGACCACCUGAUUGAGAACUAUUUUACUUAGUAAAUUAUGUUUUAUUUAUAAUUUCUAUUUCAUUUGAGAGUUUUUAAUUUUUGAGACUCUCAGUACUGCUGGUUUUUAUUUUGGUUUUGGAUGCGAUUUUAGACUAUUUUGUUGCGAUGCAUGAUGGAAAACACGAUUUUAUGAAAAAAAGUUAUUCUGAAAAUACGAACUGGAUUUCUAAAAUAUAACGGUUCAAAAACUUUCACUAAAAAUCACGUUUUGGUAAAUAAAUGAAUUAAAUAAUACUUUCAAAAAUGGUUAUAAAUAAUUAUGAACUAUGAAUCUUUAAUGAUUUGAUGAAACGACCUUAUUUUCAAAACCAUACCUUGUGACCACUCCGGAUUCAGCCAUAACGUCUGGGCUGGUUUGGGGUGUUACAGUAAGGAUGAAAAUUUAAGGGAAUGAGCUAUGACGCUUACUAUGAGUUCAUUCACAAUAAAUUCAACGCAAACGGUUGGUAGGACACAUUAAAUAAUAUCGCAUAAAAUAAUCACAAUUAGAUAAUAGUUCAGAAUGUCGGUUUUACAAUUUAACCACCAAUAUAAUCACAGUAUUCACAGUUGUAAUUUUAGAAUAUCAAAUUUCCACAUCAUUCACAAUAUUCAGAUAUAUAUAAAUAUAUCAUAACAGAAUUCUGGAUUUGUAUGCACAUGAUUUAGAAGAUGCCAUACAAUUUCAGGUUUUAACAGAAUAAAUCCUACCCCACGUUACAUACCAUAAUGGGAGUUCCCCUAAACUCCCUUCUGCAACACACUGGGUUAUGGAUAAACCACUACCGGUUUACAGAUAAUAACUAUCAUUUGGUUGUGGACACACAGCAAGUCUCCACAAUUGGAUUCUAGAUUUGGUUGUGGGUUCACAGCAAAAAAAAUCUACAAAUGAAGCCUGCUUUUGCCUGUAGAUUAUACAACAUAUACCCAUAGUUGGAAUCUGCCUUCGGCUAUGGAUGCACUGUAACACCUCAAACCUGACCUGGACGUUAUGACCGAAUCCUGAGGAAUUACUUUAACUCACUAGAAAACCCAAGAGUUUACUAUGAAAUCAUGUGGUUAAACUAGUGUUCACUUUGAUAAAUCGUUUUCCAGUUUUAGGGAAAAUUAUUGUUAAAACUGUUACUUUAUUACAAUAAAACAUUAAAGUGAUUAUAUCAUUUUGUAACGGAAUCUACUGAGCUAUAAGGUUAUGAAAAUCGUGGUUUAAUUUGCAACAAAUCAUUUUGUAAAUAGAAAUUUAAUACUACUUAAUUUGGAAAAGCAUGCUAAAACGAAAGCAAAGUCCAAACUAAUUUAUGAUUUAAAAUUCUAAAAAGUCCAAAUUAAACAUAAAGUCAAUUUAAACCAGUUUAUCGAACGUGUAACACCCCAAACCUAGCCUGGAUGUUAUGGCUAAAUCUGGAUGUGUUACGAAAAAAAAGUUUAUAAAACGACUUCCUUAUUAUUGGCAAAUCAUCGCAACCAUUAUUACUUAGUAUGCUCGAUUUGUUUGGAAAACUUAUUGAUAUACUUAUUUGAUUUAAAAUCAUUGCUCGCUUAUGCCUUUCUAUUAAACUGAAUGUUUUGUAGUGGAGUUUCUUUAAAACACCAUAUUUUGGCAAAUCAAUUUGUUUCUUGAAAAUCGUUAUUUCAAAAAAAUUGUCAUUUUUAGAAAAAACUAUUUUAUCAGUUGUUACGCUUAGAAACCAAAAUAAAAUCCAAAACCAAAAAUAGUCCCAAAAAGUCCAGAGAGUCCCGAAAUUACAAAACUCUCAAAACCAGAAAAGUUUGAACUAAUUUAAAAAGAAUGAAAUUUUACGGAAAUAUGGUUAACACUGAGCUUCCAUCACACCGACCCACCUAAAUCUGAGGGUUACUUGAAUAGAACAAACAAAUAGAGAGAGUUUUGAAACUCAGUGUGUAACGCGAAUAUAAACAAAAAUUCAGAAUCAAUCUCAUGCAGAACAUAUACAAAUGUAAACCAUUUAUAGAAUAAGAAUUAUACAGAUACAAAUAUGCAACAUCCUACCCUCAUCCUAUACACACCAAUUCUGACCAUCCCAUCACACCACGUGGGGUAUAAAACACCCACCCAGCCCUACACACCGUAUAGUGUUUAUACAACACUUUUCAAAAUAAUCGCAGCAGAGUUGCCAGUAUAUAGGUGAGAUAUCGCUUCACACAGAACACUUCCUCCUCAUAAUACAAAUCCCGCUCCAUAGCCAGAUACAGAUAGAAUAUCAGGUAAAACAAAUUAAUAGAUACCAGAGUUAACAUAUCACGCGUGAGCGUAUAACAGAUAUUACACAUGCUUAUACAUAACAGAACAAAUCAUACAUACCGUAUUCCAUAAUACUCAUAUAAAUGUUAUUUUUUAAAUUGUAACAAAUAUUAUUAUUAAGAUGUUUUUCUUUUUAUAUUUUUUUAUAAAAUAUAUUAAAAAACAAUUAGAAUAAUUUUAAGAGAAAAAACACUCAUAAACAGUAGAAUUUAAUCUAAAAAUAUCAAAGUUUUAAAGCCUCAACUUUAACAUUUCAACCAAAAUUCCAUUAGUAUAUAAAUAUUUUAUAAAUAUAGAUUUUAUAUAAAAAAAUUUUAUGUAAACUUUUUUUUAACCCACAUCACAAGUAUACCAUAUUUAGAGAUAUUCAUAGCUAGGCAGCCCACUUUGGGUCAAACUUGAGCUUAGGUUUCAUCUCAAGUUGGCCCAAUUUAACCUAUUUUACUAUUUAAAAAUAUAAAUAUAUGUUAUAUUGAUAUUUAUAUAUUUCUAUAAUUAAAUUUUAAAUAAAUUUAUUGUUAACUUUUAAACACAAAACAAAGAAAACUUUCACCCAAAUUAUAAGUUUGUGGUUAGACAGCCCACUUUCGGGGCAGGAUUCAGCUUACGUUUUUAAUCUUGGGAUUUAAGAAUAAUAAAAAAUAUAAAAAUAAUAUUGUAUUAAUAUUUAUAUAUUUUAUAAAUUUAAAUUUAAUUAUAUUUUUUAAACAGUCAAAUGAACCAUUUAUAUGGGCUAAUUAGAGUUAAGUUUGGUUUGAAUCAAGCCUUAACUUUGACCAAAUCCAACUAAAAACACGUCUAACAAUUAUCUAGUAUUGUUUUUAUGAAUUGAAUUUUAACUUGUAAUUUUCAAUUUUAUUACAAAAUUUCUUUGCGGACGAUAAGAAAAUAACAUAUUUGUAACUUCUUCAACCCGGCGUAAAGGUUAAGUCUGAAUUUGGAUUACAUCAGCCAUAAAGAUGGCCUAGCAGGAUUAUCGGAGUUUUUAAAAACAAACAUCUUUAAAACGUUUGUUUAAUUUAUAGAAAAGCUUAUUUAAUUUCCAAAUUAUUUAUUACUUGAAAUCUUAAUUACACUUUAAAAGUAGGAAGUGGUAACAAUUUAUUUUUAAUAAAAUUCGGGGUUCAUGUAUAAUUGAUUAAUAACCGUAAUUCGAAAACAUUAAAACUUAAAUUAAAUGUCAUGCAAAACAAAACAAGCUUAAAUCUAAAUCUCAUGCCGCAGUUCAAAAUUAUUUAUUGUAGUCUUAGAAAAUAAAAACAAUCAUAUAAUGAACCUAAAUUUUUUAUUUUACUUUAAUAAUGUGUCAAGGUCUUACAGAUGUCACGCCUGCGUUCAAUCUUGGUGGGUUAUCUGUAAGGAUGAAAAUUUAAGGGGGAGUGAGCUAUGACGCUUAGUGUGAGUUCAUUCACAAUAAAUUCAAUGCAAACGGUUGGUAAGACACAUUAAAUAACAUUGCAUAAAGUAAUCACAGUCAGAUAACAGUUUAGAAUGGCGAUUUUACAAUUUAACUACCAAUAUUAUCACAAUAUUCACAGCUGUAAUUUCAGAAUAUCAAAUUUCCACAUCAUUCACAAUACUAACAUAUAUAUAAAUAUAUCAUAACAGAAUUCCAGAUUUGUAUGCACAUGAUUUAGAAGAUGCCAUACAAUUUUGGGUUUUAACAGAAUAAAUCCUACCCCACAUUACAUAUCAUAAUGGGAGUUCCCCUAAACUCCCUUCUCCAACACACUAGGUUGUGGAUAAACCACUACUCGUCCACAGAUAAUAACUAUUAUUUGGCUGUGGACACACAACAAAUCCCCACAGUUGGAUUCUAGCUUUGGCUGUGGGUUCACAGCCAAAAGUCCUGCAAAUGAAGCCUGUUUUUGCAUGUAGAUUAUACAACCUAUACCCGCAGUUGGAAUCUGUCUUUGGCUAUGGAUGCACUAUAACACCCCAAACCCGACCUGGACGUUAUGGCUCAAUCUUGACGUAAUGCCCCAAAAUUUCUAAUUUCGUUAUUGUGAAAAUAUGACACAAAAUAUUUGUCUGCUUUAGUGGUUAUGUGUUCUGGGAGUGUUUAGGAGGUCCCAAGUUCACGCCUUCACAUGGGAAAAUUUUGGUAUUUUGAAUGAAUUAGGUAUUACUCUUAUUCAGUAGGCUUUUAUUUGAUUGUUGGGUAAAUUAUAUUAGAAUGGGCUUGCUGGUCUAGUGGUUAAAUGGUUUAUUAUUAUGGUGGAGGUCUUGUGUUCAAGUCCCUAUGUAGGCAAGGGUAUUAUUAUUAUUAUUAUUUGCUCAAAUUUCUGGAUAGAGUUGUGUAAUAGGGGGAUUCUGAGUAGUAGAUGUGUAGUGGGAAUUAGGGGAGAAGAUUAAGGAGUUUCAGGGGUUAUCGAGAUUUUAUUUUAUUUUUUCCCAUAACCGAAUUUUGACUUUCUUUUUCCAAAAAAAAUCUGCCAUCUAUUCUUCUCCCUCUCCUCUUGUCGAAAUUCUCUUAGUUUUUUCACCUUUCUCUUCUUUUUCUUCUUCUUGAUUUUUCCCUAAUCCAUUUAUUUUUCUUCAUUUUCGCACGCGGUUAGUUUUCGCUUAGUUUCGAUAAGUGUUUCUCUUCGUUUCUAUCAUGAAUCUCCUAGCGACUAAAGUGGUAACUUUUUUUCUCUGUGAUUUGGGUGUAGGGGAAGGCUCGAACUGUUGAAUUCAGUAUUCUCGUCUUAACAAUAGUUAAAUGGAGGGUUAUCGUUGGUGGUAAGUUGGGUUUCUGUUCAUUCUUAGUUGUCAAUUUGCUUGUAAAUCUGUUAAAUUGAUGUUGAGUAUCUUGAUUAUAGGCUUUGGAGUGCUUGGGGACUGUUUUAGCAUCAAACAAAACCAGAUGUGUACCCGAAACGCAAAAAAAAAGGGAUUCGAUCGAAAGCCGAAAUUGUUUGCUGUUUGGACAGUAGCAGUAGGCUAACUUUGAAAAAUCGCCAUAAAUUGUGGAAAUCGAAUUAGAGGAUGAAAAAAAUAUGAAAUUAAAUCUUAUUGAGUCUAGUUUCUCAUAGAAGAACGGUGUAAGUAAUGGAAUUUUAAAUCGUGAGAUAAUAAACUAUGUGAGACAAGGUUAGAAUAAAUUCGGGUUCCCUUGUUCUGACUUUGGAAAAUCAUCAAAAAUUGGAUAAAAAUAAUUAGGAAUUAAAAUUUACAUGUUUAAAUUAUUAAUUAGUCUUUUUUCAAUAGAAACAAAUGGGAACUUCAUCCAAAAUUUUUACUAAGAGAUAAUUAAUUUUUAGCAAUGAAGGGUCGAAGCUGUCAAACAGCAGAACAAGGGUAAGUUUGAAGAUUUUACCAUACUUAUUGGCUGAGCCAAAAAUUUAAAAAUUUUAUGGUAGAAAGGUAUUUGAGUCUAUUUUCAAAUACAUCAAGUGAAUUUUAAUUAGGAAUUCUUUAGCUCAAGAUAUAAAUAAUUUAGUUACAGUGAGUCAAGUAGAAAGCUUUGAAGGAACACAUAAGUAAAUUGUGAUAAGAUAUAUGAAUAUUUAGCUAGCACAGGUUACAUUGAAAAUGGAUCACGCAGCCAAGGCCAAUUUGGGCUGAGUGGGCCACAUGGGCAUGUGAGCCCAUUUUUCUGAAAAAUUCUGUAAGGUUGCACGGGUCGCCCAAGUCGACUAUGGACCUACUGUAGGGUCGGUAAGCUUUACUUAGACGCCUAUAUGUGUGAUCUAUCUGGCUGAUUUCUAUACCGAGCAUGACUUAUGAUAUUUGAAUGUAUGUACUUUUAAUUACAUAAUGGCAUGACAAAUUUUGUAUGUUGCAUUGCAUCGGAGUGGGUUGAUGAUAUUUGGAGGAAGUGUCUAAAAGGCUAUUAAGCCUGUUAUCUGGCAGCUCAGCUGUAACCUUCUGAUUAUGUGCGCAUUUCAGUACAACAUGGUGUGUAAGGAUGGGUGGGUUGAUUUAACCCCCACAUGGUGUGUAAGGUUGGACAAAGAUGUGCGUAGAGGCUGGUGGGUAGGAUUCUGAUUUCUGUAUCUACAUUAUGUAUCUGAUAUGGGCCAAGGCUCUAAUGUAUUUCUGAGACUGUAUCUAAACGGGCUAAGGCCCAAACUGAUUGUGUGAUGGGCCUAGGACCCAGACUGUAUCUAACUAAAUUCUGUUGAUUAUUUGUAUGCAUGAUUUCUAUGGGGAUUACACACUGAGUUUGCGAAAACUCACCCUUUCUCUAUUUAAUCUGUACAGGUAAUCCCCAGACUUGAUGGGUCAGUGCAACAAAGGAUUCGACAGUGGCCACACGUAAAUUAUGGAUUGUUUUCCGUUAAUACCUAGAAUUUAUUAAUUAUUUGGGGUUUUUGAUGUAUCUUCUGGACUAUGGACUGGUUGGCUAACAUACCUUUUUGCAUUGCAUCAUGUGCACGACAUAUUUGAAUAUUAUUGGUUUAUGCUACGUAGUGUAUUUUGUUGUAUUGAAUGGUAUCAAAAUUAAUGAUUGUCACUCGAAUGAAUUAUGACCUAUGCUCAUACACUGUUUGACAUCAAUUUGAUAAUGGCUAUGUAACGAUAUGAAAUUCCUAUAAUGGUUCUAUUUUCUUCUGUUAAAGCUAAUUAGUUUUACUGUAUUUGAUAUUUAUGUUUGUUUCAAUAAUUGUUCGACUCACGCUGAGCUUUUCAUAAGCGCACCCCUAAUAUGUUAAACUUUUCAGGUAAACCUCGAAAUUAAGACCAGACUUGGCAUUCGAAGAAUCACCUUAGACCUUGAAUUAUUUUUCUAAUAAGUAUUAAUCAAUCUCUAAUGGUUUUCGUUUGUAAUUUUUAAUUAUAUCUAGUCUGUGGCUUGAUAACUUUUCUUCUGGGAUUUUUGCAUGCAUGGAUUACUCAAGCAUAGUAACCGGAUAAUGCAUGAUAUUAGGCUUAAGUAAAAUUUGAUAUUGUUCCCUAGAUUCCGCUGCAUUGCAAAGGAUUUGUUUUUGAAAAACAAAUUGAUAAGGUAACUAAGUUUUCAAAAUGACUUGAAAAAUGGUUUUUCCCCUGCAUUAGUUUAACAUCGAAUUUUUUUUAAAGGAGAGCAACAAGCAAAUGAUUUUUCUAAAACAACACUAUCAACAAUAAAAUGAAUUCUAAGUAUACACAACCUAAUGAAUGAAUGCUUUUAAGCUAACUUAAAGUACAACUAUGGUUUUCUCUAAAAUGAGUUUAUUUAAAGUUUUCAUAAGUAAUGUAAGUUAGCUUAGCCAUUUCGGUGGCUAAUGUAGCCUUCUCAUUCUAGCCAUAACGUCUAGGCCAGGUUUGGGAGGUUACAGUAUUGAUAGGAACUGUGGUAUAAAUUUUAUUUUGGACAUUCUUAAAUUGUUAUUUGGACUAAACUUUAGAAACUAUGGAUUUUAUACUGAGCCUAAAUUUACGAAGUUCAUGCGUGGUUUUUACGAAAAUGAAACUCAUAUGAAAUUUCAAAACCGUGAUGUUUUUUUUAACGCUCCAAUUUGAAAUUGUACAAGAAAUGUCAAUUUGAAUUAUUUUUGAAUGUUUUUUAUGCCAAUUAAAUAUUGUUUCAAAACAUAGCUAAGUAUUAUUUAAUUUCGUAAAGAUGAAGCAAACUCCGAACAAUCUAAAACUUCAAGGACUAGUUUGCAAUUUUUUUUUCCUCAAUUGUCUCCGGUUUGAUUCAAUUCUUGAUCUAUACAAUUAUUCCAUUCAAUUCAUCAAUAUUAAACAUUUAUACAUUAUGUCAUGUCAUGAAUGAACCUAGAUAAAUUCAUUUUUUGAUACCCUUAAAGUUUUACAUUUAUUUCAAUUUAGUCUCUAAAAUCGAAAUAGUCAUAACUUUAAAUUCUGAACUUCGGUUUGAAAAUCGACCUCAAUUUCAUUAUAGACUCUCUACUAUCCAUUAUUAUCAAAAUUUCACAUCAAUUUCACAAUUUAUUUACUUUAGUUAUUAUGUACAAAAUUAACAACCAAACAUCACAAUUUAGUCAUUUUUCAUAAUUUAAGCUUAAAAUCUAUCAAUUUAAUACCAAUUUCUUCAAGAAAUCAACCAUGAUAACUAUAAAAAAAAAUUAACAGUUUUGCAAAUUGAUACAUAGGUCAUUUAAAUCAAACUUUCAUGACCUCAGAAACACAAAAAAAAAUUAUACGAAAAUGAUUUAGAAAUGCAUACCAAUUGAGGACCGAAAGCUUGAAGCUCAAAAUGGCUUUUUCCCUUGAGGUUUUAUGUUGAUUAAAUGAUGAAGAAGAAGAAAUAAAGAUGACAACUUGCACUAAGUCACCUUUAUAUACUUAGAUUAAAUCUUAAUUAAUCAAAUUUAAUUAAUUAAAUCUUAAUUAAUUAACCUUAAUCACAAUUAAAAAAAAUUAGUGGAUGUUAACAUCAUCCUACACUAUUUCAUAUAACCAAAUGAUCUAUUUACCAUUUUGAACCUUUAGCUAAUUAGAAAUCUAUAGCGAUAAGACUUUUAAAAUUUAGUUUCUGUAUCUUAAUUAUGCAAUUAAUAGACAAAGUUGAAGGUUUAAAAUUUAAUGUUCUAUUAUACCAACUCUGUAAAUAUUCAUAUUUAAUAUUUACAGACCCGAAUUACGAAAAUGAGAUUUUGAAAUUGUAUUUUCCAAUACCACUGAAAAUCGAACAAUUAUGUAACCUAUUUGCACCAAAGGGCCAAACAUGGCAAAUACUUGACAUGUAUGUCUUAAUAUCCUCAUCUAUUCUCUUCAAUAUAAUAACAUCCAAUAAUUGUUUCAUCCACUGUAACUAUCACGAAGAUUAGAUUUACCAAUACAGCCUACAAUUUGCAGAAGCGCGACAUUUUCAUUCUAGAGAAAGGUAUAAUUGAAACAAAAUUGAAAUAAAGAUUUCAAUACAGAAUCAACAGACAUUCCAGCUAAUACUUAUCAAUUAUUUGCAGCUUCAUUGCUCCAACUAAGAUGGUUUUUAGUCGAAUAUGGUAAAUGAAAUCAAUGAACACCAGCUACUUGAUGAACGAGUGAAUCAAAGUCCUGAUAUGUGCCGGCUUAUUGGUGAAAAAAUACAUGGGUUAGUUUUGCAGCAAUUCAUGAUCUUACAUUUUAUAACCUUUGCUUACAAUUAUUCACUGACUAAUCAUUCAAUGAAUGUAGGCCUCAAAUUUAGCCACUAAACUUUGUUCUUUAUUUUUAGAUACAUAUUAUUUGAUCACUUCAUACAGCCUAUUACUCAUAAUAACUUCCAAUUUCCCUUCUUUAGGUUAGUUGCAAAUGUACAGCUUUUUCUAGAAGAAGAAAAUUGUCAAGAGCCACCUGUUCAAGAGAGGCGCAAACAGAAUGUAACAAUACCUGACCUACUUACGGUACAGCCAAGUAAUCAUGUGUUUCUAUGCUAGAACAUUAAAUCAAUGACUACAAAUUUCAUGUCAUGGUUGUGUAUCAUUUAUGCCACUGAUGCUGCUAUUUUCUAUUCUAAUGCAUAAUAGGGAUUUAGUGUUUUUACCGUUAAAAUUGUGUCCUUUAAUUUUGGCUUUUUUCAAUUGUUGAUCAUGUCCACCUAUGCUUUAUUUUACUACUAUUGCUUUCUUCAAUGAUAGAUGAUUGAAUCGGUAGAAUUUUAUUAAUCCUCUACAUGUUUUAGCUUGAUAUGUGGAUCCUAAGCAUUCCUUGGAUUGUGCCCUCUUUGUUCAUUUAUUUUUUUUCCUGGAACCUUAUUACAUGUUGUAACACUCCAGUUUUUUGGAGACAUUGAAGACGACUAACUGCUGAAUUCUUUCUUCUGCAGAGGAACCAAUGGCAAGAGACUCUAAAACUCCUACUCUUUUUUAUACCUUCCUCACCUCUUUGUGACAUUAUAGCUGAAAAAUGAUGUAUGCUAAUACAUGAAAUGUUUCCUCUUGCCUUUCUUUUUGUAGUACUAAAACUACAAAUAGUGUCUGUAAAUCUCUUUUCCCGUAAUCUUAUCUUUUCCUCAUUGUAAUAGUUGGAAAACAGCUUUGUUGAAGACAAUGUCAACUACUGGGAUAAGUUACAAACACUGUUAUUGUUUAUUUUGUAGUCUAAAUUAUGAUAAUUUCUGCACAAAAUUCACAUAAAUGGUUACCCUCCCGAAGCGGAGCGAGGGUGAUGCUUACUAGUUAUUAAGAAAACAGGACCUUGUAGGGCUUAACUGUUGAAUCGAGAAAGAAAUUUCUUUUAAUGCCUUCAAUUUUUUUUAAAGCUGAUUUUUUUUUACAAAUUAAAGUUUUGAUUGUAUGUUAAUUGCUUGAGGGAAGGUCGGAUACUUUAUUAUCCCUAUUUUUAUUUGUUAUAUAUUUUAACCAUAAUGAUUUUUUUGGCCCUACAAUUUUACCAAAAAAAUCAUAUUAGCUUUCAUUUAAUUUUCGUCUCUUUUAACCCUUUAACUUGUAUUUUUUUUGUCAAAUCACCCCAAAAUGGAUCGAAAACUUUAACAUUUGUGAACUUUGAUUAUGUGACAUACACAUGAAUUGUCACAUGGAUGACAAGUCAACAUUUCUUUUAAAAAAAAACUUAAAAAAUAUUAAAUAAAAUAUUUUUGAUAUUUUUUAAUGAUUUUUAAAUUAAAAAAAGUUUUUAAAUAUUUUUUAAUUUUUAAAAAUUAAUUAGACGCAGGCAUGGAAAUUCACAUCUAUGUGUCACAGGCCGUGGAUUAAAGCCUGUGACCAUUGCGCAUAGAACACCCCAUAGAAUUUUGGCUUUUUAUUUGGUCAAUCAUGUCCACCUAUGCUUUAUUUUACUAUUAUUGCUUUCUUUAAUGAUAGAUGAUUGAAUCGGUAGAAUUUUAUUAAUCCUCUAUGUAAUAACCAAAUUUUGCCCGGGCCCAAUGCCAAACAAAUAAAACCCAAACCAAAUAAAUAAAAUAAGAGUCCAAAUUACAGUCCAUUAGAGCUCAAUUCAGACCAGCCCACUAUUCAAUCAGACUGGCCCAACACCCAAAUAACCUAACAACCCUAGCCCAACAAAAUCAGAAAAAUGAACAGCAAAAAAACCUUAGGUGCGCCGCACCUAGGUCUUUUGGCCUAACCGCCGCUGUUCGCCUAUCACCAGCCUCCUCGCUGCCACCGCCGCAUGCGCACCAGGCCUCCUCCAUGUGUGUCUGACACCUGCAAAGAGAGUCACACGCAACAGUAGAAACAAAAACAAAAAACAAAUAGCAAAACGACAAAAAAAAUAAUGAUUAAGGAGUUCGUAAUCCGACUAUAAAAGCCCUAAUCUGUGACUUGUAAUUUUUUGACACACAUUAGAAAAUAAAAACCAAAAAAAAAAAACUUUAAGGUGAUACUCAUUUCAUUUUAUUUUUGUUUUAUUUUAUUUUAUCAUUUUUAUCUUUUUAUUUCGAAAUAACAUAAAUAAAAAGGGGAGGCUGGGUUGCCGUUGCCAGAGCAUAUUUUGUGCUAAAGGGGGUUGCGCAGGAGGAAAAGAGGAAACUUUUCAGUUUCCCGCCGCCGUGAUGGCCGAACCUCUGACUGGCGCUUGGAGAAAGAAGGGGAGAGUUUGAGAGAAUUUUAGGUUUUUUGUUUAAGAAAAGUGAAAAAUGAAGAAUUCUGAAAAAAUUAAUAUUUAUAGCACCUAGAAAUGGCGUCGUUUUGGCCAGUUUCAUUUGGCCCCAAAAUGACACCGUUUAAUGGCCUAUACCGGCACAGUGACCCGACCCGGGGAAGGAUCGGAGUGUUUUGUGCUAUUGGGUAAUUUUCGCAUUUGGUCCCUCUUAUUUUGUAGUGUUUUCAAAUUAGAUUUUAUUUAUUUUAAAUUUCAACAUACAUUUUUGUUUUUGUUUCACUUAGAUCCUGAACAAUGCGCAGCGUUUUGGGGGCGAGGAAAUAUUUCCAAUAUGGCCCCAUGUAAUCUGCAUAUUACACUUUAACCCCUCGUCUUGUUUAUAAUUCUAUUCUUUUCUUGUUAAUUUAGAUUCAAUUGCGAUUUAAUCUUUUGUUAAAACAUUUGUUUUCUUUAUUAAUUUAUUAACUAUUUUAUUAUUAUUUUAGUGGUAUAUUCGGUCAUAUUUUCAUUAUCUUAUUAUAUAUUAUCAUUUUGAGUUUUACUUAUAUUAUUAUUAUAAUUUUAUAAUGUGUUAUUUUAUUAACUCAAUAUAACAUAUAUAUAUAUGUAUUUUUUUGUGGUUUUAUUUUUAUAAUAUAUUUUUUUAAAUCCAUUUUUAUGCACUUUAUAUUUAAGUAUUUAUACAAUAAUAUUCUUAUAAUAUUUUUAUACAUGUACAAUUUAUAUAUAAUUAUUUCUUAUACGUGUAUAUAUACAUAAUAAAUCAUCGAUUACAUGUUAUUAUAUUAUUUCCACUUAUUUCAUAUAUAAUUUAUUUCUUUUAAAAUACUCUAUUAUAUACUUCAUUUAUUUCAACCUUUUAUGUGUAUCAUUAUAGAUAUACUAUUAUAUGAAGUUUUUCAAUCCCUAUGCAUUACUUAUUUAAAUUAAUAUAUGUAUAUUAUUUUAUGUAUUUAGAUUUAUUUUGUAUAUAAUAUCUACUUUUAAAUUUAUUUGGAUACUAUUAUUUUAAGUGGAAUUUAUUUUUAACUAUAUUUUUUUAUUUAUUUCAAUUUUUCAUAUAUGUAUAUAUUAUUUAUUUUAAAUUUAUUUUAAUCAUAAUUUCCCUUCUUUCAUAUUUCUUAAGUUUAAAAAAAAAAACUUGUACAAUUUCAUGUGCGUCAAUUUGUUUGGUGCUUUGAUUGUUUUUUAAUUCAUUAGCCUUUGAAUGUUAGCAUAAUACAUUAUGUGAGAUUAUUGCUCUUAUACGUAUUAUAUUGCUUAUUUUUAUUUACUAAUUAUUCGUAGAUCAUUAGAAUACAUUUUGGUUUACAAAUUAUCGCUUUGUAUUGUACAUUAAUAUUCAAUUGUUUUUUUAUUCGUUCGAAAGAUUACGUUUAAUAUCAUUUAAGUAUCAAAAUCGAUUUAUUCAAAAACUUUCAAGAUAACGUAAUAUUCUGUAUUUGGGAUAUUCGAGAGAAUUGAGCCUUAAUGUAUUGGGUUCCAAUUUUCCUCGUUGAAUCUAGAUAAUCGAGAAUAAUCUUCAAUCAAAAUACAUACAUAAAAAGCUCAUUAUCGGGAAUUCGAUACAUUGUGUCCUAACGCAUUGGAUACGACAUGUUGUUUUCUCGAGAUGAGGAUUUUUCUAAAAAAAAUAAUAAAGGCAAUAUUCCGUAUUUGGGAAAUUUGAGAGAUCGUGCCCUAACUUACUGGGUUUCGAUUUUUCUCCUUUAACCCAAAUAAUCAAAUAUCCUUCUCAAAAUGCAUAGGUUUUAAAAGUCAAAAGAUAAACUUAAUUUUGAAGAUUAAGAAUGUUGCGCCCUAACUCACUGGGUGUGACAUUUUAUCUCUUUGAAAUAAGAGUGUCUUAUCAUUUAAUUCAAUUUAUUCAAGGUUAAAAGGAUCGUAUUUUAAAACCUUUUCAAAAUUUCAACACUAAGACAUUAAGUAAUCAACUAGGUACCAAUUUUUGGGCGUUACGAGGGUGCUAAUCCUUCCUUGUACGUAACCGACUCCCGAACCUAUUUUUUUGAAUUUCGUGGACCAAAAUCAUUAUUUUAAUAAAAUCAAACCAUUUAUUAAAAACAACCACUUUUCGAGGUGACCCGAUCACACUUCAUCGAAAAAGAUCGGUGGCGACUCCCAUAUUCAUUUUCAUUUUCAAAAUCCAAAUUGACCCUGUUUUAUCAAAAAAUGGUGUCAACACUGCACAUGUUUUAUCUUGACAUAUGGAUCCUAAGCAUUCCUUGGAUUUUGCCCUCUUUGUUCAUUUAUUUUUUCUUGGAACCUUAUUACAUGUUGUACCAUUCCAGUUUUUUGGAGACAUUGAAGACGACUAACUGCUGAAUUCUUUCUUCUGCAGAGGAACCAAUGGCAAGAGACUCUAAAAAUCCUACUCUUUUUUAUACCUUCCUCACCUCUUUGUGACAUUAUAGCUGAAAAAUGAUGUAUGCUAAUACAUGAAAUGUUUCCUUUUGCCUUUCUUUUUGUAGUACUAAGACUACAAAUAGUGUCUGCAAAACUCUUUAGAGAAAAACAAAUGUCUGUAAAUCUCUUUUCCCGUAAUCUUAUCUUUUCCUCAUUGUAAUAGUUGGAAAACAGUUUUGUUGAAGACAAUGUCAACUACUGGGAUAAGUUAUUGUAAGCAUCUUUUCUUUAAGUGUUUCAUAUUAAAAACAAACACUGUUAUUGUUUAUUUUGUAGUCUAAAUUAUGAUAAUUUCUGCACAAAAUUCACAUAAAUGGUUACCGUCCCGAAGCGGAGCGAGGGUGAUGCUUACUAGUUAUUAAGAAAACAGGACCUUGUAGGGCUUAACUGUUGAAUCAAGAAAGAAAUUUCUUUUAAUGCUUUCAGUUUUUUUAAAGCUGAUUUUUUUUACAAAUUAAAGUUUGGAUUGUAUGUUAAUUGCUUGAGGGAAGGUCGGAUGCUUUAUUAUCCCUAUUUUUAUUUGUUAUAUAUUUUAGCCAUAAUGAUUUUUUUGGCCCUACAACUUUACCAAAAAAAUCAUAUUAGCUUUCAUUUAAUUUUCGUCUCUUUUAACCCUUUAACUUAUAUUUUUUUGUCAAAUCACCCCAAAAUGGAUCGAAAACUUAACAUUUGUGAACUUUGAUUAUGUGGCAUACACAUGAAUUGUCACAUGGAUGACAAGUCAACAUUUAGUUUUUUUUUUAAAAAAAAAAACUUAAAAAAUAUUAAAUAAAAUAUUUUUGAUAUUUUUUAAUGAUUUUUAAAUUAAAAAAAGUUUUUUAAUAUUUUUUAAUUUUUAAAAAUUAAUUAAAUGCAAACAUGGAAAUUCACAUCUAUGUGUCACAGGCCGCGGAUUAAAGCCCGUGACCAUUGUGCAUAGAACACCCCAUAGAGGUCAACUUAUUAAACAAGGUUCAUUUGACCCGCAUGAACUGGCCCGACCCAUGGAACCCGUGGAGAAGCCCAUCUACUUGAAGCCUUGGUGGUCUAGUGAAAUAUAGUUUAAUUUUUUUUAAACAUAGGGUAAGGGAAGAAGAAUGCCUUAAAAUUAAUUUUUGUUAGAAAACUAAUAAGAAUGAGUUUGUUGGUUUAGUGUUAAGGCCUUAUCCUAUCCAUAGAUCCCAAGUUUGAAUCCCUUGGUGAGCAUUCAACCAAAAUAUUUUUAUUUCCUUGUUUUUACCACACUAAAAGUGACAAAUUUUAAAAUAACCCAGCCCAAAAACUAUUUUUUUUUAAUUUUAGUCCUUAAUUUAAAAUUUUCCCAAACCUACAUAAAUUUUUAAAACCUAUUCCAAUUAGGAAAAAUAAGUAUUAUAAAUAGACAAUUUCAAAACAAACUCUAGAAUUUCAUCUAGCAAAUUUUCAAGAAAACAUCCAUAAACACUUUCUUUUCCAAAUCAAACUUUCAAGCUAAAGAAAUCAGAAUCUUCAAAAUCAUCCCUCAAGUAGAUCUUCAAUCUUUUCUCCAGCACUAAGGUUUCUAAGUAUUCAAAAUAGGUGUGGGAACUAAACCUAAAUCUUUGUGUAUAAUUGAAUCUAAUAGCAAGUAGAGAACCAGUAUAGGCUAACCCUAGGAGAAACCCCCUGUAUGUGCAAUCAUGUAGGUGUGAGCCUAUAGAUGCAAAACCCAUUGUACAUGAAAACCCCAUGCAUGCAAACCCUUACGUGAAACCCCCCUUUCAUGCGAACCCUGUAUGAAUACCAUGUGAACCCUAGAUUAUAGUUGCGAACCCUAGGUUGUUAUGUGGAUACCCAUACUGUGAACCCAAGUGCACAAACAUAUAGGAAUAUUCAUGCGAGCCCCCUUGCAUGCGAACCCUAGUUAGUGUACAUACGGGUCUCAUAUUUACAUGCAAACCACUACUAGUGCGAGUCAAUUAUAUGAUAUCACAUACGAACCCUACUAUUACAUGCAAACCUUUAUACAUGUUAUAUUCGAACCUUUUUUUGUUAAAACUGGUGAGACUUGUCUAGUAUUACAUACGACCUAAUUUGCGAACUCAUAUGUUAAAAGUAUGUGAACCUAUCUAUGUUUGUUAUGCGAGCUCACAUGUUAGCAGUAUGUGAACCUAUAUAUAUCAGUUAUGCAAACUCACAUGUUAGCAGUAUACGAACCAUAAGUCUGUUAUGCAAACUCACACGUUGGCAGUAUGCGAACCCUAUAUACACCUUUAUGCAAACUCACACAUUAACAGUAUGCGAACCCUAUAUACGCCUUUAUGCAAGCUCACACGUUAGCAGUAUGCGAACCCUAUAUACGCCUUCAUGCAAACUCAUAUGAUUUGCAGCAUGCGAUCUCUAUAUUUAUGCGAACCCUUGUAAUAAAAAAUAUGCGAACCUUAACUUGCGAACCCUUGGCAGGAACCCUGCACUCGCAAAGCCUUCUUCCGGACCUGUACAUAUGCUAGAUAACCAAGCCUAUUAGUUUACAUUAAAUCACUGUACAUAUGAGACUGUUUGUUUACUUGCACAAGUUAUAUGUGUAUUUACUAUUCGAUACAAGAGUACCUAUCGACCUUUUGAUGAGAAUUCAGAGAUUAACGAUGAUAAUUCCAACAAUCGGUGUAAGAACGAGUUAAAUCGAGAGUUGAUGUAAUUUAAGGUAAUAAAGUUAAUUUUUCAGUAAUAAAUGUAAAAUUGUUAUGGAAAGAAACGAUGGGUAAAAAAAAAAAUGAGAGUUUUAAAGAAAAGAGAGGAAAACUUCAAUUUAGGGUUGAAGAGGAACUAAAAAUCUACGUGAAAUUAGGAAAAAAUAUAAAAUACCUAGGAUUAAGAAAUUUGAGGGGGUUGAAUGGUAAAAUACCCUUUUUUCUUAAAAAUGAAAAAAAUGGAAAUGGGUAUUAAGUUUGGCACGACUUGAAACUUGGAAGCAAAGGAAAAAAUUACAAAGGCCUUACCAUUUGGGUUGCUACCCACAUUUGGCAUAUUUUUACACUAUUUAAAAUAUAUCCUAGCUUAGUUUUGAUCAUAGGUUGUUGAAAAAAAAAAACAAGGGGUAAGAGUGUGGCUUCAACCUUAAUUCUCUAGUUAGUAUACUAAGCUCUGAACCAUUAAAAUUAAGGCUCAUGUCUUAGUCAAUUAAUUCAUCUAACUCUAUAUAUUUUGAGGUAUUACAUCUUGAAUUAGAAAAACCCAUAAAAUGCAUGUAGACUUGUAUUGCUCGGUACUUGGUACUAUAUAUGUAGACUUGUAUGUUGAUUAAGCUAGCUUAAUUAAGACCAAUGUGUUAGACUUGUCUAUGCAUUGAACAAUCUAGAAGAAAAUGAAGAAAAAGACUCUGAAAAUACUUGAAAACAGAUAAAACUCAUAUGUCAUCGACUAGUUAAACUAUGAUCACCCAUAAUAGACCUUGUAUUUGACUUUUUGUUGAGGGAGAAGUUUCGUGAGUGUUGUUUGUCAGGGAGUCAGUGUUGCCCUAAACAACUAAAGGUAUUGUCCCCAUGUCGAGAUUUUACCCCCAGCCUCUGCAAAAUAAUCAUGAAGAAUACGUGCGAAGGAAUUCAAACACCAACCAAUGCAUGUGUAGCCUUUACCUUCCCACUAUCUUUGGGAACUCAUAAGGAUAAAAUCCCAACAAGAGAAUUGUAUCAGAGGGGUCUGUCAACACAAUGAAUGAAAUUUCAUACUUUUUUUUUAAUGAAAGUAAAUAUCAUAUUUAGUUAGAGAAAAGCAACGAAAAAUCUAACAAUAAAAUCCUUAGCAAAAGAUUAAAACACAAUUGUACCAUAAAUUAAAUAAGAAAUUAAAAAAAUUCAAAUCUAACAAAGACAGUAACUUGAUUCCUCAAAGCUACCACAAACAGUAAUUCAUAGGAAGGCCUGCUGCUCAUUUAUAACACAAACUUCAUGGUGACGGAUACCAACAUACUAGAUACUAUGAUUAAAAUGCUAGAAUAGAUUAAAAAUGUUGAAUUAAUGAUAAAAUUAAGAGUGAAUUAACACAAAGUACUCAUCCUCUCUUUUUAAUGAAUCAACAUCUGCAAUUUCUAUCACUCCUUUAGACAGUGAACUUUCCAUCCAAUGCCUUAUAGUCACUUCUUCAGCAAAAUAAUUAUCAGUUGGCUUUUUCUUUGUGAAAGUUUCUAUAAGGACAAUCCCAUAACUAUAGACAUCACAUUUUCUAGAAACAAUUCCUGCUGAUCCAAAUUCUGCAUUUCAAGCAUAAUUAGAGCAUCAUUAAUCCUUAAUUAUUUCUAAAAUGUUUAUUCAAAUAUACACAUGAAACAAAAAUAUAAAAUGAAAAUCAAGAAAAUAAUCAUAAAAAGAAUUCACCUGGUGCCAUAUACCCGAUAGUUGCAAGAGUCAUGGUUUGCUUCACUACAUCACCUUCUCCCAAAAGGUUGGAAAAGCCAAAAUCUCCCACAUGUGCAACCAUGUCUUUAUCUAGUAAAAUAUUGCUUGGUUUGAAGUCAGAAUGAAUCAUAGGUGUUGGAUGUCCGUUGUGGAGAUGUUCUAUAGCUGUCGCAACAUCUAUCAUUAUGUCAACCCUUUGUAUGAUAUCAAGGAAACAGUUUUUACAAUGUAGCCAUUUCUCAAGAUUUCCAUUUGACAUGUAAUCAAGCACCAAGGCUUUUUUAAAAAUAAAAUAAAAUAAACUUGGUAUCCAAAAUGUUUUUGUGUUGACAUGGCAUUUUUAAAAAUAAAAUAAACUAGGUAUCCGUGUAACAAAAAUAAAAUUGUAAUAUAUAGGCCUAAUUUUAGUAAAGAAUGUUAAUGAUGUUAAGAAUUCUUUAAAUUUCACAUAAUCAUUUUUAUUAGAAUAAAGUAUUUAGACUAACUAAUUAUAUUAUAAAAAUUAAGAUACCAAAUUAUGUCAAAAUUAAAGUUAUAGAUUAAAUCUCAAUUUUAACAUUCUUAUAAUUUAAAAAAGUAGAAGAUUGGAAUUAAAUAAAUUUAUAAUCCUUAAUUGUAAAUUUGAUAAUUCCUAUUAAUCUAAAUUAUUACAAUAAUGUGCUUACUAUGCUUGGUUUUACUCAAUGAGUGAUAUUAAAUUAAUUAAAAAAUUAGAUAAAAAUCAAAUAUCUUAUUUCUAAUAAUAAUAUUAUUACUCCCUCACAAAACUAUAUUUCACUUGAAAGAAAUUCUAUUCCCUUCAAAAAAAAAUUACCAUCUUAAAACACUUCCAUCUUUUAAAAAAUCUUAAUGCACACUUUAAUCCUUGAAUUAUAUCACUUUUUCAACUUUAGUCUUAAAUUUUUUUUAUUGAUUUUAGUCCCUAAUAUUAUUAAACGUUUCCAAUUUAGUUCAUUGGACAAUAAAAAUUGAUUGUCGUUGGGAUAUCCAACCAAUCAUACACUACCAAAUAUUGUACGAUGAUAUCAUUAUGACAUCAUCAACAAAAAAACCUUAAAAAUCUUUAAAAAUGAAAAAAAUUAUUAUAAUUAUUUAAAAAUAGAAAAAAAAUAAAAUUGUAAAAAUAAAAAAUCUAUGUAAAAUAUAAAAAUUUACAUAAAAUUUAAAAAUAUAUUAGAUAUUUUAAUAUCUUUAAAAUUUUAUAAAUCACAUUUACUAGAGUUUGAACCUAUGAUUAUUGUCAACAAUUGUUUUAUGACUCAAUUAAUCAUAAUUUAUAAUUGGUAGAUCUUUUUAUGUGAUAAACUUGGAUAAUUUUUUUUUCAAAUUAUUUAAAUAAUGAAAAGUAAUAUUAUUUCAAAUAAAUAAUAAAUUAUAUAAUAUUUAUAAUUAUUCCAAAUAUUUUUUUUUACUAUCUUAAGAUAAAUUAUUUGUCUCUAGACCAAUAUCUUAAGAACUAUUGUCGUGUGUUUAACUAUUCUAAAGAACUUUGGUAUAAAAUAGAAAAAGCAUGUGCACAAUGGUAAAUAGGGAGUCGAGUCAAAUAAACUUGUUGCCAGUAACGCUGGUAAAGUACUAAAAAUUGAUGUAUUUUAAAAUAUUAAAAUUUUGAUAUAAAAAUUUAUUCAAAUUUUUAUUAUAAUAAUUUUAAAUAAUUUUUUAUAAAAAUUGAUUGUAUUACAAUAUACAAUUUCAAUAUCAAAUUUUUAAUAUUUUAAAUGUGAUUAGCGAAUGUAUACUUUAUUUCAAGUUACAUAAUUUUUACCAGUAUUUUAAAUUUUUUAUUUUUUUACAAUCUUUUAUUAUUUCUAAUAUUUUUUAUAUUUUUUACAAUAUUUAAAAAUUUAUAAUAACUUUUAAUAAUUUUAUUGUUUUUAGAAAUUAAAAGAAUUAACAAUUUUUUAUUUUUUAAAAAAAUUAUAAAUUUAUAAUGUAGUUAAUUUUAUUUAAGUUUAUUUGAAUUUUAUGAUAUUUUUAAAAAAUAUUUUUUUAUUUUUGCAAUCGUGACAUCAGCAUAUGACACGUGGUAAUUUAUGAUCAGAUGAAUUUUUAGUUUUUUUUUUAACGUCCAAAGGAUUAAGCUGAGAACACCUGGUAACGUUAGGGACUACACUAAGAGCAUUUGAUAAUAUUAGGUACUAAAGUGGGCCAAAAAAACAUUAAGGACCAAAGCAAAAAAAAUGCUAUACUUGAACUUUCAAAAUUAUCUUUCAUUUAGUUAGGAUUAAUAUUUAAUGAUUUACUUAAAAAAUAGAAAUUUAAAAAUUUGUAGUAUUGAGGUUAAAAAAUGAGUAAGAGGUGGUGGAUGGUUCAUACAAUGGUGAGGCACAAAGAACCAUUUUAAAAUAAGAGAAGGGAGGGGUGCUUAUUCUUGAGGUUAAGAAUGAGUAUUUAUAGGUGAGGUUAAUCAUCCUUGAUCAUUAGACCUUGACAAGUGUUUGAUGCCAGUCUUAUCGUGGUUGGCCACUAAGGGAAUGAUGGACCUCUAGGUAGUGAUGGAAUUGACAUGAAUUAGAUGAGAUUAGGAUGACAAUUUGGAUUUUGAAUUCGGAUAAUAUUGGAAUUAAAAUUUUGAAAUUACUAUCUGUUGCAUAUUUGAAGUGAAUGCGGAAAGAUAUUUCAGAAUUAUAUUAGUCGAAUCUACUUUACUUAUUCGAAUAGAUGUAGAUUGGAAUUUAGAUAUCUGAAUCAACUAGUCACGAAAUGUGUAUAGUUUUGAUUAUAUAUAAAAAAAAUUUGGUGGAUUCAAUUUUGAAUUUUCGUGGAUUUGGAUAUCCAAAACAUGAUUGAAAUUUUUAAAAUUACUCCUUUUCUGUUGAUUCAGAUAUUUGACGAAUAAUAGUACUUAACUUAAGCCAAAUUUAGACAGUAAUACUCGGAUAAUUUGUAUAUAAUAAAUAAAUUUUGAUUUUCAAGCAAAUAUGCAUAUUCUAAUUCAAAAAAUGUAGUUACUAACCUAUUGCCAUUCCUAGGCAAGAGUACCCUACGUGUGAUCCAUGCACAGAAGGAUCCAACAUCUUUCACUGACGAGGUAGAUUAGAAGCGUCACGUACCAGGCAUAUAUGUAUCAAUGAGGUCUAUAGCUGGCAAAGUGUAGCCCACAACUGAAAUCAUAGUUGACGAGGUAGUAGUUGGGCGACAUGAUGGUGACAAAAGCCACUCUGGUAAAAUAUUAAUAGCAAUCACCCUCCAAUUAAUGAGAAGUUAUAAAAUGACCUAAUUAAAUGGUAGCAUAGUUUACCAUAAGUGUCAUAUGUGUUGUAAGGCAUGAGCUCAAACCCUACCAAACUCAAAUGAUCAAAUUUCCUUGGUAGGUGGUCAUACGUCACGUACCGUUUGUCCCAACAAGGCGCUCCCACUCUGUUGAACCUGUCACCUCUUUAGGUAGCUUUAGGCACUUGAGAUCUUUACAAAGUCGAGAGGUAAAAUUAUUGGAAAAAAAAAACUCGGUUUGAAAAUAGUUUUCUUACACAGUAGAAAAAUAAAAUUUUGAAAAUCGACCUGGUUUGUGAUAUUUAUAACAAAAAAACCUUAACUGAAUUCAUACAUGUGUUUUUGGAUAAGUGGAUCCUUGAUGUUUUCAGGCUUUCAACCAAAUGAUCUUUUGCACUAUUCUCGUACCACGAACUGCUUCGAGUGUGGCCUCGAACCAAUUGAAUCAAAACACAAAACUAGAAAAGGUUUUCCUUUUUGGGUGAAAACCAAAAUUCUCUCUUCUUUAAUAGAAAUCAGUAAAAUUAUUAUUAUGAAAAAUAUGUUUAUAAGUUGAGAAUAAAUUCUCUCUAUUUUUCGACAGAAUAAAAAUCUCUCAAAAGUUGUGUAAAUAGCUCUACUGGUGCCAUUUAUUUAUAGGAAGAGAAAGUAGAACCCUUGUAGAGUUGUAAAAGUUUAUAUCCACUAGAAAAAUAAUAUCCUAGCCUAUCUAGGAUAUAGGGAGCAACAACCGUAGUUAAUGAUACUAGGGUUUUGUCAUCCCACCUCUUUAUAUGAGGGGUUUUAGGCCUCUCUCACAUCAGAUCCAAGUACAAGUACUUCUUAAAUAUAAAUUUGAAUUUGAUAUAUUGAUUACAUAUGAAUUUAUAUAUUGUGAGUAAAAUUUUUAUUUGAUAUAUUAAUAAUGUAUAAAUUUAUAUAUUGUUAAUACAUCAUAUGUUUAAAAAAUCUAAUAAUUAUAUAUUAUUUUCAAUAAUUUUUAAAUUUAUUAAUUGAUUUAUUGGUAUAUUAAUAUUAUUUAUUAGUAAUAUGUAAAUUUAUACCCUGUCAAUUUAUGAAAUAACAUUUAGUGAGUGGAAUAUAUAUAAAAGAAGAUAUUCUAAAUCUUUCUAAAUUCUUCCUUAAAAUAGAAAAAGAAAUAAAUUGUUGAUAUAGAUAUGUUGAUAAGAUUUUCAUGUAGGGCUUUUCUGUAAUUCAUGAUUUUGUUACAUGCAUAAAUUGUAAUUGUGAUAUUUUAUAUUUUAUUUAUAUAAAUCAUGUUAAAUUUGAUUUAAAUUCCUUUUUUAAUUAUUUAUUCUUUUAAGAAAUUUCAAGUAUUCAAUAAAUAUUAAUGUAUACUUUUUCUUAAAUUGAUAUAAUAGUGAUAUCAGAUUAGUUUAAAAUUUUGCGUGUAUGACAAGUACAAUUAUAUCGAUAGAUUCAAUAGUCGGAUUAUUCAAAUAUUACUCCUACAAAUAUAUAUAUGAAGAAGUAUAAACUGCUUUAAUUUUACAUUGGUAUAAGUAGAUCUCUCUCUUACAUCUGUUGUAUAUAUGAAAUUUUGAUUUUGAUUCAAACGUACUCAUUUAAAGAAAUAAAUACAUCAAUUUAUUUUUAUAUUGAAUAAGUAUAAUUAUUUGGAUAUGCUAUAUAUAGAUGUAAAAUGAUGGUAUAUAAAUAACGAUGUUAGAUGUUUGUAAAAAUUGAAUCAAAUCAAUAUUUCAUGUAUAAAAUUGCACAAUGGACCAAAGUUCAUGUACAAUUUUGAUCUUUAUAUCUGAAAUUUAUUAAUGCAAAUUAUUUUCCAAAAGAUCACAUUGAGUAAGAUUAAUUUAAAUUUCAAUAUUUAAAUUUUUUCUCAUAUAGAAAUAUAAUUUUUUUAAAAGAAGUGUAUACUAAUUGUUGAAAGAUUUCCGACUCUUUUGGAAAGUCUUCGAAGUGGCAUAUUUUGAAGAUGGUGGACCCUCAACACGUCCAAUAUUAUCAUUGGUUAAGGUUUUUUUUGGAUCUAGUGUCCUAAGUGUAGUACUUUUCAUCAAUAUACAGUUGUAAAUUUUUUUAACAAAUUGGUUAAUAAAACAAAUUUAUUGAUUAUAUUAAUAUACUUUAUAUAAUUGUCCUAACAUAGUUUUUGCACGCAAAGCAAAAUGGAAGUAAAUGUUGCUCAUUGGUUGCCUAAAUAUUUAAUUAAUACUAAGCGGUAUUAUGUGUAUAAAAAGACAGCUUGUAUUAGUAGACAAACCUAAACAUGUCCUUAGCAUAAUUGGAAAUUAGUAAAUUGAUUGAAAGACUAAUAUGUCGUCUAUCAAGUGUAUUUGGGGAGAUGCCUUGUCUUGGGCAUCGAAGCAGAUGACUCCCAAAAGGUAGAGACAUAGAUGUGACUGACUGGACUGGUAGUAAAUUGGAUAGCACACAAACAGAAUAGAUCCUGAAUUCGUUUAUGGACUUAUUCACUUGUGAUGUCCAUAGUGUGGCAUACAUAAAUCUUGAAUGGAUAGCGGAGUACGUAUGUGUGACUUUUACACUUUGAUGUAAGUAAAAACAUAAGUUCAAUUAGAUAAGGAACCAGAAUCUGGUACAUUUGGUUUACGACUUCUAUAGUAUGUAGCAUCAUUCAUAAUAGUGAAAUUCAUAGCGCAAAACAUGGGUAAAUGAUAUCCUCUCAUUGACAUUACAUGGUUAAUGAAAAGUAAACGUGGCCACGGGUUGUCCGUCUUUGUGAUGGAAACUUGAUCACUAAUUGAUAAUGAUUGAUUUUUCACGAAAGAAGAUGUAAUGGCUACCAUGAGAUAAAAUAUGAUAUAUUGGGAGAACAAAUAUUAUCCCAAAGAGAUCAAGGAUAUCCUAUGAGGGUAACACACUAAUGACAAGGUUAUUGGACGAGCAUUAAGUAGUUGCUUUCGUAAUGGUAUGUCGUUGGGGAUAUUUCAUUCACGACACUAUAGUGGAAUGACUUCAUCACUAAAUGAUUUUAUAAUUAAUAGGUGAAAAAAAUAGAAUUUAAAUAUAAAUCAUUUGAGCCUCAACUUUAUAUGUCUACUCGGUCCCCCAACUGUUAGUUCAUUGAAACCAAAAAUUAAUUGCACGUUUGAAUGGAAAUCAGCGAAAUGGAUAGAAAAAGAGAAAUGAGAAACAUUCAGGAAUGAUUAUGGUUUCCUCUAAAAUGGAGAAAUGGAAUAAUUUGAAAAUGAAUGUAGGUUUCCAAAAACGGAAAUAGAAAUGAAAAUGGAAACUUGCAAUUUUAUAUAUGAUUACUUAAAAAAUGAUGGAAGAAUGAGUUUAUAUUUUUGGACUAUUUUGAAGCUCGAAAAUGAAAAUAAAUCAUUCAGUCAUAGUGAACAUAUUGAGUUGUGUCAUAUUAAACGAAUUUUCUUGAAAUUUUAUUGGAGGUAAAAUUGCCAAAAUUUUACUGGGUAAAAUUGUCGUGAGAAAAUAAUUUAAUAUGUAAAUAUUAAAAUUUAUUUUGGAAAUAGAAAAAUUGAAUCGGGUUGGACCAUAUUACAAAGUACUAGAUCAAAAAGGCCCAGAAAGUACUCGUACUUGGACCCGAUGUGAGAGAGGCCCAAAACCCCUCAUGUAAGGUGGGACGGCAAAAACCUAUUAACUAGGGUUGUCGACCCUUAUAUCUUAGAUAGGCUAGGAUAUUAUUUUUCUAGCGGAAAUAAACUUUUACAACUCUACAUGGGUUCUACUUUCUUCUCCUAUAAAUAGAUGGCACCAAUAGAGCUAUUUAUACAACUUUUGAGAGAUUAUUAUUCUACCGAAAAGUAGAGAGAAUUUAUUCUCAACUUAUAAACAUAUUUUUUAGAAUAACAAUUUUACCGAUUUCUAUUAAAGAAGAGAGAAUUUUCGUUUUCACCCUAAAAGGAAAACCUUUUCUAGUUUUGUGUUUUGAUUCAAUUGGUUUGAGCCCACACUCGAAGCAGUUCGUGGUACGAGAAUAGCGCAGAAGAUCGUUUGGUUGAAAGCCUAAAAACAUCAAGGAUUCACCCAUCUAAAAACACAUGUAUGAAUUCGGUUAAGUUUUUUUUGCUACAAAUAUCACAAACUGAGUUGAUUUUCAAAAUUUUAACUUUUGAUGUGCAAGAAAACCAUUUUCAAACUGAGUUUUUUUUUUCAACAGUUUUAUCUCUCAACUUUGUAAAGAGCUCAAGUGCCUAAAUCUACCUAAAGAGGUGAUAGGUUCAAUAGAGUAGGAGUGCCUUGUUGGGACAAACGGUACGUGAUGCAUGACCACCUACCAAGGAAAUUUGAGCAUUUGAGUUUGGCAGGGUUUGAGCUCAUGCCUUACAACAGAUAUGACACUUAUGGACAACUGCUACCAUUUAAUUAGGUCACUUUAUAAAUUCUCAUUAAUUGGAGGGCGAUUGCUAUUAAUAUUUUUCCAGAGUGGCUUUUGUCACCAUCACCUCGGCCAACUACAACCUCGUCAACUAUGACUUCAGUUGAGGGCUACACUUUGCCAGCUAUAGACCUCAUCAAUACAUAUAUGCCUAGUACACGAUACUUCUAAUAUACCUCGUUAGUGAAAGAUGUUGGAUCCUUCUAUGCAUGGAUCAUACGUAGGGUACUCUUGCUUAGGAAUGGCAAUAGGUUAGUAUCUACAUUUCUUGAAUUAUUAGAAUUUGGAUAUGCAUAUUUGCUUAAAAAUCAAAAUUUGCUUAUUAUGUAUAAAUCAUCUGAGUAUUACUAUCUAAAUUUGGCUUAAUUUAAGUACUAUUAUCUGUCAAAUAUCUGAAUUCGCAAAAAAAGAGCAAUUUUAAAAUUUUCAAUCAUUUUUUGGAUAUCCAAAUUCACGAAAAUUCAAAAUUGAAUCCACCAAAUUUUUUUAUAUAUAAUCAAAAAUAUACACAUUUCGUGACUAGUUGAUUUAGAUAUUGAAAUUCCAAUCUACAUCUGCUAUUCGAAUAAGUAAUGUUGUAACACCUUAAAUAAUUUAAGUUUGUUUUUGUGAAAUUUAACACAAAAUGUGUACUUGCUUCAGUGGUUAAGUGUUCUAGGUGUGUGUGUGAGGUAUUGGGUUCAAUUCCCACUUUUGGCAAAACUUUGUUAUUUUAUAUCCAAGCCUAACUCUUAUUGAGUAGGCUUAUGUUAAAUUGUUUGUUAAUCCAUAUCAGAAUAAGCUUGUUGGUUUGAGUGGUAAGGAGUUGGUGUGUAGGAGGUCCUGUUUUUGAAUCCCUACGUGAGCGUAGGUAUUAAUUUUUUCUCGGUUGUCUGAUAGAGUUUGAGUGGUCUUGAAAGUCUGAGGUUGUUAAGGCUGGGUGUUAGUCUGAAGUUAGGAUAUUGUGGGGGGGAUUUUUAUGUUGAUUAUUAUUAUUUUAUUUUAUUCCUUUUUCAAAUUUUCCUCUCUCUUUCCAAAAUUUCCCUUUAAUGUUAUUCUUCAAGUUUUUUUUAUUGUCUCUGAUAUUUUUCCCCCUUUUCAUUAAAUCUUUGUUUUGUUCUUCUUUUUUGAUUAUGUUCGUCAACCUAUCAUUCGAUCGUGCCAUUGGAGUUGUCGGGUUAUCUAAUCGGUUGGUAAGUAAAACUUUGCUUCCCUUUAACUUUUGAUUUGGGAUUAUAGUGAUUUCAAUAUGUAGCAAUUGAUUAGUGGAACUUCGUGUUUAGGAGAAGAUUAUGGAGCAAUGAAUUGCACUCCAACAGUUUAGUGUGCAUUGAAGUGGUUUGUCAUCGACGGUAAGUCAGUUUCGUGUUGUUUCUUGUUGUCAAAUUCAUUAAUCAAACUACUAAAUCAAUGUUGGGUACUUUAAUUUUAGGAUUUGGAAGGCUCGGGAGUAUUUUUGCAUUAAAAUCGUAAUAGGUGUGUCCCCAAAACAUAGAAAGUCAGGUUUCGAUAAAAGUCAAAAAUGCAUUUUGUCGAUGCGACAAGGGCAUGUGCCUGGUCAUGUGGCUAGUCGUGUGUGAGACACGGCCGUGUAUUUGACGAGGGUGUGGCUGUGCGCAAGCCACGGUCAUGUGGUAGUGUAAGUGUCGCUAUGUAGGCCAUACGGGCUAGGCCAGUCUAGGUUUGUGGGCCUACAUAGGCAUGCCACACGGACGUGUAGGCCCAUACGGCCAUGUAGGCCCACAAUUUUGAGAUUUUCCCUUAGGUCGCACGGUUCGUUUCGAACGAUUGUGGACCUACCAUAGGGUCAGUAAGGGCUAAUCAAACCCUAAAUUAUGUGAAAUGAUAUUUUGAUAGUUCGCCUUGUGUAGGAUGUCGAUAUGUACAUCUGUUUUAUUUACGUAUAUAUAUGCUAUCUGUAUAUGAGCAUGUUAUGCAUGAUAUUACUGUAUCUGUUAUUUCUGUAUUAUGUAUUUGUAAAUGGGGUGGGUUUUGUAUAUGUAGAGAAAGUGAUCUGUACGAUAACACUUCCAUUAUAUUUUGACAGUUGACUGCAUAUUAUUUGUAAUGUGUCGUAUUGACACUAUAUGGUGUGUAGGGAUGGGUGGGUGCUUUUAACCCUAUAUGGUAUGAUGGGAUAGUCGAAGAUGUUGUGUAGAGGAUGGGGGUAGGAUUCUGUAUAUCUGUACUACUUAUCUGAUUUUGUUAUCUGUAUCUGGAAUGGAUAUAAGUCCGGAUCUUGAUCUGACUGUAUAUAAGACUUCUAUUUGUAUUGCAUUUCUAUUUUUGUUAGGUUACACAAUAAGUUUACGAAACCUCACAUCUGUUUGUCUGUUCUGUUCAGGUCUAUAGACUUAGGCGGAUCAGUGUGACGGAGCCUCACAGUAACCACGAGAUUGUAAACUAUUUAAUAUUACGGUUUUUAUUUAAUUUAAGGAUUCUUUCUGGAAGUUUGUAAUAAUUGGACUUUCUAGAAUAUUUGACUUUUAUUUCAGUUUUGGAGGUGUUUUAACUUUUAUGGCCACGUUUGACCAAAUUCACGGUUUUACUAAAAUAAAGGAUUUUCUGAAUACACGAAUUAGAUUUCCAAGAUUCAAUGCUUUUUGAAAACUUCCGCUAUAGAUUAUGUUUUGGAAAAUGAAUGAAUUAAAUAACGCUUCUAGUAACAGAUAGUACACUUGGGGUGAUUUAUUGAACGACUAAACAAAGCUUUAUUAAAAGAUCACUAUUUUAAAAACCCUUCCAUGUAACACUCUUAGAUUAGGCCACAACGUCUAGGCCAGGAUUAGGGUGUUACAUUUAAUGGUAUCAGAGUUAGGUUACAAAACUCGAGCUGUGAAUUUUGGGUUUCAAAAUUAUGUUUUGAAAAAGAACAGGUUUUCAAAUAAUUUGGAUCAUUUUGAAUAAGUAUGUGGUACACUGAGUCUCCGGCAUUGAUCCUAUAAGUACUUUUGAACUUAGAUAAAACUUUCUGAAAACACUAUAGUUAGUACUUUCUGAAACUGUACUGAGUUAGUUAAAAAAUAAAAACUUUUGAAAUAUGUUCGAACUUCUGAUAAUUUGAGCAUGAAAUAUAUGUUAAUAAACAUUGGAGCUGAUGCAUAAAAUUUUAUAAUGUAGAUAAAUUUGAAAAUAUACGAUGAGCGCUUAUGGAACUUGCGGUCAUGGUAUUCGUGGGCUCAGUGGGAGCCGUAAGGGGCUGGAGCUGAGUCUUUUUCUCUGGGCAGUAUGCCAAACUUAGAUAUGAGUAAGCCACCAGUGUCACUUGCUACUGAGACAAGGUCUCAAAGCCACUUUGGUGGGGACGACGCACUAUCCCAAGCCAUGUUGAGGGUGUUGGAGAGGGUCAUUGGACCCCAUUCUGGAUCUGUGGGCCGUAGGACGGUAACUGAACGACUCUGGUCCAAUAGAGCUGAGUUGUUUAGGGGUGUCAUUGAAGUCGCCCCUAUUGUGGUCGAGUAUUGGUUGGAGGGCACAAAGAGGAUUAUGAACGACAUCGAUUGUACUCUUAAGUAGAAAUUUAAUGGUGCAGCCUCUCUACUUCGCGAUGAGGCAUAUCAGUGAUGGUUGUCGGUUGAGGAGGGUACUCAACGGGACUGUCUGAACUGGGAUUAUUUUAAGACUACCUUUCAGGGGAAGUAUGUGGGUGCAAGCUAUCUUGAUACUUGUAGGCGUGGGUUCAUGAAUCUCACGCAAGGUGAUAAAUCUGUGGCUAAGUAUGAGGCCGAGUUUCUAAGGUUAAGCCGCUACGCUUAAGGCAUGGUGGUGACUAAAUAUGAGAAAUUCAUCUAUUUUAAGGAUAGCUUGAGGUAUAAUCUGAGGGUAUUGAUUGCUCCACAGAGGGAAUGAGAGUUUGAGUUCUUGUGGAUAAGGUGAAGAUCGCCGAGGAGAUUAAGUGCGUGGAGCGCUAAAAUAGGGAUCGUGAGUGAGGCAAGAAUAAGAGGGAUUCAGAGCCCUCUAGUUCUGUUUAGAGGGCUAUUAGAGUAGGGGUUCCUAUUACUUCUAAUAGGAUUCAGCCACGUGAUGAUUGUGGUAGGCACCAUCCGGGUGAGUGUUAGAGGAGGUUGGGGGCUUGUUUGAGGUGUUGGUCUUUGGAGCACCACAUUAGAGAAUGUUCACUCCAUGCGGAUUAGAUGCAAGCUGUAGGAUCAAGUUUUAUACAACCUUAGAGGGCAGUUCAGCAGCCAUCUAAGGGUCGUGGUCCUACUAGGGGUGGUAAUGGUAUGGGUCGAGGACAUAGAAUAUCGGGAAAAGGUGUUAGUUAGAUUGAAUCCUAAAUUAGAGUUAAGUUUGGUUUGAAUCAAGCCUUAACUUUGACCAAAUCCAACUAAAAACACGUCUAACAAUUAUCUAGUAUUGUUUUUAUGAAUUGAAUUUUAACUUGUAAUUUUCAAUUUUAUUACAAAAUUUCUUUGCGGACGAUAAGAAAAUAACAUAUUUGUAACUUCUUCAACCCGGCGUAAAGGUUAAGUCUGAAUUUGGAUUACAUCAGCCAUAAAGAUGGCCUAGCAGGAUUAUCGGAGUUUUUAAAAACAAACAUCUUUAAAACGUUUGUUUAAUUUAUAGAAAAGCUUAUUUAAUUUCCAAAUUAUUUAUUACUUGAAAUCUUAAUUACACUUUAAAAGUAGGAAGUGGUAACUAUUUAUUUUUAAUAAAAUUCGGGGUUCAUGUAUAAUUGAUUAAUAACCGUAAUUCGAAAACAUUAAAACUUAAAUUAAAUGUCAUGCAAAACAAAACAAGCUUAAAUCUAAAUCUCAUGCCGCAGUUCAAAAUUAUUUAUUGUAGUCUUAGAAAAUAAAAACAAUCAUAUAAUGAACCUAAAUUUUUUAUUUUACUUUAAUAAUGUGUCAAGGUCUUACAGAUGUCACGCCUGCGUUCAAUCUUGGUGGGUUAUCUGUAAGGAUGAAAAUUUAAGGGGGAGUGAGCUAUGACGCUUAGUGUGAGUUCAUUCACAAUAAAUUCAAUGCAAACGGUUGGUAAGGCACAUUAAAUAACAUCGCAUAAAGUAAUCACAGUCAGAUAACAGUUUAGAAUGGCGAUUUUACAAUUUAACUACCAAUAUUAUCACAAUAUUCACAGCUGUAAUUUCAGAAUAUCAAAUUUCCACAUCAUUCACAAUACUAACAUAUAUAUAAAUAUAUCAUAAUAGAAUUCCAGAUUUGUAUGCACAUGAUUUAGAAGAUGCCAUACAAUUUUGGGUUUUAACAGAAUAAAUCCUACCCCACGUUACAUAUCAUAAUGGGAGUUCCCCUAAACUCCCUUCUCCAACACACUAGGUUGUGGAUAAACCACUACUCGUCCACAGAUAAUAACUAUCAUUUGGCUGUGGACACACAACAAAUCCCCACAGUUGGAUUCUAGCUUUGGCUGUGGGUUCACAGCCAAGAGUCCUGCAAAUGAAGCCUGUUUUUGCAUGUAGAUUAUACAACCUAUACCCGCAGUUGGAAUCUGUCUUUGGCUAUGGAUGCACUGUAACACCCCAAACCCGACCUGGACGUUAUGGCUCAAUCUUGACGUAAUGCCCCAAAAUUUCUAAUUUCGUUAUUGUGAAAAUAUGACACAAAAUAUUUGUCUGCUUUAGUGGUUAUGUGUUCUGGGAGUGUUUAGGAGGUCCCAAGUUCACGCCUUCACAUGGGAAAAUUUUGGUAUUUUGAAUGAAUUAGGUAUUACUCUUAUUCAGUAGGCUUUUAUUUGAUUGUUGGGUAAAUUAUAUUAGAAUGGGCUUGCUGGUCUAGUGGUUAAAUGGUUUAUUAUUAUGGUGGAGGUCUUGUGUUCAAGUCCCUAUGUAGGCAAGGGUAUUAUUAUUAUUAUUUGCUCAAAUUUCUGGAUAGAGUUGUGUAAUAGGGGGAUUCUGAGUAGUAGAUGUGUAGUGGGAAUUAGGGGAGAAGAUUAAGGAGUUUCAGGGGUUAUCGAGAUUUUAUUUUAUUUUUUCCCAUAACCGAAUUUUGACUUUCUUUUUCCAAAAAAAAUCUGCCAUCUAUUCUUCUCCCUCUCCUCUUGUUGAAAUUCUCUUAGUUUUUUCACCUUUCUCUUCUUUUUCUUCUUCUUGAUUUUUCCCUAAUCCAUUUAUUUUUCUUCAUUUUCGCACGCGGUUAGUUUUCGCUUAGUUUCGGUAAGUGUUUCUCUUCGUUUCUAUCAUGAAUCUCCUAGCGACUAAAGUGGUAACUUUUUUCUCUGUGAUUUGGGCGUAGGGGAAGGCUCGAACUGUUGAAUUCAGUAUUCUCGUCUUAACAAUAGUUAAAUGGAGGGUUAUUGUUGGUGGUAAGUUGGGUUUCUGUUCAUUCUUAGUUGUCAAUUUGCUUGUAAAUCUGUUAAAUUGAUGUUGAGUAUCUUGAUUAUAGGCUUUGGAGUGCUUGGGGACUGUUUUAGCAUCAAACAAAACCAGGUGUGUACCCGGGACGCAAAAAAAAGGGAUUCGAUCGAAAGCCGAAAUUGUUUGCUGUUUGGACAGUAGCAGUAGGCUAACUUUGAAAAAUCGCCAUAAAUUGUGGAAAUCGAAAUAGAGGAUGAAAAAAAUAUGAAAUUAAAUCUUAUUGAGUCUAGUUUCUCAUAGAAGAACGGUGUAAGUAAUGGAAUUUUAAAUCAUGAGAUAUAAUAAACUAUGUGAGACAAGGUCAGAAUAAAUUCGGGUUCCCUUGUUCUGACUUUGGAAAAUCAUCAAAAAUUGGAUAAAAAUAAUUAGGAAUUAAAAUUUACAUGUUUAAAUUAUUAAUUAGUCUUUUUUCAAUAGAAACAAAUGGGAACUUCAUCCAAAAUUUUUACUAAGAGAUAAUUAAUUUUUAGCAAUGAAGGGUCGAAGCUGUCAAACAGCAGAACAAGGGUAAGUUUGAAGAUUUUACCAUACUUAUUGGCUGAGCCAAAAAUUCUAAAAAUUUUAUGGUAGAAAGGUAUUUGAGUCUAUUUUCAAAUACAUCAAGUGAAUUUUAAUUAGGAAUUCUUUAGCUCAAGAUAUAAAUAAUUUAGUUACAGUGAGUCAAGUAGAAAGCUUUGAAGGAACACAUAAGUAAAUUGUGAUAACAUAUAUGAAUAUUUAGCUAGCACAGGUUACAUUGAAAAUGGAUCACGUAGCCAAGGCCAAUUUGGGCUGAGUGGGCCACAUGGGCAUGUGAGCCCAUUUUUCUAAAAAAUUCUGUAAGGUUGCACGGGUCGCCCAAGUCGACUAUGGACCUACUGUAGGGUCGGUAAGCUUUACUUAGACGCCUAUAUGUGUGAUCUAUCUGGCUGAUUUCUAUACCGAGCAUGACUUAUGAUAUUUGAAUGUAUGUACUUUUAAUUACAUAAUGGCAUGACAAAUUUUGUAUGUUGCAUUGCAUCGGAGUGGGUUGAUGAUAUUUGGAGGAAGUGUCUAAAAGGCUAUUAAGCCUGUUAUCUGGCAGCUCAGCUGCAACCUUCUGAUUAUGUGCGCAUUUCAGUACAACAUGGUGUGUAAGGAUGGGUGGGUUGAUCUAACCCCCACAUGGUGUGUAAGGUUGGACAAAGAUGUGCGUAGAGGCUGGUGGGUAGGAUUCUGAUUUACUGUAUCUACAUUAUGUAUCUGAUAUGGGCCAAGGCUCUAAUGUAUUUCUGAGACUGUAUCUAAACGGGCUAAGGCCCAAACUGAUUGUGUGAUGGGCCUAGGACCCAGACUGUAUCUAACUAAAUUCUGUUGAUUAUUUGUAUGCAUGAUUUCUAUGGGAAUUACACACUGAGUUUACGAAAACUCACCCUUUCUCUAUUUAAUCUGUACAGGUAAUCCCCAGACUUGAUGGGUCAGUGCAACAAAGGAUUCGACAGUGGCCACACGUAAAUUAUGGAUUGUUUUCCGUUAAUACCUAGAAUUUAUUAAUUAUUUGGGGUUUUUGAUGUAUCUUCUGGACUAUGGACUGGUUGGCUAACAUACCUUUUUGCAUUGCAUCAUGUGCACGACAUAUUCGAAUAUUAUUGGUUUAUGCUACGUAGUGUAUUUUGUUGUAUUGAAUGGUAUCAAAAUUAAUGAUUGUCACUCGAAUGAAUUAUGACCUAUGCUCAUACACUGUUUGACAUCAAUUUGAUAAUGGCUAUGUAACGAUAUGAAAUUCCUAUAAUGGUUCUAUUUUCUUCUGUUAAAGCUAAUUAGUUUUACUGUAUUUGAUAUUUAUGUUUGUUUCAAUAAUUGUUCGACUCAUGCUGAGCUUUUCAUAAGCGCACCCCUAAUAUGUUAAACUUUUCAGGUAAACCUCGAAAUUAAGACCAGACUUGGCAUUCGAAGAAUCACCUUAGACCUUGAAUUAUUUUUCUAAUAAGUAUUAAUCAAUCUCUAAUGGUUUUCGUUUGUAAUUUUUAAUUAUAUCUAGUCUGUGGCUUGAUAACUUUUCUUCUGGGAUUUUUGCAUGCAUGGAUUACUCAAGCAUAAUAACCGGAUAAUGCAUGAUAUUAGGCUUAAGUAAAAUUUGAUAUUGUUCCCUAGAUUCCGCUGCAUUGCAAAGGAUUUGUUUUUGAAAAACAAAUUGAUAAGGUAACUAAGUUUUCAAAAUGACUUGAAAAAUGGUUUUUCCCCUGCAUUAGUUUAACAUCGAAUUUUUUUUAAAGGAGAGCAACAAGUAAAUGAUUUUUCUAAAACAACACUAUCAACAAUAAAAUGAAUUCUAAGUAUACACAACCUAAUGAAUGAAUGCUUUUAAGCUAACUUAAAGUACAACUAUGGUUUUCUCUAAAAUGAGUUUAUUUAAAGUUUUCAUAAGUAAUGUAAGUUAGCUUAGCCAUUUCGGUGGCUAAUGUAGCCUUCUCAUUCUAGCCAUAACGUCUAGGCCAGGUUUGGGAGGUUACAGUAUUGAUAGGAACUGUGGUAUAAAUUUUAUUUUGGACAUUCUUAAAUUGUUAUUUGGACUAAACUUUAGAAACUAUGGAUUUUAUACUGAGCCUAAAUUUACGAAGUUCAUGCGUGGUUUUUACGAAAAUGAAACUCAUAUGAAAUUUCAAAACCGUGAUGUUUUUAUUAACGCUCCAAUUUGAAAUUGUACAAGAAAUGUCAAUUUGAAUUAUUUUUGAAUGUUUUUUAUGCCAAUUAAAUAUUGUUUCAAAACAUAGCUAAGUAUUAUUUAAUUUCGUAAAGAUGAAGCAAACUCCGAACAAUCUAAAACUUCAAGGACUAGUUUGCAAUUUUUGUUUUUCCUCAAUUGUCUCCGGUUUGAUUCAAUUCUUGAUCUAUACAAUUAUUCCAUUCAAUUCAUCAAUAUUAAACAUUUAUACAUUAUGUCAUGUCAUGAAUGAACCUAGAUAAAUUCAUUUUUUGAUACCCUUAAAGUUUUACAUUUAUUUCAAUUUAGUCUCUAAAAUCGAAAUAGUCAUAACUUUAAAUUCUGAACUUCGGUUUGAAAAUCGACCUCAAUUUCAUUAUAGACUCUCUACUAUCCAUUAUUAUCAAAAUUUCACAUCAAUUUCACAAUUUAUUUACUUUAGUUAUUAUGUAAAAAAUUAACAACCAAACAUCACAAUUUAGUCAUUUUUCAUAAUUUAAGCUUAAAAUCUAUCAAUUUAAUACCAAUUUCUUCAAGAAAUCAACCAUGAUAACUAUAAAAAAAAUUAACAGUUUUGCAAAUUGAUACAUAGGUCAUUUAAAUCAAACUUUCAUGACCUCAGAAACACAAAAAAAAAUUAUACGAAAAUGAUUUAGAAAUGCAUACCAAUUGAGGACCGAAAGCUUGAAGCUCAAAAUGGCUUUUUCCCUUGAGGUUUUAUGUUGAUUAAAUGAUGAAGAAGAAGAAAUAAAGAUGACAACUUGCACUAAGUCACCUUUAUAUACUUAGAUUAAAUCUUAAUUAAUCAAAUUUAAUUAAUUAAAUCUUAAUUAAUUAACCUUAAUCACAAUUAAAAAAAAUUAGUAGAUGUUAACAUCAUCCUACACUAUUUGAUAUAACCAAAUGAUCUAUUUACCAUUUUGAACCUUUAGCUAAUUAGAAAUCUAUAGCGAUAAGACUUUUAAAAUUUAGUUUCUGUAUCUUAAUUAUGCAAUUAAUAGACAAAGUUGAAGGUUUAAAAUUUAAUGUUCUAUUAUACCAACUCUGUAAAUAUUCAUAUUUAAUAUUUACAGACCCGAAUUACGAAAAUGAGAUUUUGAAAUUGUAUUUUCCAAUACCACUGAAAAUCGAACAAUUACGUAACCUAUUUGCACCAAAGGGCCAAACAUGGCAAAUACUUGACAUGUAUGUCUUAAUAUCCUCAUCUAUUCUCUUCAAUAUAAUAACAUCCAAUAAUUGUUUCAUCCACUGUAACUAUCACGAAGAUUAGAUUUACCAAUACAGCCUACAAUUUGCAGAAGCGCGACAUUUUCAUUCUAGAGAAAGGUAUAAUUGAAACAAAAUUGAAAUAAAGAUUUCAAUACAGAAUCAACAGACAUUCCAGCUAAUACUUAUCAAUUAUUUGCAGCUUCAUUGCUCCAACUAAGAUGGUUUUUAGUCGAAUAUGGUAAAUGAAAUCAAUGAACACCAGCUACUUGAUGAACGAGUGAAUCAAAGUCCUGAUAUGUGCCGGCUUAUUGGUGAAAAAAUACAUGGGUUAGUUUUGCAGCAAUUCAUGAUCUUACAUUUUAUAACCUUUGCUUACAAUUAUUCACUGACUAAUCAUUCAAUGAAUGUAGGCCUCAAAUUUAGCCACUAAACUUUAUUCUUUAUUUUUAGAUACAUAUUAUUUGAUCACUUCAUACAGCCUAUUACUCAUAAUAACUUCCAAUUUCCCUUCUUUAGGUUAGUUGCAAAUGUACAGCUUUUUCUAGAAGAAGAAAAUUGUCAAGAGCCACCUGUUCAAGAGAGGCGCAAACAGAAUGUAACAAUACCUGACCUACUUACGGUACAGCCAAGUAAUCAUGUGUUUCUAUGCUAGAACAUUAAAUCAAUGACUACAAAUUUCAUGUCAUGGUUGUGUAUCAUUUAUGCCACUGAUGCUGCUAUUUUCUAUUCUAAUGCAUAAUAGGGAUUUAGUGUUUUUACCGUUAAAAUUGUGUCCUUUAAUUUUGGCUCUUUUCAAUUGUUGAUCAUGUCCACCUAUGCUUUAUUUUACUACUAUUGCUUUCUUCAAUGAUAGAUGAUUGAAUCGGUAGAAUUUUAUUAAUCCUCUACAUGUUUUAGCUUGAUAUGUGGAUCCUAAGCAUUCCUUGGAUUGUGCCCUCUUUGUUCAUUUAUUUUUUUUCCUGGAACCUUAUUACAUGUUGUAACACUCCAGUUUUUUGGAGACAUUGAAGACGACUAACUGCUGAAUUCUUUCUUCUGCAGAGGAACCAAUGGCAAGAGACUCUAAAACUCCUACUCUUUUUUAUACCUUCCUCACCUCUUUGUGACAUUAUAGCUGAAAAAUGAUGUAUGCUAAUACAUGAAAUGUUUCCUCUUGCCUUUCUUUUUGUAGUACUAAAACUACAAAUAGUGUCUGUAAAUCUCUUUUCCCGUAAUCUUAUCUUUUCCUCAUUGUAAUAGUUGGAAAACAGCUUUGUUGAAGACAAUGUCAACUACUGGGAUAAGUUACAAACACUGUUAUUGUUUAUUUUGUAGUCUAAAUUAUGAUAAUUUCUGCACAAAAUUCACAUAAAUGGUUACCCUCCCGAAGCGGAGCGAGGGUGAUGCUUACUAGUUAUUAAGAAAACAGGACCUUGUAGGGCUUAACUGUUGAAUCAAGAAAGAAAUUUCUUUUAAUGCCUUAAAAAAAAGAAAUUUCUUUUAAUGCCUUCAAUUUUUUUUAAAGCUGAUUUUUUUUUUACAAAUUAAAGUUUUGAUUGUAUGUUAAUUGCUUGAGGGAAGGUCGGAUACUUUAUUAUCCCUAUUUUUAUUUGUUAUAUAUUUUAACCAUACUGAUUUUUUUGGCCCUACAAUUUUACCAAAAAAAUCAUAUUAGCUUUCAUUUAAUUUUCGUCUCUUUUAACCCUUUAACUUGUAUUUUUUUUGUCAAAUCACCCCAAAAUGGAUCGAAAACUUUAACAUUUGUGAACUUUGAUUAUGUGACAUACACAUGAAUUGUCACAUGGAUGACAAGUCAACAUUUCUUUAAAAAAAAACUUAAAAAAUAUUAAAUAAAAUAUUUUUGAUAUUUUUUAAUGAUUUUUAAAUUAAAAAAAGUUUUUAAAUAUAUUUUAAUUUUUAAAAAUUAAUAAAACGCAGACAUGGAAAUUCACAUCUAUGUGUCACAGACCGUGGAUUAAAGCCUGUGACCAUUGCGCAUAGAACACCCCAUAGAAUUUUGGCUUUUUAUUUGGUCAAUCAUGUCCACCUAUGCUUUAUUUUUACUAUUAUUGCUUUCUUUAAUGAUAGAUGAUUGAAUCGGUAGAAUUUUAUUAAUCCUCUAUGUAAUAACCAAAUUUUUCCCGGGCCCAAUGCCAAACAAAUAAAACCCAAACCAAAUAAAUAAAAUAAGAGUCCAAAUUACAGUCCAUCAGAGCUCAAUUCAGACCAGCCCACUAUUCAAUCAGACUGGCCCAACACCCAAAUAACCUAACAACCCUAGCCCAACAAAAUCAGAAAAAUGAACAGCAAAAAAACCCUAGGUGCGCCGCACCUAGGUCUUCUGGCCUAACCGCCGUUGUUCGCCUAUCACCAGCCUCCACGCUGCCACCGCCGCAUGCGCACCAGGCCUCCUCCAUGUGUGUCUGACACCUGCAAAGAGAGUCACACGCAACAGUAGAAACAAAAACAAAAAACAAAUAGCAAAACGACAAAAAAAAUAAUGAUUAAGGAGUUCGUAAUCCGACUAUAAAAGCCCUAAUCUGUGACUUGUAAUUUUUUGACACACAUUAGAAAAUAAAAACCAAAAAAAAAAACUUUAAGGUGAUACUCAUUUCAUUUUAUUUUUGUUUUAUUUUAUUUUAUCAUUUUUAUCUUUUUAUUUCGAAAUAACAUAAAUAAAAAGGGGAGGCUGGGUUGCCGUUGCCAGAGCAUAUUUUGUGCUAAAGGGGGUUGCGCCGGAGGAAAAGAGGAAACUUUUCAGUUUCCCGCCGCCGUGAUGGCCAAACCUCUGACUGGCGCUUGGAGAAAGAAGGGGAGAGUUUGAGAGAAUUUUAGGUUUUUUGUUUAAUAAAAGUGAAAAAUGAAGAAUUCUGAAAAAAUUAAUAUUUAUAGCACCUAGAAAUGGCGUCGUUUUGGCCAGUUUCAUUUGGCCCCAAAAUGACACCAUUUAAUGGCCUAUACCGGCACAGUGACCCAACCCGGGGAAGGAUCCGAGCGUUUUGUGCUAUUGGGUAAUUUUCACAUUUGGUCCCUCUUAUUUUGUAGUGUUUUCAAAUUAGAUUUUAUUUAUUUUAAAUUUCAACUUACAUUUUUGUUUUUGUUUCACUUAGAUCCUGAACAAUGCGCAGCGUUUUGGGGGCGAGGAAAUAUUUCCAAUAUGGCCCCAUGUAAUCUGCAUAUUACACUUUAACCCCUCGUCUUGUUUAUAAUUCUAUUCUUUUCUUGUUAAUUUAGAUUCAAUUGCGAUUUAAUCUUUUGUUAAAACAUUUGUUUUCUUUAUUAAUUUAUUAACUAUUUUAUUAUUAUUUUAGUGGUAUAUUCGGUCAUAUUUUCAUUAUCUUAUUAUAUAUUAUCAUUUUGAGUUUUACUUAUAUUAUUAUUAUAAUUUAUAAUGUGUUAUUUUAUUAACUCAAUAUAACAUAUAUAUAUAUGUAUUUUUUUGUGGUUUUAUUUUUAUAAUAUAUUUUUUAAAUCCAUUUUUAUGCACUUUAUAUUUAAGUAUUUAUACAAUAAUAUUCUUAUAAUAUUUUUAUACAUGUACAAUUUAUAUAUAAUUAUUUCUUAUACGUGUAUAUAUACAUAAUAAAUCAUCGAUUACAUGUUAUUAUAUUAUUUCCACUUAUUUCAUAUAUAAUUUAUUUCUUUUAAAAUACUCUAUUAUAUACUUCAUUUAUUUCAACCUUUUAUGUGUAUCAUUAUAGAUAUACUAUUAUAUGAAGUUUUUCAAUCCCUAUGCAUUACUUAUUUAAAUUAAUAUAUGUAUAUUAUUUUAUGUAUUUAGAUUUAUUUUGUAUAUAAUAUCUACUUUUAAAUUUAUUUGGAUACUAUUAUUUUAAGUGGAAUUUAUUUUUAUCUAUAUUUUUUUUAUUUAUUUCAAUUUUUCAUAUAUGUAUAUAUUAUUUAUUUUAAAUUUAUUUUAAUCAUAAUUUCCCUUCUUUCAUAUUUCUUAAGUUUAAAAAAAAACUUGUACAAUUUCAUUUGGUGCUUUGAUUGUUUUUUAAUUCAUUAGCCUUUGAAUGUUAGCAUAAUACAUUAUGUGAGAUUAUUGCUCUUAUACGUAUUAUAUUGCUUAUUUUUAUUUACUAAUUAUUCGUAGAUCAUUAGAAUACAUUUUGGUUUACAAAUUAUCGCUUUGUAUUGUACAUUAAUAUUCAAUUGUUUUUUUAUUCGUUCGAAAGAUUACGUUUAAUAUCAUUUAAGUAUCAAAAUCGAUUUAUUCAAAAACUUUCAAGAUAACGUAAUAUUCUGUAUUUGGGAUAUUCGAGAGAAUUGAGCCUUAAUGUAUUGGGUUCCAAUUUUCCUCGUUGAAUCUAGAUAAUCGAGAAUAAUCUUCAAUCAAAAUACAUACAUAAAAAGCUCAUUAUCGGGAAUUCGAUACAUUGUGUCCUAACGCAUUGGAUACGACAUGUUGUUUUCUCGAGAUGAGGAUUUUUCUAAAAAAAAUAAUAAAGGCAAUAUUCCGUAUUUGGGAAAUUUGAGAGAUCGUGCCCUAACUUACUGGGUUUCGAUUUUUCUCCUUUAACCCAAAUAAUCAAAUAUCCUUCUCAAAAUGCAUAGGUUUUAAAAGUCAAAAGAUAAACUUAAUUUUGAAGAUUAAGAAUGUUGCGCCCUAACUCACUGGGUGUGACAUUUUAUCUCUUUGAAAUAAGAGUGUCUUAUCAUUUAAUUCAAUUUAUUCAAGGUUAAAAGGAUCGUAUUUUAAAACCUUUUCAAAAUUUCAACACUAAGACAUUAAGUAAUCAACUAGGUACCAAUUUUUGGGCGUUACGAGGGUGCUAAUCCUUCCUUGUACGUAACCGACUCCCGAACCUAUUUUUUUGAAUUUCGUGGACCAAAAUCAUUAUUUUAAUAAAAUCAAACCAUUUAUUAAAAACAACCACUUUUCGAGGUGACCCGAUCACACUUCAUCGAAAAAGAUCGGUGGCGACUCCCAUAUUCAUUUUCAUUUUCAAAAUCCAAAUUGACCCUGUUUUAUCAAAAAAUGGUGUCAACACUGCACAUGUUUUAUCUUGACAUAUGGAUCCUAAGCAUUCCUUGGAUUUUGCCCUCUUUGUUCAUUUAUUUUUUCUUGGAACCUUAUUACAUGUUGUACCAUUCCAGUUUUUUGGAGACAUUGAAGACGACUAACUGCUGAAUUCUUUCUUCUGCAGAGGAACCAAUGGCAAGAGACUCUAAAAAUCCUACUCUUUUUUAUACCUUCCUCACCUCUUUGUGACAUUAUAGCUGAAAAAUGAUGUAUGCUAAUACAUGAAAUGUUUCCUUUUGCCUUUCUUUUUGUAGUACUAAGACUACAAAUAGUGUCUGCAAAACUCUUUAGAGAAAAACAAAUGUCUGUAAAUCUCUUUUCCCGUAAUCUUAUCUUUUCCUCAUUGUAAUAGUUGGAAAACAGUUUUGUUGAAGACAAUGUCAACUACUGGGAUAAGUUAUUGUAAGCAUCUUUUCUUUAAGUGUUUCAUAUUAAAAACAAACACUGUUAUUGUUUAUUUUGUAGUCUAAAUUAUGAUAAUUUCUGCACAAAAUUCACAUAAAUGGUUACCGUCCCGAAGCGGAGCGAGGGUGAUGCUUACUAGUUAUUAAGAAAACAGGACCUUGUAGGGCUUAACUGUUGAAUCAAGAAAGAAAUUUCUUUUAAUGCUUUCAGUUUUUUUAAAGCUGAUUUUUUUUACAAAUUAAAGUUUGGAUUGUAUGUUAAUUGCUUGAGGGAAGGUCGGAUGCUUUAUUAUCCCUAUUUUUAUUUGUUAUAUAUUUUAGCCAUAAUGAUUUUUUUGGCCCUACAACUUUACCAAAAAAAUCAUAUUAGCUUUCAUUUAAUUUUCGUCUCUUUUAACCCUUUAACUUAUAUUUUUUUGUCAAAUCACCCCAAAAUGGAUCGAAAACUUAACAUUUGUGAACUUUGAUUAUGUGGCAUACACAUGAAUUGUCACAUGGAUGACAAGUCAACAUUUAGUUUUUUUUUUAAAAAAAAAAACUUAAAAAAUAUUAAAUAAAAUAUUUUUGAUAUUUUUUAAUGAUUUUUAAAUUAAAAAAAGUUUUUUAAUAUUUUUUAAUUUUUAAAAAUUAAUUAAAUGCAAACAUGGAAAUUCACAUCUAUGUGUCACAGGCCGCGGAUUAAAGCCCGUGACCAUUGUGCAUAGAACACCCCAUAGAGGUCAACUUAUUAAACAAGGUUCAUUUGACCCGCAUGAACUGGCCCGACCCAUGGAACCCGUGGAGAAGCCCAUCUACUUGAAGCCUUGGUGGUCUAGUGAAAUAUAGUUUAAUUUUUUUUAAACAUAGGGUAAGGGAAGAAGAAUGCCUUAAAAUUAAUUUUUGUUAGAAAACUAAUAAGAAUGAGUUUGUUGGUUUAGUGUUAAGGCCUUAUCCUAUCCAUAGAUCCCAAGUUUGAAUCCCUUGGUGAGCAUUCAACCAAAAUAUUUUUAUUUCCUUGUUUUUACCACACCAAAAGUGACAAAUUUUAAAAUAACCCAGCCCAAAAACUAUUUUUUUUUAAUUUUAGUCCUUAAUUUAAAAUUUUCCCAAACCUACAUAAAUUUUUAAAACCUAUUCCAAUUAGGAAAAAUAAGUAUUAUAAAUAGACAAUUUCAAAACAAACUCUAGAAUUUCAUCUAGCAAAUUUUCAAGAAAAAAUCCAUAAACACUUUCUUUUCCAAAUCAAACUUUCAAGCUAAAGAAAUCAGAAUCUUCAAAAUCAUCCCUCAAGUAGAUCUUCAAUCUUUUCUCCAGCACUAAGGUUUCUAAGUAUUCAAAAUAGGUGUGGGAACAAAACCUAAAUCUUUGUGUAUAAUUGAAUCUAAUAGCAAGUAGAGAACCAGUAUAGGCUAACCCUAGGAGAAACCCCCUGUAUGUGCAAUCAUGUAGGUGUGAGCCUAUAGAUGCAAAACCCCUUGUACAUGAAAACCCCAUGCAUGCAAACCCUUACGUGAAACCCCCCUUUCAUGCGAACCCUGUAUGAAUACCAUGUGAACCCUAGAUUAUAGUUGCGAACCCUAGGUUGUUAUGUGGAUACCCAUACUGUGAACCCAAGUGCACAAACAUAUAGGAAUAUUCAUGCGAGCCCCCUUGCAUGCGAACCCUAGUUAGUGUACAUACGGGUCUCAUAUUUACAUGCAAACCACUACUAGUGCGAGUCAAUUAUAUGAUAUCACAUACGAACCCUACUAUUACAUGCAAACCUUUAUACAUGUUAUAUUCGAACCUUUUUUUGUUAAAACAGGUGAGACUUGUCUAGUAUUACAUACGACCUAAUUUGCGAACUCAUAUGUUAAAAGUAUGUGAACCUAUCUAUGUUUGUUAUGCGAGCUCACAUGUUAGCAGUAUGUGAACCUAUAUAUAUCAGUUAUGCAAACUCACAUGUUAGCAGUAUACGAACCAUAAGUCUGUUAUGCAAACUCACACAUUGGCAGUAUGCGAACCCUAUAUACACCUUUAUGCAAACUCACACAUUAACAGUAUGCGAACCCUAUAUACGCCUCUAUGCAAACUCACACGUUAGCAGUAUGCGAACCCUAUAUACGCCUUCAUGCAAACUCAUAUGAUUUGCAGCAUGCGAUCUCUAUAUUUAUGCGAACCCUUGUAAUAAAAAAUAUGCGAACCUUAACUUGCGAACCCUUGGCAGGAACCCUGCACUCGCAAAGCCUUCUUCCGGACCUGUACAUAUGCUAGAUAACCAAGCCUAUUAGUUUACAUUAAAUCACUGUACAUAUGAGACUGUUUGUUUACUUGCACAAGUUAUAUGUGUAUUUACUAUUCGAUACAAGAGUACCUAUCGACCUUUUGAUGAGAAUUCAGAGAUUAACGAUGAUAAUUCCAACAAUCAGUGUAAGAACGAGUUAAAUCGAGAGUUGAUGUAAUUUAAGGUAAUAAAGUUAAUUUUUCAGUAAUAAAUGUAAAAUUGUUAUGGAAAGAAACGAUGGGUAAAAAAAAAUGAGAGUUUUAAAUAAAAGAGAGGAAAACUUCAAUUUAGGGUUGAAGAGGAACUAAAAAUUUACGUGAAAUUAGGAAAAAAUAUAAAAUACCUAGGAUUAAGAAAUUUGAGGGGGUUGAAUGGUAAAAUACCCUUUUUUCUUAAAAAUGAAAAAAAAUGGAAAUGGGUAUUAAGUUUGGCACGACUUGAACCUUGGAAGCAAAGGAAAAAAUUACAAAGGCCUUACCAUUUGGGUUGCUACCCACAUUUGGCAUUUUUUUACACUAUUUAAAAUAUAUCCUAGCUUAGUUUUGAUCAUAGGUUGUUGAAAAAAAAAAAAAGGGGUAAGAGUGUGGCUUCAACCUUAAUUCUCUAGUUAGUAUACUAAGCUCUGAACCAUUAAGAUUAAGGCCCAUGUCUUAGUCAAUUAAUUCAUCUAACUCUAUAUAUUUUGAGGUGUUACAUCUUGAAUUAGAAAAACCCAUAAAAUGCAUGUAGACUUGUAUUGCUCGGUACUUGGUAGUAUAUAUGUAGACUUGUAUGUUGAUUAAGCUAGCUUAAUUAAGACCAAUGUGUUAGACUUGUCUAUGCAUUGAACAAUCUAGAAGAAAAUGAAGAAAAAGACUCUGAAAACACUUGAAAACAGAUAAAACUCAUAUGUCAUCGACUAGUUAAACUAUGAUCACCCAUAAUAGACCUUGUAUUUGACUUUUUGUUGAGGGAGAAGUUUCGUGAGUGUUGUUUGUCAGGGAGUCAGUGUUGCCCUAAACAACUAAAGGUAUUGUCCCCAUGUCGAGAUUUUACCCCCAGCCUCUGCAAAAUAAUCAUGAAGAAUACGUGCGAAGGAAUUCAAACACCAACCAAUGCAUGUGUAGCCUUUACCUUCCCACUAUCUUUGGGAACUCAUAAGGAUAAAAUCCCAACAAGAGAAUUGUAUCAGAGGGGUCUGUCAACACAAUGAAUGAAAUUUCAUACUUUUUUUUUAAUGAAAGUAAAUAUCAUAUUUAGUUAGAGAAAAGCAACGAAAAAUCUAACAAUAAAAUCCUUAGCAAAAGAUUAAAACACAAUUGUACCAUAAAUUAAAUAAGAAAUUAAAAAAAUUCAAAUCUAACAAAGACAGUAACUUGAUUCCUCAAAGCUACCACAAACAGUAAUUCAUAGGAAGGCCUGCUGCUCAUUUAUAACACAAACUUCAUGGUGACGGAUACCAACAUACCAUCAACUGAAGUCAUAGUUGACGAGGUUGUAGUUGGCCGAGGUGAUGGUGACAAAAGCCACUCUGGAAAAAUAUUAAUAGCAAUCGCCCUCCAAUUAAUGAGAAUUUAUAAAGUGACCUAAUUAAAUGGUAGCAGUUGUCCAUAAGUGUCAUAUCUGUUGUAAGGCAUGAGCUCAAACCCUACCAAACUCAAAUGAUCAAAUUUCCUUGGUAGGUGGUCAUACGUCACGUACCGUUUGUCCCAACAAGGCGCUCCCACUCUGUUGAACCUCUCAUCUCUUUAGGUAGCUUUAGGCACUUGAGAUCUUUACAAAGUCGAGAGGUAAAAUUAUUGGAAAAAAAAACUCGGUUUGAAAAUGGUUUUCUUGCACAGUAGAAAAAUAAAAUUUUGAAAAUUGACUUGGUUUGUGAUAUUUAUAACAAAAAAAAACCUUAACUGAAUUCAUACAUGUGUUUUUGGAUAAGUGGAUCCUUGAUGUUUUCAGGCUUUCAACCAAACGAUCUUUUGCACUAUUCUCGUACCACGAUCUGCUUCGAGUGUGGCCUCGAACCAAUUGAAUCAAAACACAAAACUAGAAAAGGUUUUCCUUUUUGGGUGAAAACCAAAAUUCUCUCUUCUUUAAUAGAAAUCGGUAAAAUUAUUAUUAUGAAAAAUAUGUUUAUAAGUUGAGAAUAAAUUCUCUCUAUUUUUCGACAGAAUAAAAAUCUCUGAAAAGUUGUGUAAAUAGCUCUACUGGUGCCAUUUAUUUAUAAGAAGAGAAAGUAGAACCCUUGUAGAGUUGUAAAAGUUUAUAUCCACUAGAAAAAUAAUAUCCUAGCCUAUCUAGGAUAUAGGGAGCAACAACCCUAGUUAAUGAUACUAGGGUUUUGUCGUCCCACCUCCUUAUAUGAGGGGUUUUAGGCCUCUCUCACAUCAGGUCCAAGUACAAGUAAUUCUUAAAUAUAAAUUUGAAUUUGAUAUAUUGAUUACAUAUGAAUUUAUAUAUUGUGAGUAAAAUUUUUAUUUGAUAUAUUAAUAAUGUAUAAAUUUAUAUAUUGUUAAUACAUCAUAUGUUUAAAAAAUCUAAUAAUUAUAUAUUAUUUUCAAUAAUUUUUAAAUUUAUUAAUUGAUUUAUUGGUAUAUUAAUAUUAUUUAUUAGUAAUAUGUAAAUUUAUACCCUGUCAAUUUAUGAAAUAACAUUUAGUGAGUGGAAUAUAUAUAAAAGAAGAUAUUCUAAAUCUUUCUAAGAUUUCUAAUUCUUCCUUAAAAUAGAAAAAGAAAUAAAUUGUUGAUAUAGAUAUGUUGAUAAGAUUUUCAUGUAGGGCUUUUCUGUAAUUCAUGAUUUUGUUACAUGCAUAAAUUGUAAUUGUGAUAUUUUAUAUUUUAUUUAUAUAAAUCAUGUUAAAUUUGAUUUAAAUUCCUUUUUUAAUUAUUUAUUCUUUUAAGAAAUUUCAAGUAUUCAAUAAAUAUUAAUGUAUACUUUUUCUUAAAUUGAUAUAAUAGUGAUAUCAGAUUAGUUUAAAAUUUUGCGUGUAUGACAAGUACAAUUAUAUCGAUAGAUUCAAUAGUCGGAUUAUUCAAAUAUUACUCCUACAAAUAUAUAUUUGAAGAAGUAUAAACUGCUUUAAUUUUACACUGGUAUAAGUAGAUCUCUCUCUUACAUCUGUUGUAUAUAUGAAAUUUUGAUUUUGAUUCAAACGUACUCAUUUAAAGAAAUAAAUAUAUCAAUUUAUUUUUAUAUUGAAUAAGUAUAAUUAUUUGGAUAUGCAAUAUAUAGAUGUAAAAUGAUGGUAUAUAAAUAACGAUGUUAGAUGUUUGUGAAAAUUGAAUCAAAUCAAUAUUUCAUGUAUAAAAUUGCACAAUGGACCAAAGUUCAUGUACAAUUUUGAUCUUUAUAUCUGAAAUUUAUUAAUGCAAAUUAUUUUCCAAAAGAUCACAUUGAGUAAGUUUAAUUUAAAUUUCAAUAUUUAAAUUUUUUUCUCAUAUAGAAAUAUAAUUUUUUUAAAAGAAGUGUAUACUAAUUGUUGAAAGAUUUUCGACUCUUUUGGAAAGUCUUCGAAGUGGCAUAUUUUGAAGAUGGUGGACCCUCAACACGUCCAAUAUUAUCAUUGGUUAAGGUUUUUGUUGGAUCUAGUGUCCUAAGUGUAGUACUUUUCAUCAAUAUACAGUUGUAAAUUUUUUUAACAAAUUGGUUAAUAAAACAAAUUUAUUGAUUAUAUUAAUAUACUUUAUAUAAUUGUCCUAACAUAGUUUUUGCACGCAAAGCAAAAUGGAAGCAAAUGUUGCUCAUUGGUUGCCUAAAUAUUUAAUUAAUACUAAGCGGUAUUAUGUGUAUAAAAAGACAGCUUGUAUUAGUAGACAAACCUAAACAUGUCCUUAGCAUAAUUGGAAAUUAGUAAAUUGAUUGAAAGACUAAUAUGUCGUCUAUCAAGUGUAUUUGGGGAAAUGCCUUGUCUUGGGCAUCGAAACGGAUGACUCCCAAAAGGUAGAGACAUAGAUGUGACUGACUGGACUGGUAGUAAAUUGGAUAGGACACAAACAGAAUAGAUCCUGAAUUCGUUUAUGGACUUAUUCACUUGUGAUGUCCAUAGUGUGGCAUACAUAAAUCUUGAAUGGAUAGCGGAGUACGUAUGUGUGACUUUUACACUUUGAUGUAAGUAAAAACAUAAGUUCAAUUAGAUAAGGAACCAGAAUCUGGUACAUUUGGUUUACGACUUCUAUAGUAUGUAGCAUCAUUUAUAAUAGUGAAAUUCAUAGCGCAAAAAAUGGGUAAAUGAUAUCCUCUCAUUGACAUUACAUGGUUAAUGAAAAGUAAACGUGGCCACGGGUUGUCCGUCUUUGUGAUGGAAACUUGAUCACUAAUUGAUAAUGAUUGAUUUUUCACGAAAGAAGAUGUAAUGGCUACCAUGAGAUAAAAUAUGAUCAUAUUAGGAGAACAAAUAUUAUCCCAAAGAGAUCAAGGAUAUCCUAUGAGGGUAACACACUAAUGACAAGGUUAUUGGACGAGCAUUAAGUAGUUGCUUUCGUAAUGGUAUGUCGUUAGGGAUAUUUCAUUCACGACACUAUAGUGGAAUGACUUCGUGACUAAAUGAUUUUAUAAUUAAUAGGUGAAAAAAUAGAAUUUAAUUAUAAAUCAUUUGAGCCUCAAGUUUAUAUGUCUACUCGGUCCCCCAACUGUUAGUUCAUUGAAACCAAAAAUUAAUUGCACGUUUGAAUGGAAAUCAGCGAAAUGGAUAGAAAAAGAGAAAUGAGAAACAUUCAGGAAUGAUUAUGGUUUCCUCUAAAAUGGAGAAAUGGAAUAAUUUGAAAAUGAAUGUAGGUUUCCAAAAAUGGAAAUAGAAAUGAAAAUGGAAACUUGCAAUUUUAUAUAUGAUUACUUAAAAAAUGAUGGAAGAAUGAGUUUAUAUUUUUGGACUAUUUUGAAGCUCGAAAAUGAAAAUAAAUCAUUCAGUCAUAGUGAACAUAUUGAGUUGUGUCAUAUUAAACGAAUUUUCUUGAAAUUUUAUUGGAGGUAAAAUUGCCAAAAUUUUACUGGGUAAAAUUGUCGUGAGAAAAUAAUUUAAUAUGUAAAUAUUAAAAUUUAUUUUGGAAAUAGAAAAAUUGAAUUGGGUUGGACCAUAUUACAAAGUACUAGAUCAAAAAGGCCCAGAAAGUACUCGUACUUGGACCCGAUGUGAGAGAGGCCCAAAACCCCUCAUAUAAGGUGGGACGGCAAAACCCUAUUAACUAGGGUUGUCGACCCUUAUAUCCUAGAUAGGCUAGGAUAUUAUUUUUCUAGCAGAAAUAAACUUUUACAACUGUACAUGGGUUCUACUUUCUUCUCCUAUAAAUAGAUGGCACCAAUAGAGCUAUUUGUACAACUUUUGAGAGAUUAUUAUUCUACCGAAAAGUAGAGAGAAUUUAUUCUCAACUUAUAAACAUAUUUUUUAGAAUAACAAUUUUACCGAUUUCUAUUAAAAAAGAGAGAAUUUUCGUUUUCACCCUAAAAGGAAAACCUUUUCUAGUUUUGUGUUUUGAUUCAAUUGGUUUGAGCCCACACUCGAAGCAGUUCGUGGUACGAGAAUAGCGCAGAAGAUCGUUUGGUUGAAAGCCUAAAAACAUCAAGGAUUCACCCAUCUAAAAACACAUGUAUGAAUUCGGUUAAGUUUUUUUUGCUACAAAUAUCACAAACCGAGUUGAUUUUCAAAAUUUUAACUUUUGAUGUGCAAGAAAACCAUUUCCAAACUGAGUUUUUUUUCAACAGUUUUAUCUCUCAACUUUGUAAAGAGCUCAAGUGCCUAAAGCUACCUAAAGAGGUGACAGGUUCAAUAGAGUAGGAGUGCCUUGUUGGGACAAACGGUACGUGAUGCAUGACCACCUACCAAGGAAAUUUGAGUAUUUGAGUUUGGCAGGGUUUGAGCUCAUGCCUUACAACAGAUAUGACACUUAUGGACAACUGCUACCAUUUAAUUAGGUCACUUUAUAAAUUCUCAUUAAUUGGAGGGCGAUUGCUAUUAAUAUUUUUCCAGAGUGGCUUUUGUCACCAUCACCUCGGCCAACUACAACCUCGUCAACUAUGACUUCAGUUGAUGGCUACACUUUGCCAGCUAUAGACCUCAUCAAUACAUAUAUGCCUAGUACAUGAUACUUCUAAUAUACCUCGUUAGUGAAAGAUGUUGGAUCCUUCUAUGCAUGGAUCACACGUAGGGUACUCUUGCUUAGGAAUGGCAAUAGGUUAGUAUCUACAUUUCUUGAAUUAUUAGAAUUUGGAUAUGCAUAUUUGCUUAAAAAUCAAAAUUUUUUUAUUAUCUAUAAAUCAUCUGAGUAUUACUAUCUAAAUUUGGCUUAAUUUAAGUACUAUUAUCUGUCAAAUAUCUGAAUCCACAAAAAAAGGGCAAUUUUAAAAUUUUCAAUCAUUUUUUGGAUAUCCAAAUUCACGAAAAUUCAAAAUUGAAUCCACCAAAUUUUUUUAUAUAUAAUCAAAACUAUACAUAUUUCGUGACUAGUUUAUUUAGAUAUUGAAAUUCCAAUCUACAUCUGCUAUUCGAAUAAGUAAUGUUGUAACACCUUAAAUAAUUUAAGUUUGUUUUUGUGAAAUUUAACACAAAAUGUGUACCUGCUUCAGUGGUUAAGUGUUCUAGGUGUGUGUGUGAGGUAUUGGGUUCAAUUCCCACUUUUGGCAAAACUUUGUUAUUUUAUAUCCAAGCCUAACUCUUAUUGAGUGGGCUUAUGUUAAUUGUUUGUUAAUCCAUAUCAGAAUAAGCUUGUUGGUUUGAGUGGUAAGGAGUUGGUGUGUAGGAGGUCUUGUUUUUGAAUCCCUACGUGAGUGUAGGUAUUAAUUUUUGCUCGGUUGUCUGAUAGAGUUUGAGUGGUCUUGAAAGUCUGAGGUUGUUAAGGUUGAGUGUUAGUCUGAAGUUAGGAUAUUGUGAGGGGAUUUUUAUGUUGAUUAUUAUUAUUUUAUUUUAUUCCUUUUUCAAAUUUUCCUCUCUCUUUCCAAAAUUUCCCUUUAAUGUUAUUCUUCAAGUUUUUUUUGUUGUCUCUGAUAUUUUUCCCCCUUUUCAUUAAAUCUUUAUUUUGUUCUUCUUUUUUGAUUAUGUUCGUCAACCUAUCAUUCGAUCGUGCCAUUGGAGUUGUCGGGUUAUCUAAUCGGUUGGUAAGUAAAACCUUGCUUCCCUUUAACUUUUGAUUUGGGAUUAUAGUGAUUUCAAUAUGUAGCAAUUGAUUAGUGGAACUUCGUGUUUAGGAGAAGAUUAUGGAGCAAUGAAUUGCACUCCAACAGUUUAGUGUGUAUUGAAGUGGUUUGUCAUCGACGGUAAGUCAGUUUCGUGUUGUUUCUUGUUGUCAAAUUCAUUAAUCAAACUACUAAAUCAAUGUUGGGUACUUUAAUUUUAGGAUUCGGAAGGCUCGGGAGUAUUUUUGCAUUAAAAUCGUAAUAGGUGUGUCCCCAAAACACAGAAAGUCAGGUUUCGAUAAAAGUCAAAAAUGCAUUUUGUCGAUGCGACAAGGGCAUGUGCCUGGUCGUGUGGCUAGUCCUGUGUGAGACACGGCCAUGUAUUUGACGAGGGUGUGGCUGUGCGCAAGCCACGGUCAUGUGGUAGUGUAAGUGUGGCUGUGUAGGCCAUACGGGCUAGGCCAGUCUAGGUUUGUGGGCCUACACAGGCAUGCCACACGGACGUGUAGGCCCAUACGGCCAUGUAGGCCCACAAUUUUGAGAUUUUCCCUUAGGUCGCACGGUUCGUUUCGAACGAUUGUGGACCUACCAUAGGGUCGGUAAGGGCUAAUCAAACCCUAAAUUAUGUGAAAUGAUAUUUUGAUCGUUCGCCUUGUGUAGGAUGUCAAUAUGUACAUCUGUUUUAUUUACGUAUAUAUAUGCUAUCUGUAUAUGAGCAUGUUAUGCAUGAUAUUACUGUAUCUGUUAUUUCUAUAUUAUGUAUCUGUAAUUGGGGUGGGUUUUGUAUAUGUAGAGAAAGUGAUCUGUACGAUAACACUUCCAUUAUAUUUUGACAGUUGACUGCAUAUUAUUUGUAAUGUGUCGCAUUGACACUAUAUGGUGUGUAGGGAUGGGUGGGUGCUUUUAACCCCAUAUGGUGUGAUGGGAUAGUCGAAGAUGUUGUGUAGAGGAUGGGGGUAGGAUUCUGUAUAUCUGUACUACUUAUCUGAUUUUGUUAUCUGUAUCUGGAAUGGAUAUAAGUCCGGAUCUUGAUCUGACUGUAUAUAAGACUUCUAUUUGUAUUGCAUGUCUAUUUUUGUUAGGUUACACAAUAAGUUUACGAAAACUCACAUCUGUUUGUCUGUUCUGUUUAGGUCUAUAGACUUAGGCGGAUCAGUGUGACGGAGCCUCACAGUAACCACGAGAUUGUAAACUAUUUAAGAUUACGGUUUUUAUUUAAUUUAAGGAUUCUUUCUGGAAGUUUGUAAUAAUUGGACUUUCUAGAAUAUUUGACUUUUAUUUCAGUUUUGGAGGUGUUUUAACUUUUAUGGCCACGUUUGACCAAAUUCACGGUUUUACUAAAAUAAAGGAUUUUCUGAAUACACGAAUUAAAUUUCCAAGAUUCAAUGCUUUUUGAAAACUUCCGCUGUAGAUUAUGUUUUGGAAAAUGAAUGAAUUAAAUAACGCUUCUAGUAACAGAUAGUACACUUGGGGUGAUUUAUCGAACGACUAAACAAAGCUUUAUUAAAAUAUCACUAUUUUAAAAACCCUUCCAUGUAACACUCUUAGAUUAGGCCACAACGUCUAGGCCAGGAUUAGGGUGUUACAUUUAAUGGUAUCAGAGUCAGGUUACAAAACUCGAGCUGUGAAUUUUGGGUUUCAAAAUUAUGUUUUGAAAAGAACAGGUUUUCAAAUAAUUUGGAUCAUUUUGAAUAAGUAUGUGGUACACUGAGUCUCCGGCGUUGAUCCUAUAAGUACUUUUGAACUUAGAUAAAACUUUCUGAAAACACUAUAGUUAGUACUUUCUGAAAUUGUACUGAGUUAGUUAAAAAAUAAAAACUUUUGAAAUAUGUUCGAACUUUUGAUAAUUUGAGCAUGAAAUAUAUGUUAAUAAACAUUGGAGCUGAUGCAUAAAAUUUUCUAAUGUAGAUAAAUUUGAAAAUAUACGAUGAGCGCUUGUGGAACUUGCGGUCAUGGUAUUCGUAGGCUCAGUGGGGGCCGUAAGGGGCUGGAGCUGAGUCUUUUUCUCUGGGCAGUAUGCCAAACUUAGAUAUGAGUAAGCCACCAGUGUCACUUGCUACUGAGACAAGGUCUCAAAGCCACUUGGCUGGGGACGACACACUAUCCCAAGCCAUGUUGAGGGUGUUGGAGAGGGUCACUGGACCCCAUUCUGGAUCUGUGGGCCGUAGGACGGUAACUGAACGACUCUGGUCCAAUAGAGCUGAGUUGUUUAGGGGUGUCAUUGAAGUCGCCCCUAUUGUGGUCGAGUAUUGCUUGGAGGGCACAAAGAGGAUUAUGAACGACAUCAAUUGUACUCCUAAGUAGAAAUUUAAUGGUGCAGCCUCUGUACUUCGCGAUGAGGCAUAUCAGUGGUGGUUGUCGGUUGAGGAGGGUACUCAACGGGACUGUCUGAACUGGGAUUAUUUUAAGACUACCUUUCAGGGGAAGUUUGUGGGCGCAAGCUAUGUUGAUACUUGUAGGCGUGGGUUCAUGAAUCUCACGCAAGGUGAUAAAUCUGUGGCUAAGUAUGAGGCCGAGUUUCUAAGGUUAAGCCGCUACGCUUGAGGCAUGGUGGUGACUAAAUAUGAGAAAUUCAUCUAUUUUAAGGAUAGCUUGAGGUAUAAUCUGAGGGUAUUGAUUGCUCCACAAAGGGAACGACAGUUCGCAGUUCUUGUGGAUAAGGUGAAGAUCGCCGAGGAGAUUAAGUGCGUGGAGCGCUAAAAUAGGGAUCGUGAGUGAGGCAAGAAUAAGAGGGAUUCAGAGCCCUCUAGUUCUGUUUAGAGGGCUAUUAGAGUAGGGGUUCCUAUUACUUCUAAUAGGAUUCAGCCACGUGAUGAUUGUGGUAGGCACCAUCCGGGUGAGUGUUAGAGGAGGUUAGGGGCUUGUUUGAGGUGUUGGUCUUUGGAGCACCACAUUAGAGAAUGUUCACUCCAUGCGGAUUAGAUGCAAGCUGUAGGAUCAAGUUUUAUACAACCUUAGAGGGCAGUUCAGCAGCCAUCUAAGGGUCGUGGUCCUACUAGGGGUGGUAAUGGUAUGGGUCGAGGACAUAGAAUAUCGGGAAAAGGUGUUAGUUAGAUUGAGGCAAGGCAGCCUGCACUGGUUUAUGCUACUCGAUGCCGAGAGGAUAGAGACGCUCCUGAUGUUAUCACAGGUACUUCUUUAUUUUUGGUGUUCCAUAUACUGCUCUGAUAGACAUAGGUUCUACUCAUUCCUAUGUAGGUAGUACUAUUUCUAAAAAUUUAGGGAUUUUUGGUGAGGGUACUUCUAGUGAAAUUAUUGUACUGAGUUCGUUGGGGCAGUCUGUUCAAGUAAGUAGGCUUUAUAGGAAUGUAACUUUGGAAGUACAAGGGAUUGUGUUUUCGGCAGAUCUGAUGGAGUUACUGUUUAGGGAGUUUGACUUAAUUUUGGAUAUAGAUUGGUUGGUUGAGCUUCGAGUUAGCUUGGAUUGCACGACUAAGAGGGUCAGUCUAAGGGCUGUGGAUGAAAGAGAGAUAGUAGUGAUCGGUGAGCAUCGAGAUUAUCUACUUAAUGUGAUCUCUGCUAUUGUGGCUGAAAAAUUGGUUCAGAAAGGGUGUGAGGCGUAUUUAGCUUACGUCAGUGUUCCAGUUUUUGGGGACUCUUCUGUCCGGGAUAUCAGAACAAUAAGGUAAUUUUUGGAUGUAUUUCUUGAGGAAUUAUCGGGUUUACCUCCGAAUUGAGAAGUUGAGUUCGAUAUUGAGCUUCUACCAGGUAUAGCUUCAGUGUCCAUCGCUCCCUAUCGAAUGGCAUCGAAGGAGCUUACAGAGCUUAAGGCUCAACUUCAAGAGCUUUUGCAUUGUGGUUUCAUCUAUCCUAGUGUGUCUCUAUGGGGGGCACCGAUUCUGUUUGUAAAGAAAAAGGAUGGUACCACAAGGAUGUGUAUUGACUACCUGCAGUUGAAUAAACUAACAGUAAAGAAUAAGUAUCCACUUUCGAGGAUUUAGGACUUGUUUGAUCAGUUCCGAGGGGCUGCAGUGUUUUCAAAAAUAGACCUUCGUUCUGGGUAUCAUCAGCUUAACAUUAGAUUUUCAAAUUUAAAAAUUAUUUUUUUUACAGCUGCAUAAUUAAUAAGAUAUCAAUUUUGAGUGCUGUAGAAGUGUUAUAACCUUCUCAACGCAUAACCAACUCUUGAAUUCACUUUUUUCUCUAAAAUUCUACAUAGAACACAAAUUUAUUUUUUAAAAGAAUUUUAAAUCUCACAAUUUUUUUAGGUGAUUCACCAAAGAAUAAAAAGAUAGGAGGUGAUUCCUCCUUUUUCAUAAAACCUUGUGCUUUUGCAAACACCAAAUUAUUGCUAAGCUUUACAUUAAUAGACAUGAUUUAUUUGUUCGUUAUUACUAUUUCUAUGAUUAUAAUACUAAACUUAUCGGACUACAAUCAUAACCAUGUUUAUUAUAAUUCAAUAAAAAGAAAUAAGUGUUGGGUGUAAUGGCAAGGUUCAUUACACUCUUAAUAAGAGAUCAGGGUUUUGGACAAAGGAAGAAUAUGAUUCGAAUUUUGGAGAUGCCAUUCUUAAAAUGAGCAACCACGAAGCCCGAUUAUGAACCAUAAAAUGAACAAGAAAAGUACAAAAAAUACGUCUAUUAUCAAAUUAGUAAUCCAUCCCAAGGCUUAAAUUAACAAAAUUCACCAUGCAACCGUGUAGACUAUUUUACGUAUAUACUAUAUUCAUUCUUCAUGCAAAAUGUUUAUUAUAUUUAAAAAUUAAAAUAUAUGGUUGAUUGAGUUUUAGUUGAGUUAAUAUUGAUAUUGUUGUUAGUGCAGAAGAAUGUGAGUUCAAUCAUGUUUAAACGCGUUUUUCUUUCAAUUUAGGAGUUGGAAAGGGUUCUCAAUAGUUAAAUUAUAUAAGUUUUUUUGUCUAUUUAAAAUUGAUUUAUAAACAAUAUAAAUAAAAAGAUUUAAAAUAUAUAUAUUCAUAUUGAUGGGCUUUUUCAUUAUUAGACUUUUUUCCUUACAGGUAAAAGUAUAUAUGGACAUGAUGAUGUAAAAUUAUGACCUGAAUAAUUUUAAACCUUUCAUCACUGCAAAAAUGAAAAUAAUAGAAAUGAAAGACUAGCCAUUGUAUGAAAUUUAUAAUUGAACUGCCAACAAAAUUGGGAGAAAUUUUUAAAUUUUAUGAAAUUUUAAAAUUAAACUAUCAAUAAUAGAAAAUUGCCUGAGUGACUUGGGAUUAGAGGUUGAACAUUUCUGGACCACAAUACAUUUAAGAUGGGUCUUUAAAGUUAUACUUUAGUUAUUGAGAACAUUUUCCACAAAUUGUCAUUAUUGUUUACUGCAGCAAAACAGGCUUUUAGCAUCGUUUUUUUAGGCCUAUAGCGGCGUUUUCACAAGAGUCGCAAAAAAUGCCACUAUAAAAAACGCUGUUAAAUUUUGCGGCGUUUUAGAACAUGACCUUUAGCGGCACUUUACCCACAAAUGCCACUGAAGAACAUGAUCUUUAGCGGCGCUUUCCCAUAAACACCACUAAAGAACUUGAUCUUUAGCGACACUUUUAUCACAAACGCCGCUAAAGAACAUGACCUUUAGCGGCGCUUUUAUCACAAACGCCGCUGAAGAGCAUGGCCUUUUGUGGUGCUUUUAUCACAAACGCCGUUAAAAGUACCAUUCUUUAGCGGCGUUUAUGAAAAAACACCACUAACUUUGGCAGAUUUGUAACAUCCAAUUUUCAUCCAUAUACAACCCUUCCUGUAGCAUGAAAUCCAACCAAAAACAACAAAUCUAAAUGAUACUUCAAAUUCUACAAAAGAUAUAUGAUAUAAAUUGAUAACUGAAGUAUAAUUCAAAAUAUUCUUACAAUAAUGUUAAAAGUUACAACGUUAAAAAUAUUCUUACGAUAAGAAAGCAAUGUCUAAGAUGGCGGAUUUUGCGACUGCUGAAACAUCUUCAUCAUAUUCUGAAGCUGUAGCUGGAGUGCGUAGUACUUUUUGACUGAAUAAACACAAAUCUAUUUUUCGACAGCUAUAUCAAAUUAGCUAUAAACCUUCAACAGGACCAGUACUUGCAAAAACCUCUUGGAGUAGUGGUUCAGCCCACCAACCUGCAGUUUCUCAAAAAUUAAAAUAAAAAAUUAAAAGUUAAAGAAAAAAUAGAAAAAAGAAGAGAUAAAUAAAACUAUAUAAGUAACUUUCUAAGUUGUUAAAAAGAUGCAAGAACAUGCAAGCAUCUAUCAGAUUCCAAAAACCAUUUAACUAGCAAUUAAAAGAGCCAUUAGCUUAGAAUUUUGCACAGAGGGUCAUAGCCACAUAUCCAAUCAGCAACUCAUGAAGGAAAGUGUCUCUAAUUCAUGCAGUUAUAAGCACAAAAGUGACUAGGGUAUGUGCUUAAGCAAGAAGGGGAAAUAAGAGACUCACAAUAUACAAAUAAAACAAAAUGGAAAAAAGGGGAAAAAGAAGUAAAAAAAACCUAGGCAAACACUCACACACUGCGGCAAGUACUUGGAUCAAAACCAUGAGGCAAAUUUCCACUUGGUAUUGGCUCUGUUUGUAGAAUAGAAAAGUGAAAAAUAAAAAAGAGGAGAAAAGAAGAAACGAUGUACAAAAAAUUCAAAUCCCACUCAACUCAAUUCUAAAGCCUCCAUAUCCAAGAAAAAGGAUGAGUUUUUGAAGAAAUCCAAUAGUCAACCUAAAUGAACAAACAAGAUGCUAACUACGACCAUGACAAAUGUAAGCAUCACUUCUCCUACUUUGGAAACACUUUCCACUUGAAAAGACAACAGACUUCCUUGCUUUUACUAUUAUCACAUUUUCCCCCUUCAUUUUUUUAGUGCCGACCAGAAAAAAAAUAUUUUAGCCUCAUCUAAAUAAGACAAAUUUCAGCAGAACAAUAGACAGUAGAUCAGACCCAAUUCAAGGGUAAUGUAGUCCAAAGUUCCUUGAACUCCCUCCUUCAAAGUGAAAAACAAAUCUAUAUCUUUCUGCAUGAUUCAAACAAAAAUGACUGUUGGACAUGUAACUCAGAAAGAAUGCAAAUACAUUGAAAGCACCACAGACUUUAUAAAUUAGCUUCAUGCUGCUAAAUUUCAACACUAUAAACCUAACAAAGCCCAGAAUGAAAUGCGGGAAUCAUGUCUUAAACUCUAAUACUCAAACAAGAGACAGAUAAAUUGCACGUUUUUUUAUAUAAUAUUUACAAACUAGAGAUAAAGAUAUAGAAAAAUAUAAACAUGGACAUGGACAAAAAGACUAAUUGACUGUGCAUGUGUGCCAAAGAGAUGGCAACUAAACAUUAUCCAAACACAAUCAUUUCUCAACAUUUGCAAAACAAAAUGAAGAUUAAGAUUAGCGGUAAACUAAAUAAAACCAAAGAAAUGAGAACCACAAGUAAAUGAGAAAGAAAACAAAAUAGAGAACCUAAUAGCUUUCCCAUUGAACUUCGUAUAAAAGAAAUAACAACAUUCGAACUUCAAGCAAAUAAAAAUGUAAAAUAUUUAGAAUCAAAACAAUCUUUUAUCAAAAUUCAAACCAAAAACAAUGAGCUUCACUCUAUACAAGAAGCAUGUUAACCUCAUAGGCUUUCUGAUUUCUGGAAACCAAAUCCAGAAACGUCUCCCACCAAAAAUCAAGAAAAUAAAUUUUGUUUUUAAAAAUUACAUUCAAAUCGUGAAAUAGGAGCAAGGUCCUUCGAAUUCAAGCAAAGUUGAUGGUAAAAGCUUAGCUUUCAAAGGUCAAACAUCACAGCAUUAAAUAUAAAACUAACCCAAUCUCCACCAAUUCAAAAACAAGAAACCAAACACGAACCAGAAGAUCCAAACACGAUUUCGAAAAAAAGAAAAAUAGAUAUUCCUGAAAACUGGAUCAAAAACUAGCAUAUACUUAAUAAAAAGAGAAAUUGACGGAAAAUCAUAGGAGAUCUGCAUGCAAAUAGAGGCACACUUUUGCUUGAUUAUUCGCUUAAAAAAGUAACAAUGGAAAAUAAGAUGCAAGUUCUAGGUAAAACCAUCAUGUCUUCUUACUCACCACAAACAAAGGCCCUCUAGGACCUUCAUGAAUUUUUGUCUCAUAAGUGCUUCUAUUGUGAGCCCGAACAGCUUGAUAGCCCACAAGAUAAGGAUAUCGAUCUUCAUCCUACAGAUUAACAAGGUUAAAUCCACUUAAAUGAAACACCAUUAGUCCAUAACAAUUUACUUCAAUUUUCUGCUGUUAGUUCAAAUAUGUAUUUUUUUUAAUUUGACAAAACUUGUUAGGAUCGAAUAUUCGGAAUUCCUAAAUUUCAAUUCAAAUUUACACCAUACUUGCAGAAAAAUAUACUACUAUUAGAGACACCGGCAAUCAACCAGAGUUCUUUAGUUUUCAAUCAAGUUAUUCGGCAGGAAUCUAUAUUGAUUACACAAAAAAAAAAUCAUACACCGUGAGAAUGUCGAGUAAAUUGCAAAUAGAAAAGCAAACGAACCCUAGAGGAGCUCCAAUACUUCUUCUCCCAAGGGCCUUUGUAUAGAGAUCCAAUGGAAAUGAUCUCUAGAUCGUCUAAUUUCGCUGUUUGUUCUGCUUCUUUAGUUUUUGCCAUUCAAAGAAAUGAGAAGAAAGCAAGAUUUCCAAACAACUAACAAUAAGCGAGUAGACAGAAUUUUCAAGAUAGAUGAAGAGAUGGCAUUUUAAAAUAGCGGGAACUAAAAUCUUGAAAUGCGUCAUUUCCCUCAAAAUUCUAAAUAAAAACUUUAUUUAAUUAGGAAAAAUGUGAAUCGAUUUUGGGAAAAAUAAGAGGAAAAAAAAAGAAGAUAUUUCAUUUGAAAUUUUGGGAUAAAAAAUAUAAUUACAAAACGACGCUGUUUUGCAAAAUAUAUAUUCGUGGCAUUUGGACCAAAAACGCUACUAUUGUUCAACUUUUUUGCGACGAUUGCAACAAAAACGCCGCUAUUGCUUACCUUUUGUGGCAUUUUUUUUAUAAACGCAGCUAACGCUCGACUUUUUUACAAUUUUUAUAUUGAAUUAUUGUAUCUUUCAUAUAAAUUUUAAAUAAAUAAUUUUUUAAAUUUUACGUAAUAUUUAAAAGAAUUAGAUAAAAUUAUAAUUUUUUAUUUUUUGUAUUUCAUUUUUAUUUUUGUAUUUCAUUUUUAUUUGUUAUAAUUUGGUCCUAUCCAAAAUAGAUAGUUACCUAUCCAUAUCAAUCUGUUACUUUUUUUAUUUAUUUAUCAAUGUUUUUUUAAAUCUAAUAUUUAAAUAUAUCAAAUGGUUUAGAUUAAAUAUUUUUAAAUAUAAAAGCAUUAAUUGAUUGUAUAAAAUUUCAUCAUUUAACAAAUCUCAAGUAAACCUUAAAUCCUAAACCAUUUAAUAUUUAUAAAGUUUAUCUAUUAUCUCUUAUAUAAUUUAAACUAUAAUCAUAAUUUUAAUAUAUUAAAAUUAAUAUUAUCUCUUUUACAAUUAUAUAAGAAAUGAUUUAAUAUAUAAAUUAAAAAACACUAAUUAAUCUAAACUCUAAACCCCUAUCCCCUAUCCCCUAAACCUUAAAUCAUAAAACAUAACCCUUAACCCUUAACCCUUAACCCUUAAUCCUUAAUCCUUAACCCCUAAACCUUAAACCCCAACCCUUAAACCAAAAAUCAUAAACCAUAAACCAUAAUCCCUAAACCCAUAAUCCAUAAACCUUAAAAUAGUAACUCCUAAGCCAUAAACCAUAAACCAUAACCCUAAACCCUAAACUAUAAUGAUAAUUAAUUCAAUAUUUUAAAAUUAAUACUAUCUCUUUUACAAUUAUAUAAGAAAUUAUUUAAUAUAUAAAUUAAAAAACAAUAAGUCAUGAACCCAAAAAACUUUAAAAUUAUUUUAAAUAAUAGUAUUUUAAUUUUUUUCAUUUUUAACAAAUAUUUUCUAUGUUUUUACUUCCAAAAAUUGUCUACAUGUCAUUAUUUUUUUUUGAAGAAUUUAAAUAUUCAAUUAAAAAUAAAUUUUAUUUUAAUUAUAUAAAUAAACCAGUUAAAUAAUAAAUAGACAAAUAAAAUAUUUUUUGCGGCAUUUUUGAUAAAGUGCCGCUAAAGCUCGAUCUAUAGCAGCGUUUUACAAAAAAGCGUCGCUAAUGCCACUAAAGCUCAUUACUGAAUUUUUUGCGGCAUUUUUCAAAAAGCGCUGCUAAUGCUCGACCUAUAGUGGCGUUUUUCAAGAAGCGCCGCUAAUGCCACUAAAGCUCAACAUAAAGGUACUUGAGUCUAGUUUCAAAGACAUCAAGCGGAUAUUAAUUCGGAAUUCUGUAGCUCAAGAUAUAAAUUUAUGUUAAUCUUGUUAUCUUUCUUAUUUUAGAAUUGAUUACAUGAAAGUUAAUUGCUAAUACUAUUAGUUAAUUAUUAGUUUUCUUCAAAUCAAAUUAAAACCCGAAAGGUCCCUCUUUUUUUAUAUUAGUUUUAGUUUUCCAUUAAAUUUGUUUCUUUGUAAUAAAAUUAAAUUAUAGAAAUAACAUUAAAAUUUUAAAUAAAAAUAGUUCACAAUAAUUUAUUAUUUAAAAAACUCCCUGAAAUUUAAAAUUAUUGUUAUAAGUAUACCAUUAAAUUAUACAGAAUUUAAUUUUUCUUUCAAAUACUACAGUUAAUAAGGAAAGAGAAUAUAGUUCAUAUCAAUAAAACUUUAAAAAAGAAAUAUUGUUUAAUUAGUUAAUUUAAAAAUCAAUAGCGUCUAAAAACGGUCAGAAUGAAAUAUUAGAUUUUGUAAGAUUUCAUUAUUCUAAAAAAUAAAAUAUGACCAUGCUUAAAAAUUUUAUUAAAAAAGUUUUAAAUUUUAUAUAAAAAUAAAAAAAUAGUACUAAAAAUUUUUAUAAGCAAAUUUAAAUAUUAAUUAGUAAAUUUUUUUUGUAAUAUUUAUAUGUAUUUUCAUUCUUAUAAAUACUAUUAAAACUUUUUAAAAAAAUUUGAAUGCUAUUUAAAAACAUUAUUAAAAAUAAAAUAUUAUAUGAAAGUUAAAAUGAUCUAAAAACAUAUUUUAAAAAUUUAAAUACUUUAUAAAAUAUUUAAAACUGUUUAAAAAUUUCUAAACCCUAAAAAAAUAAUAAAAUAUAAUUCUUUCUAAGAAAUCAACAAAAAUAUAUUUAUAAUUGAACUCUCAACAAAAUUGUGAGAAAUAUUUAAAUUUUAUGAAAUUUUAUACUUAAACUGUCAAUAAUAGAAAAUUGCCUGAGUGACAUGGGAUAAGAGGUUCAACAUUUCUGGAUCACAUUGCAUUUAAGGCGGGUCUUUAGGGUUAUACUUUAGUUUUUUAGAACAUUUUCCACAAUUUGCCAUCAUUACUUGUGAGUGAUUUGUGGGGUAAGAGGUUGAACACUUCUGGAUCACAUUGCAUUUAAGACUGGUAUCAUUCAUAAAUUAUAUAUCUACAACAAGAAUGGUAGCCUCUUAUAUUAUAUUCAUGUAUCUAUUUUGCAUCUUUCAUUAUAAUAUGAUUUAGUAAUUUUAAUAUUUUUAUAGAAUAAUAUGAUUUAAAUUUUUUUGUAUUUUUCGUAAAAAUUAUAAUAAACUUACAAAAUGAUUUAAUGAUAUUUAAUUAUUAACGGAAAAAUUAUAUCAUAUAUAUUCUGUAUAUAUUAAGAUUCUGAAUUAUUAAUUAUAUAUCUACAUAUUAUAAUAAAUUCAUCUUUCAAAAUUUUCCUAAACUAUAUUCACAAUAUUAUAAAUAUAUUAUAUCAAAAAUAUUCUUUCAAAUGUUUUUUAAUGUUUAAUAAUAAAUUAAUUUAUAAAAUAUUCUUUCAAUAAAUUAACGUGAUGAGAUCGUUAAUUAGGUGCUUGGAUUUGGUGAUGGGGACGAAGAGAAAAGGGAUGGAAGUGAAGACAAAUGUUGGGAAAUUGAAAGGGUUAGCGAGGGAGGCCAGCGUGAAAGGUGGUUCUACGGAUAUGAACCUUCAAGCUUUUGUGGAUGAUGUUACUAAAGGUUAUUGCAAGUAAAUUUAAAAAUGUUUUUUAAUUAUUUUUUGUUAAAAAAUAUUUUUUUUUCUAUGUGGCUUUCCACAUUAGCAUGCUACCAUGUGGUAACUUCUAGUGAUUUCCGUCUGUAAUAUUAGACAGGUUAACAGUUAAACCAUUCAACUGACAAAUUUCGUUAAAGGAAGAGGUCAAUUAAUUUUUUUUGGACUCAUUGAGUACUCAAUUGGUGCAUUUUUUUAUAAAGACUAAAUUAAUUUUUUUAAUUUGUUAUUGCUGAGGGCUACAGUAAUAAAAAGUUUUGAGGUAAAAUUGGAAUAACGUCCCAAAAAUCUAAUACUUAAUUUUUAAAAUUUUAUCAUUAAUAAAUAUUUGUCUUAGUGAUUAAGUAUUUGAGUCGUGUUUAUAAGAUAUUGUAUUCAAGUUCCUACGUGAAUGGAUUGUUAUUAUUAUUAUUUUUUAAUUUUUGAGUUUGAGUCCAUUUCGAACUCUGGAAAAAGGUGGUUACUUAUCUGAGAUGGGGUUAGUGCUUAGUAGAUUUGGAUUUGGUUUAUUUUAAAAUUUAUUAAUUAAUUUGUUAAAAAAUUAAAUUAGUUUUUUCCUAAUUUUUGGCUCACCGUUCUUUCUCUUGUUUUUCUUUAUGCUUUCUUUUUCUUUUCUUUUUCUGUUACCUUUCAAAUCACGUCGAUUUGUUCCUAUUUCGCUUUUGAGUUUUUCUUUUCUUUCCUUUACGCUCCUCUACGAUCGUGUCUUAAUUCCUUCAUUAUUUUCUCUUUGUUGGCGUUGCUCGUUCGUAAGUGGGUUAGUUUCCGUUUUGAUGUAUUUUUACGUGGUUAGUAAAAGAAAUGUGUUAAUUUUUGGAUUAUGGAGUUGAUCGUUUUUAAUCAAUUCUCCAGUAAGUUGACUCGUUCGCUGUUAUUAUGUCCUAGGGUAAAGGAUUAACUCUGAUUUGGGCCCGUGUGGUUGUGUAGAUUUUUCAUGUGAAUUCGUUUGGUAUUUUUAGGAUAAAUCAUUCUUUAAGUCGUAUUGCUACCAUCGCUAAUGUGAUGUUUUAAUUUAUGCAUUUAGGAUUUGAUAGUCUUAUGGGUGUUUUCGUAUAAAAAUCAAACCAAGUGUGUAACGAAAAACCCGACAACAACGAGCGACGAAAGUCAAAAAAUUGCACUGUCGACACCACACGGCCGUGUGUCGGGCCGUGUGACAAGCCGUGUUUCAGACCGUGUGCGACAUAUUGUUUGGGCUAGUUGAGCCGUGUGGAACACACAGGUGUGUGUGAGGAUGUGUGCCACGCCAUGUGAGCCACACGGGCUGGCCAUUUAGGCCGUUUGAGACCAAAAUACUAAAUUUUUCCCUAGGGUUAUACACAUCGUUAUGAUCGAUCGUAGGCCUUUCGUGGGGUCGAUAUAUAAUCAAAUAGACUGUAAAGUAUGAAAUCCGGUCAACUAAUAGUAUAAAUUCUGAUAUCUGUUCAUAUAUUUGAGAUGUUAUUUGUUCAAUAAACCUUGUAAUAGGCUAUGAGAAACUUGAGAAAUAUUAUGUAUGCUUUGUAUCUGUUAUGUCAUACAUGUAUAACUGUAUUAUGUCUGAUUUUGUUCUAUUCUUUUCUGUAUUUGCAUUUGGGGUGGGUUAUAUUAUGUGGAGGAAGUGUUUCUUUGAAUGGCGAUAAUUCGCCUAUUACACUGGCAGCUCAGCUACAAAUAUUCUGAAAAGUGUUAUAUCGACACUAAAUGGUGUGUAAGGUUGGAUGAGUGUUUCAUACCCCAUAUGGUGUGUUGAGCUGGUCGGAGAUAGUGUGUAGCAGAUGGGGGUAGGAAUAUAUGUUUGUAUCUGUACUGCUCUGAUAUGAAUAUGUUCUGCUAAAUCUAUCUGAUAUAAAUUAACUGUUUAAAGUUAUUUGUUAUACAUUGAGUUUUGUAAACUCACUUUCUGUUUGUUUGAUAUUUUUAGGUAACCCUCAGACUUUGGCAAAUUGGUGCGAAGGAGCUCGGUUAAAUUGAUUUAGUUUCAUCAUCUAUUAUAAUCAAAUUUUGUGUUAUUGUGUUUCAUUAUUUUUGAACUUUUGGGACUUUUUGGACUGUUUUGGUUUUUGAGAUUUUAUUUUCAAUUUUUGCAUGAUAUUAUUAAAAAUGUUUUAUCGGAAAUGUCUGUUUUCUUGAAAAACAACUGAUUUCAAAAAAAUAAACUUAGUUUUCCAAACAUAAUGAUUUGAGAAUUUCCGCUGCUAAGUAUUCAUUUUAGAAAAUGUAAGCAAACAUCGUUUUCAACUACAAAGUUAAGUUAGAUGUAUUUUCUCUUAAAUCGAGGUUUAAGUAAUAAAAGAUUAUGUCAUUUUUCCAAAUUUUACGAAAAAUUGGAUUUACAAUUGUUUUAUGUAACAUCUCUAGAUUUGGCCAUAACGUCUAAGUCGGAUUUCGGGCGUUACAUUUUGUGAUAUCAGAGUCAGGUUGCAAAACUCGGGCUGUGAAAUUUUCGGUUCAAAAUUUUGUGAAAACUAUUUUUCGAGUAAAGUUCAUUUCUGCAUUAAUUUGAAAAAUUAAUUAUAUGAAGUAUCGAGUCUCUAACGUUGAUCCUGUAAGUACUUUUGACUUAGAUAAACUUUAGUUUAGAAAACUCUGAAAUGAUUAGAACUAUACUUGGAUAGUUAGAGACUGAAACAUCUUUAUAAAUUCUUUUGAUAACUUUUUGAGAACAAAAUAUCUGCUAAUAAAUACUAAAAUUGAUACAUAAAAUUCGUAAUGUAAGUAAUAUAUACGAUGAGUACUUGUGGAACAUGUGGAUGCGUUACCCGUAGGCGUGGCGGGCGCCGAAGAGGGGCUCGAGCUGAGUCAUCCUCGAUGGGUACCUGAUAGGCUAUUGCUGGAGAGAGCAAUAGUCUUGAGAGAAGAAAUGUUGAAGAUCGAAGUCAAAAUCUGACCUAUAAAGCCUUUAAUUGCUUGAAUGAUAAGCAUUUCUAAACUAAAAAGAUUACCGAUUUUUUCAGGAAUUUGACCUGCAGACAUAGUUGAAACAUCAAGGUGUUAAAUUACCUAUUUUGUUAGUGUAAAUCAAAGAGGCGUUUUAUUUUUUUCGUUUUGAAAUAAUAUGGAUAUGUUAGAUUCUAAUCAUAUUUAAGUAUAUAUUAGUUCUUGAAAGAAAGAGUUCUUAUUUUUGGUAUUUAUAUUGCAAAUAUAUUUUUUUAAAUUUAAAAAAGGGGGGGGGCAAAUGUGUUUAAAACUAAAGACAUCAAGGAAAAGGCAUACCUUCUAGGUUAUUUAACCCCAAGUAUAAUUGUUUAAGUUGUGUCAAAUUCCCAAUGCUUUUUGGAAUGAUCCCACUAAAUUGAUUAAUAGACAAUUCCAAAAUUUGAAGGUUGCAGCAUUUGUCUAUACUUGAUGGAAUAGAACUUGAUAAUUCAUUUCUACUCAAGUAAAGCUCUUUAAGCUUGGGAAGAUGGACACACUAAAUUGAUUAAUAGACAACUCCAAAAUUUAAAAGAUAUUCUGGCUUCGCCCUUAAUAAAAUUUUUGGAAAAAGAUUAAAAAAAAGUUAUACGGUAAAUGAAAAAAAGAAGAAAAUAACUUGAUGUCCAAAAGCUACCAUAAACAGUAAUUCGUGGGAAGGCUUGUUGCUCAUUUUAUUGGUUUCCAUUUUGAUUUUGCAAAAGAAGUUUGAAUUUUGAAGAGAGCAUACUACGUGAGAGCAAAAGAAAAAAUAUAGUUUAUUAAUUUUUACGAAUACCGACAUAUUAUAUAUACGAUUAAAAUUCAGAAUAGAUUAAAAAUGUUCAAUUAAAGAUAAAAUUAAAUGUGAAUUAAUAACCACAAGUCUACUCAUUACUCAUUACUCACCGUCUCUGUUAAAAAUGUUGGAUGUUGUUCAGCAACCUUUGUUUGAUUUUCUUCAGCUCAACCACAACAUCUUUCAUAUCUUUUCUUUCUUCUGGUAACUCAGCUGAACAAUUCAAAGCCAACUCCAUGAUAGAUGAAAUGCAAUUUGCUUUAACAACAAAGUACUCAUCGUCUCUUCUUAGUAAAUCAACAUCUGCAAUUUCUAUCGCUCCUUUAGGCAAUGAACUUUCCAUCCAAUGCCUUAUAGUCUCUUCUUCAACAAAAACAUUAUCAGUUGGCUUUUUCUUUGUAAAAGUUUCUAUAAGGACGAUCCCAAAACUAUAGACGUCAGAUUUUAUAGAAACAAUUCCUGCCGAUCCAAAUUCUGCAUUUCAAGUAUAAUUAGAACAUCAUUCAUCCUCAAUUAUUUCUAAAAUGCUUAUUCAAAUAUAUAUCCUCAUACACAUGAAACAAAAAUAUAAAAUGCAAAUUAGGAAAAUAAUCAUACAAAAAUAAAAAUGAAUUCACCUGGUGCCAUAUACCCGAUAGUUGCAAGAGUCAUGGUUUGCUUCAUUACUUCACCUUCCCCCAACAAUUUGACAAGGCCAAAAUCUCCAACAUGUGCAACCAUGUCUUCAUCUAGUAAAAUAUUGCUUGGUUUUAUGUCACAAUGAAUUGUAGGUGUUGGAUGUCCAUUGUGGAGGUGUUCUAUAGCUACCGCAACAUCUAUCAUUAUGUCGACCCUUUGUAUGAUAUCAAGGAAACAAUUUUCAGAAUGUAACCAUUUCUCAAGGUUUCCAUUAGACAUGUAAUCAAGCACCAAGGCUUUGAAGCCAACACUUGAGCAGCAAGUAACGACCUUCACAAUAUUACGAUGAACUACAUUACGCAUAGCAUCACAUUCAAUGUCAAAACUCCUAAAUGCUCCCUCUGUUUGCAAAUUGAAAACUUUUAUUGCAACUUCCAUUCCAUCCGAAAGCCUCCCUUUAUAUACAUAUCCAAAACUCCCUGAACAAAGCAUAUUGCUUUCCUUAAAUCCAUUAGUUGCUCGUGAAAGUUCAGCAUGUGAAAUUCUUCUCGGUGUUUUCAAAGACAACAAAUCAUCUUUAAUUGGUAGAGUUGUACUCCUUCUUUGGCAUCUUCUAUACAUAAUAGUUAAGACUAUUAGUACUACGACAACACCAAUUGUUGGUAAACCAUACCUAAAAGCAUGCAAUAUAAUCAUUUGGGAGUUUUUGUGGAUGUCGUUUUUGCAAGGUGGAACUAGAAAUCUAUGUGGACCACAAAGUGCAUAAUUCUUCAUGAAUGAUGUGCUAGAAAAGUUUGAAAAACAUCCUUUGCUGGGAAUUUCCCCUUCAAGUCUAUUGAAAGACACAUUAAAAUACUUUAGAUAUAAAAGCUUUUCCAAAGAUUUGGGAAUGACUCCAGAGAGAUUGUUAUUGCAUAAAUCCAAGAAUUCCAAACUAAUCAACCCAUCAAAUGAUUCAGGGAUAUGACCAUGUAGUAUAUUAUUUGAUAAAUCUAAUGAAACCAAAGUUUGAAGACCCCCAAAUGUGGAUAAGAUAUCACCCGUGAGAAGAUUCCUAGAUAAAUUUAGUUUCAGUAGACUCCUCAAAUUUCCAACAUCAAUAGCGUGUGAAUUGUGAAGAUGGUUUGAUGAUAAAUCUAUUUCUAAGAUAUCUUUAAGAUUCCACAAAGUUGAGGGAAUUGCGGAACUCAAUUUGUUGGAAUCUAAGCAAAGAUAUCCCAAAGAAGUAAUAUUACCUAAACAAGAGGGUAUGGAUCCAUGCAGCUUAUUCAACCCUAAACACAAGUUGUAUAGUCUCUCCAAACCACAGAGGCUUUCUGAGAUGGGCCCUCCUAAUUUAUUAGAGGAAAGAUCUAGACCUUGGAGAUUUCGCAGUCCUCCUAUUGAUGUUGGAAUGAAUCCACUUAAUUUAUUAGAGCCAAGUUCUAAACCGAACAUAUUGGUUAAGUUACCUAUUUCCAUAGGAAUAAUGCCUUGAAGCUCACACUCUUCGGCAUAAAAGUAUUGAAGGGAUUUUGAAAGGUUCCCAAUAUAAGUAGGAAGAACGCCACUCAAUGGAUUUCCUGAAACUUCUAUGUCUUUCAAAUUCUUACAAUUCGUCAAAGAAGAAAGAAAGCUCCACUCAUGAUCAGUAGCAGAUCCUGUGAUCAAAUUAUUGUCAAAGAUUUUGAGCACUUCAAGGUGUUUUAAGCUGCAAAGCAUUCUAGGGAUUGGGCCAGAGAAUAAGUUUUGUGACAAUUCUAGUUCCUUAAGCAUGGAAGCAUUGGAGAUAGAGUUGGGAAUGUUUCCGCUAAGUUUAUUUCUCCACAAUAAAAGAAUCUCAAGCUUUGGAGCAUUGGUGAUGGGUGGUAAAUUACCUGUAAAAUAGCAUCUUUUAGUAUACAUAUUCAUUGAAUACCAAAUUUACAAAAUAUAUAAUACAUUAAAAUAAAAACUGUACAACUUUAAAUCAAUUAAGAAUAGAAUUUUGGCAUGGAAAAAUGUGAUGAAAUCACUUAGAAAGUUGAGACAUAAUAAGAAGUUUUAAGUAGUAAUUAUUCCUUGUGAUUUGUAUAGAAAAAACAUAUAAUACACUAACAAUUUUUUAAAAAUAAAAAUAAAAGUUUGGCAUGAGAAUGUGGCAUCUAAUCCAUCUUAAAAAUGAGUCUGACACUGAAUAAUAAUUAGUUAUGAUUUGGGAAAAAAAUGUUAAAGCCAUUGUUUUUAAUGUAAACUGGUAUGAUUUUUAUCUAUUGGGUAUAUUAUUUAUUUUUAUUAAAUUAUAGUGUAAAAUUUAAAGAUUAUUAUUUGCUCAAAAUUUUUGUAUUUUUCGUAUAUUUGAAAUUUAAUCUUUAUAUUUUUUAUUUUCUGUGAUUUAGUCUCUCUACUUUUUGAAUUGUAAAUUUUAGGUUUAUUUAUUAAUGCUGUUAAAAAGUUUUUGUGUUAGUAUGGCAUUUUGAAAAAUAAAAUAAACUUGAUAUCUAUGUUUUUAAUUAUUCCAAAUAUUGUUUUACUAUUUCAAGAUAAAUUAUUUGUGUCUAGACCAAUAUCUUAAGAACUAUUAUUGCAUGUUUAAUUAUUCUAAAGAAUUGUCGAUUGAGUCUUAGCUUGAUUGGCAUGUGCAUUGUUGCCAAUGUAGGAGAAUGUGGGUUCAAGUAUGCUGAAGUGUAUUAUCCUUCUAUUUAUGAAUCAAGGAGUUGGCAAAGUAUUAUAUUUUGAUAUAUUUUAGAAUAUUAAAAAAUUAUUAAAAUAUUUUUUUAUAAAAAUUGGUUGUACCACAAUAUACAUCAAAUUUUUAAUUUUUUUAAAAAUAUUAGCGAAUUUAUAUUUUAUUUCAAGUUACACAAUUUUUACUAGUUUUUAACUUUUUUUUAAAAAUUUUUAUCGUCUUUCAUAAUUUCUAAUAAAUUUUUAUAUAUUUUUGACAAUAUUUAACAAUUUCUAACAAUUUUUAAUAAUUUUAUUAUUAAUUACAAAUUUAAAAAUUAACACAUUUUUAUUUUUUAAAACAAUUUUAUAUUUAUAAUGUAGUUGUUUUUUUUAUAAUUUUAUUUGAAAAUUUAAAGCUUUUUUGGUUUUUUUAAGAUAAUGAUGCCAUCAUGAUGUCAUCAUAUGCCACAUGGCAAUUUAUGAUUAGUUGGAUAUCUCAAUCUAUUUUUUUAACGUCCAAUUGACUAAACCAAGAACACCUGAUAAUGUUAGAGACUACACUAGAAAUGCUUGAUAAUAUUAGGUACUAAAGUGGGCAAAAACUCAUUAAGGACCAAAGUAAAAAAAAAAAAAGAGCAAUAUGCUGUAGGGAAUAAAUGCAUGAAUUUUGAGAAACUUUUGAACUAAUAAUUACAUAGUAAUUAUUAGUGAAUUUGUUAUUUUAAAUAUUUUUAUUACUUUUAGGAUUUAUCAUAUGUAUGGAUAAGAAUUUUGGUUUUACUAAAAUAUUUGGUUAAAUAAAUUCAUAAAAAAAUUUAGCAUCCUUAUAAAUAACAAUUUUGAUUCUAUUAAAAAAAUCAUUUUAAAAAAUAUAUAAUAAAAAUUUAAAAUUUAUAUUGAAUUACUUUAUACGUAAAUUAUUAUUAGAAACGUUAUCAUACACAUAUGUAUAUGAGAACUACGUAUUUAGAACAUAAAUUUAUGUUUGAAAAUAACUUAUGAUAAAUAAUGAAAUGUAUAAUUUGAAACUAUUUAAUAAUAACACAUGGCAUAUCUACCAUAUUAAAAAUAAAAAUAGAUUAAAUUGUAAGUAAAACAUAAUUUAAACAUAUGGAUACAUCAAAUUAAGAAUACUAAAUGAAUACAGUUAUUUAUGAUGAUGUUGUUGUCAAUUCUUAAGUUGGUGUCGAGUUAAUUUGUGACAUCAUAAUUUUAAGUGAUAAAUUUAAAGUUUUAUGUAUUGAUGUGGAUUCAAAUAUCACCAUAACUUUUUUAAAAUAAAAAAUUAAAUUCAACACAAUAAAAUGAAACAAAUUCAACACAAUGUUUUUGGAGUUUGCAAAAAAUUAAAGUGAAAAACAUACCUUCUAAUUUGUUGUCAUAUAGAACUAUUUCUUCGAGCGUAGUUGAAUUAAAAAUACUUGAUGGAAUCUGGCCUGCACACAUAGUCGAAAAUUGAAGUGAAAAAUACACCUUCUAAACUGUUCAACUAAAAAUACUUUAAGCAUAUUUUUUUUUCCAUCAAAUUAACUAUUUUGCCUUGAAUGAAAUAAAAUGCUCUUACUUUUGUUAUCUAUUACAAAUCAAACUCUUUUGUGAAUAAAAUAUUACCAGAUAAUUCAUUCCAACCCAGGUUAAGCCCUUCAAGCUUGGGAAGUUGUUGACACAUAUCAUUAGGCAAACUACCUGAUAGGCUAUUGCUGGAGAGGUCAAUGGUCUUCAGAGAAGAAAUGUUGAAGAUCGAAGUUGGAAUUUGACCUGUAAGGCCUUUAGUUGCUUCAAUAUCAAGCAGUUCCAAACCAAGAAGAUUACCGAUUUCCUUAGGAAUUUGACCUGCAGACAUAGUUGAAAAAUCAAUGUUUUUUAGCAUAUAUUUUUCAUCAAAUUAACUAUUUUUCUUCGAAUGAAAUAAAAAGUUCUUCCUUUUGUUAUCUAUUACAAAUUAAACUCUUUCAUAAAAAAAUACUUUAAAUUCAAGAAAUUAAGGAAAUUGAUUACCUUUUAGAUUAUUAAACCCUAAAUAUAAUUCCUGGAGUCGUGUUAGAUUUCCAAUACUUCUUGGAAUGAUCCCCAUAAAUUGAUUACCGAACAAUGACAAAUUUUUAAGGUUGUUGCAUUUGCCCAUGCCAAAUGGAAUGUAACCAGAUAAUUCAUUCCAACUCACGAAAAGCCCUUCAAGCUUGGGAAGAUGUUGACACAUAUCAUUAGGCAAAGUACCUGAUAGGCUAUUGCUGGAGAGAUCAAUAAUCUUCAGAGAAGAAAUCUUGAAGAUGGAAGAUGGAACCUGACCAGAUAAUUGAUUGAAUCCUAAGUUCAAGAUCCCUAGAUUAGACAUGUUAACAAGUGUUUCAGGGAUUGUGCCUGUAAAGUUAUUAUUUUUCAUUUGCAGCCUUCGAACUCUCUGUAAAUUCCCAAGCCAUGAUGGAAUUUCCCGAUUAAGACGGUUGUAGCUUAAUUGAAGGAUCCUCAAACGAUGCAAUUGGCCCAAUUCUUUAGAGAGAUGGCCAUAGAAAUGGUUGCUACUCAAGUCGAGAGAGACUAGAAAUGAAAGAUUUCCAAGGUGUGGAGGGAUAAUACCCCUAAGAUUCAUGCUUGUAAGAUUCAAUGCUAUAACUCUUUUAUGGAGGAUGCCACAAGAAACACCAAUCCAAUUGCAAACAGAGGUUGAGGCUGUCCAAUUGUCUGCCAAGACAUUUUGAGGACCGGCAAUGCGAUCCUUAAACUCGAGAAGUGCAAACUGAUCAGAGUUGAGAUUCCUGGCUGUCAUAGCCAAGCGAAGUACGGAACAUGGUAUGAAUAAAGCUAAGAGAAGAUGAAAGCAAGUGUUGUAGUUCAUGAUUGCAAGACGGAAUAAGGCAAGAAAAAAGGAAAAAAAAAGUAGGAAAAGGGAAGUUAAGUUGAUAAAAUAGUUUGGAUGAUGAAGAAAAGCCCAGAGAGCAUGCUUUAAUAUGUUUCAACCCUCGCACACUUGAUAAACUUGAUAAAUUUAAGACUACCCUAAAAAUUAAAAAGGAAAACAAAGUUUUGAUGAGAUUUCAAAAAAAAUGUCAAGUAUUCUUCUUUUAAAAAUACGUACAAAGAAGCGAAUUUUCAAAAUUUCUCCUAAAUUUUCUUCAAAUUACUCCACAUAAUCCAUUAAAAAAACUUAAAAAAUAUAUUUUAUUAAUUACUAUAUAUUCUUUUGUUUUCAUAAUAAUAAAUUGUUUAAAAUAUGCUAUUAGUGGCCGUAAUUUAAAGUUUAAAAAAAAAUCCAAUCCUCCUUUUUUUUAAUUUAAAAAUUCUAAUCCAAUCAUUUUUAAUUCCAUUAAAAAGUUUUCAACUUAAUAGAUUUUUUAUUAUCAAUCUUAUGCAACAUUAUAUGAAGGCAGUCUACUCAGCAUAUAUCCAAGUUUACAGAUUUUAAUAGAAAAUACUUACAAUCCUAAUGGUAGGACUAAGUUUUUUAAACUAGAAAAGUAAAAAAAAAAAAAACUUAAUUUUUAACUUUUUUAAGUACAAGGAUUAAAUUUUAAAUGUUGUCAAAGUACAAGCACUAACAAAAUAUUUUGAUCUAAUAAAUGUAAAAAAGCAUUUUAAACAAAAGAAGGUUGAAAUAAUCUAUUUGUCCUUAUACUUUGAUAAAAUUUGAGAUACCAUAAAAUUUGUAUCUUUUUUCGAAUUAUUUAAUGACAUUUCAACAUUUUCAUUCAAAAAAAAAUAUCAUUUUGAAUUUGAUCUUUUUCAAGAUGAAAUAUUGAAAUGAUGUUAAAUUAUUAGAAAGAGAUACAAGUUUCAUGGUGUCCCAAAUUCAUUUAAUCUUAUCUCUCUAAGAAAGCUGAAUUAAGAUAUUAAUGACAUCAUUUGAAACAAAGUUUUAGGUCAAAUUAUUCAUCUAUUCCUUGUAAUUGUUCUUUAAGGUGAAUUUCAUUAUUAUUCUUUUAUUUUCUUUGGCUUAAAUACACAAUUACUCCUAAUUUUAUCACAUUCUCCUUAAUUGGUAUUUAUAGUUUAUAAAAUUUUAUAAAUAUAUUAUUUUUUAAGAAAUUAUAAGAAGAUUACAAAAAUUCCAAAAUAAUAUAAAAAAGCUAAGAAAAACCUAGAAAUUCAAAAAAAAAAAUCAUGUUUUUACAAAUUGGAAAAUACCUAAAUUUACUUUUCAGCCCGUCCGAUGCUAUGAAAGAAGAAGAAAGAGAGUCUUUGCUAACAUUUUUUUUUCUUCGUCAUCUCUAUGUUUCUUGGCAAAUACAAUGAAAGAAGAACAAAGAAAACUGUUGGCUAUUUAUUUCCCAAUAAUCCUGAAAUUACUUGCCAUAGGCGUAGAAUUUGCUAACCAAUUUUCAAGCAAUCUGACAUGAAUUCUUGUUAAGUAUGACUCCUAUUUUCAGUCAAAUUUGAGAAAUAAUCUUCUAGUUAAUUCUGUUUAUUUGUUUCAAUCAAACACUGAUUAGUUUAGAUUAUUUUAUUAUUAUUUGACAUAUGAAUUUAGCCUAUAAAUAGGUUAUUUUACAACCUUAGAAAAUACACCCAAUAGAGUUUAGAACUCAUAACAUAUUUAGAGAAUUUUGUGUUUACGUUUUGAGAGUUCUUUGUUUUCGGAUUUUCGGGGUUUAGUUUUUAUCUCCAUCUCUUGUAUUCUUUGUUCUUUUGCCAUUAUAAUAAAAUUAUCUUUACCCGUGGUUUUUUAUCCUUUUUGGAGGAGUUUUUUCACGUUAAAUUUGUGUGUUCAAUUUCUCAAUUUAUUCCGCUAUUUUGUUACUUGUUGCUUAAUCGGGUCGAUCCCUAACAAUUCUCAAUCACAAUUAAUUGAAUUCAAGAUAUAUUUGGAUGAGAACACAAAUAUUUCAAUUUUACCACAAUCCAAUGUUUGGGAUGAUUUGGGAUAAGAACUCCAACAUUUUAAGAUCACAUUUUCUUUUAUAAUUUCAGGCUUAUCAACUAUUUUGAAAACAACAAAACGUCUUACACCAAAAACUAAAAAAUUAAAACGUCGACAUUAAAUUUGUUGGUAUGCAAUCAAUUUUAAGAUGGGUCUUGGAGUUAUAUAUCACUUUAGCAUUGACUUACUUUUCUACUCUUAGUCUUCUCCAAUAAGUUAAAUAUUUCAAUUUUAACAGCACUGACAGGUCUUUGGGGUAGGGUCCAGCAAAACUCAAUAGAAACAGAUGAUAUAGGCAGAGUUGGCUCGGCCAAGUCGAGUCGACUUGUUCAAAUUAGUUAAAUUAGUAAAUUUUAGGGUGCAGUUAGAACUUUUUUUUUUUUUUUGAGAUGCUAAUAUUAAAAAAUUUUAGUUGCUAAAACAAAAAAUUUAUAUUUAAAAAGGAAUAAAUUAAAUUAUUAAGUUUUUCAAGUUUCCAUUUAAUCAAAGGUUAAAAGGACUAAAUUGAAGCUUUUUAUUUUAAAGAAAGGCUGAAUGACAAAUUGCCCAAAGCCCAUGCCCCUAGCUAUAUGCCCCUGGUAAAAUCAAUUUUAAAAUUAGUUAUAAUAGUUGAAGCGAAUUGAUUAUUGAGUAUUGAAAUACAUAGUUCAACAAAAUAAACAAACUGACAAAUUUUGACCAAAAAAAAAAAUCAAAGGUGAUAAUAAUUAAAUUAUAAAAUUUAAAUUGAGAAAAUAGGGGAUUGAAUUUAUAAUUUUUAAAGUAUAAAGAAUGAAUUUAUAACUAACAUCAUAUUUUAACCACAUAAUAAAAGUAGUUAUGGAGAGGAUCAUGUAAAAUAAUGACCUGAAUAAUUUUAAACGUCUCAUCCUUGCAAAAAUGAAAUAAUAGAAAAGAAAGAGUAAAGAGUAGCCAUUUUAUGAAAUCUAUAAUUCCAACUGUGAAUAAAAUAUAAAUUUUAUGAAUGUGGACAAGCCAUUUUAUUUAUAAUUUUCUGUGUUUUUCUGACUUUUUUUUAAGUCAUUUUCUUUGUUUCCUAACCAAAAAGUUUGCCCAUCACUUUCAAUAUAAAUUUAAAUCUAAAUUUUCUUUUUAAAAUAUAAGUUACUCGUCACAAUUCAUCUUUCGAAAACAAUUUGCCAUCACUUUAACAUACACUAACUUUUCUAUGAUUAGUCCUUGGUUUGCUUUGGGUGCAAUCUUCCAACUAGCCACAUCCUUGGUUUUACUUUCCAACAAUUAGUGUAUCACGGGUUUUGUUUUCUUUAAAAAAAUAUUUUUGUGGAUAUUAGGAGAUAAUGAAAAUUAUUUUACUAUUAAAUUUUAAUAAAACUGGAAAAUAAGUAAUGUCUUUUAAGUGAUCACAAUUAAACAUUAGAUUUUUAAUUUUAAAAUUUUAAAAUUUUUUGAUAAUUGCAUAAUUAAUAAGGUACCAAUUUUUUGAUAAUGCUAUAAUCUUCUCCACACAUAAUCGACUCUUGAGCAUGAUGGAUCUAGACCUUAUCCUGUAUUCUCGUACCACAAAUUGCUUCGAGUGUGGGUUCAAACAAUCACAAAUUAAACACAAAAUCAGAAAUGAUUUAUUACUUUCAAUAGCAAAGUAAUUCUCUCUCAAUAGAAACCAACAGAAUUGUAAUUCCGAAAAAUAAAAUUUAUUUUUUGAAAAUAUAUUCUCACUACUUCCUAGCAUAAUAACAAUAUUUAAAACUUAUGUCUUGUGUUAAUAGCUCUACCAGUACUAUCCAUUUAUAGAGAGAGACACAAGAAUCCUGGUUGAAUUAGUAAAACACGAGUAAUAUUUAUUUCAUAGAAAACAAUAUUCUACCCUAAGUAGAUCAAGUUUGGAUGACGCAUGGGUCGAAGUUCAAUCUAAGAGAAAAAAAUAAAGGAAUUUUCUUUGUAAAGAAAAUUUGAGAUUGUACUAUUUUCGAAGUUAUAAAUAAAAUUAUAAGCCAAACUUUCAAGUCAAUUUUUGACUCGAAUUUUGUACGUACAAAUUUCUAAUACACUUGGUGGGACAUUCUUUGACUUUUAUCUAUUCUCUCAGAAAGUUAAAAGUUAAAAGUUGCAUUAAACUCAAAGAAGAUAAUCAUUAGUAAACCAGCUCACAAGCCUGCUCAAGCUAAUCCUACAACUCGUUCCACUUCAUCAUCAAACACCAAUGUUCUUGCUUAUCCUUAUGGAAUUAAACAAAAGACAAAAGCUCUUUAAGAGUUAUUUGAACAGACAAAAGAUUCAGACGUGUUGAGAUGGAAAGUGACAAUGCAAUGUUGAUUGAAGCUAUUCGUAACCGGUUGGCUACAAUAAGUAGUGUUGCUGAAGUAAGACAGAUUCACGAUUGGUGUUCUAAAAAUUGGGAAGUCAAAUUUUGAUAUAUUUAGUAGAAUGCCAAAAAAGUUGUUGAUUGCAUAGCUAAGGCAGAUGGAGGAGUAAUUGAGCAGCUAGUUUUUUGGAAGAUCCUCCGCAUUUUGUGAGAUGUUGGCUUGAAGAAAAUAUUAGACAAUCGCUGGUGACUUAUGAUAAUUUUCAUUUGGACUGAUGCUCGCUUAGUUUUCUAAGGUUAUGUUCAACCAAAAAAAAAUAAUUUAAAUAUGUCUAUAUUAUCAUAGAGUUAGCAUUUAGUGUAUAAAAAAAUAGUGUAUAAAAUUUUUUCAAUUGCAGUUUAGUUCCACAAAUACUGACGAUGAACCUUAAAACGAAAAUGAAAAUUACAAAAAGAAAAACAAACCACAUCUAUUAUCAAACCAGCAAUCCGUGUCUAAACUUAAAUUAACAAAAUUCAUCAUGCAACUCGGUACACUAUUUUAUAAUAUAUAUAUUAGAUUUAUUCUUGAUGCACAUGUUUUAUUAUAGUUAAAAAUUAAAAUAUAUGAUUAACUGAGUUUUAGUUGAGUUAGUAUUGGUAUUAUAUCAGUGUAGAAAAAUGUGAGUUCAAUCGUACUUAAAUAUGUAUCCUCCAACUCAACAGUUGGGAAAAGGUUAUUGAUAAUUAAAUUACACCAAUUUUUACAAUAUCUAAAAAGCAUUCAUAAACAUAUUCAUAUUGAUGGGCUCUUUCAUUAUUAAACUUUUUUUCUCUCACAAGUAAAAGUACUUGUGGUGAGGAUCAUGUAAAAUAAUAAACUGAAUAAUUUUAAACGUCUCAUCAUUGCUAAAAUGAAAUAAUAGAAAAGAAGACAUUUUAUGAAAUUUACAAUUCCAACUGUGAAUAAAAUAUAAAUUUAUGAAUGUGAACAAGCCAUUUUAUUUAUAAUUUUCUGUGUUUUUCUUCUUUUUCUGACUUUUUUUUAGUCAUUUUCUUUGUUUCCUAACCACCAUGAAAUUACUUGUCACAAUUCAUCUUUUUAAAUGAGAAGCAUUUUCCACAAUUUGCCAUCACUUUAACAUACACUAACUUUUCUAUGAUUAGUCCUUGGUUUGCUUGUCACCAUGAAAUUACUUGUCACAAUUUUCCACAAUCUUCCAACUAGCCUCAUCCUUGGUUUUACUUUCCAACAAUUAUUGUAUCCUUCUCAUUACUUGUACUUACCCGACUGAUAAAAAAUUCACUGAUCAAAUUAGUUCAAAGUUUUUUUUUUUUUUCUAAAUCAUGUGAAUUCACGAGUUUUUUUUCUUUAAAAAAUAUUUUUGUGGAUAUUAGGAGAUACUGAAAAUUAUUUUACUAUGAAAUUUUAAUAAAACUGGACAAUAAGUGAUUUAUUUAAAGGGAUCACAAUUAAACAUUAGAUUUUUAAUUUUUUAAUUUUAAAACUUUUUGACAAUUGCGUAAUUAAUAAGGUACUAAUUUUGAGCGUUGUAGGAGUGCUAUAAACUUCACUACGCAUAAUCGACUCUUAAAUCCACCUUUUUCUCUAGAAUUAUAACAAAUUUACAAAAUGAUUUAAUGAUAUUUAAUUAUUGACCGGUAAAAAAAUUAUAUCAUAUAAAUUCCGAAUUAUUAAUUAUAUAUCUACAUAUUAUAACCAAUUCAUCUUUCAAAAUUAUUUCCUUAUAAUUAAAGCAAAAAUUAUAUUUAUAAAAUUCUAAAUAUAUUAUAAUUCUUGUAAAUAUAUAUAUUUAUAUAUAUAAGUUCAAAUUGUAAUAGAGUUAACAUUUAAUGUAUAAAAAAUGUCUUGAAAAUUAUUAUUUUUUUCAAUUCCAAAAGAACUAUUCCAUUUAUAGAACCAUAAAACUUUAAAAAUAUAAACUCUAUUAAAUAAAAAUAAUAAUAUAUUUAAACAAUAAAUAUUGACUUUAUUUUAAAUUGACAUUAUCUAAUUCUUUUUAAUAAAUAUAGCUAAGCUUUACAUUAAUAUACAUGAUUUAUUUGUUCGUGGUUGUUAUUAUUAUUAUUAUUAUUAUUAUUAUUAUUUCUAUGAUUUUUAUAUCAUACUUAUCGGACUACAAUCAUAACCAUGUCUAUUAUCAUUUGAUAAAAAAAAUUAAGUGUUGAGUAUAAUGACAAGGCACGUUACACUCUUAAGGGGAGAUCAAGGUUUGGACAAGGGAAGAAUAUCAUUUAAAUUUUGGAGACAACAUUCUUUAAAUGAGCAACCACAAACCCCGAUUAUGAACCAUAAAACGAGCAUGAAAAGUACCCAAAAAAACAAGUUUAUUAUCAAAAUAGUAAUCCAUCCAAGGAUUAAAUUAACAAAAUUCACCAUCCAACCGUGUAGACUAUUAUAUAUAUAUAUACCAUAUUUAUUCUUCAUGCAAAUGUUUAUUAUAUUUAAAAAUUAAAAUAUAUGAUUGAUUGAGUUUUAGUUGAGUUAAUAUUGAUAUUAUUGUCAGUGCAAAAGAAUAUGAGUUCAAUCAUGUUUAAAUACAUUUUAUACUCCAAUUUAGGAGUUGGAGAGGAUUCUCAGUAGUUAAAUUAUAUCAGUUUUUGUCUAUUUAAAAUUGAUUUAUAAAUAAUAUAAGUAGAAAAUUUUAUAAAAAUAUACAUACUCAUAUUGAUUGGCUUUUUCAUUAUUAGACAUUUUUCCCCAUAGGUAAAAGUAUUUAUCGAAUUCAAAUUUUGGGUUUUAAAUAAGGGUUUUCGGAUUUUUUUUUAACAUUUGUGAGAGUUUUUGCCAAAUUUUAUGUUUUCAAAAACGCAUAACUAAGUUGAUUUUUAAUUAGUUUUUCAAAUGAGUCAAUGUAAUUCCUUAAAAAUCUAGUGAUAGCGUCUAGCCUGGGUUUGGGGGUGUUACACUGACGUUACUAAAGUUAAUCUUAAUCUAUUUAGUCUAGAUCUGAACAUUAAUAUUCUCUUCCAAUAAAAAUAAAGAUCAUCAAAUUAUUACAAUUGUGAAGCCAGACAAUCAUAUUAAAUAAGCAUAAAACUUAAUAAAUAAUUAGCGAAGAUUGAAACAAUCAAAGAAAAAAUAAAUUAAUUAACUAAGAAAUAAGGAUCCAUUAUUGUUUCAAGAAAACAGAGUUUAGUUCAUAUUGAGUUGAGAAAACCAAAAAUUAGAUUCAAAACAAACUUGUGAUAAGGGGAACAAUGUCAACAGAUCAUAUUCAAGUUGUUCGACUCGAGAAAGCAAGAUUCGGAUUUGACCUGAAAAGAAGAAACCAAACAGAUUAGGAAAACAAGAAAAAAACAAAGAAAAAAAAAUAAAAUGAGAAAUUUAAGAAUAAAGAAUAAAUAUUAAAAAAUAAUAAAGAAAUAAAUAAAUUAUAGAAUAAAAAGUGGCAGAUGGAAUGAAUAAAUGAUGGAUAUGACAUAUAGAUGGAUAAGUGUCUGAUAACCCUUGAAAAAAAGUUAUAUUUUGUUAGGGAUCGACCCGAUUAAGCAACAAGUAACAAAAAAAGGGAAUAAAUUGAGAAAUUGAACACACAAAUUUAACGUGAAAAAAACCUUCCGAAGAGGAUAAAAAAACCACGGGAAAAGAUAAAUUUACUAUAAUGGCAAAAGAACGAAGAGUACAAAAGAUGGAGAUAAAACUAAACUCCAAAAACCCGAAAAUAAAGAACCCUCAAAACGUAAACACAAAAUUCUCUAAAUGUGUUAUGAGUUCUAAUCUCUAAUGUGUGUCAACUAAGGUUGUAAAAGAGCCUAUUUAUAGGCUAAAUUCAUAUGUCAAAUAAUAAUAAAAUAAUCUAAACUAAUCAGUGUUUGACUGAAAUAAAUAAACAAAGUUUAACUAAAAGAUUAUUUUUUAAAUUUGACUGAAAAUAGGAGUCAUACUUAACAAAUCUCCACCUUGACUCAUAUUUCUACAAUGCCAUCUUUGCCAAAGCCCGCUACGAGCCUAUCUUGAACUAUACAGGGAAUUAACUGAGUCGAAUCUGUGCUUAGAAACUGGAAGACUUCUAGCUUUCGACUUGUACACUGCCAAAUCAAAACUAACCCGAGUUUGAUUUUCACGAACACAGUGUCCUAACUUUUCAAAACCUGCAUCCAAAAGAGAACCUCUCUUCAAUGAAACGGUCAUACAUUUUUCCCUCCUAUGACCAAGUUGCCUCUGCUCCAAACGAGUUGACUUCGACUCUGUAACAGACGAGGGAUGUCCGAUUUCACCGGUCAUUGUAGAACCUUCCAGAAUAUAAAGACUGCCAUUUCUUUUACCUUUGAACAAAAUGAGAGCUCCACGAGAUACUUUAAUGCUGCUCGACUCGAUGUUGAUUCUGCAUCAUUUCAAGUCUAAAAUACUCAAGGAGAUGAGAUUCUUUCGUAAAUUAGGUACAUACCUGACAUCUGAGAGUGUCCUAAUCGUCCCAUCGUGUGUCCUAAUUUUAACAGUACCAACACCAAUUACCUUACUAGAUGAAUUGUUUCCCAUGCGCACAACUCCACCUUCAACCGAACUGUAUGUGGAGAACCAUUCUCUAUUGGGACACAUGUGGAAAGAACAUCCCAAAUCUAGGAUUCACUCGAACGUGAGCUUGGAGUUAUCACUCGUUGACACUAACAAGAAAUCAUCACCACUUUCAUCGAUCAAAUUAGCACUAGCUACAUCUUCCUCGUUACUCUCAGCAGCUCCUUUAUUUCGCAGUUUAUAACAAUUUGCUUUGACAUGACCUAACUUUUUACAAUAGUGACACCUUUUGUCUCGUUUCUUUGAUGCCAUCAAAAUGGAAGAUUGCCUAUCUGCCUUGCUAUCUAAAUGAAACUCAUUUUCGAGUUUGUCUCUACUCAACAAAUGACCCUUCACAUCUUCGAACGAGAGUUUGUCUCUGCCAUAGGGUCUCCUUGAAAGAUUUGUAUGAAGGGGGUAAAGAGCAUAAUAAUAGCAUAGCUUGAUCUUCAUCAUCAAUAUGAACCUCAAAGUUCUUUAAAUCAUUUAAAAGAAUAAUGAAUUGACUGAUGUGAUCUCUAAGAAGCUCACAUUCGUUCCUGCGAAACGUAAAUAGACGUUGUUUCAACAGUAAACGGUUAGCCAGAGACUUAGUCGCAUAAAGAGUUUCUAACCUUUUCCAUAAGGUGGAUGAGGUCUUCUCCAUCAAUACCUCCUGCAAUACCGUAUUCGCGAGGCACAACUGGAUUGCAGACAAGGCAUUUUCAUCAAGCUCUUCCCAUUCUGUUUUAUUUAGAUUCUCAGGCUUUUUUUGGUAACAACCUUUUUCAAACCGGAUUGAACUAGAAUUGCCAUCAUCCAAACUUGCCAUAGAUUGAAAUUGGUCUCACCAUCGAACUUCUCAAUUUCAAACCUUGUUGUUGCCAUAUCUGAAUGGGCUGAUUUAUGAAAAUUGAACUAGCUCUGAUACCACUUGUUAGGGAUCGACCCGAUUAAGCAACAAGUAACAAAAAAGGAAAUAAAUUGAGAAAUUGAACACACAAAUUUAACGUGAAAAAAACCCUCCGAAGAGGAUAAAAAAACCACAGGAAAAGAUAAAUUUACUAUAAUGGCAAAAGAACGAAGAGUACAAAAGAUGGAGAUAAAACUAAACUCCAAAAACCCGAAAAUAAAGAACCCUCAAAACGUAAACACAAAAUUCUCUAAAUGUGUUAUGAGUUCUAAUCUCUAAUGUGUGUCAACUAAGGUUGUAAAAGAGCCUAUUUAUAGGCUAAAUUCAUAUGUCAAAUAAUAAUAAAAUAAUCUAAACUAAUCAGUGUUUGACUGAAAUAAAUAAACAAAGUUUAACUAAAAGAUUAUUUUUUAAAUUUGACUGAAAAUAGGAGUCAUACUUAACAAAUCUCCACCUUGACUCAUAUUUCUACAAUGCCAUCUUUGCCAAAGCCCGCCACGAGCCUAUCUUGAACUAUGCAGGGAAUUAACUGAGUCGAAUCUGUGCUUAGAAACUGGAAGACUUCUAGCUUUCGACUUGUACAUUGCCAAAUCAAAACUAACCCGAGUCUGAUUUUCACGAACACAGUGUCCUAACUUUUCAAAUCCUACAUUGAAAAGAGAACCUCUCUUCAAUGAAACCGUCAUACAUUUUUCCCUCCUAUGACCAAGUUGCCUCUGCUCCAAACGAGUUGACUUCGACUCUGUAACAGACGAGGGAUGUCCGAUUUCACCGAUCAUUGUAGAACCUUCCAGAAUAUAAAGACUGCCAGUUCUUUUACCUUUGAACAAAACGAGAGCUCCACGAGAUACUUUAAUGCUGCUCGACUCGAUGUUGAUUCUGCAUCAUUUCAAGUCUAAAAUACUCAAGGAGAUGAGAUUCUUUCAUAAAUUAGGUACAUACCUGACAUCUGAGAGUGUCCUAAUCGUCCCAUCGUAUGUCCUAAUUUUAACAGUACCAACACCAAUUACCUUACUAGAUGAAUCAUUUCCCAUGCGCACAACUCCACCUUCAACCGAACUGUAUGUGGAGAACCAUUCUCUAUUGGGACACAUGUGGAAAGAACAUCCCAAAUCUAGGAUCCACUCGAACGUGAGCUUGGAGUUAUCACUCGUUGACACUAACAAGAAAUCAUCACCACUUUUAUCGAUCAAAUUAGCACUAGCUACAUCUUCCUCAUUACUCUCAGCAGCUCUUUUAUUUCGCAGUUUAUAACAAUCUGCUUUGACGUGACCUAACUUUUUACAAUAGUGACACAUCUCGUUUCUUUGAUGCCAUCAAAAUGGAAGAUUGCCUAUUUGCCUUACUAUUUAAAUGAAACUCAUUUUCGAGUUUGUCUCUACUCAACAAAUGACCCUUCACAUCUUCGAACGAGAGUUUGUCUCUGCCAUAAGGUCUCCUUAAAAGACUUGUAUGAAGGGGGUAAAGAGCAUAAUAAUAGCAUAGCUUGAUCUUCAUCAUCAAUAUGAACCUCAAAGUUCUUUAAAUCAUUUAAAAGAAUAAUGAAUUGACUGAUGUGAUCUCUAAGAAGCUCACCUUCGUUCCUGCGAAACGUAAAUAGACGUUGUUUCAACACUAAACGGUUAGCUAGAGACUUAGUCGCAUAAAGAGUUUCUAACCUUUUCCAUAAGGUGGAUGAGGUCUUCUCCAUCAAUACCUCCUGCAAUACCGUAUUCGCGAGGCACAACUGGAUUACAGAUAAGGCCUUUUCAUCAAGCUCUUCCCAUUCUGUUUUAUUUAGAUUCUCAGGCUUUUUUUGGUAACAACCUUUUUCAAACCGGAUUGAACUAGAAUUGCCAUCAUCCAAACUUGCCAUAGAUUGAAAUUGGUCUCACCAUCGAACUUCUCAAUUUCAAACCUUGUUGUUGCCAUAUCUAAAUGGGCUGAUUUAUGAAAAUUGAACUAGCUCUGAUACCACUUGUUAGGGAUCGACCCGAUUAAGCAACAAGUAACAAAAAAGUGAAAUAAUUUGAGAAAUUGAACACACAAAUUUAACGUGGAAAAACCCCUCCAAAGAGGAUAAAAAACCACGGGCAAAGAUAAGUUUACUAUAAUGGCAAAAGAACGAAGAGUACAAAAGAUGGAGAUAAAACUAAACUCGAAAAACCCAAAAACAAAGAACCCUCAAAACGUAAACACAAAUGGGUGUCAACUAAGGUUGUAAAAGAGCCUAUUUAUAGGCUAAAUUCAUAUGUCAAAUAAUAAUAAAAUAAUCUAAACUAAUCAGUGUUUGACUGAAAUAAAUAAACAGAGUUUAACUAAAAGAUUAUGUUUUAAAUUUGACUGAAAAUAGGAGUCAUACUUAACAUAUUUCAUGCCUUUAAACCUAACUAAUUGUUUGUACUUAAGUAUAUUUUUUUCUUUUUAAGACAUUGUAGCGAACAUUUUUAAUAUUGUAUUAGGACAUAGACUAUGUUGGAAUUAGGUGCUUUUAAUCUCUUGUGGUGGAGUUUUUGUGUGUUGGUAUGGCAGGAACAUGUUUUAAAACGAGGAAAUAAAUGAGUGAAGUUUUGUUAGGGAAAAAGUGCAAACAGUUUGCCAACACAGAUGUCGUGGCAAUGCCGGGAAGACCAAGUUCAUAUUUUUUGUGCAGCAAUCCCGGUUCAAACUCAAACUUGUAUGAGAUAAAUCCCCCUAAAAGAGGAGAAGAUAAUCACAUUGCUGUUAGCUGACCCUAGCCUAAUCUAUCUAUUAAAGCCAAUGAAAAGGAUCUCACAAAGGGUAGAAAAAAGUGAGAGAGAUCCUUAGGGAUGAAUAAGGGUUUGGCUGCGCAAAAGAACAGAAGUCGAAGGGAAUCAUUCUUAGCCAUCACAGAACGUUGUGCUGCCAAAGUGUGGACUAGGCAAGUGAAAGAUGUUUCCAAAAGUUCUUCUGUUAUUUCCAUUAGUGUUCCUUCCAAAGAUUGAAUUGAAGUAGUUGAACACAAUGUCGGAUAAUAUUUUGGUUUGAAAUUUUAUUUCCCAGCUUAUGAGCUAAAUCUCAUAAGGUUAGGAUUACUUUCGAUGAAACCUUAAAUUUUUUUAUAGAUGAAGUAUAUAUCUAAUUUACAUUAUUGUUUCAUUUGAUUGUUCUAAUUUCUUAAUUAAAAUGCAAAUGAUCUCUAGACAUAGAAGACUGUUCGCAUACUUAUAAAUUGAUUGUAAUUAUAAAAGGGUUGGAUUAAAAUUAAAUGAAAUGAGCAGGUAUUUGAUAGACACUUGUAGUCGACUCUAGACAUAGAGUCACGAUCAUACAGAAGAAGCCCAUGCAAGAUAUCGAAAAAGCCUUUAGACACCAGGCAAGGCAACUUGAGGUUUUUCUCUCACGAGAGGCAGACCAUUUUAGAACUCUUCUGUGUUGUAAAGUAGAUACAAUUUUGCCAAGACAAUAUUGACAAUGAGGGUUGAUUCUGGGUAAUCCCGACCUUCCAAAUCCACUUCGUAUAUCCUUUAAUCUUUUUCAUAAUAUCUUUGCCACAUAAUUAUUAGUUAUUUAUUUGUUCAUUUACAUAAUAUUCCCAUAGUAAUUCUCAUAAUUGCCAUUAUGUUUCUACUCUCGGUUGGCCAUAGCAUUACUAAUUAUUCAUUAAUUCCACAUAUUGAUUACAUCAUUAAUCUACUCAUUGUCAUUGCAUAUUUAUCAUUGACUUUGUCAUAGCAUUAAUUGCAUUUUAUUAUAAUAACUUGACCAAUUUUGUGCCUCAAUCCGAUUUUCGUGGGAACAAUACUCACUCAUCACUUUAUUACUUGAUUCAACGUGUAUACUUGCACAAAUCGCAUAUCAUUUCACAUGCGACAGUGUCCAAUUUAACCUUUUGAGAUAUAAACUCAAACAAACUCAAUUAAUGGCUUUAAUCAACCCACCAAGAAAUAAUAAUUGGCAAAUUGAAGGAUGAAGAAUGAAUUCCCAUGACUCCUUAAAGAAAAUUGAGAAGAAAACUGCUUCUAAAAAUUACAAGAAAUAAUCUUGCACAAAGAAACUUACCCUCAGAGUUGGAAAUUUUAGUAAUGAGCAAAAACAAUUGUGUCUCUAAUGAACAUGAAGGGGCCUUUACAUAGGAUAGAUAAGUACAUCCAAAUAAAAUUUUGAAGUAUAUUAAAACUUUAAUUAAUGUAAGAAAAAAAGUAAUUUUCAACUAAAAUAGUCAUAAUUUCUAUAAUAAUCCCGUCUAGAAAUUCUGCUCACAUAGCCAUCACUAAAAUAGUCAUAAAUUGAGCUCUUGAACUCGAAAUUGAAUGAAUAAAAGUGUGUUUGAAAGUUAAGUAAUAGAUCUUAGAACUCCAUCAAGACAUAUCAAUCAAAAAAUGUCUGGAUCCCAUCCAAAAAGUCAUUGCAAGUUAACUAAUUUUCCAAACUUGAAAAUUGACAGCUUCGGGGAAUGGAAUUUAAUAAAGUUCACCCCAUCUACUCAAGUAUAAACUUGCAGUGGUAAAAAGUAAAAAUAAAUAAUCUAUAGAGAAACUAGUUGAAGAAUUUAUGACAAUUUAUUUAGAUCUUUUUUUCUUCUAGCCUUUGCAAACUUGAAGUUUCCCUUGGUGUGAGAGAGUUGUUCCUUACCCUCUAAGUUAUUUUUUUUCUUUUCCUUUUUUUUUCUUUCUCUUCGAUCUUGUCACCUAAGGGUGUUCAAAUGAUUGAUUCAGUUAAUACCCGAACAAUGCUAUCAUUAACUGAAAUUUUGAAACCUUAAUCGUUAAUGAAACCAAUUUUUUGUUGAAACCUAUUAACCGGCCGGAUUGAUUUCGGUUAAUUCAGGCGGCUAGCCGGAAUUUAUACAUUAUUUUUUUCAAACAAUUUUAAAACAAAGAACAAUCCAUGACAACUUUUUCCUUGUUUUUUAUUCAAAAAUUAUUAAAAGAAUUUUAAAAAAUAACAUAAUAACAACACUAAAUUAAAAACAUAAUAGCAUUCAUUACAUUACAAAGCAUAAUUUCUUUUUUUUUUUACUUUUUGUUGACUUUUUAGUUUAAUUUUAGUUUUUUUUUUCAAAUAUUUUUAGUUUUCAUAUUUUUGUUAAGCUUAUUAUAAGAAAACUUAUAAAUCCAUUAGUUUUUAUAUAUUAGGUUUGUAUAAUGUAUUGGACCUAUCUCUAACAUAUUGGGCCUAUAAUAUAUUUUUAUUGAUUUCGGUUAAUCAAUUAAUUUGGUUAAUUAGUCGAUUUCAAACUAAACUAAUCGAUAAACAAAAUUUUCUAAAACAUUUAACCAACUCCCAACCAAAUUAGAUUCGUUGAUCGACUGCUUAAUCAAAUUAAUCAUAUGGUAGAAUGGCAUGUUUUUGGAAUGGCUAUUUGGCAUUAUUGGUAUAGGUUUAAGUUAUGAUCUAAAGAUGUUGAAUUGAAUUAAGUUUGAUAUGUAUACUAUGAUGUCUUCAUUGGCAUAUUGGUUAGAUAUUAAAGGAUGGUUGAUUUGGUAUGUUUUGAAAAUGGUUCUUGGUAUGUUUGAUCUAAGUUGAUUAAAUGAACUUGUAAUGUUGAAUGGUAUAAUAUUUGUUGUUACAUUAGUUAGUCUUAUAGGUUGAUGGAAUUGGUAUGUUUUAAAUGUGUUUAAAAUGUGUUUUGAUUAUUUAAAUGUUUGUGGAAAUGGUGUGUCUUGGUGUACAAGAUUUGAAAUUGAAAUGGCUUGAUUUAGAAAGCAACUUAUGCUGCACACCGCCUAGGACAUGGGUUGUCACAUGGCUGUGUGUCAUUAUUGUUUUAGGUACAGGUUUCACACAAUCUAAGACUUGGCUCACGACAUGGCUACGUAUCAUAAGUCAAUAUGUAACACGGUUUGGUACAUGGCCUGUAACACGACCGUGUGUCCAAACUUCAAAUGUUUACACGUCCUGGGCUAUGUCACACGACUUGGCCACAUGGCCGUGUGACCCUUGUUUUAAAGUUUUCUGAAAUUUUCUAUUUUAUUUCAAAUUGAUCCUAGAAUAUUCUCAAACUAUUUUUAGGGCCUCGUAGGUUCAAAUUAAGGCCCACAAAUGUAUGCUUGCUAUAAUUAAGUUGUGCUAAUUAAUGUUAUUAAUUAAAUGGCAUGAAUAUUUUAUUGUAAGUUAAAUUUUUUAAUUUGUCCUAUAAUGCUCCGUAACCCAAAUCAAGUGACGGAGAUAGGUUUGGGUGUUACAAUUUUGGACUGUAAAUUUGUUUUGAGGCUUUGUUCUUUGGUUCUUGCAAUGUUUGUUGGAUUUUAGUGUUUUAACAUUAAACUGCAAAAUUGUAUGAUUUAACAAACUAAAAAUUAGGUUUUCAAAAUUAAAACUCUAGAAAUUUUCAUUACAAAGAUUAAGUAAUCACUUAAGUGUUUUCCCAUAAAUAAUUAAAUGGUUUUUAACAAAUGUUUUCCUUAGUUUUGGGAAUGAUAUGCCAACAUUAGUACUUUUAAAACACAUGGUUUUAAAUAAGGGUUUUCAAACUUUGGUUUUUUAACAUUUGUGAGAGGUUUUUGCCAAAUUUUAUGUUUUCAGAAUGUGUAACUAAGUUGAUUUUAAUUAGUUUUUCAACGAGUUUAUGUAAUUCCUCAAAAAUCCAGUCAUAGCAUCUAGGCCGGGUUUGGGGUGUUACACUAACAUUACUAAAGUUAAUCUUAAUCUAUUUAGUCUAGAUCUAAACAUUAAUAUUCUCUUCAAAGAAAAUCAAGAUUAUCAAAUUAUUACAACUUGGUAGGCAGACAAUCUUAUUAAAUAUGCAUAAAAGUUAAUAAAUAGUUAGCGAAGAUUGAAACAAUCAAAGAAAAAAUAAAUUAAUUAACUAAGAAAUAGGAUCCAUUAUUGUUCCAAGAAAAUAGAGUUUAGUUCAUAUUGAUUGAGAAAAUCAAAAGGGAGAUUCAAAAAACACUUGUGAUAAGGGGAACAAUGUCAAUAGAUCAUAUUCAAGUUGUUCGACUCAAGAAAGAAAUAUUUGGAUCUAGCCUGAAAAGAAGAAACCAAACAGAUUUAGGAAAAAAAGAAAAAAAAGAAAAAAACUUAAAUAAUAAAUUUAAGAAUAAAUAAUAAAUAUUAAAAAUAAUAAAGAAAUAAAGAAAUUAUAGAAUAAAUAGUGGAAGAUGGAAUGAAUAAACGAUGGAUAUGACAUAUAGAUGGAUAAGUGUCUGAUAAUUCUUGAAAAGAGUUAUAUUUCAUGCCUUUAGACCUAACUAAUUGCUUGUACUUAAGUACAUUUUGUUGCAUUUUAAGAUAUUUUAGUUAGUAUUUGUAAUAUUGCAUUAGGAUUUAGAUUGUGUUGGAAUUAGGUGUUUUUAAUCACUUGUGGUGGAGUUUUUGGUGUGCUGGUAUGGCAGGAACAUUAUUUAGAACGAGGAAAUAAAUGAGUGAAGUUUUGCCAAUGCAAAAGUGCAGAUAGUUUGCCAGCACAGAUGCCGUGGAAAUGCCGAGAAGACCAAGUCAACAUUUUUUUGUGCAACAGUCCCAGUUCAAAUUCAAACUUGUACCAAAUAAAUCUCCCUAAAAGAGGAGAAGAUAAUCACAACUUGUUAGCCAACCCUAGCCUAAUCUAUCUAUAAAAGCCAAUGAAGGGGAUCUCACAAAUGGCAGAAAAAAGUGGGAGAGAUCCUUAGGUGUGAAUAAUGAUUCAGCUGUGCAAAGGAAAGGAAGUCAAAGGCAGUCCCUUUUAGCCAUCACAGGACGUUGUGCUGCCGAUGUGUGGACUAGGCAAGUGAAAGUUGUAUCCCAAAGUUCUUUCGUUAUUUCCAUUAGUGUUCCUUCAAAAUAUUGAAGUAGUUGAACACAACGUUGGAUAAUAUUUUGGUUUGGAAUUUUAUAUCCCAGCUCAUGAGCUAAAUCUCGUAGGGUUGAGAUUACUUUUGAAGAAACCUUAAACUGCUUUUAUGAAUGCAAAUGAUCUCUGGACAUAGAAGACUGUUCGUAUACUUAUAAACUGAUUCUAAUUCUAAAACGGUUGGAUUGGUUGGAUUAAAAUUAAAUGAAAUGAGCAAGCAUUCGAUAGACACUUGUAGUAGACUCUAGACAUAGAGUCACGCUCAUACAAAAGGAACCCAUGCAAGAUAUCUAAAAAGCCUUUAGACACAGGCAAGGUAACUUGAGGUGUUGCUCUCACGAGAGGCAGGCCAUUUUAGUACUCUUCUGUGCUUUAAAGUAGAUAUGAUUUUGCCAAGGCAUUAUUGAAAAUAAGGGUCGAUUUUGGGUAAUCUCGACCUUCCAAAUCCACAUCGUAUAUCUUUUAUUCUUUCCCAUAGUAUAUUUGCCACAUCAUUAUUAGUUAUUUAUUUGCUCAUUUACAUAAUAUUCCUAUAGUAAUUCUCAUAAUUGUCAUUACAUUUCUACUCUCGAUUUGGCACAACAUUACCAGUUAUUUAUUAAUUCCACGCAUUGCUUACAUCAUUACUCUACUAAUUACCACUGUAUAUUUACCAUUGACUUUCCCAUAGUAUUAAUCGUAUUUUAUUAUAAUAACUUGACCAAUUUUGUGCCUCAAUUCGAUCCUCAUGGAACGAUACUCACUCAUCACUUUAUUUGUAACAUCCCAAACUUGGAUUAGAAGUUAUGACUGAAUCCGGCGAUAUCACAUGGAAAGGGAUUUGAAGACAAGAUUGUCGAGUUUAAAAACCAUUAUAGAAAGUUAGCUUUUAUUUAAUUCGGGAAAAAAACUAGUUGAUUUUCUUUAAAACUUGUCUCUUAGCAGAAGCUUUUGUAACCAAUUAAUUUACGAAAAAUCGUUUCUAUUUACAAAAAACUUUAGUAGGAAAAACUAUGUUUUGUGGAGUUGCAGUUUUUAAAAGAAACCCAUAAAAAAAGUAUAAAGUCCCAAAUUUAAAACCAACCAGUCCAUAGUCUAGAAGAUACAUCAAAAACUCCAAANNNNNNNNNNNNNNNNNNNNNNNNNNNNNNNNNNNNNNNNNNNNNNNNNNNNNNNNNNNNNNNNNNNNNNNNNNNNNNNNNNNNNNNNNNNNNNNNNNNNNNNNNNNNNNNNNNNNNNNNNNNNNNNNNNNNNNNNNNNNNNNNNNNNNNNNNNNNNNNNNNNNNNNNNNNNNNNNNNNNNNNNNNNNNNNNNNNNNNNNNNNNNNNNNNNNNNNNNNNNNNNNNNNNNNNNNNNNNNNNNNNNNNNNNNNNNNNNNNNNNNNNNNNNNNNNNNNNNNNNNNNNNNNNNNNNNNNNNNNNNNNNNNNNNNNNNNNNNNNNNNNNNNNNNNNNNNNNNNNNNNNNNNNNNNNNNNNNNNNNNNNNNNNNNNNNNNNNNNNNNNNNNNNNNNNNNNNNNNNNNNNNNNNNNNNNNNNNNNNNNNNNNNNNNNNNNNNNNNNNNNNNNNNNNNNNNNNNNNNNNNNNNNNNNNNNNNNNNNNNNNNNNNNNNNNNNNNNNNNNAGUUCUACACUUACGCCCAUAUAAUGCUUCAUACGGUGCCAUUCGUAUACUUGACUGAUAGCUAUUGUUAUAAGCAAAUUCAACCAAUGGUAGAUAUUUCUCCCAACUGCCUUUCAAUUCUAAAAUACAACACCGGAGCAUAUCUUCAAGAAUUUGAAUCACUCUUUCCGAUUGCCCGUCAGUUUGCGGAUGAAACGCAGUACUGAAAUUCAAUUUUGUACCCAAGGCUUCCUGCAACUUUAUCCAAAACCUCGAAGUAAAUCUCAGAUCUCUAUCCGAUAUAAUAGAUUUAGGCACCCCAUGUAAUCUCACUAUUUCAGCAACAUAUAAUUCUGCCAACCUGUCAAGUGAGUAAUCAAUGCGUAUCGGAAUAAAAUGAGCCGACUUUGUCAAUCUAUCAACAAUUACCCAAAUAGCAUCUUUCUUCUUUGGAGUUAAAGGCAAUCCUGUCACAAAAUCCAUCGUAAUACUAUCCCACUUCCACUCUGGAAUCGUUAUCGGUUGAAGUAAACCCGAUGGUACUUGAUGCUCAGCCUUCACUUGUUGACAGAUUAAACACUUUGAUACAAAUUCCGAGAUAUCCUUUUUCAUGCCUGGCCACCAAUACAACUUCUUCAAAUCAUUAUACAUUUUCACACUACCCGGAUGAACUGACAAGUCACCACUAUGUGCCUCACAUAAAAUGGUCUGAAUUAACUCAUCAUUUCUUGGUACACAUACUCUAUCCCGGAACAUCAAGCAAUCAUCUGAACCAAUUUGAAAAUCUGAGUCAACACCUGCUUCACACUGAGCUCUCUUGGCUUGCAAUUUACUGUCAUUCUUUUGAGAUUCCCGAAUUUACUGAAGAAAUAAUGGUCUAGCUCUCAAUUCAACCAACAUUGAGCCAUCAUCAGAUAAAGUUAACAUCGUACCCAUAGCUCUCAAAGCAAAUAAAGAUUUUCUGCUCAAGGCAUCAGCAACCACAUUAGCUUUCCCGGGGUGAUAAUCAAUCACUAGCUCAUAGUCUUUGAUUAGCUCGAGCCAUCUUCGUUGCCGCAAAUUCAAAUCUUUUUGGCUCAUCAAAUACUUCAAACUCUUAUGAUCAGUGAAGAUUCGGCACUUUUCACCAUACAAAUAAUGACGCCAAAUUUUUAAAGCAAAAACAAUGGCAGCCAAUUCUAAAUCAUGCGUCGGAUAAUUCUUCUCAUGCGGUUUCAAUUGUCUCGAAGCAUAAGCUAUUACUUUGCCCUCUUGCAUUAACACACACCCAAGACCAUUCAACGAUGCAUCACUGUAAAUUACAAACUCCUUCCCGGACUCAGGUUGCACCAACACUGGCGCCUCAGUCAAUAAUGCCUUCAACUUUUCAAAACUCUGUUGACAUUUAUUGGUCCAUUCAAACUUGACAUUCUUCUGCAGUAACUUAGUCAUAGGAGAAGCAAUCAUCGAAAAUCCCUUGACAAAGCGUCUGUAAUACCCAGCUAAGCCCAGAAAGCUUCUAACUUCUGUCACAUUCUUUGGUGGCUCCCAAUCAACAAUUGCUGAAAUUUUGCUUGGAUCAACCCGAAUACCUUCACUUGAAACUAUAUGUCCCAAGAAUCCAACCUCACGAAGCCAAAACUCACUUUUGCUGAAUUUAGCAUACAAUUUCUUUUCUCUCAGAAUCUGCAACACAGUUCUUAAAUGUUCUGCAUGCUCAGAUUCAUCCCGAGAAUAGAUUAAAAUAUCAUCUAUGAACACCACCACGAACUUAUCCAAGUACGGCCGAAAAAUUUGGUUCAUCAAGUCCAUAAAAAUAGCUGGAGCAUUUGUUAACCCAAAAGGCAUUACCAGAAAUUCAUAGUGUCCAUACCUUGUUCUAAAGGCGGUUUUCGGCACAUCAGACUCUUUAACUCUUAACUGAUAGUAACCAGACCUCAAAUCAAUCUUAGAAAACACUGUUGCCCCUUUUAAUUGAUCAAAUAAAUCAUCAAUUCUCGGCAAAGGAUACUUGUUCUUUAUAGUCACCUUGUUGAGCUGACGAUAGUCAAUACAAAGUCUCAUAGAGCCGUCCUUUUUUUUCACAAAUAACACAGGAGCACCCCAAGGAGAAAAACUCGGUCUCACAAAUCCUUUAUCUGUCAACUCUUGUAACUGAGCUUUUAAUUCCUUCAACUCAGUCGGAGCCAUUUGAUACAGUGCAAUAGAAAUCGGUGCAGUACCAGGUAACAGAUCAAUAGAAAACUCAACUUCUCUAAUCGGAGGUAACCCAGGCAAUUCCUCUGGAAAUACAUCUGGAAAUUCACAAACUACCGGCACUGAUUCAAGCUUCGACCCAGUAAUAUCCGUGUUUAGCACAUAAGCAAGAUAAACUUCACAUCCCUUUCUCAAGUAUUUCUGAGCAGACAUGUGCGAAAUCACCAUAGGCAACUUAUUCGGCUCCUUUGUUUCAACCCGGAGAAUUUCACCGUUUUCACAAUUUAAUUCAAGAAUUUUCUGUCUACAAUUUCCCUUGGCAUCAUGCAAUAUCAACCAAUCCAUCCCCAAAAUAACAUCAAACUCAUCAAAUGGUAACAACAUCAAAUUAGCCGGGAAACAGUGGCCUUGAAUCAUCAGGGGACAAUUCUUGCAAACCUUAUCGACUAAGACAUAUUUGCCUAAAGGAUUUGAUACUUUAACUACAAAUUCAGUUUUUUCAACAGGCAAUUUCUUACUAGACACCAAAUUCAUGCAUAUAUAUGAAUGAGUAGAGCCGGGAUCAAUCAAAGCAAUAACAUCAAUAUCAUGAAGAGAAAAUGUACCAGUAAUCACAUCGGGAGAUGAGGCAUCCUCUCGAGCGCGUAUAGCAUAAGUCCUAGCAGGCGCUCUAGUUUCUGAUCCUCCAGCUGUAUCUUUUAUCACACUCUUACCACUGGCUUUGCUUCCCACAUUUCUCGGUGGUCUGCCUCUACUGACAACAUCACCCGAUCCAGCUCUUUGUAAUCUUUCUUCUUCUAUUCUCUCAGGGCAGUCUUUUACAUAAUGCUCUUGGGAACCACAUCUGAAACAAGCUCGUUUAAAUCCCCAACACUCACCAGUAUGUCGCCUGCCACACUGUUGACAUUCAGGUCUGGUGUUUCCUACAUUACCCACACUUGCCACUGAGGUAGCUCGAGUUGUAGUUCCGGAAUAUGACCUCCCUCGGUCUCUGCGUGAAUACCCAACUGAACCGGUUGGUCGUGGAUCCAUCCCUUUAAACUUCUUCGGGUGAGAUUGAAAUGUUCUGCCCAUUGACCUCUUCCUUACAUCUCGAGCUUCCAUCUCUGCCCUUCUCUUUUCUCUACUCAGCUCUUCAGCUUUGCAAGCACGAUCAACUAAUACCACAAAUUCUUUUAACUCUAAAAUUCCAACAUGUAAUCUGAUGUCUUCAUUUAGCCCCUCUUCAAAUCUUUUACACAUAAUAGCCUCCGUAGGCACACAUUCCUGGGCAUAUUUACUAAGCCGGACAAACUCCCGUUCAUAUUCUGCUACUGACAUUCGGCCCUGUUUCAAUCCGAGAAACUCUUUGCGCUUCUGAUCAAUAAACCGUUGGCUUACAUAUUUCUUUCUGAAUUCUUCCUGAAAGAAGUCCCAAGUAACUCUUUCUUUUGGAACCACCGUUAUUAAUGUUUUCCACCAACGGUAUGCCGAAUCCUUCAAUAAAGACACAGCACAUUUCAAACAUUCCUCAGGAGUACAAGAUAAUUCAUCAAAUACCUGGAUAGUAUUUUCAAGCCAAAACUCGGCUUUUUCCGGAUCAUCAUCAACAUUGGCCCUGAAAUCUUCAACCCCAUGCUUUCGAAUUCUAUCAACGGGUGGUUUACUUGAUCUCACCAAUUCAGCACUUCGUGGAGCUACGGGGACCGGCGGAGGAAUAGGAGGGGGUGGAGGAGGUGGAACAUUCGGAUUUACACGGACAUAUUCUGUAUACCAAUCACUCAUCAUUCGGAGGAAGGCUUCUCGAGCCUCAUCCUGUCCAUGUGUCUCAUGUCUACUCUCUUCAUGCGCGGUCCCUUGUGUGGGAACCGGCGUGUUACUUUCAACAUCAUCUGCCAUACUUCGAUUAGGAUCCAUUUACUAUAUAAAACAAAAUUUUAAAUUGUCAGAAAUCAUCACACUAUCACAAUAUAUUGAUGGCAUGUAUAGACUGACUUUCACACAUAUUUUAUUGGUCCGAGAACUGACUAAACCGUAGCUCUGAUACCACUAAAAUGUAACACCCCUUACUCGUAUUCCGGCUCGGAACAGAGUAUGAGGUAUUACUAAGUUUUUUAAAAAAAAUUUCGACAGCAUUUCUUCUUAAUUUUGCUUAAACCUCCUGCAAAUUUAAAUCACAAUCCAAUAUAUAUAUAUCAACCAAACUCAUUUAUAAUAAUACUCACAAUUUAACUAUUAAUGAACACCACAUUUUAAAUCAAACCAUAACAUAUAUUUACAUGAUGAUUCCAUAUUUCAUAGGUCGUCUAUACAUGCCAUAAUUUUCCGGAACGAUAGUAGCAAAAUACCCCAAGUGUGAAGGAUAGUGUGGAUGAUUGUCUGACUUCGUUCCAAAUUUCCGAGUUGUCGGAAGUCACUAUAAUCAAGGGAAAAAUAAAAUCGAGUAAGCAUAUAGCUUAGUAAGUAAACACAUGAUAAAUAAGUAAUUACUCACAUAACUACACCAAAAUAUAAACUUAUUCAUGAAUAACUUCAUUGUUUAGGCAAUUUCCAGCAAACUGUUUUUCUGCGUCAUAUUCGCUAAUUUAUUUUUAUCCGGAGCUACAGGGCUCCAAAUUGAGUUUCGUAAAUUUUCCCUGAAACUAGACUCAUAUACCAUUUCACCAUAAAAAUUUCAGAAUUUUUUACCCAGCCAAUUAGUACAUUUUAUUCAUUAAAACUUCCCCUGUUUCACUGCCCAACGGUUCUGACCCUUCCUCAAAAAAAUUCACUUAACUCUCUGUACAAAAUUUUAAAAAUGGUUUCGCUUGUUUCUAUUAAAAAUAGAGUCAAUAAGGAAUCCAGGAAUAUAAAUUUCACACCAUAAUUAUUUUUGUACAAUUUUUGGUGAUUUUCCAAAGUUAGAACAGGGGAUCCCGAAAUCAAUCCAGCCCUGUUUCAGUAAAAUUCAGAUAUCUCCAAAAAUACAACUCUUUUGCUUAUUCUAUUUAUUUCAUAUGAAAAUAGACACAUUCAGCUUCAAUUUCAUAUAUUAUUCAGCUUCCCAUUCAUUUUCCACCAUUUAUGGUGAUUUUUCAAAGUUACCCAUCUGCUGUUGUUCAACACAGUUUAUAACUAAAUCGUUCCUUUUUUCGUUUUUGAUAUUUUCUCCCAUCUCAUACAUGGAUCGAUUUAGUAUCCAACUCAAUAUUUGCCCCAUAAAAAUUUCCACCAUAUGGCAAUAUUCACCUUCCACACUUUUUCGUUGAGCACUCGGAAUGUUAACCGUUAUUGGUGGAUCUCGCACUUAGCACCACCACUUAAUCGGGGAAUCAGCACUUAGCAACCCCUUGGGGGAAUCAGCACAUAGCAACCCCCUUUUUAUUUCAGAGAUACGGUGGAUAUCGCACUUAGCACCACCAAUGAACCGGGGAAUCAGCACUUAGCAACCCCUCGGGGGAAUCAGCACAUAGCAACCCCCUUUCACAUUUCAAAGAUACGGUGGAUAUCGCACAUAGCACCACCAAUGAAUCGGGGAAUCAGCACACAGCAACCCCUUUAUGUACAACAUACUUCGGCUUAUUCCGAGUGUUCAACCCAUAAAUCAUAUAUUGCAACCCUUUACCACAUUUCCCGAUUUAACAACAUUUUUAGGAUAUGGCCAAACAUUUAUUUUAAUUCCAAAUAAAUCUCAACAUAUAUCAAUUAAUGUCAAAAUAAUACAUCAAGUCACGUGUUUACUUACCUCGGUGCAAAAUAUCGUAAUUUUGCACUUCACUUCACUCCACUAUCUUUUCUUUUCCUCGUUUGAGAUAAUCUUCACGUCUUUCUUGAUCUAUAAUAGCAAAUUUAACUCAUUUAAUGUUCACAUUCAUUAAAAUAAUCCACCACCCAACUUUUUGAAAAAUUACAAUUUUGCCCCCAAACUUUUGCAUAAUUACACUUUUGUCCCCAAGCUCGGAAAUUAAACUUCAUCACUUAUUCUUAGGUUUUAUGACAUGCUGAACAUUUUUCCCUUCUAUGGCAACAUCAAAUUCUCACUCUAACAUACACUUAUGAACAAUAAUUAUUUUUACCGAUUAUGCCUAUUUACCCGUUUUCGCUUAAAAUCGCUUAGCAAAAGUUGUUUAACAUAAUUUAUAGCUUCAUAUUCCACCAUAAAACAGAAAAAUAAACACAUUUCACCUAUGGGUAUUUUUCCAAAUAUGAGCCCUAACACGAAUUAUUGCUAGAAUAAGCUAAAUCGAGUUACGAGGAUUCCAAAAAUGCGAAGAACAUUAAAAACAGGGCUAGGAUGCACUUACUAUGAGCUUGAGAAAGCAAAGAAAACUUAGCUAUGGCUUCCUUCAAAUUUCGGCAGCAACUAAUGAGGAAGAUGAUGAUUUUUGUCAUCUUUUUCCCAUUUUAUUUUAUUUUAUUACCAAAUGACUAAUAUGCCCCAUUUAAAAAAAUCUAUUUCUCUCAUUUCUUAUGUCUAUUUUUGUCCAUCAACUAACUAAUGGUCUAAUUACCACAUAAAGACCUCUAAUUUAAAAUUUCAUAUCAAUUAGAUACUUCUACAUAUAGAACUCAACUUUUACACUAUUUACAAUUUAGUCCUUUUGACUAAAUUGAGUGCCCAAACGUCGAAAUUUUCGAACGAAAUUUUUACGAAAAUUUUCCGUGAAAUUGUAGACCAUAAAAAUAUAAUAAUAAUCAUAUUUUCCCUCGUCGGAUUUGUGGUCCCGAAACCACUAUUCCGACUAGGCCCAAAAUCGGCCUGUUACAUAUAGGCUAUUAAAAUGGUGAAAUUAUAUUUUUACAAUAGUAAAAAUUACAAUUUAAUUUCACCCCUAAAAGGAUUUUUUGGCUUCGACCCUAAUAAAAUCUUUGGCAAAAGAUUAAAAUAAAAUUAUACCGUGAAUGGAAAAAGAAACUAAGAAAAUCCAAUCUAACAAAGAAAAUAACUUUGUUUAGCAACCUUUGUUUGAUUAAAAAUGUUGAAUUAAAAAUUCCAGAAUAGAUUAAAAAUUAUACCGUGAAUGGCAAAAGAUUACAAUUUUUUUGGUAAUAUUUUAAAAUUCCAGAAUAGAUUAAAAAUGUUGAAUUAAAGAUAAAAUUAAUAACCACAAGUGUACUCAUUACUCACCAUCUCUGUUAAAAAUGAUCGAUGUUGUUUAGCAACCUUUGUUUGAUUUUCUUCAGCUCAACCACAACAUCUUUCAUAUCUUUUCUUUCUUCCGGUAACUCAGCUGAACAAUUCAAAGCCAACUCCAUGAUAGAUGAAAUACAAUUUGCUUUAACAACAAUGUACUCAUCCUCUCUUCUUAAUAAAUCAACAUCUGCAAUUUCUAUCGCUCCUUUCGGCAAUGAACUUUCCAUCCAAUGCCUUAUACUCUCUUCUUCAACAAAAACAUUACCAGUUGGCUUUUUCUUUGUGAAAGUUUCUAUAAGGACGAUCCCAUAACUAUAGACGUCAGAUUUUAUAGAAACGAUUCCUGCUGAUCCAAAUUCUGCAUUUCAAGUAUAAUUACAACAUCAUUCAUCCUCAAUUAUUUCUAAAAUGCUUAUUCAAAUAUAUAUUCACAUCCACAUGAAACAAAAAUAUAAAAUGCAAAUUAGGAAAAUAAUCAUACAAAAAUAAAAAAUAAUUCACCUGGUGCCAUAUACCCGAUAGUUGCAAGAGUCAUGGUUUGCUUCAUUACUUCACCUUCUCCCAACAAUUUGGCAACGCCAAAAUCUCCAACAUGUGCAACCAUGUCUUCAUCUAGUAAAAUAUUGCUUGGUUUUAUGUCACAAUGAAUAUAGGUGUUGGAUGUCCAUUGUGGAGGUGUUCUAUGCCUACCGCAACAUUUAUCAUUAUGUCGACCCUUUGUAUGAUAUCAAGGAAACAAUUUUCAGAAUGUAACCAUUUCUCAAGGUUUCCAUUAGACAUGUAAUCAAGCACCAAGGCUUUGAAGUCAAGACUUGAGCAGCAAGUAAUGACCUUCACAAUAUUACGAUGAACUAUAUUACGCAUAGCAUCACAUUCAAUGUCAAAACUCCUAAAUGCUCCCUCUGUUUGCAAAUUGAAAACUUUUAUUGCAACUUCCAUUCCAUCUGAAAGCCUCCCUUUAUAUACAUAUCCAAAACUCCCUGAACCAAGCAUAUUGCUUUCCUCAAAUCCAUUAGUUGCUCGUGAAAGUUCAGCAUGUGAAAUUCUUCUCGGUGUCUUCAAAGACAACAAAUCAUCUUUAAUUGGUAGAGCUGUACUCCUUCUUUGGCAUCUUCUAUACAUAAUAGUUAAGACUAUUAAUACUACGACAAUACCAAUUGUUGGUAAACCAUACCUAAAAGCAUGCAAUAUAAUCAUUUGGGAGUUUUUGUGGAUGUCGUUUUUACAAGGUGGGACUAGCAGUCUAGGUGGACCACAAAGUGCAUAAUUCUUUAUGAAUGAUGUGCUAGAAAAGUUUGAAAAACAUCCUUCGCUGGGAAUUUCCCCUUCAAGUCUAUUGAAAGACACAUUAAAAUACUUUAGAUAUAAAAGCUUCUCCAAAGAUUUGGGAAUGACUCCAGAGAGAUUGUUAUUGCAUAAAUCCAAGAAUUCCAAACUAAUCAACCCAUCAAAUGAUUCAGGGAUAUGACCAUGUAGUAUAUUAUUUGAUAAAUCUAAUGAAACCAAAGUUAUAAGACCCCCAAAUGUGGAUAAGAUAUCCCCCGUGAGAAGAUUCCUUGAUAAAUUUAGUUUCAGUAGACUCCUCAAAUUUCCGACAUCAAUAGCAUGUGAAUUGUGAAGAUGGUUUGAUGAUAAAUCUAUUUUUAAGAUAUCUUGAAGAUUCCACAAAGUUGAGGGUAUUGCGGAACUCAGUUUGUUGGAAUCUAAGUAAAGAUAUCCCAAAGAAGUAAUAUUACCCAAACAAGAGGGUAUGGAUCCAUGUAGCUUAUUCAACCCUAAAUACAUCUCGUAUAGUCUCUCCAAAUCACAAAAACUUUCUGAGAUGGGCCCUCCUAAUUUAUUAGAGGAAAGAUCUAGACCUUGGAGAUUUCGCAGUCCUCCUAUUGAUGCUGGAAUGAAUCCACUUAAUUUAUUAUGGCGAAGUUGUAAAAGCAAUAGGUUGGUUAAGUUACCUAUUUCCAUAGGAAUAAUGCCUUGAAGCUCACAAUUAGAGGCAUAAAAGUAUUGAAGGGUUUUUGAAAGGUUCCCGAUAUAAGUAGGAAGAACACCACUCAAUGGAUUUCCUGAAACAUCUAUUGUGCUCAAAUUCCUACAAUUCGUCAAAGAAGAAAGAAAGCUCCACUCAUGAUCGGUAGAAGAUCCUGUGAUCAAAUUAUUGUUUUUGAUUCGGAACCAUUCAAGGUGUCUUAAGUUGCCAAGCGUUUUAGGGAUUGGGCCAGAGAAUAAGUUAUGCGCCAAGUCUAGUUCCUUAAGCAUGGAAGCAUUGGAGAUAGAGUUGGGAAUGUUUCCGCUAAGUUUAUUUCUCCACAAUAAAAGAAUCUCAGGCUUUGGAGCAUUGGUGAUGGGUGGUAAAUUACCUGUAAAAUAUCAUCUUUUAGUAUACAUAUUCAUUGAAUACCAAAUUCACAAAAUAUAUUAUACAUUAAAAUAAAAACUGUAAAACUUUAAAUCAAUUAAGAAUAAAAUUUUGGCAUGGAAAAAUGUGAUGAAAUCAAUUACAAAGUUGAGACAUACUAAGAAGUUUCAAGUAGUAAUUAGUCUUGUGAUUUGUAUAGACAAAACAUAUAGAUUUGGGAAUGUGGCAUCUAAUCAAUCUUAAAAAUGAGACUGGCACUGAAUAAUAAUUAGUUAUGAUUUGGGAAACAAAAAGGUUAAAGCCAUUGUUUUUAAUGUAAACUGAUAUGAUUUUUAUUUAUUGGGUUAAUUAUUUAUUGUUAUUAAAUUAUAGUGUAAAAUUUAACGAUUAUUAUUUGCUCAAAAUUUCUGUAUUUUUCGUAUAUUUGAAAUUUAAUCUUUAUAUUUUUUAUUUUUUGUGAUUUAGUCUCUCUACUUUUUGAAUUGAAAAUUUUAGGUUCAUUUACUAACACUAUUAAAAAGUUUUUGUGUCUAGUAUGGCAUUUUGAAAAAUAAAAUAAACUUGAUAUCUAUGUUUUUAAUUAUUCCAAAUAUUGCUUUACUAUUUCAAGAUAAAUUAUUUGUGUCUAGACUAAUAUCUUAAGAACUAUUGUUGCAUGUUUAAUUAUCUAAAAAAUUAUCGAUUGAGUCUUAGCUUGAUUGGCAUGUGCGUUGUUGCCAAUGUAGGAGAAUGUGGGUUCAAGUAUGUUGAAGUGUAUUAUCUUCUUAUUUAUGAAUUAGGGAGUUGGUAAAGUACUAAAAUUUGAUAUAUUUUAAAAUAUUAAAAUUUAUUAAAAUAUUUUUUAUAAAAAAUGAUUCUACCACAAUAUACAAUUUUAAUAUCAAAUUUUUAAUUUUUUUUAAAAAUGUUAGCGAAUAUAUACUUUAUUUCAAGUUAUGCAAUUUUUACUAGUUUUUAACUUUUUUUCAAAUUUUUAUCGUCUUUUAUAAUUUCUAAUAAUUUUUUAUAAUUUUUUUACAAUAUUUAACAAUUUCUAAAUUUUUUUUAAUAAUUUUAUUAUGUAUUACAAAUUUAAAAAUUAACAAAUUUUUAUAUUUUUAAAAAAAUUAUAUAUUUAUAAUGUAUUUAUUUUUUAUAAUUUUAUUUGAAAUUUUAAAGAUUUUUUUGGUUUGUUUUCUAGAUGAUGAUGCCAUCAUGAUGCUAACAUAUUAUGAUUAGAUAUCUCAAUCUAUUCUUUUAACGCCCAGUGAAUGAAACCAAGAACACCUAAUGUUAAAGUGGGUAAAAACACAUUAAGGACCAAAGUUAAAAAAAGAAAAAGAAAAAGAGCAAUAUGCUGUAGGGAAUAAACUGUGCAUUAAGCCAUUAAAAAUAUAUGUAUAAUAUAUAUAAAUGCAUGGAUUUUGAGAAACUUUUGAACUGAUAAUUAUAUAGUCUUUGUUGUUUACUAUAUUAUUGAAUUUGUUAUUUUAAAUUAAUUUUAUUACUUUUAAGAUUUAUAUAAGAAUUUUGGUUUUACUAAAAUAUUUGCUUAAAUAAGUUCACUUCAUAAGAAAAUUUAGCAUCCUUAUAAAUAACAAUUUUGAUUCUAUUAAAAAACUUAUUUUAAAAAAUUAUAUAAUCAAAAUUUAAAAUUUAUAUUGAAUUACUUUAUACUUAAAUUAUUAUUAGAAACUUUAUCAUACACAUACGUGUAUGAGAACCACGUAUUUAGAACAUAAAUUUGUGUUUUAAAAUAACUUAUGAUAAAUAAUGAAAUGUAUAAUUUGAAACUAUUUAAUAAUAACACAUAGCAUAUCUACCAUAUUAAAAUAAAAAUAGAUUAAAUUGUAAGUAAAACAUAAUUUAAACAUAUGAACACAUCAAAUUAAGAAUACUAAAUGAAUAAAGUUAUUUAUAAUGAUAUUGUUGUCAAUUCCUAAAUUGGUGUCGAGUUAAUCUGUGACAUCAUAAAUUUAAGUGAUAAAUUUAAGGAUUUAUGUAUUGAUGUGGAUUCAAAUAUCACCAUAAGUUUUUUAAAAAUAAAAAACUAAAAUACCUUAAAAUACUAUAACUUAUAUUAAAUACGAAAGAGUAUUUUUGUAAUUUUCCUAACCGAGUUGGUGCCCGGUUGACUCAUGACACCAACUCAAUUAAAAGAUUUAAUAAUAAUAUAGAUAUUCACGUUAAAAAAACAAAAAAAAAGUACUUUAGUUCCAAAUAAUUAUAUAACAAGUAAAUUUAUAAUUGAUGAAUAAAUUUAUAGAUAAUAUAUUUAUAUGAUCUAAUAUAUUAUAUUAAUAUUAAUUAUAUAUCAUCUACAAUCUUUGAAGAUCAAUUUAUUAAGUAUCAAGAAAAGAAAAAAAUGAAAUUGAGUUAACACUAAAUCAAUUUUUAGAUUUUGUACAGAUGAUUUAAUGAUGAUAAAAAAAUUAUUAGCACUAUUUUUGAAUUAACAAAAAAUUAGUGAUAUAUUUUAAUUAUAUUUAUUAUUUAUUAUUUUUAAUAAUAUUUUUUAAAAUUAUAUGAAGUAAAAUUAUACUGUAUACUAAAUAUGGUACAUAUACUUUAAUUGUAACUUGAAAAUUUAUUAUAUAAAUUAAUAUAUUUUAAUUAUAUUCAACCAUUUGAAUAACAAAAUAAAAAAAAACUAAUUAGAAUAAUUUUUAGAAAAAAGAAAAAACAUUAUUUAAAGGCUAGUUAAAAAUCACGUGCAACAGGUGAUAUGAGAAUCUAUGUAUAUAAAUGUGUAUAUAUAUAUCGUUGUUUCAUUUUUUUUUUAAAUAAAUAUAUUUUCCACAUUGGUUUCUUUUCUUGUACAGACAAAGGAUUUCUAAUGAUUUUAAAAAAAAAAAUUUACUUAUAUAAAAUAGAUCAGUUUAUUCAGUAAAAUAAAUCAAUUCAUAUAAAUGUUAUUGUUUAUUAUCAGAUUGAAAUGAUAAAAGUAUAUGACAUAAAUAGAAGAAACAAAUUCAACACAAUGUUUUCCGAGUUUGGAAAAAAUUAAAGUGAAAAACAUACCUUCUAAUUUGUUGCCAUAUAGAGCUAUUACUUCGACCAUAGUUGAAUUAAAAAUACUUGAUGGAAUCUGACCUGCAAACAUAGUUGAAAAUUGAAGUAAAAAACAUACCUUCUAAACUCUUCAACUAAAAAUACUUUAAGCAUAUUUUUUUUCCCAUCAAAUUAACUAUUUUGCCUUGAAUGAAAUAAAAUGCUCUUACUUUUGUUAUCUAUUACAAAUCAAAUUCUUCUAUGAAAAAAUAUUUUAAAUUAAAGAAACAAAGAAAAUUCAAUAUCUUCUAAGUAAAGCACUUCAAGCUUGGGAAGAUCAUUAGGCAAACUACCUGAUAUGCCAGUGUUGGAGAGAUCAAUGAUCUUCAGAGAAGAAAUGUUGAAGAUCGAAGUUGGAAUCUGACCUGUGAGGCCUUUAAUUUCUUUAAUACUAAGCAGCUCCAAACCAAGAAGAUUACCGAUUUCCUCAGGAAUUUGACCUGCACACAUAUUUAGUCGAAAAAUCAAGAUGUCAAACUGCCUAUAUUGUUAGCAUAAGUCAAAGAGGUUUUCGUUUCUGCUCUACAGUAAUUUGGAGAUGUUAGAUUUAAUAUAUUUCAGCAUAUGUUUUUCAUCAAAUGAAAUAAAAAAGUUUUUCCUUUUGUUAUCUAUUAAAAAUCAAACUCUUUUAUAAAAAAAUACUUUAAAUUUAAGAAAUCAAGGAAAUUGAUUACCUUCUAGAUUAUUAAACCCCAAAUAUAAUUUCUGGAGUUGUGUUAGAUUUCCAAUACUUCUUGGAAUGAUCCCCAUAAAUUGAUUAUAGGACAACGACAAACUUUUAAGGUUGCUGCAUUUGCCCAUGCCAAAUGGAAUGUUACCAGAUAAUUCAUUCCAACUCAGGUAAAGCUCUUCAAGCUUGGGAAGAUGUUGACACAUAUCAUUAGGCAAACUACCUGAUAGGCUAUUGCUGGUGAGACUAAUAGAUUUCAAAGAAGAAAUCUUGAAGAUGGAAGAUGGAACCUGGCCAGAUAAUUGAUUCAAUUCCAAGUUCAAGAUCUCUAGGUUAGACAUGUUAACAAGUGUUUCAGGGAUUGUGCCUGUAAAGUUAUUAUUUUUCAUUUUCAGCGUUCGAACUCUCUGUAAGUUCCCAAGCCAUGAUGGAAUUUCUCCAUUAAGACGGUUGUAGCUUAAUCGAAGGAUCCUCAAACGAUGCAAUUGGCCCAAUUCUUUAGGGAGAUAGCCAUAGAAAUGGUUGCUACUCAAGUCGAGUGAGAGUAGAAGUGAAAGAUUUCCAAGGUGUGGAGGGAUAGUACCCCUAAGAUUCAUGCUUGUAAGAUUCAAAGCUAUAACUCUUUUAUGGAGGAUGCCACAAGUAACACCAAUCCAAUUGCAAACAGAGGUUGAGGCCGUCCAAUUGUUUGCCAAGACAUUUUGAGGACCGGCAAUGUGAUCCUUAAACUCGAGAAGUGCAAACUGAUCGGAGUUGAGAUUCUUGACUGUCAUAGCCAAGCAAAGUACGGAACAUGGUAUGAAUAAAGCUAAGAGAAGAUGAAAGCCAGCGUUGUAGUUCAUGAUUGCAAGACGGAAUAAGGCAAGAAAAUAAAAAAAAGUAGGAAAAGGGAAGUUGAGCUGAUAAAAUAGUUUGGAUGAUGAAGAAAAGCCCAGAGAGCAUGCUUUAAUAUGUUUCAACCCUCGUACACUUGAUAAACUUGAUAAAUUUAAGACUACCCUAAAAAUUAAAAAGGAAAGCAAAGUUUUGAAGAAAUUUCAAAAUAAAUGUCAAGUCUUCUUCUUUAGAAAAUACGUACAAAGAAUCGAAUUUUCAAAAUUUCUCCUAAAUUUUCUUCACGUUACUCCACAUAAUCCAUUAAAAAUACUUAAAAAUAUAUUUUAAUAAUUACUAUAUAUUCUUUUAUUUAAUAAAUUGUUUAAAAAUGCUAUUAGUCCCUGUAAUUUAAAAGUUAAAAAAAAAAUCCAAUCCUCCUAUUUUUCUAAUUUGAAAAUUCUAGUCCAAUAAUUCUUAAUUCCAUUAAAAAAUUUCAGCUUAAUAGGUUUUUUAUUAUCAAUCAUAUGCAACAGUAUAUGAAUGCAGUCUACUCAGCAUAUAUCCAAGUUUACAGAUUUUAAUAGAAAAUACUUACAAUCCUAAUGGUAGGACUAAGUUUUUUAAACUAGAAAAGUGAGAAGACUUAAUUUUUAACUUUUUAAGCACAAGGAUUAAAUUUUAAAUGUUGUCAAAGUACAAGCACUAACAAAAUAUUUUGAUCUAAUAAAUGUAAAAAACUUUUUAAACAAAAUAAGGUUGAAAUAAUCUAUUUGUCCUUGUACUUUGAUAAAAUUUGAGAUUUAGUCCUUAUAUUUAAAAACUUAAAAAUUAAGUCUUAUUGUUUUUAUUUAAAAAUCUUAGUCCUAUCCUUAAUUUUAUUUUAUCAAAAUUGGUCAACUUUACAUAUUAAUUAGGUUUCCCUUAUAUGUCGCGGUAUCAAUCAAAACUUAAUUAAUAUCCAUCAAUAUCCAUCAAUACGUCAUACAUAAAAAAAGCAAGCAUAAAAUACAGUUAAAAGUCCUCCUUUUAUUAUUAAAUGUUUUAUUUUAGUUAUUUUAAUCAAAUAUAUCCAAAUUACAAUAGAGUUAACAUUUAUUGUGUAAAAAAUAUUUUAAAUUUUUUUUUCAAUUUUAGUUUAAUUCUAGAAGAAAUAUUUCAUUUAUAAAAUCAUAAAACUUUAAAAAUAUUAACUCUGUUAAAUAAAAAUUAUUUUUUUAAAUAGUAAAUGUUAACUUUAUUAACACAAAUGGGCCUCAGUAAUUGACAAGCUCUUCCACAAACUGUGGAAGAUUUGGGGAUAAAAGCUUCAAUAAUUAUGGAGUUAUAGUGUAAAUUUGCCACUAUAUUAUAAGUGUAUUGAAAUUUAUCACUAUAUUUUAUUUGAUGUUUAUCAUUACACUUUGAAAAUAUAAGUAAAUUUACCAUUUAACUCAGAUUUACCUUUGCAAGUAAACUUAAAAUUUUAUUUAAUUUUGUCACUAAAUUUGAUUUGUUCAAUAUAGAUUUUGGUGACUUAAAACUCACUAAAUUUGAUUUUUUCAAUAUACAUUUUGGUGACUUAAAACAAAAUUAAUAAAUAAUUAUUCUUUUGGAUAUCUUUUUAAUGUUUAAUAAUAAGUUAAUUUAUAAAAUAUACUGUCAUUGGACACAAGCCUCUAAGGCGGUGAACCACUAAUCAAAUUAAUUUGGAGAUAUCUUUUUUUCUAAAUAAAGUGAAUUUACGAGUUUUGUUUUCUUUUAAAAACAUUUUUAAUAUUUUUGUGGAUAUCAAAAAAUUUUUCAAUAAGAAAUUUUAAUUCACUCGAAAAGUUAGUGUUUUAUUUCAAGGGGUCAUAAUUAAUCAUUAGAUUUCCCAAUUUUAAAUUUUAAAUUUUUCGACAAUUGCGUAAUUAAUAAGUACCAAUUUUGAGUGUUGUAGGGCUAGUACAAUCUUCCUUACACAUAACCGACUCUUAAACCUACUCUUUUCUCUAGAAUUCAAUGCAAACAUCGAAUUUAUCUUUUGAAAAGAAUUUUAAAAUAAUAUAAAAGGUGUUUUUUUAUGACUGAUCACACUUAACAAAAAUUUAAAAAUUAUUAAAAAAAUUUCAUUUUGAAAUUUAAAGUGAUCUAAAAACAUAUUUUUAAGUGCUUUGGACCAUCUGUUGCUGAUUUCCUUAUUAUAUUAAAUGUUUGCAAUCACUCCUAAUAUAUUGUGCUUGAGUUGUGACAGAGCAAAUCGCCAACGUGCCAUAUUGAUCUAUUGAUGCUGAAACUGAAGUUUUUGUUAUAUUGAUAGAGCUUGUCCUUCAACGCAUACAACGUGUUUGUUAUUUUUCUCCCUUCAAAUUGUAUGAUCUUAUUUAUUUAAUGAAUUAAUGAAUUUCCCUUUUAAAAAGAUAUAUUUUUAAAAUUAAAUACUUUAUAAAAUAUUUAAAACUACUUAAAAAAUUGUAAGCCUUAAAACAAUCAACAAAAUAUAUUUUUCUCUAAAAAAAUCAAUAAAAAUAUGUUUAAAAUUUUAUAUGAAAUUAAAUUUUUUUUAACAAUAAUAUAUUUUAAAAUUAUAGUAACGCUAUAAAAUAUAUAUAUACAUAUAUAUAUAUAUUUACUAAUUAUAUACACCUUUCCAUACAUCCUUUUUCUACAUAGAAUUUCAAAAGUAAAUGUGAAUUAAUGUAGGCGUAAGAAGACUUACAGGUAAGUCACCCAACGAAAGUGUCCUAAACCGACUUAUGGAAGAAUCAAACAAUAAUUUUGUAUCGUAUAAUAUAUUUAAUUACAUUUAUUAGUUUAUCAAUCAAAACUUAAGUAGAAUCCAUCAAUAUUUCACACAUCAAAACCCAAACAUAAAAUUCACUUUUAAAUUAUUCGGGGAAUAUUUGUAUUAUAGGAAAUGGAUUAAAUUAGACUUUUAUUAUUAAAUGUAUUAUCUUAAUCUUUGUAUUAGGUAUGAAUGAUAUCUCUUAGAUUGAAGCUAGAGCUAUUCUUGAAUGAUUGAAAUUAAGAUUAAGAUGUGUUGAGAUGGAAAGUGGCAACACAAUGCUGAUUGAUGCUAUUUGUAAUGGGUUGGCUACAAUAAGUAGUGCUGCUGAAGUAAGACAAAUUUAUGAUUGGUGUUCCAAAAUUUUGGGAAGUCAAAUUUUGACAUUUUCAGCGGAAUGCCAAUAAAGUUGUUGAUUGCAUAGCUAUGGCAGAUGGAGGCAUAAUUGAGCAGCUGGUUAUCUUGAAAGAUCCUCUGCAUUAUGUGAGAUACUAGCUUGAAGAAGAUAUUAGACGGUCACUGGUGACUGAUGAUAAUUUUCAUUUGGACUGAUGAGCGCUUAAUUUUCUAAGCUUAUGGUCAACCAAAAAAAAUAAAUAAAUGCGUCUAAAUUGUAAUAGAGUUAACAUUUAGUGUUUAAAAAAAUCUUAAAAUUUUUUUUUCAAUUGCAGUUCAAUUCCAAAAAUAUCGAUGAUGAACCCGAACAUAAAAAUUACCAAAAAAAAAAACACAUCUAUUAUCAAACCAACAAUCCAUGUCUAAACUUAAAUUAACAAAAUUCGCCACCCAACCCAAUACACUAUUUUAUAUAUAUAUUAGAUUUAUUCUAGAUGCGCAUGUUUUAUUAUAUUUAAAAAUUAAAAUAUAUGGUUGACUGAGUUUUAGCUGAGUUGAUAUUGGUAUUAUUGUUAGUGUAAGAAAAUUUGAGUUUAAUCGUGUUCAAAUGUGUUUUAUCCUCCAAUUUAAAGGUUAGGAAAAUAUUAUUGAUAAUUAAAUUAUACCAACUUGAUGAUAUUAAAAAAAGGAUGUAUAAAAAAUAUAAGGGAGAAAAAAAAAAGGAGAAACAUAUUCAUAUUGAUGGGCUCUUUCAAUAUUAGACUUUUUUUCUCUCACAAGUAAAAGUAGUUAUGGAGAGGAUCAUGUAAAAUAAUAGCCUGAAUAAUUUUAAACGUCUCAUCAUUGCAAAAAUGAAAUAGUAGAAAAGAAAGAGUAGACAUUCUAUGAAAUUUAUAAUUCCAACCGUGAAUAAAAUAUAAAUUUUAUGAAUGUGGACAAGCAAUUUUAUUUAACUUUUUUUAAAGUCAUUUUGUUUGUUUCCUAAUCACCAUGAAAUUACUUGUCACAAUUCAUCUUUUUAAAUGAGAAACAUUUUCCACAAUUUGCCAUCACUUUAACAUACACUAACUUUUCUAUGAUUAGUCCUUUGUUUGCUUUGGGUGCAAUCUUCCAACUAGCCUCAUCCUUGGUUUUACUUUCCAACAUUUAGUGUAUUACGAGUUUUGUUUUCUUUAAAAAAUAUUUUUGUGGAUAUUAGGAGAUAAUGAAAUUAUUUUACUAUGAAAUUUUAAUAAAACUGGAAAAUAAGUCAUUUAUUUUAAGAGAUCACAAUUAAACAUUAGAUUUCCAAUUUUUUAAUUUUAAUUUUUUUUGACAAUUGCAUAAUAUUUUGAGCGUUGUAGGAAUGCCAUAACCUUCCCUACGCAUAAUCGACUCUUAAGUAUGAUGGAUCCUAGACCUUCUCCUCUAUUCUUGUACCACAAAUUGCUUCGAGUGUGGGUUCGGAAAAUCACAAAUUAAGCACAAAACCAAAAAUGAUUUUGUAACACCCCAAACCCAGCCUAGUCAUUAUGGAUUAAUGUAGACCUGAGAAGACUUAAUUACAUUUAUUAGUUUAUCAAUCAAAACUUAAUUAGAAUCCAUCAAUAUUUCACACAUAAAAAACCCAAACAUAAAAUUCACUUUUAAAUUAUUUGAAGAUAUAUUUGUAUUAUAGGAAAUGGAUUAAAUUAGUCUUUUUAUUAGUAAAUGUAUUAUUUUAAUCUUUUUAUUAGGUAUGAAUGAUAUCUCCUAGAUUGAAGGCAGAGCUAUUCUUAAAAGACUAAAGUUAGGAUUCAGAUGUGUUGAGAUGGAAAGUGACAACGCAAUGUUGAUUGAAACUAUUUGUAACGGGUUGACUACAAUAAGUAGUGCUACCGAAGUAAGACAGAUUCACGAUUGGUGUUCCAAAAAUUGGAAAGUCAAAUUUCGACAUAUUCAGCGGAAUGCCAAUAAAGUUGUUGAUUGCAUAGCUAAGGCAAAUGGAGGCAUAAUUGAGCAGCUGGUUAUCUUGGAAGAUCCUCCGCAUUAUGUGAGAUGCUAGCUUGAAGAAGAUAUUAGACAGUCACUGGUGGCUGAUGAUAAUUUUCAUUUGGACUGAUGAGCGCUUAAUUUUUUAAGCUUAUAUUCAACAAAAAAAAAAUUAAAUACGUCUCAAUUGUAAUAGAGUUAACAUUUAGUGUUUAAAAAAUAUCUUAAAAAUUAUUUUUUCCAAUUGCAAUUCAAUUCCACAAAUAUCAACGAUGAACCUGGACAUAAAAAUUACAAAAAAAAAAAAACACAUCUAUUAUCAAACCAGCAAUCCAUGUCUAAACUUAAAUUAACAAAAUUUGCCACGCAACCCGAUACACUAUUUUAUAUAUAUACUAGAUUUAUUCUAGAUGCACAUGUUUUAUUAUAUUUAAAAAUUAAAAUAUAUGGUUGACUAAGUUUUAGUUGAGUUAGUAUUGGUAUUAUUGUCAGUGUAGGAAAAUGUGAGUCUAAUUGUGCUCAAAUUUGUUUUAUACUCCAAUUCAAGGGUUAGGAAAAGGUUAUUGAUAAUUAAAUUAUACCAACUUUUAUGAUAUUAAAAAAAGGAUUUAUAAAUAAUAUAAGGAAAAGAAAAAAAGAGAGAAACAUAUUCAUAUUGAUGGGCUCUUUCAAUAUUAGACUUUUUUUCUAUCACAAGUAAAAAUAUCAAAGGUGAUAAUAAUUAAAUUAUAAAAUUUAAAUUGAGAAAAUAGGGGAUUGAAUUUAUAACUUUUAAAGUAUAAAGAAUGAAUUUAUAACUAACAACAUAUUUUAACCACACAAUAAAAGUAGUUAUGGAGAGGAUCAUGUAAAAUAAUGACCUGAAUAAUUUUAAACGUCUCAUCCUUGCAAAAAUGAAAUAAUAGAAAAGAAAUAAGUGUUGGGUGUAGUGGCAAUGUACAUUAUACUUCUAAGGGGAGAUCAGGGUUUUAUACAAGGGAAGAAUUUUAAACCUGCUUUUUUCUCUAGAACUCAACGCAAACCUCAAAUUUAUCUUUUUAUAAGAAUUUUAAUAUAUCUAUAUAAAAGGUGAUUUUUUUGCCGAUCACACUUAACAAAAUUUUAAAUUUUUUUUUUUGAAAUUUAAAGUGAUCUAAAAACAUAUUUUUAAGUGCUUUAGACCAUCCUGUGUUGAUUUCUUUAGUAAUUUGAUUUGUUCAAUAUAGAUUUUGGUGACUUAACACAAAAUUAAUAAAAAAUAUUUUUUCAGAUAUCUUUUUAAUGUUUAAUAAUAAGUUAAUUUAUAAAAUAUACUUUCAUAGGACACAGGCCUCCAAGGCGGUGAACCACUAAUGAAAUUAAUUUUGAGAUACUUAAAUUUGUUUUCAUCAAUUAAGAAAUUUGAAAAAUUGUUGAGACCUCAUGAUUAUCUUUUAUAAUUUCAGGCUUAUCACCAAAAAACUAAAAAACAAAAUCGUCGACAUUAAAUUUGUUGGCAUGCAAUCAAUUUUAAGAUGGUUUUUGGAGUUAUAUAUCACUUUAGCAUGGACUUACUUUUCUACAGUUAGUCUUCUCCAACAAGUUAAAUAUUUCAAUUUUAACAACAUUGACAGGUCUUUGGGGUAGGGUCGAGCAAAACUCAAUAGAAAUAGAUGAUAUAGAUUGAGUUAGCUCGGCCAAGUCGAGUCGACUUGUUCAAAUUAGUUAAAUUAGUAAAUUUUAGGGUGCAGUUAGAAUUUUUUUUUGUUUUGAGAUGCUAAGAUUAAAAAAUUUCAGUUGCUAAAACAAAAAAAUUGUAUUUAAAAAAAGGCAUAAAGAAAGGCUGAAUGACAAAUUGCCCAAAGCCCAUGCCCCUAGCUAUACGCCCCUGGUAAAAUCAAUUUUAAAAUUAGUUAUAAUAGUUGAAGCGAUUGAUUAUUGAGGAAUGAAAUACAUAGUUCAACAAAAUAAAUAAGUUGACAAAUUUUGACAAAAAAAAUCAAAAAUAAAAUAAUAGAAAAGAAAGAGUAGCCAUUUUAUGAAUUUAUAAUUCCAACCGUGAAUAAAAUAUAAAUUUUAUGAAUGUGGACAAGCCAUUUUAUUUAUAAUUUUCUGUGUUUUUCUUCUUUUCCUGACUUUUUUUUAAAGUCAUUUUCUUUGUUUCCUAAUCACCAUGAAAUUACUUGUCACAAUUCAUCUUUUUAAAUGAGAAACAUUUUCCACAAUUUGCCAUCACUUUAACAUACACUAACUUUUCUAUGAUUAGUCCUUGGUUUGCUUUGGGUGGAAUCUUCCAACAAUUAGUGUAUCACGAGUUUCGUUUUCUUUAAAAAAUAUUUUUGUGGAUAUUAGGAGAUAAUGAAAAUUAUUUUACUAUGAAAUUUUAAUAAAACUUUAAAAUAAGUAAUUUAUUUUAAGAGAUCACAAUUAAACAUUAGAUUUCCAAUUUUUUAAUUUUACAAUUUUUUGACAAUUACAUAAUUAAUAAGGUACCAAUGUUGAGCGUUGUAGGAAUGCUAUAACCUUCCCUAAACAUAAUCGACUCUUGAGCAUGAUGGAUCCUAGACCUUCUCCUCUAUUCUCGUACCACAAAUUGCUUUGAGUGUGGGUACGAACAAUCACAAAUUAAACACAAAACCAGAAAUGAUUUAUUACUUUUAAUAGCAAAGUAAUUCUCUCUCAAUAGAAACCAAUAGAAUUGUAAUUCCCAUAAAAUAAAAUUUAUUUUCUGAAAUAUAUUCUCACUACUUUCUAGCAGAGUAACAAUAUUUAAAACUUAUGUCUUGUGUUAAUAGCUUUACUAGCACUAUCUAUUUAUAGGGAGAGAGAUGAGAGUCCUGGUUGAAUUAGUAAAACACGAAUAAUAUUUAUUUCAUAGAAGACAAUUUCAUAGAAAACUUAUGUCUUGUGUUAAUAAUGUUGAAUUUGUAUGUACAAGUUUCUAAUACACUUGUUGGGACAUUCUUUGACUUUUAUCUAUUCUCUCAAAAAGUUAAAGUUCAAAGUUGCAUUAAACUCAAAUAAGAUAACCAUUAGCAAACCAGCUCACAAGCCUGCUCAAGCUAAUCCUACAAGUCAUUCCACUUCAUCAUCAAGCACCAAUGUUCUUGCUUAUCCUUAUGGAAUUAAACAAAAGAAAAAAGCUCUUUAAGAGUUAUUUCAAUAGACUUCUUUAAUGGUAAAUGACAAUCCACUCUAUUGAUGCUUCUUCGCCCAACUCAUGAUUUAAAAGAAGUUUAUACUCAUGGAUCAAGUGUAGCUCACCAGUUAUCAUUAAGGAGAAAAAAGAGUCAAUCAAGUGAAAAUUAUAUUCCAACAUCCCCCCUGAACCAAAUUUUAGAGUGAUGAAUGUCAUGACAACUGACACUACAUUCUUAGAAGAAUAAGUAGAUCUCUAGCAAAAACGAUGGAGAGUCUUACUACAAGCAUAAAAGGAAUGGAUGAUCAAAUUGAACAUCUUAGAGGAAGUAACCAAACCUUUUCCUACGAAACUCAACAUCCUCUUCACAAAGUUGUUGGAAUCAAAAUUGUUGAAGGACUUUAAAGUGUUUCUUUAGAUCAAGUUAAGGAGCUCAUUAAAGAAACCAUUAAAGAUCAAGUCAAAAGUGUUGCUCUACCUUCAUAUACAUACUUGAAGCCAUACAUUUGAAGGGCUUAUCAUUUGAAUAUGCCUGAACAUUAUCCACCUCCAAAAUUGCAAUAGUUUGAUGGUAAAGGAAAUCUAUGUAAACAUGUCGCUCACUUCGUGGAAACUUGUGAUUGCGUCGAUGUAACACCCCACUCGCGACCUAAUCGCUGGAUUCGAGAAGAGAGAUACCGAAAUCAUGUUGGAAAAAUCUAGUUUGAAAAUGGUUUUAUUUAUAGAGGAAAAUAAAAAUUUUGAAAACUGACUCGGUUUGUGAUAUUUAUGGCAAUAAAUGUUAAACUGAAAUCAUAAAUGUGCUUUUGAAUAAGCAAAUCCUUGAUGUUUUCUAGCUUUAAACCAAAUUAUCUUCUUCACUAUUCUCAUACCACAAAAUGCUUUGAAGUGUGGACUUGAACCAAUUGAAUCAAAACACAAAACUUGAAAAAGCUUUUUAUUCUUUUCGGGGUGAAACCUAAAAUUUUCUCUUAUUUAAUAGAAACCAGUAGAAAUGUUUAUUUUGGAAAAAUAUAUUUAAUAGUUAAGAAUAAAUUCUCCUUAUUUUUCAAUAGAGUAACAAUCUCUCAAAGUUGUAUAUAAAUCCCUACUGAUGCCAGAUAUUUUUAAGAAGAGAAGAUAGAACCCUUGUGGAAUUGUAGAAGCUUAUUUCAACUAGAAAAAUAACUUCCUACUUAGAGUAGGAGCAGGUUGGAUGGCAUCCCCUGUCGCCCCUUCGUUUUCCAUGAAGGGAUUUUGGAUCUCUCUCACAUUAGAUCCAACUAUGAGUGCUUUUCGAGCAUUUAGACUCAGUACUUUGUAAUUUGACCCAACUCAAUUCUAUUUUUUUAUUUCCCAAAAUAAACUUCAAUAUUUUAUAUUAAAUAAUUUUCUCAUCCAAAUUUUACCCUCAAUAGAAUUUUUGAGAAAAUAUAUUUAAUAUUUCACAAUUCAACUUGUUCAUUAUGAUCGAAUGAUUUAUUUUCAUUUUCUAGAUUUUAUAUAGCUGAAAAACAUAAACUCAUUCUCCUGAUCAUUUUUAAGUAUAUUCAUCUACAUUUGAAAAUGAAUCAUUUCUCAUUUUCGUUUCCAAAUGAUUUCAUUUCUCCAUUUCGAAGAAAUGUAUAAUCAUUCCUGAAUGUUUGUCAUUUCUUUAUUUCUAUUCAUUUCGAUUCAAACAUGCAAUUCAUUUAUGGUUUCAACGAGCUAGUGAAGGGACUAAUUGGACAUAUACAAUUAGGGCUCAAAUGAUUUAUAUUUGAAGUUUCAACUUUUCAUCUAUUAAUUAUAAACUCAUUUAGUCAUGAAGUCAUUCCACUAUAGUAUCAUGGCUGAGCUUGUGGUUCCCCAAACUUGGACGAGACAGUCUGACCCAAAAUUUGAAACUUACAUUAGCCACCAAAAUGAUUCUCUGUUAAAAUACUACAAAACAGACCAACCAACCAUGCAGGCCACACAUUUUCAACAUAAAUCAUAAUACAAUUAAUCCUAAUUGCAUGCCUUUCUAAACAUACCAUAAAAAAUGAAGAAAAAAAAUUCAUAUUUAGGUCACCUGUGAACCCACCCACUUAGAAACCUAGUAGCACGCAUCAACUUGGCGAGCACCAGCUGAAGACCUCCUCGCGACCCCCAGCUCAUUGCUAGCCCUACGAACCACUAGUUUGCUACUACCCUGUGAUCCCUAAAUAUUGGCAAACCUAGACACACAACUCCCCUUUUAUUUUAAUAGACUACUCAAGUCGUUGGCUCACUUGCGAACUCCUCUAUUUAGUGAACCUACCUAAUAAGGCAAACUCACUAUCCUGACGUACGCAUUAACUAUGGAGAACCUUCUAUUGCUUGGCGUACUCCCUCCUAAUGGCAAACACUAGGUUAUAUAGGGCUAGUCUAUACUAGCGGACUCCCUAUACUUUGGCGAACACUCUAUUAGGGAACUUAUGGUUUUUGGUGAACACACUUUUGUUUGGCGAAACCUACCUUUGGUGAACUCACCCCUAUUGUUGAACACUGUGUUAUGGUAAGGUCCUAUUCCCUUAUGACCCCUGUCUCACACUAUGCUAGGUUGGCUCGUAAGUAUUCUUUCAAUGCGUUAUUACUUCUAUAACAUGCAUUCUAUGUUAUCACUUUAUCUCAACCAAAAAAUUGGUUCAAGGGCGUACCUCAAAAUUCGGCGAACUCCUUGUUUUACAUAAGUAUGUUAGUUCAUCAAUUUACCUAGCAAAAUCAUGUAUUAUAAUCCAAACAAUCAAGCAUUCAAUCAAGCACUUAUAAAGUCUAAAAAUCCAAAAUUUAAAUAGUUCGUAAUAUCUGUUUACAACUUGUCAAAGUUUAUUUAAAAAUUCUAGGUCUACAUCUGAUUCCUUAGGAUAGUCCCACAUUGCCUUCAACUAUAGGGUUUGUAAAAACAAAUCACGUACUCGAAUGGAUUUGCCUUAUGUUGCAUCACUAGAUUGCCAUGCUUCACAACUAGUCACGUGAACUACUUAUCUGCAAGAUAUAUGCAAGGAGUGUGAGCUUAUUGAAGCUCAGAGAAUGCUUAAGCACACAACACAUAAAACACAUCAGUCAUGCUAAAAUUUAGACAUGUUGUAACAAUUCACAUAAAAUAUAAUAAUCAUGCUCGUCAUAGUAAAAUAAUGGCAAUUUGUGAAUAUGAAACAUAAUCAUAUUAUAUAUGCAUUGGAUAAGUAGAUCUUUAGAAUACUCCAAAUGACAUAGAGAGUCAUGCGCUAUCUUUGAUAAGUGUAGUAUGAAUGCUCACACUCUCCAAACACUCCAUACUAUCCUCAAAAUUGGAGCUAAGCUCGACAUUCCCUUAUCUCUCCAAUGCUAUCUUCAGGCCAUAAUGCCCCAUCAUAUAGUAAAAAUGGUGAGUACUCACAAUCCUAUGACAUGCCAAUGAUAUCUAACGGUUUCAAGUGUUCACAAUGCCAACAUAUGAUUUUUAUUUCAUUCACUUUACACAAUUUAAAAGGCCCACAAUAUAGUAGAUCUCACAUAUAAUAGUUCUUAAUAACACAACUCACAUUUUUGUAGGGCUCGCAUGAUACAUAAGUUCGUAAUAACAUAGAUUCGCAUAACACUUAUGGCUCACAUAUAUUUAGGGCUCGAAUGCAACAUUUGGGUUUCCAUAUAUUUAAACUAGCAUAAUACAGGGGCUCGCGUAACAUGUUUUGGCUUGCAUGUAAUAUAGGGCUUGAUCACAUAUAUAGGUUUGCAUGAUCUUAGGGUUCGCAUCACAUAUAUAAGUACGCAUGAUACAUGGGUUCACUCAACAUGUAUAUAUAAACUUGCACAUCAAAGUAUAGGCUCGCAUGCAUUAAGGUAAUAGAUUUUGCAAACAAUUUAGAGCUAGCACACAUCUUAGGCUUGCAUACAUACAUGUUAGCAAGGUCUGCAGGUCACAAAUCGGGGCUCGAAUAACUAUAGAGGCUUGCAUAGAAAUAUAACAGUGUUCGCAUAUCAUUUUAAUCAGCUUCACACAUUAAAUCAGAUAGUUUGUAUGCCUUACUUGGCUUUCAUUAGCAUGCGAACUCUUGUUUUUGACGUAGUGUGUAAGGACACUCACUAGUUGUUUGUUGAUACUGUCAAACCUAUACCACAUUUUGCUUGACUUUUUCCUUGCUUGUAGAUGCACCUUUAUAUUGAGAGGCUUUGCAUAAAACAAGAAAAUAUACAGAUUGCUACUUUCACAAACAUAUUAACCUUCUUAACUAACAUAGCAGCUCACCACUUCUAAAUUUACCGAACUCACCUCAUGUGACCUUAAACUUUUAGUUACUUUAUUUUAGUUCAAUUAAAUCCCCAAUUAUUACUUCCUAAUCUCAUAAGUAAGGUUUAAUUAUAGAUCUAGGCCAUUAAUUUUAGUCAAUUCUUAAAAUCAACAUUUUUCAAAAAAUCAUGCUCAUUUUCUAUCUCAAGAAGAAAAAUCACUUGAUUCAUGCAAUUCCUUUAAGGAUUUGUUAAAUCAAGUUUAUAAACCUCUUAAUUAUGCCAAAAUGAGUUAAAAAUUAUUUUAAAAUCAUGACUUAGCUCACUAUUAUGAGAUUCACCAUUUUUUUAUAUAAACCAAGCUUUAAAGCCAUAGAUCCAAUGAUUUCUCUUGAAACUUCAGGUGCAGUGCACUAACUAUGAAUAAUGUGGACUGAAUAUGUUUUUGGUACUCCAUGGAACUCCUCCUUCAACCACAAAAUCCCAACCCAAUUUAUAUGCAAUAUGUCACACAAUCUCAUACAUAAUCCUAUCUUAAUACUUUUCACAUUCAUUUGACAUGCUCAGCAUGUCCUCAAUAAUCACAUACUUUCAUACUUUUAGAAAAUGGAAACAGUGUUCCAAAGUUUCAAUUACCAUUGUGUUGGUAUCAAUCAAUAUCAUUCAAUUACACAUACUUUAUAGAUUUCCAUUGUGUUUAAAUAGCACCCUUUUCAAUACACAAUAUAAAAAAUAUCUCAUGCAUUUAAUCAUACAUAAGCUUUAUAUCUCAACACAUUAUAUCAUUCAGUCAAACAUUCUCAUAUCUUAUAAUUCAAAUAUGCAAUUACAAACUCAAUCAAACAUUCAUACUAUCAAACUAGCAAUUUUGCCAACAUGUUAAUCUUUUAAGGCUCAAAACAUAAUUGGUUCAGCCACUCACAAAAUCAAUAAUUUGGCUAUUAAGCCAAUCCAAUCAACAAGCUAAUUUAUCACAUAUAACAUGAUAUUUAACAUUUUCAAAAAAAAUUAUAAGUUUAGGACCCACGCAUUAUUUUUUGCUUCCUCGCAACAUACUAGCGAAUCUUCCAAUCUUCCUUAAUAAUUCCUUAAACGAACCUAAACCAAAAUGAAGCAUAAAUUCAAUCAAUUUACCAUUAAGCCAACCCCCAAACACCCACUUGUGAGUUCAAACUGAUCAUUGAAAUUAAAACUACUUUAUGAAUCCAAACUAGUUAGAUUCCUUAAACUGUAUCGAUGCAAAUCGUACGUACAAUCGUUCUUCACCUUUAUGGAUGAUUGGGGGUGUUUGGGUCAGCACCUAAUUCAAUAAUAUACUGGAAAAUCAGUAGUUAAUCAAUGAUUAACUUUCUUUAUUUAACCAAUUCAUAACCUUUACCCAACAACUAUGCCAAAAUAACAAACUAGUUUACAAUUAAUCGUACUUAUACUUCUCAAAUUAUAAGAUUCGAAUGGCUAAUUGAUCAAGAAUGUCUUUUGUAACAUCCCAAAAAUUAGGUUAGAAGAAAUGAGAUUUUGAAACCAAGAGUGGUCAUCCCUCGAUUAUGAGUUUAUAUCUUGGAAAAUUUGACAAGUAAAUUGAUCUGGCUUAAUGGUUAAUUGCUAUGGUUAUAUGUGUUAGGUUCUGGGUUCAAAUCUUGUUUUUGGAAAAUUUGUUACUUUUCUUAAACCCUUACCUUGAAUGUUUGGCUUUUAAGUUAAAUUUAGUCAAUUGAGGUCAAGAAUGAGCCUGUUGGUUUAAUGGUUAAGUUUCUGCAUAAUCCUUGGUCUUGUGUUCGAAUCUCAGCGAAAGCAACAGGGAAUGUUUUGUUUUUGAAUUUUUUAUAAGGUAGUUAGUUUCGAUUGGUUAUUUAAAGCCUUCUAGAAACCUCCGUUGCUUUUACUUUUAUUUUGUUCUUUCUUUUUCUACAAUGUUUUCUAUCAUUUUGUUUUCGAUCUUCAGUUUCCUCAUUUUGGUUUUUUAUUUUCAAGCAACCUUCUUUUUGUUAUGUUACGUUACACUAAUUGUGUAUAAGGUUUAACUUCUCCUUCUAGUUAAUUUGCUGGUUGGUAAGUUCAAUUUAAAGUUUUGGUGUCGAAAGUUCUUUAACAUAACUUCAAUUUUGGAAUGUUAGUUUCUAGUGGUUUGACUGCGAAUUAAUCGUUUGUUAGGGAAUUGCUUGUCGUUUAGGGACCUGAAUUUAUCCUUGUUACUCCUACAUCGAGUUCGUAUCAAGUGGGUAUCAAAAAUAUCUUCUUCUUCAAAUUUUAGUCGUCGAAGAAUAGGACUAUCAAUGCCACAUGGUCAUGCGCAAACUAUCUAGGUACAAUCUGUAUUCUAUUAAGUUUGUUGGUAUGCCUCUGCAUUACUCUAUUGAUAAAGAAUAUGUGACAUUUGAUUAUGUUAGAUUGGUUGUUACUGAUUCUAAUUUAUAACCCUCUGUUUUACUUUAUAGAUGUGGAAUACACAAUAUCUGAAAAUGUUAGACUAAUUGUUACUGAUUCUGAUUUAUUGUCGUGCAUGUGACUUCAUGGCAAAUAUGAUAUGAUCUGUUGAGGUUUGAUAGGUCUAUUUUCCAAAACAUGGACUCUCAUGUCUCCUAAUUCUGUUAUUGAAAGAUAUCAUAACUUACAUGCUCAUCACUCUGAUUCUGCAUAUGUAUGUCAUGACACGUUGCAUGGGAUUUGGGUUGAUGUGAAAGGUAAAAGUUACUGGCAGUUAAUGAUCCGCAUUAUCUGAGGUUUAUCCUCAAUUCUGUUUCGGCAGCUUAGUUGUACUAUAUUAACUUGACCACAUGUAACCGAUAUGGCAGUCUUAACUACAAAAUUCUAGUGGCACCAUCCACAGUUAUCUGUUGGUGUGAUUUGGCUAGACGAGUUCUGAGGGAACUCUAUUUUGGAUUGUAGUGGAGUUUUGGUAGGAUGUUUUCUGAUAAUUCUGCAUUCUGAUCUAUUUGAGAAAUACAACAUCUUCAUAACACAUUUUCUACUUUGCUCUAUUCUGUUCUAUUCUGUUCUGCUCUCUUCGGUUCUAUUCUAUUUGAUUUGUUAUGUUCUGCUUCAUUCUGUUGUGCUUGGUUCUAUUGUACUAUCGUUAUGGAAAUUUUCAUGAUAUUCUCGAUCUAUUCCAUACUAGCUAUAAAACUAUUAUUAAGUUCUUUGAGUUACUUUGAUUUAUAUAAUAAAAUCUAUUUAUUUGUAUCUAAGUUUGGUUAUACGCGACGCUUGGUAGUUCUCCCUUUGUCUUAUCUUAAUCUAUUUAGGUGGAUGUUUUACAUUGAUAUAACUAUGAUUUGAUCUUUUAGGUUGUAAUUUGUUUUUGGACUUGCAUUGCUUUUCUUUUGAUAAUCUCAUCAAUAUUUGUCAUUUUCUUACACAAAAAUAAAAAAACCACCUAAGUCGACUAAAAUGAAUUUCUGGUUUUCAAUGUUAAAAUUUUGAAAAGAAAUUAGUUUUCUACAUGUUGGUGUAGCUCGUCCAAAUUUGACUUAAACUUCUAGGUUGGGUUUGGGGUGUUGUAUCUUUCCAUAAUUAACAUGUGAUUAAUCUUUUAUUAGGAGGAUUCAAGAACUCAACUUAAUGAUGGAAAAAUAUAGGUAAGAACCAAGAAACAAAACAACCCCCUUUCUUGCACACAGGCGUACGCACCACCACCCAUGGUGGCCAAAAUUGGGGAAGAAUUUUAAAAUGGUUUGAAAUCUCAUUAAAAUCUAGAAAAAUACAAUUGAAUUCAUUUAAAAUCCCCCAAAUUCCAGAUCUAAAAAUUUUUCUUUUUAAUUGACAAAAUUAAUUAAGAAUUUGAAGAGAAAAGAGAUCUUCCCAAGCUAGUUAAAAGAAACGACAAUGACACUUUCUUGGCAAUGUUCAAGAUUGAUCUUGGGUUCAAGAUUUUAGAAUUGGGGAUGAUUUAGAUGAGAAAAAAUGGUAGGAAUAGAGUAAAGGAGAUGGUGUACAAUCUUGAUGCAAAAAGAAGAAGAAAGAGUUGGUAAAUGGGAGGUGUAGGCGACGACAACAAUAGGAGAAAGAAAGAAAAUUAAAGAGAAAAGUGGAGAGGAAGAUGGUGAACGGAUAGAGUAGGGAAAAUUUGAAUUAAAGGCUGAAAAAUACAAUAAAAAUUUCUAUUUAUACUUAGGGUUCAAGGGUAUGGAUCGCACAUACAUUUAAAAAAAUAAAGGAUUUUACGAAAUUUAAAAUUUCGUAAAGGAAAGGAUUCGAAAUUGGGACCUCAUUUAAUUUUCAUGUGUUCUCAUAUUUCUUUUAACCAUUAUGAUAUUUUCUCAUUCUUAAAAUCAUUUUACAAGAUUUAGUUUAAAAAUAAGGCAUGCCACAUUCUAGGGUUUAAGGCAAAAUUAGCAAAAUAAUAAAAAUAGUGAGAGAGAAGGGAUUUGAACUUGGGUUUCAUGGAAUGUUUGACUAACACUUAUCCAACAAACCAACACCUUAUUGAUUUCCUAAAAAUGCAUAGAUAAUCUCAAAAAUUAAGGCAUGACCACUCUUUCUCGAUUCACAAACCCGAUUAUGCUAAACCCUAAUUUUUGGAAUGUUACAAGGUAAGUUUGUAGUGUAACAAUAUAUAUGUGUGUGUUUUAGGGAUACGAUUGGCAUGCCAAUAGGGUUAGUAUGCAUGCUUGUACUGGAUCACACUUUGGUUCUUCUCUUUACACUUUGGUGCCUCUCUUUGCACUUCAGUGCCACUGUAUUUGCACUACAGUGCCUCUAUUAGCAUUUCGAUGUUUGGGGGAAACCCAAGUAUCGAAGUCAUUUUGCUGUAGUUCAACAUGCUGUGAAAUUUUAUGUUUAAAUGUUAAAUUACUCUUGAAUUUGAUUUAUAUACAAUGAUAUAUUUGUGUAUCUAUGUACAUAAGCAUUGAUUGCUUUGGUUUGAGCCAUUGUUUAUAUUGAAUCAUAUGAGAUGAAUGUUUUGAUUACUAUAGUUUGAGAAUAAAUAUUAAUUCCUUGGUGUAAUUAUAUGAUUCAUAUGUCUUUAAACAUGUUAUCUAAUUAUGUUUAUGGUGUGUUUAGAGAAUUAAAUUAUUAUAUGAGUAUUUUCCAGGUAUUCAAUGUUGUUUCAUUUGGUUUAAUGGGUAAAUAAAGCUUUAAAGGGUAUGUGAUUACACGAAAUGCACUACGAUAUUUGAGCAAUGAUAUGGAUCAUGAUGAAAUGUUUAAUUGAAAAGGAAAUAUGGUUUAGUAUAUAUAUAUGAGUGGUGAAUUAUGAAAGUGAAAUAUAGAUAUGUUAUAUACCAUGUUUUAUUCAAAUUAUAUAUGAUAUGUUACACCAACUAACCUUGUGAGGUGGUGGGUAUAGGAAAGGAAAGUUGGCUUAAAACAUAAUGAAAUUAUGCCUGCCUUUUUAACAUAAAAUAUUCAGUAAAUUAAGUUUCCUUUAUAUGAACUUACUCAACAUUAGUUGCUUGCAUAGUUAUUUUUCUUUAUUUUAUAGUUCAUCAGAAGCUCGACCGGUUGGAAUCAUGUCAAAGCACGAUCACACUAUCCAUUCAACAUUUUGAUAGCUUUUUUUAUUUUGGUAAAUGGUUAUAAAUGACAUGUAAUAGGGUUUAAAUGUCAUUCUAGUGAUUUGACUUGUUUUGAGUUGUGUCAAACUUCUUGUGAUUGAUGUUGUUAGUUGUUGGCAUGUAAAUAAUGGUGUAAAUAUGUGACAGCCCAAAAUUGACCCUAGUCGGGAAGUGGUUUCGGGACCGCUAAACCGAGUCACCGAAAGGUUUGAAUGUGAUGUUUAUUAUCUAGAAUAUGUAAUAAUGAAUGUGUGAAAAUUUCAAGCUUCGAUUUAGUCGAUUGCAUGCGAGUUUAGUCAAUAGGACUUAUAUGAGAAAAACUUUAAAAUGUGAUAGGUCAAUGCAUGAGGACCUAUUAGUGCAUGUGGAAGAAAAAGGGGACUUGCAUGUCAAAUUCCCCCUCCCUAAUAUGUAGUGGCCGGCCAUGCUAUGGGUGGAAACAUGUCACCAACAUGUUGUGUUAGUGAUGUAUGGUAAGGAAAAUAAAAUAUUAAGCAUGAUAAUUAAAAUAAAUUAAAGAAAGGAAUUAAACAAUGAAAAGGAAGGGUGAUGAAAAAAAUGGUCUCAUCCAUACCCCCCCCCCUUGUUGCCGUGAGUUGAGGAAAGAAAACAAAAAAAAAUGUGUGUUCAUUCUUGAACACCUUUGGCCGAAUAGAGGAAAGAAAGGAAGGGGAAGAGCUUGAGAAAAUCGGCUAUGGUGGUUUGCUAGACUAAGGUAUGUUUGAUGUUGUUCUUGAGAUGCAUGCAUGUUUUAGUAGUUGACUUGAGUUCUAAAAACCCAUGGUUCAAUUUUGUGGAUUGAUGAAGAUUUUGUGUUUUGCCAUUGAUGAGUGCUUGAGCUUUUUGAUAGUUGUUGAUGAAAAGUGAAAGAUAUGUUAAAGAUUAAUAUGUUUUGUGUUGAAGUUUUUGGUGAUUUUGAGUAGUUAGGGCUAUAUUACAAAAACAAAUUUUUGAAGGACUCAAAGGUGAAAUAAAUGAGAUGUAUGGACUUAUAUGGGCACUAGGAAGAUUCGGCCCUUAAGGAGUGUGACCAAACUUUGUGUAUUUUGUGUUUUGUGGAAUAAAGACUAAAUUGUGAAAGUGCGAAAUAUUAGGGGUAAAAAUGUAAUUUACCCAUUUAUGCGUUAUUAGACUAAAUUGAAUGAAAAUAUGUUAAAUUAAGGCUUGGCAAGCUAGCUAUUAAGGUGAAAUGCUAAUGUUAGUAUUUGAUUCGGUAAUAAUCUGUUUGGGGACAGCAGCAGUAAGGUGAUUUUGGAAAAUCGCCAUAAUUUGUAGGAGUUGAAUUAGAAGCUGAGUGAAUUAUGCCAUUAAAGCUUGAAGAGUCUAUUUUCUUACAAAAGAAACUAUGAAAACAAAAGAGUUACCGAUCUUGAGAUAUUUGAAGUAUUGUGGGGCUGAGUCAAAAUGACUACUAGAUUCCCUGUUCUGUUUUUAGAAAAUCAUUAUAAAUUGUACAAAAAUUAUUAUAAGAUAAAAUUUAUAUGCUUAGACUCCUUAAUGAGUCUAGUUUCAAAUGAGAUCAAAUACAACACAUUUUGAAUUCUGUAAAAUGAGAAAUUUGAUUCGUAGUGAAGAGUGGUCAGAAUAGUCAAACAGUGAAACAGGGGAAACUUUAAGAAAAAUCUGGUAUUGAUUGGCCAAGCCAAAAAUUCUGAAAAUUUUAUGGAUGGAAGAUAUAUGAGUCUAUAUUCAGGGAAAAUUAACAGCUAGUGAUUUGGAGUUUUGUAGCUCCAGUUAUAAACAAUUUAGCGACUACUGCUCAGGAAAACAGCUCGUAGUGAAUAUGUGAUUUUGUUGUAAACAUUAAUGAAAAUUUGCCAAUGAGUUAUUUAUUGACUAUUACAAAGCUUACUAUAAUCUAUGUGUGUGAAAGUCAAAUCAAUAUAUAUAUUAUUCUGAAAGUAAUACUUGAAUAGUCGAUUAAUGACUAUUUUAAGUUAUUGAUUUGGCUCAAGGAGUUAAAGGAGGUGAAUCGAGCAAAGGCAAAGAAAAGGUUAUCGAGUAGCCGAGUUGGAACCGUCUUACCCAACACGAGGUAAGUCAUUAAGCAUGUAGUUGGUAUUAUUUCAAUGGUCAUAAUGUUUAUGUAUUGAUGCUGAAUGGAAUGAAUAAAUAUACAUAUAUAUAUAUAUAUGUGCAUGUACGUAUGUGAUGAUGAGAUUGUUGAAUGAAAGAAAAGAGGUAAGAUGUACUGAGUUGUUGAUCUCGGCACUAAACGUGCGGGAUAACCAUUUAUGACCAUGAGAUUGGCGCUAAGUGCGCGGGAUUAAAUUGUACAGCACUAAGUGUGCGAUUUGACUAUGUUGCACUAAGUGUGCGAAAUGAAUAUGAUGCACUAAGUGUGCGAAUUGACCAUGCGGCACUAAGUGUGCGAGUUUGACUAUGUAGCACUAAGUGUGCGAUUUGAUUAUGUAGCACUAAGUGUGCGAGUUGAUUAUAUAGCACUGAGUGUGCGGACUCGAUAUACAUUCGUGAAUCAUUAUGGACACUAUGUGUGCGACACUAUUGAGUCGAUCGCGGACAGCGGAUCGGGUAAGUGUCUUGAGUACAUGGCUAAUAGGUGCUAUGCUUAUACUUGGUGUUGAGCUCGGUAAGUUUGAACCUAUGUGACAAAUAUACUUGAAGUCACGUACAUAAAAUUUAUCGUAGGAUUGGUGAAAGGCCGUUUAGUCGUUUGAUUGUAACGAAAAUAAAUUGAUUUAUGAAAAUGCUUCAAUGUCCUAUUGAUGAGUAUAUGGAAUGUGAAUGCAUGAAUUGAUAUGAAAUUGAAUUGAUAGGUUGGAGGAACUAUGGUAUGGUUCGGAAUGGAUGGAGUAAUUAGCCUCGUUCCAUUUUGUUUUCUCUUGUGAUAAUGUUAUUGAUGGAUGGUAGUGCAUAGCUUAUGACUUACUGAGUUAUAAACUCACUCGGUGUUUCCUUGUCACCCAUUAUAGGUUGCUUGGACUCAUCUAUUUUUUUGCGUGGUCGGGCCGUCAUCGAAGUCAUCACACCGGAUAGCAAGUUUUGGUACUUUCUUCUUAGUUGGCUUAGAAGAACAUUUUGGCAUGUAUAAGCUAUUACGUUGUGUUUGAACUUUGGCAUGUAAACUUUAAGCCAUGUGAAAAUGGCACGAAUGUUCGAUUGAGUUGGAUCAAGGGUAGGCAUGAAAUGGACCUAGUUACUUUCGUAACAGAUGCUGGCAGCAGCAGUGUCAUGAGAUUGAAAAAUCAUUAAAAAUAGUAGGAGUGGAAUUAAUUGAUGAAUAAAUUAUGUAAUCGAAGCUCGAUGAGUCUGUUUUCAUGAGGAAGUAACGAAAAGAUCAUAUGGGCAGUAUAUUAAGAGAUAAUCAGAUUUUUGUGGGACAGGGCCAGAACGGUUUCUGGAUUCCCUUCUCCGACUUUGGAAAUUCAUUACAAAUUAACCAGAGAUAAUUAGGGGUCGUACCAUAUAUGUACAGAUUCCUCUCUGAGUCUAGUUUUCAUAGAAAUAAACGGCAUCAGUAUUGGAGCCCCGUGCAGGGAGAUAUCCAAGUCGGAAUGGGAAAAGGUCAGUGUAGUCGACCCCUGCAACUGGGGAGACUUUGACUAAUAAACUGUACUAAUUGGCCCGACCAAAAAUUCUAGAAAAAAAUACAUAGAUGGGCACAUGAGUCUAGUUUCUGGGAAAAAUUACGAAACUGAUUUUCGAGUUAGGAAACUCAAGAUAUGAUUUUUAAAACGACUAGUACACGGAUUGGGCAGUGUCUGGAAAAUAAAUUUUGUAAGGGGUUAAAGCCAGUUAACACCUCGUGUUCGACUCCGGUGUCGGUUUCGGGUUCGGGGUGUUACAAAAUAUGUGUGGUUGGACCCUUAUGCAUGCUUUAUUGAUUAAAGAUAUCAUAUGGUAAAAUGGCAUGUUUUUGGAAUGGUUAUUUGGCAUGAUUAAAAUAGGUUUAAGUUUUGAUCUUGAGACGUUGAAUUGAAUUAAGUUUAAGAUGUAUAUUGUGAUACCUUCAUUGGCAUAUUUGUUAGAUAUUAAAGGAUGGUUGAUUUGGUAUGUUUUUGAAAUGGUUGUUGGUAUGUUUGAUCUAAGUUGAUUAAAUGAACUUGUAAUGUUCAACGGUAUAAUACUUGUUGGUACAUUAGUUAGUCUUAUAGGUUGAUGGAAUUGGUAUGUUUUAAAUGUGUUUAAAAUAUGUUUUGGUUAUUUCAAUGUUUGUGGAAAUGGUGUGUCUUGGUGUACAAGAUUUGUAAUUGAAAUGGCUCUAUUUAGAAGCAACUUCUGCUGCACACUACCUGGGACACGAGUUGUCACAUGGUUGUGCAUCAUUAAUGUUUUAGGUGCAGGUUUCACACAAUCUAAGACUCGGCUCACGACACGGUCUGGGCUAUGUCACACAGCUUGGCCGCAUGGCCAUGUGACCCUUGUUUUCAAGUUUUCAAAAUUUUCUAUUUUAUUUCAAAUUGAUCAUAGAAUAUUCUCAAACUAUUUUUAAGGCCCCGUAGGUUCGGAUUAUGGCCCGUAAGUGUAUGUUUGCUAUAAUUAAGUUGUGUUAUUGAAUGUUAUUAAUUAAAUCACAUGAAUAUUUUAUUGUAAGUUAAAUGUUUUAAUUUGUACCAUAAUGCUUUGUAACCCUAAUCUGGCGAUGAAGACUAGUUUGGGGUGUUAUAAUUUUGGACUGUAAAUUUGUUUUGGGGGCUUUGUUCUUUGGUUAUUGCGAUGUUGGUUAGAUUUUGGUGUUUUAACAUUAAACUGCAAAAUUGUAUGAUUUAACAAACUAAAAAUUAGUUUUUCAAAAUUAAAACUCUUGAAAUUUCAGUUGCAAAGAUUAAGUAAUCACUUCAGUGUUUUUCCAUAAAUAAUUAAAUUUUUUUUAACAAAUGUUUUCCUUAGUUUGGGAAAUGAUUUGCCAACAUAUGUACUUUUAAAACACAUGAUUUCAAAUUCAAAUUCUCAAUUUUAAAUAAGGGUUUUCAAACUUUAGUUUUUUUUAACAGUUGUGAGAGGUUUUUGCCAAAUUUUAUGUUUUCAGAACAUAUUAGUAAGUUGAUUUUUAAUUUGUUUUUUAAACGAGUCGAUGUAAUUCCUCAAAAAUCCAUUCAUAGCGUCUUAGUCUAGAUCUAAACAUUAAUAUUCUCUUCCAAGAAAAAUCAAGAUUAUCAAAUUGUUACAACUUGGUAGGUAGACAAUCAUAUUAAAUAAGCAUAAAACUUAAUAAAUAAUUAGCGAAGAUUGAAACAAUCAAAGAAAAAAUAAAUUAAUUAACUAAGAAAUAGGAUCCAUUAUUGUUUCAAGAAAACAGAGUUUAGUUCAUAUUGAGUUGAGAAAUCCAAAAGGGAGAUUCAAAACAAACUUGUGAAAAGGGGAACAAUGUCAAUAGAUCGUAUUCAAGUUGUUCAACUCGAGAAGGAAAGAUUCAGAUCUAACCUAAAAAGAAGAAACCAAACAGAUUUAGAAAAACAAGAAAAACAAAGAAAAUAACUAAAAUGAGAAAUUUAAGAGUAAUUAAUAAAUAUUAAAACUAAUAAAGAAAUAAAGAAAUUAUAGAAUAAAUAGUGGAAGAUGGAAUGAAUAAACGAUGGAUAUGACAUAUAGAUGGAUAAGUGUCUGAUAAUUCUUGAAAAGAGUUAUUUUUCAUGCCUUUAGACCUAACUUGUAAUGCCCCAAAAAUCCCUUAUAUAUUUAUUUUCGUAAGUUUGUAACAGAAAUAUCUGUUAGCUUUAGUGGUUAUAUGCUUUGGGAGUGUUUAGGAGGUCCCAAGUUGAAACCUUAGCUUGGGCAAUUUUUUUUUGUUUUAAAUGAAUAAAACUCUAUCUUUGAUUAGUAGGCUUAUAAAUAGAUGUUGGUAAAAAAUGUCAGAAUGGUUUUACUGGUUUAGUGGUUAAGUGGGGUGUAAAUAUGCAGGAGCUCUUAUGUUCGAAUCUUUGUGCGAUCAAGAGCAUUUAUUUUAUUACUUGUGUCGUGUAGGUAUUUUGGUCCAGCCAAAAUACUGAAGAGGUUGACUAAGGGUUGGUUUCGGUUGUUGAGAGGUUUAUGGUGGGUUAGUAGAGAGGAUUUUAAGGAGAAAUUUUAGAGAUAUGAAGAGAGAGUUAGUGCCGAAUUGAAUUUCUUUUGCUUUCUCAAAUUUCAGCUGGGGUUUGAUUUUUCUUUUCAAUUUGUUUCUAUUGACUGUUUUCCAUUCUAGAGGGUCAAAUAUUGCUGAGGGUUCCUACUAGUUUCUUUUUUUUCUUUUUCUCUCUUCUCUCUUUCGACUUUGUUCUUCCCAACUGCAAAAGUGCUCUUCCCUAAACUGUUACUACCGUCUACUUUCUCUUUUCCUCCCUUGCUUUUUUUAUUGUCGAAUUUUGGGUUCUUUAUGCAUUUAAUUCUAAUGUCAAUUUAUCACUUCUCUACCAAAAGAUUAUUAUUUUCUCUCAUUGAUUUUCGUUUGGUUCAUCCUUGCUACCAGAAGUGUGGUUGCCCUUCUUUCUUGGUUUCGUUUGUCAUCAUCUGCUACAUGUUCUUUAACACUCUUUUGGUAAGUGUUCGUUUCUUCACCGCUCAGUUACUUGAAGUUAGUUUUUAAAUGGUUGUGUAUUGUUUUGAAUAAGAAUCUGAUAAAUCGUGUGUUCCAACCCUAUUUAGAUCAGUUCAUGGUGGUGUUUAUUGAUGAUAUACUGGUGUAUUCGAGAACUAAGGAUGAGCACGAUGAACACCUCAGAGUGGUUCUACAGAUUCUACGAGAAAAAGAACUGUACGCCAAGUUUAGUAAAUGUGAGUUCUAGUUAAGUGAAGUAACGUUUCUGGGACAUGUGGUUUCUACUGAGGGGAUUAGAGUUGAUCAUCGAAAGAUUGAGGCUGUCUUGGAUUGGAAGCAGCCUAAGACUGUAUAUGAGAUCUACAGUUUUCUCAGAUUGGCAGGGUAUCGACAAUUUGUGUAAAGGGUUUUCUCUAAUUGCCGUACCCUUGACUAAGCUGCUACGUAAAGGCUUACCGUUUAACUGGACUGAUUCAUAAUAAGAGAGCUUUGAGAAGCUCAAGACUGUACUGACUGAGGCCCCUGUUCUAAUAUAGCCAGAGUCUGGAAAAGAGUUUACUAUUUACACUGAUGCAUCACAUGUCUGUUUAGGAUGUGUGUUGAUGUAAGAAGGUAAGGUGGUAGUGUACACGUCUCAUCAGCUUAAGAAUCAUGAGGUGAAUUAUCUUACGCAUGACUUGGAGUUGAAGUGAUUGAGUAUAAUAACAUUUAACAUAUUAGAGCCAAUUGGUUGUCCAUAAACAUAAAAAGGUGACCUUAAUGAGAUACGCCAUAGACUCAAAAGUGUAUCAUUUACACUGAUCACAAGAGCCUCAACUACCUCCUCACUCAUAAGGAGCUGAAUCUUAGGCAACAUAGAUGGAUUGAGAUGCUUAAGGACUACGACUGUACUAUUGAAUACCACCCUGGUGAGGCUAAUGUGGUGGCUGACGCACUAAGCCGUAAAACUAUGACUGAACUGAGGGUGAUGUUUUCUCGCCUUAUUUUAUUUGAUAAUGGUAGUCUGUUGGCCAAACUUCAGGUUAAACCGAUUUGGAUAGAGUAGAUUAAGUGUAUACAAGUAGAGAAUGAGUUGUUGGGUCUUCGUUUUUGACAGGUUGAGAGUGGGAAUACCAAGGAUUUUAGACUGAAUAGUGAAGGGGUGCUCUAUAUCUGUGGGAGAAUCUAUGUAAAGACCUUCGUGAGUUAUACUAGUGGCCAGGUCUUAAAUGAGAAUUUACUAAAUUUUUGGCUAAGUGUCUGACAUGCUAGCAGGUUAAGGCUGAACAGCAGUUACCUUCGGGAUUGUUGCAGCCAGUCAAGAUUUCAGUUUGGAAGUGGGAGCAUGUAACUAUGGAUUUCAUUAGUGGGUUACCCCUCACACCCACUAAAAAGGAUUCGAUGUAGGUCAUCGUGGAUUGAUUGACCAAAUCCGCCCACUUCAUACCAAUUUGUACUGAUUACUCUCUGUAGAAGCUGGCUAAAUUGUAUGUGUCUGAAAUAGUGAGAUUACAUGGGGUACCGAUUUUAAUAAUAUCUUAUAGGGAUCCUCAUUUCACAUCUCGGUUCUGGAAGAAGCUAUAUGAAGCUUUGGGUACAAGAUUGGAGUUUAGUACUGCGUUUUAUCCUCAGACUGACGGUCAGUCAGAGAGGGUGAUUCAGAUACUAGAGGAUAUGUUGAGAAGUUGUGUGAUUGACUUUCGAGGUAGUUAGGAGGAUUACUUACCGCUAGUAGAAUUUGCAUAUAACAACAACUAUCAGUCUAGCAUUCAAAUGACACCCUAUGAGGCAUUAUAUGGUCGUAGGUGUCGCACACCUUCAUGUUAGACUGAGUUAGGCGAGCAGCGUAUUUUGGGGCCUGAACCAGUUUCUGAUACAGAGGAUAAAGUUAGACUAAUUCAGGACCAACUGAAAGCGAUAUCUAAUAGGCAUAAGUCCUACACCGAUCUAAAGAGUCGAGGGAUUGAGUAUUCUGUGGGGGACUUCAUUUUUCUCAAGGUCUCACCAUGGAAGAAGGUAUUAAGGUUUGGUCGUAAGGGCAAGUUGAGCCCUAGUUUAUUGGGCCCUAUCGCAUACUAAAACGUGUGAGAUGAGUUGCCUACCAGUUGGAGUUACCUCUAGAGUUAGAUCGGAUUUAUGACGUGUUCCAUGUCUCUAUGUUGAGGUUACCGCUCUAAUCCUACGCAUAUUAUUCCUAUUAAGGAAAUCAAGGUUAGGCUAGAUCUAACCUUUGAGGAGGAGUCAAUUCAGAUAUUGGAGUGAGAUAUAAAGGUUCUAAGAAGAAAAUUCAUCCCACUAGUUAAGGUUAUUUGGCGUAACCAUAGCACUGAGGAGGCCAUAUGGGAGUCUAAGGAUGUAAUGCUUUAGCAGUAUCCUCACCUAUUCUGAUCAGGUAAAUUUUCAAGGCCAAAAUUUUCUUUUAGGGGGUAGAGUUGUAGCGCCCCAAAAAUCCCUUAUAUAUUUAUUUUCGUAUUUUUUAUACAAAUAUCUGUCAGCUUUAGAGGCUAUGUGCUCUGGUAGUGUUUGGGAGGUCCCAAGUUCAAGCCUUAGCUUGGGCAAUUUUUUAGUUUUAAAUGAAUAAAAUCAUAUCUUUGAUCAAUAGGCUUAUAAAUAGAUGUUGGUAAAAUAUGUCAGAAUGGGCAUGCUGGUCUAGUGGUUAAGUGGGGUGCAAAUAUGCUGCAGGUCUUGUGCUUGAAUCUCUAUGUAUAGAGCAUGUUGUUAAACUGUACUACAUGCAUAUAUGAUACCAUGAUAUGACAUGACAUGAUUGUGUGGUGCAUGGCAUGGGGAUAGGUUAUUAUUGAUCGAAGGAAGUGUACUGGAAGGCUUUGAGCCUAACUUACUGGCAGCUCAGCUGCAUAUUACUGUAUAGUGUCGCCAUUGGUACUACUUAGAGUGUAGGGAUGGGUGGGUUGAUUAUAUCCCCACAUGAAGUGUAGGGUUGGUCGGAGUUGGUGUGUAGAGGUUGGCUAGGUAGGACUUGUAUACUGCAUAAUCUGUUAAUGUACUGAUUGCUAAUAUUGUAAUGGGCCAAGGCCCAAAUGCAUGAUUACUUUUGUACUAAGAUGGGCUAAAGCCCAAACCAAUACUGUCACUGAUACUGGAAAGGGCUUAGGCCGGACUGAGUUUAUUCUGUUUUCUGUCUGAUUAUUUUGUGUACUGUCUAUUUGUUUGCACUAGGAAUAUCACACUGAGUUUUGAAAACUCACCCUUUCUGUUAAUCUGUGUAGGUAAUCCCCAGUCGUAGGUAGAUCGGUGUGGCGGAGGAUUCAGCGGUGGCCACACGACUCCUUUUUAUUGUUUCGUAUCUAAUGAUAUUUAUUUUUAAGUCUUUAUUUGGGGUUUUUAUCUGUAAUAAUUGCUGCUAUGGAUUUUUUAUUUAAAUUUGGAUUUAACACUACUUCAUGUUUACAUCUGCUAGAGGUAGAUAUAGCACGGAUUUUUGAAAAGAAAUGCAUGUGUUUUAGCAAAAUACCCCAAUGUCACAAACUGUUUUAAAAAGCUUCCGCAACGUAUAAUGAUUUGCAAACUAACAAUUGAAUAAAAAUCACUAUUUUGGGAUUAACAAAAGAUAACGACGACCUCUAAUCGAAAAAUGUUUUAAGCAAAGUUACCAUUUUUCAACAUGAGCUUCGGUUUUGAAAAAUACCACCAUGUGACAUCGCCAAAUUCGCCCGUAACAUCCAGGCUGGGUUUGGGGUGUUAGAUAACUAAUUGCUUGAACUUAAGUACAUUUUGUUGCAUUUUAAGACAUUUUAGUUAGCAUUUCUAAUAUUGCAUUAGGACUUAGAUUGUGUUGGACUUAUGUGUUUUUAAUAUGGUGGAGUUUUUUUGUGUGUUGGUAUGGCAAGAACAUAUUUUAGAACGAGGAAAUAAAUGAGUGAAGUUUUGUCAGGGAAAAAGUGCAGACAGUUUGCCAGCACGGAUGCCGUGACAAUGCCAGGAAGACCAAGUAAACAUUUUUUUGCGCAACAGUCUCAAUUGAAAUUAAAACUUGUACCAGAUAAAUCUUCAAAAAAGAGGAGAAGAUAAUCACAAGUUGUUACUUGACACUAGCCUAAUCUACCUAUAAAAGCCAAUAAAGGGGAUCUCACAAAUGGCAGAAAAAAGUGGGAGGGAUCCUUAGGUGUGAAUAAGGUUUUAGUUGCGCAAAGGAAAGGAAGUCGAAGGCAGUGCUUUUUAGCCAUCACAGGAUGUUGUGCUACCGAAGUGUAAACUAGGCAAGUGAAAGUUGUUUCCCAAAGUUCUUUCGUUAUUUCCAUCAGCGUUCCUUCAAAAUAUUGAAGUAGUUGAACACAAUGUCAGAUAAUAUUUUGCUUUUGAAUUUUAUUUCUCAGCCCAUGAGCUAAAUCUCGUAGGGUUGGGAUUACUUUUGAUGAAACCUUAAACUAUUUUUAUGGAUGCAGUAUAUAUCUAAUUUACUUUACUGUUUCAUUUGAUUGUUCUUAUUUCUUAAUUAAAAUGCAAAUGAUUUCUAAACAUAGAAGACUGUUCGCAUACUUAUAAACUCAUUCUAAUUCUGAAAGGGUUGGAUUGGUUGGAUUAAAAUUAAAUGAAAUGAGCAAGUAUUCGAUGGACACUUGUAGUAGACUCUAUACAUAGAGUGACGAUCAUACAGAAGGAACCCAUGCAAGGUAUCUAAAAAGUCUUUAGACAUAGGCAAGGUAACUUGAUGUUUUCCUCUCAUGAGAGGAGAGCCAUUUUAGUACUCUUCUGUGCUUUAUAGUAGAUACGAUUUUCCCAAGGCAUUAUUGACAAUAAGGGUCAAUAUUCGGUAAUCCUGACCUUCGAAAUCCACAUCGUAUAUCCUUUAUUCUUUUCCACAUCAUUAUUAGUUAUUUAUUUGUUCAUUUACAUAAUAUUCCCAUAGUAAUUCUCAUCAUUGUCAUUACAUUUCUACUCUUGGUUUGACACAACAUUACCACUUAUUUAUUAAUUCUAUGUAUUGCUUACAUCAUUACUCUACUAAUUGCCACUGUAUAUUCAUCAUUGACUCUCCCAUAGCAUUAAUCGUAUUUUAUUAUAAUAAUUUGACCAAUUGUGUGCCUCAAUCCGAUCUUUAUGGGAACGAUACACACUCAUCACUUUAUUACGUGAUUCAACUGUAUACUUGCACAAAUCGCAUAUCAUUUCACACACGAUAGUGUUCAAUUGAACCCUUUGAGAUAUAAACCUAGACAAACUCAAUUAAUGGCUUUAAUUAACCCACCAAGAAAUAAUGAUUGGCAAAUUGAACGAUGAAGAAUGAAUUCCCAUGACUCCUUAAAAAAUUGAGAAGAAAAAUACUUCUAAAAAUCACAAGAAACAAAUCUUGGACAAAGAAACUAACUUUCAGAGUUGGAAAUUUUAGUAAUAAACAAAAACAAUUGCAUCUCUAAUGAACAUGAAGGGCCUUUACAUAGGCUAGAUAAGUACAUCCAGAUAAAAUAUUCAAGUAUCUUGAAACUUUAAUUAAUAUAAGUAAUAAGUAAUUUUAAACUAAAAUAGUCAUAAUUUUCGUCAUAAUCCCGUCCAAAAAUUCUGCUCACAUAAUCAUCAUUAAAAUAGUCAUAAUUUAAGCUCUUGAACUCAAAAUUGAGUGAAUAAAAGUGUGUUUCGAAGUUAAGUGCUAGAUCUUAGAACUUUAUGAAGACAUAUCAAUCGAAAAUUGUCCGGAUCCCAUCCAAAGAGUCACAGCAAGUUAACUAAUUUUUCAAACUUGAAAAUUGGCAACUUCGGGGAAUGGAAUUUAAUACAGUUCACCCCAUCUAUUCAUGUAUCAACUCGCAUUGGUAAAAAGUAAAAAGAAAUAAUCUAUAGAGAAAAUAGUUGAAGAAUUUAUGAAAAUUUAUUCAAAUCUCUUUUUUUUCUAGUCUUUGCAAGCUUGAAUUUUCCCUUGGUGUGUGAGAGUUGUUCCUUACCCUCUAAGUGAUUUUUUUUCUUUUUCUUUCUCUUCGAUCUCGUCACCUAAGGGUGUUCAAACAAUUGAUUCAGUUAGUACCCGUGCAAAACUAUCAUUAACUGAAAUUUUGAAACCCUUAAUCAUUAAUCAAACCAUUUUCUUUUUUGAAACCUACUAACCAGCUUGAUUGAUUUGGGUUAAUUUGAGUGGUUAACCAAAAUUUAAACAUUGUUUGUUUUUGUUCAAACAAUUUUAAAACAAAGAACAAUCCAUGACAAUUUUUCCUUGUUUUUUAUUCAAAAAAAUUAAAAGAAUUAAAAAAAUAACAUAAUAACAACACUAAAUUAAAAACAUAAUAGCAUUCAUUACAUUACAAAGCAUAUAUAUAUAUUUACUUUUUCUUGACUUUUUAGUUUAAUUUUCGUUUUAUUUUCCUAAUAUUUUUAGUUUUCAUAUUUUUGUUAAGCUUAUUAUAAGAACACUUAUAAAUCCAUUAGUUCUUAUAUAUUGGGUUUGUAUAAUGUAUUCGACCUAUCUCUAAUAUAUUGGGCCUAUAAUAUAUUUUUAUUGAUUUCGGUUAAUCAAUUCAUUCGAUUAAUUAGUCGAUUUCAAACUAAAAUAAUUGGUAAACAAAAUCUUCAAAAACCUUUAACCAACUCCAACCAAAUUAGAUUCAUUGAUCAACUUCUUAAUCAAAUUAAUUAGGUUUGAUAAAUUAAUUCGUUAAAACUGAAAAAUGCACACCCCUAUCAUCACCGUUGUUUUUAGGGAUUUUAAUCAUGUUGCUCCACCUGAUGCAGAAGUUGAGGUGGAAUGAACUACUUGCUACCAAAAUUUUUGAAUUAUAGAGCAUGCUCUACCGCAGUGAAUCAAAUUCGGUGGAGUGGAAGACUUUUCUUUACUACUUUAUGCUCUAUGCUCCAAGUCUUCUAUUCUUCUUCUGAGACCUAAAAUGGGAAAAAAAAAGAAGAAACAAGUCUAAACUAACUUUGAAAAUUAGAAAUUCUCAACAAAAUUGAAAUAAAAUAUAAUUAAUCCAUAAAAACUAUAAAAAAUACAAUAAAAACGAACCUAAAUACUAAAAUUACCUCCUAAAAAGCUAUGGAAACUAUACUAAAAUAAUUCUAAAUAUGAUAGUUAUCAAAAAUGACAUGAGGAAGCCAAUCGAGUAGAUGCUUUCAACUAUUGCAAAUACCAUUAGUCGAUUAGCCAUCAUCUUGAGAACAUCAUAGAGUUGAAAGAAAAAAUCAUACAACUCCAUAAAGAAGAAAAAAUCAUUUUUGAAAAAGAAUUGGCAUUAUCAAACUUGACAUCAAUGCUUUGGUUUCUCAAUACAAUAUUAUGGACAAAUUCAUCAAAUUUGGCUCUUUCAAUCCUAUUACACUAGCUCUAAGUAGAAGUAAGAUGGUGAGUUUCGAAGGGAUUGAGGGCAAUCAUCUAUUUUUGGAAUAUCAGAAUGGUCAUGAUUGGACUCUAGCCACAUGUCAAAGAAGCCAAUGAAAAGCAUCUCUCCUAGGUAUAAGCUUAUAUUAUCACAUUGCUCCUAAGCAUGAGCAUAAAUCGUUCAUCCAGAAUGAUGAUGAUCCUAAGCAUAAGCUUAAACUAUUCAUCUAAUGCUCCUAAGAUGGAGCUUAAUCUAUUCAACCUAAACGAUCAUGCUUUAAGCACAAUCUUAAACUAUUCACAAAAAAUAAAUGAUGAUCCAAUGAAGCAUGAGCUUAAACUAUUCAUACAAAAUAAGCGAUGACCUUCUAAGCAUGAAUUUAAAUUGUUCAUACAUAAUAAAUGAUGAUAUUACUAAGAACAAGCUUAAACUGUAGUCUAAAAAAUAUUGAACUAUAUUAUAACUUGAUCUUUUAAAAAUGAAGGUACGUAGAUAGCUUGGUUUCAUUGCCAAGUUCAGUCUAAUUAAAUAUGUUUAUGGUGUGUUUAGAGAAUUAAAUGAUUAUAUGAUUAUUUUCCAGGUAUUCGAGGUUGUUUCAUUUGGUUUAAUGGGUAAAUAAAGCUUUAAGGGGUAUGUGAUUACAUGAAAUGAACUAUCAUAUUUGAGUAAUGAUAUGGAUGAUGAUGAAAUGUUUAAUUGAAAAGGAAAUAUGGUUUAGUAUAUAUGUAUGAGUGGUGAAUUAUGAAAGUGAAAUGUAGAUAUGUUUUAUACCAUGUUUUGAUUCGAAUUAUAUAUGAUAUUUAAACCAACUAACCUUGUGAGGUGGUGUGUAUAGGAAAGGAAAGUUGGCUUAAAACAUAAUGAAAUUAUGCUUGGUUUUUUAACUUAAAAUAUUCAAUAAGUUAAGUUUCCUUUAUAUGAACUUACUAAACAUUAGUUGCUUACAUAGUUAUUUUUCUUUAUUUUGUAGUUCAUCAGAAGCUCGACCGAUUGGAAUCAUGUUAGAGCAUGAUCACACUAUCCAUUCAACAUUUUAAUAGUUCUUCGUUAUUUUGGUAAAUAGUUGUAAAUGACAUGUAAUGGGGUUUAACGGUCAUUCCAGUAAUUUGACUUGUUUUGAGUUGUGUCAAGCUUAUUGUGAUUAAUGUUGUUAGUUGCUGGCAUGUAAAUAAUGGUGUAAAUAUGUGUGAUCGGACCCUUAUGCAUGCUUUAUUGAUUAAAGAUAUCAUAUGUUAAAAUGGCAUGUUUUUGGAAUGGUUAUUUGGCAUGAUUGGUAUUUAUGAUCUUGAGAUGUUGAAUUGAAUUAAGUUUGAUAUGUAUAUUGUGAUACCUUCAUUGACAUAUUGGUUAGAUAUUAAAGGAUGGUUGAUUUGGUAUGUUUUUGAAAUGGUUGUUGGUAUGUUUUCUCUAAGUUAAUUAAAUGAAUUUGUAAUGUUGAAUGGUAUAAUAUUUGUUGGUACAUUAGUUAGUCUUAUAGGUUGAUGGAAUUGGUAUGUUUUAAAUGUGUUUUGGUUAUUUCAAUGUUUGUGGAAAUGGUGUGUCUUGGUGUACAAGAUUUGAAAUUGAAACGGCUUGAUUUAGAAGCAACUUAUGCUACACACCGCCUGGGACAUGGAUUGUCACAUGGCUGUGUCAUUAUUAUUUUAGGUAUAGGUUUCACACAAUCUAAGACUCAGCUCACGACACAGCUGUGUAUCACAAGUCAGUAUGUAACACGGUUUUGUACAUGGCCUGCGACACGAUCGUGUGUCCAGACUUCGAAUGUCCACAUGGUCUAGGCUAUGUCACAUGGCUUGGCCACAUGGCCGUGUGACUUUUGUUUUCAAGUUUUCCAAAAUUUUCUAUUUUAUUUCAAAUUGAUCCUAGAAUAUUCUCAAACUAUUUUUAAGGCCCCGUAGGUUCGGAUUAAGGCCCGUAAGUGUAUGUUUGCUAUAAUUAAGUUGUGUUAUUGAAUGUUAUUAAUUCAAACACAUGAAUACUUUGUUGUAAGUUAAAUGUUUUAAUUUGUACUAUAAUGCUUCGUAACCCUAAUCUGGCGAUGGAAACAAGUUUGGCGUGUUACAAUUUUGUAUUGUAAAUUUGUUUUGGGGCUUUGUUCUUUGGUUCUUGUGAUGUUGGUUGGAUUUUGGUGUUUUAACAUUAAACUGCAAAAUUGUAGGAUUUAACAAACUAAAAUUAGGUUUUCAAAAUUAAAACUCUGGAAAUUUUUGUUGCAAAGUUUAAGUAAUCACUUAAGUGUUUUUCUAUAGAUAAUUAAAUGGUUUUUAACAAAUGUUUUCCUUACUUUUGGAAAUGAUCUGCCAACAUUAGUACUUCUAAAACACAUGAUUUCAAAUUCAAAUUCUCAGUUUUAAAUAAGGGUUUUCACACUUCGAUUUUUUUUAAACAUUUUUGAGAGGUUUUUGCCAAAUUUUAUGUUUUCAGAACGUGUAACCAAGUUGAUUUUUAAUUAGUUUUUCAAAGUAGUCGAUGUAAUUCCUCAAAAAUCCAGUCAUAGCGUCUAGGCCGGGUUUGGGAUAUUAUACUGACGUUACUAAAGUUAAUCUUCAUCUAUUUAGUCUUGAUCUAAACAUUAAUAUUCUCUUCAAAAAAAAUCAAGAUUAUCAAAUUGUUAAAACUUGGUAGGCAGACAAUCAUAUUAAAUAAGCAUAAAACUUAAUAAAUAAUUACCGAAGAUUGAAAUAAUCAAAGAAAAAAUAAAUUAAUUAACUAAGAAAUAGGAUCCAUUAUUGUUUCAAGAAAAUAGAGUUUAGUUCACAUUGAGUUGAGAAAACCAAAAGGGAGAUUCAAAACAAACUUGUGAUAAGGGGAAUAAUGUCAAUAGAUCAUAUUCAAGUUGUUCGGCUUGAGAAAGAAAGAUUCAGAUCUAACUUGAAAACAAGAAACCAAAAAGAUUUAGAAAAACAAGAAAAAACAAAGAAAAUAACUAAAAUGAUAAAUUUAAGAAUAAAUAAUCAAUAUUAAAAAUAAUAAAGAAAUAAAGAAAUUAUAGAAUAAAUAGUGGAAGAUGGAAUGAAUAAACGAUGGAUAUGACAUAUAGAUGGAUAAGUGUCUUAUAAUUCAUGAAAAGAGUUAUAUUUCAUGCCUUUAGACCUAACUAAUUGUUUGUACUUAAGUACAUUUUGUUGCAUUUUAAGACAUUUUAGUUAGCAUUUCUAAUAUUGCAUUAGGACUUAGAUUGUGUUGGAAUUAUGUGUUUUUAAUAUGGUGGAGUUCUUUUGUGUGUUGGUAUGGCAAGAACAUAUUUUAGAACGAGGAAAUAAAUGAGUGAAGUUUUUUCAAGGAAAAAGUGCAGACAGUUUGCCAGAACAGAUGCCGUGACAAUGCCAGGAAGACAAAGUUAACAUUUCUUUGCGCAACAGUCUCAGUUGAAAUUAAAACUUGUACCAGAUAAAUCUCCCUAAAAGAGGAGAAGAUAAUCACAAGUUGUUACUUGACACUAGCCUAAUCUAUCUAUAAAAGCCAAUAAAGGGGAUCUCGCAAAUGGCAGAAAAAAAUGGGAGGGAUCCUUAGGUGUGAAUAAGGUUUUAGCUGCGCAAAGGAAAGGAAGUCGAAGGAAGUGCUUUUUAGCCAUCACAGGAUGUUGUGCUACCGAAGUGUGGACUAGGCAAGUGAAAGUUGUUUCCCAAAGUUCUUUCGUUAUUUCCAUCAGCGUUCCUUCAAAAUAUUGAAGUAGUUGAACACAAUGUCGGAUAAUAUUUUGCUUUUGAAUUUUAUUUCUCAGCCCAUGAGCUAAAUCUCGUAGGGUUGGGAUUACUUUUGAUGAAACCUUAAACUAUUUUUGUGGAUGCAGUAUAUAUCUAAUUUACUUUACUGUUUCAUUUGGUUGUUCUUAUUUCUUAAUUAAAAUGCAAAUGAUUUCUAAACAUAGAAGACUGUUCGCAUACUUAUAAACUCAUUCUAAUUCUGAAAGGGUUGGAUUGGUUGGAUUAAAAUUAAAUGAAAUGAGCAAGUAUUCGAUGGACACUUGUAGUAGACUCUAUACAUAGAGUGACGAUCAUACAGAAGGAACCCAUGCAAGGUAUCUAAAAAGUCUUUAGACACAGGCAAGGUAACUUGAUGUUUUGCUCUCACGAGAGUCAGGCCAUUUUAGUACUCUUUUGUGCUUUAAAGUAGAUACGAUUUUGCCAAGGCAUUAUUGACAGUAAGGGUCGAUUUUGGGUAAUCAACUUUCCAAAUCCACAUCGUAUAUCCUUUAUACCUUACCAUAGUAUAUUUGCCACAUCAUUAUUAGUUAUUUAUUUGUUCAUUUACAUAAUAUUCCCAUAGUAAUUCUCAUAAUUAUCAUUAGAUUUCUACUCUCAGUUUGCCACAACAUUACCAAUUAUUUAUUACCUCCACGUAUUGCUUACACCAUUACUCUACUAAUUUCAACUAUAUAUUUAUCAUUGAGUUUGCCAUGGCAUUAAUCGUAUUUUAUUAUAAUAACUUGACCAAUUGUGUGCCUCAAUCUGAUCCCCAUGGGAACGAUACUCACUCAUCACUUUAUUACGUGAUUCAACUGUAUACUUGCACAAAUCGCAUAUCAUUUCACACACGACAGUGUUCAAUUGAAACCUUUAAGAUAUAAACUCGGACAAACUCAAUUAAUGGCUUUAAUCAACCCACCAAGAAAUAAUGAUUGGCAAAUUGAACGAUGAAGAAUGAAUUCCCAUGACUCCUUAAAAAAUUGAGAAGAAAAAUACUUCUAAAAAUCACAAGAAACAAAUCUUGCACAAAGAAACUAACUUUUAGAGUUGGAAAUUUUAGUAAUAAACAAAAACAAUUGCAUCUCUAAUGAACAUGAAGGGCCUUUACAUAGGCUAGAUAAGUACAUCCAGAUAAAAUAUUCAAGUAUCAAGUACAUCCAGAUAAAAUAUUCAAGUAUCUUGAAACUUUAAUUAGUAUAAGUAAGAAGUAAUUUUAAACUAAAAUAGUUAUAAUUUCCGUCAUAAUCCCAUCCAAAAAUUCUGCUCACAUAAUCAUCAUUAAAAUAGUCAUAAUUUGAGCUCUUGAACUCAAAAUUGAGUGAAUAAAAGUGUGUUUCGAAGUUAAGUGCUAGAUCUUAGAACUUUAUGAAGACAUAUCAAUCGAAAAAUGUCUGGAUCCCAUCCAAAAAGUCACCACAAGUUAACUAAUUUUUCAAACUUGAAAAUUGGCAGCUUUGGUGAAUGGAAUUUAAUAAAGUUCACCCCAUCUAUUCAUGUAUCAACUCGCAUUGGUAAAAAGUAAAAAGAAAUAAUCUAUAGAGAAAAUAGUUGAAGAAUUUAUGAAAAUUUAUUCAAAUCUCUUUUUUUUCUAGUCUUUGCAAGCUUGAAGUUUCCCUUGGUGUGUGAGAGUUGUUCCUUACCCUCUAAGUGAUUUUUUUUCUUCUUCUUUCUCUUCGAUCUCGUCACCUAAGGGUGUUCAAACAAUUGAUUCAGUUAAUACCCGUACAAAACUAUCAUUAACUGAAAUUUUGAAACCCUUAAUCAUUAAUCAAACCAAUUUUUUUGAAACCUACUAACUAGCUUCAUUGUUUUCGGUUAAUUUGAGCGGUUAACCAAAAUUUACACAUUGUUUGUUUUUUUUCAAACAAUUUUAAAACAAAGAACAAUCCACGACAAUUUUUCCUUGUUUUUUAUUCAAAAAAAUUAAAAGAAUUAAAAAAAACAUAAUAACAACACUAAAUUAAAAACAUAAUAGCAUUCAUUAUAUAUAUAUUUACUUUUUCUUGACUUUUUAGUUUAAUUUUAGUUUUUUUUUUCCAAAUAUUUUUAGUUUUCAUAUUUUUGUUAAGCUUAUUAUAAGAAAACUUAUAAAUCCAUUAGUUUUUAUAUAUUGGGUUUGUAUAAUGCAUUGGACCUAUCUCACAUAGUCAUCAUUAAAAUAGUCAUAAUUUGAUCUCUUGAACUCAAAAUCGAGUGAAUAAAAGUGAGUUUCUAAGUUAAGUGAUAGAUCUUAGAACUCUAUGAAGACAUAUCAAUUGAAAAAUGUCUGAACUCCAUCCAAAAAUUCACGCAAGUUAACUAAUUUUUCAAACUUGAAAAUUGGUAGCUUCGGUGAAUGGAAUUUAGUAAAGUUCACCCCAUAUAUUGAUGUAUCAACUUUCAUUGUAAAAAGUAAAAAGAAAUAAUCUAUAGUGGUUAGUGUUUUAAUGGGGGUUUUGUGUUUACUCUCGGUUAGGGGAAGGGCAAGAAGAGUUGGUACUCCUGCAGCAAUUUGAGCGUUAAGGGUGUCUGUUCGUCGGCGGUAAGGUUUCAAAUUCUUUGUUGGUUAUUGUAAGGCUCCGUUUGUGGAAUGGUUUUGGAUUGAGUUUCGUAAGUGUACUGAAUUUGGGCUUCUGGAUGCUAUUUCUUAGGUUCGAUGGUCUCGGGGGUGCUUGUGCAUCAAAACGAUAUCAGGUGUGUACCCGAAAUGCAGAAAAUCGAGCUUCGAUGAAAUCUAAAACACCUUACUAUCGACACCACAAGGGCAUGUGCCUGGCCGUGUGGUUGGCUGUGUGUAGGACACGGUCAUGUGUUUGACGAGGGUAGGGUCGUGAGGAAGACAUGGCCGUGUGACGAUGUGGGCCCGCAGGCUAGGCCAAGUUAGGCUUGUGGGUUUUGGGCCACAUGUGCAUGUGGGUUUUGGGCCAAGCCAUGUGAACCACAUGGACAGGGCUAAUCUGGGUGUGUUGACCACAUGGGCAUGUGGGCCCGAAAUUCUAAAAUUUUUCGUAGGGUCUCACAGGUCAUUUUGGUCGACUUUGUGCCUACCGUAGGGUCAGUAAGGGCUAACCAAACCCUAAAACUAUGUGAUCUGUUAGUUUGAUAUUUGUUCUAAAUAUGAUACUACUAUGCAUGUCUGAUUAGUCUGGUGUAUAUAUAUAUAUCUGAUAUAUAUGUAUGAGCAUGUGAGCAUGAUAACUCUGAUUAUAUAUAUCUGAUUGAGGUGGGAUUUCUAUAUGUGGAGGAAGUGUUCUAUAUGGCGGUCAUCGCCUAUGUUCUGGCAGCUUGGCUAUACAUUAUCUGACAUGUAUCGUAAUGGCACGAUAUGGUGUGUAGGGAUUGGUGGGUGUUUUUAACCCCACAUGAUGUGAUGGGAUGGUCAGAGUUGGUUUGUAGAGGAUGGAGUUAGGAUUCUGUAUUUCUAAUAUGCAUAUAUGUUCUAUUAUUUGAAUCUAUAAAGGACUUAGGUCUGAAUCUGAAUCUGAAAUUGUAUCUGAUCGUGUAUGAGUUUAUUGCACGUAUUGCAUGUAUUUUUCUGUUGGGUUACACACUGAGUUUACGAAAACUCACAUUUGUUUGUCGGUUUUGUUUAGGUAAUCCACAGACUUAGACGGGUCAGUGUUACGGAGGCUCAGUGGUGACCACUUGAUUGAGAACUAUUUUACUUAGUAAAUUAUGUUUUAUUUAUAAUUUCGAUUUCAUUUGAGAGUUUGUAAUUUUUGGGACUCUCCGGACUGCUGGUUUUUAUUUUGGUUUUGGAUGCGAUUUUAGACUCUUUUGUUGCGAUGCAUAAUGGAAAACACGGUUUUAUGAAAACAAAGGUUAUUCUGAAAAUACGAACUGGAUUUCUAAAAUAUAACGGUUCAAAAACUUCUGCUAAAAAUCAUGUUUUGGUAAAUAAAUGAAUUAAGUAACACUUUCAAAAAUGGUUAUAAAGAAAUAUGAACUAUGAAUCUUUAAUGAUUUGACAAAAAGACCUUAUUUUCAAAACCAUACAUUGUGACCACUCCAGAUUCAGCUAUAACGUCUAGACCGAUUUGGGGUGUUACAGUAAGGAUGAAAAUUUAAGGGGGAGUGAGCUAUGGCGCUUAGUAUGAGUUCAUUCACAAUAAAUUCAAUGCAAACGGUUGGUAGGACACAUUAAAUAAUAUCACAUAAAAUAAUCACAGUCAGAUAAUAGUUUAGAAUGUCGGUUUUACAAUUUAACCACCAAUAUUAUCACAGUAUUCACAGUUGUAAUUUCAGAAUAUCAAAUUUUCACACCAUUCACAAUAUUUAGAUAUAUAUAAAUAUAUCAUAACAGAAUUCCAGAUUUGUAUGCACAUGAUUUAGAAGAUGCCAUACAAUUUCGGGUUUUAACAGAAUAAAUCCUACCCCACGUUACAUACCAUAAUGGGAGUUCCCCUAAACUCCCUUCUCCAACACACUGGGUACCACUACUGGUUUACAAAUAAUAACUAUCAUUUGGCUGUGGACACACAGCAAUCCCCCACAAUUGGAUUCUAGAUUUGGUUGUGGGUUCACAGCAAAAAAAUCUACAAAUGAAGCAUGCUUUUGCCUGUAGAUUAUACAACAUAUACCCAUAGUUGGAAUCUGCCUUCGGCUGUGGACACACUGUAACACCUCAAACCUGACCUGGACGUUAUGGCCGAAUCUUGAGGAAUUACUUUAACUCGCUAGAAAACCCAAGAGUUUACUUUGAAAUCAUGUGGUUAAACUAGUGUUCACUUUGAUAAAUCGUUUUCCAGUUUUAGGGAAAAUUAUUAUUAAAACUACUACUUUAUUACAAUAAAAAAUUAAAGUGAUUGUAUCAUUUUGUAACGGAAUCUACUGAGCUAUAAGGUUUUGAAAAUCGUGGUUUAAUUUGCAACAAAUCAUUUUGCAAAUAGAAAUUUAAUACUACUUAAUUUGGAAAAGCAUGCUAAAACGAAAGCAAAGUCCAAACUAAUUUACGAUUUAAAUUCUUAAAAGUCCAAAUUAAACAUAAAGUCAAUUUAAACCAGUUUAUCGAAAGUGUAACACCCCAAACCCGGCCUAGACAUUAUGGCCAAAUCUGGAUGUGUUACAAAAAAAAAGUUUAUAAAACGACUUCCUUGUUAUUGGCAAAUCAUCGCAACCAUUAUUACAUAGUAUGUCUGAUUUGUUUGGAGAACUUUUUGAUAUACUUAUUUGAUUUAAGAUCGUUGCUUGCUUAUGCCUUUCUAUUAAACCGAAUGUUUUGCAGUGGAGUUUCUUUAAAAUGUCAUAUUUUGGCAAAUCAAAUUGUUUCUUGAAAAUCGUUAUUUCAGAAAAGUUGUCAUUUUCAGGAAAACUAUUUUAUCGGUUGUUACGCUUAGAAAACCAAAAUAAAAUCCAAAACCAAAAAUAGUCCCAAAAAGUCCAAAGAGUCCCGAAAUUACAAAACUCUCAAAACCAGAAAAGUUUGAACUAAUUUUAAAAGAAUGAAAAUUUAUAGAAAUAUGGUCAACAUUGAGCUUCCGUCACACCGACCCACAUAAAUGUAAGGGUUACUUGAACAGAACAAACAAAUAGAGAGUGAGUUUUGAAACUCAGUGCGUAACGCGAAUAUAAACAAAAAUUUAGAAUCAAUCUAAUGCAUAACAGAUACAAAUGUAAACCUUUUAUAGAAUAAGAAUUAUACAGAUACAAAUGUGCAAAAUCCUACCCUCGUCCUCUACACACCAAUUCUGACCAGCCCAUCACACCACGUGGGGUAUAAAACACCCACCUAGCCAUACACACGGUAUAGUGUUUAUACGACACUUUUCAGAAUAAUCGCAGUAGAGUUGCCAGUAUAUAGGUGAGAUAUUUCCUCACACAGAACACUUCCUCCUCAUAAUACAAAUCCCGCUCCAUAGCCAGAUACAGACAGAAUAUUAGGUAAAACAAAUUAACAGAUACCAGAGUUAACAUAUCAUGCAUGAGCGUAUAACAAAUAUUACACAUGCUUGUACAUAACAGAACAAACCAUACAUACCGUAUUCCAUAAUACUCAUAUAAAUGUUAUUUUUUAAAUUGUAACAAAUAUUAUUAUUAAGAUGUUUUUCUUUUUAUAUUUUUAUAAAAAUAUAUUAAAAAACAAUUAGAAUAAUUUUAAGAGAAAAAACACUCAUAAAUAGUAGAAUUUAAUCUAAAAAUAUCAAAGUUUUAAAGCCUCAACUUUAACAUUUCAACCAAAAUUCCAUUAGUAUAUAAAUAUUUCAUAAAUAUAGAUUUUAUAUAAAAAAUUUAUGUUAACUUUUUUUUAACCCGCAUCACAAGUAUACCAUAUUUAGAGAUAUUCAUAGCUAGGCAGCCCACUUUGGGUCAAGCUUGAGCUUAGGUUUUAUCUCAAGUUGGCCCAAUUUAACCUAUUUUACUAUUUAAAAAUAUAAAUAUAUGUUAUAUUGAUAUUUAUAUAUUUCUAUAAUUAAAUUUUAAAUAAAUUUAUUGUUAACUUCUAAACAUAAAACAAAGAGAACUUUCACCCAAGUUAUAAGUUUGUGGUUAGACAGCCGACUUUCGGGGCAGGAUUCAGCUUACGUUUUUAAUCUUGGGAUUUAACAAUAAUAAAAAAUUUAAAAAUAAUAUUCUAUUAAUAUUUAUAAAUUUUAUAAAUUUAAAUUUAAUUAUAUUUUUUAAACAGUAAAAUGAACCAUUUAUAUGGGCUAAUUAGAGUUAAGUUUGGUUUGAAUCAAGGCUUAACUUUGACCAAAUCCAACUAAAAACACCUCUAACAAUUAUCUAGUAUUGUUUUUAUGAAUUGAAUUUUAACUUCUAAUUUUCAAUUUUAUUACAAAAUUUCUUUGCGGACGAUAAGAAAAUAACAUAUUUGUAACUUCUUCACUCCGACGUAAAGGUUAAGUCUGAAUUUGGAUUACAUCGGCCAUAAAUAUGGCCUAGCAGGAUUAUCGGAGUUUUUAAAAAUAGACAUCUUUAAAACGUUUGUUUAAUUUAUAAAAAAGCUUAUUUAAUUUCCAAAUUAUUUAUUACUUGAAAUCUUAAUUACAUUUUAAAAGCAGGAAGUGGUAACUAUUUAUUUUUAAUAAAAAUCGGGGUUCAUGUAUAAUUCAUUAAUAACCGUAAUUCGAAAACAUUAAAACUUAAAUUAAAUGUCAUGCAAAACAAAACAAACUUAAAUCUAAAUCUCAUGCCACAGUGCAAAACAAUUUAUUGUAGUCUUAGAAAAUAAAAAAAAAUCAUAUAAUGAACCUAAAAUAAUUUUUUUUACUUUAAUAAUGUGUCAAGACCUUACAAAUGUCACGCCCACGUUCAAUCCUGGUGGGUUAUCUAUAAGGAUGAAAAUUUAAGGGGGGUGAGCUUUGACGCUUAGUGUGAGUUCAUUCACAAUAAAUUCAAUGCAAACGGUUGGUAAGACACAUUAAAUAAUAUUGCAUAAAAUAAUCACAGUCACAUAACAGUUCAGAAUGUCGAUAUUACAGUUUAACUACCAAUAUUAUCACAAUAUUCAUAGUUGUAAUUUCAGAAUAUCAAAUUUCCACAUCAUUCACAAUAUUAACAUAUAUAUAAAUAUAUCAUAAUAGAAUUCUAGAUUUGUAUGCACAUGAUUUAGAAGAUGCCAUACAAUUUUGGGUUUUAACAGAAUAAACCCUACCCCACGUUACAUAUCAUAAUGGGAGUUCGCCUAAAAUCCCUUCUCCAACACACUAGGUUGUGGAUAAACCAAUACUCAUCCGCAGAUAAUAACUAUCAUUUGGCUGUGGACACACAGCAAAUCCCCACAGUUGGAUUCUAGGUUUGGCUAUGGGUUCACAGCAAAAAGUCCUGCAAAUGAAGCCUAUUUUUGCAUGUAGAUUAUACAACCUAUACCUGCAGUUGGAAUCUGCCUUUGGCUAUGGAUGCACUAUAACGCCCCAAACCUGACCUGGACGUUAUGGCUGAAUCUUGAUGUAACGCCCUAAAAUUUCUAAUUCUAUUAUUGUAAAAAUAUGACACAAAAUAUUUGUCUGCUUUAGUGGUUAUGUGUUCUGGGAGUGUUUGGGAGGUCCCAAGUUCACGUCUUUGCUUGGGCAAAUUUUGGUAUUUUGAAUGAAUUAGGCUUUACUCUUGUUCAGUAGGAUUUUAUUUGAUUGUUGGGAAAAUUAUAUCAGAAUGGGCUUGCUGGUCUAGUGGUUAAAUUGUGUGUUAUUAUGGUGAAGGUCUUGUGUUCAAAUCCUUAUGUAGGCAAAGGUAUUAUUAUUAUUAUUUUUGCUCAGAUUUCGGGAUAUAGUUGUGUAAUAGGGGGAUUCUGAGUAGUGGAUGUGUAGUGGGAAUUAGGGGAGAAGAUUAAGGGGUUUCGGGAUUUUAUUUUAUUUUUUCCCAGAACGGAAUUUUGACUCUCUUUUCCAAAAAAAUUCUGUCGUCUAUUCUUCUCCCUCUCCUCUUGUCGAUAUUCUCUAAGUUUUUUCAUCUUUCUCUUCUUUUUCUUCUUCUUGAUUUUUCCCUAAUCCAUUUAUUUUUCCUUCAUUUUCGCACGCGAUUAGUGCUCGCUUAGUUUCGGUAAGCGUUUCUCUUUGUUUUUAUCAUGAAUCUCCUAGGGACUAAAGUGGUAAUUUUUUUCUCUGCGAUUUGGGCAUAAGGGAAGGCUCGGACUGGUGAAUUCAGUAUUCUCAUCUUAUCAAUAGUUAAAUGGGGGGUUAUCGUUGGUGGUAUGUUGGGUUUCUGUUCGUUCUUGGUUGUCAAUUCGCUUGUAAAUCCAUUAAAUUGAUGUUUAGUAUCUUGAUUAUAGGCUUUGGAGUGCUUGGGGACUGUUUUAGCAUCAAACAAAACCAGGUGUGUACCCGAAACGCAAAAAAAAAGGGAUUCGGUGAAAAGUUAAAAUUGCUUGCUAUUUGGACAGCAGCAGUAGACUAAUUUUGAAAAAUCACCAUAAAUUGUGGAAAUCGAAUUAGAGGAUGAAAAAAAUAUGAAAUUAAAUCUUAUUGAGUCUAGUUUCUCAUAGAAGAAACGGUGUAAGUAAUGGAAUUGUAAAUCGUGAGAUAUAAUAAACUUUGUGAGACAAGGUUAGAAUAAAUUCGGGUUCCCCUGUUCUGAUUUUGGAAAAUCAUCAAAAAUUGGAGAAAAGUAAUUAGGAAUUAAAAUUUACAUGUUUAAAUUAUUAAUGAGUCUUUUUUUUCAAUAGAAACAAAUGGGAACUUCAUCCAAAUUUUGUACUAAAAGAUAAUUAAUUUUUAGCAAAGAAGGGUCAAAGCUGUCAGACAGCAGAACAAGGGUAAGUUUGAAGAUUUUACUGUACUUAUUAGCUGAACCAAAAAUUCUAAAAAUUUUAUGGUAGAAAGGUAUUUGAGUCUAUUUUUAAAGACAUCAAGCGAAUUUUAAUUAGAAAUUCUGUAGCACAAGAUAUAAAUAAUUUAGUAACAGUGACUCAAGUAGAAAGCUUUGAAGGAACACAUAAGUAAAUUGUGAUAACAUAUAUGAAUAUUUAGCUAACACAGGUUACACUGAAAAUGGAUCACGUGGCCAAGGCCAAUUUGGGCCGAGUGGGCCACGUGGGCGUGUGAGCCCAUUUUUUUGAAAAAUUCUGUAAGGUUGCACGGGUCACCCAAGUCGACUAUGGACCUACUGUAGGGUCAGUAACCUUUACUUAGACGCCUAUAUGUGUGAUCUGUCUAGCUGAUUUCUAUAACGAGCAUGACUUAUAAUAUCUAAAUGUAUGUACUAUUAAUUGCAUAAUGGCAUGGCAUAUUUUGUAUGUUGCAUUGCAUCGGGGUGGGUUGAUGAUAUUUGGAGGAAGUGUCUAAAGGGAUAUUAAGCCAGUUAUCUGGCAGCUCAGCUGCAACCUUCUGAUUAUGUGUCGAUUUCAGUAUAGCAUGGUGUGUAAGGAUGGGUGGGUUAAUUUAAUCCCUACAUGGUGUGUAGGGUUGGACGGAGAUGGUGUAUAGAGGCUGGUGGGUAGGAUUCUAAUUUACUAUAUCUACAUUCUGAAUCUGAUAUGGGCCAAGGCCCUAAUGUAUUUCUGAGACUGUAUCUGAACGGGCUAAGGCCCAAACUGAUUGUGUGAUGGGCCUAGGACGCAGACUGUAUCUAACUGAAUUCUGUUGAUUAUUUGUAUGCAUGUUUUCUAUGGGGAUUACACACUGAGUUUGAGAAAACUCACCCUUUCUCUGUUUAAUCUAUACAGGUAAUCCCCAAACUUGAUGGGUAGGUGCAGCGGAGGAUUCGACGGUGGCCACACGUAAAUUUCAGACUGUUUUCUGUUAAUGCCUAGAAUUUAUUAAUUAUUUGGGGUUUUUGAUGUAUCUUCUGGACUAUGGACUAGUAGGCUUUAAAUUUUAGACUUUAUACUAUUUUUUAUGUUUUUUUUAAAACUGCAACUCCACAAAACACGGUUUUUUUCUAAAAAAUAAGGAUUUUCGUAAAUAGAAAUGAUUUUCCCUAAAUUAAUUGGUUACAAAAGUUUUCUCUAAGAGACAAGUUUUAAAGCAAAUCAACUAGUUUUUUUUCAUAAUUAAAUAAAAGUUAACUUACUAUAACGAUUUUUCUUAAACUCGACAAUCUUGUCUUCAAAUCCCUUUUCAUGUGACAUCACCAGAUUCGGCCAUAACGUCUAGGCCGGGUUUGGGGUGUUACACCUGAUGAGUUACUUUAAAUCGCUUGAAAACCUAGAAAUUUACUUUGAAAUCAUAUGGUUAAACUAGUGUUCACUUUGAUAAAUCGUGAAAGUAUGUGAUUAUUGAGGACAUGCUGAGCAUGUCAAAUGAAUGUGAAAAGUAUUGUGAUAUGACUAUGUAUGAGAUUGUGUAACAUAUUGCAUAUGCAUUGGGUUGGGAUUUUUUGGUUGACGGAGUAGUUCUGUGGAGUACCGUCGGCAUAUUAAGCCCGCAUUAUUCGUAGUUAGUGCACUGCACCUGGAGUACUGAGGGGAUUGGUAAUUUUAUCGCAUAUUAUAUGUUAUUGGUGAUUGUAUAGCACUAUUUGAUAUCCGACAGAUUUUUUGCAUUAUUGAUUAUUCGGUGGUUUUACCACAUUGAGCUAUGCUCAGAAUGUUUUAGAGUUUGGUAGACGGGUUCUAGGGAACACGUGGUGUGUAGCGGAUGGUAUGGGUAGGAACCUUUUUGCAUUGCAUCAUGUGCACGACAUAUUCGAAUGUUAUUGGUUUAUGCUACGUAUUGUAUUUUUUUGUAUUGAAUGGUAUCAAAAUUAAUGAUUGUCACUCGAAUGAAUUAUGAACUAUGCUCAUACACUGUUUGACAUCAAUUUAAUAAUGGCUAUGUAACGAUAUGAAAUUCCUAUAAUGGUUUUAUUUUCUUCUAUUAAAGCUAAUAUGUUUCACUGUAUUUGAUAUUUAUGUUUGUUUAAAUAAUUGUUCGACUCACACUGAGCUUUUCAUAAGCUCACCCCUAAUAGUGUUAAACUUUUCACGUAAACCUCGAAAUUAAGACCAGACUUGGCAUUCGAAGAAUCACCUUGGACCUUGAAUUAUUUUUCUAAUAAGUAUUAAUCAAUCUCUAAUGGUUUUGGUUUGUAAUUUUUAAUUAUAUCUAGUCUGUGGCUUGAUAACUUUUCUUUUGGGAUUUUUGCAUGCAUGGAUUACUCAAGCAUAAUAACCGGAUAAUGCAUGAUAUCAGGCUUAAGUAAAAUUUGAUAUUGUUCCCUAGAUUCUGCUACAUUGCAAAGGAUUUGUUUUUGAAAAACAAAUUGAUAAGGUAACUAAGUUUUUAAAAUGACUUGAAAAAUGGUUUUUCCCCUAGAUUAGUUUAACAUCAAAUUUUUUUUAAAGGAGAGCAACAAGCAAAUGGUUUUUCUAAAACAACACUAUCAACAAUAAAAUGAAUUCUAAGUAUACACAACCUAAUGAAUGAAUGCUUUUAAGCUAACUUAAAGUACAAUUAUGGUUUUCUCUAAAAUGAGUUUAUUUAAGGUUUUCAUAAGUAAUGUAAGUUAGCUUAGCCAUUUCGGUGGCUAAUGUAGCCUUCUCAUUCUAGCCAUAACGUCUAGGCCAGGUUUGGGAGGUUACAGUAUUGAUAGGAACUGUGGUAUAAAUUUUAUUUUGGACAUUCUUAAAGUGUUAUUUGGACUAAACUUUAGAAACUAUGGAUUUUAUACUGAGCCUAAAUUUACGAAGUUCAUGCGUGGUUUUUACGAAAAUGAAACUAAUAUGAAUUUUUAAAACCAUGAUUUUUUUUAAAGCUCCAAUUUGAAAUUGUACAAGAAAUGUCAAUUUGAAUUAUUUUUGAAUGUUUUUUUAUGCCAAUAAAAUAUUGUUUCAAAACAUAGCUAAGUAUUAUUUAAUUUCGUAAAGACGAAGCAAACUCCAAACAAUCUAAAACUUUAAGGACUAGUUUGUAAUUUUUGUUUUUCCUCAAUUGUCUCUGGUUUGAUUCAAUUCUUGAUCUAUACAAUUAUUCCAUUCAAUUCAUCAAUAUUAAACAUUUAUACAUUAUGUCAUGUCAUGAAUGAACCUAGAUAAAUUCAUUUUUUGAUACCCUUAAAGUUUUACAUUUAUUUCAAUUUAGUCUCUAAAAUCGAAAUAGUCAUAACUUUAAAUUCUGAACUUCAGUUUGAAAAUCGACCUCAAUUUCAUUUUAGACUGUCUGUUAAAAAUUAGUGCAUCUUACUGGAUUUUUUAAUUUACUUGUUUUCUUUAUCAAAUAAGUUGGUUCCUAUUAUAUAGGGAUAUGAUCAGAUUAUGUUUUGUUAGUUGAGGUUUUAGUGGGCUAUUAGUUGCAGGUUUUUUAACUUUAACGUUACAUGUAGUUAAGCUAUUUAUAUGUCAUUUUAUCUAAUGUAAUUUUGUGUGUUUUUUUUAGUAAUCAAAAACGUUCUUUAAUACUUUAAGCUUUUCUUGUUAUUAUUUCUUUCAUUACCUCGGUCAUUCUUUUUUGUUUUAUGGUGUCAGUGCCAGGUUAUUCAUUGGUUAAUUGUGUGAAAGGGUGUUUUGCUAGUUGCUGCAAUGGAGGUUUCAAAUGGAGGAAAUAAUCAGAUUGGUAUGGAGAAGCUUGUAGGCACUAACUACAAGUAUUGGAGGAUGUGUAUGGAGGCAUUUCUUCAAGGCUAGGACUUGUGGGGAUUGGUUGUUGACCUGAUGCAACAAUCCCUCCCAAUAUUCUCGAGAAUGCCAAGUCACGAAGGAGGUGGAAGGUCAAAUGCGGUAAAGCUUCAUUGAUCAUGUUCAUGAUGUUAACUCUCCAAAAGAAGUUUGGGAAACGCUUGAAAGGUUGUUUACCAAGAAGAAUACUGCAAGGUUGCAAUUGUUGGAGAACGAAUUGGCCGGGUUAAAACAAUGAGGUAUGUCAGUUUUAGAAUAUUUUUUACGAGUUAAAAAUAUUUGUGCUGAAAUUUCAGAGAUAGAUACGGAUGAGAAAGUUAGUGAAGCUCGUUUGCGUCGUUAUCUUAUCCGCAGUUUGAAGAAGGAGUAUGGGCCUUUUGUCACUUCUAUUCAAGGGUGGUCGACACAGCCUUCGGUGGAGGAGUUAGAGAAUUUUCUCUCUAAUUAAGAAGCUUUGGCAAAGAAGAUGGUGAAAAGUUUCGAAUCUGAUGCCAGUCUCUUCUCAAAAGGGAAGCCAAACAAGAAGAAUGAGUCUGGAAAUAAAGGCAGAUCUGAAGACUCUAGUUCGAAAAAAGAUGGCAACUCACAAAGCAAAAAGUCUUUCAAAUGCUUCAGAUGCAGAAAGACUGGACAUAUCAAGAGAAAUUGCCGUGUGUAGAUUUCCAAGGCCAAUAUCGUGUCCACGGAAGAAACCGAUGAUCGACUCAAAUGGGAGCAUUGCUUUACUGUUGAAGCUAUUGAACAAAAGUCAUCAAAAGCUUUUGUCAAUUAUGCUGAUAACAAGAAGGAGGAGUGGAUCAUUGAUUCUGGUUGUUCUCACCAUGUAACCGGAAAUGAUACUUUGUUCUUAGAGAUGCAUGAACACCAUGGAGAUCGAGUUAUUGUGACUGCAGAUAACUCCACUCAUCCGGUAGCAAAAGAGGGCAUUGUGGUGAUCGAUGUUGUCGACGAUACGAGAACCGAAAGUGUCAAAUUGACUGAUGUGUAUCAUGUUCUAGAUGAAGCUUAUGUGAAGAAAACAAGCCAAACCGAUAACGCUGCUAUUUGGCAUGCUCGAUUGGGUCAUGUGGGGUACCAAAUGCUGCAACAAAUUUAUUCGAAAAGGUUGUUAGAUGGGAUGCCGAUCUUGAAGAGUGUACGUGAAGAUGUGAUUUGUCAAAGCUGUCAAUAUGGUAAAUCUCAUCGUCUUCCUUUCAAAAGCUCAUCAAAUCGGAGAUCUUCUUUGCUCGAAUUGGUUCAUACAGACUUGACGGGACCAACGAGAACACUGAGUUGUAGCAGCCACUGUUAUGUUAUGGUUUUGGUGGAUGAUUACUCAAGGUUCUCUUGGGUGAAAUUUUUGAAAGAGAAGAGUGAAGCAUUAUCCAAGUUUGUGGAGUUCAAAGCUGCUGUUAAAAAAGAGUUUGGAAAGAAGAUUAAGUGUCUUCGAAGUGACAAUGGCGGAGAAUACAUGUCCAAUAAUUUUUUUCAGUAUUGUGUUGACAACGGCAUCUGUCGUCAAAUGACUUGUCCAGAUACUCCAUAGCAGAACAGAGUUGCAGAAAGAAAGCUUGGUUAUCUUGCUUCGAUUUGCCUUUCAUGGCUGCAUGACAAGAAUCUUCCUCGAGAGCUUUGGGCGGAAGCUGUUCUUUGUGCAUGUCAUGUGACAAAUAGGCUGCCUCCUUGGCCAGGUACACAGAAAUCUCCUUUUGAGAUUUUAUAUGGUGAAAAGCCAAAUGUGAAUUAUUUUCGAGUCUUCGAUUCUAUUUGUUAUGUACAUGUUCCGAAAUCGAAAAGAACUAAACUUGAUCCGAAAGCAAAAAAGUGUGUAUUUGUUGGCUAUGAUUCUUAUAGGAAGGGAUGGAGGUGUAUGGAUCCGGAUACAAAGAAGUUUACUACUUCGAGAGAUGUCGUGUUCGAUGAAGUAUCAUCUUUCUACUCCACUCAAAGAUUUGCUGCAGAAAAUAUUAUUCUUGAAGAUGAUGAUGAAAACUUGGAUGAGCUAUUUCCAAGAGUUAAUUUGCAACCAUUCAUUGAUGAUGAGUUGGAAAAUGAAUCUCCAACACCAACUCCAAGUCAAAAUGUUCAAUGACAUGAAGGUGGUUAGCAACAGAGUGAGGAGGUCUACUAGAGAAACGAGACAACCUGAGUAUCUCAGAGACUAUGAGGUGCAGCUUAAUCAUUGUAGUAUCACUUCUUGUUUCUUUGUUUGAGCGUUUGAUGAAGAACCAGUAAGUUAUGAGAAGCCAAAAGCCAUUCAAAAUGGGAGGCAGCCAUGAAAGAAGAAAUUGAAGCUUUAGACAAAAAUGAGACGUGGGAGUUGGUUCUUAAACCAGAAAAUUGUAAGCCGAUCACUUGUAAAUGGGUUUUUUGCGUGAAGAAAAAAUUAGAUGGCACCAUUGAUAGAUUUAAAGCUCGUCUGGUGGCUCGUGGUUUUUCUCAAAAUUAUGGAUUGGACUACGAGGAGACGUUUAGCCUAGUAGCAAAGAUGGUGACGGUGAGAUCGAUUAUUUUGCUUGCUGCGUUUAAAGGUUGGAGACUAUGGCAACUUGAUGUAAAGAAUGCUUUCUUUACGGAGAUUUAGAUCGUGAAGUAUUUAUGGAGCAACCUAUUGGCUUUGUCUCUAAGGAAUUUCAAAAUCGUGUUUGCCGUUUGAAGAAAGCGUUAUAUGGCCUUAAGCAAGCGCCACGAGCAUGGUAUGGUAAAGCUGCUCAAUAUCUCAUUUUUUGUGGCUUUAGAGUUUCUGAAUCAGAUUCUAGUUUAUUUAUAAAAUUGGAAUCAGGUGCACAUCUCUUGGUAUUAUUAUAUGUUGAUGAUAUGAUAAUAACUGGAGAUAAUGAAUCAGAAAUUUGUAAUUUGAGGAAUGACUUGUCUGUUCGUCUUGAGAUGAAAAUUUUGGGGGAGAUUGGAUGUUUUCUUGGUCUAGAAGUGGAAAAAUCAGAUCAAAGUUGUUAUAGCCCGAUUUUGGGUCUAGUCAGAACAGUGGUUUUGGGACCACAAAUUCAACAAAAAGAAAAUGGGUAAAAAAUAUUAUUAAUUUAGUAAGUAUAAGUUAAAUGUGAAGUUAGGAAAAUUUUUUAAAUACUGAAUAGUGCACUAGAAAUAAAUAUUAAAAUAAUUAGAAUCGAAAUGAGGUAUCAAGACCUCGGGGAUUUUAAACCGAGCCAUAAAUAUUUUUAUAAAUAUUUAUGGAGUGUUAAAAAGUUAGUAUUAAAGUUUCGUUAGGAAAUUUUAAAGUUCCGAUAAUUAAUUGAACAAAAAGGACUAAAUUGUAACAAAUGCAAAAUUUUGGGAAAUGAUUAAGUAGCUUAAAUGAUAAAAGGAAGAGGGCUUAAAAGGCAAAUAGACCCAAGGUUUAUUUGGGCUGGACGGCAAAGGCAUGAAAUCAGCAAGAAAGUAAGGAGAAUUAAGGGCAAAAUUGGAAUAUUGCAAAAUUUGCUUAAUAAAGUUAGGACCCAAGUGGAAUUAUCUAGAUUUCUCUUCAUUUUUCUGAAUUCUCAUCAGCAAAAACACCAUGGAAGGGCUUCUUCAAGCUGGUUCUUCAUAUUUUUACUACAAGUAAGUUCAAUUCUUGACUAUUUCUUGAAAUUUUUGUAUUUUUAUGACUUUUACAAUUAGGCUCACUUGUUAAAUUCAUUAGUUUUUGAUUUUAUGAAAGAAGUUGAAAGUUGAUAUGAAUAUGUGCUGGAAUUAUAUGAUGAUUUAGCAUGGAAUUAGAGCUUUAAAUUGUUCAUAUGCUGAUUUUAUUGAAAGAAUUGAAUAGAAAGUGAAUGUUUGGGACCUAAUAGUAAAAGAGUUUGAAGAUAGAAUUAUAUGUGGAAAUUCUGAAUUUCAAUAGUUGUGUAACAACUUAUAAUGUCUAGGUAAAGUAUUAAUUCAGAAAAUUGGAUUAAUUGAGGGGUUAAUUGAGAAAGGACCGAAUUGUAUAAACUGUAAAAUUUGGGGCAAAAUGGAAAUCAACAUUUUGCACUAAAGCAGUUUUGGACAGCAGCAGUAGUGUAACUUUGAAAAAUCACAAAAAAUUGUAGAGAUUGAAUUAGAGGAUGAAUAAAAUAUGAAAUUAAAUCUUAUUGAGUCUAGUUUCUUAUAAAAGAAACGGUGUGAGCAAUGAAAUUGUAAAUCAUGAGAUAUAAUAGAUUUUGUGAGACAAGGUCAGAAUGAAUUCGGGUUCCCCUGUUCUGACUUUGGAAAAUCAUUAAAAAUUUUACAAAAAUUAUUAUGAGUUAUAAUUUAUAUGGUUAGAAUCCUUAAUGAGUCUAUUUUUAUAAGAAACAAACAAAAACAGCAUCCGAAUUCUGUACAAUGAGAUAAUUAAUUUUUAGUGAAGAGUGGUCGGAACUGUCAGACAGCAAAACAGGGAAAAAUUUAAAGAAUAAACUGUACUAUUUGGCUAAACAAAAAAUUCUGAAAAUUUUAUGGAAAUAAUAUAUGUGAGUCUAGUUCCAGGUAAAAUUAACGGAUCUUAAUUUGGAGCUUUUUAGCUCCGGAUAAAAAUAAUUUAGUGACUCUAACUCAGACAGACAGCCUAAAUUUUUCAUACAAGAAAAUAGUGAAAGUAUGAAUAAUGUUGUUUAAAUGUGUUAUACACAUUAAGGAUGAGGAAUGGAGAGGAGGUGGAGGAAAAUUGGGAAAUAUAUGAAUGGUUUAUCAUGUUGUUAGUUCCAAAAAGAGUUAUGUUUCAAUACACUAGCUUGCAACUAUGGUUGAAUGAUAUGUUUAUAUCUUGUGUGAUGUGCAUAGGAAACAAGUGUGGAAAGAUAAUGAAAUAGUAAGUUCAUAUGGCUGAAAUUUAAUGGUUAAAUGUUAAUUCCAUGAAUUAUAUGAUGUAUGAUGAGAUAUUUUUAUUGUUGAAAUAAGAAUAAAAUAAAAGUGCGAAAGCUGAAUAAAUGAUCAAAUUGAGCGGAACGCCGGAUUUGAGUACUUCUGAUCAAGUGACAAAGUGAUAAGUGAUAGCUUUAGCUACACUUAUUUGAUCAAGAACAAGUGAUAAGCGGUGACAAAGUGAUAAGUGGUAGCAUUAGCUACACUUAUCUGAUCAAGUGAGAAAGUGAUAAGUGGUAGCAUUAGCUACACUUAUCUAAUCAAGUGAGAAAGUGAUAAGUGGUAGCCUUAGCUACACUUAUCUGAUCAAGUGACAAAGUGAUAAGUGGUAGCCUAGCUACACUUAUCUGAUCAGGGACAGGUGAUAAGUGAUCAUACGUAAGACCAUAGUUAUACUAUGGCAAAGUGAAAGUGAAGUACUCAAUUUUCCGUGACCGUUCCCUAAUUUGAUUAAGGAUGGUAAGUGACAAAUGAGCCCAAAAGAAUUAAAGUAAAUGGAUAAGUGGUAGUAUAUUUAUAUCAGGACGAUGUUGUUAUUCAAGCUAAAGUGAUAUUUUCAUUGCAAAAUUGAGAAUUUCAUAAAUGUGUUAUUGAAUGGUAUAAUCAAUAAACAUUGAGUUAAAUGGUAAAUACGUAAUAGUGUUGAACUUGAUGUCAUUGAAUUGUAUGUGAAUUAAAUGGAAAUUGCUAGUGAUAUGAUGUAAAUUGUGAGCAUGAGAAAUUGCGACUUGAAUGAAAUGGAAAUGAAGCAUUGAAUUGCAUGAGUAUGUAUCGGGUCUCAUAGGCCCUAAUUAUUAUGAUUAUAAUAUUUCGAGGAUAUAUUGUGAAAAGUUAUAGAAGCAUGUUAAUUAUUUUGAAAGUUUAAAUUUAUAUGAAAUUUUAUAACUCGGUUAAAUAUGCUUACAAGUGCAUAUGUUUUGGUGAUACCUCGUACCCUAUUUCGGCGUUGGAUACGGGUAAGGGGUGUUACAAGGUUACUUUGUUUCUCAAAAAGGCUAUGCAAGGAAUCUCUUGGAGCUUUUCGGUAUGGGGGAGUCGAAAGAAAAAGCUACUCCGAUGGAGCCGAAUUUGAAGUUGAAGAAAGAUGAUGGGAGGCCGUUGGAAGAUGCAAGGAAGUUUCGACAACUUGUUGGAAGCUUAAUCUAUUUGACCAUUACAAGGCCUGAAAUUUCAUACUCUGUUAGUGUUGUUUCUCAAUUUAUGCAAAAUCCAACAAUUAUUCAUAUGGAUGGAGCAAAGAGGAUUUUGCGUUAUGUUAAAGGAACUAUUGGUUAUGGUCUUCUAUACAAGAGAUGUGAUAGCUUUAUGUUGAGUGGAUUUACUGAUGCUGAUUGGGCUGGAGAUACAAACGAUCGUCACUCGACUUCGGGAUAUUGUUUCAGUAUCAAUUCAGCAAUGGUUUCUUGGUGUAGCAAAAAGCAAGGUGUUGUUGCUUUGUUGAGUAUCGAAGCCGAGUAUCUGGCAGCAACUAUGGCUGCACAAGAGUGCAUUUGGUUGAAGAGGUUGAUUGGAGACAUAUGCAAAGUUAAUUAUGCUGUAAAAAUCAAGUGUGAUAAUGAAAGUGCUAUUAAGCUUGCAUCGAACCCGGUUUUUCAUGCUCGAACGAAGCACAUCGAGGUUCGACAUCAUUUUGUUCGAGGAAAGGUUCUAAGUGAAGAGAUUGAGCUUGUAAACAUUCGCACCAACGAUCAAGUGGCUGAUAUUUUCACUAAGGCUUUGGUGAAGCCUAAGUUUCAUCAAUUUAGAGAUGCUCUUGGAGUUCUUGAUCGUAAGCAUGCACUAAGGGGGAGUGUUAAAAAUUAGUGCAUCUUACUAGAUUUUUUAAUUUACUUGUUUUCUUUAUCAAAUAAGUUGGUUCCUAUUUUAUAGGGAUAUGAUCAGAUUAUGUUUUGUUAGUUGAGAUUUUAGUGGGCUAUUAGUUGCAGGUUUUUUAGCUUUAACGUUACAUGUAGUUAAGCUAUUUAUAUGUCAUUUUAUCUAAUGUAAUUCUGUGUGUUUUUUUUUUAGUAAUCAAAAACAUUCUUCAAUACUUUGAGCUUUUCUUGUUAUUAUUUCUUUCAUUACCUCGGUCAUUCUUUUUUGUUUUACUCUCUACUAUCCAUUAUUAUCAAAAUUUCACAUCAAUUUCACAAUUUAUUUACUUUAGUUAUUAUGUACAAAAUUAACAACCAAACAUCACAAUUUAGUCAUUUUUCAUAAUUUAAGCUUAAAAUCUAUAAAUUUAACACCAAUUUCUUCAAGAAAUCAACCAUGAAAUCUAUAAAAAAAAUUUAACAGUUUUGCAAAUUGAUACAUAGGUUAUUUAAAUCAAACUCUCAUGACCUCAGAAACACAAAAAAAAUUAUACGAAAAUGAUUUAGAAAUGCAUACCAAUUGAGGACCGAAAGCUUGAAGCUCAAAAAUGGCUUUUCCCCUUGAGGUUUUAUGUUGAUUAGAUGAAGAAGAAGAAGAAAUAAAGAUGACAACUUGCACUAAGUCACCUUUAUAUACUUAGAUUAAAUCUUAAUUAAUCAAAUUUAAUUAAUUAAAUCUUAAUUAAUUAACCUUAAUCACAAUUAAUAAAAAUUGGUGGAUGUUAACAUCAUCCUACACUAUUUGAUAUAACCAAAUGAUCUAUUUACCAUUUUGAACCUUUAGCUAAUUAGAAAUCUAUAGCGAUAAGACUUUCAAAAUUUAGUCUCUGUAUCUUAAUUAAGCAAUUAAUAGACAAAGUUGAAGGUUUAAAUUUUAAUGUUCUAUUAUACCAACUCUGUAAAUAUUCAUAUUUAAUAUUUACAGACCUGAAUUACGAAAAUGAGAUUUUGAAAUUGUAUUUUCCAGUACCACUGAAAAUCGGACAAUUACGUAACCUAUUUGCACCAAUGGGCCAAACAUGGCAAAUACUUGACAUGUAUGUCUUAAUAUCCUCAUCUAUUCUCUUCAAUAUAAUAACAUCCAAUAAUUGUUCCAUCCACUGUAACUAUCACGAAGAUUAGAUUGACCAAUACAGCCUACAAUUUGAAGAAGCGCGAUAUUUUCAUUCUAGAGAAAGAUAUAAUUGAAACAAAAUUGAAAUAAAGAUUUCAAUACAGAAUCAACAGACAUUCCAGCUAAUACUUAUCAAUUAUUUGCAGCUUUAUUGCUCCAACUAAGAUGGUUUUUAGUCGAAUAUGGUAAAUGAAAUCAAUGAACACCAGCUACUUGAUGAACGAGUGAAUCAAAGUCCUGAUAUGUGCCGGCUUAUUGGUGAAAAAAUACAUGGGCUAGUUUUGCAGCAAUUCAUGAUCUUACAUUUUAUAACCUUUGCUUACAAUUAUUCACUGACUAAUCAUUCAAUGAAUGUAGGCCUCAAAUUUAGCCACUAAACUUUAUUCUUUAUUUUUAGAUACAUAUUAUUUGAUCACUUCAUACAGCCUAUUACUCAUAAUAACUUCCAAUUUCCCUUCUUUAGGUUAGUUGCAAAUGUACAGCUUUUUCUAGAAGAAGAAAAUUGUCAAGAGCCACCUGUUCAAGAGAGGCGCAAACAAAAUGUAAAAAUACCUGACCUACUUACGGUACAGCCAAGUAAUCAUGUCUUUCUAUGCUAGAUCAUUAAAUCAAUGACUACAAAUUUCAUGCCAUGGUCGUGUAUCAUUUAUGCCAUUGAUGCUGCUAUUUUCUAUUCUAAUGCAUAAUAGGGAUUUAGUGUUUUUACCGUUAAAAUUGUGUCCUUUAAUUUUGGCUCUUUUCAGUUGUUGAUCAUGUCCACCUAUGCUUUAUUUUACUACUAUUGCUUUCUGUAAUGAUAGAUGAUUGAAUCGGUAGAAUUUUAUUAAUCCUCAACAUGUUUUAUCUUGACAUAUGGAUCCUAAGCAUUCCUUGGAUUGUGCCCUUUUUGUUCAUUUAUUUUUUCUUGGAACCUUAUUACAUGUUGUACCACUCCAGCUUUUUGGAGACAAUGAAGACGACUAACUGCUGAAUUCUUUCUUCUGCAGAGGAACCAAUGGCACGAGACUCAAAAAAUCCUACUCUUUUUUAUACCUUCCUCACCUCUUUGUGACAUUAUAGCUGAAAAAUGAUGUAUGCUAAUACAUGAAAUGUUUCCUCUUGCCUUUCUUUUUGUAGUACUAAAACUACAAAUAGUGUUUGCAAAACUCUUUAGAGAAAAACAAAUGUCUGUAAAUCUCUUUACCCGUAAUCUUAUCUUUUCCUCAUUGUAAUAGUUGGAAAACUUUUUAUUUGAAAACGAUGUCAACUACUGGGAUAAGUUAUUGUAAGCAUCUUAAGUGUUUCAUAUUAAAAACAAACACUGUUAUUGUUUAUUUUGUAGUCUAAAUUAUGAUAAUUUCUGCACAAAAUUCACAUAAAUGGUUACCCUCCCGAAGCAGAGCGAGGGUGAUGCAUACUAGUUAUUAAGAAAACAGGACCUUGUAGGGCUUAACUGUUGAAUCAAGAAAGAAAUUUCUUUUAAUGCCUUCAAUUGUAACAUCCCGAUUUUGGGCCUAGUCGAAACAAUGGUUUCGGGACCACAAAUCCGAUGAGGAAAAUUUUAUUUUUACUAUAUUAUUAUGGCCUAUAAUUUCACGGAAAGAUUUCUUGAAAAUUUCGUUCAAAAAUUUUGACGUUAGGGCACUCAAUUUAGCCAAAAGGACUAAAUUGUAAAAAGUGCAAAAGUUGAGUUUUAUUGGUUAAAGGUACUUAAUUGCUAUGGAAUUAUAACUUAGGGGUCCUUAUAUGGUAAUUAGACCAUUAGUUAGUGAUGGACAAAAAUGAACAUAAGUGAAAUAGGAUUUUUUUUAUGUAAGGGUAUUUUAGUCAUUUAGUAAAUAAAUAGAAUUAAAAGGGAAAAAUAUGUAAAAAAAAUUGUGUUCAUCAUCUUUGCUAGGUGCCAAAAUUUGAAGGAAGCCAUAGCUAGGGUUUCUUCACUUUCUCAAGCUCAUAAUCGAGAAGAACGAAAUUUGGAGGUAGAUCGGGGAAAGAAAAAAAUUGAGGACUAAAGUGUUAGAUUUGAUCACAUUUUUGUACCGAGGUAAGUUUACAGUAAAUAAAUGCAAUAUUUCAAUAAUUAUUAUUAAUGCUGUAUUUUUUAGCAAUUAUGUAUUUAUUUCAUGAAUAUAUUUAAUGUUGACUCAAGUAUGAGAUGACAGAGAAUUAGUGACACAAGCCUCAUUGAAACACUAGGAAUGUAUUGGAUACAAAUGCCAUGACAUUUGGGUAAAGAGGUCCCAUGUAAGACCAUGUCUGGGACAUGGCAUUGGCACCGAGAUGAGAGGUCCCCCGUAAGACCAUGUCUGGGACAUGGCAUGGGCACCGAUAUGAGAACUCCCAUGUAAGACCAUAUUUGGGAUAUGGCAUUGGCAGUACAGGAAACAUCCCAUGUGAGACCAUGUCUGGGACAUGGCAUGGGCACCGAUAUGAGAACUCCCAUGUAAGACCAUAUCUAGGAUAUGGCAUUGGCAGUAUGGGAAACAUCCCAUGUGAGACCAUGUCUGGGACAUGGCUUUGGCAUGUUAUUAUCAGAUAUGAGACCCAAGUAUCCUUAUUAUUCCAAUGUGACUCAACGGGCUAGAAAACAGAUUAUGUUCUACGAAAGUUCAAGUAAAAGUAUAAUUAGCAACUUCAGGUGAGUUAUAAGAGUUAAGAACAUAUUAUGUUAUUAGUGAGAACCAAUAUUUUAGCAAGAGAAGAGUAAGUUGUAAUCUUAAGCUAUCUAAGUAGAUAAGUAAGUAAACAAGUAAAUGAGAGUCAGUAAAGAGAAAACUUAAGAACAUGAUACUUGUAUAUCAUUAUUUAUGUUAAAUGAUGUCAUUUAUUUAUUUGUAAACUUACUAAGCUUUAUGCUUACUUCUUUUAUUUCUUUUUCUUUCAUAUAGUAUUAUCAAGCAUAGUCGGGAUCUUGAAGACGUCGGAGAGUGUUCACACUAUCAACCACCACAACUCGGUAUUUUAAGACGAUAAAUAUUUUGGGCUAUGGCAUGUAUAGGGACUUGGUCAUUUCAAUUGUAUAUUCUUAAAAUAUGACCAAAAGAUGAUAUGUAAAUGCUUGAUGAUGAAUAGUUAUUAAAAUGGCUAAGUAUGAAGGUGUUUGUGGUUAUAAAUGUCUAGGUUAUAAAUUAUGCAUAGAAAUCAUGAAAGAGUAAAAAUUUGUAGUGAAUCAGUUUUGAGACAGCAGUAGUGACGUGAAUUUGAAAAAUCACCAAGGAUAGUAGAAAAUGAAUUAGAGAGUGGAUGAGAUAUAGAAUUAAAUCUUAUUGAGUCUAUUUUUAUAGAAAAAUAACAGUGUAGACAAAGAAAUGAUAUAUUCCGAGAUAUUUGCAUUUUAGUUAGACAAGGUCAAAGUUGUUUUCGGAAUCCCCUGUUCUGAAUUUGGAAAAUCAUUAAAAAUUGUAAAAAAAUAUUUAUGAGUUUUAAUUUAUAUGUAGAGAUUCCUUAUUGAGUCUAUUUUCUUUAGAAAGAAUUUAGAACACUAUAUGAAGUAUGUACAAUGAGAUAAUUUAAUUUUAGUGACAAGAGGUUAGGACAGUUGAUUAGUGAAACAGGGGAGACUUUAACUAAUAAACUGUACUAAUUGGCUAAACCAAAAAUUCUGAAAAGUUUACAGUAAAAAUUUAUAUGAGUCUAGUUUCAGGGAAAAUUUAUGGAUCUCAAUUUCAAGUUUCAUAGCUCGAGUUAUAAUUAAUUUAGUAACUAUUGUGCAAGUGAAUAGACUUACUAUGAACAGUGAAUUAACUUUUAAAACUAAAUUUUUAUGCCCCGAACUUUUAAGUUAGUCAAGUAACGCCUCAUGCUCGACUCCGGAAAUGGACUCGGUUAAGGGGUGUUACAUCAAUUUUUUUUAAAGCUGAUUUUUUUUUUUACGAAUUAAAGUUUUGAUUGUAUGUUAAUUGCUUGAGGGAAGGUCGGAUACUUUAUUAUCCCUAUUUUUAUUUGUUAUAUAUUUUAGCCAUAAUGAUUUUUUUGGCUCUACAACUUUACCAAAAAAAUCAUAUUAUCUUUCAUUUAAUUUUCAUCUCUUUUAACCCUUUAACUUGUAUUUUUUUAUCAAAUCACCCCAAAAUGGAUCGAAAACUUAACAUUUGUAAACUUUGAUGAUGUGGCAUACACAUUAAUUGUCACAUGGAUGACAAGUCAACAUUUUUUAAAAAAAACUUAAAAAUAUUAAAGAAAAUAUUUUUGAUAUUUUUAAUGAUUUUUUUAAUUAAAAAAGUUUUUAUAUAUUUUUAAUUUUUAAAAAUUAAUUAAACACAAACAUAGAAAUUCGCAUCUAUGUGUCACAGGCCACAAAUUAAAGCCUGCGACCAUUUCGCAUAGAACACCCCAUAGAGGUCAAUUUAUUAAACGUGGUUCAUUUGACCCGCAUGAACUGGCUCGAAUCGUGGAACCCGUAGAGAAACCCAUCUACUUUAAGCCUUGGUGGUCUAGUGAAAUACUCCAAUAAAACUAGAGUUACUAGGGUAAAUAAUGUAAAUCUUAAAUGGAUAAGAUUGUAUAGAGUUUAAAUUCCUUAUAACUCUCAAUUGUAGAUAAGCGGUAACAUUAAUCAUCGAUGUAACUCAAUCUGUAUCGUUGCUUCUAGGAAGCUCAACUAUAACUAGAGGUCUCCCUCUUCAUUUGUAAUCAUUCCAUUCAUAGUUGUGAAUAUAUUUGAGAGCAUUUACUCAAACACCUUGUGUGCAUUGCUUUUCUUUGGCUAUUCUGCUCUUUCGAGCUUCUGUCUUUGAGUGUCACAUCCCAAAAUUGGGCCUAGAAGAAAUAGGGGGAAAAUUGAGUUUUAAUUUUUUUUUAACAUAGGGUAAGGGAAGUAGAAUGCCUUAAAAUUAAUUUUUUGCUAUAAAUCUAAUAAGAAUGAGUUUGUUGGUUUAGUGCUAAGGUCAUAGCCUACCUAUAGGUUCCAAGUUUGAACCCCUUGGUGAGCAUUCAACCAAAAUAUUUUUAUUUUCUUGUUUUUACCGCACCAAAAGUGACGAAUUUUAAAAUAACCCAGCCCAAAAACUAUAUUUUUUUAAAAUUUAGUCCUUAAUUUAAAAUUUUUCCCAAACCUACAUAAAUUUUUAAAACCUAUUCCAAUUAGGAAAGAUAAGUAUUAUAAAUAAACAAUUUCAAAACAAACCCUAGAAUUUCAUCUAGCAAUUUUUCGAGAAAACAUCCAUAAACACUUUAUUUUCCAAAUCAAACUUUCAAGCGAAAGGAAUCGAAAUCUUCAAAAUCAUCCCUCAAGUAGAUCUUCAAUCUCUUCUCCAACACUAAGGUUUUAAGUCUUCAAAAUAGGUGUGGGAACUAAACCUAAAUCUUUGUGUAUAAUUGAAUCUAAUAGCAUGUAGAGAACCAGUAUUGGCGAACCCUAGGAAAACCCCCCUGUAUGUGCGAUCAUGUAGGUGCGAGCCUGUAGAUGCGAAACCCCUUACACAUGAAAACCCCAUGCAUGCGAACCCUUACGUGAAACCCCCCCUUUCAUGCGAACCCUGUAUGAAUACCAUGCAAACCCUAGGUUGUUAUGUGGAUACUCAUACUGUGAACACAUGUGCACAAACAUAUAGGAAUAUUCAUGUGAACCCUACUAUUAGAUGCGAACCCCCUUAUACGUGAAAACCCCCUUGCAUGCGAACCCUAGUUAGUAUACAUACGAGUCUCAUAUUUACAUGCGAACCACUACUAGUGCGAGUCAAUUAUAUGAUACCACAUGCGAACCCUACUAUUACAUGCAAACCUUUAUACAUGUUAUAUUCUAACUUUUUUUGUUAAAAUAGGUGAGACUUGUCUAGUAUUACAGACGACCCUACAUAUACCUAAUUUGCGAACUCAUAUGUUAAAAGUAUGCAAAACUAUCUAUGUUUGUUAUGUGAACUCACAUGUUAGCAGUAUGUGAACCUAUAUAUAUCAGUUAUGCCAACUCACAUGUUAGCAGUAUAUGAACCCAUAUGUCUGUUAUGCAAACUCACACGUUGGCAAUAUGUGAACCCUAUAUACACCUUUAUGCAAACUCACACAUUAACAGUAUGCGAACCCUAUAUACGCCUUUGUUGAUGUUAGUUCCCAUGCAUCUUGUGGUGCAGCAAUCGUGGCCAUGCAGGUCACAUGGAGAAAAGAAGCAGCACAUGAAGGCAGUAACUGGAGCUUGUGGAUGCUGUCCAAAUUCAACUUAUUUUGUUGGUUUGAUUUUAUAGUUUGUAACUUAGUUCUUUUGGAACUUUCUUGGUAAAACUUUCGAUGUAUUUUUUAUGUUGAUUGACUGAAAAUUCAGCAAAGCAACUUAUGCAAGCUAGUUUAGCAAUUUUCAAUGUAUUAAGUGGUGUUAGGUAAGUGUUUAGGUAGUAUUUUGACUUGUAAGCUUAACUCAUGUUUGAUAUAUGUAAUGGCAACUUGCCAAUGCCUUGUUAAUGAAAAAAUUCAGCUUGUUUUCAAUUUCUGUUCUUAAAAACAAAAAGGUUUCUACUUUGUUUCUUCUCCAAGUCACGAGGCUUGCUGACAAAGCAAAGCUAAAUCAGCUUGCUCACUGCCUUUGACUCCAACAGCCUUUAUACAAACUCACACGUUAGCAGUAUGCGAUCCUUAUAUACGCCUUCAUGCAAACUCAUACGAUUAGCAGCAUGUGAUCCCUAUAUUUAUGCGAACCCUUCUAAUAACAAAUAUGCGAACCUUAACUUGCGAACCCUAGGCAGGAACCCUACACUCGCAAAGCCUUCUUCUGAACCUGUACAUAUGCUAGAUAACCAAGCCUAUUAGUUUACGUUAAAUCACUGUACAUAUGAGAUUGUUUGUUUACUUGCACAAAUUAUAUGUGUAUUUACUAUUCGAUACAAGAGUACCUAUCGACCUUUUGAUGAGAAUUCAGAGAUUAAUGAUGAUAAUUCCAACAAUCGGUGGAAGAACAAGUUAAAUCGAGAAUUGGUGUAAUUUAAGGUAAUAAAGAUUAAAUUUUCAGUAAUAAAUAUAAAAUUGUUAUGGAAAGAAAUGAUGGGUAAAAAAAUGAGAGUUUUAAACAGAAGAGAGGAAAACUUCAAUUUAGGGUUGAAGAGGAACUAAAAAUCCAUGUGAAAUUAGGAAAAAAAUAUUAAAUACCUAGGAUUAAAAAAUUUGAGGGGGCUGAAUGGUAAAAUACCCUUUUUGCUUAAAAAUGAAAAGAAAUGGAAAUGGGGAUUGAGUUUGGCAUGACUUGAACCUUGGAAGCAAAGGAAAAAAUUGCAAAGGCCAUACCAUUUGGGUUGCUACCUACAUUUGGCAUAUUUUUACACUAUUUAAUAUAUAUCCUAGCUUAGUUUUGAUCAUAGGUUGUUGAAAAAAAAACAAGGGGUAAGAGUGUGGCUUCAACCUUAGUUCUCUAGUUAGUAUACUAAGCUCUUAACCAUUAAGAUUAAGGCUCAUCUCUUAGUCAAUUAAUUCAUCUAACUCUAUAUAUUUUGGUGUGUUACAUCUUGAAUUAAAAAAACCCAUAAAAUGCAUGUAGACUUGUAUUGCUUGGUACUUGGUAGUAUAUAUGUAGACUUGUAUGUUGAUUAAGCCACCUUAAUUAAGACCAAUGUGUUAGACUUGUCUAUGCAUUGAACAAUUUAGAAGAAAAUGAAGAAAAAGACUCUAAAAGCACUUGAAAACAGAUAAAACUCAUAUGUCAUUGACUAGUUAAAUGUGGUCACCCAUAAUAGACCCUGUAUUUGACUUUUUGUUGAGGGAGAUUGACUCCUUUGGGAGAAGUCUCCUGAGUGUUGUUUGUCAAGCAGUCAGGGUUGUCCUAAACAACUAAAGGUAUUGUCCCCAUGUCGAGAUUUUAUCCCUAGCCUCUGCAAAAUAAUCAUGGAGAAUAUGUGCGAGAGAAUUCAAACACCAACCAAUGCAUGUGUAGCCUUUACCUUGCCACCAUCUUUGGGAACCCAUAAGGAUAAAAUCCCAACGAGAGAAUAGUAUCAUCUAUUGAGGGGUCUGUCAACCCAAUAAAUGAAAUUUAAAUGCAUACUUUUUUUUUAAUGAAAGUAAAUAUCAUAUUUAAUUAGAGAAAAGCAAUGAAAAAUCCAACAAUAAAAUCCUUAGCAAAAGAUUAAAACACAAUUGUACCAUAAAUUAAAUAAGAAACUAAAAAAAUUCAAAUCUAACGAAGACAAUAACUUGAUUCCUCAAAGCCACCAUAAACAGUAAUUCAUACGAAGGCCUGUUGCUCAUUUUAUAGGUUUCCAUUUUGAUUUUGCAAAAGAAGUUUGAAUUCCGAAGCGAGCCUAGUACAUGAGAGAAAAUUGUCGAAACCGUCUUUUUGAAAACAAAAAUUUAGUUGUCGACUUUAAAAAUAAAACUGGAGUCGCCACCGAUCCUUUAUUAGGGUGUGAUCGGCUCACCUUAAAAAUUAUUUUGGUCUACGAGCUUUAAGAAAACGAGUCCGGGAGUAAGUUACGCAUGAGGAAGGGUUAGCACCCUCGUAACGCCCAAAAUCGGUACCAAAUCGAUUAUUUAAUGUCUUAGUGUCGUGGACUAAAAAGAAGUUAAAAAAACCAAAUGAUGAAAUCAGAAAAGGAUAAUCAAUUGUUCAAGACAUGUAAAGAAAUCGAGUCCCAAUACGUUAGGGUACAAUUUCUCAAAAUUCCCGAACUUUGAAUAUCGCUUUUAUUUUAUGCGAAAACAUUCAUUGUGAGAAAGUAACAUGCCACACCCAAUACGUUAGGACACGACAAGUUAAGUUCCAAAAAAUGAUUUUUAUACUCAUGCAUUUUGAAUAAAAAAUAUUCUCGAUUAUUUAAAAUUAACAAAGAAAAUCGGAACCCAAUACGUUAGGGCUCAAUUUUCUCAGAAUUCCAAAUACCGAAUUGUGCCUUUUAUUCGAAAAUUCUUAUUUCGAGAAGUCAAAAUAUCAUGACCAGUAAGUUAGGACUUGACAUUUUUUGAUUCCCGAGAACAAGCUUCUAUUUGAAAUUUGCAUGAAUUUAUUUCAAAAUAAAUACCUGGUUUUCUAAAUUCACCAAGAAAUAAUCGCAAUCCAGUAAGUUAGGAUACUGUUUUUCUCGAGAAUCAUGAAUGCCAAAUAUUUUGGAAUUUUAUAAAAUAUGAUGAUUUUAAUGCUUUGACAGAACCAAAAUAUAUUUUCUUUAAAAAGUGUAGAAAAAUACUAAUGUAUCACAUAAAAUCAAUAUUUUAAUUUUAAAUUAUAUGCAUAUAUGUAUUUUCAAAAUAUAAGUAUGAUACAUAAAUAAAUUUUGAAAAUAUAAGUAUGAUACAUAAAUAAAUUUUGAAAACAUGUAUAUGCACAUAUUAAAACAAGUAUAUAUAAGUAUACACAUAUAAAAUAAAAUAAUGAAUGAGAUAUGUAUAUCAAAAUAAAAAUUAUCAAAAUUUCUACAAAAAAAAAUCAUGUAUGUAUAUACGUAAUGAAAAUUGUAAAAAUAAAAAUAAAAAAUAUGCAGAUGUGUAUAUAUUUACAAAAAAAAAUUUAAGUAUACAUGCUUUAGUAAAACAGAAAUAAUAAUAGUAUAUGAAGAAAUUAGGAAAAUGUGUAUAUAGAUGUACAUAUAUAAAAAAAAUGCAAAAAUAUAUUUACAAUAAUUUUGAAGGGCGUACGUGUAUAUCAAUAUCUAUUUAUGCAUAUAUAUUAUAAAAUAUGAAAGAAUAUAUAACUAUAAUAGAAAUAUAAAUGUAUAUACGUAUAUAUGUAUAUAAAAGCUAAAAAAGAAAUAAUAACAAUAUAUAUAUAUAUAAAUAUGUAUAUGUAUUAGAGAAAUAUUUAAUAUAUAUAUCUAUUAGCAUACAUAUGCGUAUGUAUGUAAGUAUAAUUAUAAUACUAUAUAAUAUAAUAAUAAUAAUAAUAGUAAUAAUAAUAAUAAUAAUAAUAACAAAAACUACAAAAAAAACCUUAAAAAGCACCAUUAAGGAUUAAACUGAGAGCUAAACGAAGUUAAAAGGCCAAAUUUAAAAAUAGAAAACACCAGGAAGGACAAAGUGAUACGCGCGCCAUGAGAGGAGGACUUAAAAAACAAUUUUCCCAAGUCGCUGAAGCACUGUGCAGUGACAUGGAUUAAAUCGUCACGCGAGCAAAAUAUUUGGGCCGAAUUUAAAAAGGAAAAAAAACUUGAUUGAAACACGUAGCAAAAGGGGAAGGGCUAAAAUAUAUAACAAAAAAACACAAAAAGUCAAUCUGGUAAAUCGAUGUUGGGUACUCUAAUUUUAGGAUUCAGAAGGCUUAAGAGUGUUUUCGCAUCAAAAUCGUACUAGGUGUGUCCCCAAAACACAAAAAGUCAGGUUUCGAUAAAAGCCGAAAAUGCAUCCAGUCGAUGCCACACGGACGUGUGCCUGGUCGUGUGGCUAGCCGUGUGUGAGACACGACCUUGUGGUGGUGUGAGUGUAGCGGUAUGGGCCACACGGGCUAGGCCAGUCUGGGCAUAUAGGCCCACAAUUUUAAAAUUUUCCUUAAGGCCACAUGGUUCGUUUCGAAUGAUUGUGGACCUACCAUAGGGUCGGUAAUGGCUAAUCAAACACUAAAUUAUGUGAUAUGAUAUUUUGAUAGUCUGCAUUGUGUAGGAUAUCGAUAUGUACAUCUGUUCUAUUUAAGUAUAUAUAUGCUAUCUGUAUAUGAGCAUGUUAUGCAUAAUAUUACUGUAUCUAUUAUUUCUAUAUUCUGUAUCUGUGAUUGUGGUGGGUUUUGUAUAUGUAGAGGAAGUGAUCUGUAUGGUGACACUUCCCUUAUAUUCUGGCAGUUGAUUGUAUAUUAUCUGUAAUGUGUUGUAUUGACACUAUAUGGUGUGUAGGGAUGGGUAGGUGUUUUAAACCUCAUAUGGUGUGAUGGGAUGGCCGAAGAUGUUGUGUAGAGGAUGGGGGUAAGAUUCUACAUAUCUGUACUACUUAUCUCAUUCUGUUAUCUAGAUUUGGAAUGGAUAUAAGUCCGAAUCUGGAUCUGACUGUAUAUAAGACUUCUGUUUGUAUUGCAUGUCUAUUUUUGUUGGGUUACACACUGAGUUUAUGAAAGCUCACAUAUGUUUGUCUGUUCUAUUCAGGUCUAUAGACUUAGGCGAAUCAGUGUGACGGAGCCUCACAGUGACCACGAGAUCGUAAACUGUUUAAGAUUAUGGUUUUUAUUUAAUUUAAGGAUUAUUUCUAGAAGUUUGUAAUAAUUGGACUUUCUAGACUAUUUGACUUUUAUUUCAAUUUUGGAGGCAUUUUAACUUUUAUGGCCACGUUUGACCAAAAUCACGGUUUUACUAAAAUAAAGGAUUUUCUAAAUACAUGAAUUAGAUUUCCAAGAUUCAAUGCUUUUUGAAAACUUCGACCUUAGAUUAUGUAUUGGAAAAUUAAUUAAUUAAAUAACGCUUCUAGUAACAAAUAGUACACUUGGGGUAUUUAUCAAAUGACUAAAUAAAGCUUUAUCAAAAUAUCACUGUUUUCAAAACCAUUCCAUGUAACACUCUUGGAUUCAGCCACAAUGUCUAGGCCGAGAUUAGGGUGUUACAUUUAAUGCUAUCAGAGCCAGGUUGCAAAACUCAAGCUAUGAAUUUUGGGUUUCAAAAAUUAUAUUUUGAAAAAGAACAGGUUUUCAAAUAAUUUGGAUCAUUCUGAGUAAGUAUGUGGUACACUGAGUCUAUGGUAUUGAUCCUGUAAGUACUUUUGAAAUUAGAUAGAACUUUCUGAAAACAUUGUAGUUAGUACUUUCUAAAACUAUACUGAAUUAGUUAAAAAUAGAAACCUCUGAAAUAUGUUCAAACUUCUGCUAAUUUGAGCAUAAAAUAUCUGUUAAUAAAGAUUGGAACUGAUGCAUAAAAUUUUGUAAUGUAGAUAAAUUUGAAAAUAUACGAUGAGCAAUUGUGGAACUCACGGUCAUGGUAUUCGUGGGCGCGUAGGGUCGUAGGGGGCUGGAGCUGAGUCUUUUUCUCUGGGCAGUAUGCCAAACUUAGAUAUGAGUGAGACACCGGUUUCACCUGCCAUUGAGACAAGGUCUCAAAGUCGCUUGGCUAGGGACGACGCACUGUCUCAAGCCAUGUUGAGGGUUUUGGAGAGGGUCACUAGACCUCAUUCUGGAUCUGUGGGUCGAUAACUGAACGACUCCGAUCCAAUAGAGCUGAGCUGUUUAGGUGUGUCAUUGGAGUCACCCCUACUGUGGCCGAGUAUUGGUUGGAGGCCACUGAGAGGAUUAUGAACGACAUUGACUGUACUCCUAAGUAGAAACUUAAGGGUGCAGUCACUUUACUUUGUGAUGAGGCAUAUCAAUGGUGGUUGUCGAUUGAGGAGGGUACUCAACGGGACUGUCUGAACUGGGAUUAUUUUAAGACUACCUUCUAGGGGAAGUAUGUGGGUGCGAGCUAUGUUGAUGCUUGUAGGCGUGAGUUCAUGAAUCUCACGUAAUGUGAUAAAUCUGUGGCUGAGUACGAGGUUGAGUUUCUGAGGUUGAGCCGCUACGCUUGAGGCAUAGUGGCGACUGAAUAUGAGAAAUGCAUAUGUUUUAAGGAUGGCUUGAGGUAUAAUCUGAGGGUAUUGAUUGCUCCACAGAGGGAGCGAGAGUUUUCAGUUCUUGUGGAUAUGGUGAAGAUCGCCAAGGAGAUUAAAUGCAUAGAGCGCUAAAAUAGGGAUCAUGAGUGAGGCAAGAAUAAGAGGGAUUCAGAGCCCUCUAGUUCUGUUUAGAGGCCUAAGAAACAGGUCAGACCUGAUUGGCUUGUUAGAGUAGGGGUUCCUAUUGCUUCUACUAGGAUUUAGCCAUGUGGUGAUUGUUUUAGGCGCCAUUCAGGUGAGUGUUGGAGGAGGUUAGAGGCUUGCCUGAGGUGUUGGUAUUUGGAGCACCACAUUAGAGAAUGUCCACUCCAUACGGAUUAGAUGCAAGCUUCAGGACUGAGUUUUAUAUAACCUCAGAGGGCAGUUCAACAGCCACCUAGGGGCCGUGGUCCGACUAGGGGUGGUAAUGGUAUGGGCCGAGGACAAAGAGCACUGGGAAAAGGUGUUAGUCAAACUGAGGCAAGGCAGCCUGCACUGGUUUAUGUUGCUUGAUGCCAAGAGGAUAGAGACGCUCUUGAUGUGAUCACAGGUACGUUCUUUAUUUUUGGUGUUCCAUAUACUACUCUGAUAGACAUAGGUUCUACUCAUUCCUAUGUAGGUAGUACUAUUUCCAAAAAUUUAUUGAUUUCUGGUGAGGGUACUUCUAGUGAAAUUAUUGUACUGAGUCCGUUGGGGCAGUCUGUUCGAGUAAGUAGACUUUAUAGGAAUGUACAUUUGGAAGUACAAGGGAUUGUGUUUUUGGCAGAUCUGGUAAGGGUAGUUCUAGUGAAAUUAUUAUACUGAGUCCUUUGGGGCAUUCUGUUCGAGUAAGUAGACUUUAUAGGAAUGUACCUUUGGAAGUACAAGGGAUUGUGUUUUCAGCGUUUUAUUCACAUAAAAGCAGCAAAAUUUAGCGGCGUUGUCUACAGCGGCAUUUUUUACGGUGCUUGUGAAAGCGCCGCUAUAGGCCUAAAAACACCGCUAAAAGCUUGUUUUGCUGCAGUGAAUUAAUAUUAUUAUAAGUGUAUUUUCACCUUUUCAUACUUUUAUAUAAUCUUUAAGUAAAACGAUUGAAAAUUAUUAUUUGAGAAUCAAACACAAGAGUAACAAUAUUCAUAUAGAAAACGCUUACCACUCCACUAAUAAUCAUUUGUUGAUGUAUUUUUGGUAAAAAGACCCCUCCAAUCCCUCUUAAUUUCACAAUUGCUCAAAUUAGUCCCUCUCAUAAAAAUUGGAGCAAUUUAAUCCCUAUCAAUUUUGAAAGUGAGUAACUAAGGACAAUUAAUUAUGGUGUUAAAUUCUUCCAUCAAUUGUACAUAAUUUUGAUUGGUAUAAGAAUAAAUUUAGCCUUCAAUGUUUAUAUAUUUUGUCAUUUUGGCCAUAAUUUAAAAAAAAUUCAAGAAAUUGAACCUCAACAUUUACAUAUUUACACAAACGUUGCGGGAAAAUUUUGUUAAAUUAAGACCAAAUUGCAAGUGUAAGUUUUGAGGGCUAAAUUUAUUAUUAUACCAACCAAAAUCAUGUACAUUUUAUGGGAAAUUAACAUCCUAAUUAAUUAUUCUUAGUUACUCACUUUCAAAAUUAAUAGGGACUAAAUUACUCUGAUUUUUUUAGGGUGACCAAUUUCCUCAAUUUGGAAUUUGAGAGAGACUAUUGAGAUCUUUUACAUAUUUUUUUAUAAAUAUAUAUAUUUAAUAUAAAAUAUAUUUGUUCACACACAUCGUGAGUAUGAUAAAAUAUUUUUAUUGUUAAUUAGUUGGUGUCAAAAAUUAACUCGACGCCAACUCAAUAUUAAUGAUAACAAUAUGAUAAAUAAUUGAUUUAUUUAAUAUUCUUAAUUUAACAUAUUGAUAUAAAUUUUAAGACAUGCUUGUCUUGAAGAAUUGUGAUUAUACUUUUCGAGUAUUGACUCAGUUUUCCACAAUUGUGGGUCUCUAUUUAAGACAAACAAUUUCAACAUUUCUUCAUAUUGUUUAAUCCAAAUGCAUUAAGGAUUUUCUUAUAUCAUUGUUUCAAAAAUGAUAAAAAAAAACAACGUCGACAUUGAAUUUGCUGUUUCACAUUCAAUUUUUGGAGAAGUAGAAUCUUCUAACUUAUUUUCCAUCAACUUCACUUCAAUUUUCAAUCACAAUCAAUUGCAUUCAAGAGCACCACAUAUUUUUUGGAUGAAACAAACCUAUCAAUUUUAAGAUAAACGGGUCUUUAGGGUUAUUAAUUGAGGGCCUUUUCCACAAUUGUCAUCGUUAAGCAUUUUUCAAUCUUGUCUACUGUGAAUAUCGUUUUUAAGCAUUUUUCAUUGAAAUAACGAUUAAUAGACAAAUAAUAUUCAAGUAAAACAAUUUUUGUAUAUUGGUUUGAAAGGUUUUCUAAAUAGUACAAGGACCUGAAACAGAACCACUGGACAAAGCUAACCAAAUCUAAGAGUUGGAAAUAUUUGGGAAUGAAUAGUUUAAAUUGUGAUUAUUUCUUCGGGUUCCUGUCAAAGAUAUCAGCUGAGCAAGAAGGCAGGGUAAUGUGCCAAUGAUAGAACCUUGAUGAACAACGAGCAAAUGUCAACCUAAGCAUUAAAAGGGGAUCAUUCUCAAAAAAUGACAUUCUACAUGUAACGCCCCAAAAUUUUAAUUUUGGGUAUUGUGAAUGUAUGACACAAAUAUCUGUCUGCUUUAGUGGUUAUGUGUUUUGGGUGUGUUUGGGAGGUCUCAAGUUCAAGUCAAUACUUGGGCAAAUUUUGGUAAUUUUAUGAAUAAGCCCUAUCUCUGGUUAUAGGCUUUUAAGUAAAAGUUGGCAAAUAAUUAAUAGAAUGGGUCUGUUGGUCUAGUGGUUAAGUGGAGUGUUGGUGUGAAGAAGGUCAUGGGUUCAAAUCUUUGGGACGGCAAGGUAAGUCGUUUUACUCUCCAUCUUUCUGACGUUUUCUCUCCCCCAUGUCUGCCGAAUUUUUUUUCUUUCUUCUUUACUUGUUACUCGGUUAUCUUUUCUUUUCUUUCCUCUACUACUGUCGAAAUUCCCUUGUUUCCCCUAAACCAUUCUUUCCUCUUGAUUUCGUAGCUUUAAGCAGCACUUGUUCAAAUUUAGUAAGUUGUUGGGUAUCAUUUUAAGAUAUUAUUUUGUAUUCAAUAGUCUAAUUUUGGGGUGUUGACAGUAGCAUUUCACGAGGAUUAAGGCUCUCCUCGUGAUUUUUGCAACGUACCGAUUUUAAGUUUUGCGGUAAGUGUUCAUCAUUUUAUGGGUAAGUAUUUUGGUUUCGGGAUUUUAAUUACUCACAAGGUAAGACUGAUUAUGGUGUUAUUUGCUCAAUUAUACGCUUAGGAGUGCUCGGGGACUAUUUUAGCAUCAAACAAAACCAAGUGUGCACCCGAAUCGCAAAAAUAAGGGAUUCGGCGAAAAGCCGAAAUUGCUUGCUGUUUGGACAGCAGCAGUAGGCUAACUUUGAAAAAUCAGCAUAAAUUGUGGAAAUCGAAUUAGAGGAUGAAAAAAAUAUGAGAUUAAAGCUUAUUGAGCCUAGUUUCUCAUAGAAGAAACGGUGUAAGUAAUGAAAUUGUAAAUCGUGAGUUAUAAUAGACUUAGUGAGACAAGGUCAGAAUGAAUUUGGGUUCCCCUGUUUUGACUUUGGAAAAUUAUCAAAAAUUGGAGAAAAAUAAUUAGGGGUUAAAUUUUACAUGCUUAAACUAUUAAUGAGUCUAUUUUCAAUAGAAACAAAUGAAAAUGUCAUCCAAAUUUUGUACUAAGAGAUAACUCAUUUUUAGCAAAGAAGAGUCAAAGUUGUCAGACAACAGAAAAGGGAUAAGUUUAAAUAUUUUACUGUACUUAUUAGCUGAACCAAAAAUUUUGGAAAUUUAUGGUAGAAAGUUAAUUGAGUCUAGUUUCAAAGACAUCAAACGGAUCUUAAUUCGGAAUUCUGUAGCUCAAGAUAUAAAUUUAUGUUUAUCUUAUUAUCUUUCUUAUUUUAGAAUUGAUUACAUGAAAGUUAAUUGCUAAUAUUAUUAGUUAAUUAUUAGUUUUCUUCAAAUCAAAUUAAACCCCGAAAGGUAUCUCUUUUUUUAUAUUAGUUUUAGUUAUCCAUUAAAUUUGUUUCUUUGUAGUAAAAUUAAAUUAUAGAAAUAACAUUAAAAUUUUAAAUAAAAAUAAUUCACAAUAAUUUAUUAUUUAAAAAACGCCCUGAAAUUUAAAAUUAUUGCUAUAAAUAUAUCAUUAAAUUAUACAGAAUUUAAUUUUUCUUUCAAAUACUAAAGUUAAUAAGGAAAGAGAAUAUAGUACAUAUCAAUAAAACUAUUAAAAAAGAAAUAUUGUUUAAAAUCAAUAGCGUCUAAAAAUUGUCAGAAUGAAAUAUUUGAUUUUAUAAGAUUUCAUUACUCUAAAAAAAUAAAAUAUGACAAUGCUUAAAAAUUUUAUUAAAAAAAGUUUUAAAUUUUAUAUAAAAUUUUAAAAAAUAAAAAAUAGUACUAAAAAUUUUUAUAAGCAAAUUUAAAUAUUAAUUAGUAAAUUUUUUUGUAAUAUUUAUAUGUAUUUUCAUUUUUAUAAAUACUAUUAAAACUUUUUAAAAAAAAAUUGAAUGCUAUUUAAAAACAUUAUUAAAAAAUAAAAUAUUAUAUGAAAGUUAAAAUGACCUAAAAACAUAUUUUAAAAAUUUAAAUACUUUAUACAAUAUUUAAAACUGCUUAAAAUUUCUAAACCCUAAAAAAUAAAUAAAAUAUAAUUUUUUUCUAAGAAAUCAAUAAAAAUAUAUUUAUAAUUGAACUGUCAACAAAAUUGUGGGAAAUAUUUAAAUUUUAUGAAAUUUUAAACUUAAACUGUCAAUAAUAGAAAAUUGCCUGAGUGACUUGGGAUAAGAGGUUCAACAUUUCUGGAUCGCAUUGCAUUUAAGGCGGGUCUUUAGGGUUAUGCUUUAGUUUUUUAGAACAUUUUCCACAAUUUGCCAUCAUUACUUGUGAGUGAUUUGUGGGGUAAGAGGUUGAACACUUCUGGAUCACAUUGCAUUUAAGACUGGUAUCAUUCAUAAAUUAUAUAUCUACAACAAGAAUGGUAGCCUCUUAUAUUAUAUUCAUGUAUCUAUUUUGCAUCUUUCAUUAUAAUAUGAUUUAGUAAUUUUAAUAUUUUUAUAGAAUAAUAUGCUUUAAUUUUUUUUGUAUCAUUCAUAAAAAUUAUAAUAAACUUACAAAAUGAUUUAAUGAUAUUUAAUUAUUAACGGAAAAAAUUUAUAUCAUAUAUAUUCUGUAUAUAUUAAGAUUUUGAAUGAUUAAUUAUAUAUCUACAUAUUAUAAUAAAUUCAUCUUUCAAAAUUUUCCUAAACUAUAUUCAUAAUAUUAUAAAUAUAUUAUAUCAUAAAUAUUCUUUCAAAUGUUUUUUAAUGUUUAAUAAUAAGUUAAUUUAUAAAAUAUUCUUUCAAUAAAUUAACGUGAUGAGAUCGUUAGGUGCUUGGAUUUGGUGACGGGGACGAGGAGAAAAGGGAUGGAAGUGAAGAGAAAUGUUGGGAAAUUGAAAGGGUUAGCAAGGGAGGCCUCCGUGAAAGGUGGUUCUAUAGAUGUGAACCUUCAAGCUUUUGUGGAUGAUGUUGCUCAAGGUUGUUGCAAGUAAAUUUAAAAAUAUUUUUUUAAUUAUUUUUUGUUAAAAAAUAUUUUUUUCUAUGUAGCAUGCCACAUUAGCAUACUACCAUGUGGUAACUUCUAGUGAUUUUCGUAUGUAACAUUAGACAAAUUAAUCGUUAAAUCGUUCAACUGACAGAUUUCGUUAAAGGAAGAGGUCAAUUGAUUUUUUUGGAAUCAUUGAGUACUCAAUUGGUGCACUAUUUUCAUAAAGACUAAAUUAAUUUUUUUAAUUUGUUAUCGCUGAGGGCUACAGUAAUAAAAAAUUUUGAGGUAAAAUUAGAAUAACGUCCCAAAAAUCUUAUAUUUAAUUUGUAAAAUUUUACCAUUAAUAAGUAUUUGUUUUAGUGGUUAAGUAUUUGAGUCGUGUUUAUAAUAUCUUGGAUUCAAGUCCCUACGUGAAUGGAUUGUUUUUUUUGUUUUUAAUUUUUGCAUGGGUCGGGUAGGUGGUUGAGUUUGAGUCCAUUUCGAACUUUGGAAAAAGGUGGUUAGUUAUCUGAGAUGGGUUAGUGUUAGUAGAUUUGGAUUUGGUUUAUUUUAAAAUUUAUUAAUUAAUUUGUUAAAAAAUUAAAUUAGUUUUUUCCUAAUUUUUGGCUCACCAUUCUUUCUCUUGUUCUUCUUUAUUCUUUCUUUUUCUGCUACCUUUCAAAUCACGUCGAUUUGUUCCUAUUUUGCUUUUGAGUUUUUCUUUUCUUUCCUUUACGCUCCUCUACGAUCGUGUCUUAAUUCCUUCAUUAUUUUCUCGUUGUUGGCGUUGCUCGUUCGAGAGUGGGUUAGUUUCCGUUUUGAUGUGUUUUUACGAGGUUAGUAAAAGAAAUGCGUUAAUUUUUGGAUUAUGGAGUUGAUCGUUUUUAAUCAAUUCUCCAGUAAGUUGACUCCUUUGCUGUUGUUAUGUGCUAGGUUAAGAGAUUAAUUCUGAUUUGGGCCUGCGUGGUUGUGUAGAUUUUCCAUGUGAAUUCGUUUGGUAUUUUUAGGAUAAAUCAUUCUUUAAGUCGUAUUGCUACCAUCGCUAAUGUGAUGUUUUAAUUUAUGCAUUUAGGAUUUGGUAGUUUUAUGGGUGUUUUCGUAUAAAAAUCAAACCAAGUGUGUAACGAAAAACCCGACAACAACGAGCGACGAAAGUCAAAAAAUUGCACUGUCGACACCACACGGCCGUGUGUCGGGCCGUGUGACAAGCCGUGUUUCAGACCGUGUGCGACACACUGUUUGGGCUAGUUAAGCCGUGUGGAACACACAGGUGUGUGUGAGGACGUGUGCCACGCCAUGUGAGCCACACGGGCUGGCCAUUUAGGCCGUUUGAGACCAAAAUACUAAGGGCACGUUUGGUUUGCUGUAUUGGAUUAGAGGUGUAUUGGAUUAGAGGUGUAAUGGAAUAGAUGUGUAAUAGCAAAUCAACUGUUUGGUUGAAUGUAAUGGAAUAGAGGCGUAAUAGUAAAACUGUGUUUGGUUGAAUGUAAUAGAGGUGUAAUAGCAUAAUGGAGAAAACUAAAAUGACCAGAAUACCCUUAGCAUAAAUUUGUUUUGGUAAAUGAUUAUUGUUAUUGUUAUUUAAAUUUUAAUAAGAUUAUUUAUUAUCAAAAAUAAAUAAUUUAAUCAUAUUUAAACAUAAUUAUUAUUUAAUAUAUUUUAAUUAAAAUAUAUAAUUUAAUAAAAUUCUUAAUAAUUAGCAGAAAUUUGUUUUGGUAAAUUAUUUUAUUUAAAUUUUAAUAAGAUUAUUAAUAUCAAUAAUAAAUAAUUUACUCAUAUUUAAACAUAAUUAUUAUUAAAUAUAUUUUAAUUAAAAUAUAUAAUUUAAUAAAAUUCUUAAUAAUUAAUAUUCUUAUAUGAAUUUACUCAAAUCAUAAUAUAUGAUACUGUAAAAUAUAAAUUAAAAUAAUAAUUAUUAAAUAUAUUUUAAUUAAAAUAUAUAAUUUAAUAAAAUUCUAAUAAUCAAUAUUCUUAUAUGAAUUUACUAAAAUCAUAAUAUAUGAUACUAUAAAAUAUAAUUUGAAAUAAUUAAUAUUAAAUAUAUUUUUAUUAAAAUAUAUGAUUUAAUAAAAUUUAAAAUAAUUAUCUAGAUUCAAAUUUAAGAAUUAUUUACAUGAACAAAAAUAUAAUAUUUGUUUCUAAGUUAAUUAUUUUAAUAAAAUAAUUAAAUAUUUAUAUAACGGUGUUCUCAUCUUUUGGUAUUUUUAUAUGCAAUUUUAAAGAUUGAAUCCAAACUUAAAAGAAUAUUUAUUUGUAAGCAUUUCACCGGUUUACUUCAACUCAAUUAUUGAUUAAUUUUUAAUAAACAUAAAUUCAAUCACUAAUUCUCUUGGCUCCUCUGUUUCAAUAUAUGAAACAUGACUCAAUCACUAAUCCUCAUAACUCAAAGGUGAGCCAGAUGGUCCAUCAGGGGGUGCAGAAGCAGCAUGAGUCAAAGCAACUAUGGCAUUUUUCCAGAAAGAGGAGCCAAGAGAAUUAGUGAUUGAUCUUAACAAUGGCAGAUCAUUAAGAUCCCGGGUCUGGCUGUCCAACCGAUCAACAUAGACUACAACAUCGGGGGGACACUUCUUUAUGUAUUGCUUUAUAGAAGCUAGGACUUUGUGAUUGGCACCUUGCUCCAUGGCAGAAGAUUUCAAACCUGGGGUAUCAAUGAUUCUCAGUUUAACACCAUCUACCAUUCCAGUAAUCUCUUUCACUACUGUAGUGGCAGGUUCAAAUGCAUGAAUUGAGGUCUUUGACUCACCAAAGAUUGAAUUUAUUGUGGCACUCUUGCCCACCCCAAUCUUCCCAAGCACAAGCAUGUUUAUGGAGAAGCUUAAAUCAUCUUUACCCUCUGUUUCAAGUUCCAAAGCUUUCCUCUUCGCAGAAUCAACACUAAACAGUUCACUGGUUUGUCUCCUUGCAACAUGUGCCAGUCUAUAAAGAACCUGUGCUGCUAAAGAAUCUUCAGUAGAAAGUCCGAGCCUUUGAAGAAUCCUCAAAAAUUUGACUCUUAUAAGCUGUAACUUUUCCAAUUUUAUUUUAUCUUCUUCUGUCAAGUUGUUGUCAGAAUCUCCCCUACUUGUUACAGCAGGACUAAAUAUGUUAGGCCUGUUUGAUCGAGGUGCGGAUGUUGCAUUUUGCAGUGAGGAUCCUAAGCCUGCAGGACGUUCAACAGUGAAAAGCCUAGAUCCAUCUUGAGAGGUUAUAGUAAUGUUGCCGCCAUCAGAGCCAGCACCAGUUGCUGCUUUCAAGAGGGCUGCCAAAGCAGCAGAAUCAAAUAACUCCUUCCCCUCUCCUUCUUCAUCCGUAUCCCCUUCUUCAUCUGAAUCAACAGCAUUUGUCUGUAUAUGAUUAUGAGAAGUAUCAGCACCCGAGUGAGAACCAAUGGCAGAUCCUCGUUCUAGCUCCUCCAAGAAUUGCUUAGCAGCUUCAGCAUUCUUAAAGAACAUACUUUCAGCCUCUCCAUCAGUCUCUGAGCCUUCAUUCUAAUGCUGCUUCUCUUCCAUUUCACCUUCAAAACUAACUUUUCCAGCCACUGUAGUUUGCUCUACUGACUCAGGCCAAUGAGAUUCUUCUCCUGGCAGGGUUACUGACCUUUUGCUUUGAGAAUCACUAUCUAAAUUCUCUGUUUCAUGAGCUGCCAUUAUUUCUGUAGGUUGAGCAGAACUAUCCUUUGCCUGAAUUCCAUCUCCACCCCCUCCAUCUACUUUCUCAGCAAAUGCUUGUUCCAAAAUAUCUAUGAUCUCCUCAUCUUUGAGAUCAUUUAGCUCAGUCCCAGAAUUGUCUUUACCAAGCAUAACCCCACUGGCAAUAUCAGCUUUAUUCUCAGCAUCAACAGCCAACUCGUCUCCGCCGGAAAACUUCGAACCAUCAGCAUGAUUCAAGCCGUUAUCCAAGCUCGCAUUAUCGUCAACUGGAACCACCUCUGUCUCCUUCAUCACCAAUGUCUCAAUGCCUAAAGCAGCUCCAGUCAAAGGUUUCGCAUCGACAGCCAACUCCUCUUCGCCAGAAAAUUUCGAACCAUCGACUUCAACUACCUGAUGAUCUACUGUUUCUACAAUCAUAGGAUUGAAACCCUUAGCUCCACCAUCUAACACCAAAUUAUUCUCAAAAAUCCCAAUUCUACCUUCCUCUCCACUUUCCAUUGAUAAAACAGAUUGGUCGACUUCUCCAAUGGAACCCAUUUCCACCUUAUCGUCCUUUUCACCAUUACCAACACUAUCAACAUCAACCUUCCCCAUCGAACCCUCACCUCUAUAUUCCUCUAAACCAUUAUCGCCAUCCCCAAACGAGUCCUCAUUCAAAAUCACAUUCGAACCAUCAGAACCAACAAAAGGGGCAUCACUAACAUCCCUCACGGUCGGAAUUACUUCAUCAGGGUCAGCCAUAAAUGGCCUCUCGGGUACUGUUUCAAACUUCCCCUCACCAUUCUCGUUACUAUCAUUAGUUUUACCAUUCCCAUUAUCUUCCAAAGUACGUUCACUUACUGAACUAGUUACAAACUCAGAAUCAUCAUUCGAAGUUAAAGAAGAAGAAGAGGAAGAAGAACCUGGAGAGGUAGAGAGCGACUGAGAAGUGAUUUCCGGGGCAGAAAGCAAGGCGUCCAUGGUUGAAAGAGAGGAAAGGGAGAUAGAGAGAAUUGGGUUUUAGGAUAUGGAAUGAAUUUUGAGUGGCACACAGAGGGAGCAAAUCGGCAGAAAGGGUAAAACAGGGAGGGGAAACCGAAGGGGCAACUAAUCUGCAGAAAAGAGGGGGAUUAGAAAUCGGUGGUUUUCACCGAUUAGGAAGGUAAAGGAUUACACCCGUAUUAGAAAUACAUCAAACCAAACGAUGGAAUACAGUCGCAUUAGGUGGGGCCCACCGAUUAGGGGUGUAUUGGCUAUGCCAAUACACCCAACCAAACAUGGUGUAAAUUUUUCCCUAGGGUUAUACACAUCGUUAUGAUCGAUCGUAGGCCUUUCGUGGGGUCGAUAUAUAAUCAAAUAGACUGUAAAGUAUGAAAUCCGGUCAACUAAUAGUAUAAAUUCUGAUAUCUGUUCAUAUAUUUGAGAUGUUAUUUGUUCAAUAAACCUUGUAAUAGGCUAUGAGAAACUUGAGAAAUAUUAUGUAUGCUUUGUAUCUGUUAUGUCAUACAUGUAUAAUGUAUUAUGUCUGAUUUUGUUCUAUUCUUUUCUGUAUUUGCAUCUGGGGUGGGUUAUAUUAUGUGGAGGAAGCGUUUCUUUGAAUGGCGAUAAUUCGCCUAUUACACUGGCAGCUCAGCUACAAAUAUUCUGAAAAGUGUCAUAUCAACACUAAGUGGUGUGCAGGGCUGGAUGAGUGUUUCAUACCCCAUAUAGUGUGUUGGAAAGGUCGGAGAUAGUGUUAGCGGAUGGGGGUAGGAAUAUAUGUCUGUAUCUGUACUGCUCUAAUAUGAAUAUGUUCUGCUAAAUCUAUCUUAUACAAAAUAAAUAUUUAAAGUUAUUCGUUAUACAUUGAGUUUUGUAAACUCACUUUCUAUUUGUUUGAUAAUUUUAGGUAUUCCUCAGACUUUGGCAAAUCGGUGUGAAAGAACUUGGUUAAAUUGAUUUAGUUUCAUUAUCUAUUAUAAUUAAAUUUUGGGUUAUUGUGUUUCAUUAUUUUUGGACUGUUGGGAAUUUUUGGAUUGUUUUGGUUUUUGAGAUUUUAUUUUCAAUUUUUGCAUGAUACUAUUAAAAAUGUUUUAUUGGAAAUGUUUGUUUUCCUGCAAAACAACUAAUUUCAGACAAAUAAACUUAGUUUUCCAAACAUAAUGAUAUGAGAAUUUUCGCUUUUAAGUAUUCAUUUUAGAAAAUGUAAGCAAACAUCGUUUCAACUAUAAAGUUAAGUUAGAUGUAUUUUUCUCUUAAAUCGAGGUUUAAGUAAUAAAAGUUUACGACAUUUUUCCAAAUUUUACAAAAAAUUGGAUUUACAAUUGUUUUAUGUAACAUCUCCAGAUUUGGUCAUAACAUCUAGUCGGAUUUCGGGUGUUACAUUUAGUGAUAUCAGGUCAGGUUGCAAAACUCAGGCUGUGAACUUUUUGGUUCAAAAUUUUGUGAAAACUAUUUUUCGAGUAAAGUUUGUCGAAACCACUUUUUCGAAACAAAAAAUAGCGUCGACUUAAAAAAUGAAAAUUGGAGUCGCCACCAGUCUUUUUUAUUUAGGUGUGAUCGGAUCACCUCCUAAUUUAAUCAUUUAAAUAAAAGUUAAAAUUUACUAAAACGAUUAAUGGGUUUAAAAAACCUUUUUCUUUACAAACAUUAACAAUAAUAAACGAACAUCGAAGAAAUAGAAAAGAAAAAAGAAAUCGAAAAGAAAAAAAAUUAGAUUUCAAAUCACCUCUCAAAAAUUUAAUUGCUUUCUGAUUUCUUUGGUAUCUUUUUUUACUGAUUUCUUAUUGUUCGCGUAAAAAACUUACAAAGGUCUUUUCUUCCGUUUUAUAGGCAAAAUAUGAAAUAAAUAAAAAAAUACAAUAUAUGUUUUUUCUGUGUUGCUUUUCGUCCUAUUUGUAGGUACGAAGACCAGCUAGCGCUGUACAGAGGCGGUGCAGCACGUGCUUGGCUGAGGUGACUAGAGGCGUGCGGUGGCUGGGUCUGCUGUGUAGUUUAGGGUUUCUGUUGAUUUUUGGUUAUUGGGCUGGGGUUUAAUUUGGGCUUGGGAUUGUGUUUGAUUUUUAAUCUGUAAAUGGACUUUUUAAUAUUGGACUUUUAUUUUUUAUUUGGAUUAUUAUUAUUUUUUGUGUAUGCGGGUCCGGGCUCUACAAAGUUCAUUUCUGGAUUAAUCUGAAAAUUAAUUAUGUGAAGUACCGAGUCUCUGACGUUGAUCCUGUAAGUACUUCUGACUUAGAAAAAUUUUAGUUUAGAAAACUCUAAAAUGAUUAGAACUGUAGUUGGAUAGUUAGAGACAGAAACAUUUCUAUAAAUUCUUUUGAUAACUUUUUGAGUAUAAAAUAUCUACUAAUAAAUACUAAAAUUGAUACAUAAAAUUCAUAAUAUAGGUAAUAUAUACGAUGAGUACUCGUGGAACACAUGGACGUGGUAACCGUAGGCGUGGCAGGCGCCGAAGAGGGGCUCGAGCUGAGUCAUCCUCGAUAGGUACCUGAUAGGCUAUCGCUGGAGAGAGCAAUAGUCUUGAGAGAAGAAAUUUGAAGAUCGAAGUCGGAAUCUGACCUUUAAGGCCUUUAAUUGCUUGAAUAAUAAGCAUUUCCAAACUAAAAGGAUUACAAUUUCUUCAAGAAUUUGACCUGCAGACAUAGUUGAAACAUGAAGGUGUUAAAUUACCUAUUUUGUUAGUGUAAAUCAAAGAGGCUUUUUAUUUUUAUUUUUCGUUGUGAAAUAAUAUGGAUAUGUUAGAUUCUAAUCAUAUUUAAGUAUAUAUUAGUUCUUGAAGAGUUCUUAUUUUUGGUAUUUAUAUUGCAAAUAAUUUUUUUAAAUUAAGAAAAAAGGGGGGAGGGGCAAAUGUGUUUAAACUAAAGACAUCAAGGAGAGUUGUGUCAAAUUCCCAAUGCUUUUUGGAAUGAUCCCACUAAAUUGAUUAACAGACAAUUCCAAAAUUUGAAAAUUGCAGCAUUUGUCUAUACUUGAUGGAAUAGAACUUGAUAAUUCAUUUCUACUGAUCAAGUAAAGCUCUUUAAGCUUGGGAAGAUGGACACACAAAUCAUCAGGCAAGCCACCAGAAAGACUAUUAUCACGUAAAUGAAUCCUUUUCAAAGAAGAAAUGUUAAACAUGGUGCAACCUGGCCAGGUAAUUGAUAAAAUUUUGAUUUAAUCCCUUAAAAAAUAUAAAAAUAUAGACUAUUAAAAUGGUAAAAUUACAUUUUUACUAUUGUAAAAAUUACAAUUUAAUUUCACUCCUAAAAAGAUUUUCUGGCUUCGACCCUAAUAAAUUCUUUGGCAAAAGAUUAAAAUAAAAUUAUACCGUAAAUGAAAAAAGGAAACUAUAAGAAAAUCCAAUCUAACAAAGAAAAUAACUUGAUGUCCAAAAGCUACCAUAAACCGUAAUUCAUGGGAAGGCUUGUUGCUCAUUUUAUUGGUUUCCAUUUUGAUUUUGCAAAAGAAGCUUGAAUUUUGAAGAGAGCCUACUACGUGAGAGCAAAAGAAAAAAAAAUUGUUUAUUAAUUUUUAGGAAUACCGAAAUAUUAUAUAUAUGAUUAAAAAUGUUGAAUUAAAGAUAAAAUUAAGUGUGAAUUAAUAACCACAAGUGUACUUAUUACUCACCAUCUCUGUUAAAAAUGUUGGAUGUUGUUUAGCAACCUUUGUUUGAUUUUCUUCAGCUCAACCACAACAUCUUUCAUAUCUUUUCUUUCUUCUGGCAACUCAGCUGAACAAUUCAAAGCCAACUCCAUGAUAGAUGUAAUACAAUUUGCUUUAACGACAAUGUACUCAUCCUCUCUUCUUAAUAAAUCAACAUCUGCAAUUUCUAUCGCUCCUUUAGGCAAUGAACUUUCCAUCCAAUGCCUUAUACUCUCUUCUUCAACAAAAACAUUAUCAGUAGGCUUUUUCUUCGUGAAAGUUUCUAUAAGGACGACCCCAUAACUAUAGACGUCAGAUUUUAUAGAAACAAUUCCUGCUGAUCCAAAUUCUGCAUUCAAGUAUAAUUAGAACGUCAUUCAUCCUCAAUUAUUUCUAAAAUGCUUAUUCAAAUAUAUAUUCACAUCCACAUGAAACAAAAAUAUAAAAUGCAUAUUAGGAAAAUAAUCAUACAAAAAUAAAAAAGAAUUCACCUGGUGCCAUAUACCCGAUAGUUGCAAGAGUCAUGGUUUGCUUCAUUACUUCACCUUCCCCCAACAAUUUGGCAACGCCAAAAUCUCCAACAUGUGCAACCAUGUCUUCAUCUAGUAAAAUAUUGCUUGGUUUUAUGUCACAGUGAAUUAUAGGUGUUGGAUGUCCAUUGUGGAGGUGUUCUAUAGCUACCGCAACAUCUAUCAUUAUAUCGACCCUUUGUAUGAUAUCAAGGAAACAAUUUUCAGAAUGUAACCAUUUCUCAAGGUUUCCAUUAGACAUGUAAUCAAGCACCAAGGCUUUGAAGUCAACACUUGAGCAGCAAGUAAUGACCUUCACAAUAUUACGAUGAACUAUAUUACGCAUAGCAUCACAUUCAAUGUCAAAACUCCUAAAUGCUCCCUCUGUUUGCAAAUUGAAAACUUUUAUUGCAACUUCCAUUCCAUCUGAAAGCCUCCCUUUAUAUACAUAUCCAAAACUCCCUGAACCAAGCAUAUUGCUUUCCUCAAAUCCAUUAGUUGCUCGUGAAAGUUCAGCAUGUGAAAUUCUUCUCGGUGUCUUCAAAGACAACAAAUCAUCUUUAACUGGUAGAGUUGUACUCCUUUGGCAUCUUCUAUACAUAAUAGUUAAGACUAUUAGUACUAGGACAAUACCAAUUGUUGGUAAACCAUACCUAAAAGCAUGCAAUAUAAUCAUUUGGGAGUUUUUGUGGAUGUCAUUUUUGCAAGGUGGGACUAGCAAUCUAGGUGGACCACAAAGUGCACAAUUCUUCAUGAAUGAUGUGCUAGAAAAGUUUGAAAAACAUCCUUUGCUGGGAAUUUCCCCUUCAAGUCUAUUGAAAGACACAUUAAAAUACUUUAGAUAUAAAAGUUGUUCCAAAGAUUUGGGAAUGACUCCAGAGAAAUUGUUAUUGCAUAAAUCCAAGAAUUCCAAACUAAUCAACCCAUCAAAUGAUUCAGGGAUACGACCAUGUAGUAUAUUAUUUGAUAAAUCUAAUGAAACCAAAGUUUGAAGACCCCCAAAUGUGGAUAAGAUAUCGCCCAUGAGAAGAUUCCUUGAUAAAUUUAGUCUCAGUAGACUCCUAAAAUUUCCAACAUCAAUAGCAUGUGAAUUGUGAAGACGGUUUGAUGAUAAAUCUAUUUCUAAGAUAUCUUUAAGACUCCACAAAGUUGAGGGUAUUGUAGAACUCAAUUUGUUGGAAUCUAACCAAAGAUAUCUCAAAGCAGAAAUAUUACCUAAACAAGAGGGUAUGGAUCCAUGCAGCUUAUUCAACCCUAAAUGCAUCUCGUAUAGUCUCUCCAAACCACAGAGGCUUUCUGGGAUAGGCCCUCCUAAUUUAUUAGAGGAAAGAUCUAGACCUUGCAGAUUCCGCAGUCCUCCUAUUGAUGCUGGAAUGAAUCCACUUAAUUUAUUAUGGCCAAGUUCUAAAACCAAUAAGUUGGUUAAGUUACCUAUUUCCAUAGGAAUAAUGCCUUGAAGCUCACAAUUAUAGGCAAGAAAGAAUUGAAGGGAUUUUGAAAGGUUCCCGAUAUAAGUAGGAAGAACACCACUCAAUGGAUUUCCCGAAACUCCUAUGGCUUUCAAAUUCCUACAAUUCGUCAAAGAAGAAAGAAAGCUCCACUCAUGAUCAGUAGCAGAUCCUGUGAUCAAAUUAUUGUCAAAGAUUUUGAGCACUUCAAGGUGUUUUAAGCUGCCUAGCGUUUUAGGGAUUGGGCCAGAGAAUAAGUUAUGUGACAAGGAUAGAAUCUUUAGCAUGGAAGCAUUGGAGAUAGAGUUGGGAAUGUUUCCGCUAAGUUUAUUUCCCCACAAUAAAAGAAUCUCAAGCUUUGGAGCAUUGGUGAUGGGUGGUAAAUUACCUGUAAAAUAGCAUCUUUUAGUAUACAUAUUCACAAAAUAUAUAAUACAUUAAAAUAAAAACUGUAAAACUUUAAAUCAAUUAAGAAUAAAAUUUUGGCAUGGAAAAAUGUGAUGAAAUCAAUUAGAAAGUUGAGACAUAAUAAGAAGUUUUGAGUACUAAUUAGUCUUUGUGAUUUGUAUAGACAAAACAUAUAAUACACUAAUAAUUUUUUAAAAUAUUGUAAAACUUGAAAUAAAAUAAAAAUAAAAGUUUGGCAUGAGAAUGUGGCAUCUAAUCAAUCUUAAAAAUGAGACUCACACUGAAUAAUAAUUAGUUAUGAUUUGGGAAACAAAAAUGUUAAAGCCAUUGUUUUUAAUGUAAACUGGUAUGAUUCUUAUCUAUUGGGUUAAUUAUUUAUUUUUAUUAAAUUAUAGUGUAAAAUUUAAAUAUUAUUAUUUGCUCAAAAUUUUUGUAUUUUUCGUAUAUUUGAAAUUCAAUCUUUAUAUUUUUUAUUUUCUGUGAUUUAGUCUCUCUACUUUUUUUAUUAAAAAUUUUAGGUUCAUUUAUUAACACUGUUAAAAAGUUUUUGUAUUAGUAUGACAUUUUGAAAAAUAAAAUAAACUUGAUAUCUAUGUUUUUAAUUAUUCCAAAUAUUGUUUUACUAUUUCAAGAUAAAUUAUUUGUGUCUAGACCAAUAUCUUAAGAACUAUUGUUGCAUGUUUAAUUAUUCUAAAAAAUUAUUGAUUGAGUCUUAGCUUGAUUGGCAUGUGCAUUGUUGCCAAUAUAAGAGAAUGUGGGAUCAAAUAUGCUGAAGUUCAUUAUCCUCCUGUUAUGAAUUGGGGAGUUGGUAAAGUAUUAAAUUUUGAUAUAUUUUAAAAUAUUAAAAAUUUAUUAAAAUAUUUUUUAUAAAAAUCGGUUGUACCACAAUAUACAAUUUUAAUAUCAAAUUUUUAAUAUUUUUAAAAUAUUAGCGAAUAUAUACUUUAUUUCAAGUUACACAAUUUUUACUAGUUUUUAACUUUUUUUAAAAUUUUUAUCGUCUUUUAUAAUUUCUAAUAAUUUUUUACAAUAUUUAACAAUUUCUAACCAUUUUUAAUAAUUUUAUUACUUAUUAAAAAUUAACAAAUUAACUAUUUUUUAUUUUUUUAAAACAAUUAUAUAUUUAUAAUGUAGUUAUUUUUUUAUAAUUUUAUUUGAAAUUUUAAAGUUUUUUUGGUUUGUUUUCUAGAUGAUGAUGCCAUCAUGAUGUCAUCAUAUGCCACAUGGCAAUUUAUGAUUAGUUGAAUAUCUCAAUUUAUUUUUUUAAUGUCCAAUGGACUAAACCAAGAACACUUGAUUAUGUUAGAGACUACACUAGGAAUGUUUGAUAACAUUAGGUACUAAAGUAGGAAAAAAAAAAAAAGGAGCAAUACGAUGUAGGGAGUAAACUGUGCAUUAAGCCAUUAAAAAUAUAUCUAUAAUAUAUAUAAAUGCAUGGAUUUUGAGAAACUUUUGAAAUGAUAAUUAUAUAGUCUUUGUUUUUUUACUAUAUUAUUGAAUUUGUUAUUUUAAAUAUUUUUUUAUUACUUUUAAGAUUUAUCAUAUGUAUGGAUAAGAAUUUUGGUUUUACUAAAAUAUUUGGUUAAAUAAAUUCACUUCAUAAGAAGAUUUAGCAUCCUUGUAAAUAACAAUUUUGAUUCUAUUAAAAAAUUAUUUUAAAAUAUAUAUAAUAAAAUUUUAAAAUUUAUAUUGAAUUACUUUAUACUUAAAUUAUUAUUAGAAACUUUAUCAUACACAUACGUGUAUGAGAACUAUGUAUUUAGAACAUAAAUUUGUGUUUUAAAAUAACUUAUGAUAAAUAAUGAAAUGUAUAAUUUGAAACUAUUUAAUAAAAACACAUGGCUUAUCUACAAUAUUAAAAUAAAAAUAGCUUAAAUUGUAAGCAAAACAUAAUUUAAACAUAUGAAUACAUUAAAUUAAGAAUACUAAAUGAAUACAGUUAUUUAUGAUGGUGUUGUCUUCAAUUCCUAAGUUGGUGUCAAGUUAAUUUGUGACAUCAUAAAUUUAAGGUUUUAUGUAUUGAUGUGGAUUCAAAUAUCACCAUUUUUUUUAAAAUAAAAUUUAAAAUAAAUACAUUUUCCACAUUGGUUUCUUUUCUUCUACAGACAAAGGAUUUCUAAUGAUUUUUUUUUUAAAAAAAAUUACUUAUAUAAAAUAGAUUAGUUUAUGCAAUAAAAAUAAUUUCUUUUUUAAAGUUUAAUAGAAAUUAAAAAACAAAAAAAAAAUCAAUUCAUAUAAAGCUUAUUGUUUAUUAUCAGAUUAAAAUGAUAAAAGUAUACGAUAAACCCAUACUUGACGGAAUGUUACCAGAUAAUUCAUUUUUAUUCUAGUAAAGCCCUUCAAGCUUGAGAAUAUGUUGACACAUAUCAUUAGGCAAACUACCUGAUAGGUUAUUGUUGGAGAGAUCAAUGGCCUUCAGAGAAGAAAUGUUGAAGAUCGAAGUUGGAAUCUGACCUGUAAGGCCUUUAAUUUCUCUAAUAUUAAGCAGUUCCAAACCAAGAAGAUUACCGAUUUCCUCAGGAAUUUGAUCUGCACACAUAGUCGAAAAAUCAAGAUGUGAAACUACCUAUUUUGUUAGCAUAAGUCAAAGAGGUUUUCUUUUCUGUUCUACAUAAUUUGCAGAUGUUAGAUUUUAAUAUUUUUAAGCAUAUUUGUUUUCAUCAAAUUAACUAUUUUGAACUAUUUUGCCUUGAAUGAAAUAAAAUGCUCAUAUUUUUGUUAUCUAUUACUAAUCAAACUCUUUUAUAAAAAAAAAUACUUUAAACUAAAGAAACCAAGAAAAUUCAAUACCUUCUAAGUUAUUCAACUCCAAAUAUAAUUCUUUGAGUCGUGUCAGAUUUCCAAUACUUCUUGGAAUGAUCCCCCUCAAUUUAUUAUCGGAAAAUGCCAAUAUUUUAAGGUUGCUGCAUUUGCCCAUACUUGAUGGAAUGUUACCAGAUAAUUCAUUUUUAUUCAAGUAAAGCCCUUCAAGCUUGGGAAGAUGUUGACACAUAUCAUUAGGCAAACUACCUGAUAGGCUAUUGCUGGAGAGAGCAAUAGUCUUGAGAGAAUAAAUGUUGAAGAUCGAAGUUGGAAUUUGACCUGUAAAGCCUUUAAUUGCUUGAAUACUAAGCAUUUCCAAAUUAAAAAGAUUACCGAUUUCUUCAGGAAUUUGACCUGCUGACAUAGUCGAAACAUCAAGGUGUUAAAUUACCUAUUUUGUUAGUGUAAAUCAAAGAGGAUUUUUAUUUUUCUCGUUAUGAAAUAAUAUGGAUAUGUUAGAUUCUAAUCAUAUUUAAGUAUAUAUUAGUUCUUGAAAGAAAGAGUUCUUAGUAUUUAUAUUGCAAAUAUUUUUUUUAAAAUUUAAAAAAAGGGGGGGGGGCAAAUGUGUUUAAACUAAAGAGAUCAAGGAAAAGGCAUACCAUCUAGGUUAUUUAACCCCAAGUAUACUUGUUUAAGUUGUGUCAAAUUCCCAAUGCUUUUUGGAAUGAUCCCACUAAAUUGAUUAAUAGACAAUUCCAAAAUUUGAAGGUUGCAGCAUUUGUCUAUACUUGAUGGAAUAGAACUUGAUAAUUCAUUUCUACUCAAGUAAAGCUCUUUAAGCUUGGGAAGAUGGACACACAGAUCAUCGGGUAAGCCACCAGAAAGACUAUUAUCACGAAAAUGAAUCCUUUUCAAAGAAGAAAUGUUAAAGAUGGAAGAUGGAACCAGGCCAGAUAAUUGAUUGAAUCCCAAGUUCAAGAUCUCUAGAUUGGAUAAGUUGACAAGUGUUUGAGGGAUUGUGCCUGUGAAGUUAUUAUUUCUCAUUUCCAACCUUUGAACUCUGUGCAAGUUCCCAAGCCAUGAUGGAAUUUCCCCAUUAAGACGGUUGUAGCUUAAUCGAAUGAUCCUCAAACGAUGCAAUUGGCCCAAUUCUUUAGGCAGAUGGCCAUAGAAAUUGUUGUUGCUCAGGUCGAGAGAAAAUAGAAAUGAAAGAUUUCCAAGGUGUGGAGGGAUAGUACCCCUAAGAUUCAUGUUUGUAAGAUUCAAAGCUACAACUCUUUCAUGGAUGAUGUCACAAGAAACACCAGCCCACUUACAAACAGAGGUAGAGUUCGUCCAAUUGUUUGCCAACACAUUUUGAGGAUCGACAAUGCGAUCUUUAAACUCAAAGAGUGCAAACUGAUAGGAGUUGAGAUUCCGGACUGUCAUAGCCAAGGAAACAAUGGAACAUUGUAUGAAUAAAAGUGAAAGAAGAUGAAAGCAAGUGUUGUAGUUCAUGAUGGCAAGACGAAAUAAGCCAGGAAAAGGGAAGUUGAAUUGAUGAAGAAAUACCCAGCCAACAUGCUUAAAUAGGCUUCAACCCUUGCACACUUCUCAUACAUAAAGUUCACUGCCAUUACAACAAGAAAACUCGUAUCUCCAUUCAUACCUAUCCAUACUUUAUUUGACUAACUUUUCCCUAACAGGUGUUCAGUAAGGAGACAAAUCACUUUGGAGCUAUUCACCGACUUCUCCAACCUUGGUUUCAAACUCCUAGCCCAUCAAUUCACUUUAAUUGAAACGAUAUACACGAGUCUUUCGGCUUAUAUUUUUAACUUACUACUUCUCUUUUUAAUUUAUUUUUUGUUACUUCUCAUAAUAUUUUUUGAGAAAUCCAAUAUUCCAGUCUGAAAUUUCUUCAUUGCCACGUCUAUCUCCUCGGUAAGUUCGUGGCUAGGCGGCCCACUUUGGGGGCAGGAUUGUAAUUUUAGUUCUAUCCGACUCAUUUUACUAUUUAGAAAUAUAAAAGUAAUAUUAUAUUAAUUUUUAUAUUUUUAUAAAUUUAAAUUUAAAUUUAAUUUUUAAACAAUAAAACGAGUCAUUUUUAUUUGCCUAGGCUAAAUUGAAUCAGGAGUGAAAAAUUUUUUAAUCAUAAUUUACUAUUAUUUUAAUUAAUUAAAUUUUAAUUUACUAUAACUAGUAGUUGCAAAAAAAAUGACAUUCCUUUAGAAAAAUGAGAACUUAUGAAGCAUUCAAUAAGAGUUGUUGGAAUACAUGGUAACGAAACCAUAAUUCGAUAUAAAACUAUAUAAAUAAUGUAAGAUUUGUGAUACCUAAAUUGUUAUGUUUUCUAUAAAUAUAUGGAGAUUUUUUAUUAGGAAAUAAUUUUAUAUAUCAACAUUUGUUAUUUUCUUUUGAUAGAAAUUUAAUUAUGUUAUCUGUAGAAAAAAAUAUUUAUAGAAAUAUCAUUAGUAGAAAAUCAUAAAUUUGUGUGUGGCAAAAAAUUUUCACCACCAAGAAAGGGACAAAUUAAACAACUUGAAAGUCAUUGGUUGUUUAAAAUAUUAGAUAAUAAUUUUAGUGAAGAAUCAUUAAAAUUAUGACAAAAUAACCCUAGAUAUUGUAGUAUUAAAUUAGAAAAUCUCAAUAAUAUUAUUAGAGUAAAACCUAUGAUGUAUCUAAACAAGAUAUAGAAGAAUUUGAUAUACAAAUUAAGGGUAGAAAUCAUACGGAAAUAAUAAAAAACAAGAAAAAGCUAGUAUGGUCAUUAAUUAUAAAAGAUUAAAUCAAAAUAUUAUUUUUUGUAGUUACUUGAAUUAAUCAGGAUAAACAAAAAAAAAUAUUUUAGUAAAUUUGACUGUAAAUCAGGAUUCUAGUAAAUCAUGCUAACAGAAAAAUCUAAACCUUUAACAGCUUUUAGUGCACCCAAUGGACAUUAUUAAUGGAAAGUGAUGUCAUUUGAAUUAUGCGAUGCACCACAAAUCUUCCAAAGACAAAUGGAUUUUAUAUUUAAUAAAUAUAAAAAAUUAUGGGUAGUUUAUAUAGAUGAUAUUUUGAUAUUUUCAGAUACACUAGAAUUACAUAAGAAAUAUUUAAAUAUUAUUUCUUAAGAAUUCAUAAAAUAUAGAAUCAUAUUAAACCCUAAAAGUAUGGAGUUAGAAAAAAGAGAGGGAAUUUUUAUAAUAGUGGAAAUAAAAAAUUGUCCUCAAAAGAUUGAAGAAAAAAAGAAGUUACAACAAUUUGUAAUAUAUUCCUCCCAAAUUUUCAGUUGCAAAUUUAUUACAGAAUUUCUUUGCCGACAAUAAGAAAAGAGCAUAUUCACAUUUUCGUCGCAAUUUCAACUAACAACCAAUCUGUUUCCCACUUUCCUUUUUCGGCCAAUUUCAAACGUAACUGUUUUUCGAAUUUUCCUCUUUAUUUCAUUAAUAAAAUGAUCAAUCUAUUUGUUUUUUAAAUAUAUAAUUUUAUUAAUAUUUUUUAAUUAUAAUAUAAGAGUUGUUGUUUAUUUAUAGUUUUAUUACAUUAUUUAAUCUCUUUUUUAUAUCAAGUUUUUAAAAUUAUAAUAUAAGAUUUAUUUUAUCAAAUUGUGGCUUAUCAAAUGUUCAUCUAUUUUAAUAAUAACUUGAGUUCGAAUCAUUAUCAUACCAGAAAGAGUUCCCUUUAUUCUUUAUCGUAAAUUUUAUAAGAAAUUAUAUUUUAUUAUAAUACUAUAUGUGUUAGAAUAAUAUUUUAUUGUGGAUGCCCAUAAUUCUCAAAGUUGUAACCUUGAAUGUAGUAACCUCAAUGAAAUUAUGAGGCUUUUAUAUUGUAAUCAAGCCUCUAUCUAUUCUUUGUAUUCUUUGUAGAAAAUAUGAAGUUGAUUUUACUUUAUUAAAAAAUUUAAAAUAAAUUAUCUUGUUUUUUUUUAAAUGAGUUAACCAAAUUAGCAUAUUUAUUUUGAUCUAAAAUUAUCCAAAAUAAUAUAAAAUAUUAUAUUAAUAAAAUUAAAACUAUGAAAUAAUUUUUUUUAAAGAUUAUUAUUUACUUUUAUCAAACAAUACAAUUAUAUUCAGUACUUAUAUUUACUAGUUUACCAAACAGUUUUCCAAUAUGAAUUCAACACUUAUCAAAUUCAGUAUUAAAAAUUCAGUGCUUAAUUUUUUAGCACUUAACUUUUCAAUUCAUCAAGCACGUCUAAUUCAAUUUAUACAAUUCCCUAUUUGUAUCUCUAUGAAUUUAUAAAAUCCUUCUCGCAUUUAGUUGUUGGGAUCUUUAUAUGAAGAUAGAUGCUUUUAUUUUUUAUUGGUUCAUUUUUAAUUGUAUUGAUUUAUUUAAUUUUAAUUUUGAUUAAUAUAUAUGAUUAUUGUGGAAUGGGAGUAAAAGUAUUUACUUCUCAUAAACUUUGAAAUAUUCACCCUGUCUACAUAUUAAUUAUUGUAAAAUUUGAAUUGAAAUUAUGCCAUAAAAGGUGGAGGUUAGAAAACCUCUUAUUGAGACCUUAUAAUAUUUUGUAAUUUUUUGUGUUAUGGUAUAUAAAAAAAUAUCUAACCAUAGUGAUUGAUUAGUAAUAUAAAUUUGUUAUUUGUUAUGUUUAAUAUAUAUUUUAUUUAUACUUAUUCAUUUUAUUUUUAUAUGAGUAAAUGAAGUGUUUGAAGAUUCGAAAUUUUUAUCAUCCAUGUUGAAAAUAAGUGCAAAAGUGUAUAUUAUUUAAAAUAAAUUACGCAUUCAUUAAUGUUAUGUGAUAAAAUCAUUACAUUUUCUGAAGAACUAAUAUUGCAUCAAACUGUAAAAAGCUCUUGAAGAGCUAAUAUUUAUCUCCCUGUGAUGCAAAAUCUUGUAAAACAUGAUAUUAUUUUUCAAAUCAAGAAGAUUUAUGUUGAAGGAAAUAUUUAUGUGUUUUACAUUAAAACCAUGGAUAGAAAUGACAUGAGACACUCAUGUAUUUGCAUUAUAAAUAUUCCUUGAAGGAAUACACUUCACUUGUAUGAUUGACAUAUGAGAUAAUAGCAAGAAGUUUAUAGUGUUGGUAUGGCCGGCUAGACCAUCUCAAGUCAAUAAUGAUGCAAAAUAAUUUGAAGAGAAUUUAUAUGAUUUUAUUGAAGAAUGAGAAGUUAUUUUCAUUUUGAUAAUUGUCAUCAACAAUAGUUCUUUGGAAAAAAAAAUAUUGAACUAACAUCAACUAAAGUUAGAGGUUGGUUCAUGGUUGCAUUUUUUGAUGAUAUCCAAAUAAUAUAUGAGCUCAUGUAUCACAUGUAUGCAACCCAAAGUUUACAGUAUUAUUUCUUGAAAUAAUUUGAUUCUACACAAUCUCUAUAGCAUGCAAUUUGUGCUAACAACACUGGUGCAUUAUAUCCUAAGCUUGAUUUUCGUAGUUUUAGCUGAGAUAAUAUUAAGUUGUCUAUGCCUAUAUAUAUUAUACUUAAUGGUUAGCAAAAUUAUGCCUCCAUUUAAUUGCUUAACCAUUAAUAUAAGAAUAGCUUUAAAAUAAGCAUGUAAUUUUAUUUGCAUCGAGCCAACAUGUAAGAAAUAUUUGUCCCAUGAGAAUUAGCUUUUAUUUAUAAGCCAAUAGGUUUCAUUUAUGACUAUUUGGAUGUAAAAUAUCUAUUUUAUAUUCCACCAUAAUGCACUAAGAUGGACCAUCAAGUAUGAAGUUGAGAAAAAUUAGAAUUUUUAUUUGAUGGUAAAAGUUGAAAAGAGAUAUAUAUUUAUAAUUUUGAAAAAAAUAGUCAUGUUGCAAAUUUUCUCAGUAUUAGAGGGAGACAAGUUGGACAAAUACGUAUAAUUAUGUCAUCACUUUUUGUGAUCCCUCACUAAUCUUAUGUGCACAAAGUUUGAAGGAAAAAAAUAAUUUGCUAGACAUGUUUAGUGAUGACAUUUAGAGAUUGUAUAUAUUGGAUGAUACAUAUACCAGCUAAAAUGUUCCAAAUAAUUAUGCGUCCUAGAAGGACAAAGUGAUAAAAAUAAUUUUUGGGCACGCUAGAAGGAUGAAAAACUAGUUGGUUCUAUAAAUAAAAAAAUUCUUGACAGAAAAGAGUAAGAAAUGAAUAUGGCCACACGUUAAAGGAGACGAGUACUCAUGAAGAGACCCAAGGUAUAACUUUUAAUAAAACCCCAAAAGAGGUUCAAUACAUGAAAUUAUGAAUAUAAUAAGUGUAAUAACCAAAUUUUUCCCGGGCCCAAUGCCAAACAAAUAAAACCCAAACCAAAUAAAUAAAAUAAGAGUCCAAAUUAUAGUCCGUUAGGGCCCAAUUCAGACCAGCCCACUAUUCAAUCAGACCAGCCGAACAACAAAAAAAAACCUAGUAGCCCACAGCCCAACUAAGCCUAAAAAAUUUUCAGCAAAAGAAAAAACCCUAGCUGCCAUGCUAGCCGCUGCUCCUGCCCUAGCCUCUGCCCACUAUCGUACGCCACCUCUGCCAUCACCAUUAGCCUCUGACACCUGCAAAACAGCAAACAACAUGCAACAACAGAGAAGAAGACGACAAGCAAAAAACAAAUCACUAAAGGACAAAAAUAAUGAUAACAAAUAGCCUUAGUUUGGCUAUAAAAGCAAAAAAAAUGAAAACUUUGUACUUCUUUGGCAAGAUUAAUACAAAAAAGAAAAGAUUUGAACUUUUUAGGGUGAUAUUUCAUUUUUUUUUACGCUUUAGAUCUAUUUUUUUAUUUCAUCUUCAUCUACGAAAAUAAUAGAAAAAAGACUUUGAUUUCAAGGUGAUAUUUUGUUGUUUUUUUAGAUCUAGUGUUUUUUUAUUUAUUUUUAUCUACAAAAAUAAAAAAAGGAAAAGAGAAACGUACCUAAUUCACCCCGUGGCUCCGUCGACGGAAGUCCCAUCGCCAUCGUCGGAAUCGGGCUUAAAAGGGGAAGGUUUUUAUUUUUCUUUACUUUUUUUUGGAUUUUUCGUCUCAAGAAAUGGACUAAGGGAGGGGAAAUGGCCAAAAUGGUCUUUUUCCGAUGAACUCUGGCAACCACAUGUGGCAGUUAACAGUGCCGGUGCUCGGUGGCUGCGGUGGAGCCAUGGUGGUGUCCCAUGGCCGGAUCUAGAGAGGAAGCCUUUAAGAGGGAGAGAGUUUCUAACAUUUUUUUUAUUUUCUAAGGCAGAAAUGAAUUUUUGAAAAAAAAAAGUUGGGUUUUAUAAGUGCGUGAAAUGGCGCCAUUUUGCGCAAGUGCACAUCGACGUCGAAACGACAUCGUUUACCCCUUUACCCGCUUGCCCGAGUCUGGCUCGAUGAAGGUCCGCAUAUUUUCAUGCCUGAUGGGUUAUUUCCCUGCCCGAUCCUUCCGAUUUUGGGCUUCUUCUCAAUCUGGUCCUGAUCCUACUUUUUCCCGCCUUUUAAAUUGUACCAUUUAAUUUCAUUUCAUUUUCAACUCGGUCCCUCGGCUGACCAAAGGAAAUGAUGCGCAUAAAGUUAAGGGAUAUUUUCCCUUUCAAUCCCCAAUAUUUUUAGAGCGAUGCAUUUUAAUCCCUAACCUUUCAUUCCAAUCUUUUACACAUAUUAUUUCAUUUUAUUCGUUUAUUUAUUGACUUAUCAUUUUUACCCUCUUUUUAUACUUAAAAAUAUAUAUUAUUUACACUAUUACUUGCAUUUUUUUACUAUUAAAUUAUUAUUUUUAAUGUAUUAUAUUCCCAUUAUUUUACCAUUUUAUUUAUUUUGAUACUUUCAUGUCACAUUUAUUUAUUUUAAUAUUGCCAUUAUUUAUUUUAUUUUAUUCUUAUGUUUUUUAGUAUUUUAUUAUUUCUUUUAUUGUUCACGGUUUUUUUUUCAUGUUAUACAUUUUUAUCUUUCUAAUCAUGCAUUUUUCCUUUUUUUAUUUUGUUUUAGGUUACGUUAUUUAUUAUUAUUAUUAUGAUAAUAUUAUUAUAAUUAUAUUACCAUUAUUAUAGAAUUCCUUUAUUUGUAUAUUCCAUUAUAACUAUUAUUAUUAUUAGUAGUCUUUAACUCACUUCUAUUUUUAUUAUUAUUUUUUAGAAUAGUAGUCAACAUGCUUAUCCUUAUUGUUAUUUGGUGUUGUUCUUAUGAUUUUAUCAUCAUUAUUGUUGUAUUUCAUUUUUUGUUCACUCUUUAAAUAUUUUGUUCAUAUAGUUAUUUUACACUAUUGCAAUAUUGUUGCAUUACGCAUUAUGUUUCUUAUAUAAUAAUUAUUUCGCUUUCACGCGAUGUUCGAAUCAAUUAAACAUGAAUCUUCUCAAUUAUUACAUUAAUUGUUACUUAAGUUCAAAAAGAAAAUUUUCAAAAUAAGGCAAUAUUUUGCGUUUUGGAAAUUCGAGAAAUCAUACCCUAACUUACGAGGUUUCGAUUUUCUCGUUAAACUUAAAUAGCAAAAUAUUCUUUUAAAUUUCAAAAUGCAUGCAAUUUCAAUAAAAAUCAAAGGCAAGCUUAUUCUCUAAGGUUCCAAAUAUCGCGUCCUAACUUACGGGAUGUGACAUUUCGUUACCUCGAGACGAGUAGGUCUUCAACUCUCUUUUCGAUUUAUUCGAGCGUUUUUAAUAACAUUAAUAAAAAGGGAUCGUAUUUUAAAUUUCUAUUCAAGUUUUCAACCUUGGACAUUAAGACAUUACUUAAUCAACUAGGUACCACCUUUGGGUGUAUUGAGGGUGUGUUUUCUAGAUUUUGUAGACCAAAUAUUAUCGUUUUUAGUAAAUUUAAAUUUUUAUUAAAAUGAUUAAAUUACAAGUGUUGACACCAUUUUUUUGAUGAAAAACGGGGUCGACUUGGGUUUUAAAAAAAAUGAAAAACGGGAGUCGCCACCAAUCCUUUUUGAUAAGGUGUGAUUGGGUCACCUUGAAAAAUGGUUGUUUUUAAUAAAUGAUUUGAUUUUAUUAAAACAACGGUUUUGGUCCAUGAAAUUUAGAAAACGGGUUCGGGAGUCGAUUACGUACGAGGAAGGAUUAGCACCCUCGUAACGCCCAAAAAUUGGUACCUAGUUGGUUAGCUAAUGUCUUGAUGUCGAAAAUUGAGAACUUGGAAAAAAUUAAAAAUACGAUCCUUGUAUUAAAAUGAAAAUUUUAGGAAAAGGGGGGCAUACUUCACGCUAAUCGAGAAAGAGAAUCAUAUCCAGUAAGUUAGGACACAAUGUCUCGAAUUCCCGAUACGCGAAUGAAUGCCAAAAUUUUACUUAUUUAAAAGACAUUUUAGCCGUCUCGAAUUUAAAAAUGAAAUCACGACCAGUAAGUUAGGACGUGAUUUUUUAAAACUUGAGUUUGAAAAGAUUCGUGCAUCUAGAUUUAUCGUGAAAAUCAAUACCCAGUAAGUUAGGGUACGAUUUUCUUGAAUUUAAACACGAAAUGCCAUUUUUUAAAACAAAUUUUGUUAUAUCGAGUGAAAUAAAAACACAAAGUCGUAGUAAAAAAAUGUGUAAGCAAAUUACAUUGUUAUGCAUGGCAAAAUCAUAAUGAAUACAAAAGUAUAAAAAUGAUACGAGCAAUAACAACAAUAUAAAAUAAAUAAAAGUCAAACCUACAAUAAUAUUAAAUAACAAUGUAUAUAAACAAAUAAAAUUAAAACAUUCAUUCAAAAUAAUAAUGAAAAUGAAAUAAAUAAAUAGUAAAUACAAAAUAAAACAAUAGUAAUGAAUAAAAAUAAUAUAAUAUAUAUAUGUAUGUUAGAAUUAUAAAGUAUAAAAAUAUACGUAUGUGUAUAUAAGAAUAUGUAAGCAUGUAUAUACAUAGAUUAUAAAAUAUAGAUAUUUAUAUAAAAAUGAGUAUUUGUAUUAAAUAAGUUGAAAAAAAAUAUAUAUAUACCUACAUAUAUAUAAAAAAUUAUAUAAUAAUAACAAUAUAAUAAAACACAUAUAUCUAAAAUUUACAUAAGUAAAUAUAAAUAAAAACAUACUAAUAACAAUAAUAUUAAUAGUAAAAUGAUAAUACAUAAAAAUGAUGAAGAAAAUAAUAAAAAUGCUUAAAAGGGGACUAAAUCGAAGUAAGAACCAAAAAAAAGGGGCAAAAUCGAAAUAAAGACAAGAGGGACUAAAUUGUAACGCGCGCUGAAAGAGGGGGACCAACAGGGUAACUAAACCAAAGCCUCAAAACGCUGCUCUGUAAAGGACUGAAAUGAGACAAAAAUAAAAUUUUGUGGCCAAAUUGCAAAUAUGCGAAAAACUUCCAUGAAAUCGCUACAAAAUCAAAGGGACUAAUUGCGCAAAUAGACCCUUAAACAAAAACGCGCGGAUCCUUGGGUGCGGGUCGGGUCGACGUGCGGAUCCCCUCACCAAAACGGCGUCGUUUUGUGUUUAAUAUAAAUAUAAAAAAAGGGCUAAAAAAACAGUUUCAUCAUUUUUGUUGAAAAACUGAGAGAAACCUCUCUCUUUUUUCCCUUUCUCAGGCUCAGAUUCCGGAGAUGGCCCGGCCUAGGCUUCUGGCGAAUCUCCGCCGUAGAGCCACCGUGUGUGGCGGCCGGAGGUCCAAAAUCGGACCUUUUCGGUCCCUUUUUGAAACUAAGAAUCCCUAGGGUACGGAUCUGGGACCAAACCCCCGAAAAAAAGAAUCGGAGACCUAAAGAACGAGGGGAAACCGCUCGUCUUCUCUCCUCCGGCGCGGCGCAGGUAAGGUUUCUUUUUCCUUUAUUUAUAUUACGUAAAAAACAUACAAAAAGAAAAAAAAGAAAAUAGAGUUUAAAAAAAAUCUAAAACAGAAAUGAGAGAAAAUCACCUCUCAAGUUUUCUUGUUUUUUAUUUCUUUUUGCUAAUAUCUGUUUCUUCUUUUUACAAAAGUUGAUGGAAGAAGAAAAAAUUACAUUUUGUUGGCUUUUUAUAGCCGACUUCUACUACUGCCUGUGUUAUUUGCUCUCUGUUUCUUUGUUUUGUUUCUUCUUUGCAGGUGACGGUGCAAGUGGUGGUGGUGACGUGACCGUGGCAGUGGCGGUGUGAUGUUGGCGGCGGCGGCAGGCCAAAGGUCAAUAGGUGUGGAGCCUAGGGUUUUAGUUUUUGAAACCCUAGGCAGAUUUUUUUAGGGGAAUUGGGCCUUAGCUAUUGGGUCGUUCGGGUUUGGGCGUUGGGUUAGGCUAGUUGGGCUUUGAGGUUGGGUUGUUUUGUAAUGUGCUUUGGUGUUUGGGUUGGUAGGUGGUGGGUAAGGUUUAUUGUUUUGGGUUCUUGGGCCUGGUUCUGUUUGGUUAGGGUAAUGGGCCAUUUGGGUCUGGGCAUAAAAUUGGGCUAUACAACAAGGUGACCCGAUUACACCUCAUCAAAAAGGAUUGGUGGCGACUCCCAUUUUCAUUUUCAUUUCUUUUUAAAUCAAAGUCAACCCGUUUUUAAAAAAAUGGUUUCGACAAUAAGAUAUAUUGAUUAGUUAUGUCAUAACUAAAGAUGAUGGAGUUGACAAAAGGAAAUUGUAGUUAACAACGAAUAAUCUACGUAGAACAUUUCAAUAUUAUGGAAAAAUGAGUAUUUACCAACCUUCUUUUAGUCAAAUUAUGCAAGCCUAAAAUUUUUAGCUUAAUUUGAGUUUGUUGACUAUGUCUAAUUCAAGUUUUAUUAUUAAGGACUAAAUUGUAACUUAAAAAAAUUAGAAUACCAAUUUAAAGAGACAAAAAUUCAAAACCCCAAAACCCACAUGGGCAUGUGGGUAAGUGACACAGGCGUGUGGAGACUGGAGCUAUCACACACGGGCGAGUGGGACAGAAAAAUAUGAAAUAAAUUAAUCCACUUAAAUUUCAAACAACCAUGCUAUACUACCAAACCAAAUAAUGCUAGAAGCUUUGAAUAGGGGUGAAUCGAAAAAAAAAUAAAAGAAUUAGAAUUAAAUUAUAAAAUUUUCAGAAGUUAUCAUGUAUUAAUUUAUUAUUUUUUAAAGGGUCUUAAUAGAAUUUUUUUUCCAUUUUGGUUUGGCCAAUACCCCUGUCUACCUCUUUCAAUUUGCUUCAACCCUAAACCUAAUAUUCGAUUUGUUGUGGAAGUUUGACGCAUAAAAAUUUCUUUUUUAGAGGUUUAAAUUAUAAAUUUUUGAAAGUUUAAAAUAAAUUUUCAUUUUUAUUAACAAAAUAUAAAAGAAAAAAAACAUGUGUAGACAAACCAAGAAACCUUUGGGAUCAUACGGGUGAUUUUGAUGAUGUUAAUGGUUAUUUUGAUGGAGAGGGUGAAAAAGAAACAAAUGAUUCAUAUAUAUAAUAUAAUUAUGAAAUUCAAGCCAUAUAUUGUAUGUUUCAUCCAUAAAAAUUUCAUGGGAGGUCCGAAGGUAAUUAAAUGACUUGUAGGCUUGCUGAAUUUCUUUGAAAGGCCCAAUGGCAAUUUAACAUUCACAAAAUAAUCUCUAAAUACUGUAAAGACAAAAUCAAAUCCACAGCAGCAUUAGAGUUGAUUAAGCUAAGCAUUGGCAAAUAUUACUUUGAUUUUGCAUGCAAUAUUAGCAAAACCCCCUCUUACAUUAGAUAAACAACAUACUCCAUGAAACAUUGAUAGCCCAAAUACAAAUUUCAUCGACAAAAAAGUCUCUUUGUUUUGUAGAACAUGAUAGUAAAAAUGUGGAGUUUCGUUCUUCUUAUUGGCCUCCUUUAGUUUUCCUUGAUCAACAACCACUAGCCAAAAACACAAUUAGAUUAGAUUAUGAAUGAUACUGACAUUAUUAAAUAUAAAACACUCUAAAUAACUCUAAAUAAAUGGAAAGCAGCAAAUUACCUGACGAGGCAAGCUAGCUCAAUUAAGACCAUUGUGUUAUACUUGUCUCUGAAUUGAAAAAUUUAGAAGGAAAUAAAGAGAAAGACUUAGAAAAUAUUUGAAAACAGAUAAAACUUAUAUGUCAUUUAAAAUAAAAAUUUUGUAUUUAAGCCGUUUAAAAUUUUUAAGAUUUUUGAAAUUUUAAAAUGAUAAAGGUAAAAUUGUACUUUGGCACACCAAAAAUGAUAAAACUUUGAUUUAAUCCUUUAGAAAUUAUAAAAAUAUAGGCUAUUAAAAUGGUGAAAUUACCUUUUUACUAUAGUAAAAAUUACAAUUUAAUUUCACUUUAAGAUUUUCUGACUUCGCCCCUAAUAAAAUCUUUGGCAAAAGAUUAAAAUAAAAUUAUACCGUAAAUGGAAAAAGAAACAAAGAAAAUCCAAUCUAACAAAGAAAAUAACUUAUGUCCAAAAGCUACCAUAAACCGUAAUUCAUGGGAAGAGAGCAAAAGUAAAAACAAAUAGUUUAUAUGAUUAAAAUUCCAGAAUAGGUUAAAAAUGUUGAAUUAAAGAUAAAAUUAAGCGUGAAUUAAUAACCACAAGUGUACUCUUUACUCACCAUCUCUGUUAAAAAUGUUGGAUGUUGUUUAGCAACCUUUGUUUGAUUUUCUUCAGCUCAACCACAACAUCUUUCAUUUCUUUUCUUUCUUCUGGUAACUCAGCUGAACAAUUCAAAGCCAACUCCAUGAUAGAUGAAAUACAAUUUGCUUUAACAACAAAGUACUCAUCCUCUCUUCUUAGUAAAUCAACAUCUGCAAUUUCUAUCGCUCCUUUAGGCAAUGAACUUUCCAUCCAAUGCCUUAUAGUCUCUUCUUCAACAAAAACAUUAUCAGUUGGCUUUCUCUUUGUGAAAGUUUCUAUAAGGACGAUCCCAUAACUAUAAACGUCAGAUUUUAUAGAAACAAGUCCUGCAGAUCCAAAUUCUGCAUUUCAAGUAUAAUUAGAACAUCAUCAGUCCUCAAUUAUUUGAUAAAUCUAUGUAUAUCCACAUACACGAGAAACAAAAAUAUAAAACGCAAAUUAGGAAAAUAAUCGUACAAAGAUAAAAAAAGAAUUCACCUGGUGCCAUAUACCCGAUUGUUGCAAGAGUCAUGGUUUGCUUCAUUACUUCACCUUCUCCCAACAAUUUGGCAACGCCAAAAUCUCCAACAUGUGCAACCAUGUCUUCAUCUAGUAAAAUAUUGCUUGGUUUUAUGUCACAAUGAAUUAUAGGGGUUGGAUGUCCAUUGUGGAGGUGUUCUAUAGCCACCGCAACAUCUAUCAUUAUGUCGACCCUUUGUAUGAUAUCAAGGAAACAAUUUUUAGAAUGUAACCAUUUCUCAAGGUUUCCAUUAGACAUGUAAUCAAGCACCAAGGCUUUGAAGUCAACACUUGAGCAGCAAGUAAUGACCUUCACAAUAUUACGAUGAACUAUAUGAAGCAUAGCAUCACAUUCAAUGUCAAAACUCCUAAAUGCUCCCUCUGUUUGCAAAUUGAAAACUUUUAUUGCAACUUCCAUUCCAUCUGAAAGCCUCCCUUUAUAUACAUAUCCAAAACUCCCUGAACCAAGCAUAUUGCUUUCCUCAAGUCCAUUAGUUGCUCGUGAAAGUUCAGCAUGUGAAAUUCUUCUCGGUGUCUUCAAAGACAACAAAUCAUCUUUAAUUGGUAGAGCUGUACUCCUUCUUUGGCAUCUUCUAUACAUAAUAGUUAAGACUAUUAGUACUACGACAAUACCAAUUGUUGGUAAACCAUACCUAAAAGCAUGCAAUAUAAUCGUUUGGGAGUUUUUGUGGAUGUCGUUUUUACAAGGUGGGACUAGCAAUCUAGGUGGACCACAAAGUGCAUAAUUCUUCAUGAAUGAUGUGCUAGAAAAGUUUGAAAAACAUCCUUCGCUGGGAAUUUCCCCUUCAAGUCUAUUGAAAGACACAUUAAAAUACUUUAGAUAUAAAAGCUUUUCCAAAGAUUUGGGAAUGACUCCAGAGAGAUUGUUAUUGCAUAAAUCCAAGAAUUCCAAACUAAUCAACCCAUCAAAUGAUUCAGGGAUAUGACCAUGUAGUAUAUUAUUUGAUAAAUCUAAUGAAACCAAAGUUAUAAGACCCCCAAAUGUGGAUAAGAUAUCGCCCGUGAGAAGAUUCCUUGAUAAAUUUAGUUUCAGUAGACUCCUCAAAUUUCCAACAUCAAUAGCAUGUGAAUUGUGAAGAUGGUUUGAUGAUAAGUCUAUUUCUAAGAUAUCUUUAAGAUUCCACAAAGUUGAGGGUAUUGUAGAACUCAAUUUGUUGGAAUCUAAGUAAAGAUAUCCCAAAGAAGUAAUAUUACCCAAACAAGAGGGUAUGGAUCCAUGCAGCUUAUUCAACCCUAAAUACAUCUUGUAUAGUCUCUCCAAAUCACAAAGGCUUUAUGAGAUGGGCCCUCCUAAUUUAUUAGAGGAAAGAUAUAGACCUUGGAGAUUUCUCAUUCCUCCUAUUGAUGCUGGAAUCAAUCCACUUAAUUUAUUAUAGUCAAGUUGUAAAAGCAAUAGGUUGGUUAAGUUACCUAUUUCCAUAGGAAUAAUGCCUUGAAGCUCACACUCAUCGGCAUAAAAGUAUUGAAGGGAUUUUGAAAGGUUCCCAAUAUAAGUAGGAAGAACGCCACUCAAUGGAUUUCCUGAAACACCUAUUUUUCUCAAAUUCCUACAAUUCGUCAAAGAAGAAAGAAAGCUCCACUCAUGAUCAGUAGCAGAUCCUGUGAUCAAAUUAUUGUCAAAGAUUUUGAGCACUUCAAGGUGUUUUAAGCUGCCAAGCAUUUUAGGGAUUGGGCCAGAGAAUAAGUUUCGUGACAACUCUAGUUUCUUAAGCAUGGAAGCAUUGGAGAUAGAGUUGGGAAUGUUUCCGCUAAGUUUAUUUCUCCACAAUAAAAGAAUCUCAAGCUUUGGAGCAUUGGUGAUUGGUGGUAAAUCACCUGUGAAAUAGCAUCUUUUAGUAUACACAUUCAUUGAAUACCAAAUUCACAAAAUAUAUAAUACAUUAAAAUAAAAACUGUAAAACUUUAAAUCAAUUAAGAAUAAAAUUUUGGCAUGGAAAAAUGUGAUGAAAUCAAUUAGAAAGUUGAGACAUAAUAAGAAGUUUUGAGUAGUAAUUACUCAUGAUUUCUAUAGACAAAACAUAUAAUACACUGAUAAUUUUUUAAAAAAUAUUGUAAAACCUGAAAUAAAAUAAAAAAUAAAAGUUUGGCAUGAGAAUGUGGCAUCUAAUCAUUCUUAAAAAUAAGACUAACAUUGAAUAAUAAUUAGUUAUGAUUUGAGAAACAAAAAUGUUAAAGAUGUAAACUGGUAUGAUUUUUAUCUAUUGGGUUAAUUAUUUAUUUUUAUUAAAUUAUAUAUAGUGUAAAAUUUAAAGAUUAUUAUUUGCUCAAAAUUUUUGUAUUUUUCGUAUAUUUGAAAUUUAAUCUUUAUAUUUUUUAUUUUCUGUGAUUUAGUCUCUCUACUUUUUGAAUUGAAAAUUUUAAGUUUAUUUAUUAACACUGUUAAAAAGUUUUUGUGUUAGUAUGGCAUUUUGAAAAAUAAAAUAAAAUUGAUAUCUAUGUUUUUAAUUAUUCCAAAUAUUGUUUUACUAUUUCAAGAUAAACUUUUUGUGUCUAUACCAAUAUCUUAAGAACUAUUGUUGCAUGUUUAAUUAUUCUAAAGAUUUGUUGAUUGAGUCUUGGUUGAAGUGCAUUAUUCUCCUAUUUAUGAAUUGGGGAGUUGAUAAAGUACUUUAUUUUAAUAUAUUUUAAAAUAUUAAAAAUUUAUUAAAAUAUUUUUUAUAAAACUUGAUUGUACCACAAUAUACAAUUUUAAUAUCAAAUUUUUAAUUGUUUUUUAAAAAUAUUAGCGAAUAUAUACUUUAUUUCAAGUUACACAAUUUUUACUAGCUUUUAACUUUUUUUAAAAUUUUUAUCGUCUUUUAUAAUUUCUAAUAAUUUUUUAUAAUUUUUUACAAUAUUUACAAUUUCUAACAAUUUUUAAUAAUUUUAUUAUUUAUUUCAAAUUUAAAAAUUAACAAAUUUUUAUUUUUUUAAAACAAUUAUAUAUUUAUAAUGUAGUUAUUUUUUUAUAAUUUUUUUUUGAAAUUUAAAGAUUUUUUUGGUUUUUUUUUUCUAGAUGAUGAUGCCAUCAUGAUGCCAUCAUAUGCCACAUGCCUUCUAAUUUGUUGUCAUAUAGACAUAUUUCUUCGAGCGUAGUUGAAUUAAAAAUACUUGAUGGAAUCUGACCUGCACACAUAGUCGAAAAUUGAAGUGAAAAGCAUACCUUCUAAGCUGUUAAACUAAAAAUACUUUAAGCAUAUUUUAUUUUCCAUCAAAUUAACUAUUUUGCCUUGAAUGAAAUAAAAUGUUCUUAUUUUUGUUAUCUAUUACAAAUCAAACUCUUUUAUGAAAAAACUAUUUUAAAUUAAAGAAACAAAGAAAAUUCAAUAUCUUCUAAGUUAUUCCACUCCAAAUAUAAUCUUCAGUGAAGAAAUCUUGAAGAUGGAAGAUGGAACCUUACCAGAUAAUUGAUUGAAUCCCAAGCUCAAGGACUCUAGAUUAGACAUGUUAACAAGUGUUUCAGGGAUUGUGCCUAUAAAGUUAUUAUUUUUCAUUUUCAGCCUUCGAACUCCCUGUAAGUUCCCAAGCCAUGAUGGAAUUUCCCCAUUAAGACUGUUGUAUUUUAAUCGAAGGAUCCUCAAACGAUGCAAUUGGCCCAAUUCUUUAGGGAGAUGGCCAUAGAAAUGGUUUCUACUCAAGUCGAGAGAGAGUAGAAAUGAAAGAUUUCCAAGGUGUGGAGGGAUACUACCCCUAAGAUUCAUGCUUUUAAGUUUCAAAGCUAUAACUCUUUUAUGGAGGAUGCCACAAGAAACACCAAUCCAAUUGCAAACAGAGGUUGAGGCCGUCCAAUUGUUUGCCAAGACAUUUUGAGGACCGGCAAUGCGAUCCUUAAACUCGAGAAGUGCAAACUGAUCGGAGUUGAGAUUCCUGACUGUCAUACCCCAGCAAAGUCCGGAACAUGGUACGAAUAAAGCUAAAAGAAGAUGAAAGCAAGUGUUGUAGUUCAUGAUAGCAAGACGGAAUAAGCCAAGAAAAUAAAAAAAAGUAGGACAAGGGAAGUUGAGUUGAUAAAAUAGUUUGGAUGAUGAAGAAAAGCCCAGAGAGCAUGCUUUAAUAUGUUUUGAAGAAAUUUCAAAAUAAAUUUCAAAAUAAAUUUCAAAAUAAAAAUUUAAAAAGGAAAGCAAAGUUUUGAAGAAAUUUCAAAAUAAAUUUCAAGUCUUCUUCUUUAAAAAAUACGUACAAAGAGCGAAUUUUCAAAAUUUCUCCUAAAUUUUCUUCACAUUACUCCACAUAAUCCAUUAAAAAAACUUAAAAAAUAUAUUUUAUUAAUUACUAUACAUUCUUUUACUUUCAGAAUAAUAAAUUGUUUAAAAUUUGCUAUUAGUCCCUGUAAUUUAAAAGUUAAAAAAAAAAUUCAAUCCUCCUACUUUUCUAAUUUAAAAAUUCUAGUUCAAUCAAUUUUAAUUUUAAAAUCUUUGUAUAAAAGGUGUUUUUUUUUUGUGACCGAUCACACUUAACCAAUAUUUAAAAAUUAUUAAAAAAUAUUUUUUUUUGAAAUUUAAAGUGAUCUAAAAACAUAUUUUUAAGUACUUUGGACAGUCUAUUGUUGAUUUCCUUAUUAUAUUAAGUGUUUGCAAUCACUCCUAAUAUAUUGUGCUUGAGUUGUGACAAAGUCGAUCAUCAAAUUGCCAUAAUGAUCUAUUGAUGCUGAAAUUAAAGUUUUUGUUAUAUUGAUAGAGCUUGUCCUUCAACGCGUACAACGUGUUUGUUAUUUUUCUCCCUUCAAAUUGUAUGAUCUUAUUCAUUAAAUGAAUUAAUGAAUUUCCCUUUUAAAAAGAUAUAUUUUUAAAAAUUAAAUACUUUAUAAAAUAUUUAAAAAUUUGUAAGCCUUAAAACAAUCAACAAAAUAUUUUUGAAAUUUUAUAAAUAUAUUUUAAAAUUAUAGUAACGCUACAAAAUAUAUAUAUUUACUAAUUAUAUGCACCUUUUUUAUUUUUUUUCCUAACAUAUCAUUAUUUUCAACACUAUCGUAAUCCUGUUUUGAUAAUUCCCUUUCCAUACAUCCUUUUUCUACAUAGAAUUUCAAAAGAAAAUGUGAAUUAAUGUAAACGUGAGAAGACUUAAUUACAUUUAUUAGUUUAUCAAUCAAAACUUAAUUAGAAUCCAUCAAUAUUUCACACAUCAAAAACCCAAACAUAAAAUUCACUUUUAAAUUAUUUGAAGAUACAUUUGUAUUAUAGGAAAUGGAUUAAAUUAGUCUUUUAUUAUUAAAUGUAUUAUUUUAAUCUUUGUAUUAGGUAUGAAUUGUAUCUCCUAGAUUGAAGCCAAAGCUAUUCUUGAAAGACUGAAAUUAAGAUUCAGAUGUGUUGAGAUGGAAAGUGGCAACACAAUGUUGAUUGAAACUAUUUAUAACGGGUUGGCUACAAUAAGUAGUGCUGCCGAAGUAAGACAGAUUCACGAUUGGUGUUCCAAAAAUUGGGAAGUCAAAUUUCGACAUAUUCAACGAAAUGCCAAUAAAGUUGUUGAUUGCAUAGCUAAGGCAAAUGGAGGCGUAAUUGAGCAGCUGGUUAUCUUGGAAGAUCCUCUGCAUUAUGUGAGAUGCUAGCUUGAAGAAGAUAUUAGACAGUCACUAGUGACUGAUGAUAAUUUUCAUUUGGACUGAUGAGCGCUUAAUUUUCUAAGCUUAUGUUCAACAAAAAAAAAUUUAAAUACGUCUAAAUUGUAAUAGAGUUAACAUUUAGUGUUUAAAAAAUAUCUUAAAAAUUAUUUUUUUCCAAUUGCAGUUCAAUUCCACAAAUAUCGACGAUGAACCCGGACAUAAAAAUUACAGAAAAAAAAACACAUCUAUUAUCAAACCAGCAAUCCAUGUCUAAACUUAAAUUAACAAAAUUUGCCACACAACGCCCGGUACACUAUUAUAUAUCUAUACUAGAUUUAUUCUAGAUGCACAUGUUUUAUUAUAUUUAAAAAUUAAAAUGUAUGGUUGACUAAGUUUUAGUUGAGUUAGUAUUGAUAUUAUUGUCAGUGUAGGAAAAUGUGAGUUUAAUCACGCUCAAAUGUGUUUUAUCCUCCAAUUCAAGGGUUAGGAAAAGGUUAUUGAUAAUUAAAUUAUACCAACUUUUAUAAUAUUAAAAAAAAGGAUUUAUAAAUAAUAUAAGGAAAAGAAAAAAAGAGAAACAUAUUCAUAUUGAUGGGCUCUUUCAAUAUUAGACUUUUUUUUCUAUCACAAGUAAAAAUAUCAAAGGUGAUAAUAAUUAAAUUAUAAAAUUUAAAUUGAGAAAAUAGGGGAUAAAAUUUAUAAGUUUUAAAGUAUAAAGAAUGAAUUUAUAACUAACAACAUAUUUUAACCACAUAAUAAAAGUAGUUAUGGAGAGGAUCAUAUAAAAUGCAAAAAUGAAAUAAUAGAAAAGAAAUAAGUGUUGGGUAUAGUGGCAAUGUAUAUUAUACUUCUAAGGGGAGAUCAAGAUUUUAGACAAGGGAAGAAUUUUAAACCUGCUUUUUUCUCUAGAACUCAACGCAAACCUCAAAUUUAUCUUUUUAAAAGAAUUUAAAAAUAUCUAUAUAAAAGGUGAUUUUUUACCGAUCACACUUAACAAAAUUAAAAAAAAAUUGAAAUUUAAAGUGAUCUAAAAACAUAUUUUAAAGUGCUUUUGACCAUCUUGUGCUGAUUUCUUUAGUAAUUUGAUUUGUUCAAUAUAGAUUUUGGUGACUUAAAACAAAAUUAAUAAAAAAAUAUUUUAUCAGAUAUCUUUUUAAUGUUUAAUAAUAAGUUAAUUUAUAAAAUAUACUUUCAUUGGACACAGGGCCUCCAAGGCGGUGAACCACUAAUCAAAUUAAUUUUGAGAUACUUAAAUUUGUUUUCAUCAAUUAAGAAAUUAAAAAAAUUUGUUGAGACCUCAUGAUUAUGUUUUAUAAUUUCAGGCUUAUCAACUAUUUUGAAAAACAACAAAACGUCUUACACCAAAAACUAAAAAAAUAAAAACGUCGACAUUAAAUUUGUUGCCAUGCAAUCAAUUUUAAGAUGGUUUUUGGAGUUAUAUAUCACCUUAGCAUUGACUUACUUUUCUACACUUAGUCUUCUCCAACAAGUUAAAUAUUUCAAUUUUAACAACAUUGACAGGUCUUUGGGGUAGGGUCGAGCAAAACUCAAUAUAGGCUGAGUUGGCUCGGCCAAGUCGAGUCGACUUGUUCAAAUUAUUUAAAUUCGUAAUUUUUAAGGUGCAGUUAGAAUUUUUUGUUUUGAGAUGCUAAGAUUAAAAUAUUUCAGUUGCUAAAACAAAAUAUUUGUAUUUAAAAAGGCAUAAAUUAAAUAAUUAAGUUUUUCGAGUUUCCAUUUAAUCAAAGGUUAAAAGGACUAAAUUGAAGCUUUUUAUUUUUAAGAAAGGCUGAAUGACAAAUUGCCCAAAGCCAUGCCCCUAGCUAUACAACUAACUUCUCUAUGAUUAGUCCUUCGUUUGCUUUGGGUGAAAUCUUCCAACUAGCCUCAUCCUUGGUUUUACUUUCCAACAAUUAGUGUAUCACGAGUUUUGUUUUCUUUAAAAAAUAUUUGUGGAUAUUAGGAGAUAAUGAAAAUUAUUUUACUAUGAAAUUUUAAUAAAACUGGAAAAUAAGUAAUUUAUUUUAAGAGGUCGCAAUUAAACGUUAGAUUUCCAAUUUUUAAAUUUUAAUUUUUUUUUGACAAUUGCAUAAUAUUUUGAGUGUUGUAGGAAUGCCAUAAUAUAACCUUCCCUAAACAUAAUCGACUCUUGAGCAUGAUGGAUCCUAGAACUUCUCCUCUAUUCUCGUACCGCAAAUUGCUUCAAGUGUGGGUUCGAACAAUCACAAAUUAAACACAAAACCAGAAAUGAUUUAUUACUUUCAAUAGCAAGGUAAUUCUCUCUCAAUAGAAACCAAUAGAAGUGUAAUUCUUAGAAAAUAAAAUUUAUUUUUUGAAAAUAUAUUCUCACUACUUUCUAGCAGAAUAACAAUAUGUGAAACUUAUGUCUUGUGUUAAUAGCUCUACCAGUACUCUCUAUUUAUAGGGAGAGAUACGAGAAUCCUGGUUGAAUUAGUAAAACACGAAUAAUAUUUAUUUCAUAGAAAACAAUAUUCCACCCUAAGUAGAUCAAGUUUGUAUGACGCAUGGAUCAAAGCUCAAUCUAGGAGGAAAAAAAUAAAGGAAUUUUCUUUGUAAAGAAAAUUUGAGAUUGUACUAUUUUCAAAGUUAUAAAUAAAAUUAUACGCCAAAUUUUUAAGUCAAUUUCAACUCCAAUUUUGUAUGCACAAAUUUCUAGUACACUUGGUGGGACAUUCUUUGACUUUUAUCUAUUCUCUCAAAAAGUUAAAGUUCAAAGUUACAUUAAACUCAAAGAAGAUAAUCAUUAGUAAACCACCUCACAAGCCUGCUCAAACUAAUCCUACAACUCAUUCCACUUCAUCAUCAAACACCAAUGUUCUUGCUUAUCCUUAUGGAAUUAAACAGUCUCAUUUUCUGCAUUUUGGGUACACACCUGGUUUUAUUUGAUGCUAAAACAGUCCCCGAGCACUCCAAAGCCUAUAAUUGAACAAAUAAUACUAAUUUAAUCUUACAUAACAUGAUCCCAAAUUGAACUUGUAUCGAGGUUUUAACCCAUAAGUGACUAAACCUUACCUUCAACCGAGUGAACAGUAAUUCCCACACAAACUAAGACUCCGAUUGAAGAUUACGAGCCAUUGAAUCCUCCCCUAAUUGGCAUAAACAAAACACUUCAAAAGAAAGUCAACAAAUGGAGACAAAUCACUUAUCUAAAACUUACCGAACGAUCACAGACAAACGUGAAGCGACACGAGGCAGAGUGGGAAAAGAAAAAUCAAGAGGAUGAAGGGUGAAAGAGAGCAGAAAUUCGGUAGCAAUGAAGAGAAAAACGGCAAGAAAGUGGAGGGAUUUUGGGGAAAGUAAAAAAAAAGAUGAAUAGAAUAUUUGAUAACUACCCCAAUCCCUUAUUUCUCUCUAUCAAACUCCCCACUAAAUCCACUACUCAAAUUUUUAGUCCAUCUCAAACUCUCCUGGACGCACGAGCAAAAAAUAAUGCCCAUGCCAAAAUUUAAACAAAAGACCUCCUUCACACCAACACUCCACUUAUCCACCAGACCAAUAGGCUCAUUCUUUUAAUUAUUUUCCAACUUUUACUUAAAAGCCUACUGACCAAAGAUAGGGCUUAUUCAUAAAAAUACCAAAUUUUGCCCAAGACCUGGCUUGAACUUGGGACCUCCCAAACACACCCAGAACACAUAACCACUAAAGCAGACAUAAAUUUUGUGUCACACAUUCACAAUACCCAAAAUUAAAAUUUUAGGGCGUUACAAAAACACAUUAAAUAAUAUCGCAUAAAAUAAUCACAGUUAGAUAACAGUUCAGAAUGUCGAUUUUACAAUUUAACCACCAAUAGUAUCACAGUAUUCACAGUUGUAAUUUCAGAAUAUCAAAUUUCCACAUGAUUCACAAUAUUCACACAUAUAUAAAUAUAUCAUAAUAGAAUUCCAGAUUUGUAUGCACAUGAUUUAGAAGAUGCCAUACAAUUUUGGUUUUUAACAGAAUAAAUCCUACCCCACGUUACAUACCAUAAUGGGAGUUCCCCUAAACUCCCUUCUCCAACACACUAGGUUAUGGAUAAACCACUAUUGGUUCACAAAUAAUAACUGUCAUUUGGCUGUGGACACACAGCAAGUCCCCACAAUUGGAUUCUAGAUUUGGUUGUGGAUUCACAGCAAAAAAAUCCUACAAAUGAAGCCUGCUUUUGCCUGUAGAUUAUACAACAUAUACCCGCAGUUGGAAUCUGUCUUUGGCUGUGGAUGCAGUGUAACACCGCAAACUCGACCUGGACAUUAUGGCUGAAUCUUGAUGAUUUACUUUAACUCGCUAGAAAACCCACGAAUUUACUUUAAAAUCAUGUGGUUAAACUAGUGUUCACUUUGAUAAAUUGUUUUCCAGUUUUAGAGAAAUUUCUUGUUAAAACUGUUACUUUAUUACAAUAAAACAUUAAAGUAAUUGUAUCAUUUUGUAGUGGAAUCUACUAAGCUAUAAGGUUUUGAAAAUCGUGAUUUAGUUUGCAACAAAUCAUUUUGCAAAUAGAAAUUUAAUACUACUUAAUUUGGAAAAUCACGCUAAAACGAAAGCAAAGUCCAAAAUAAUUUACGGUUUGAAAUUCUAAAAAGCCCAAAUUAGACAUAAAGUCUAUUUAAACCAAUUUAUUGAAAGUGUAACACCCUAAACCCGGCCUAUAUGUUAUGGCCAAAUCUAGAUGUGUUACGAAAAAAAGUUUAUAAAAUGACUUCCUUGUUAUUGGCAAACCAUCGUAACCAUUAUUACUUAGUAUAUCUGAUUUGUUUGGAAAACUUAUUGAUAUACUUAUUUGAUUUAAAAUCGUUGCUCGCUUAUGCCUUUUUAUUAAACCAAAUAUUUUGCAGCGGAGUUUCUUUACAACAUCAUAUUUUGGAAAAUCAAAUUGUUUCUUGAAAAUCGUUAUUUUAGAAAAGUUUUCAUUUUCAGAAAAAUUAUUUUAUCAGUUGUUAUGCUGAGAAAACAAAAUAAAAUCCAAAACCAAAAAUAAUCGCAAAAAGUCUAGAGAGUCCCAAAAUGACAAUACUCUUAAAACUAGACAAGCUUAAACUAAUUUUAAAAGAAUGAAAUUUUACAGAAAUGUGGACACCACUGAGCUUCCGUCGCACCGACCCACCUAAAUCUGAGGGUUACUUGAACAGAACAAACAAACAGAGAGUGAGUUUUGAAACUUAGUGUCUAACGCAUAUAUAAACAAAAAUUCAGAAUCAAUCUCAUGCAGAACAGAUACAAGUGUAAACCUUUUAUAAAAUUAGAAUUGUACAGAUACAAAUAUGCAACAUCCUACCCUCAUCCUCUACACACCAACUCCGACCAUCCUAUCACACCACGUGGGGUAUAAAAUACCCAUCCAGCCCUACACACCGUAUAGUGUUUAUAUGACACUUUUUGGAAUAAUCGCAGCAGAGUUGCCAGUAUAUAUGCGAGAUAUCACCUCACAUAGAACACUUCCUCCUCAUAAUACAAAUCCCGCCUCAUAGCUAGAUACAGACAAAAUAUGAUGUAAAAUAAAUUAACAGAUACUAGAGUUAACAUAUCACGCGUGAGCGUAUAAUAGAUAUUACACAUGCUUAUGCAUAACAAAAUAGAUCAUACAUAUUGUAUUCCAUAAUACUCAUAUAAAUGUUAUUUACGUCAAUCUCAAUCUAACAGAGUAGCAGAUUUCAUGCUUUAACGCUUAUACCACACAUAUAGACCCUAUAGAAGGCCCACAGUCGAUCGAGACAACAUGUAUGUCGCUAGGGAAAAAAUUUGUAAUUUGGGCCCAUAUACAUGUAUGAGCCCACACACCCAAAAUGGCCUUGCCCAUGUGGCUCACCAACCUAGCACUCAGCCCAUACGGUCCAAAAUGGCCUAGGUCGUGUGUCACACACAGCCGCAUGUUGCACACAGCCUACCACAUAGCCAGUCACAAAACUGUUUGGAGUUGAAAAGCCCAAUUUUUGGCUUUCGUCAAUCAUCAUUUUCUUACGUUUUCAUUACACACCUGGUUUGAUUCUGACGCAAAAGCAACCCUAUGUCCACCGAAACCUAAAAAUAGCAUUCCAACGCCCAAUUUCAGUGAACAUUUACAAAACUCAAACAAAAACUAUCCAAAAACAUAGCCUCACAAUAGCAUCCAACGCACUCGCACACUUAUCGUCAACAAAUAGGAAACACCCAACACUCAAUUCGUUGGCGGAGCACCAAUUAUGAUAAUGCAAAAAUUUUAUGGAUUCUCAACACUAUCGAUCCGAAUGUAAGAUUGAUGCUUUCCAAUUAUGAUAAUGCGAAAAUUUUGUGGGAUGGUUUACAUGAAUUUUUUUUGUUGUCAACGAUCAACGUAUUCAAUAAUUAAAAUAAAAUAUUAGUCGUUUUUAGAAAACCAAGACUAUGAGUGUUGUAGUUUAUUUCAGUAAAUUAAAGGUUUUGUGGGAUGAACUAGAUAAUCAUGAACCAUUGAUUUGUUGCAAGUGUGGACAAUGUUUAUGUAACUUAGGGAAGGCGCAUGAACAAUGUCGUGAGCAUGAUUGACUUCAUCAAUUACUUCUUGCUCUCUAUUGUAAUUGUUAUGCUCAAACUAGGUUUACACUGUUUUACCAAGAUCCUUUGCCUUCCUUAAAUCAGGCAUUCCAACAAAUUACUUAGGAGGAACAUGUACGUGGAAUUACACUGAUUAAGGAAGAGAAGUCUGAUAUUUUAGGCUUUGCUAUGCGUACAGAGGGUCAUAACAAAGGCCGAGCUAAUUGUAUUGAUAAGUCAACCUUGUUGUGCACUCAUUGCCAUCGCAAAAGGCAUGAGAUGGCUACCCAUUUUGAAUUACAUAGCCACUUGGAUUGGCGGCUUAAGAAGUAUGGGAAGCCAGAGAAGAAAAGUGAUGAUCGUGGUGGUAAGACAAGUGCCACAUCUUCCACGUAAGUGUUUUAUUUCAAAGGAUCACAAUUAAACAUUAGAUUUCUCAUUUUUAAUUUUUUUAUUUUUUUAACAGCUACGUAAUUAACGAGUACCAAUUUUGGGUGUUGUAGGGGUUCUAUAACUUUCCCUAUAUGUAAUCGACUCUUGCACCCACUUUUUUUUCUCUAGAAUUCAAUGCAAACCUUAGAUUUAUCUUUUUAAAAGAAUUUUAAAAUCUCUUUAUAAAAGACGAUUUUUUUAGGUGACCAAUCACACUUAAGAAAAACAAAUCGGUGGCAACUCCUUUCUAAUAAAUGUAAAAAACUUUUUAAACAAAAUAAGGUUGAAAUAAUCUAGUUGUCGUUAUACUUUGAUAAAAUUUUAGAUUUAGUCCUUAUACUUAAAAGGUUAAAAAUUAAGUCUUGUUUUUAUUUAAAAAUCUUAGUCCUAUCGUUAAUAUUGUUUUUUUUUGUCAAAAUUUGUCAAGUUGACAUAUUAAUUAGGUUUCUCUUAUAUAUCGUGGUAUAUGACUAACACAAAAUAAACAAGUUGACAAAAUCUACAAAAAAUAUCAAAGAUGAUAAUAGUUUAAUUAAAAUUUUUAAAUUAAAAAAGUAAGGGAUUAAAUUUAUAACUUUUAAAGUACAAUGAAUGAAAUUAUUGAAAUACAAGAACUAACAACAUAUUUUAAAAUAUUACUAGUAAAUUAUAUAUCUACAACAAGAAUUGUAACCUCUUAUAUUAUAUUCUUGUAUCUAUUUUUGCAUCUUUCAUUAUAAUAUGAUUUAUUAAUUUUAAUAUUUUUAUAGAAUAAUAUGCUUUAAAUAGUUUUUUGUAUAAUUUAUAAAAAUUAUAAUAAACUUACAAAAUAAUUUAAUGAUAUUUAAUUAUUAACCAAAAAAAAUGAUAUCAUAUAUAUUAUGUAUAUAUUAAGAUUCCGAAUCAUUAAUUAUAUAUCUACGCAUUAUAAUAAAUUCAUCUUUCAAAAUUUUCCUUAUAAUUAAAGCAUAAAUUAUAUUUAUAAUAUUAUAAAUAUAUUUUAUCAUAAAUAUUCUUUCAAAUAUUUUUUAAUGUUUAAUAAUAAGUUAAUUUAUAAAAUAUUUUUUCAAUAAAUUAAUGUGAUGAGAUCGUUAGGUGCUUGGAUUUGGUGAAGGGGGAUGAAGAGAAAAGGGAUGGAAGUGAAUAAAAAUGUUGAGAAAUCGAAAGGGUUAGCGAGGGAAGCCGCCAUGAAAGGUGGUUCAAUGGAUAUGAACCAUCAAGCUUUUGUGGAUGAUGUUACUCAAGGUUGUUGCAAGUAAAUUAAAAAAUAUUUUUUUAAAUUAUUUUUUUGUUAAAAAACAUUUUUUAUUUUUUAUGUGGCAUGCCACAUUAUCAUAGUAUCAUGUGACAACUUCUGGUGAUUUCUGUCUGUAACAUUAGUCAAAUCAACAGUUAAAUCGUUCAACUCACAGUUUUUGUUAAAUGAAGAGGUCAAUUGGUUUUUUUGGAAUCAUUGAGUACUCAAUUGGUGCACUUUUAUCAUAAAGGCUAAAUUAAUUUUUUUAAUUUGUUAUUGUUGAGGGCUAUAACAAUAAAAAAAUUAAUGUAAAAUGAAAAAAAUGUUAGAGCUAAAUUUGUCAUUAUAACUAAAAUGUAAAACCAAAAUUUUUUGAAAAAUGAAAAAAAUGGAAAAUCACAAAUUCUAUCACUUAUGUUUGCUUAAAAUUAUAGUUUUGGUCACCAAUCUUUUGAAGUAAAUAUAUGGUCACCAAUAACUCACCUUAAAGUUAUACCCCUACGCAAGAAAGGAUUAAAUGACAUUGGAAUACCAUAAAACUUGUAUCUUUUUUUAUUCAUCUAAUACCAUUUUAACAUUUUCAUUUUAAAAAAUUGACAUAUCAUUUUGAAUUUGAUCUUUUUCAUGGUAUCUCAAAUUCAUUUAAUCUUUCCCUCUCUAAAAAAGCUAAUGUAACACAUUAAUGACAUCAUUUCAAACAAAGUUUUAGGUCAAAUUAUUCAUCUAGUCCUUGUAAUUGUUUUUAUAGGUGAAUUUCAUUAUUAUUCUUUUAUUUUCUUAGGCUUAAAUACACAUUUACCCCUAAUUUUAUCCCAUUCUCCUUAAUUGGUAUUUAUGGUUUAGAAAAUUUUAUAAAUAUAUUAUUUUUUAAGAAAUUAUAAGAAGAUUACAAAAAUUCCAAAAUAAUAUAAAAAAGCCAAGGAAAACCUAGAAAUUCAAAAAAAAAAAAAAAACGUCGACAUUGAAUUUGCUGUUUCACAUUCAAUUUUUGGAGAAGUAGAAUUUUCUAACUUAUUUUCCAUCAACUUGACUUCAAUUUUCAAUCACAAUCAAUUGCAUUCAAGAGCACCACAUCUGUUUGGAUGAAACAAACCUCUCAAUUUUAAGAUAAACGGGUCUUUAGGGUUAUAAAUUGAGGGCCUUUUCCACAAUUGCGGGUGAUUCGUUGAUAAUAACCUCAACAUUUCUGUAUCACAUUUCAAUUUUUAAUUUUUAGAGAGAUGAUUGGGUUACAAGACUGGUUUGAAGUGAAGAUAUUUCAAAAGAAGAUCGAAUACUCUACCAAUAGUCAUAAUUUAAAAUUCAGGUUAUGUUUCAUUUCAGCUAAGUUAAAUGUUAAGAUUGAGGUUAAACCUUUUAGAGGUUGCUCACAAAAGGAUCAAACCUUUAUAAAAUUGCCUAAAUGAAGGUUAAACCUUUUAAAAUAGACAAAUAAGGGCCUAACCUUUUAAAAGGUGUUCAAAUAAGGGUUUCUCAAACGUUGUAUAUCAGGUUAUGUGUUUUACUCUAAACACAUCGACAUUUACCUAUUUUUUCUAUAAAUUUGGUUGAAGUGCAUGAAAAAUCCUUAUUUGAGCACUUUUGUAAAGGUUAAUCUCUUAUUUGACCAUUUUGAAAGGUUUGAUCCUUAUAUAAGUAACCUCUAAAAGAUUGAGCACUAAUUUGACAAGUUUGAGAAAUAUCUAAAUUUGUUUUCAUGAAUCAAGAAAUUAAAAAAGAAAUGUUGAGAAAUAUUUUAGAGAUUCUUAGCUUUGACAAGUUCCCUCCACCAUCUCCCUGCCUCCAGUCCCACCUCUUCUCUUAUGCUCCUUCCAGCUUCUUGCCUUUUGUGUGUUGAAAAUUCAAAGGAACAAAAUAUCAACCUACAUCAUAAGGCACGAUCGCCAGAACUUUACUUUCUAGCCUGUCGAUCCGAUCCAAUCCAAUGAAAGAAGAACAAGGAGUCUUAAGAUCUGUCAACUUUAUUUCAUUUUCAUUUUCUUUGUCAUUUUCUAUGUUUCAUGUCGAAUACAAUGAAAGAAGAACAUAGAAAAAUGUGGCCUAUUUAUUUCCCAAUCAUCAUGAAAUUACUUGCCAUUGACUUAGAAUUUUCUCACCAAUUUUCAAGCAAUCUGACAUGAUUUCUCAAUCACAAUUAAUUGAAUUCAAGAUCUUUUUAGAUGACACAAACAUUUCAAUUUUAACACAAACCAAUAUUUCGGUUAUACUUCAGUGCUUGACAAGCACUUUCACAUUUGUGGGAUAAGAACUCUUAACAUUUUAGGAUCACAUUUAAUUCAAUUGCAUUUAAGACCUCAUGGUUUUAUUCUAUAAUUUCAGUCUUAUCAGCCUUUUCGGAAACAAUAAAACGUCGACAUUAAAUUUGUUGUUGAUGCAUUCAAUUUUUUGAGGGGUCUUUGGAGUUAUAUGUGACUUUAGCAUUGACUGACUUUUUUAUAAUUUAUCUUUUAUAAUAAGGUAAAUAUAUUAAUUUUAAUAACAUCGACAUGUUUUUUAGUAGGGUCGAGCAAAACCCAAUUAAAAUCGAUGAUAUUGGCUUAGUUGACUCGGUCAAGUCCAUUAGAUUGAUAAAAUCAUUUUUAAAAUCAGUUAUAAUGGAUAAAGGUAAUUAAUUAUCGAGUAAUGAAAUACAUAAUCAAAUCAAUUGAUUUUGUUAGAAACUAAAAGAAAAAGGGCUAAGCUGAAAAUUGAUUGCCCUUUAUUAAAAUUAACGAAUCUGUCUUUUACGUAUUAGAUAAUAUGAACAUCGCAUAUAUAAUAAGAAAAAUUACGUAUGAUUAUUUAUUAUCAUAAAAGGUUAGUUUAAAUUUAAAGUAAUCUAAUAUGUUUAUUGAACUUCAACUAUUAAAUAAAGUAUAAGCUAAAUAAGUAUAAAUAUUCUAGAAACCAUUUCUAACUGAUGAUAGGCUAAUUCGAUUAAUUUAUAAAAACUAGAUAGUAGGGUUAUAGUCCUCAAACUACACCUAAUUUAAUAACAUUUAUAUUUUUUUUAGCCUUAAACAUUUAUAGUUUUUGUUAAUUUGGUCCUUACUCUUUAAAAUUACAUAAAAAUUGCAAAAAAAUUAAAAAUUAAUUUUUAUCAUGAUUUUAAUAACAUUUAUAUUUUUUUUGUGGUUUGGUAACUUAUCAACUUGACUCUUACUUGUAACCAACUUUUCUAACCUUUUUCGUACCCUUAACCUAAGUCCCGUUACAAUUUCUAAAGACCUCUUGAUUGGUGUAUCAUCUCGAUUUGUUUUUAUAGUGGUGGAGAUUUGUUUUUUGUAGUGGCAUGAUUGCCAGAACUUUACUUUCUAUCCUGUCGAUCCGAUCCAAUGAAAGAAUAACAAAGAGUCUUAAGAUCUGUCAACUUUAUUUCAUUUUCAUUUUCUUUGUCAUUUUCUAUGUUUCUUGUCACAUACAAUGAAAGAAGAACAUAGAAAAAUGUUGCCUAUUUAUUUCCCAAUCAUCAUUCUAACAGGCCGAAUUAGCCCAGGCCCAAACAUUAAUAAAAUGUCCAGAUUACAAAAUAACCAACCAAAAAUUAAAAGCCCAAAAUAAUAAAAUAAAACCCAUUACAUUAACCCAAAACUCCAGCCCAAUUACAUUGAAGCCCAAAAAAAUAGUUUUUAGAAACCCCUAGGGUUUCUGGAACAAUCCGCGCCGCUCCUCCAUCCGCUUCUCCACGCACGCUGCACCUUUCCACGUGCGCCUCCAGCUGGCAGUGUACCUCCAAUGCAACAAACAAAGCAACAAGCAGCAAAAGAAAUGGAAAAACAACAAAAAAAAAAAGAAAGGAGCAACAAUGUAUAACAGAUUGAUAACAAAUAAUAGAAAAAAUAGCAGUAAAUAGGAAAAAAAAUUAAAAAAUAAUGAGGGUAAUUUCAUUUUUUUCUCUGUUUUGGCUAUAAAGAGAGCCGGUCAAAAUCUCUAAAGGGGGAUUUAGAAAUCAAUCAGAAAACAAGUAUUUUGUACCAACAAUUAGAGAAAAAAAAUACAAAAAUAGGGAUUGAAGGUUUUUUUUUCUUUCGUUUCGAUUUAUUUUAAAAUAGCAUAGAAAAUAAAAAGAAGGCUUACCUUGCGACGCCUUCAGAUCCUCUCGAAAAGGGGCUAAAAGGCCCUAUGUGGCACAGAUUUGACCACUGUUCACGGUGGAACCGCAGCGGAGGCGCAGAGGAUUGGCAUCAAUUUAGGCAGGGUUUGAAACCCUAGCAGAGAAAAAAUUAGGGUUGAUAGAUUUUUUUUAAAAAAAUGGCAAAAUGUUGUUUUAAAAAAUUUUGUUUUAAAAAAAAUUGUUGCUUUUAUAAAGGGUGUAAAACGGCGUCGUUUAGGGCAUGUUUCGAUGGCCCCAAAACGGCGCCUUAUAAGGCAACCCCCGACGACCCGACCUGCUCCAUGGGGGAUCCGCGUGGUUUUUGUUAAAUGGGUUAUGUCUAACCCUGGCCCUUCUACUUUUUAUACUUGUUUUAAUUUGAUCCUCUUUUUAUUUAUUUUUAUUUCUUUAAAUUAAGCCUGAUAAUUUUUUUCCAUUACAUUUUAAUCCUUAAUGAAACGGCGCGUUUUAGAGGAGAAGGGAAAAUUACCCUUCUAGUCCCUUCUUGUUAUUCGAGUGUUCAGAAGGGUCCUUUUUUGUUUAUUUUUUAUUUGCCCCAAAAUUUUGUUUUAAAGCUUAAUUUAGUCCUAUUUUGUUAUUUUAGCUAUUUUAUUAUUAGAUUAAUUAAUUUAAUAUUAUUAUUACUGCUAUUAUUUUACCCCUAUUAUUUAUAUAUUUAUUAUUAUAACUAUAUCAUUAAAUCAAUUAGUUUUUACAUUAUUAUUUCCAUUCUGUUUUUUAUUUACUUACUUAAAUACUUUAAAUGCAUUUAUUUUAUUUCUUAUUUUUUUAUGAAAUUUCAAAACUUUAGACUAUUUUUUUGUUACUAUAACCCUAAUUUCAUUCAUUUUAUAAUAGUUUUUUUUUAAAAUAUUUCUUAGAUUAAUUCCCUCGAUGUUAUUUUGUAUAUUUAUUUAUCUUUUUAAAUUUUCGAUAUUGUCUUAUUGUAUUAUUGUUGUUACUAUCAUUAUUCAUUAUUAUUGUUGAUUUUAUUCUUCUUUGAUUAAUGUUUAUGUUAGAGUAAUAGGUGUUAUGUGAUCAUUGUUAUUAUAUGUUAUAAUUUGUUGACACUCGUAUUGUAGUCAUUCGUCAGCUUAAUAUUUUGAGUAACAUUUUAAAUAUUACAUUAAUUUUGACCCAAAUGCAUAAUUUUUUAAUAAGUAAUAUUUCGUAUUGUGGAAUUUGAGAGAUCAUUCCCUAACUUACGGGGUCUCGAUUUUUUUGAUAAAUCUGAAUAUAAGAACUAUUUUAAAAAAAUACGUUUUAAAAUUAUCUCGGGAAUUUAAAAAGAAGCGUGUUCUAACUUACGGAAUAUGAUCUUUUUUUAAAAAUCGAGAUAAUCAAAUAUCUUUCAAAUAAAUAAACUUUUCGUGUUUAUUCUCGUUUUAGGAUUUAAGAUAUUGUGUCCUAACUCACGGGACACAAUUCUUUUUCUCGAUUAACGUGAAAUACGCCCUUUUUAAUUUUAUCUUUUUAAGUGAUUUUAACAAAAGGAUUGUAUUUUAAAUCUCUUCAAAAUUUUCAAUUUUUCGACAUUGAGACAUUAACUAAUCAAUUAGGUACCAAUUUUGGGCGUUACAAGGGUGUUAACCCUUCCUUGUACAUAACCGACUCCCGAACCUAUUUUUCUGAAUAUUAUAGGCCAAAAUUGUUUUAAUAAAUUAAACCCUUAAGAGGUGACUCGAUCACAGCUCAUAAAAAUUAUCGGUGGCGACCCUUGUUUUAAAAAAGGUGGUUUCAACAGCUUGGCGACUCCGCUGGGGACAAAAAUAAGAGUCAAGCCGCGAGUUGAUUAUUUCUUAUCUUUUUGUCAGAAAUUGUGAAUUCGAUUUAAAUUUAUGAUCUUUUCAUUGCAUUUUAUGGUCUGCAUCAUUUUUAUAUGCUUGCUUUACUACUUCGAGUCUUUUAAUCUUCGCAUAUUGUAUUGCAUAACCGUUCGGUUAUACCCUUUUAAGCGGGAGUGAGAAAUUAUUCUUUCGUGAGGUUUUCACCUUCGUAUAGGAUAGUGGAUUACUUUCAGGAUACAUCCAUACCUAUGUCUUCGUGAGAUUCUCAUCUCCGUAUAGUCAUAGGGAAAUGUAUUCCCCUGAACUGAACUCAGUCCGUAUGAGCCUAUAAUGGGUGAGGAUUGAGGAAUCUGCUGGUUCAGGUACCCUUUCUUUAGAACUAAACCGCAUGUAGUGAGCCCUAAGAGCAUACCCUAGGUAGAACCACUCCAAACCCCUAGUGGUCACCCAAAUAGGUGCUCUAUUUAUUUUUGCUUGCUUGUUUUUGCCUUGUACUAACCUAUUUGUUAUGGUUAUGAGUGCAUUGCAUUUUUAUCAUAAAAAAGAUGUGUUGAUUCACGUUCAGUUGCUAAAUAGAGAGCUUGUCAUGGAAAACGAAUUUCUUGAUAAAGUGGAAGACAAUGCGGUUGUCCGGAUAUGGUCCAAGAAAAUGUGAAGAAAGAAGGGUGAUAGUCUAAUGGAGGACUACACGACCUUGCUUUGUUGCCUGAUGAUUCAAGUUGACAAAGAUUAUUCGAGAGUCUUCAAUGUCCCGACCUUUUUAAAGAAGCUAACGAGCGUCACGAGGAUGAGCGAGUAAUGAGUUGCGGCCCGGAUCAAGCAAAAAAAAGAUAGAGGAGACACCCUUUUUGAAGAGUUCACGAGAUUUAUCUUAACAUCUAGACGAAGAAAAAGAUCAAUCUCUUUGCCUAGAGUAUGAGGGCAAAGCCGUAUAUAUCCGCUUUAUGUAAAUAAAUUUGUUUUCUAGUAAAGUUUUUCUAAUAGGAUUGAAUCAGAAUCAACGUCUCUUUUUGCAUUCAUUCCAUUCAUCUGCAUUGCAUUUCAUUGCAUCUAGAAUUUCACAAAAGGACCCUAAUUAAUCGAAAUUGUUAUAGCUACCUUGAAAAACUAACGAAAAUUUACCAAUUAAAUAUUCCUAUGGUACCCAUUGCAAAACUAAAGUAAUGGAUCAAAUAUUAGAAAGAUUAGAACAAAUGCUGAAGGAUAAACAUAACUGCUUUGGCUUAGGGUACAAGCCAGAUACAAGACAAAGAAGAAAUAGGAAAGGAGAACACGUUUGAGCGGGGAUGAGGUCAAAUGGGAGGGAUUAUUCAUCCCAGGCGAAGAAUGCCAAGAGAAGAAAAUAUUGAAAACAUGUUGGGAAACGUUCACAUCAAUGCCAUAUACGAAGAAGCAAUUGAAGGAGUGACCUUGUUAGAUAUCCGCCCUUAUGAACCUAAGAGUGUGCUAAACAAUUGGACUGCAGAAGAAAUUCUUGUAGUGUUUAGAGCUUACUCAUAGUAAUGUUCAGAACACACUUGUUGCUUUUAGCCUAGAAGUGAUAAGAAUCCCUCUGUGAAAUAGGCUCAUGUAUAAACAUCAUUAUUUUAAUGAAGUACAUCUUUGCAUUCAUUUUGAGCAAAUAUUCUUUUAUUCUUUUCAUACGAGUAAUUAUUUUGGAUUCUUUAAUUCUUUUGGGAUUUUCUUCCAAAAUCAUUCUUUUAUUACAUCCAUAAUCAUACUGUACAAAUAAUGUAAUAGCCUGAAUUUUCAGUGGUGUCGGAAUGGUGAUUCAAGAUCACUAAGUCUGACAAAUGAGUAGAAAAUAUUAUUAAUUUAGUAAGAAUAAGUAAAUGUGAAGUUAGGAAAAUUUUUGAAAUAGUGAAUAGUGUACUAGGAAUAAAUAUUAAAAUAAUUAAAAUAAAAAAUGAGGUAUCGAGACCUCGAAGAUUUUAAACCAAGCCAUAAGUACUUUUAGAAGUAUUUUUAGAGUGUCAUUGAGUUGGUAUUAAAGUUUCGUUAGAAAAUUUUAACGCUCGGAUAGUUAAUUAACCAAAAAGGACUAAAUUGAAAAUAGUGUAAAAUUUGUUAAAUUGUGAUUAAAUAGCUUAAGUGAUUAAAAAGGAGGGAUUUAAAAGGCAAUUAGGCCCAAAUUAUAUGGGCUGGACGGUUGGGUAAGAAAAAUCAGCAGAAUGUAAGGAGAAACAGGGGCAAAAUUGGAAACUUAACAAAUUAAACAUAUAAAACAAAGACAAAAGUGAAAAAUCUAGAGAUCUGCUCACAAUUUAUCAGCAAAAAUGCCAUAGGAGGUCUGAAAGAAGCUGGUUUUUCAUAUAUUUGAAUCAUGUAAGUUUAAUUCUUGAUUAUUUCUUCUAAUUUUUGUGAUUUUGAUACUUUUACAAUUAGGUCCAACUAAUUAUUUCAUUAGUUUUUGAUUUCAUGGCUGAUUUUGAAAGUUACCAUUGAUGAGUGUUGGAUUUUUAUGAUGAAUAAACAUGGAAUUAAAGCUUUAAUUUUGUUAUAUGAUGAUUUUAUUAAGUAAUUUUGAUAGAAAUUGAUUUUUGGGACCUAAUUGUGAAAAAGUUUGGAAUUAGGGUUUGGUGUUGCGGUUUUGAAUAUGAAAGUCUAUGUAGUAGUCUAAAAUAGUUGGAAAAGGUGUUAAUUGAGAAAAAUUAGAUCAAUUGAGGGGUUAAUUGAGUAGGACCAAAUUGUAAAAACUGUAAAGUUUGAGGUAAAAGUGUAAUUUCGAAAAUUUAAGGGCAUAAAUUGUGAAGUGAAUUAGAAUAGAAUUAUAUGCUGAUGAAUGAAUAAAUUUGUAUUUUAGAUCGAGAACCCGAAGCAAGCCGAGGAAAAGAAAAAGUAGUUGAUUAGUCCCUGAACUUUUACAAAUUCUGCAAAUCGACCCAGGUAAGUUCAUAUGGCUGAAAUUUAAUGAUUAAAUGUUAAUUUCAUGAAUUAUGUAAUGUAUGAUGAAAUGUAUUUAGUGUUGAAAUGAGAGUAAAAUAAAAAUGCGAAAAUCGAAUAAAUGAUCAAAUUAAGCGGAACGCCGGAUUUGAGUACUUCUGAUCAAGAGACAAAGUGAUAAGUGGUAGCUUUAGCUACACUUAUCUGAUCAAGUGAAAAAGUGAUAAGUGCUACACUUAUCUGAUCAAGAGACAAAGUGAUAAGUGGUAGCUUUAGCUCACUUAUCUGAUCAAGUGAAAAAGUGAUAAGUGCUAUACUUAUCUGAUCAAGUGACAAAGUGAUAAGUGGUAGCUUAGCUACACUUAUCUGAUCAGGGCCAAAUGAUAAGUGAUCAUACGUAAGACCAUAGUUAUACUAUGGCCAAGUGAAAGUGAAGUACUCAAUUUUCCGUAACCGUUCCUUAAUUUUGAUCAAGGAUGGUAAGUGACAAAUAGGCCCAAAGAAAUUAUGGUAAAAGAAUAAGUAGUAGUGAGUUUAUACCAAGGAACUCUCCAAAGAUUGUGGUUGACAAGUAAACUUAGUAAUGGUGUAUAUUGUAUAAGUGUACAAAUGUUUGGUAAGAUUUAUGUUUGUGCCUAUGAACUUACUAAGCUUUUCUAUAAGCUUACAUGUGUGUGUUUAUUGUUUUUCUAGAUUAACGUAUUUAUACAUUCGGAGGAUCGGAUCUACUUCGAGAAUCACACUAUCCAGAUAUACUCCGGUAGAUUUUGUUAAACAACUUUUUGGAUUUAUAUGGCAUGUACAUAGAAUUGAAGUAAAAAGUAAUAGAAUGAAUGACUGAGUAUGCAAAGUAAAUUUGAAUGUGAUGGUUGUGUUAGAUAUUGAAAAAUACAUGUUUUUAGUUUGAAAUGGUUGAUUGGCUGAACUUCGUUAGUAUUCAAGUGAAGUAGUUGAAAUACUGGAAUUGGUUGUGAUUUGAAAUUUGCAGGGAAGGUUAGAUAAAUAUAAAGGGGUUAUAUUGAUUUUUUUUAAAAAUUUCAAUGGAAUAAUUUUUGGACAGCAGCAUUGAUGUAACUUUUAAAAAUCACCAAAAAUAGUGGAAAUAGAAUUAGAAGUUGAAUGAGAUAUGAAAUUAAAUCUGAAUGAGUCUAAUUUCACAUGAAAGAAGUAGAAUAAGAAAAAGAGUUAUAUAUUUUUAGAUAUUUGAAUUUUAGUGAAACAGGGCAAGAAUGUUUUUGAAGUCCCCUGUUCUGACUUUAGAAAUUUAGUAAAAAUUGUACAAAAGGAAUUAUGAAUUAUAAUUUAUAUGUUUAAAUUCCGUAAUGAGUAUAUUUUAAGUAGAAAUAAUUGGAACCACCAUAUGAAGUCUUUGCAAUGAGAUAAUUGAAUUUUAGCGACAAGAGGUCAGGAUAGUCAAUUAGUGAAAUAGGGGAGACUUCAACUAAUAAACUGUAUUAAUUUGCUAAACCAAAAAUUCUGAAAAAUUUAUGGUGAAUAUACAUAUGAGUCUAGUUUGAGGGAAAAUUUACGGAUCUAAAUUUUUAGUUUCGUAUCUUGAGUUAUAAUUAUUUUAGUGACUACUGCGCAUGUGGACAGCUUUGUUGUGAAUGGUGAAAUUAAUUUUUAAAGUAAAUUUUUAUGCCCCGAACUUUUAAGUUCAGUCAAGUAACGCCUUAUGCUCGACUCCGGCAACCGUCUUGGGUAAGGGGUGUUAUAAAUAAUUAUUCUUAAAUUCAUACAUUCUUUGUAUAUUAUUUUGUACCUACAAUAGGUCCCUAGAUAUUAACAACAUGAGUGACGUUGCUACAGACUCAGAAUUUCCUUUUAAACAAGACAUGUGUUUAGAGGGAUCCCAUGGCUUUGAAGAUGACGUAGACUGUGGCUUAUCUCUGAAUUUGUUAAGGAUGGUAAAACAAGAGGAGAAGCAAAUCCUACCUCACAAGGAAUCAAUGGAAAUUGUGAGCUCAGAAGGGGGAAAAGAGGUGAAGAUUGAGACUAACAUUGCCACAAAGACAAAGCAUGACCUCGUUGAGUUACUCCAAGAAUUUAAAGAUGUCUUCGCAUGGUCAUACCAGGAUACUCCCGGGUUAAGUACUGGCAUUGUAGUACACUACCUUCUUAUAAAAGAAGAUUGCAAGCCAGUUUAGCAGAAACUCUGAAGGAUGAUGCCUGAUAUUGUGCUAAAAAUAAAAGAAGAAGUUAAAAAGCAAUUUGAUGUUGGGUUCUUACAAGUGGUUAAAUAUUCAGAAUGAGUAGCCAACAUCGUCUCAGUCUCUAAAAAAGAUGGGAAAGUACGAAUGUGCAUAGAUUACAGAGACAUGAACAAGGCCAGCCAAAAAGAAAAUUUCCCAUUGCCUCACAUUGACACUUUGGUGGAUAAUACAGUAGGCUACUCACUGUUUUCCUUCAUGGACGACUUCUCUGGAUACAACCAGAUAAAGAUGCAUCCCAAAAACAUGGGAAAGACUACAUUCGUGACCCUAUGGGGAAUGUUUUGCUAUAAAAUGAUGUCAUUCGGAUUAAAGAAUGUGGGAGCGACGUAUCAAAGGGAAUGGUAACCUUGUUUCAUGACAUGAUGUACAAGGAAAUCGAGGUUUAUGUUGGCGAUAUGAUUGCAAAAUCCAGAACAGAAGAGGAACAUGUGUAGGCCCUAAGAAAAUUAUUCUUAAGACUGAGAAAGUUCCAGCUCAAGCUUUCCAACGAAAUGCACAUUCAGAGCUAGGUUAGGAAAGCUGUUAGGCUUCACAGUUAGUGAAAAAGGAAUCGAGAUCAACCCAGAUAAAGUCAAGGCGAUACGAGAUUUACCUCUACCAUGCACUCAGAAGGAAGCUCGAGGUUUCCUAGGAAGACUGAAUUACAUUGCUCGAUACAUUUCACAACUAACCGAAAAAUGUGACACCAUAUUAAAAUAAAAAUAGAUUAAAUUGUAAGUAAAACAUAAUUUAAACAUAUGAAUACAUCAAAUUAAUAAUACUAAAUGAAUACAGUUAUUUAUGAUGAUGUUGUUGCCAAUUCCUAAUUUGGUGUCUAGUUAAUUUGUGACAUCAUAAAUUUAAGUGAUAAAUUUAAGGUUUUAUGUAUUGAUGUGGAUUCAAAUAUCACCAUAAUUUUUGUAAAUAAAAAACUAAUAAGAUAACUUAUAUUAAGUACGAAAGGGUAUUUUUAUAAUUUCUCUAAUCGAGUUGGUGCCCGGUUGACUCAUGACACUAACUCAAUCAGAAGCUUUAAUAAUAAUAUAGAUAUUCAUGUUAAAAAAACAAAAAAAAAGUACUUUAGUUCCAAAUAAUUAUAUAACAAGUAAAUUUAUAAUUGAUGAAUAAAUUUAUAAAUAAUAUAUUUAUAUGAUCUAAUAUAUUAUAUUUAUAUUAAUUAUAUAUCAUCUACAAACUUUGAAGAUCAAUUUAUUAAGUAAAAAUGAAAUUGUUAACACUAAAUCAAUUUUUAGAUUUUGUAUAGAUGAUUUAGUGAUGAUAAAAACAUUAUUAACACUAUUUUUUAAUUAACAAAAAAUUAGUGAUAUAUUUAAAUUAUAUUUAUCAUUUAUUAUUUUUAAUAAUAUUUUUUAAUUAUAUGAAGUAAAAUUAUAUUGUAUACUAAAUAUGGUACAUAUACUCUAAUUAUAACUUGAAAUUUUAUUAUAUAAAUUAAUAUAAAUUUGAAUAACAAAAUAAAAAAAAACUAAUUAGAAUAAUUUUAAAAAACAUUAUUUAAAAGUAGUUAAAAAUCACGUGCAACAGGUGAGAUCAAUGGUCUUUAGAGAAGAAAUGUUGAAGAUCAAAGUUGGAAUCUGGCCUAUAAGGCCUUUAAUUGCUUUAAUAUUAAGCAGUUCCAAACCAAGAAGAUUACCGAUUUCCUCAGGAAUUUGACCUGCACACAUGGUCGAAAAAUCAAUGUGUCAAACUACCUAUUUUGUUAGCAUAAGUCAAAGAGGUUUUCUUUUCUAUUCUACAUAAUUUGCAGAUGUUAGAUUUUAAUAUUUUUAAGCAUAUUUGUUUUCAUCAAAUUAACUAUUUUGAACUAUUUUGCCUUGAAUGAAAUAAAAUGCUCUUACUUUUGUUAUCUAUUACUAAUCAAACUCUUUUAUAAAAAAAAUACUUUAAACUAAAGAAACCAAGAAAAUUCAAUACCUUCUAGGUUAUUCAACCCCAAAUAUAAUUCUUUGAGUCGUGUCGGAUUUCCAAUACUUCUUGGAAUGAUCCCCAUCAAUUGAUUAUAGGAAAAUGACAAAAUUUUAAGGUUGUUGCAUUUGCUUAUACUUGACGGAAUGUUACCAUAUAAUUCAUUCCGACUCAAGUAAAGCCCUUCAAGCUUGGAAAGAUGUGACACAUAUCAUUAGGCAAGCUACCUGAUAGGCUAUUGUUGGAGAGAUCAAUGGCCUUCAGAGAAGAAAUGUUGAAGAUCGAAGUUGGAAUCUGACCUGUAAGGCCUUUAAUUGCUUUAAUAUUAAGCAGUUCCAAACCAAGAAGAUUACCGAUUUCCUCAAGAAUUUGACCUGCACACAUGGUCGAAAAAUCAAUGUGUCAAACUACCUAUUUUGUUAGCAUAAGUCAAAGAGGUUUUCUUUUCUGUUCUAUAGUAAUUUGGUGAUGUUAGAUUUUAAUAUAAUUCAGCACAUGUUUUUCAUCAAAUGAAAUAAAAAGUUUUUCCUUUUGUUAUCUAUUACAAAUCAAGCUCUUUUAUUAAAAAAAUACUUUAAAUUCAAGAAAUCAAGGAAAUUAAUUACCUUCUAAAUUAUUAAACCCCAAAUAUAAUUCCUGGAGUCGUGUUAGAUUUCCAAUACUUCUUGGAAUGAUCCCCAUAAAUUGAUUAUGGGGCAACAACAAAUUUUUAAGGAUGUUUCAUUUGCCUAUGCUUGACGGAAUGUUACCAGAUAACUCAUUGCUAUGCAAGUGAAGCCCUUCAAGCUCGGGAAGAUGUUGACACAUAUCAUUAGGCAAACUACCUAAUAGGCUAUUCCUGGAGAGAGCAAUAGUCUUGAGAGAAAAAUGUUGAAGAUCGAAGUCGGAAUCUGAUCUGUAAGGCCUUUAAUUGCUUGAAUAUUAAGCAUUUCCAAACUAAAAAGAUUACCGAUUUCUUCAGGAAUUUGACCUGCAGACAUAGUCGAAACAUCAAGGUGUUAAAUUUCCUAUUUUGUUAGUGUAAAUCAAAGAGGCUUUUUAUUUUUUUUCGUUAUGAAAUAAUAUGGAUAUGUUCGAUUCUAAUCAUAUUUAAGUAUAUAUUAGUUCUUGAAAGAAUGAGUUCUUAUUUUUGGUAUUUAUAUUGCAAAUAUAUAUUUUUUUAAAUUUAAAAGAAGGGAGGGGGCAAAUGUGUUUAAACUAAAGACAUCAAGGAAAAGGCAUACCAAGUAUAAUUGUUUAAGUUGUGUCAAAUUCCCAAUGCUUUUUGGAAUGAUCCCACUAAAUUGAUUAAUAGACAAUUCCAAAAUUUGAAGGUUGCAGCAUUUGUCUAUACUUGAUGGAAUAGAACUUGAUAAUUCAUUUCUACUCAAGUAAAGCUCUUUCAGCUUGGGAAGAUGGACACACAAAUCAUCGGGCAAGCCACCAGAAAGACUAUUAUCACAAAAAUGAAUCCUUUUCAAAGAAGAAAUGUUAAAGAUGGAAGAUGGAACCUGGCCAGAUAAUUGAUUGAAUCCCAAGUUCAAGAUCUCUAGAUUGGACAAGUUGACAAGUGUUUGAGGGAUCGUGCCUGUGAAGUUAUUAUUUCUCAUUUCCAACCUUUGAACUCUGUGCAAGUUCCCAAGCCAUGGUGGAAUUUCCCCAUUAAGACGGUUGUAGCUUAAUCGAAUGAUCCUCAAACGAUGCAAUUGGCCUAAUUCUUUAGCCAGAUGGCCGUAGAAAUUGUUGUUGCUCAAGUCGAUAGAAAAUAGAAAUGAAAGAUUUCCAAGGUGUGGAGGGAUAGUACCCCUAAGAUUCAUGUUUGUAAGAUUAAUCAAAGCUACAACUCUUUCAUGGAUGAUGCCACAAGAAACACCAACCCACUUACAGACAGAGGUAGAGUUCGUCCAAUUGUUUGCCAACACAUUUUGAGGAUCGACAAUGCGAUCUUUAAACUCAAAGAGUGCAAACUGAUCGGAGUUGAGAUUCCGGACUGUCAUAGCCAAGGAAACAAUAGAACAUUGUAUGAAUAAAAGUGAAAGAAGAUGAAAGCAAGUGUUGUAGUUCAUGAUGGCAAGACGAAAUAAGCCAGGAAAAGGGAAGUUGAAUUGAUGAAGAAAUAGCCAGCCAACAUGCUUAAAUAGGCUUCAACCCUUGCACACUUCUCAUACAUAAAGUUCGCUGCCAUUACAACAAGAAAACUCAUAUCUCCAUUCGUACCUAUCCAUACUUUAUUUGACUAACUUUUCCCUAACAAGUGUUCAGUAAGGAGAUAAAUCAGUUUGGAGCUAUUCACCGGCUUCUCCAAUCUUGGUUUCAAACUCCUAACCCAUCAAUUCACUUUAAUUGAAACGAUAUACACGAGUCUUUCGGCUUAUAUUUUUAAUUUAAUUUUUGUUACUUUUCAUAAUAUUUUUUGAGAAAUCCAAAUAUUCCAGUCUGAAAUUUCUUCAUUGCCACGUCUAUCUCCUGGGUAAGUCCGUGGUUAGGCAGCCCACUUUGGGAGCAGGAUUGUAAUUGUAAUUCUAUCCGACUCAUUUUACUAUUUAGAAAUAUAAAAGUAAUAUUAUAUUAUUUUUUAUAUUUUUAUAAAUUUAAUUUUAAUUAUAAUUUUUAAACAAUAAAACGAGUCAUUUGUAUUUGCCUAGUCUAAAUUGAAUCAGGAGUCAAAAAAAUUUUAAUCAUAAUUUACUAUUAUUUUAAUUAAUUAAAAUUUAACCUACUACAACUAGUAGUUGCAGAAAAAAUGUCAUUCCUUUAGAAAAACGAAAAUCCUUUAGAAAAAUGAGAACUUAUGAAGCAUUCAAUAAGAGUCAUUGGAAUAAAUGGUAACGAAAUCAUAAUUCAAUAUAAAGCUAAAAAAUGUACCAAUCUAUAUAAAUAAUGUAAGAUUUGUGAUACCUAAAUUAUUAUAUUUUCCAUAAAUAUAUGAAGAUAUUUUAUUAGGAAAUAAUUUUAUAUAUAAAAUUUUUUAUUUUCUUUUGAUAGAAAUUUAAUUAUGUUAUCUGUAGAAAAAAAUAUUUAUAGAAAUAUUAUUAGUAGAAAAUCAUAAAUUUGUGUGUGGCAAAAAAAAUUCACCACCAAGAAAGGGGCAAAUUAAACAACUUGAAACAAGUCAUUGGUUGUUUAAAAUAUUAGAUAAUAAUUUCAGUGAAGAAUCAUUAAAAUUAUGACAAAAUAACCCUAGAUAUUGUAGUAUUAAAUUGGAAAAUCUCAAUAAUAUUAUUAGAGUAAAACCUAUGAUCUAUCUAAACAAGAUAUAGAAGAUUUUGAUAUACAAAUUAAGGUUAGAAAUCAUGCGGAAAUAAAAAAGAAAAAAAAGCUAGUAUGGUCAUUAAUUAUAAAAGAUUAAAUCAAAAUAUUAUUUUUUUAUAGUUACUUGAAUUAAUCAGGCUAAACAAACAAAAUAUUUUAGUAAAUUUGACUGCAAAUCAGGAUUCUAGCAAAUCAUGAUAACAGAAAAGUCCAAACCUUUAACGGCUUUUAGUGCACCCAAUGGACAUUACCAAUGGAAAGUGAUGUCAUUUCAAUUAUGUGAUGCACCACAAAUCUUCCAAAGACGAAUGGAUUUUAUAUUUAAUAAAUAUAAAAAAAUUCUAUGUAGUCUACAUAGAUGAUAUUUUUUAUAUUUUUAGAUACACUAGAAUUACAUAAGAAACAUUUAAAUAUUAUUUCUUAAGAAUUCAUAAAAUAUAGAAUCAUAUUAAACCCUAAAAAUAUAGAGUUAGAAAAAAGAGAGAGAAUUUUUAUAAUAGUGGAAAUAAAAAAUUGUCCUCAAAAGAUUGAAGAAAAAAAGAACUUCCAACAAUUUCUAAUAUAUUCCUCCCAAAUUUUCAGUUUCAAUUUUAUUACAGAAUUUCUUUGCCGACAAUAAGAAAUUAAGAGCGCUCUUUAAGUUGAAUAUAGUCCGUCAGAUAUGGCUAUCUAUAACAUGGAACCUUUGGUUUUCAAGCUGAAUAGGAGAAUUGAUUCACUUGAUAAGUAUGAAAAAUUGAAACUGCUAAAUUUAAGUGCACUAACUCUGGAUAUCAUCAUUAUUUUUCUGUACAUUAAAGUACCUGUUUGAUAUGCGAUUUCUGCCUCAAACUAUCAACAUCUUUAACAUCCUUUUGCUAUAGUUAGCAUGGGUACUUCCUUUUAGAUUAACAGUUAGGUUUGAACUGUGAAUUAGAUUUCUGUGGCUGCUGGGAUUGAAGAAGUUAGUAUGCGAAUGACAUUGGACAAAUUUGGCAAAGUCUUCUCCAUCAGUGAAGAAAACCCCUUGGCGUAUGAAAAAUGUUCACCAUCUUAGACAUUUGUUUUCUUAUUGUAAGAAUAUUUUUAACAUUGUAACUUUUAACAUUAUUGUAAGAAUAUUUUGAAUUAUACUUCAGUUAUCAAUUUAUAUCAUAUAUCUUUUGUUGAAUUUGAAGUAUAAUUUAUAUUUGCUGUUUUUGGUUAGAUUUCAUGCUAUAGGAAGGGUUGUAUAUGGAUAGAAAUUGAAUGUUACAAAUCUGCCAAAGUUAGUGGCGUUUUUUCAUAAGAGCUGCUAAAGAAUGCUAUUUUUGGCGGUGUUUGUAAUAAAAGAGCCGCUAAAGGUCAUGUUCUUUAGCGAUGUUUGUGGGUAAAGCGCCGCUAAAGAUCAUGUUCUGUAGCGGUGUUUGUGGAUAAAGCGCCGCUAAAGAACAUGACCUUUAGCAGCGUAUUUUCACAUAAACGCCGCAAAAUUUAGCGGCUUUGUCUAUAGCGACUUUUUUUGCAGCGCUUUAAGUUUUAGCGGCGCUUUUAGGCCUAAAAAAGGGCCGCUAAAAGCCUGUUUUGCUGUAGUGAGCAUAUUUACAUUUUCGUCCCAAUUUCAACUAACACCCCAUCUAUUUCCCACUUCCCUUUUUCGGGCAAUUUCAACUAACACCUUCAUAUCAAACAUAACUAUUUUUCAAUUUUUCUUCUUUAUUUCAUUAAUAAAAUUAUCAAUCUAUUUGUUUUUAAAUAUAUAAUUUCAUUAAUAUUUUUUAAAUUAUAAUAUAAGAGUUGUUGUUUAUUUAUAGUUUUAUUACAUUAUUUACUCUCUCUUUUCUAUCAAGUUUUUUAAAUUAUAAUAUAAGAUUUAUUUUAUCAAUUUGUGGCUUAUCCAGUAUUCAUCUAUUUUAAUAAUAACUUGAGUUCCAGUCAUUAUCAUACCAGAAAGAGUUCCAUUUAUUCUUUAUCGUAAAUUUUAUAAAAAAAUAUACAUUUUAUUAUAAUACUAUAUGUGUUACGAAUAAUAUUUUAUUGUGGAUGCCCAUAAUUUUCAAAGUUGUAACCUCUAAUGUAGUAACCUUAAUGAAAUUAUGAGGCUUUUAUAUUGUAAUCAAGCCUCUAUUUAUUCUUUGUAACUUAAACAGAAGCAUAUUUUCUAUUAUAUUGAUAUUUUUUAUAGAUAUAUAUAUAUAUAUAAGGAAUCAAAUAAAAAGUUAUUUACCUUUCUAUUAUAUUGAUAUUUUCUAUUUGAUUUGUUCUUUUCUUUCACUAUUCCAUAAUAUAUUAUCAGUACGAUUUUAACCAAGAGUAACAUGUUAUUAGAUUGUGUCAAAAUUUUGUUGAGAAUCAUUAGAUUGUUUCCUUUUUCUUCUAUUUAGCCCCAAAUUGCACCCCUACACAAAAUUCAACAAAAACAUGGAAAAAUUAGUGGUGCACUCUCAUAAAUUAACCAAUUUAAUUACAUAAAAUAUGUAACUUUAGCAUUUUAUCAAUCAUGUUCUUUAGCGGCAUUUGUGGGUAAAGCGCCGCUAAAGGUCAUAUUCUUUAGCAGCGUUUGUGAUAAAAGUGCCACUAAAUAUCAUGUUCUUUAGCGGCGUUUGUGGAUAAAGCGCCGCUAAAGAACAUGACGUUUAGCAGCAUUUUUUUACAUAAACGUUGUAAAAUUUAGCGGCGUUGUCUAUAGCGACGUUUUUUGCGGUGCUUUCAAAUAGUUUUAGCGGCGCUUGUAGGCCUAAAAAAAUGCCGCUAAAAGUCUGUUUUGCUGUAUGAGCAUAUUUACAUUUUCGUCCCAAUUUCAACUAACACCCCAUCUAUUUCCCACUUCCCUUUUUCGGCCAAUUUCAACUAACACCUUCAUUUCAAACGUAAUUGUUUUUCGAUUUUUCCUCUUUAUUUCAUUAAUAAAAUUAUCAAUCUAUUUGUAUUUUAAAUAUAUAAUUUUAUUAAUAUUUUUUAAUUAUAAUAUAAGAGUUUUUGUUUAUUUAUAGUUUUAUUAUAUUAUUUACUCUCUUUUUUCUAUCAAGCUUUUUAAAUUAUAAUAUAAGAUUUAUUUUAUCAAAUGGUGGCUUAUCGAGUAUUCAUCUAUUUUAAUAAUAACUUGAGUUCCAAUCAUUAUCAUACCAGAAAGAGUUCCAUUUAUUCUUUAUCGUAAAUUUUAUAAAAAAAUAUAUAUUUUAUUAUAAUACUAUAUGUGUUAGGAAUAAUAUUUUAUUGUGGAUGCCCAUAAUUUUCAAAGUUGUAACCUCUAAUGUAGUAACCUCAAUGAAAUUAUGAGGCUUUUAUAUUGUAAUCAAGCCUCUAUUUAUUCUUUGUAACUUAAACAGAAGCAUAUUUUCUAUUAUAUUGAUAUUUUUUUAUAGAGAUAUAUACAUAAGGAAUCAAAUAAAAAGUUAUUUACCUUUCUAUUAUAUUGAUAUUUUCUAUUUGAUUUGUUCUUUUCUUUCACUAUUCCAUAAUAUAUUAUCAGUACGAUUUUAAUCAAGAGUAACAUUUUAUUAGAUUGUGUCAAAAUUUUGUUGGACUUCAAGUAUUGGAAUUUAAUUGUUUAAGUUAAGAAUCAUUAGAAUCAAUGGCUAUUUGAGAUAUGCUUGAGGAUGAUCUCAUUCUCUUCAUCACAAAGGUGGAGGUUAGAAAAUCUUUAUGUUUAAACAUUUAUAGCUUUAAAGUUAUUUUAACCUCUUAUUGUGACCUUAUAAUAUUUUGUAAUUUUUUGUAUUAUGGUAUAUAAAAAAAAUCUAACCAUAGUGAUUGAUUAGUAAUAUGAAUUUGUUAUUUGUUAUGUUUAAUAUAUAUUUUAUUUAUACUUAUUCAUUUUAUUUUUAUAUGAGUAAAUGAAGUGUUUGAAGAUUCGAAAUUUUUAUCAUCCAAGUUGAAAAUAAGUGCAAAAGUGUACAUUAUUUAAAAUAAAUUACGCAUUCAUUAAUGUUAUAUGAUAAAAUCAUUACAUGUUCUAAAGAACUAAUAUUGCAUCAAACUGUAAAAAGCUCUUGAAGAGUUAAUAUUUUACCUCCUUGUGAUACAAAAUCAUAUACAAUAUGAUAUUAUUUUUCAAAUCGAGUAGAUAUAUGUUGAGGGAAAUCUUUAUGUGGUUUACAUUAAAACCAUGGAUAGAAAUGACAUGAGAUACUCGUGUAUUUUUAUUAUAAAUAUUCCUUGAAGGAAGACACUUCACUUGUAUGAUUGACAUAUGAGAUAGUGGCAAGAAGUUCAUAGUGUUGGUAUGGUCGUCUAGAUCAUCUCAAAUCAAUAAUGAUGCAAAAUAAUUUGAAGAGAAUUUAUAUGAUUUUAUUGAAGAAUGAGAAGAUAUUUUCAUUUUGAUAAUUGUCAUCAAUACUAGUUCUUUGGAAAAAAAAUAUUGAACUAACAUAAAGUUAGAGGUUGGUUGCAUUUUUUGAUGAUAUCCAAAUAAUAUAUGAGCUCAUGUAUCACAUGUAUGCAACCCAAAGUUUACAGUAUUAUUUCUUGAAAUAAUUUGAUUCUACACAAUCUCUAUAGUAUGCAAUUUGUGCUAACAACGUUGGUGCAUUAUAUCCUAAGCUUGAUUUUCGUAGUUUUAGCUGAGAUAAUAUUAAGUUGUCUAUGCCUAUAUAUGUUAUACUUAAUGGUUAGCAAAAUUGUGCCUCCAUUUAAUUGCUUAACCAUUAAUAUAAGAAUAACUUUAAAAUAAGCAUGUAAUUUUAUUUGCAUAGAGUCAACAUGUAAGAAACAUUUGCCCCAUGAGAAUUGGCUUUCAUUUAUAAGCCAAUAGGUUUCAUAUGACUAUUUGGAUGUAAAAUAUCUAUUUUAUAUUCCACCAUAAUGCACUAAGAUGGUCCAUCAAGUAUGAAGUUGAGAAAAUUUAGAAUUUUUAUUUGAUGGUAAAAGUUGAAAAGAGAUAUAUACUUAUAAUUUUGAAAAAAAUAGUCAUGUUGCAAAUUUUUCUCAAUAUUAGGGGGAGACAAGUUGGACAAAUAAGGAUAAUUAUGUCAUCACUUUUUGUGAUCCCUCACUAAUAUUAUGUGCACAAAGUUUGAAGGAAAAAAGUAUUUGCUAGACAUGUUUAGUGAUGACACUUAGAGAUUGUAUAUACUAGAUGAUACAUAUACCAGCUAAAAUGUUCCAAAUAAUUAUGAGUCCUAGAAGGACAUAGUGAUAAAAAUAAUUUUUGGGCACGCUAGAAGGAUAAAAAACUAGUUCAUUCUAUAAAUCAAAAAAUUCUUGAAAGAAAAGAGUAAGAAAUGAAGCUGGCCACACAUUAAAGGAAACGAGUACUCAUGAAGAGACCUAAGGCAUAACUUUUAAUAAAACCCCAAAAGAGGUUCAAUACAUGGAAUUAUGAAUAUAAUAAGAUAUCUCGAUUAGUUAUAUCAUAACUAAAGAUGAUGGGGUUGAUAAAAGGAAAUUGUUGUUAACAACGAUAAUCUAAGUAGAACAUUUCAAUAUUAUGGUAAAAUGAGUAUUUUGAAUGAAAAUAUACUUGAAAGUAUUUAGAUGGGAACAACUCAUCAAAAUAAAUAGACGUUUCUAUUAUAACUUAUGAAAUGUGUCUCGGACAUGAAGUCCAAACAUUCGACAGGUGUAAAGCCAAGUGGAGUAUAUGUUAGCAUAAUAGUGAAAAAAUACAAAUCAUAAUAUAUAAAAUUGACUUGUAAGACAAACUUUCCCAAGACACUUGAUUUUGAUUAUGAAAAAUGAUUAAUUUGUGAUCUUAUCAAUUGAACAUACUUUGUAUAAUCAACAAAUUAUUAAUUAACCUCAUUUAACCAAUUUCCUUCAACACAUUUCAAAUCAAAUUAAUGUGUUGAGCACGCCCUUAACCCUUUUUCUUGAUUCAUUGCAUAGUCUAUUUCCAAGUACCAUAAUCAUCAACAUUUCAAUAUAUAAAGUCAUAACAUAAUGAAUCAUAGUUAGAAUUUUUUUUACCCUAUUAACCAAGUAUGGAACAAAAAUAAAAACCUAAUUUGUCAAGCUCAUUCAAUCAGCUUAUAUAUUAUAAGAAGAGCCUAAGUAUAAAUCCUAUACAUGAUUUCAAAUUCAACUAUUUAUAUUUGAGAUUCAAUUUAAAAUUCAUACUGAAAUUAUCAAAUUAACUCGUAAGCUACUCACGCUAAACAUUAAGGUACUCGAAUUCAAGUGGCUAGAUAUCAUAAACACUUUUAGCUUGUAAAACUAUUUCUAAGGGUCAGCCCAGAAUCAUGGUUGAACCCAAAAUCUGGUAACAAAAAUUUAAUUGAGCCAUCAGCCUAAAACAAAUAAGGCUUAAAAGGUUGGCACCCGAACAAUCAAAGAUAAACACCACCAUAUGCCACUCCCUGAAUCCGAUACAUACAAUAACACCCUUCACCACUUUUAUUCUUCUCCUUUUUUUUAACCUCAAUUUGGAUGGUCGCAUUUCUCUUUUUAGUGCUUUAUAGGGUUUGGGCUUUCAGAAUCCUCAGAGAUGCAAUUCAUGGAUCCCUCUAAGAAAUGCAAGCUUGAUGAAAAUGGUAUUAUUUCAACGGCAUCAGAACCUGACCCAAUCACCAAACUAACCCCACAAGAUGGCCGCAAGCUAAUCGAGCAAUUUAUCGUCGAUCAACUCCUUGACGUCCUCCAAGAUGCUGUUUGUUGUCACCUUGAUGUUCUUUCCGCCGUACACUCUAUUGCCGAUCAAGAUCCAUCUCAAAGGAAGCUUUUCAUCCGUGGUUGGGUUGGGAUACUACAACCCAACCCAACCCACAUUAGCAUACUACCAUGCGGUAACUUCUAGUGAUUUCUGUCUGUAACAUUAGACAGGUUAACAGUUAAAUCGUUCAACUGAAAGAUUUCUUUGAAGGAAGAGGUCAAUUGAUUUUUUUUGGAAUCAUUGUGUACUCAGUUGCAUUUAAGACGGGUAUCAUUCAUAAAGUAUAUAUCUACAUCAAGAAUGGUAGCCUCUUAUAUUAUAUUCAUGUAUUUAUUUUGCAUCUUUAAUUAUAAUAGGAUUUUUUUUGUUUAUUUAUAGUUUUAAUUAUAAUAUUUUUUAAAUAUGCCAAAGUAAAUUAUGUACCAAUUUUAAACUUCUCCUAGGUAAUUUAACGUAAGGGCAUUUAUGUUAUUUUACCACUUAUGAUAAAACUAACCUAAUUUUAGAUCUAAGUGUUUACCAACCUUCUUUUAGUCAAAUUAUGCAAGCCUAAAAUUUUUAGCUUAAUUUGAGUUUGUUUACUAUGUCUAAUUCAAGUUUUAUUAUUAAGAACUAAAUUGUAACUUAAACAAAUUAGAAUACCAAUUUAAAGAGACAAAAAUUCAAAGCCCCAAAACCCACACGGGCAUGUGGGUAAGUGACACAGGCGUGUGGAAACUGGAGCUAUCACACACGGGUGAGUGGGACUGAAAAAUAUGAAAUAAAUUAAUCCAUUUAAAUUUCCAACAACCAUGCUAUACUACCAAACCAAAUAAUGUUAGAAGCUUUGAAUAGGGGCGAAUCUUAAAAAAAAAUAGAAGAAUUAGAAUUAAAUUAUAAAAUUUUGAGAAGUUGUCAUGUAUUAAUUUAUUAUUUUUUAAAGGGUCUUAAUAGAUUUUUUUUCCCCAUUUUGGUUUGGCCAAUACCCCUGUCUGCCUCUUUCAAUUUGCUUCAACCCUUAGCCCAAUAUUCGAUUUGUUGUGGAAGUUUGACGCAUAAAAAUUCCUUUUUUAGAGGUUUAAAUUAUAAAUUUUUAUUAACAAAAUAUAAAAGAAAAAAACAUGUGUAGACAAGCCAAGAAACCUUUGGGAUCAUACAGGUGAUUUUGAGAUGUUCAUGGUUAUUUUGGUGGAGAGGGUAAAAAAGAAACAAAUGAUUCAUUAUAUAUGAUAUAAUUAUGAAAUUCAAGCCAUAUAUUGUAUGUUUCAUCCAUACAAAUUUCUUGUAGCAUUAAAUGACUCGUAGGCUUGCUGAAUUUCUUUGAAAGGCCCAAAGGCAAUUUAACAUUCACAAAAUAAUCUCUAAAUAGUGUAAAGACAAAUCAAAUCCACAGUAGCAUUAGAGUUGAUUAAGCUAAGCAUUGGCAAAUAUUACUUUGAUUUUGCAUGCAAUAUUGGCAAAACCCCCUCUUACAUUAGAAAAACAACAUAAUCCAUGAAACAUUGAUAGCCCAAUACAAAUUUCAUCGAGAAAAAAGUCUCUUUGUUUUGUAGAACAUGAUAGUAAAGAUGUGGAGUUUCGUUCUUCUUAUUGGCCUCCUUUAGUUUUCCUUGAUCAACAACCACUAGCCAAAAACACAAUUAGAUUAGAUUAUGAAUGAUACUUUCAACUAUGACAAUAUUAAAUACAAACCACUCUAAAUAACUCUAAAUAAAUGGAAAGCAGCAAAUUACCAGACGAGGCAAGCUAGCUCAAUUAAGACCAUUGUGUUAUACUUGUCUCUGAAUUGAAAAAUUUAGAAGGAAAUAAAGAGAAAGACUUAGAAAAUACUUGAAAACAGAAAAAAAAAUUAUGUCAUUUAAAAUAAAAAAUUUCUAUUCAAGCCAUUUAAAAUUUGUAAGAUUUUUAAAAUUUUAAAAUGAUAAAGGUAAAAUUGUACUUUGGCACCCCAAAAAUGAUAAAACUUUGAUUUAAUUAUUUAAAAAUUAUAAAAAUAUAGGCUAUUAAAAUGGUGAAAUUAUAUUUUUACUAUAGUAAAAAUUACAAUUUAAUUUCACCCCUAAAAGGAUUUUCUGGCUUCGCACCUAAUAAAAUCUUUGGCAAAAGACUAAAAUAAAAUUAUACCAUGAAUGGAAAAAGAAACUAAUAAAAUCCAAUCUAACAAAGAAAAUAACUUGAUGUCCAAAAGCUACCAUAAACCGUAAUUCAUGGGAAGGCUUGUUGCUUAUUUUAUUGGUUUCCAUUUUGAAAGAAGUUUGAAUUUUGAAGAGAGCCUACUACGUGAAAGCAAAAGAAAAAAAAAUAGUUUAUAUGAUUAAAAUUCCAGAAUAGAUUAAAAAUGUUGAAUUAAAGAUAAAAUUAAGUGUGAAUUAAUAACCACAAGUGUACUCUUUACUCACCAUCUCUGUUAAAAAUGUUGGAUGUUGUUUAGCAACCUUUGUUUGAUUUUCUUCAGCUCAACCACAACAUCUUUCAUAUCUUUUCUUUCUUCUGGUAACUCAGCUGAACAAUUCAAAGCCAACUCCAUGAUAGAUGAAAUACAAUUUGCUUUAACAACAAUGUACUCAUCCUCUCUUCUUAAUAAAUCAACAUCUGCAAUUUCUAUCGCUCCUUUAGGCAAUGAUCUUUCCAUCCAAUGCCUUAUACUCUCUUCUUCAACAAAAACCUUAUCAGUUGGCUUUUUCUUUGUGAAAGUUUCUAUAAGGACGAUCCCAUAACUAUAGACGUCAGAUUUUAUAGAAACAAUUCCUGCUGAUCCAAAUUCUGCAUUUCAAGUAUAAUUAGAACAUCAUUCAUCCUCAAUUAUUUCUAAAACGCUUAUUCAAAUAUCUAUCCACAUACACGUGAAACAAAAAUAUAAAAUACAAAUUAGGAAAAUAAUCAUACAAAAAUAAAAAAAAGAAUUCACCUGGUGCCAUAUACCCAAUAGUUGCAAGAGUCAUGGUUUGCUUCAUUACUUCACCUUCUCCCAACAAUUUGGCAACGCCAAAAUCUCCAACAUGUGCAACCAUGUCUUCAUCUAGUAAAAUAUUGCUUGGUUUUAUGUCACAAUGAAUUAUAGGUGUUGGAUGUCCAUUGUGGAGGUGUUCUAUAGCUACCGCAACAUCUAUCAUUAUGUCGACCCUUUGUAUGAUACCAAGGAAACAAUUUUCAGAAUGUAACCAUUUCUCAAGGUUUCCAUUAGACAUGUAAUCAAGCACCAAGGCUUUGAAGUCAACACUUGAGCAGUAAGUAAUGACCUUCACAAUAUUACGAUGAACUAUAUUAAGCAUAGCAUCACAUUCAAUGUCAAAACUCCUAAAUGCUCCCUCUGUUUGCAAAUUGAAAACUUUUAUUGCAACUUCCAUUCCAUCUGAAAGCCUCCCUUUAUAUACAUAUCCAAAACUCCCUGAACCAAGCGUAUUGCUUUCCUCAAAUCCAUUAGUUGCUCGUGAAAGUUCAGCAUGUGAAAUUCUUCUCAGUGUCUUCAAAGACAACAAAUCAUCUUUAACUGGUAGAGCUGUACUCCUUUGGCAUCUUCUAUACAUAAUAGUUAAGACUAUUAGUACUAGGACAAUACCAAUUGUUGGUAAACCAUACCUAAAAGCAUGCAAUAUAAUCAUUUGGGAGUUUUUGUGGAUGUCAUUUUUGCAAGGUGGGACUAGCAAUCUAGGUGGACCACAAAGUGCACAAUUAUUCAUGAAUGAUGUGCUAGAAAAGUUUGAAAAACAUCCUUUGCUGGGAAUUUCCCCUUCAAGUCUAUUGAAAGACACAUUAAAAUACUUUAGAUAUAAAAGCUUUUCCAAAGAUUUGGGAAUGACUCCAGAGAGAUUGUUAUUGCAUAAAUCCAAGAAUUCCAAACUAAUCAACCCUUCAAAUGAUUCAGGGAUAUGACCAUAUAGUAUGUUAUUUGAUAAAUCUAAUGAAACCAAAGUUAUAAGACCCCCAAAUGUGGAUAAGAUAUCGCUCGUGAGAAGAUUCCUUGAUAAAUUUAGUCUCAGUAGACUCCUAAAAUUUCCAACAUCAAUAGCAUGUGAAUUGUGAAGACGGUUUGAUGAUAAAUCUAUUUCUAAGAUAUCUUUAAGACUCCACAAAGUUGAGGGUAUUGUAGAACUCAAUUUGUUGGAACCUAACCAAAGAUAUCUCAAAGCAGAAAUAUUACCUAAACAAGAGGGUAUGGAUCCAUGCAGCUUAUUCAACCCUAAAUACAUCUCGUAUAGUCUCUCCAAACCACAAAGGCUUUCUGGGAUAGGCCCUCCUAAUUUAUUAGAGGAAAGACCUAGAAUUUGGAGAUUUCUCAUUCCUCCUAUUGAUGCUGGAAUCAAUCCACUUAAUUUAUUAUACCCAAGAUCUAAAAGCAAUAGGUUGGUUAAGUUACCUAUUUCCAUAGGAAUAAUGCCUUGAAGCUCACACUCUGUGGCAUGAAAGUAUUGAAGGGAUUUUGAAAGGUUCCCGAAAUAAGUAGGAAGAACGCCACUCAAUGGAUUUCCUGAAACAUCUAUUAUGCUCAAAUUCCUACAAUUCGUCAAAGAAGAAAGAAAGCUCCACUCAUGAUCAGUAGCAGAUCCUGUGAUCAAAUUAUUGUCAUAGAUUUGGAGCCAUACAAGUUGUCUUAAGCUGCCAAGCGUUUUAGGGAUUGGGCCAGAGAAUGAGUUAUCUCCCAAGUCUAGUUCCUUAAGCAUGGAAGCAUUGGAGAUAGAGUUGGGAAUGUUUCCGCUAAGUUUAUUUCCCCACAGUAAAAGAAUCUGAAGCUUUGGAGCAUUGGUAAUGGGUGGUAAAUUACCUGUAAAAUAGCAUCUUUUAGAAAACAUUCACAAAAUAUAUAAUACAUUAAAAUAAAAACUUUAAAUCAAUUAAGAAUAAAAUUUUGGCAUGGAAAAAUGUGAUGAAAUCAAUUAGAAAGUUGAGACAUAAUAAGAAGUUUUGAGUAGUAAUUAGUCCUUGUGAUUUGUAUAGACAAAACAUAUAAUACACUGAUAAUUUUUUUAAAAUAUUGUAAAACCUGAAAUAAAAUAAAAAAUAAAAGUUUGGCACGAGAAUGUGGCAUCUAAUCAUUCUUAAAAAUAAGACUAACAUUAAAUAAUAAUUAGUUAUGAUUUGAGAAACAAAAAUGUUAAAGAUGUAAACUGGUAUGAUUUUUAUCUAUUGGGUUAAUUAUUUAUUUUUAUUAAAUUAUAUAUAGUGUAAAAUUUAAAGAUUAUUAUUUGCUCAAAAUUUUUGUAUUUUAGGAUUUUAGGAUCGCAUUUAAUUCAAUUGUAUUUAAGACCUCAUGAAUUUAUUCUAUAAUUUGAGUCUUUUCAACCUUUUGGGAAAUAAUAAAACAUCGACAUUAAACUUGUUGUUGAUGCAUUCAAUUUGAUUUUUUGAGGGGUCAUUGGAGUUAUAUGUGAAUUUAGCAUUGAUUGACUUUUUUAGAAUUAAUCUUUUAUACCAAUUUAAUAACAUCGACAUGUUUUUGGGUAGGGUCGAGCAAAACCCAAUUAAAACCGAUGAAAUUGGUUUAGUUAACUCGGUCAAGUCCAUUAGAUGGAUAAAAUCAAUUUUAAAAUCAGUUAUUAUGGAUUAAGGUAAUUAAUUAUCGAGUAAUGAAAUACAUAAUCAAAUCAAUUGAUUUUGUUAGAAACUAAAAGAAAGUGGGAUAAGCUGAAAACUGAUUGCCCUUUUUUAGAAUUAAGGAAUCAGCCUUUUACAUGUUAGAUAAUAUGAACACCCCAUAUAUAAUAAGAAAAAUUAUGUACGAUUAUUUAUUAUCAUAAAUGGUUAGUUUAAAUUUAAAGUAAUCUAAUAUGUGUGUUGAACUUCAACUAUUACAUAAAGUAUAAGCUAAAUAUGUAUAAAUAUUCUAGAAACCAUUUCUAACUGAUGAUAGGCUAAUUUGAAAUUAAGAUUAAUAUAUAAAAACUAGAUAGUAGGGUUAUAGUCCUCAAACUACACCUAAUUUAAUAAAAUCUAUAGUUUUUAUAGCCUUAAACAUUUAUAGAUUUUGUUAAUUUGGUCCUUACUCUUUAAAAUUACAUAAAAAUUGCAAAAAUAUUUUAGAAAUACAAUUUUUUCGUAUUUUUAAUAACAUUUAUAGUUUUUUUUUUGGUUUGGUAACUUAUCAACUCGACUCUUAAUUGUAACCAACUUUUCUGAUUUUUUCGUACCCUUAACCUAAGUCCCGUUACAACUUUCUAAAGACCUCUUGAUUGGUGUAUCAUCUCGAUUUGUUCUUAUAGUGGUGGGGAUUUGGUUUUCAAGCAAGCCUAUGCUAAUCACAUUUUUCGUUCAACUAUUGAGCACACAGUACUUGAACCUUAAACACUUUGAGUGCUUUGAGUGAAUCUUAGUUAGGGUAUUGAUUAUUGUUGAGUUUGAAUUUUAGGUAAUUAUUGAGAUGGAGGAGAUGCCUAUUUUUUUGUGCUUUACAAAUUUCUGCUUAGAUUGCUUUUAUUCUUUAGUUUCAUGCUAGUUUCAAUUUCCAGUGCAUGAUUAUCUAUAGAUUAUUCAUAAGGCAUUGUCGGUGAAAACAAUAAAUUGAGGGAGAUUAACUUGAAAUAAAUUGAGGGAUAUUAACUUGAAUAAAGGUUGAGAAUUUUGCUUAAGGACAAACAAAUGCUUAAGUGUGGGGAUAUUUGAUAAGUGCUAAAAUUGAUAUGUUUUAACAUCAUUCUUAAUGUGUUUUUGGUUGAUUAUUCGAUGUUAAUGAUGCUCCUAAUCCUUACAAUUCGUGUUUUUAUGCUUAAUAGAACAUUUGGGAGGAAAAUGAGCUAAAAAUGAACGAAAACCUGAAAAUGGGGGCAAACUAUAGGACAUGGGCUGACCUAUUCCUCAUGACCGUAUGACUCACACGAUCAUGUGGUAGGUUGUGUCGAUUUCGUAGAUUUGCACUCUGAACUGUAAAAAAAGAAAAUUUUAGAUUUUUUGAGCAUUUUAAUACGUAUAUAUGAAAAAAAUAAGAAGAUAGGAGAGAACCUUCCUAGAAUAUUUAAGAAAACAACUCCAAAGACACUAUUGAAGUCGACUCUGAAGCAAAUUUUCCUCAAGAUUGAAGAUUCCCAGUUGGUUUCUUAAGAGAUUAUCAUGAGUUUCUUUAUUUCUUCUGGUUAUACUGCCCUUUGGAUGUUUUUAUUUUUAAGCAUGAACUAAUUUUCUAAAUACCGAAUUAGAGAGAUGAACCCUAUGAUAGAUUGUGACACCCCAAACCCAACCGGAUAGACCCGCCCGAAUUCAAAGCAUUUCAUUAGCCACCUAAGUGACUCUCCAGCUAACGACCACCCAAGACACACCUCGACCUUAUAACACCUCAAUCUUAUCUAAUUACUAGUUAUUUAUUAAUGUAGAAGUAAAUUAAUAUGAGCCAAUUUUAAACUUUUUCUAGGUAAUUUAACCUAAAGGCAAUUUUGUCAUUUUACCACCUAAUGUAAAACUAACCCGAUUUUAGAUCUAAGUGUUUACUAACCUUCUUUUAGUCAAAUUAUACAAGCCUAAAAUUUUCAGCUUAAUUUGAGUCCGUUUACUAUGUCUAAUUCAAGUUUUAUUAAUAAGGACUCAAUUGUAACUUAAACAAAUUAAAAUACCAAUUUAAAGAGACAAAAAUUCAAAACUCCAAAACCCACACGGGCAUGUGGGUAAGUGACAAGGGCUUGUGGGAUUGAAAAAUAUGAAAUAAAUUAAUCCACUCAAUUUUCCAACAACCAUGCUAUACUACCAAACCAAAAAAACACUUGAAGUUUUGAAUAGGGGCGAAUCUAAAAAAAAUUAGAAGAAUUAGAAUUAAAUUAUAAAAUUUUGAGAAGUUAAAAUAUAAUUUUAUCAUGUAUUAAUUUAUUGUUUUUUAAAGGGUCCUAAUAUAAUUUUUUUCCCAUUUUGGUUGGGCCAAUACCCCUGCCUGCCUCUUUAAAUUUGCUCCAACACUAAACCCAAUAUUCGAUUUGGAUUAACAACAACAUAUAGGUUAGUAUUUGUGGGAGUUUGACGAAUAAAAAUUCCUUUUUUAGAUGUUUAAAUUAUAAAUUUUUGAAAGAUUAAAAUAAAUUUGUAUUUUUUUAUUAACAAAAUAUAAAAGAAAAAAAAAUAUGUUUAGACAAGCCAAGAGAACUUUGGGAUCAUACAGGUGAUUUUGAGAUGUUAAUGGUUAUUUUGGUGGACAGCGUAAAAAAGAAACAAAUGAUUCAUUAUAUAUAAUAUAAUUAUGAAUUUCAAGCCAUAUAUUGUAUGUUUCAUCCAUAAAAAUUUCAUGGGAGGUCCAAAGGUAAUUAAAUGACUUGUAGGCUUGCUGAAUUUCUUUGAAAGGCCCAAAGGCAAUUUAACAUUCACAAAAUAAUCUCUAAAUACUGUAAAGACAAAUCAAAUCCACAGUAGCAUUAGAGUUGAUUAAGCUAAGCAUUGGCAAAUAUUACUUUGAUUUUGCAUGCAAAAUUGGCAAAACCCCCUCUUACAUUAGAAAAACAACAUAAUCCAUGAAACAUUGAUGGCUCAAUACAAAUUUCAUCGAGAAAAAAGUCUCUUUGUUUUGGAGAACAUGAUAGUAAAGAUGUGGAGUUUCGUUCUUCUAAUUGGCCUCCUUUAGUUUUCCUUGAUCAACAACAAUUAGCCAAAAACACAGUUAGAUUAGAUUAUGAAUGAUACUUUCAACUAUGACAAUAUUAAAUACAAAACACUCUAAAUAAAUGGAAAGUAGCAAAUUAAGACCAUUGUGUUAUACUUGUCUCUGAAUUGAAAGAUUUAGAAGAAAAUAAAGAGAAAGAGUUAGAAAAUACUUGAAAACAGAUAAAACUUAUAUGUCAUUUAAAAUAAAAAAAAUUUCUAUUUAAGCCAUUUAAAAUUUUUAAGAUUUUUUAAAUUUUAAAAUGAUAAAGGUAAAACUAUAUUUUGGUACCCAAAAAUGAUAAAACUUUGAUUUAAUUCUUUAGAAAUUAUAAAAAUAUAGGCUAUUAAAAUGGUGAAAUUAUAUUUUUACUAUAUUAAAAAUUACAAUUUAAUUUCACUUGCUAAAAGGAUUUACUGGCUUCGCCCCUAAUAAAAUCUUUGGCAAAAGAUUAAAAUAAAAUUAUACCGUGAAUGGAAAAAGAAACUUAAGAAAACCCAAUCUCACAAAGAAAAUAACUUGUCCAAAAGCUACCAUAAACCGUAAUUCAUGCGAAGGCUUGUUGCUCAUUUUAUUGGUUUCCAUUUUGAUUUUGCAAAAGAAGUUUGAAUUUUGAAGAGAGCAAAAGAAAAAAAUAGUUUAUUAAUUUUUUACGAAUACCGACAUAUUAUAUACAUGAUUAAAAUUCCAGAAUAGAUUAAAAAUGUUGAAUUAAAGAUAAAAUUAAGUAUGAAUUAAGAACCACAAGUGUACUCAUUACUCACCAUCUCUGUUAAAAAUGUUGUUUAGCAACCUGUGUUUGAUUUUCUUCAGCUCAACCACAACAUCUUUCAUAUCUUUUCUUUCUUCUGGUAACUCAGCUGAACAAUUCAAAGCCAAUUCCAUGAUAGAUGAAAUACAAUUUGCUUUAACAACAAUGUACUCAUCCUCUCUUCUUAGUAAAUCAACAUCUGCAAUUUCUAUUGCUCCUUUAGGCAAUGAACUUUCCAUCCAAUGCCUUACAGUCUCUUCUUCAACAAAAACAUUAUCAGUUGGCUUUUUCUUUGUGAAAGUUUCUAUAAGGACGAUCCCAUAACUAUAGACGUCAGAUUUUAUAGAAACAAUUCCUGCUGAUCCAAAUUCUGCAUUUCAAGUAUCAUUAGAACAUCAUUCACCCUCAAUUAUUUCUAAAAUGCUUAUUCAAAUAUAUAUCCGCAUACACAAGAAACAAAAAUAUAAAAUGCAAAUUAGGAAAAUAAUCGUACAAAAACAAAAAAGAAUUCACCUGGUGCCAUAUACCCGAUAGUUGCAAGAGUCAUGGUUUGCUUCAUUACUUCACCUUCUCCCAACAAUUUGGCAACGCCAAAAUCUCCAACAUGUGCAACCAUGUCUUCAUCUAGUAAAAUAUUGCUUGGUUUUAUGUCACAAUGAAUUAUAGGUGUUGGAUGUCCAUUGUGGAGGUGUUCUAUAGCUACCGCAACAUCUAUCAUUAUGUCGACCCUUUGUAUGAUAUCAAGGAAACAAUUUUCAGAAUGUAACCAUUUCUCAAGGUUUCCAUUAGACAUGUAAUCAAGCACCAAGGCUUUGAAGUCAACACUUGAGCAGCAAGUAAUGACCUUCACAAUAUUACGAUGAACUAUAUUAAGCAUAACAUCACAUUCAAUGUCAAAACUCCUAAAUGCUCCCUCUGUUUGCAAAUUGAAAACUUUUAUUGCAACUUCCAUUCCAUCUGAAAGCCUCCCUUUAUAUACAUAUCCAAAACUCCCUGAACCAAGCAUAUUGCUUUCCUCAAAUCCAUUAGUUGCUCGUGAAAGUUCAGCAUGUGAAAUUCUUCUCGGUGUCUUCAAAGACAACAAAUCAUCUUUAACUGGUAGAGCUGUACUCCUUUGGCAUCUUCUAUACAUAAUAGUUAAGACUAUUAGUACUAGGACAAUACCAAUUGUUGGUAAACCAUACCUAAAAGCAUGUAAUAUAAUCAUUUGGGAGUUUUUGUGGAUGUCAUUUUUGCAAG